rnacentral:lncRNA from 1 species
GCAGAUGUAGCAGUUCACAGAGCUGUGGUUGCUCUCAUGACUGCUGAAGCGAUGAAAGCGUCUUCGGAGGAUAGGAAGGAUGAUGGGUAGGUUAUCUGAAGAUUAUCAGUGAACAGAUUGGUAUAGUUCUCAAUUUGAACCUGAAGAAUGUGCAGAUGGCAUGAAAAUAUUUCUCUUGAGGCGGGAGCUGGUCCAAGAUUUUAUCAGAUGCUGGUGCGCCUUUCACCAUGCACAGUUUUUGAAGGAAAAGUUUGUGGAGAGGGUAUUCAUAGAGAUAUAUUUGGUUAUCACAUUUAAUUGUCGAUAUUUUGGCAGUUUUCUAGUCCAUCCUUGCAAUACCUUAGUGAGAUUCCAGUAGUCUCUUACACCAGCAGCAAGUGUAUGCCUCAUUAGUGCUGCUUGUCGUGUUUAUUUUGCAAGAGCAUUGUAUAGAAUCUUUUCCUACCAUUCUCUGUACAGUCAGCCCACCCCCUCUAUCAAAUAAGAAAGAAAAAAAAGGAAAUGAAGAGAGAUUGACCAAACGUAAUUGGUUUUGGCCAGUACCUGAUUGAUGCCCUGAGUCUGUUUUGCUUAGAUAUCCUUGUCAUCAUCUGUGGCUUCGAAUAGCAGAAUGACAAGUCACCAUGCGAUACCUUUUUAUCUUCUCCUGUACAUAGGGCGAUGAGUCUCUGAAGCUUGUGGCCUUCUUUUCGCUUCUUGAGCAAUUUCUGCAUUUGAUCUGUGGCAUUUAGAUUGUGUAUUAAGCCUAUGCUGUUCAUCAUCUUCUAGCACAAGCAAAGAACUGAGUUCCCUUUUAGAUUGGUUGAAAGUUGUAACUUACGCGAAGGGAUGAAACGUGGAACCUGACGAGGCACUGGUAUCCGCAGCGGGGCGGCUCAGACUGUAGGAUGAUGAGCCCUUCAUUGCGUCCUUUCUCUUCGUUAACUACGUGCCCUCUCUGUUGUCUCUCUUCUGCGGCACGCUGUCUCUCUCUCUUCCUGCUCGGCGUCUUCUCUCUUUCUGUCUUUCUUUUCUUUUAAAAAUAUCCCAGGUACCUCACCUCUCUCUCUCUUCCCCCCACUCUUCUUCUUUGUCUCGCAAGAAGCAAACGACAAUCGCUGCCACCGUGAUCCUGCGCAAGCCGCGAAGAAGAGGCAUUUCUUUUAUAGAAGAAAAGUUCAAAGGGUCGGUUUGGAGUGUUGGCGAGGCCCGUUUGGCUUCUAUCUCAGUUCGAUGCCAAUUGUCGGUUUGCUCGCUUCGCGUGAGGCCACGCCACUUUCUCACAGGUUCUCUCUGUCUCUCUCGCUCUCUCUCGUCAGUUCUCGCUUCACGCCACGCCACGCCACGCCACGCCACGCCAUUCCCUUGCGGGUUCUCUCUCUGUCUCUCUGUCUGUCUUUCCAUAGUGCGCGCGCAUAAACUCGCGUGAAAUUUCGCCACAAAAUGAGAAUUUCCUGUUAGCAAUGUCGUGUGUAAAAGUAAAGGAGAUGAUAUGGAUAAAUAUAGGUCAAAUAACUUGAGCACUCCCCUCCAAGAGCAAAAUGAAAAGGGAUUUCUGUAGGCCUCUGUUUCAUAUCAUGUGACUGCCAUUAACCAACUCGAGCAAUCCCCUCCCGUACAAAGCUGCAGCUUUCUUCAUCUUUAUCUCUCGUGCACCAACAAUGACGGAGAUCAUCAGAUCCUCGAAAGCUCGCCGGACAGGAGCCACCCGAACCAAAUUCCGAACAACGAAAAGGGUUCCAUCCUGAAUCCACGCGGAAGUCUUCUGCUUGUUUACUGGUCUUUGCUCUCGAGUGGAGCCAGUGGAUGCUAGCUUUUUCGGGGUGGAUUCCCAUCUCUGUCCUCUUCGGCUGCCCAGCAUAGCUUCGAGCUCCAAGCCCGCGAUGCCACCACCGCUUGGAUCGAGGCUUGUUCGAGGUAGAGAUCAAUCUCGAUCCGAGGCUGCGAGGACCUGGGGACAACCUCCAUUGCCAGUCCCGGUACCUUUGCACAUGUGUAAAAAAGGCAAAGUGAUAACGAAAAGAAAUAAAGAAAAAAGAAAAGAAGAGGAAAGUAAGACGGGUCAUCCUAAUGCGAAGAAAUUGUUUAUCAUUCCUAUUCUGCCCCUUCCAAACAGCAAAUCGGACCGGUAAUCAAACGCUAUAACGAACGCAAGAACUCUGUUCAAAUGAAAUCAUCACCUAGCCAGCAUAUCAAUUCCAAUCAUUCAACUACAUCAGAAGAAAAGAAUAAAAAAAAAAAAAAAGACGACAAAUGCCUCAAUGCAUCCUAAUUAUCCUCGUUCCCUUCCUCAACACGAUACGGGUAGCCACAAAUCGAUUCCGAUUCACACAAAGAUCUUUCCUCUUUAAGAGACAUUGGAAUUCAAAGCAUCCACCACAAAGCAAUAGAGAACUCAAACGAGGCUGGUUCAACUAAGGACGACCUUUCAAUCCGAACUCGCGAUCCUCAACCAAGUGAAGAUGGAGCAGUUUGCUGCAGGUGGACUUUUAAGGGUCUUUAGCUUUUAUGUAUCCUAGGAUUGCUCAUUAUAUAUUCAUUUUAUUAUUCUUUUUAAUUUGAAGCUUGCAUUUAAUUUGACCAGAAUUGGUAUAAAUUUGACCCCAAAUAAUGUUUAUUUGAGUCGGGGGCUUGUCCUUGAUUCGUCGAUGCUGGUGCACCUUUCACCAAGCACAGUUUUUGAAGGAAAAGUUUAUGGAGAGGCCUGAAAUAGAGAAAUAUUUGGUUCUGUUACAUUCAAUUGUUGAUAUUUUGGCAGUUUUCUAGUCAAUCCUUGCAAUACCUUAGUGAUUCCAGUAGUCUUUUACACCAGCAGCAAGUGUAUCCCUCAUUAGAGCUGCCUGUCGUGUUUCUUUUUUUUGCAAGAGCAUUUUGUAGAAUCUUUUGCUAACAUUCUCUGUACAGUCAGCCCACCCCCUCUAUCAAAUCAGAAAAAAAACAAGAAAUGAAGAGAUUGACCAUGCUUAAUUGGUUUUGGUAAGAAUUUGCUCGAUGCUUUAAGAGCCUGUUCUCCUCAGAUAUCCUUGUAAUCAUCUGCAGACUGUAACUUUGUACAGCAGAAUGACUAAUUAUCAUGUGACAUGCCUUUUAUCUUCUUACUUGUACAUAGGGCGAUGCGUCUCUGAAGCUUAUGCCCUCUUUUUACUUCUUGAGCAUUCUUUGUAUUUGAGCUGUAGCUUUUAGAUUAUGCAUUAAGCUUAUACUGUUCAUCAUUUUCUAGCACAAGUGGAGAACUGAGUUCCCUUUUGGAUUGCUUAUAACUUAUGUGAAGGGAUGGAAAGUGGAACUUGACGAAGCACUGGUAUCAGCGUCGGGCCAGUUCAGACCAUAAGAUGAUGGUCCUCAACUCGAUACAUGGCGGCACACUCGAUUGCAAUUUCAAGUUCUUUUUCACAAAACAGACUUAUCUUACAAGCAUGCCAUAGUGGAAUGGAAGUCCUACCCAUCUGACUAUAAUGAAGAGCCAGACAAGAAAGUGAGUUAAGUUGGCCUCCCAAUGUCAUGACGUUUACUACGGUCUGGUGUUUCAGGGAUAGACUGUCUCUGUUUUAUUUUUGCGUAUAAGAUGAUAACUUGGCUUUCAUCGAUGUAUUUGUGGACAAUUUUAGAUUGAAAUCGAAUCUAGUGUGAGACUUUUUUUCUGAUAUUUGAUUGUAAAACAAAUAGAAAUUUAGCAAGCAGACCAUUUGUGAAAUUUGGAGCACAAUUUUAGUGAGUGAUCCAUUUUUGACAUGUACUUGUGUUUAAAUUCCGAGUGAUCCAAGGCGCAUGAAUCUUAUAUAUACUAAGAUGGAAGGGGCGUGGCUAGUAAGUCGGUGAAGUGGCUUCUCGAUGAACUUGCAAUGAUUUUUUAUUUUUUAUUUCUUAACUCAGCAUUCUAUUGCUUUUUACCUAACCCAAAAUAACUAUUACUAUGUGGAAAAAAUUGUUUUAAAUAUAUUAAAUAGAUCGCUCUUUUUCCACCCCUAUCAUGUUAAAAAGCUCCCGUGUUCUGACAAUAUUGGGUCCUACCUUUUUAAGCAUCCUUUGAUUGCUAUUCCACAAAAAGUAUUUCCUCUUUUUAUUUGUUUCCCGUUGGUUUUCUGCUCUCUUUUUGUGGGUCCCACUUUCUCCUCCUCCUCCUCCUCCUCUUCUGUAAUUCUCUCUUCGUCGUCUUUUAAUUUCGGUCAUGGUUAACCAUGGUGGCAUCUGACUGAUAUGAGACCCCUUUCUCAGCAAUCAAAGUGCACUUAUUGCGAGCGCAAGCUUCAGUGCUUCAACCGAUCUACCGAUCGACCUCCCGAUCUCGAGCAGCUCCCGACCUCGCCUCUCUCCUCAAGCUCCCUCAUCUUCCUUGCCAAGAACGCCUCCCUCUCCAGCUUCUUCCUCAUUGGUUGUCACAGAGAGUUCCUCGGCUGGAGAGGCUUUCGGCCAGAACUCGUCUUCCCGACAGGCGAAAAGUUGUGGCGCUUUACAUCUUCACCUCUCGACUAUGGCCAUGAGCAACAUGUCUGCCAACAUCAGUCAUCGCCAUCAUCAUUGUUGAUGUUCAUUAACCUCCCUGGUCUUGUCGAAACUGUCUUCCUUCUUAGCCUUUGCUUCGAAGCUCUGACCAUCGCCAUUGCUGUUGCCUUGAGAAUUGCCAAAAGAAGGGCCUCUGCUACACAGGCACGGCGACGGCGAGGGCUUUGCGUUUGUUCUCUUCAUUUCUUUGGGUGUUGCUCCAGUUGCCGAAGAGCCUUCGGUCGGAACAGGCCAGGAUCAAGAGAGCAAAGCCUAUGAGCCCCAGCAUCGCCACCGGGCCUUGAAACAAUUUCCCUUGCUGUGAAGCCCGCGAGAUCCACUGAAAUAGCAGCGUUGUCCACACGCCUGCAGCAGCUCCAACCGUGUGUCUUCCAUCUUCACCGAUACCCACACCGAAGUUGCUCCACCUGCACGCGUCUUCAACUCGAGUUCGACGCCAGCAAGUUGCCGAAAUUGCUGCUCCAAUUUCGAUCGACCAGUGGGCCUCCAUCCAACAUCUUCGGCUAGGCCCAGCAACAAGCCGGCCCAGUCCAGCAGCUCUUCAGUCGUCCACCCUUGCUUCUUCUCGCGCGGCCCAAAACUGCAGCCCAACAAGCCCGCAGGAUUGAUCCAUUUGAGGCCCAAUUCCAGCAAAUCAAUUGAUGCCCAGCCCACAAUUUGAAGCCCAUCUUCAGCAGGCCCAACCCAACUUGGGUCCAACCCAAAAUCAAGACCAAAUCUUAGUGGGGCUAAGAUUUGUUGGGCCAAGUUUAAGGCCCGGUCCAAGCCCGCCGGUGUCGUCGAAAGCCCAAUUUCGGCUGCCGUCGUGGUGUCCCGGCCUUCGCUUUAACAAGUGAGUUUUACUCACUAAUGCUUUUUUAGUUUACUAAUUAUGCUUAGGGGUUGAUUAGAUUUAAUUAAGUGCACUUAGAUGGUUAGAUUAGUCUAGAACAAUUAGUCAUAAUGCAUGUUAGGUGGUUAAACUUAUCCAUUAGCAAGUAAAUAGGCUCGAGUAAUUAUUGAGCGAAUCUCAGAAAUUUUCUGGGUUCGCCUCGGCCUCCAAUUAGGCAUUACGGGCCUAAAUUGGAUUUACUUUUAUUUAAUAAUUAUUUUUCGAAAUUAAUUAAUUAAUUGUUUAUUUUUCCAGAAAUUCAACCGGGAUGACUGGUGAUCGGAAUUUCAUGUUGAUUGUCGUGGUGCAGUCCGUUUAUUUAAUUGAGUUUCAAUGUAUAUGGAAUUGAUUUAAUUAUGAAAUUUUAGGAUAUUUUCCUAUUAAGUUGGUUUUUGAUUAUUUGGUUGAGGAAUAAUCGUGUAUCGGUUGUUAGUAUCGAUAGUGGAUUGGUAUUAAGUAUGGCAUCUAAAAGGGCACGUGGCUCGGUGAUUUGAUGCGUCACUUUGGUGAACUAGUGCCUUAGAGAAUGCAUGUGGGCCCAACGUUUCGGUAUGACAUCUAAAAGGACACAUGGCUCGGUGAUCUGAUGCAUCACUUUGAUGAACUAGUACCUUAGAGAAUGCAUGUGGAUCUAGCGUUUGAGUAAGGCAUCGUGAAAAAGGGCAUGUGGCUCAGUGACUUGAUGCAUCAUUUUGGCAAAGAGGUCGUCUUAGAGAAUGCACGUGGGCCCAAGGUUUGAGUAUGUCAUCCUGGAAAUUGCACGUGGCUCAGAGACUUGGUAUAUCGUCCUGGAGAAUGCAUGUGGCCCGAUUUCUAGAUAUUCCACCGUGGGGAAUGAUUUGGGUGACAUAUAAUCGACUGCUUCGAUUUGUUUUAAGUGAGUGGGUGCCUAUUAUGAAUUGUACUGACUUGUUGGUUGGAUCUGAGGUCAAGGUAAGUCUUCUGACCUGUGCGUGUUUAGGUAGCCCAUAGUGUAUUAUUGGUUUACUAAUUGGGUCUUAGAGGGUAGAACUCGUUGAGACGUUGUCUCAUGGUUAUUAUAUAACCAUUUUAGGCUUGUAGGUGGCAGCACCUUCACCUCCUCGUCCUGCCAUGCAUUUUGGUAUUUCUAGGAGAUGAUCGAGUUAGAAAUCCACUUCCACAUCCACCCCCACCCAGAAGGACUAGAGUAUGUCCUAGUUAAGUCAAUUGUCUGGGUUGACGUAGGAGAAAACGCCCUGAUGCCCCAUCAUUAUAGGUCACGGUACCGUGAAUACUUUGACGGGUGAAGAGAGGGACCCAUUCUAAAGAACGACGUGCCAGUGUACGUUCUAGAAGAAGCAUUUAGGGAGGGUACAGUAGACCAUGUGGAUGGGUUGGUUGUAAAUGUUUAGGACCUAACACUUGAGGCUGAAGCUCACACUCCUGUAUACUCGAUUGACGAUGACAACUGGAAUGACAAGGAUGGUGAGAUCGAAGAGGAGGUGGAAGGGCCAGAGGAGCACGAGGAAUGGGGUGUAGCAGAGGAGGUACCUAAAGAUGAGCCGGCAUCUGAAGCCGAGGAUGAGCCUGAAGAAGAAGAUGAAGAGCUGGAAGAAAAUGAGCUUAGUUAAGAGGAAUCAGAGGAGGAUCAGGAUGAUCUCAAGUAUGACCCGAAUGAGGACUGAGAUCCCAUCUCGUUUUGUGAACCUUGUAUACUUUUGGAUAGGCAUUAGAUCAGACCUAUGUUAAUAGUAUUGUAACAUACUAUGAGUUGUGUUGAGAAUAAAAGUGUGGUUGUGAGUUUUAGUAUGAAAAAUAUGUCAUGUUUUUCUAUCCCAUUGUUUUAUUGUCUGGGGAUUUAUAGCUUUCGCAUGUACUAUUAAAAAUUAAAGGGGUUAGCGAUAUAUAGUCCUAGGAUAUCGCAUUAUAAAAUCGACCAAGUAGAAGGAUGUGUGCAUACCUGAGGAUCAGGGCGUGACAUGAUUGGUAAGGACAUUUUUCGUCAUUUAUAUAUUUUUAAAUUUUUUUUUCUUUUUUUGGUUUUUCUUCCUUCGUCGUUGGUGGCCGGAUGCCCAAAGAGGGCUAGGCGAUGUUGCCCUCGCCAGACACAAGUAAGGGACAAUGUUGCACACUAGGGGAAGCUAACCUCACAAGAUCUGAGCGAGGGUCGCCUUGCCAAUGGUUGACGAGGGACAGCCUUGCCUAGGCAAGGGAACCCUUGCCCUAGGGAGGCCAGCCUCGCUAGAUCUAGCGAGGGUCGCUAUGCUCGCAACCGCUGGUCCUUACCAGAGGUCGAUGAGGGUUAGGUGAGGGUCGUCUAGUCCUCGCUAGCCCUUGCAGUAGUUGUUGGUCCUCAUUGGAAAGAAAAGAGAAAAGAAAAAAGAGAAUACAAACAAUUUAAAAUUAAAAUUGUACUUGGAUGAAAAUGCCCUUUGACUAGUAGGAAUAUCUAGCCGGUUGGCAACCGGUGAGGUCAGACAUUUAUUUAAAACAACCUUGUUUACUUAAGACUCUUAUUUGAAAUAAACAUAAUUAUUCAAACUCUUAUUUGAUAUAAGAUUCACUUCGAAUUUUUAUUUAAGAAAAUGAUGACAUUUCGAAUUCUUAUUUGAAAUUUUUUCAAAUAAUUAACAACAUUGAGUGUCUCCGACUGCAUUGAAAAGACAAAAAAAGAAAAAGAAAAAGAGGAGAGGAGAGGAUUUUCUUGCAUGGAAGCUGGGUGGAAGACGAAGCUUCGAGCCAAAAUGCCGUGCGUCCCGCAUUGGAAAUUUGUCUUUUCGUUUAAAUAUUUUUGUGAAUAUACUUUAGGAUUUAAAUAGUACCCGGUUCGUCGUCAAGGGUGGAUCAAUGAUUGACCUACUGUCAAUCCAUACGCAAAGAAUUUACGUCUCAAGCCUCCUAAUGGGAAACUGCAAAGAAGUAUCCCGGCACGGGCUGUGUCGAGGAGGGGGACAGUCGCUUUCGCCCCCCUAAAACUGACCCGAGACCUUUCCACACGAGACACGAUCGACGUGACAUAAUAUAAUUAAUUGGAGUGUACAGAAAAAAACUUUAGACAAGCGUCACUUGAUUCCGGGCCGUCACUAACGAAUUGGCGAGUGAUCUAGUUUUUAAAGUGGAGGCGAGGCCCUUUCCAGGCUUGUGAUAGAUUUUAGGAGUUCAGAACAUGUGAUUAAACCGGUCUGUUAUAGAAAGAACCGGUACCUAGGGACCCAUCUUUUCUCUUUUCUUGAAACUUCUAACUUUAAUUUUUUUAUCAAACCUAAAUAAUGAAAUAUCAUACUUCUAUUAAUAUUAAUGAAUUUUACAAAGUCAAAUCAAUUUUUGCUAAAAAAAAGUUUGUGUCUUAAAUCAUCUUAUUCCAAAAUAAUCGAUUCUAUCACAGAACUGGUUUGAUGACAGCAUAAAAGCAUUUCUUGGGGGACCUCGACCCAUCGUUCACGACGAAACUGGUCCGAGAGAAUUCGUGGAAAAUUUUGUGAAGAAGCAAAAGUGAUAGUGAAAAUGAAAUAAAGUUGAAAAACAAAGAAAAACAAGGAGGAUGGGGGCAUCCUAACGUGCAAAAGUAGUCCCGACAUUGCUUUUUAGCGUGAUUUUUAUGUCGUCGGCAAGAUGUUAGUCAAAAGAUUCCCUCAAGGAAAAGAUCACGACAAUGCCUUGUGGUGAGUACAAAUUUUUCAUCAUUGCCCCUUUGCCCCGUCUUUUCCCGUACCACGAAGAGUUUCUUUUCAAAGUUAAAUUUUCUGAAAAAUUCGUCACUUAUAUACUAUCAAGCUAAUCAUUUAUAAAAUGGUGGCGAGAAGAAUCAUUUAUAAAGCAAAUUGUCACGAUAAUUUAGGGUCUCAAGGUAACAUUUAUGUUUCUUCUAAUUUAUAUUCUUUUGUUUCUCGAAACAAAAAAAUAACAUAAAUCCGUUUGUUAAAAUUUUUAUUCCCGAGAAUAAUUUCUCUAUUUUUUUGUUCCUGAAAACAGUUUUGGAAUAAAAACAAGAAAAAAAAAGUAACUUCUUAUUUUCGGAAAUAAUUUUUAGAAAUAAGCCUUCUUUUUUAUUUUUCUUUUGUUUUCCUCUCUUGCCGCGGUCACCUCCAAUUGCCUGGAGCCACUGUCGACUGCCACCAUUGCUCGCUAGCCACCGUCGUCCGUUGUUGCUGCCAUCCGCCGUUGUCUGCCGGCGACAGUGACGGACAGCACUGGAGGCAGCAGCAAUGCCGUCCGCUAUUGUUCGCUGCCACGGUCAGCGAUUGGUGAUCCAUGAGCAAAAUAAAAAAUGAAUAAAUACAAAAAAAAAAAGAAUCUGUUUUGUACUAAACGCACUUUUAUUUCUUUUCUAUUUCAAGAAUAGAAAUUUUGUGUAGUUACAAAAUACUUUUUUUUACUAAAAAAUUGUUCCCCGAGUAGAAAUAGAAAAGAACUAUCUAAAAAAAAAAAAAUUUUGUUCCCCAAUUAAGAAGCGUUACCAUGUGUACCCUUACCCAUCGGUUUGAUGACUAGUAGCAAAAAACCAUUUCUCGUGGACCUCGAUCCAUCAUUCACGGCAAAGUGGCCCGAGGGAAUCCGAGGAAGACGCAAAGUGAUAAUGAAAAGGAAAUAAAAGCAAAAAAAGCAAAGAAAAAAAAGGUGGGUCCUCUUAUCGUGGAAAAAUGACCCGCCAAUGCUUUUCAUCGUGCUUUUGUGCUGUCGCCAAGAUUUUAGUCAAAAGAUUCCCUCAAGCGAAAAAUCAUGACAAGAAAUUAUUCAUUAUUGCUCUUGUGCCCCUUCUUUUUAUGUGCCUAGUUAAUCCUACCGCUCUUGUUCCGAUUACAAUUCAAUCACUCCUUAGAAAUAAAAAGAGUUAAUACCACAAAAAUCUCUAAAUUAAGGUAUAUUUAAUAAAUAUUACUAUAAAUUAACUUUUUGAUUAUGAAAAAUUCGAAACUAGUAAAUUUAUGAUGAAUUUAUUCUAAAGUAAUUUUUUGACCAUGAAAACCCCGAACUGAUAUACAUACCAAAAACUAAUUUUUUUACUAGUAAAAAUUUUAAACUAGUAUACUUGUAACAUAUUUGCCUUUUCGGAUAUUUUGCUGUCAAAUUAUUGAAUCAAUUUGGGGUUUUAUCCUCCAAUUAUCAUAGGUGUAUUGAUUUUGUGAUUUUUCAUGGUAUUAAUCCAAUUUAAUGCAGGGUAUAUUUAUCACAACUUUAUAAAUUUGAGAUUUUUUAUUGUCAAAAAAUUAGUUUAAAAUAAAUUUGUCAUAGAUGUACCUAUUUGGGGUUUUUUGUAGUUAAAAAUUAAUUUAAGAUAAAUUUGUCAUAUAUGUACCAAUUUGAGAGUUUUUCAUGACAUUAACCCAAAUACAAAUAAUGAAUGAACCUAAGUUAGAACUCGAACAUUGGCACAACUUGUUAUUGCUAGCUAGCCUGGCUUGGCACGACACCUAACUAUGAGGGGUUGUGCCGAGCUCAAGCCUAGGAGGGUGUUGGUGUCUACUUUGGGAUUUUUAAUAACACAAGAAAAAGUUUGAGGUGUUGAUGUCACAAUGGUCAUAAUUGAAAGUUUUUGAUGGUAUAAACCCAAGUCAAAAUAGAUUCUCCAGCUUCAAGUUCCUACAUUUCGAUAGGUAUAUAUUCUUGUUGACAAAAUGCUUAAAAUAUUUAAGAACUCAUGAAACUUUUAGAUGUCAAGUAUUAACCAUCCUUAUAGCGGACCUAAAUCGUUGCAGAGUGCACCUCCAUAGUUGUGCCAACCAUUGAUUUGAAUGUGUCUAGUUGUUCUCCUCUUACUCAAGUUUCGUGGUGAUGGUCCAUUUGCACUUUAAGUCGUGGCUAGUAUAAAUGAUGAUCAAAUAGUACAUAGAAUCAUAUUCCUGGAGAUAUAGAAUCUUCUCCACUAACCAAUAUUCUAAAACGACGUUUGGCUUGCCUGAAGAUAUUAUUCUUAUUAUUUUAUCAACGAUCACUUAUGCCACAAAAUUAUGUCACUAAUGCGUGUCAAAGAUCAUAUAUAUUCUCUAGAAGAUUAGGCUAAAGAGAUUUGGAAGAUUUAUUUUUCCGAAAAAUUAUUUUCUUAAAAGAAAAUGAGAAUUGUCUAGAUUUCCACGCUUGUAUAAUAUAAAUGUUCACAAAUCUAUUUAUGCACUGGCUAAAUGUUAAAUUAUGAUUUGGUCAUAUUACUUAAUAUCGAUUUCAGUAUACUUAUUAACGUUACUUGUAAAUAAACCAGAACUUUUUUUUGUCAAACUUCAAAUGAUAAAGAGUGCAUUCUUACUGCGUAGAAUUUUACAUCUUUAUUUUUAACGGAAUUGAAAAAGAAAAAUCCACGUAUUGCUAGCAAUUUUAAUAUAAAAAACGCCAUUAAUUAGUAUACAUUACAUGAAUCGGUGAAAGCACGUCAUCUUAUAAAUUCCCAUUGAGGAUCCAUGGAAAAUAUUGAAAUUGUGGUCUUGAAUCAUUUAUCAAACGCUGCUCGCCAAUAAAGAAAAUGAUUAAUAUCACAAAAAACUCUAAAUUUGUACAAAUUUAUUUUAAACUAAUAUUUUGACUUCAAAAAACCUCAAAUUGAUACACUUGUGAUAAACUUAUCAUUCAUUAGUUUUCGUUAAAUUUCAUCGUUAAGUUACUGAGUUGGAUGACAUGUCAGUUAACGAAUGUACUAAUUUGAUUUGUGGUCUUUUAUGGUAUUAAUUCCAUUUAAUAGAAAUUAACGGAGAGUAAAUUUGUUACAAAUAUACCAAUUUAAGGUUUUUUGGUCAAAAAUUAAUUUGGGGUAAAUUUACCAUAUAUGCACUGAUUUGGGGGGGUGUUUUUUAUAAUUAAAAAUUAAUUUUGGGUAAAUUUACAUAUGGGUACCAAUUUGAAGUUUUUUGUGGUAUUAAUCCUAAAGAAAAUCAUUUAUCAAAUUGUGGCGAGAAGAAUCGUUUAUCAAGCAAACUAUCAAAAGAAUCAACGACAUGGGGCGUCCCCAACGGCGUAUAAAAAACGAAAACAAACAAAAAAAAAAGGAGGAGGAUUUUCCUGCUUUCACAUCGAAGAUGGGUGGGAGACGAAGCUUCGAGGAAGUUUCGCGCUAAAUUGUCGUGCGUCCCGUAUUGGAAAUUUGUCUUUCCAUUUACAUUGUAUUUUUGUGAAUAUAUUUUUAGGAUGUAAAUAAUACACGGUUCGUUGUCGUGGGUGGGUCAACGAUUGACCUCAUGUAAAUCCAUGCGCGAAGUUUUUACGUCUCAGAUUCCUAGUGGGAAACCGUCAGAAGUAUCCCGAAACGAGCGGUGUCGAGGAGGAGGACGGUCCCUUUCGUCCCCCUAAAAUUGGCCGUGUUUCUAGAGGCCGACCCGAGAUUUUUUCACCCGAGACACGGUCGACCCGAGACUUGUGCCCGUGACGGAUUCUAGGAGCUCAAAACUGGUGAUUAGACUAGCUUGUUAUAUAACAGCCUGGUACCUAAGGCCCGAUAUUUUCCUUUUUUCUUGAAACCUCUUGAAAUUUUUAUCAAACCUAAUCUUCUAAAUAGUGAUGAUGAUUAGACUAGCUUGUUAUAGAUUUCCAUUAAUAUUGACAUUUAUAUUUUCCUUUUUUCUUGAAACCUCUUGAAAUUUUUAUCAAACCUAAUCUUCUAAUAGUGAUGAUGGAUUAGAUAAUGAGAUAUCAGAUUUCCAUUAAUAUUGACAUUUUUUACAAAGUCAAAUCAAUUUUUGCUCCACAAAGUUUGUAUCUUUAGUCCUAUCCAGAAUAGUCGAUUCUAUCAUAAAACCAAUUUGAUGACAGAAUAAAACCAUUUUUUGGGGGACCUGGACCGUUGUUCACUGCAAAACUGGUCCGACAAAAUCCGAGGAAAAUUUGGUCAAAAAGCAGAAGUUGCGAGGAGAAUUCAGCACUUAGCAUAAAUAUGGCAGCUUCUUCGCAGCGAAGGCAAGAGUUAUAAGAACCACAACAGCGAGGGUGAAAGAGACGGAUAGAGAUGCGUAGGGACAAAGAGAAAGUGAAAAGCUCUUCUAGACAUUGAUGUGUUAUAAAAAAGUGACAAUAAAAUUUAGGGUUAAAUAUCCAUAAUACAUUUAUAAUAAAUCACUAAAAACCUCAAAUUAAUAUAUUUGUGAUAAAAUUAUCCUUCGUUAGUUUCUAUUAAAUUGGAUUACCAUCACAAAAAGUCACAAAUCGAUACACAUGUGAUAAACGAAGGGUAAAAUCCUAAAUUGAUACAAGUGUCUAUUGCCAUAUGUCAUUCAACUUAGCAAUUUAACGCGGAUACUAACGGAGAAUAAAUUUGUUACAGGUGUAUAGUUUGGAGUUUUUUAUGGUAAAAAAGUUAGUUUUGAUAACUUUGUCACAGGUAAGCCAACUUGGGAUUUUUCAUGGUAUCACAUCAAUUAAUAAUCUCACUUGUAGUUCUUCAACUCAUUUAAAUUAUCCAAUUGAAUUCUCAGAUUUUUAACAUCUAAGUGUAUGGCCUAAGAUUUUAUAUUGUUAUGAUGACCAUCAUCCCAUUGCCAAAAAAAAUUAAAUAAGCCCACCAUCUAAAAUCAACCUUGGCGAAAUUUCAUAAUCUUAUUUGACUUUACUUUUACUUCUCCUAUUAAUCCACAAAAUGAAUUAUCAUUUAAAAAUUAAUUGGCAUUGACAUAAUUUAUAACCUUUUAUAAGAUACACCUCUACUUUAUAUUUUUCUACAUUUAUAAAUCUAUAAAUCUAUAUUAAAAUUUUGCAUCUAAAGAAAAUUAUUAGAGAUGGACUAUCCAAGGAUAAAUUAGAAAUAGAAAAUUCGUAUGAAGAAAAUAGGGAGAUCGUAAAGAGGGGAGGGGGACUGGAGAUGGAGAUGGAUUACACACAUUUGACUAUAUAUGAGUUCGGCUUUGGGCCUAGUGAAAAAGAUUACAAGCAAGAUGAAGAAUAGAACCAUCCAAAUUUUUCUUGUUCAAAGAGCAAAAUUAAUCCUAAGACAAAGUUUAGUCCAAGUGUCUAGGAGUUGAACUUCCUUCAACCAAGCCCCUACUUGGAUCCAUACCUAGCUCGAAUCUUAUGCAGUUCCUUGAGGGCUUUGGCAACGUCCAUCCGAUCCUGCGGUAACUCCAUUGAGCACGCAACUCCAAUCCUUAGGAUGGAGACGACGCAUCCUCUCAUCCUCUCAAUGUCAUUCUCACUUUCUUCGUUAAUAAUGGCUGAGUCCACGAUCUCCAUCACUGGGUUUGGCAAAGCCACCUCGACAAAGUUGUGGAGAUUUAAAUGGUCCUUGAAAGUCUCUUCCGUGGGUCUCCUCCCAGUUAACAUUUCCAAUAAAAGAAUACCGUAGCUGUACAUAUCGCCUUGUGUGGAUACCAUAUCCCCCAUGCCAUACUCUAAAAUAGUGUACAUCAAGCAGUAUACAAUGAAAAUAAAUAUUUAAUAAGAAAACACAAAUAAAAAUUAGACAAUUAAUGAGAAAUUUUCUUACCAGGAGGGACAUAACCUACAGAACCCUUCACAACCACUGAGCUACUGUUGUCAUCAAUGUCCAUGGCAUUUGUUUUCAUAGGGCAGCUAAUUGUAGCCAGCCCAAAAUCUCCAACUCGUCCCAUCAUCUCGUUGUCCAGAAGGACGUUACUUGGCUUCAGAUCUCCAUGUAUAAUCUUUGGGCUACAAACCUCGUGAAGAUAUUCGAUUGCGGAAGCUAUGUCAAUAGCAAUGUCUAACCUUUGCAUUAGUCCCAAAUGCCUUGGCUUUCCAUGUUCAUGUUCAUGCUCAACAUUCUCUUCGUUUCCUUGGUGUAUCCAAUUCUCUAAACUCCCAUUAGCCAUGUAUUCGUACAAUAGAGCUUUGAAAUCAUUGCCCUGAUAGUCUAUGCUUGAACAAACAUUCACUAUUUUCACGAGAUUUCGGUGUCGUAUAGCCCCUAAGGUUCGACACUCUGAGACAAAGCUCUUCGAAGCACCUCUAUGGCCCAAGUUGAGCACUUUAAUUGCCAACAAGCCGCCUUCCUGUGUGGUUGCUUUAUAAAUAGUACCAUAUCUCCCUUUACCGAUCACAUUGAUCUCAGAGAAUCCAUCUGAGGCCUUAAAGAGCUCCUCAUAAGAGACCAUCGAAAAUUUGCAUCUAAAUGGAAAUUCAAUCGAAGAGGUAUUCUUUUUCAACUUCUUUCUUUGAUACCAAAAGACAAACAGACAAAGACACAUAAUGAAGUAUGACAAGAUAGCUGUCACUGUGGUGAUUACUCUAACUUUGUUGGUCCAUAAUGGUUUAGAGGUAUUUGAUUUGCAAGAAGGAAGGUUUAGUUCUGCAAUACCUCCACAAAGAUUCCUAUUCUCAAAGACAGACACUGCACUAGCAUUGAGAAAUACUCCUUGCUUCGGAACUUCUCCUUCAAGCUUGUUUAAAGAUAGAUUCAAGUACUUUAGAUCUGUAAGUUGACCGAGAAAGCUCGGGAUUUCACCAGAUAAGUUGUUAUGGGAAACAUCCAACUCUUGUAAGCCUCGUAAUGUGCUUAAAGCCAGAGGAAUUUCGCCACGAAAGGAAUUGAAUGCUAAGUUGAGCCGCCCCAAUACUAAGCACUUGCCGAUGGAGCUAGGAAUUGGUCCAAUCAGCUUAUUGUAAGAUAGAUCCAAUUUGUCAAUAUUGAUCAAGGACCCAACUUGAGACGGGAGAGAUCCACUCAACUGGUUAUGUGCCAAGCUGAAGAUAAUCGAAAUGGUAGAAAGGCCAAGAACUUCCCUUGGGAUUGAACCACUCAAAUUAUUAUUGGAAAGCUCAAGCUCGAUGAGCUGCCUACAGUUACCAAGACUUUGCGGUAUUUCCCCAUAGAAGUUGUUGAAUGGCAAGUAAAAGCGAUUCAAUAAAGUCAAAUUGCCGAUUGAUGACGGAAUCUCUCCCGUUAGCAUGUUUCCUCUUAAGUACAAUUCGUGCAAGUUAUGGAGUGCUCCAAUACAAGAAGGAACGUGACCACCAAACGAAUUGUUUGAUAAAUCAAGAUAGGAUAAAUUGAAGAGAUUGCCAAUACCUGGAGGAAUGGUUCCAUACAUUGUGUUGGACGACAUAGAAAUUACACUAACACUAUUGGAAAGAUUGCCAAUGGAAUUCGGCAAUAGACCUUCCAGAAAAUUGAGGUCCAAUGAAAUAAUUUCCAGCCUUGAACAAUUAGUCAAUGGGGUAAUGAAACUGAAGUCAUCUCGCAACUCGUUAGAGGUAAGGGAUAUUACUCUAAGAGCUUUCAGCCUUCCAAGAUUUGUGGGUAUCGGUCCAUGAAAACUAUUAUUGUCAUAGUAGACGUACUGAAGGCCAGAGGCAUUCGAUAAAGACGGAGGUAUAACCCCAGUAAAAAAAUUACUAAGAAAAUCAAGAAAAAAUAGAGAAGGAAGAGUAUCACCAAUAUAAGGGGGAAUGCUCCCUCUCAAUUGAUUGUUACUGACGGAGAAAUAUAAAAUGUUGGACAUGUUGAAGAUUGCUAGAGGGAUCUCACCAGUGAGUUGGUUAUUCAUCAAUUGAACAAACGUCAAACCAUAAAGCUUGGACAAUGUCUUGGGAAUCUCUCCUUGCAACCCAUUUUUCCUGAGUGAAAGCUUGCAAAGUUGGGAGAGAUUUCCAAUAGAAUGAGGAAUAGAUCCUGCAAGAUUGUUUCUACUCAAACCUAAAACUCGAAGCUUUGAUAAAGAGCCUAGCUCAUCAGGAAUUUUGCCCACAAGUUGGUUAUCGAUGAGAUAUAAAAUCUCAAGGUUUGAGCACUGAGAAAGAUUGGUGGGCAUUUGUCCACUGAAAGAGUUUAUACCAAGGACGAGAUGAUGAAGGCGAAACAAGUGGCCAAUGCUUUGUGGAAUUUCACCGCGAAAGCUAUUAUUCUGUAGAACAAGGUUUCUCAAGAAAGAGAGGUUUCCGACAUGAGGCGAUAGAAGACCCCCCAAGCCUUUCGACAUUAAGUUGAGGGACACGACUCUUUCGGGAUGCCGUCCACCACAUAUUACACCUUGCCACUCACAGUGAUGAAAAGAGUCAUUCCACGAGCUCAAAGCUCCAAGCGGAUCCUCAUCCACACUGUGUCUGAAGUAGAUUAAAGCAAGCCGAUCCGUCUGGUUGGUUUGCAUCGUUGGACUCAUCCAUAAUGGGAGCUGGGCAUAGAAAAAUAGGAACAUAAUCGCCAUAUGAUUUUCCAUUGUGAGUGGGUUCUAUGUCCUAACAAGCUGCAAGCAAAGUCUCUUCCAGAUUGAAUUAAAGAAGAAAUGAAGACUUUCAAAAGCAUAUGCAUUUCCAUUGAUCAAAAGACACCUUUUUACAUGGCGAAACCUGACCCACAAUGCAAGUUUAACCCAAACAAAGAGUUGGACUUUAAAAGUACUACAGAUUAGCCGAACCAAAGAAAGGGCACACACACACUUCGUCAAAAUGGAGGAUUUGACAGCUGCCCAAUGACUUCCUAGAAAGCCGUGCCGCGAAGAAAGGAAAUCAAGAAUGGAUGUGGUCCUUGAUUUUCGGCCAUUUCAAAGAGAGCUCCUAUUUGUUCGUGGGCAAAGCGUGUAAUAUGUGUUGUGAUUUUUUUAUAUCCAAAUUGUUAAAACCUUGGGUUCAGGUUUAGUUGAGACAUGGGAAAUACUUGAGCAUAUUGAGUAAUUGUAAUUCCAAUUCUCCAAUUAUAGAAAAUUUUUAUUACUAGCUCUCUCCAUAGAUAUAAAUGUUAACACUUGGACUGAAUCACGUAAAUCUUUGAAUCAUUUAUUAUUUCUCGUUUAUUUUUUUGGUGAUUUUUCACUGACUUAAAUACUAAAUCCUUAUUAGCUUCCCUGUUUGUUAAUUUUACCACGGGGUUACUUCUCAUUUGUAAUGAAAAGGAAAUAAAGCAAAAACGCAAACAAGGAGAUGAUGGGUGGGUCAUCCUAAUGUGGAAAAUAAGUCCCGCCAAUGCUUUUUAGCGUGUUUUUUUAUGUUGCCGGCAAGAUUUUUAGUCAAAAGAUUCCUUGACUUCUCCCGUGCUACAAAGAGUUUCUUUUCAAAGUUAAAUUUCUUGAAAGUUCGUCACUUAGAUCCUAUCACUCUUGUUCCAAUUACAAUUCAUCAGGCCAGAACCCCCGUGCCAAGCUCGAACCCAAGACUAAGAGGGCCGGUUUGUGUGGGCCAGCACAACUCAAUUACCAUGCUUAGAUAGGGGUUUUAUAAAUAUACAUGUUAGGAAAAGCAAGAUGCUGAAAUUCAAGUCUGUUUGGCCAUUUGAAACCAAAGAGUUUGCAAAAUAAUGCAUGAGUAUAUGAAUCAAAUUCAGAUUUUGUGAGAGAAGAGGAAUUUCGAUGUGCAAUUGCCGGUGUGGUAUAGAAACAAGUUAUGGUCCUGGUAAUGAACAAAGAAUGCGUGAUGCAAAGUACUUUGUUAGAAACUAAACAAAGAGAAAGAUAUUCUAGAAUUUGGUAGAGAAUUAUGAAUGUUAGCUCUGAUCUUGAAGUCAAGUUUCCCGUGGAAAAUCAACAACGUUGUACAAUCGUGGCCGGCGAGCAUGAUGACCUCCACCAUGAGAAGUUUUCCAUUUCUUUUUCCCUUCUUUAAACUUUUCUUUUUAGGUUCUCUCGAUUUGAUUACCAAAGCCAUCGCAGGACAGUCUCGAAUAUGUAAACUAAGGCAGGACAUCAAUAGUGCUCGACACUAUUGAAGGCUAAGGGAUUUUGAUGAACACCGAUUGAGUUUAGUCAAAGGCCCACUUGUGCAAAUAAAGAUGGUUCAACUCCUUCCACUAUAUGGGGGUAAAUUAUGCACAACUCUGAAUUUUAGGGUAAUACAAAUUUGCCUCCGAUUUUUCACUUGUUAUACAAUAACGUCUGAACUUUUAUUUUGUUCAAGCAAUUAACUCUUCCUUAUAUUGUUAUUAGCAUGCACAUGCUUGUGAAUUUUAAGGGGUAAAUGUAUAGUUUUAUCUCAUUCUUUUUCUAAGGAAGCCCCUUUUUCUAAAAGACCGAAAAAUAUAGAAAAUGGAAGAGAAAUAAAUUAACUAAAAUACUAAUAAUCAAAUAAUAAAUAUCGGUAAUCAUAUUGAAUGAUGAGAAUUUUUCAAAAUUAAAUAAAUAUAGUCACCUUAAUAUAACUAAAUAAGAUAUUUUGAAAAAUUAAUACAAAUUUAUUAGAAUGGGAAAAAGGCAUAAAUAACUAAAAGAUCAAAUAACAAGAAUUGCUUAAUCACUAUGUAUGUUUAAAGGGUAAAUUACUGUAAAAAUUAUUGAUUAACAAAAAUAUUCACAAGGAGGACGAUCAAUCCCUUGCAAAUCUAUCUCUUUUAAGAGGCAAUCUUUCAAGAAGAGCUUUUAGCAUCUUGAGUUCAACAAUGCCCUUUGCAUCGAGUUAUCCGAAAUUUUCUAAAUCGUUUAGGCUUUUAGAUAAGUUUUAAAAUUGGAACUUCCUCGGAUGCAACGGCACAUAUAACUUGCUUCAGUUUUGGCUCAGAUGCUAGUUUUAAGGUCCGCACCACAUUGUGUAACGAGGCAUAGCUUUCUUUGAUAAAGCUACUCUCACCGAAUUAUCUUAAAUAGUAACUUGUGCCAUUUUCCAGGUCCUACGUGCUUGCUUUUGUGAGUUCGAGAUUGUAUUAUAUCUUUCCUUCUUAGACAGUUCUUUGCCUUAUAUUUCUUAUCCAAUUGUUGGACGCAUCCAAGUGCAACCAAAAGCAUCCGAUCCAUUCAUUAAACACAUGAACUCAUAUUCUAGUUAUUCGCCAAAUUUAUGAUAUGGACACCUUGACGCGUUUGUAACUAUUUGGAUUGUGCCUCAAUUUUCAAUUUAUGCUUCAUAUUCUUAUCGCAGGAUUUUGAACAACCACCUUACCCUACUCAAUUUGAUUAACAUCAAAACACUGUAAGUGAUUCAGCUUCAUUACUAAACUAAGUAGAUCACUGAAUCAACAAGCAAUUCACCGUCUCAAUCAAAGACCGGACAUGCUAGCAUAAUAAACCACGGGGAUGUCAUGAAAAAAUGCAUAAUAUAUGCUAAUCACUAAAGGUGAGAAAAUGGAUGAUGAACCCAUUUUGUAAUUCAGAUUCAAUGACCUGGAAUAACAUGAGUUGUUAACUCUCUGUGAUAAAAAGGGAACUCUUUUUUAUUUAUUUAUUGAUUAUAAUCUCAAGCCACUCUUAAAUGUGGUGCGACACUAACAUGGACAUCACCUAUACUUAGUUCACUAAUCAGAGAUAUGGUCAGAAGAAAUCAAGAACGGACCUCACUAAAAGAGUGCACCAUUUCAUGGCAAUAAUAUAAUAACAAUGAAAACAAUAAUAAAUAUAAUAAUUUGUACGCCCUUCAUGCGAUUGGUCGGCUAAAGGUGCUUUGAGUCAUGGUGUAAACCAAGAGUUCAUGUACUAGAUCUAAGAAGGAACUUCUGAUACCCUCAACAGUUUCAUCGUAUUUUUGCCAUUGGGUCUUCCUUUCGUAACACACGCACAGACGGAAGAAAAAAACAUCAUAAGCCAGAAAAACUUUCCGAGGAAUGCACUCGAACUAUUCGUUCUUGAAAAUAUUUAAACCUCUAGCAUCACAUUUAAAUUGUUUUAAUGCCUUAUUGAAAAAAAAAAACAGUUAGUAUCUCUUAGCAAAUCCCUCAAGUUAGCACAUGGAUUACAUAAUCCAUUGCAUAGACAAUCCAUUAAGUAUGCUAUUCAGGAAUUUAAUUAUUGUAAGUAGCGUGUGGUAUCGCAUACGUGUGGAUAAGGAGAGUAGCUAAGCUAAGCUCUUAGAAUAGAUCAGAGGGAUAAAUAAUUAACUUGAUGCUAUGGACUCCUUCGAUGUCUCCUUUUGCAUGUCCAGCUCCAGCCCGUUCCAACCAUUUCAGUGAGUCUUUUGGAUCGAUGGUUUCAUCACUCUGUUCUUCGGUUAUAAAAUGGAAGUUUAGUGGAGUAAUGUCUAACAAUUGAAAGUUUAGAAGGAACCUUGUAUUACCCUUAAAUUAGGGUAAUUUUUGUGUAAUUUUCCAUUGCAUUUAUUAUGUGAUGCCCAAUUUCUAAAACAUUAGUCGCAAGGUGAUAGGGUAGGGUGGAUUUAGAAAAUUAGGUGUAGAAAUAUGAGAAGCCAAACUUAUAUUCUAACUAAGCGUCUCAACUUUUCCAUCAAAGUCACCAAGGAACCACAUAAUAUAAGGUCUAUGAUUAGUGUGAGCCCAUUACAAUGUUGGCCCGACAAAAAUCGAUGGACAUCUGACUUCACAGCCUUGAGUAAGGACAUUCAUAAAUAUCACAAUUUCUUAGUCCUAGCCGCAUGGAACUGGUAAUGUUUUCCCGCAAUGGAUCCAAACCUGUAGAACAGCAAACACCUUUCUACAAACAAGUCUCACCGGCGAAUAUUCUCUUACGAAUUUGUGUUAGCAAGGCAAGACUGUCACGUCAUUUCUUGAAUCAAAUAGAAACUGCACAUUGCCAUUUCCGCCGCCUUCAGUUUAUACACUCUGCAAUGCACGCACAAUAACCGUUCAAUCACAGAGCUUUACCUCAAAUAAAAAAGGAGGACGCGUCACUCCUUCCAUGCAAUGGCUGUUUUUCAGCAAGAUUGAAUAGCAGCAAGCUGUACAGCAUGACAAUAAGGGAAGGAGAUUAACUUCAGUUCUUUCCAUCACUAUUUAUGCUGGCCUAAGCACCGGAUAACUGAAGCUUACCACAUUCUCUCGCCCCACAAUUCUGAGAAAGAAAAUACAGUUGGACAUGUAUCAAACGUGCAACAUCAUCAACGACAAAGAAAUGAUGAAAGCAACAUCCAGAAGCGGGGAACUCUGUAUAAAUUGAAAUAUAAAUACCUAAAAGGAAACCAAUAAUCUUCUCCAAGAGUGAUGAUUGACGGAAAAUGGGAUGCAUCAUGGAAUUUUAUCUAACAUCCUCAAACUAUUAGUUUGGGUCGUAGAUUCAUACUAUAUCUAAUCAUCUAGUUCUUAUUUGUGAAAAUUUUUUGGAUACUCUUGAAGCAUGACGUUUUUGUAAUCGCUUUGACACUAUUGCGUAUCACUGCUAAUGGUGGCCAUACCUGCAAAUGCCACAUCCACUGCAGCGAUUCUGCUUCUUGUAUGUCUGUUAAAAUAAAUAAAUAAAUAAAUAAAGUAAGAUGUUAGGCAUAGGUGAUCAUAUCGUCUUCAACUGCAGGAUCCAACACCCAACACUUUAAAAGAAUAUGUAAAAUGCAAUUAACGAACUUUUUUCUUUCGCAUGUUUGCACGUCAUCCAGCAUUUUUAUGCUCAGGGUUUUGAAAUAUUUGCUAGGGGGAUCGGGCGGACAGAGACUACUUCUGACAUAGAGAGAGACUCGACCAAUGCCACUGUCCAGGACAAAUGAAAGAAAUUGAGCAGCGAGAUGAGAAAGAUUUGACGCACAUCAUCAUCCAAAAACUUACAAGUCCAACAAAAGUACUUCCCCACGCAAACACCACCUGUGAACAUGGAAACCAAAGGUUGAGAAUCAACAUCUGCACUGUAGUUUAUUUUUGGCCAGUCUUUUUAAACAACUUACACAUUUUUUGCCCUCCUUCGGAAAGCUCCUAAGUGCAAUCAAAGUAGGUAAUUAAGGAUAGAAUGUUUAAAAUUACCUCUUGAGCACUAUCAUAGAUUGAACUUACAACCUGAAACAAAACGUGUAGCUAAGUGGGAACAUCAAGAUUAGUCGGUCCAUAAACAUGCUAGAAAUUCGAUAGCAUCCAUCCGCUGAACUUGAUGGCAAGGCGAGUCAAUGCCCUUCUUUUGUUUACAUUGAUAUGUUAUUCUGGUCAUAAGAGAACCGUAUGUCUUCUUAUGAAAAGCAUGUCCACAGGUUGAAGAUUGAAGAAUCGAAAAUUUGACAAAUUCACCAAACUGUGGACUACUCAUCCGAACUCAAAUGACAUGGCGAUUUUUGCACAUAUCCGUCCUACAGGAUUGGCAAACUGCACAUACCAAAAUAUUAGAGCACACACUACGAAGUUAACAACAUGUCAGAAUGCAAUCUCAUCUUAAGAUAACUCAUGUCACUAGCGCCCAAAAUUUAGAGGCAGCUGAAGCGGUGCCUAUAUUUUGGUUAACGAUCAUCCUCUAAUAUAUGGCAAGUAAAAACUCAAUUGCAAUCUAUCAACUGAGCUUGCACGAAAGUAUCUCGUAGAUAUCUAGUGCGUUCUUCAUGCCAUAACAAAAGGAAGUUCUCAAGCACACUUUUAGUCUAUGAGGGGCACAAGGGGUCACCUUUGCAUCAUCAUGACAGUGAAGGCGAUAAAAAAUCUCGUUGCAACAGGGGGCUCUAGUGCGGCACCUUCGAUGGUAAUGAGGACAUCUACCGCAGCAGCAGCAGCAGCAGCAGCAGCAGCGACUUUGAUAUUAACUGAAAGUUGAGAAGGACAAAGCUCGAACUACUAUUGCUCAAGAAUGAGUCGAGAAAUUACUUGUACGGAAAGUACCGCUUUCUAACAAAUCAGUAACAAUAGCAUCUUCACGGUCAGAACAGAGCACCGUCGGAAACACGAUUGGACAGUGCCGAAAUUUUAACAACAGGAGGGAACCGAGUGGCUGCCGAUGAGGAGGAACCGCGACGUUAAUUAUGAGCCAGGAGUGGUGGUGAUCGCCUGAUCGGAAAUGGAGCGGCCGUGGAACCAGAGGGAAAGCAGGACCGAGAGAACGUUUCUCUGUUUUCAGUUCCCCUUCUUGCCCGCGCCCGUGCCUUCGUUCGGGGGAAGAGAGAGAGAGAUAAAAGCAAGGAAGGAAAGAGGCCGGGCCUCCUCUCGGCAUGGGCCAUGGACCGCCAAUGGACUCCAUUUUUCAGCUCCUCUCUGUUGCUAAGCCUUAUUCGAUGGGCUAUUGAACAAAUCUUAAAAGAUCUGGGCUUAAGUCCGAUAUUGUCCGGCGGGGAGCUCGAGUUGUGGAUCUGGGCUGAGGUCUUAUUAAUGUUCUCCGUUUUUUAAAGUAUUUGUUAGCUUGUUUAUUUAUUUUUACAAAAAUGCGUAUUCAAUUUGCCAGCAAAAAUUUGGGUGUCAAUGUCCACAUUGCCAAUUCUGUUGAUUGGAUAUAUAUGCUCAUCCUGUUUUCCAGUGACAAUAAAUGGUUUUGUCAAAGUAUUGAGGCCUGGUGGUAGAUUGACUCUCAUAAAUAACUGGACUAAGGUUGGUAGCCAUAGAAUAGGAUCUUUAUAAUCAAAAGUAAACAACACUUCAAAGUACAAGCAACACAAUCUUUAGGCUUCGUUCGUUUCACAAAAAGUAACUUUUAAAUUUUUUUUUUUUUGGAUUUUCCCUCGUUCGUUUUAUGGAAAAUGAAUUAGUUAAGGGAAAUGUAUUCCACUAUAGGAAAAAAAACACAUUUCGAAAGUGAGAAAAAUGUUUCACUUUUGAAAAGUGAAAAACAUUUUUCAUAACUUUUUCCACCUCACUUUCUUUCACAAAACACAUUUUCAUUUUAUUUUUAUAUUUUGUUUUUCUUUUUUUUCUAAAUUGAUUUUUUAAUUUCUUUUCUGCUUUUCUUUCUUUCCUUCUCUUCUUCUUCUUUGGCCUUGGCCGAUCAUUGGCCAUGACAAUGGCUGGCAACUAGCCAAGGCUUAAGAAGAAGAAGAAGAGAAGGAAAGAAAGAAAAGCAAACAGAAAAAAAUUAAAAUUAAAAUUAAAAGAUUUAAAAAAAUGAAAUAAUGAAAUUUUUUUUGAAAAUGAGUGCAUGCAAAAAAAUAUUUUCCUUAUUGAAUGGCAGAAAAUAUUUUCUCAUACAUUUUCAGAUUUCGGCCGACUACCAAAAAAUAUAUUUUUUUUUCCCAUAAAAAUGACUUCUUGAAAAAUAACUUUCAGAAACACCAUAUUUUCAGCAAAAUAAAUAGAGCAUUAAUACCAAUUAUUGAGGUUAACAAUGCAACCUAACAAAGGGAUGAAUGGGUUGAUUUAUAAAAGUUAAAAAUAAUUUAUGUAAUAACUCAGGUUUAGAAACACAAAUUAAAUAAAAAGGGGGAAAGGCCUCAAUAACAAAAAGGUCAAAUGAUAAUAUUUGAUUAUGCGUUAUGUAUAUAUAAAGGUUCAAUUAAUGUAAACUGAUUGAUCUUCAAAAAUUCUAGAAAGAACUUAUCAAUGAAAAUGAUGUCCUUAACUCAUAAGAGACAAAGAUGAAUCAAAAUCUAAGGUGAUUUUGUAAUAUGUGUGUGUAUAUAUAUAUAUUGAUCAAUUUUCUCUUACAUUAUUUAACCAUUUGACAACACAAAAUGAGCGUCAAAUUUUUGUUAUUUUACUUUUUUGUUGUUUGAGGCAUUUUUCCUUUCUACUUAAUUGCGUUUGACCCAAGCGUCAGUCGCCUAGAUCGCGCGACCCAGGCGACCGUCGCCUGGGUCGCGCGCGGCCGUCGCCUGGUCGCCUGGGUCACGCGACCCCAGGCGACGGCCGCCUGAGGUCGCGCGACCCAGGCGGCCAGAUCUGGCCAUCCGACCGCCAACACGACCCUGGCGACGGUCACCUAAGGUUGUGCGACCCAGGCGGCUAGAUCCGACCAUCCAGCCACCGGAUCCGACGGUCCGACCACCGAAUCUGACGGUUCGAUCACCAGAUCCAGCGGUCUGGUGGCCGAACUUCAAAAAAGAAAAAUAUAAUUUUUUUGUUUUUUUUUUUUAAUUUUAUAAAAGUAAUUUACAAAUGCAAAUUUUACCAAACGGUAUUUUGGCCAAAGUUGUAUCUCAAUGCAAAUUUUACCAAACGAUAUUUGCAUUUCGGAAAACCUCCUUCAUCCAAAUGUAUUUGCAUUUUGACAAAUGCAUUCCCCAAAAGCCGAACCAAACGGGCCCGUAAUGUGUAACAAUCGAAGUUUAUGUCAAACAUGUAUUACUCUGGAGCUUUUUUGUGAAAUUUUUCCAAAAAUCUAUUAUUCGAUGCCAAAUUUCUAAUAUGUUCACAAGGAGAUUAGUGUGUAUUUAAGUAUGCUGGUUGUGGAAAUAUGAGAAGCCAAACUCAUAUUGUACAUAUUUUAGGUAUUUUAGGUAUAUUAGUACAAUUUACUAUUUAAUAAAAUUUUAUUAGAGAAUGAUAGAAGGAAAAAAUAAAAAAUUAAAAAAUUAAAAAAGGAAAAAUAAAAGAAAAACAAAUAAAAAUAAAGUAGGCAAUUGCGAGAGAUUUUUUCCAUCUCUACUUAUAAACUUUUAGGCUCGUUUGCAUUGAUAUGUCGUUUAUACCAAAUAUGUAAAUAAUAUAAUAUGAAUAUAUAUGAUUUUAUAUUCAUUGGUAGGCAGCUGAGUUGAUUGGGCUUUGGGCACUUCACUGCAAAAGUCCCAGGGUUGAAACUUCGCAGCUGCUAACACAUUUUAAGUGAGGGGCUAUGGUGGUGGGAUCUUAUGCUAACUUCUCCCAAGGUAUUGACGCUUGGUCUGAGGUGUAUUAUGCACUGUAUAGGCAUUGGGUUGCUGAUUAGUGUAAGCGAAAGGCGGGCUUAGCGGAUCCUCGGAUACCAAAAUAUAUAUCAGAAGAGAUUAAGUUAGUAUACGGAAGAGAAGUGGAAAAAUUACAGCCCUUCAAAUUCACCCUUUCUUAUAGUGACGUUUGUAAAAGCCCAAUCUCUUAUCAAAAUUUCUGUAUAAGUUUGAAGGGGUAACCCAUGGUGAUUAAUAAAAAUGCCAUUCCAUAUUCCAUUAGAACUUGUUAAAAACACAUGAAAGGGAAGCUUUCACUAGUUACAUCAAAAUUUGCUAAAGAAAAUCCCCAUACAUUCUCUAAGAAUUGGAAAGAAAUUCCUAUACAUCGUUACUAAAAUGUGUAAAAGGAAGUCCUAUACAUUCUGUUUAAAGAAGUACCCGCUUAAUAGUAAUUGUGACAAUUUCAGCGUAAUAUGCAAGAGUCUUUUGGAAUUUUCAAUGAACAUAGUGAGACCAAAGUGAUGAAACUUUUUCUAAAAGUUUUUUUUUUUUUGACAAAAACUUUUUCUAAAAGUUAGAAGCACGAAAAGAUGAUAUAUCAUUAAAUAAAGUAUUUAUCAUCAUAACACGUGAUUCACCCUUUUUGUCGUGUCAUAAAGUAAUAUCAUCAUAACACGUGAUUCACCAUUUUGUCGUGUCCAUCUCUUAGUCUAUCUUUUCAUACGAUUCUCGCAAGUAUAAUCAUCGCUGUGUUUAACUGUCACCCUUUUUGUCAUAAUAAAAAAGAUUAAGUUCUUCAUAGUGGAGGUCAUCCUGCUUUCUAACUAUGAUUAUCUAAUGUUGUUGAUUUUCCACCGACUAGCUAACUCUAAGAUCAGAAUGCAGUGUUUAUCCGUUGGAGAGAAAUUUUUUGAGCGGAAGAAAUGCUCACCAAACUUUCUUCUUACUUGUUACGGAGCAGCUCAUUAUCGGACACGAUUCUAACAAAGAUGAGCUACCCUUGAAUCGGUUUAAGUGGUCUUUGUGUUUGGAUUUGGUAGAGGGGGAGGAGUUCUCGGGUGAGGGUGUCUAUGGUUGGGGCAACGAUGCCGUGUGUUCGGAGUGCAACGUCAACAUUGUGAAGCUAAAAUAUUUAUCCUUGAUUCAAAGACAAACCACGAAGAAGAUACAUGCGAGUAUAAAUACAUCAACGAAGGGCAUUUUGAUAAAUUAACUAUAAAGGGUUGUUUUUUAAUCAAAGAAUGUCAGCACCACCCUUUUUGCAAACUGAUCUUAAUAAACAUAGCAUUUUUCCUUUUUCCAAUUCAUUUUUCAACAUACAACUUACAAGCAGGCCCAACACCCCAACACCUUGCUACUAAUACAUAAUAUUUAUUUACCUCCAAAAUUAGGAGGAAUUUUUAGGUAAUUUUUCAACCAAUUUAUCGUGAUUUUAAAACAUUUGUAAGAAGAUUGGGGCAUAAUUAGGUAUGCCGAGUAUUGAAAUACAGGAAGCCAAACUCAAAAUCUCAAAUUUCCCAUUGGUGUCACUCAAGAACCACAUAACAUAUGGUCUCUAAUCACUGUGAGACCUUGACAAUUGGGUGGACCUAACCCUAAUGUUGCCAAUUUAGAAGGAGCGCAAGGAGGCUCAUCAAUUUGUUGUAGUGAUUUUUUAAGAAGUCACUACGUUGAAGGUCCUAGUGUCUCUCAAUUGAGGGUACAAGGCCGACGGGUCGGUUGAGAGACAUUGUGCGAAGCACAAAUCAAUCUUGCAGUGGUGUUUCACUCACCCCUUCACCUUCAUCAGCUCGGGCGGCUACUAUGCCAACCUACCAAUUCCUCAAACACUCCUUAUGAGAUGCGGUGGAAUCUACCCUCCCCACCUGAAGGACCCCAUAAUUCUUAAAUAUAAUGUUUUCUUCUCCACUCAAAAAGGAAUCCUCCCAAUAUUUCACAUCUCUAAAUUUAGAUGAGACAGUUUAGGAUAUAUACUCAUAUCCAAGAAGGUCAUUUGUUUAGCAGCAAUUUCUCAUCCCAUAAACCUAAACUCGCGAGCCUUCACAAAUGAUUGUGUUAAAAGUGAUUGAGCAUGACAUGAUGCCACGUCACUCCUCCGCUCGCGAGCCAAUCAAGCUUUCGUGGAUUUACACUGGAGACGUAUCUUCUUCUUCUUCUUCUUCUUUUGGUUUUUUGCUAUAAUUCUCAUCCUUCCCUGUCUCCUUUAGAGAAAAUCCAUCUCGUUUGACCUUUCUUGGCCGGUAUCUGAUGCAAUCGUUCUUAGUUGUGUGAUUACCUUAACCUUAUCCAAUACCGCCGAUCGUUGACUUCAAUAGGAAGGAACCGUGGAGAGCACCUCGGUGCCUAUUUUGUUUUCUUGUUUUUUUUUUUUAAAUAACCCAGCAACUCCAAUGGAUCUUAAAACACCCUUCAACUCCUAUAAUUCAGUAAAGUUGAAGCCUUUGACCCGCAUAGAUGGCUUGAUAGUGAGUAACUCGCACGCAAAUGAAAUGAUUUAAACAAACGGCUUCAAUUAUUGAGGGGAGAAUUUAAAAAAAACAAUCCAAACCUAUUGCAAUUGUGCAAAUUCAAUCCUAAACUUCUUUUGUGAGCCAAUUCAUUUCUAAAUCUUUUGCAAUUGCGACAAUUUAGUCAACUUGGCCAAAAUUGGCUGGCCAGCACUGAUGUGGACGCCAGUCAACAACGACCGUUCGAUGAAUGUUGAUGUGGCAAUUUUUUUUAAUUUUUUUAAUUUUUUUUUAAUUUUUUUCUUUUUUUCCCCCACCUUUUCAUUCCUCUAGCGCUGAUCGGCCAGAGGUGAGGGUUGGUGAGGUCAACCUCGCUGGCCAAUGGCGAGGCUCACCCAACCAAGGCAAGGGUCGACCUCGCUAAUGGUUGGCGAGGCUGCUCACUAGAUCUAGUGACGGCGCCAGGCUCACCUUCGCCAGUGGCCAGCGGGGGCGAGCCUCGCCUGCCAGAGGAAGGAGAAGUUGGGGAAAAAAAAAGAAAUAAAGAAAUAAAUAAAUUCGAAAAUAUAUUUAAAAAUUCGAAAAUAAUAAUAAUAAUAAUAAUAAUAAUAAUAAUAAUAAUAAUAAUAAAUAAAUAAAUAAAUAAAUAAAUAAAUAAAUAAAUAAAUAAAUAAAUAAAUAAAAUUACCAUGUCAGCAUUCGCCAGAUGGCCAUCGCCGACCGGUGUCCACAUUAGCAGCGGUUGGCCAAUUUUGGCCGCAUGGACUGGAUUGGCACAAUUAUAAAAAGUUUAGAAUUGAAUUGACAAAAAAAAAAUUAUGACCGAAUUGGCACAAUUGCAAUAGGUUUGGGAUUUUUUUUAUAUAAUUCUUCCAAUUGUUGAGCUACAACCAUUAUUGUCCUAAUAAAUCACGCCAACUUCAAGGGUUUAGGUAGGUUUUUUUUCUUAUAAUCUUUUUCGUAGAAAUGUAACUAUUGGUAGGCCCUCACUUUUGGACAUGACUACGAACUUAAAAGAGCCAAAUUAUGUUAGAGUUGAGUCAUAUGUCUUCUCGUUUGUUAUGGUUUGGCCCCUUUAUGCUAGAUAUCAGUGCAUGGACUCAAUUAAUUUCAAUUCGAAGUUACCACUGGUAUGAGAAUGAUGUACAACUAGAGGUGUAACAGUCAACCUAAUUUAUGGUUGGAAAGAUAAAUGUUUGUCUGUGAUCAUUUUUAAAUAGUGAUUUCUGAAUAUAAAAAAAUUAUUAUGUGAAAUCCUAUUUUUUCAUAACGAGUUGAGGGGUAGGCACUGUUGGCCUAGAAGAAGCAAUAAAUUGGGUUUUAUUGAGAUCAAUGAUCCACCUGUUAUAAAGGAUUUGAAGUGAACCACUAAUUACUCUACAUCAUUUGUGAUCAGAAGGUUCUCUCUUCUUUUGACAAGCCAAGGGGCUCAAGCAUUCAUCUCUUGACUACCUUAAAGCUCAUGAAAUAUUUUUUGCAAGCUUUAUGCAUAAAUUAAGUCCAUAUAUUUGGCCUAUGCAUAUAGCUUAAUCUAGCAUUUGGGCGUAGUUGGUGGAAUUCUGACUUGUAGUUUCUUAAUCAUAAAUUCCCCAAUUCCUAAUCAAUUGAACAAACUUUGGGGAUUGCACAUGUUCAAGAAUGACAAUCUCGUUAUCGUACCCUCACAGGCAUGCUAUUAAUUGGAAAGUUUCUCCACACACAAAAAAAAAAAAAAAAAUUGUCAUGCCCAAAUAACAUCGCACGAACUAUUUGGAGAUUUAUUCACAACGAGGAUUGCGCUUAUGACCCCGUGGAAGAUAGUUGGCCCCUUUAACUCAGGCCAACAUAUUGAAGGUCGGUCCUUCUUUUUUUUUAUUUUUUGGUAAACUUAUUAAACAUUGGUCACAGUUAACAGGAAGCUUCUUCAUGCAACCUUAGUAGGGAUAAAGAUAGACGGUGUCAACUGAGCUCGCAUUUGAUGAGAUUUAAGCACCUUCAGUGUGAAUCUACUUUUGGAAAAUGCUGCUGCAAUUCCACACCCCUCAUAUAAAUUAGUUUUUUUCUAUAAGCUCAAUAAAAUAGCUAGCGAUAGUUCAACCGCGACCAUCAUGGGAAACCUUUAUGAUAACUUAGAAUUCUGAAUAUGUGGGUGCUUUUGUUUCAAAAAAAAGUUUCGAGAUAAAAGGAAAAUAUUUCUCAAAAAAUCAGUUUUUAAAAUGCUUAUUUUUCUCUUUUCAGGUUAGGGAAUUCAUUUUCCCUAACUUUAAGCAUAUAUAUUUUCUUUAAUUAUAAAUAAAUUUUCUAUUGACUAAUCAUUUUCAGCAAACCAAAUGCAUGAAAGUCUGAAAAACUAAUUCAUGGAAAAAAAUUUCACUCAAACAAGCGUAACGAACUCUUGUCAUGUUGAAUUGUUUAGGCUUUGACGCCCUUGCCCCAAGUAAGCAAGUUCUUCAGGACGUUGCUAUGUAAUGUCUUACCAAGAAAACAUAUAAAUUAAUUAUUAUAAUAUCUAUUUUUCUAUGUCAGGACUACUGAUAAAAGUGAAUCAUGAAAUCAAUGACUCACAGAGCCACCAAAAUCACUAAUUAAUACUAAUCUAAUAUUAACAAAAUAGAAAAUACUUAUAGAAUAGAAGAGAACUGUCUUUUAUGUAUACUUCCUCGGUUACACACCCUAUAUUGACAAUUGGGCAAUAAUUUGCUAUAUUACGAAGGUGGUUUAUGCUAUGUUAAACUUCCAAAGCUAAAGCAAUUAGUAGUAGGGUAGUGCAACCGGUUCGAUUCUACUCAAAAAUCAAACCAAACCCGCCAUAAAAACAGGUCCAAUUCGUAAUUUUAGUGGAAACAGGUUCGGUUCUAAGUUCUAAAUUUUUUGAACAAAUAGCAUGUGGUUAGGUUUUAGGUUUUGGGUGUUGAACCCAUCGAUCCAAGAAUCAAUUAGAACAUGUUCUAUGAAGUUGGAAGAAAUUAUUUAUCUUCCCUAUUAAUUUAUAUUUUGCUGAUUUUUUAAUUUGAUCCGUUUUGUUAUUCAUACUAUUUUCUUGUGACUAUUAUUUGUCUUGCUUUUUUAAAAAUAACGAAAGCAAAAAAAAAAAAAACAAAAAAAAAAAUCGGUUCCUAGGCAGGCCCUAGAAUCAUGAUAAACAAAUAAGGUAGGUUCCAAGAUCGAUUCCAAAGUAAAUAUGAUAGGUCUUAGGUUUCAAAAACUGAGAACGAUUCUAAUAAGAGAGGUUUAAAGUUUCAAAACCGAUAACCUACCUACCCUCAAAUCGAUUACCCCUAAUCAGUAGGAAAUUUUCCUUAUAACUCUUGAAAGAAGUGAAAGAGAGAUUUGGUGGCAGCAAAUUCACAUUCCAUCAGCCAAUCGCUCUUCCGAGACUUGAAUUAGUGAAAAAGAAAUAGAACGUUAGGAGGAGCUACAAUUUUGCACUGAAAAUUCAAAUUAAAGAUUCAUUUAAGAUAUGAGUUCUUACAUUAAUUCUACAAGAACGUAAAGAUGAGUUUGAAUUUAUAUGUCCGAUUGGUCGAGUGUAAUUAUGGACAAAAAUGCUUACUUGAUGUUCUACAUGGUUUAAAAUAAAAAUAAAAAGGAAUAUUGAAAAACAUAAUAAAUAUUAAAAACAUUAACAAAAAGGGAAUUUUGAAAGGAAAACAAGGGAUAGACAAGGGAGGGAAGUGGUGCACUGUCGCCUGACUCUAGCAGAUAACGACCGGGUGUUGUGCGACUCCGGUGAUCCAUGAUUAGGGUUACAUAACCAGAUUGCCUAGUCAGUGCUAACAUCGUGCUGAUGUGUCAACUCAUGGUAGUAUUUUCGUUUUUUAUUAUAACAACAUGACCAAUUCAAAUAUUAAGAAAAAUAACAUAAACUUUAAAAGACAAGGUUGCACAAAAAAGCAUUUAUCCCUAAUCUGUUUAACGGUACGUUUCCAAAAAGCAUAUCUUGAUUGAAAGAAUCAAUUUAGAUUGCAAUGCAAGGGCUGUUUAUUGACUUGAUCAGUUCAUGAUGCGGCACCGUCCAAUCCGACGCGAUGCAAGGAGGUCGCCUUCCAACUCGCCACCUCCUGCCUUAUAUCGUCACAUGACAUCUUCACAUCGACUCCCUCUCUCUCUCUCUCUCUCUCUCUCUCUCUCUCUCUCUCUCUCCCCUUUCAUUUUCAACGAGCGUACCAAGAAAGCCAAAUCUGAACUCUCUCGAACGGACCUUUGUACCGUUAGUUAACCCAGCUUUUGUUUUGCGUUCUCUGCUGCUUUGCGUGCGCGCGAGUGACGAGUGUUUGUUAGCUAGUUUAGCUCUCUUUAGGUUAAGGUAAUGUGGUGAUUCGCGUCAGAUUUCUCUCCUUUUGGGUGGUGGGUAGGGGAUGCUUUUGAUUCGAGUGUGUCUGAAAGAGGAGGGAUUCUAAGUCCGAACAGGAACCGAUUUUGGGUUUGUCCGCGCCAUGUUGAGGCAGGGAAUUAGGAUAGUUCGGAGGCAUUGAGGGGUUUGUUGUCUUUUAUUAUUAUUAUUAUUUCUGAUGCAGUUGAAUGAUAUAGGAUCUUGAACGGACUCCUUGCAUGGUCAUAGCGUUUUGACCACCGAUUCAAUAUGCACAUCUUGGUGCUGGAAGAGGUUUCUCUUAAGGAGAGAGAGAGAGAGUCGGCAUCUAAUGGUAUCGUUGUAGAUGUUAGUCUGAUCUUACAAUUUUUGAACUGUUACUCAUUUGGCAGUUUUAUCGCCUGACUUUCCGAUUGAUUAACAUAAGCGACAUCGUGGCUCGAUUAUUGUCGACAACUAGAGGAGUAGCAUGGUGUUGUUUUUUUCCUUUGUCGAAGUGACGGAGUUCCCCCGCUGCUUUCCUUUCCUUUGCCGCCAUCUCGUGCGGAUGUGGCAUUCCAAUCAUUUCCUAGGAACAGGUCGCUCUCAUCCAGUAUAUGUUAUGGACAGUGUGAGUUGAUAGGUGUACAAGUAUGUAAACUGUGAGUGUGGAUUAAUAGUGAGAUCCAUCUAAGUUUCGAGGGUGGAACUACUCAAAACUUUAUCAUAGUCUAUUUUGAAGAUUACUAAUGGAAUCUAGUCUUACUGUGGCUAUUAGUAUAGGAGACUAGACAUAGGCUUGAUAUAAACCAAAUCAUGACAAAUGUAAUUUGCAAUAUCUUUUUAUCUCUUUGCUCGUUUUUCAAUAUUUUUCUAACAAGGGCAUGUUGCAUUGCAUAUAAGCAUAUUGCAUAUUUACGUCUUCUAACGUCAAGCUUUCUCUACUUAUAUCCAAGUCCAAUUUCAAAUAACUUGUAAAAUCUAAAAUAAUAUUAUUAUAUAACAUAUUCACCCCUAUUUAGGUUGUAUCGUUAAUCUCAACAAAUACGAUGGCCUUUUGAAUGUUGCACUCUCUAAAGUUUUUGGAAAUUAUGCCGAGUAGCCCGAUGUUCUCAUAUAAAGGAAAAUUGAUUUCUCAGAGUUCCUGGCCCUAUUUCACUUCUUUGUAGAUGCGUGCUCCAAGAAUUCACAAAUAUGUGUAAACCUUCACUUUUUCUUUUACACUUGCAUUUGAGUUUAGUUUUCAAUUUUGGAAUAUGUACUUUAGAUCCAUUUUUGUCCAUAUAGUUUGGUUAUAUGGAUAUAGUAUGGUCAUAUGUCCAUGCAUGUGUGACAUAAGACAACAACUUGACAUUUAUAUCUUUAAAUUUACAAGUUGCUCACAAAUUGACACCGACCGAUAGACUAUUUGUCAUUACAAAUGACUUUCAAUAUUGUGAGAUUAUAUAUGCAUGCUUUUUAGGGUAUAUCAAUCUAAUAAGGCUAACGUCCUUUUUACAUUAGAACACAUUAGAAUGCCCUAAAGAAUAUUUCGCUUAAAUUUAAUGGAGAAAAAUCUACAAGUGAUUUUGAUGCUGUUGAAACUAUCCUUAAUAUAAUGUUUAAUACGGCAUAUGCAUACACACACACACAUAUAUAUUUAGAAAGGAUUACGCAAUAUUGAUUGUGUGAUCUAGGAUAUGAAAGUAUGCAACAAGUCCAGAAAUGGUUUUUGUCUAAAUACUACCAACGAACCUAAAGAUCAACUAAUGACAAUGUUUAUAUCGUAGCUACAAAUAUCAAGUCAUUGGUAUUAUAAUAACCAUGAACUUCUAGCGAAGUUUGUUGGGUCAGAAAAUUAGCCGUUAUGGCUAAGGAUUUGCACAACAAUAGAAUCCAGUUGAUAGUAGUAAUUUGUGAAGUUGAGUCGUCUAAUAAGUCUGUCAAAAACUGCAAUGAUGGGACAGUGGCAAAUACUAUUCUUACUACAAAUGUUUAGGAAAAAAGAACUACAUGGGUAGUUCUGUUCUUGGAUAGACUCCAAUGGUUCCUUGCUUCUUUGAUCUUCUCUUAAUAGACAAAUUGGAGAUGAAUAUAAGAGAGAAGACCUAAGAAGCCAAGAAGGAGAGACGGAACAACAUUAUCUAAAGAUUUGCAAUCUGCUUUGUUCCUAACGAUACGCUCUUGUCCAAAGUGUUUCACUAAGUUUUAUAUUCAUGUUAUUUGAGUAAUUGUGUUAUAGAUUAAAUGUAGAAUGGUAUGAAUAGCAAUUGGGUCUUGAUAGUGUGAUCUAUCUUAUAAUAGGACUAGUGUUUGCCUAUUGUAAUUGUCUACGUAGCUUACUCAUGCAAUCCAGCCCAACUUGUGGCUAUUAGUCUAAAGAGUGAACGUAAGCUUGGAGAUAAAGCCGAAUCACUAUAUAUUAUUGUGUGUUACUGUUUUACUCUCUUUUACUCUCACAAACACACAAAUCGAUCAUAAACUUUGAAACAUCAUCUUGACCUGAUCUUUACUUAGCAUUAGCUAAUUUCUAAGAAAAUUUGUCGAGUUUUCUUAAAAAACAUAUUCACCCCCUCUAGGUUGUAUUAUUAGCACCCAACAAAAUUAGUUGCUUUGGAGCAACAAAAAGCUACUAAAAAAGUCUUGAAACUGGCUAAAUAUAACAAAAAAUGUUCUUUUCAUAUAUUUUUCUCUUGUGAAGUAAAUACACACAUUUUUCAUGUUCUUCCUUUUUGAAACUUUUGGUGUUUCGAAGACAAAAAGAGUAACUCUCUAAUCAGAUGAUUCAACUCGAAGAGCAACUUAAUGUAAAAACAAACCUUGAAAUUGGAAAUUGAACAGUUGAGAAGAUCAUUAAAUGUCAUGAAGCACAUGAAAGACGAGGAUGAUACUGAAAUUUUGAAAAUAAUUAUUUUGCUAGCGGAUAUGAGGGGAAAAGAGGGGAAUCUUGAGGAUGUAGAAGUGCCGAAUCGGGCUAUCAUAGUAAAGGUGCAUAAUCGCAAUAAUGAGCUUCAAGAAGCUCGCAGAAAAUUGAUCAAUGUAAGUUUGCUUUUUCUCUUCCUUUUUUUUUUUUAUGGUGAGAUUUUUAUUUUAUUUUAUUUUAUUUUUGCAGGGUAUCAUGUUCUCUCAUAUCAUUUGUCAUCUUUUUUUCAUUUUUGGUCUGCUACCUUCAGUUACUUCACUCAAUACAAGUUUCUUUUGCAGGUGUACAUCACUAAUUGACUUAUCUAAGGUGCCAAUUAACUUACUUUGCAAGUAUCAAAAGACAUACAUAAUGAUUUCAAAGUCGAUGGCAACGUUCAAGGUCGACAGAAGACUCCAAUCCUACAGCGAAGCUGCACCUAAACAAGCACGUAUUUGCUUGCGCCAUAGUGGCCUCCGUGACCCCCCUUUUGAUUGGGGGAUUGACCAUAACCGAGCAAAAGGGAGCUCACAGAGGCCACAACAGCGCAGGCGCAGCUUUACUGGAGGAUGGAAGUCCUCGAUCAACUUAGGUUAGAUAUUUCCAUCGACUUUAAAAAUCACUAGAUUUGUCUUCUAAGACUUGCAAAGUAAGUCAAUUAACACCUUGGGCAAGUUAAUCGGUGGUGUACAUUAGUUACAAGAGAAACUCAUGUUGAGUGAAAUAACUGAAGACAACAUCCUCAACCAUAUGAAAUUCAAUUUAAGUCUAGUACUGAAGCUCAUUAGUCCUUACCAAUUAAUUAGGAACUCUACUUCUUUAUUAUUAUUUCAUAUCUUUAUGUGCACGGAACUUCUGGCCUUUCUUUGUGUUUUUUAUUUAGUCCCUUCAUCCCUAAACAAAUUAAUCCUCUCUUCAUUAUUCUUUUACCCAGAACGCUUUUCACUCUCAAGUUCAGGAAGCUCCUUUCCAUUAAUCUUUUCUCUCAUUCUCGCUCAACUCACUCACCAUUCUUCAAGCAAUUCACUCAUAUCUGCACCCUUAAACCCAUGAAUUUGGAGGCAAGUGUCGUGUGCACACAAAGAAAAGAGAUACACCCAGAACACAUGGAGAGAGAGAACACAUGUAUCUGCAUAUAUUGAAAAUGCAUUCACUCAAACGACACUUAUACAGAAGACAUUCUGCAAAGACAAUUUGUGAACUAAUAUGUCAUAACAAACACAUACGCCGGAGAUAUCUAAUUCACUCUCACACACGAUAAUAUAGUUCUUCAAUUUCAGUAUAUGCCUAAUGAAUUCUCCAGCAAUAACCACCAAACUUUCUCAAAUUACCACACUGACAUUACUGAAUUAUUCUAGAGAAUUGAGCUUAACACGUGCAAACAUGGGAGGCUUAUUAGAAUCGAGAUUCUUGGAAUUAACUAACAAGUGAAUUCAUCUAGCCUAUGCAACUAGCGCAGUGGAUGAAUAAAACAGAUGAGGUGAUCAUGGUCAGACCUGAGGUUACGUCUAUUAGUAACGCAGUUCAGACAUUUCAAUGAAUAAUUAGUAAGCAUCAAGUCAGAGAACAACACGAUGACAAGUUGCUGGAAAUCAAGACACGUUCAACAUGAAACUACCACGGUAGAGUUGAGAUCACGGAUAUAAGCUCUGACGUGUAUGAUUUUAAAGCUAGGAAGAACUAGAUUCUCAUCCUCUGUUUUUAUUUUCAUACAUCUAAACCAGAAGAUACUCAGUUAGAUCUAGCGAAAGUUAAUUACCUGCAGCGACGGCUGAUGGCUUUGAACAAAACAAUCACCGAGGCGCUCUAGAAGGCUUGAAUUUGCGAAGGAGUCAAUGGCAGCAACUGGUCGAACUCUUCAAUCAACAAUGGCACUCCAAAAACAGGGACAAGCAGGAAAAUUCCAGAGCAGCUCGGCGAUGACGAACAACCGCUGUAGGCAGGGUUACGACAUCCUGAAAUGGUGGACCAUGAAUGCUGAUGUCAAUUAACCGUGAAGAAACUCCUGGAAAGCGAUGGGAUCAAAGUGUGUUUAAACUACCGUUAGACCCUCAACCGGUAUGAUUUUUUCCCCUCAAACCUCGGUCACAUAACUAGGACUUGACCUACCAAGAACAGAGCAGAGAUGCAAUAAUUACCUUGGAGAUGCAGUAGAUGGUCACGAACAACGAUAGAACGGAGAACUCAAAAGUCCCGGAAGCAUCUCCACCGACGGUCGGGGCCGUGGGGGGAAGAAAUCUCGACCGAGAUCUGAGCUUUCCGGACUACCCUCUGGCGGAACAGGGGCGAACAGAGAGGUGGUGGAGGUCUGCAAAAUCUAAAACAAACCCGUGAGUGCUUUCUAGGGACUCUUUGCAACUCAAAACUGAUGCUCUGUCUUCUUGAUCUGGUGUUCUCUCGGCUGUGAAUCGUAUCCCACGCCCCAACCCCCCCCACCCCCCCCUCCCCGAACGAAUGCCCCCCAAAGCUCGGUCAGUUAGAUGAGAGCGCUUCUCUCGGUCGCCAUCUCUACGCACGCUAUCGGAUUGGCUUUGUUCUGGAAGAAGAAGAGUCAUUACGGGGCGUCGGUUAGAUGAGAGCGAUUCUCUCGGUUCUUUUGGGGUUUUCCGUAUAUUUCAAAUUUUUAUGAUGCACUGUUGUCACUAUAAAAAUUUUAAAUUGAGAAAAACAUGCGUACUUUUAUUUAUUCUAUGUGAUAGUAUAUGCUUAGUAAUUUGAAAAUUUACAUCGUACUAAUUAAAUAUUAAAUCUUACAUUGCCCUACUAAUUAAAGAAAAAAAGAGAGGAGAAAAAGCUUCUAUUUUUUCUUUUUUUUGAAAAGAGAAACAGUAGUCUUACUCACUUAAAAGCUUUGAAGAAUAAUACUUUUAUUUACUCGAUUUGACAAUAUAUGUCGUAUUUGAGGUGCAAUUGCUUGUGUAGUAUAAAAACAAAUAGGUUGCGAUAUGGAUAAGGAACGGAGAAUAUGCCAUGCGAAAUACUAUAAUGGAAUUAUGAACGUUAAUUCCAUUUUUAUUUUUGGGGAGAGAAGAAUGUGUCUUGAAUGCAAUGUCUUCGAGCACCAGAGCCUAUAUGUGUUUACUUUGAUUAUAUGUUAUCAAAAAUAGAGGAAACAAAAAUUACCAAGCUUAUAUCAUCAAAUUGAGUAAAUGAAAGUAUUAUUCGUCAAAGCUUUCUUGAAGAAUAAAACUAUUAUUUCUCUUUCCAUUAAGAAAAAAAAAUCCCUCUUUUUUCUUUUUUCUAGUCGAUACAUUUGAGCGUACUAAUACAUAAUAUCUAUAAUCAAUAGUAAGGCUUCCUCUAGCACUAAUAGUAAAAUUAAAAAUUAUUUACAUAAUUGAUGAUCGGAAUUAGAUUGUUGGUACAAUAUGUUGGACUUGUGUACGAUGUAUACGUGGAAAGUAAAAACUAUUUCAACUAUGGAAUUUUUUUUGCAAGAUUAUUUAUAAAUUAUCUGAUAAAAAGGAUUAAAACUUUAUAAUUGAAAUACGUGGAAGGCAAAGUGAAAUCAUUAAUUUAGGCAUUUUUCCAUUGAUAGGAAUAUUCACAAAAUAAUUAUUUGAAGAUAUUUUGGGAAAGACAACUAUUGUAAUUCCUAAAAGGCGUAGAUACUAAUUUUUAGCAAGCUAAAGAAUUUCAAAUAUCAACAAUUACUAUAACUCUUUUUCUCCUAACCGGGACAAGGUAUAUAGAUAUUAUGUUAUUAGUAGUAGUGCCAAAGUGUUGGGCCUACUCUAAAGAGUUUUAGAUAUCAACCAUUGAUAGAGACACCCCUUUAUAGUUAAUUUAUCAAAAAGCCCGUUUAUUAAUAUAUUUAUGACACAAAGUAAAGAUGAAUGAAGUGGGAGAACUUUUCUGUAUAUUCGUAUAUUGUGUACAAUUACAAUGAUUCGCUUAUAGUGUAAGAAUACAAGGAAUUUAGGAAAUAAUAUACAAAGAAUCAUAAUUUCCUAUUGACUAAGGCAAUUAUAAAUCUACUGAAUCAAUCACAAUCGGCGCCAAGGUCAGAAUCUUCAGUUAUAUCUUCAACAAUUUAUGCCAACAUGUAUCUUCUUCCUAAUUUGUCUUUCAAUUAAGGAGAAGACUGUAGCUUCCCAAAAUUGAUGUUGCACUCCAAGCAUGACGACAUUGUUGUCCCGGCCUUAGACACCCUCACUCGCAAAGUCCUGCGACGCUAACUCCUCAUACCAAAUCCAAACGCAUUAGACCAAAUGACCCAAUUCAAGGGUAGCCUAAAUUUGGUGUGGUCGUGUUUGAUUUUGAGCUGCUCCAUUGUAAUCGAAAGAAAAAAGGGUUUAGUAAGCAUUUCUCCUGCUCAAGGAAUUUCUCUCCAACAGUUAGCAACGUUACAUAAUCAUGGCCAGCAAGCAUGGCCACUUCCACCAAACCCCUCCAAACCUUUGGGGCAAUAUAUGUUAGUCCCAAAUUUUCUACUAUUAUCUAAUACCCUCUUAACUUUCAUUAUGUUUGAACUGUAAAGGCUCCGUUAUUUUUCUUCGUUAACCUAUUCAAUGCACGUGACUUUCAAAAGAUGGAAGUAUUUUGUUCAUCUCUUUUUUUUAAGAAAAUUUCUCGUUUACUCUUAUUUGAUGUAAAGUAAAUGAAAAAUAUAAAAAAUUAAAGAAAAUAAAUUGCGUAUAAUACUAAUAAUAAUAAUAAAAGUAUCUACAAGCUGCGUCUAUCGUCCAAAUUCCAAUUGGAAUAAAAUUGGAUAAAGGGGAAUUUGAAAUCCUCCAAAUAUCCCUGAAUUGCAAAGAUAUCCCAUUAAAUCUUUUCUGCUACCUAAGAUAGGAAUUGAAAUCUUUUUAAAAAAAUCUUUGAAAAUCUUCAACCUAAUAGGAUUGAUAAUCUUUGAAAAUCCUUAGCAUUUGAAAAUCUUUGAAAUUCCCAUCUCCCUAGGGCUUCAAACCUUUUCGAUCACGUGGUUAGUUGGAAAUUCGAUCUCGAUGCAUGACGGCUCCCAAUCGACACGAGUUCACGUAAUUUUUGGAAAAGCCUCGUGGAUAACGAGAGGCACUUCUUGUGGGUUGUACAACCGGACUUCAUCACCGAAGAAGGCCCGCGAGAGGAGAUUCCACAUCACGGUGCCAUUGUGGCUUUUUUUGAUGCACGUCAAUGGGAACUCCAUGCUUGAGAGAAAGGUCUCCAUGAAGCCAAUGGUGUGUUGGCCGUUCUUUGUCGACCAACUAGUGAACAAGCAGCUUGUGAGCCACACGUGAAAGGUUGAGCUUGACAUGAAGGAUGUAUGGAAUUGGGAUGGAAAGGAUGAUUUAUGCAAACCUAGGACAACAUUGUCUUGAGACCCCUUUCACCCUCGCCUGUCAGAACAUAAUUGUCGGUUGGCGGUUGGUGGUGACGACCGACCUAGUGAGGUGACAAUGAUCAUGCUGUCGUCGGAAGUGAUGAUGAUAAGCUAUCUUGGUGGUGUCCUUGUGCAAUGCCGCCAACAAAGUAAUAUAUGAUUCAUCACUCUAUUAGUGAUUUAAAAAAAAAUAUAUAUAUCUAAUCCCCAUCACCUAGACUAGAUUUCUUAUUCAACAUUUUAUCUAAAUGUAUCCAAGUUUAUCCGAUUCGGAAAAUGUCACCAAAAUGUUUUAUUUGUGCAAACAUGAGAUGUCAUGAGAAUAAGAUUUGGUUAUGCUAAAUAAAUCUAAUGCUUUUUCUGUACAUUUUCUUUCAAAAAGAUGAUGUGCAAUCACUCUUUGAUAAUUUUGAUCCUAAGCCACUAACAUAUGAGACAACAAUGAAUCGAAAUCUAACUUGUCAUCAGGAUCUCUAACCGCUACUCGUGCUAACGUCCUUUUUGCAUUAGAAAAUAACAGAAUGCCCUGAGGAAUGGUUCGCUUAAAUAGGCUGCUUUAAAGCAACGAAAAGUCACUAAAAAAGUCUUGAAACUGGCUGAAUAACAGAAAAUGUUCUCCUCAUAUAUUUUUCUCUUGCGAAGUUAAUACAUAUCUUUUCAUAUUCUUCCUUUUUAAAACUUAUGGUGUUCAGAGGCAAAAAGAGUAACUCUCCAAUCGAAUAAUUAUACUGUAAAAAGCAACUCGAUGCACAAACAGGCCUUGGAAUUGGAAAUCGAACAAUUGAGAGGAUCAUUAAAUGUCACAAAGCACGUGAAAGAUGUGGAUGAUACUUCAAUUUUGAAAAUAGUUAUUUUGCUAGCAAAUAUGAGGUAACAAGAGGGAAAUCUUGAGGACGUAGAAGCACUAAAUCGAGCUAUCAUAGUAAAGGAGCGUAAUGGCAAUAAUGAGCUUCAAGAAGCUCGCAAAAAAAAUAUCAAUGUAAGUUUGCUUUUCUCUUCCUUUUGUAUAGUGAGAUUUUCAAUUUGUUUUUGUAGGGAAUCAUGUUCUCUCGUAUCAUUUUGUCAUCUUUUUACCUUUUUGGUAUGCUAUCUUUGGUUACUUUACUCAACACAAGUUUUUCUUGCAACCAUACAUCAACGAUUGACUUACCUCAGGUGCCUUGCAACCAUACAUCAACGAUCGACUUACCUCAGGUGCCAUUGACUUACUUUGCAAGUAUUAAAAGACAUACACAGUGAUUUUAAAGUCAAUGGCAACAUCCAACCGGAGUCGAUUGAGCCCUCCAAUCCUCUAGUCAAGCCAUGCCUGAACAAGUUUGCAUUUGCUUACGCCAUCGUGCCCCCAUGACCCCCCUUUUGCUUGGUGGACUGACCAUAAUCGAGCAAAAGGGAGCUCGUGAAGGCCACAACAGAGCAGGCGAUGACAUACUUCUUCCGACGCCACUUCACUGGAGGAUGGAAGUCCUCAAUCAACUAGGGUUGGACAUUUGCCAUCAACUUUAAAAAAUCACAAAAUUUGUCUUCCAAGAGUUGCAAUGUAAAUCAAUUGGCAAUUGAGGCAUGUCAAUCAGUGGUACAACUGCAAGAGAAACUCGUGUUCAAUUCGAUUUAAGCAUAGCACUGAAGCUCAUUAUUGAGACCAUACCAAUGAAAUGGGAACUCUACUUCUUUAUUAUUAUUUCAUAUUUUUAUGUGCAAGAAACUUCUGUCCUUUGUUUGUGAAGAAGCUUCAGGGAACUUCACGGAUUGAGAGAGGAUUUUCUCUCCGUUCUGGUUUGAAUGGCCUCGGUUCAGUUGCAGCUGAGCCUGAGACCGCCACCGCCAACGGGCAAUUGGCAGUAGCCACGGCCUGAGGACAUCGGAGAAGGUAAGGAAUCAGAAAGCGAGGACACACAGAGGCAACAUCGAAGCACAAGUUCAGAUCCAUACAAUCCUGAUGGCAUCAAAGUGUGUUUACGCUAACGUUAGAUCCUGAAUCGGUAUCGUUUAUUCUUCUCCGACUUCGGUCAAAUAACUCAGGCUCGACCUACCAGAGGAGAGAUGCAAUAAUUACCUCGGAGAUGCAGAAGAUGGUCACGAACAACGGUCGAACGAAGAACUUAAAGUCCCGGAAGCAUCUCCGCCGGUGGUCAGCGACCCGGAGGGGAAGAAAUCUCGAGUGAGCCCACCGUGUCGUGGCGAACAGAUAGGUGAUGGAGGUCUGCAAAAUCUAAAGUAAACCAGGGAGAGCUUUCUAGGAACUCCUCUUGCUCUGGUGUUCUCUCGGCUAUAAAAAAAAGUCUCGGUCAGUUAAGAAGAGAGCGCUUUUCUCGGUCGCCAACUCUACGCACGCCUGUCACCAUCGGUUUGGCUUAGUCUGGAAGAAGAGAGUCUUACGGGGGCGUUGGUUAGAUGGGAGCGCUUAUCUCGGUUCUUUUGGGGUUAUUGUAAAUUUCAAAAUUUUAUAAAGCACUGUUGUCGUGAUUAAAUUUUAAAAUUGAGAAAAACACGCGUACUUUCAUUUAUUCAAUUGGAUAGUAUAAGCUUAGUAAUUUUAAAAUUUACGUUGUACUAAUUAAAUAUUAAAUCUUAUAUUGCCCUACUAAUUAAAGGAAAAAGAAAGGAGAUAAAGCUUCUUCUUUUUUUUAAAAAAGAGAAAUAGUAGGUUUACUUUCCGAAAAAGCUUCGAAGAAGAAAACUUUUAAUUACUCAAUUUGAUAGUAUAAACCUUAUUUGAGGUGCGUUUGCUUGUGUAGUAUAAAAACAGAAAAGUCACGAUACGUGUAAGGAGCAAAGAAUAUGUCAUGCGAAGUACCAUAAUGGAAUUUUGAAUAUAAAUUCCAUAGUUAAUUUUGGUGAGAGAAGUACCACAAUGGAAUUUUGAAUAUAAAUUCCAUAUUUAAUUUUGGUGAGAGAAGAAUGCUGGAUCACUAUUGUCUUGAAAGCAAUAUCUUCGAGCACUAGAACCCUAUUUGUUUGGCUUAAUUAUAUAUUAUCAAAAAUAGAGAAAAAAAAUAACCAAGCCCAUAUCAUCAAAUUGAGUAAAUGAAAGUAUUAUUCCUCAAAACUUUAUCGGUGAAUAAAACUAUUAUUUCUCUUUUCAUUAAAAAAAAAAUUCCUAUUAUUUUUUAUUUCUAGUCUAUACAUUUUAGCGUACUAAAUAAAUAAUCUUCAUAAUCAAUAAUAAGGCUUCUUCUAGUACUAAUAGCAAAUUUCCCUUACUAAAAAUUAUUUAAAUAAUUGAUGAUCGGAAAUAGAUUGUUGGUACAAUAUGCUGGACUUGUGUACAAUGUAUACGUGGAAAGUGAAAACUAUUUCAACGAUGGAAUUUCUUUUGCAAUAUUAUUUAUAACUUAUUAGAUAAAAAGGAUUAAAACUUUAGAAUUGAAAUACGUGGAAGGCAAAGUGAAAUCAUUAAUGUAGGCAUUUUUCCAUCGAUAGGGGAAUAUUCACAAAAUAAUUAUUUGAAGAUAUUUUGGGACAGAAAACAACUGUAAUUCCUAAAAGCGUAGAUACUAAUUUUUAGCGAGCGAAAGAAUUUCAAAUAUCAACAAUUAAUGUAACUUUUUUUUCUCAUAAUCGGACAAGGCAUAUCAACAAUUAAUAGAGACACCUCUUAAUUUAUCAAAAAGCCCGUUUAUUAAUAUAUUUAUACCAACAUGUAUCUUCUUCCUGAUUUGUCUUUCAAUUAAGGAGAAGAUUGUAGCUUCCCGAAAUUGAUGUUGCACUCCAAGCAUGACGACAUUGCUGCCCUGACCGUAGACACCCUCACUCGCAAAGUCCUGUGAUGCUUGCUCCUCAUGCCAAAUCCAAAUGCGUUAGACCAAAUGACCCAAUUCAAGGGUAACCUAAAUUUGGUGGGGUCGUGUUUGAUUUUGAGCUGCUCCAUUGUAAUUGAAAGAUAAAAGGGUUUAGUAAGCAUUUCUCCUACUCGAGGAAUUUCUCUCCAAUAGUUAGCAACGUUACAUAAUCGUGGUCAGCAAGCAUGGCCACUUCCACCAAACCCCUCCGAACCUUUGGGGUAGUAUAUGUUAGUCCCCAAAUUUUCUACUAUUAUCUAAUACCCUCUUAACUUUCAUUAUGUUUGAACUGUAAAGGCUCCGUUAUUUUUUUCGUUAACCUAUUCAAUGCACGUGACUUUCAAAAGAUGGAAUUAUUUUUUUCUCUCUUUUUUUUUUAAAGAAAAUAUCUUGUUUACUAUUAUUUGAUGUAAAGUAAAUGAAAAAUAUAAAAAAUUAAAGAAAAAUAAAUUGCGUAUAAUACUAAUAAUAAUAAUAAAAUAUCUAUAUGCUGUGUCUAAUCGUCCAAAUUCCAAUUGGAAUAAAAUUGGAUAAAGGGGAAUUUGAAAUCCUUCAAAUAUCCCUGGAUUGCAAAGAUAUCCCAUUAAAUCUUUUCUGCUACCUAAGAUAGGAUUUGAAAUCUUUUUAAAAAAAUCUUUGAAAAUAUUUGAAAAUCUACAACUUAAUAGGAUUAAUAAUCUUUGAAAAUCCUUAGCGUUUGAAAAUCUUUGAAAUUCCCAUCUCCCUAGGGCUUCAAACCUUUCCGAUCGAGUGGUUAGUUGGAAAUUCGAUCUCGAUGGAUGACGGCUCCCAACCAACAUGAGUUCACGUAAUUUUUGGAAAAGCCUCGUGGAUAACGAGAGGCACUUCUUGUGGGUUGUACAACCGGAUUUCAUCACCAAAGAAGGCCCGCGAGAGGAGAUUCCACAUCACGGUGCCGUUGUGGCAUUUUUGAGAGAAAGGUCCCACGAAGCCAAUGGUGUGUUGGCCGUUCUUUGUCGACCAACUAGUGAACAGGCGGCUUGUGAGUCACACGUGGAAGGUUGAGCUCGACAUGAAGGACAUAUUGAAUUGGGAUGGAAAGGAGGAUUUAUGCAAACCUAGGACAACAUUGUCUUGAGAUCCCUUUCACCCUCGCUUGUCAGAUUGUAAUUGCCGGUUGGUGGUGACGACUGACCUAGUGAGGUGACAAUGAUCAUGCUAUGGUAGGAAGUGAUGAUGAUAAGCUAUCUUGGUGGUGUCCUUGUGCAAUGCCACCAACAAAGCAAUAUAAGAUGCGUCACUCUAUUAGUGAUUUUUUUUUUUAUAAAAAAAAUUAUAUCUAUUUUGAGUUUAUCCCAUCCCCUAGACUGGAUUUCUUAUUUAGCAUUUUAUCUGAAUGUAUCCAAGUUUAUCCAGUUUGGAAAACGUCACCAAAUAUCGGAGAAGAUAAUUUGUUAUCCUAUCCAGAUUCAAAAUCAGACUACCAAACACAACCAUAAUUAUAUUAAACAAUAAGAAUUUGUUACUAUUUAAUAAAAGUAGCCACUAUGAUAUUACUAAAUAAGAAAUUUUAAGAAUUAUAACAAACAACAACUAAACAAAAAGGGAAAAGGCCUCAUAAGAUCAUGUGCCAAAAUUUGCUUUCAUCGUUAUGUAUAUUUCGGGGGUUAAUUAAUGUAAAUUUGAUUGAUUAACAAAGAAUUUUACAUGAAGAAUAAUCAAUCCCUUGCAAAUUGUGACCCUUUCAGAGGUAAUCCUUAAGGAAGAGCUUUACAUAUGUGCGCGCAACACAUAUAUGACGGGCAUCGUGAACUAAAAGUUGCCUUCGCAUCUAUAAUAAUUCAAAAUUUUCAAAAAAUUCAAAAAUUCUUUUUUAUUUUUAGAUAAGUUUGCAGAUUAGCACCUUCUCGGAUGCGAAGGCAGAUAUAACUUGCUCCAUUUUCGGCUCAUACAUCAUAUUUCUCCCUUGCAGAACUAAUUUUUUGGUUAUGCAAAACUAAAAAAAAAAAUUAUCUUAGGCUCUAAUCAUAUCAUAUUACAAUAUUAUUUUAGGUAAAUUUGCAUAUACGAAUUGCAGCCCUAAAUUUUUAGGCCCGAAUCAUAUCAUAUGACAAUUACCACUUUCUUUGCGCAGGCUACUCUCUCCUAUAUCAUUUUAAGUAGGAAACUUGAACUAUUUUGCUGUUCCUACAUAUUUACUUUCUUUGGGCUGUAUUAUAUGCGGUAGAGUUUCUUAAUCUUUAGAAUCUGGGACAUGAAAGAGGACAUACAUAUAGUUGGGCCGCAUGCGGGGGGAAGUUGGCAAUCGAGUUUGGUCCAAGAUCCAAUUAUGUAAGUAAUUAUGGUUCGCAUUUCAUUAAAUUAGAGAAAAAUAAGCAAAACCCCCGACUUUUAUGGGUAGUAUUGCCCUCAAUUUUUUGACUACUACGUAAUAUUGGAACAAUUGUUCAAAAAAUCCUAAGCUUAUUGUAUACUGACUAGUUCAAUCCUAAACAUUUCAAUUGUGUCAAUUUAGCUAUAGACCUUUAAACAAUUUGUCAAACUAGUCUUAAAUCUUUUAACAAAUUAUCAAUUUAGUCAUGCAGACUAAUUUAGACUAGAUGUCGUUGGCAUGACAGCCCUGUUACUGCUAAUCUUCCCAUGUGGCAUAGGUGAUGAUAACAUAGACAAUUUUAUUUAUUUAUUAUUAAUUCAAUUUUUAUUUCAUUUUAUUUAUUUUUUUCUCCAUUUUUUUACACAUGGCCUACGGCAGUCGAGAGCUAGCAACCUUUGUCAGCCACCAAGUAAAGGCUAGUAGAGUCAUUGGGAAGGGUUUGUGAGCCAUUGCUCAUUGCCAACAAAGGCAUUGCAACCUUUGCCAACCUCAACGAGGACGUCAUGGCCCUUGCCCAAGCCAUUGUUAGCGAGGGCCUAGGUGAGAGCUUCCAAUGCCCUUGCCAAAGUCCUCGUUGCCACAGCGAUGGCUUGUGAGUCUAACGGGGAGGUGAAAUUUGUAAGCUUGCGAUCUCCAAUAACUUCUGUUAGAUUCAAAUUCUCCAGUGUUCAAGGUUGUGAAAGCCAUCUUGUGUCUGGAUAUUACAACUUUUUGAGAUUAAAACGUUCUAAGAGGUUGUGUUUGGAGUCGAUACAGAGGGAGAAUUGUUUGCUAGUUGAGAAACUUUCUCCUUCUGAAUGCACUUACGGUGCGCUUCAAAAUGGAGACGUCCCGUUACUGGCACCAGCUGUUUUGGACUCUUCGCGAGAGGUAUUAUUCUCUUUACCAUUUUCUUCUCAGAAUGUGCAAUUUCUCUGUUCAGGAGUUACGGUUGUGGAGCAAUAUGUGCAUGAUUUUCUGUUGUUUUUGGUAUCUCAACAUUUACAAUUCUUCCAUGAACCAAUUUCUUAAACUCUCCCCCACCCUUCCCUCUUCUCUGUUGGCAUGCGCACGUGCACACGCACAAACUUUUACUUUGUGCUUAGUAUUGUGGUUGUUACUUAUGUAAAACCAGUAUUAAUUGUCCUAAGCUUAACUGAUCAGGGUCUACAGAAGCUGACCGGUGAAGCAAUGCGGCCCUCGGGUGUAUCUAGAGAUAAUGACGACAUUAAUGGGGGAAAUUCUUCUGGUUCUGAUGCAGAGUACAUGAUGCUUCUUCCGUUUGCUCUGUCCUUUUCCGCUGCUCCUACUUUCUUUCUGAGAUUGCACCUGAAGCUUCUUAUGAAUCAUAGUGUCUCCAAAGUUAGUUUUGUUGAGCUUAAUCAGGAGAAGAACACUGAAACUGCAAGCAUUUUGGCUCAAUCUAACAUCGCCAUAGAUGACUGCUCAAAGAAUGAUGUGGGAUUCCAUACUAGCCAAGAAGCUCCAUCAAGAGAAAGUCCUUGUGGUAGGUACUUGCAUUGUGCUAAAGAUGAUCAAGCUGUUCAGCUAGUUGUUUGCGGGUGUGCAGAUCUGAGGACCCCUGAGGAUAACCAAAGCAGUGAUCUUCAUGCUGGCAGGGUUCACAUUGGUGCUGCUGUAGUUGGUGAUGAGGUUGGCCAGGUGCAGGAAGGGCAAGGAAACUAACGCAGCAUCAGAGAAAACGUCAAGGCCUCCGCUUGAUGGGGAGAGGAUCACAAAUGGUGCUUGUCCUUCUUUGAAUGGUAUUAAGAUAGAUACUCCCCAUUAUAAUGAAGGUGAUAAGCCUGCCAAUGAUGGAUCACUGCGUGGUUUGCCGCCUACUGGUAUGGCUCUACAGCGUGACCAUUUCACAUCCGAGGAAAUGGACGAUUUGAAGUUAGGUGCAGGACCAGUCGUAACUCGUAAGAGGUAUUUAUGAACAUUGGCGGCAGAAGAGGCAAAAGAAGGGAAUGCCAUUGAUUCGACUUCUUCAGGUGCCUUUUAAAAUCCUUUUUAUUGUCGUUUAUUGAGUUUGUCCAGAUACAUAUUUAUGUGAGUUGCUGCAUUUAAUUUGGCUUUCUGCAAUUACUGUUAAUCUGCCACUGGGAACAAUUUCUGUCACUCGGUUUUCCAGAGGAACGUUUCCAUGUUGAGAUGCUCGUUUUAUUUUAAUUUGGGGUGUACUUUGUUUGAGUGAAAUGCAAAGGAUUGUCAGGGGACCUGUCGGUAUGUGAUUGCUCUGUUCCUCUCUUCCAUUACCGUUUCAUUUUUAUCUUUUCCUGGAGUCGUUCUUUGGAAUUUUGUCUGAUUUGGGGCUGCUUUCUGCUCUGGAGGAUGUGGAAAUAUCUGGUUUUUGUGAUCUUCCUUUUUCAUUCUUGCAUAAUUGUUAUAUAGUAAUAUCAACUUCUUAGGCCUUCAUGCAUGAUGGUAAUGCUUGGUUUUUCAAUUAAUUGGGCAUUGAGCAUGAAUAAAGAAACAAAUAGCCUUUGAAAUUAGCUCUUAAUUAGUUCAGUUAUUAAUUAGUUGGUUAGAAAUAUUAUUAAAAAUCAGAUGCUAAUUUGUAUGUCUCUUUUUUGUAAAUUAGAUCUUCCCGUCAUGAUUAAUCCUGUCUGUUACCUUUGUGUGCACAUAGUGGGCACUUUUUUGAACUUGUGAUUUAAAUGUCAUGGUAUCAAUUAUUCAAUUCAUGCUCACGCUUUGCAGCCACCAUUAUGGGAAAUGUACCAGCAGCAGUUGAGAGAGUGGGAGCUAGCUUUGAAUAAAGGGAACUCUGCUGCUUCUGAUGGAUGUCAGAAGGCCUCAGCUGCUGAAAGACCUCCCAUGUUUGCUUUUUGUAUGAAACCUAGGGGCUUAUCAAAGCAAAGGUCGCAAAAACGAUUCUCAGUCACGGGGCAAAGCAAUGGUUUUCAUGGAGAUCAGGAAAGUUUCCAUGCUUUUGGUAAUGUUAUGUGAAUUUAACUAAGCGGAACACUUUAGGGUUAUUUUUUCUUGGAUCCAGAAUUUUGACGUCAUUAUUUUUUUGUUCCUGUCAGGGAGGAGAUUGAACGGACCUAGUUUUGGAGAUGAUAGAGCCAUCUAUUUGGGACAUAACUAUAGACAUGCAGACAAUUCUCAAAUGGCACAGACAUCUCCAUUGGUAUAUUCUCCACGAGAUGUCCCUGGCCAGGGAUGUUUUCCAAUUGGCAAUGAUGGAUUCAAUCGAAAUUAUCCUCCGAGACUACAGAGAUAUAAGUCAAAGAAAUCUGGUGCUAUUGCAUCUCCUCGACAUUCACAGGUGGUCACUGCCUACAGCAGGGGAGCCACGAGCAGUAAAAAGAAUACCCUUCAUUGGAAUUCCCAUCAACAGUUUUCGUCUGAAGGCUCUCAGAGACCAUCUAGUGAGCAGUGGGACUAGAUGGAUAUGGAUGAAUAUAAAUUGUUGGAUGCAUCUGGCGCAGCACGGUAUGCAUCUAAUUUGGCUAAGCUUAAGAGAGAGAGGCUGCAGAGACUUCUUUGCAAAGCAGAUGUAGCUGUGGUUGCUCUCGUGACUGCUGAAGCGAUGAAAGUGUCUUCGGAGGAUAGGAAGGAUUAUGGGCAGGUUAUCUGAAGAUUAUCAGUGAACAGAUUGGUAUAGUUCUCAAUUUGACCCCGAAGGAUGUGCAGAUGGCAUGAAAAUAUUUCUCUUGAGGCGGGAGCUGGUCCAAGAUUUUAUCAGAUGCUGGUGCGCCUUUCCCCAUGCACAGUUUUUGAAGGAAAAGUUUGUGGAGAGGGUAUUCAUAGAGAUANNNNNNNNNNNNNNNNNNNNNNNNNNNNNNNNNNNNNNNNNNNNNNNNNNNNNNNNNNNNNNNNNNNNNNNNNNNNNNNNNNNNNNNNNNNNNNNNNNNNGUCGAUAUUUUGGCAGUUUUCUAGUCCAUCCUUGCAGUACCUUAGUGAGAUUCCAGUAGUCUCUUACACCUGCAGCAAGUGUAUGCCUCAUUAGUGCUGCUUGUCGUGUUUAUUUUGCAAGAGCAUUGUAUAGAAUCUUUUGCUACCAUUCUCUGUACAGUCAGCCCACCCCUCUAUCAAAUAAGAAAGAAAAAAAAGGAAAUGAAGAGAGAUUGACCAAACGUAAUUGGUUUUGGCAAGAAUGUGGUUGAUGCUCUGAGUCUGUUCUCCUUAGAUAUCCCUGUCAUCAUCUGUGGCUUCGAAUAGCAGAAUGACAGAUUACCAUGCGAUACCUUUUUAUCUUCUCUUGUACAUAGGGCGAUGAGUCUCUGAAGCUUGUGGCCUCUUUUUCGCUUCUUGAGCAAUUUCUGCGUUUGAUCUGUGGCUUUUAGAUUAUGUAUAAAGCCUAUGCUGUUCAUCAUCUUCUAGCACAAGCAGAGAACUGAGUUCCCUUUUAGAUUGCUUGUAAGUUGUAACUUACGCGAAGGGAUGAAACGUGGAACUUGAUGAAGCACUGGUAUCCGCAUCGGGACGGCUCAGACUGUAAGAUGAUGAGCCCUUCAUUGCGUCCUUUCUCUUCGUUAAUUACGUGCCCUCUGUCGUCUCUCUUCUGCCGCACGCUAUCUCUCUUCCUGCUCUGUGUCUUCUCCCUUUCUCUCUUUCUUUUCUUCUGAAAAUAUCCCAGGGACCUCACCUCUCUCUGUCCCACCACCCCCCCCCCCUCUCUCUUCUUUGUCUCGCAAGAAGUAAACGACAACCGCUGCCGCCGUGAUCCUUCGCAAACCGCGAAGAAGAGGCAUUUCUUUUAGAAAAGAAAAGUUCAAAGGGUCGGUUUGGAGUGUUGGCGAAGCGCGUUUGGCUUCUAUCUCAGUUUCGACGCCAAUUGUUGGUUUGCUCGCUUCGCGUAAGGCCACGCCACUUUCCCACAGGUUCUCUGUCUCUCUCUGUCUCUCUCGCUCUCUCUCGCUCUCUCUCGUCAGUUCUGGCUUCACGCCACGCCACGCCACGCUAUUCUAUUCCCUUGCAGGUUCUCUUCCUGUCUCUCUGUCUCUGUCUCUCGUUCCAUCGUGCGCCCGCAUAGACUCGCGUGAAAUUUCGCCACAAAAUGAGAAUUUCCUGUUAGCAAUGGCAUAUGUGUAAAAGUAAUAGAGAUGAUAUGGACAAAUAUAGGUCAAAUAACUUAAGCACUCCUCUCCAAGAGCAAAAUGAAAAGGGAUUUCUGUAGGCCUCUGUUUCACAUCAUGUAACUGCCAUUAAACAACUUGAGUAAUCCCCUUGAUGCAAGCGGAGGCUUUCUCAAACAAUAGGAUCGGGGGAGAGUAACUCGCGCACAAGAAACGGGACGAACAGUAAUUUCAGCACUGCGCAAGCUCAGGAGAACAGUCGUAUCUUUGUCGAUACAGAUCGGAUCGACCUGAUUCCAAAGCCAAAUGAACAAAGACUUCUGGAUCUACAAUUUCUCUAUUUUGGGUUUUCUCAAAUAAGCACUGUAGGGUAGUCGAAAUUGGGUUGGAAGUAACAAACAGAAUAGGAAAAGAUAGAAACUCCGUUGGUUGCUCUUCUAGGCCUCCAAGGAAGUUGAGGAGACACCGAUUCUUCUAGAUCGAUGAGUGCAACUCUUCAAGGAUGCAGAUUUCAAAAGCUCCGACUCUUCAAGGACGGAGUGAAAACUCUUCUAGGUUUUCAAGGGUUGAACUCUACAAGGUUCACGAUACUUGCUUCAAGCAAAGUUUUUCAUUCAUCAAAAGCUAUUCGUCUUCUACCAGAAAUUGGAUGGCUUAUAUCGUCAAAGAAAUAAAGAUAGAGCAUUGAAACUAGGAGAAAUAAAGACAGAACAUUAAAACUAGGAGAAAUAAUAAAAACAUAACGUCUUCAUGGCUCCCAAGGUGUCUUUCCAGCUUCCGGGAUGGACUCAAGAUGUCGUUAUGGCUUCUCGGUUUCGUCGAGCUUUAAUGCGGGCCGAUCUUCUUGGUCGAGAGAGCCGGUCUUCAAUGUGGGCUGCAUCAUCCUCCCCAUCUUUAAAAGAAUUCGUCCUCAAAUUCUUGCCAUCAUCAUCAGAAGAAUCUCCCACCCUACUAGGUGCCAACGUAAUCUUCUUGCCUCCAAAUUCAAAAGAAUAUGUAUUUCGAUAACCAUCGUGCAUAGUCCUCUUAUUGAAUUGCCAUGGUCGACCAAGAAUAAUGUGACUAGCAUCCAUCGGCAGAACAUCACACCAUAUUUUGUUACUAUAAACAGAACCAAUGGAUAGAUUAACAAGGCAUCGUUUUGAAACAAUUACCUCAGCACCUAUCUUCAACCACAACAUUUUAUAAGGCGUAGGGUGCGUUUUUAAUUCCAACUUCAGCUUGUUUGCUGCUACUUCAGAAAUUAUAUUCUCACAACUAGAGUCAAUAAUUAAUUGACACACCUUUCCCAUGAUUGUGCAAGCAGAAUGAAAAAUAUUGGUACGCAGCCACCUAUCACCAGUGUCGUCUCGAGGAGUAGGAAAAAUUUUCCUCACCAUAAGAAGUUCGCCAGUGUCAGCAUGCACUAUUUGUUCAUCAUCCGCAGCUUCUUCAUCAUUUUUCAACUCCUCUUCAAGUGGAUUCUCAGCAUUCUCAUCAGAAUCAUCAUCCACCAAAAAGGCUUUACCGACUGGUCGAUUCUUAUUGAUUCGACAAUUUGCUAGCACGAUGACCCAACUCUCCACAAGAAUAGCAACAUAUUUCGGAUGUAGCAGGUUGCUUCGAAACAUGGGGUUGAGUAGAAGGCUUACUAGCAGAUUGCUGUCUCCGAGAAUGAGAGCGCUCCAUUUUGAGUGCCCGUUGGUGUGCAUCUCCUAAGUCCCAAAUGUUGAGGACUUCCAAGGUGUCUUGAAUGUAAAAUUGAAGACCGUUCAAGUAUUUGUUCACAAGCACAUCCUCUAGGUCCUGGAUAUUGUUACGGAUCACCAACUCAUUGAAUUCAUUGGUGUAUUGGUCCACCGUUCGCGUACCUUGUUUUAGAUUUUGGUACCGUUGGUAGAGCUCUCUCUUAUAUCCUUUGGGAAGAAAAUAUUUUUUAAUCUUGCCCUCCAUCUUUCUCCACGAAGUGACUUGUGCUUUGCCAAUGGCUUGGCGAGUUUGUUUUUCACGUCUCCACCAAGCAAUUGCCUUGCCUCAGAAUCGCAUAGCAAUGAUCCCAACGCGACGAUUCUCCGGAACAUUUCGAUGCUCAAACACCUCAUUCACAAGUGUUAGCCAAUCAACAAUUUCAUCAGGAGACUCAUUACCUGUAAAUUCUGGAACAUCUUUCUUGAUUUCCUUUUCCCAAUCUGGCUCACGAAUAUGUUGUAAACGAUGUUGAACAUGCCUCCGACCGUGAAUAGAUUGAACACUCUCCGAAGAGGAAGAGUCACCAUGGGAAUCUUCAGUCCUGGAACGGGGUGGAGAAUUAUUUGCUUCAGCCCUCAAUCGCUGAACUUCUUGCGUCAAUUCGUCAAUUUGUUGUUGCAUAUUCUCAGCGAGUGUGUGCAAUUCAUUGAGGGGAAGGGUUCUGCCGCCACGACGCCUAGCUUGUCUUGGAGGCAUUGUCCUCUCCUCCAAAGCUCUGAUACCAAAUGAUGCAAGCCUAGGGGAGGCUUUCUCAAACAAUAGGAUCGGGAGAGUGACUCGCCCACAAGACACGGGACGAACAGUAAUUUCAGCACUGCGCAAGCUCAGGAGAACAGUCUUAUCUUUGUUGAUACAGAUCGGAUCGACCUGAUUCCAAAGCCAAAUGAACAAAGACUUCUGGAUCUACAAUUUUUCUGUUUUGGGUUUUCUCAAAUAAGCACUGUAGAGUAGUCGAAAUUGGGUUGGAAGUAACGAACAGAAUAGGAAAAGAUAGAAACUCCAUUGGUUGCUCUUCUAGGCCUCCAAGGAAGUUGAGGGGGCACCGAUUCUUCUAGAUCGAUGAGUGCAACUCUUCAAUGAUGCAGAUUUCAAAAGCUCCGACUCUUCAAGGACGGAGUGAAAACUCUUCUAGGUUUCAAGGGUUGAACUCUACAAGGUUCACGAUACUUGCUUCAAGCAACGUUUUUCAUUCAUCAAAAGCUGUUCGUCUUCUACCAGAAAUUGGAUGGCUUAUAUUGUCAAAGAAAUAAAGACAGAGCAUUGAAACUAGGAGAAAUAAAGACAGAACAUUAAAACUAGGAGAAAUAAUAAAAACAUAACGUCUUCAUGGCUCCCAAGGUGUCUUUCCAGCUUCCGGGAUGGACUCAAGAUGUCGUUAUGGCUUCUCGGUUUCGUCGAGCUUUAAUGCGGGCCGAUCUUCUUGGUCGAGAGAGUCGGUCUUCAAUGUGGGCUGCAUCACCCCUCCCCUACAAUGCUGCAGCUUUCUUCAUCUCACUCCUGCACCAACAAUGACGGAGAUUAUCAUAUCCUCGAAAGCUUGCCGGACAGGAGCCACCCGAACCAAAUUCCGAACAAUGAAAGGAGUUCGAUCCUGAAUCCACGCGAAAGUCUUCUACUUGUUUACUGGUCUCUGCUCUCGAGUGGAGCCAGCAGAUGCUAGCUUUUUUGGGGUGGAUUCUCAUCUCUGUCCUCGUCGGUUGCCUAGCAUAGCUUCGAGCUCCAAGCCCGCGAUGCCAUCAUUGCUUGGAUCGAGGCUUGUUCAAGGUAGUGAUCAAUCUCGAUCCGAGGCUGCGAGGACUUGGGGACAACCUCCAUUGCCAGUCACAGGGAGGCGUCAGCUGAGAGGAGAGAUGGAAGAGAGAGAGAGAGAGAGACGGAGAAACCGGGAAUAUGGAGAGAGGGGAGAGUUCUGCGGCCCCAGUCGCUACUGGAUCCGCUCUCGCCGUUUCCCAUCAACUCUGCUCCCGGCUUCGAGACUCAUGCCUUGUUCGGAACCUUUGAUGCUCUUAGUGAUUAAUCACUGGCUUAAAGCAGUGAGAGGGAUAGCUAGCAAGGACAUAGCAUGAGCAGUAGGGAGAGUAGCGAAUUGGUAUGGGCUUGGGAGAAUCCGAGUUAGAUAUAGGCUUCACAAUUCAUUAGGUGGUUUGCACCCGAAAAUUUAGGUCACGACAAUCUAUUAGCCAAACCUUAGGUGGUUUGCACCCAAAAAUUUAGGUCGCGAUAAUAGAUAAGGCUCUGUCGUCAAUAACAAGCCAAGCUUGUUUAAAGGGAGGACAUGAAUUUUCUUACCUAAGAAUUUUGACAAAUAUUUGUUCUAAAAACAUCAAUUUUCUUCGUUAAUAUGAAAGAAUCUGACAAUUUCAUUGUAAAAAUUUGACUUCUUAAGUGAAGUAGAUUUGAAUAGUGAAAUAGUGAUAAAGCAUGUUGGGGAUUUUUUUUGGGUAAUUUCAGGCUUCACUUAUUAUAUUCUUAGUUAUAAUUAUACCAUUAAGCAUUUGGAUUAAUACUACAAAAAAAUUCCAAAAUGGUACACUUGUACACUAGAUUUCUCUAAUGCCCUUUCGGUACCAUUCUUUUAUUUUUAAAAAUGCUUUUGCAGGCAGCUUAAAUUUAUUUUAAAUCUAUUUCCCUAACAUGUGAGACGAUCAUGCGAGUGCGCAAACCAUCUAUUCAACAUCCAAGAAAAGCAAUGAAUAAACUGCAAGACUUACAUCAUAGUAACGAAAGCAUCUACAAUGUUAGAUCAGAAUUCACAUCAACAACCCUAGAUAUAAUUUCUAAUUAACACAUAAUUUCUUUUUUUUUUACUUAAUUAAUGAGGAUCAUGCUUUAUGCAAUGCAAUAUAACUAAAUGACCUAAUUCUAAUGACAUGCAAUUUCUAAUUAAAUAGGCCUAGCAACAAUUACCAAAUCUAAUUUUAUAUGACAUGCAAUGACAUUUUUUAUUUUAUUUUAUUUAAAAAAGAAUGCAAUCUAUCCUAGGAAUUGAAACUAAUUUAUCCUAUGUCAUUUUUUGCAUUCUUAAUGUGAAAUUCGAAAUUAAAAAAAUAUGAAAAUUAUCUAGCUAAAUUAAGAUUUUAUCCAACUUAUAUUAAGGAUUAGGUCAGACUAAACCCUAAUUAAACAUGGAUAUUAUCUUAACCUAGCAAUCUCUAACUUAAGAUGCAGUCUAUCUAAAAAGAUUAAUUUAAACGCCUUAAUUCUACAUGACAUAUGCAUGAUGAUUUUUUGUUGUUUUUUUUAUUAAUUUCGAAAUUAAAAAAUUGCCACAUGCAACUUAAAUAAAAGAAAAAACUAACAUCCUAAAUGAAUGCAUUUUUUUGGAUUUUUUCGUUUUUUCAAAAAUUCGAAAUAAAUAAAUUUCUUAUUCUAAACAUGCAGGAUAACCCUAAAACGAUGAAUAUUCUAAAACAAACCUAAUCUAACUCAGAUUUUUUCAGAUUUUUCCUUUCUUUUACGAAGCAAUCAAAAUAAGACAUCAAGAAUAGCACGGCAACAAAUCAGGCAAGAUAUCAUCCAUGUCCAUUUUGGAAAUAAAUUGACGAGGAAAUAAAUUGACGAAUCAUAUCUCGCGCAUGAGAUCGGAUUGACCAAUUUCAAAUAAAAUCGCCGAUCGUAUCUCGAGCGUGAGAUCGGAUUGGCGAUUUUUUUCGUGCAAUUGCGAGAGCGUGAAAUUGGACUGUCAAUCAUUAUGAAAUUGGGAAAAUUUCCCAACUUAAAAGGCAACUCGAGACUACAGAUACAUCAGCAUAUUGAGAAUUUCCAUUAUGUGCAUCAACGAACAUAUCAAAUAAGGAAAUGGAAUUUUCGGAAAUCAAAAUAGACAAAUUUUUUACCUAUUCUGAAUAUUGGCUUCCAAAUUUACGACUUGCGAUUGGCGAGUGAUGGAUGGGCGAUGACCUACUCAGCAGUGGCGGUGCUAAGCCUAGUGGUUCAAGAUUUGGGACAGCGGAUCGAACGGUGGUGCUCGAUCAUGGAGGGUCGGGGCUAGUAAACGGUGCAGGGACGACAAUGUUGAUGAUAUCCGCACUAGAUGGCCAACAAAAAUAGUAUGGCUAUUUUUCUUCACUGAAAUUUGCACAUCGCCACGCGCCCGAGCUGCUCACGCUCAUCUGGCCAAGGAAAUUCUUUUGCAUGCAUAAAGUAAAAUCACAAAAAUCCAACGUGUUAUUGUCCAAUCUGGACAACAUGCAAAAGAAGAUAAAUCCACCACUUGGAAUUAUUCAAUCGAGAUUCUAGUAAUUCUUUUAACCGUGAACUUUAGGCUCGCCAACGGUGAUUGGUGGGAUUCUUGGUGUGUGGACGAUCACUGGAAAACCUACAAAAAGAAGAGCACAAUGAACUCCAUGAAUUGAAGUGCCCGAGAAACAAAGAAGGAACAAUUUGCUGGCUUUUGCUGAGGAGCCUGCGGGAUUGCUCGCUGAAUCUUCAGUGAUUGGAGUCGAGGCUUCGCGAUAUGCUUUUCUAUUUUUUCUUAUUUUUUCUUGCAUUAAGCGAGGCCAUAAAAAUCACAACUUUUGCUGCUUUCUUCCAUCGAAAUCUGGACAAAGACCAAAAAACAACAACAUCCACCGCCUUCUGCUUUCCUUUGCAAGUGCACGUGUGGUGUGCCCACUAAUCUUUUCAGUCGCAGUCUGGUGUCUUUUUGCUUGACCGAGUCUCAGGCUCUGCUCAAUCUCUUGAAGACCUACCUCAUCAUAGCCUCCCUUCGGCGUCCGAGACGUGCGUUGCCAGUGAUGUCUCAAUUGCAAGCUUGUGGAUAUUGGUGAAACGUGUUGAGGUGCAGCAAGCUGCCGUCGCCAAUGUCAAGCGAGGACUGGACGAGGCGAAGUUGAUGAACCGCGAGCGAGCCGUCGAUGGCAUUUAGGAAGGAGGCGCAUCGAUAGAUGGGGACAAGCAACGAGAGAAUUUUUUAAUCUCACUUCCCACGUCAAUCGUCAAUCCCUUCGUGGGGUGAACACUCCGCAAAGGAGGCGUGAAUCACUCUCUCUCAAUUGUGGCCGUAUGUUCAAUAGUGUGGCUUCCCUUUUAAACCCUACGCGAAUUAACUUAUUUAUAGGCCACGAAUUAGGGUUUCUUUAAUUUUUCAAAUCGGUAUCCACAAAAAUUGUUUUUUCCAAAUGCAAUAUUCGUUUUGCCGAACGCAAUAUUCGUUUUUCACUUGCCCUAUCCGAAAAAAUUCCAUCAUAUCUCGAAAAAUUUCAAAUUCUUAUUUUCACGAGAUAAUUUCCGAUUAUCAUAAAAACAAGCUUGGGUUAAUUCGCUCGCCUCAUGGGCCUAGUCCGGCCUAUUAAGUUAAAACUCAAAACCACUAAUUUGAACCCAUCCACCAUCGGUCCAAUAAAUGCAAAAAAUGCAAAUUAAAAAUAAAUGCAUCUAAAUUUACAUGCUAUGCAAUUAAUAUUAUUUUUUAGGGAUAAAAUUAAUUCCUAAUUUUUUAAUGCGAUAAAUGAUUAAACGAGCCGCCAAAAUUUAGGUGUCAACGUCUAUAAACAACAGAUUAGGCAAACAUAAGGCCAAUUGCACUUCUUUUCAAACAUCAAUUGGACUCCUAAGCACACAGAAAACUGUUGCCCAGAGCGCUUGCGGCCGUAACAGUUCCAUUCCCACAUCUUAAAUACUUGCAGAAAAUACAAACAACAAAUUCCAUCUCUUGAUCUUAAAUUCGAGAGUAUCAUACCAACAAAAGGUAAUAGAACAUAUCAUGCUCCCAACUUUUUAAACAGCUACUUCUAAUUGAUUUUCCCCUUUUUGGUGAUCUCGUAGAACGAACCACUUCCAAUGUCCUUCAAAUGCUCCACCGCUUGUUUCCAUUUCUCUUGCUUCUUUUUCAUACUGUCCUUGUGCUGCCGGAUGAAAGAAAUGCAUGCUAUCAAAUCAAAUUUCACAUCUUUACAUAACAACUCGUUUACUACAAUAAAGUUGUACCUCUAAUUAUGCUAAAUUUGUGAGAUGAUCUUCCGACAUUCUCAGCAUUAACCACAACAUUGUUGGUAUUUCUUAGUAGAGAAAUGACUCGAUUGUCUUCCCAUCCAGGCUGCUAAGAACCACAUACUCAACUUAAUAGGGCAUUUAUAAUCAUUCAAGUACACAGUUUCUUCAAAGCAGGGUUGAAAGUACCUUUUGAGUGGAGGCAUCGUUAUGACAUCUCCGUGAUAAGUUGAUUGACUUAUCUUUGUCUGAUUCUUUCUUCAUCUGUAGUAAAGUCUGAAAAUAAUGACACAAACAGAAACUAGAGACAGAAUGAUUGAACCUUACCUAUCUUUUGUUUCAAUGCGAUUUCAGUGCCUUGUCUUGACACUUCAAAUUCAUUUUUGGAUUCUCCUCCUUCUGUUAUCUUGUCUCUUUAAGCCUACUAGGCAUAAUUCGAGGCGUUGGUGCCACCAAAGGUUUUUGAUCACUGGAAGGUCAAAUGUGUGAAUGACGCACAUUAUUAGCUGAUGCCAAAUGAGGGAACUGAUUUAUAGACUUCCUACUGUUUGUAAACUUAGUAUUCGAUUUGAUAUGAUGCAAGCUGUAAUUGAAUUUCGCCGGAUAACAUUUAAAGUAGGAAAAAUCAUGGGCAACUUGUAGAAUCAAGACAGGUCAAGAAAAGUCUUAGAACAGAAAGUGCACCAAGCUUAACUAAUCAUAGUGCAACUGGGAUAAUGAGUAAUUUGAGCACAUGCGACUGCUCCAAUUACUGACAGGGGGCAUGACAAAUUAUUGCACAUUUGUUUUUGCAAAAUAAAUGGUCAAUUGGAUUCCGAAAUUGCAUGUUCAUGAUAGUUGAACCUUUUUUUACAAUUGAGCUUCAAUAUCCCAAAUAGAGCGCAAUCUCAAAUGCAUGGGAAAAGUGUUAAAAAAAUCCUAAACCUUUUGGAUUCGUGUCAAUUUAAUCCUAAACCUUUUUAUGUUAUGCCAAUUCAAUCUUUUCCGGCUAAUUUUGGCUGGAUUUUGCUGACUGGACGCUGGCUAGUUAACAUGGCUUGAUCGGCGUUGAUGUGGAUAAAUUUUAAUAAUAUUUUAAUUUUUUUGAUUUUUUGAUUUUGAUUUUGAUUUUGAUUUUUGAUUUUUGAAUUUUUUUUCUUUUUCCUUUUUCCUUUUCCUUCCUCCCGCUAGUCGCUUGACCUCGGCAAUCGGCAGGAGGAAGGAGAAGGAAAAAAGAAAAUUAAAAAAUAAAUAAAUAAAUAAAUAAAAUUCAAAAAUAUUAAAAUAUUAUUAAAAGUUGUCCAUGUCAUGUCGGCGCCGAAUAUGCUAUGUCAGCCAGUCGAUGUCUAGUCAGCAAAAUCCGGCCAAAAUUGGCUAGAAAAGACUGAAUUGGCACAACAUAAAAAUGUUUAGGACUAAAUUGGUACCAAAAAAACGUUUAUGACUAAAUUGGCAUAAAUGCAAAAGGUUUAGGACUUUUUUAACACUUUUCUGUAUUAAUCCUAAAGAAAAUCAAUCAUUUAUCAAAUUGUGGCCAGAAGAAUAAUUUAUCAAGCAAACUAUCAAAAUAAUCAACGACACGGAGCGUCCCCAACUGCGUGGAAAAAAAAGAAGGAGAGGAGAGGAUUUUCCUGCUUUCAGAUUGAAGCUGGGUAGGAGAUAAAGCUUCGAGGAAGUUUCACGCCAAACUAUCGUGCGUCCUGUAUUGGAAAUUCGUCUCUUCAUUUACAUUGUAUUUUUGUGAAUAUAUUUUUAGGAUGUAAAUAAUACACGGUUCGUUGUCGUGGGUGGGUCAAUGAUUGACCUCAUGUAAAUCCAUGCGCGAAGUAUUUACGUCUCAGAUUCCCGGUGGGAAACCGUCAGAAGUAUCCCGGAACGGGCAACAUUGAGGAGGAGGAUGGUCCCUUUCGUCCCCCUAAAACUGGCCGUGUUUCUAGAGGCCGACCCGAGAUUUUUUCACUCGAGACACGGUCGAUGUGACAUAAUAUAAUUGAUAGGAGUGUAUAGUGAAGACCUUAGACAAAUGCCACUUGAUUCCAAGGGCGUGCCUGGCAAAUUGAUGAGAGAUCCAGUUUCUGAAGUGGAGAUGAGACCCUUUUGUGCCCGUGGCGGAUUUUAAGAGCUCAAAAGUGGUGAUUAGACCAGCUUGUUAUAGAACGGACUGGUACCUGAGGACCGAUAUUUUCCUUUUUUCUUGAAACCUCUAACUUGAAAUUUUUAUCAAUCCUAAUCUUCUAAAAAGUGACGAUGGACUAGAUAAUGAGAUAUCGGAUUUCCAUUAAUAUUGAUGAAUUUUACAGAGUCAAAUCAAUUUUUGCUCCACAAAGUUUGUAUCGUUAAUCCUAUUGAUCCAAAAUAGUCGAUUAUAUCACAUAAUCGAUUUGAAGACAGCAUAAAACCAUUUUUUUCGGGGACUUCGACCGUCGUUCACUGUGAAACUGGUCCGACAGAAUCCAAGGAAAAUUUGGUGACAAAGCAAAAGUUGCGAGGAGAAUUCAGCACUCAGCAUAAAUAUGGCAGCUACUUCAAAGGCAAAGGCAGGAGUUAUAAGAAUGGCAACGGCGAGGGCGGAAGAGACAGACAGAGAUGCGCACGGACGAAGAGAAACUAAAAGCUCUUCUAGACGUUGAUGCGUUAUAAAAGAGCGAUAAUAAAAUUUAGGAUUAAAUAUCCAUAAUAAAUUUAUAAUAAAUCACCAAAAACCUCAAAUUAAUAUAUUUGUGAUAAAUGUAUUCAUCCAUUAGUUUCUAUUAAAUUGGAUUACUAUCAAAAAAAGCCACAAACUGAUACACAUGUGACAAAUGGAGGGUAAAAUCUCAAAUUAGUACAAGUGUCUAUUGCCACAUGUUAUUCAACUCAACAAUUUAAUACAAAUACUAACAGAGAAUAAAUUUGUUAUAGGUGUAUAGUUUGGAGUUUUUUGUGGUCAAAAAAUUAGUUUGGAUAAAUUUGUCACAAGUGAACCAACUUGGGAUUUUUCAUGGUAUUACAUCAAUUAAUAAUCUCACUUGUAGUUCUUCAACUCAUUUAAAUUAUCCAAUUGAAUUCUCAGAUUUUUAACAUCUAAGUGUAUGACCUAAGAUUUUAUAUUGUUAAAAUGACCCCCCCCCCCCCCAAAAAAAGAGGCCAACGCCUAAAAUCAACCUUGGUGAAGUUUAAUAAUCUUAUUUGACUUUACUUUUACUUCUCCUAUUAAUCCACAAUAUGAAUUAUCAUUUAAAAUUUAAUUGACAUUGACAUAAUUUUAUAAGAUACACCUCUAGUUUAUAUUUUUCUACAUUUGUAAAUCUAUAAAUAUUUAUUAAAAUUUUGCAUCUAAAGAAAAUUAUUAGAGAUGGACUAUCCAAGGAAAAAUUAGAAACAAAAAAUUCAUAUGAAGAAAAUAAGGAGAUCGUAAAGAGGGGAGGGGGAAUGGAGAUGGAGAUGGAUUACAUACAUUUGACUAGUAUAUGAGUUUGACUUUGGGCCCAGUGAAAAAGAUUAAAACCAAGAUGAAGAAUAGAACCAUCCGAAUUUUUCUUGUUCAAAGAGCAAAAUUAAUCCUAAGACAAAGUUUAGUCCAAGUGUCUGGGAGUUGAACUUCCUUCAACUAAGCCCCUACUUAGAUCCAUACCUAGCCCGAACCUUAUGCAGUUCCUUGAGGGCUUCAGCCACGUCCAUCCGAUCCUGUGGUAACUCCAUCGAGCACGCAACUCCAAUCUUUAGGAUGGAGGCAACACAUCCUCUCAUCCUCUCAAUGUCAUUCUCACUUUCUCCAUUAAAAAUGGCCAAGUCCACGAUCUCCAUCACUUGGUCUGGCAGAGCCACCUUGACAAAGUUGUGGAGAUUUAAAUGGUCCUUGAAAGUCUCUUCCGUGGGUCUUCUCCCCGUUAACAUUUCCAAUAAAAGAAUACCGUAGCUGUACAUAUCGCCUUGUGUGGAUACCAUAUCCCCCAUGCCAUACUCUAAAAUAGUGUACAUCAAGCAAUAUACAAUGAAAAUAAAUAUUUUAUCUAAAAGCGAACACAAAUAAAACUUAGACAAUUAAUGAGAAAUUUUCUUACCAGGAGGGACAUAACCUAUGGAACCCCUCACUACCACUGAGCUAUUGCCAUCAUCAAUGUCCAUGGCAUCUAUUUUCGUAGGGGAGCUAAUUGUUUCUAGCCCAAAAUCUCCAACUCAUCCCAUCAUCUCGUUGUCCAGGAGGACGUUACUUGGCUUCAGAUCUCCGUGUACAAUCUUUGGGUUACAAACCUCGUGAAGAUAUUCAAUUGCAGAAGCUAUGUCAAUGGCAAUGUCUAACCUUUGCAUUAGUUCCAAAUGCCCUGGCUUUCCAUGUUCAUGUUCAUGCUCAACGUCCUCUUCGUUUCCUUGAUGUAUCCAGUUCUCUAAACUCCCAUUAGCCAUGUAUUCGUACAAUAGAGCUUUGAAAUCGUUGCCAUGAUAGUCCAUGCUUGAACAAACGUUCACUAUUUUCAUGAGAUUUCGGUGUCGUAUAACCCCUAAGGUUCGACACUCUGAGAUGAAGCUCUUCGAAGCACCUAUAUGGCCCAAGUUGAGCACUUUAACUGCCACCAAGCCACCUUCUUGUGUGGUUGCUUUAUAGAUAGUACCGUAACUCCCUUUACCGAUCACAUUGAUCUCAGAGAAUCCGUCUGAGGCUCUAAAGAGCUCCUUAUAAGAGAUAAUUGAAAAUUUGUGUUCAAACGGAAACUCAAUCGAAGAGGUAUUCUUUUUCAACUUCUUUCUCUGAUACCAAAAGAUAAAUAGGCAAAGACACCAAAUGAAGAAUGACAAGACCGCAGUCACUAUGGCGAUUACUUUAACUUUAUUUGAUUUGCAAGAAGGAAGGUUUAGUUCGGCAAUACCUCCACAGAGAUUCCUAUUCUUAAAGAUGAACACUGCACUAGCGUUGAGAAAUACUCCUUGCUUCGGGACUUCUCCUUCAAGCUUGUUUGAAGAUAGAUUCAAGUACUUUAGAUCUAUAAGUUGAGUGAGAAAGCUUGAGAUUUCACUAGAUAAGUUGUUAUGGGAAACAUCCAACUCUUGUAAGCCUCGUAAUGUGCCUAAAGCCAGAGGAAUUUCGCCAUGAAAGGAAUUGACUGCUAAACUGAGCCGCUCCAAUACCAAGCACUUGCUGAUGGAGCUAGGAAUUGGUCCCAUCAGCUUAUUAUAAGAUAGAUCCAGUUCACCAAGAUUGAUCAGUGACCCAACUUGAGACGGGAGAGAUCUGCUCAACUGGUUAUGUGCCAAGCUGAAGAUAAUCGAAAUGGUAGAAAGGCCAAGAACCUCCCCUGGGAUUGAACCACUUAGAUUAUUAUUGGAAAGCUCGAGCUCAAUUAGCUGCCUGUAGUUACCAAGACUCUGCGGUAUUUCCCCGUAGAAGUCGUUGAACGCUAGGUAAAAGCGAUUCAAUAACGUCAAAUUGCUGAUCGAUGACGGAAUCUCUCCUGUUAGCAUGUUUCCACUUAAGUACAAUUCGUGCAAGUUAUGGAGUGCUCCAAUACAAGAAGGAACAUGACCGCCAAGCAAAUUGUUUGAUAAGUCAAGAUAGGACAAGUUGAAGAGAUUGCCAAUACCUGGAGGAAUGGUUCCGUACAUUGUGUUGGACGACAGAGAAAUUGAACUAACGCUAUUGGAAAGGUUGCCAAUGGAAUCCGGCAAUAGACCUUUAAGAAAAUUGUCUGCCAACCAAAUAACUUCCAGCCUUGAACAAUUAGUCAAUGGGGUACAUGAAACUGAAGUCAUCUCNNNNNNNNNNNNNNNNNNNNNNNNNNNNNNNNNNNNNNNNNNNNNNNNNNNNNNNNNNNNNNNNNNNNNNNNNNNNNNNNNNNNNNNNNNNNNNNNNNNNUAAGGGAUAAUACUCUAAGAGCUUUCAGCCUUCCAAGAUUUGCGGGUAUCGGUCCGUGAAAACUGUUAAUGGAAUAGUAGAUGUAUUGAAGGCCAAAGGCAUUCGAUAAGGAUGGAGGUAUAACCCAGUAAAGAAAUUACUAUGAAAAUCAAGUAAACAAAGAGAAGGAAGAGUAUCACCAAUAUAAGGGGGAAUGUUCCCUCUCAAUCGAUUGUUACUGAUGAAGAAAAAGAAAAUGCCGGACAUGUUGAAGAUUGCCAGAGGGAUCUCACCGGUGAGUUGGUUAUAUGCCAAUUGAACAAAUUUCAAACCAUGAAGCUUGGACAAUGUCUUGGGAAUCUCUCCUUGCAACCCAUUUUGCGUGAGUGAAAGCUUGUAAAGUUGGGAAAGAUUUCCAAUAGAAUGAGGAAUAGAUCCUGCAAGACUGUUGGCAGCCAAACCUAAAGCUUGAAGCUUUGACAAAGAGUCGAGCUCAUUAGGAAUUUUUCCCACAAGUUGGUUAUCGAUGAGAUUUAAAAUCUCAAGGUUUGAGCACUGAGAAAGAUUGGUGGGCAUUUGUCCACUGAAAGAGUUGUUACUAAGGACGAGAUGACGAAGGCGAAACAAAUGGCCAAUGCUUUGUGGAAUUUCACCACGAAAGAUGUUAUUUUGUAGAACGAGGCUUCUCAAUAAAGAGAGGUUUCCGACAUGAGGCGAUAGAAGACCCCCCAAGCCUUUCGACAUUAGGUUGAGGGACACAACUCUUUCGGGAUGCCGUCCACCACAUAUCACACCUUGCCACUCACAAUGAUGAAAAGAGUCAUUCCACGAGCUCAAAGCUCCAAGCGGAUCCUCAUCCACACUGUGUCUGAAGUAGAUUAAAGCGAGCCGAUCUGUCGAGUUGGUUUGCAUCGUUGGAUUCGUCCAUAAUGGGAGCUGGGCAUAGAAAAAUAGGAACAUAAUCGCCAUAUGCUUUUCCAUUAUGAGUGGGUUCUAUGUCCUAACAAGCUGUGAGAAAAGUCUCUUCCAAAUUGAAUUAAAGAAGAAAUGAAGACCUUCAAAAGCAUAUGCAUUUUCAUUGAUCAAAAGACACCUUCUUACAUGGCGAAACCCGACCCAUAAUGCAAGUUUAACCCAAACAAAGAGUUGGACUUUAAAAGUACUACAGAUUAGCGGAACCAAAGAAAGGGUGCACACACACACUUACGUCAAAAUGGAGGAUUUGACGGCUGCCUAAUGACUUCCUAGAAAGCCGUGCCGUGAAGAAAGGGAAUCAAGAAUGGACGUGGUCCUUGAUUUUCGGCCAUUUCAAAGGGAGCUCCUAUUUGUUCAUAGGCAAAGCGUGUAAUAUGUGUUGUGAUUUUUUUUAUAUCCAAACUGUUAAAACCUUGGGUUCGGGUUUAGUUUAGAUAUGGAAAACACUUGAGCAUAUUGAGGGAUUCUAAUUAUAAUUCUUUAAUUAUAGCAAAUUUUUAUUACUAGCUCUCCUCGUAGAUAUAUGUGCCAACACUUGAAUUGAAUCACGUAAAUCUUUAAAUUUUUUAUUAUUCCUCAUUUAUUUUUAUCUUUUUAUGAUUUUCCACAUACUUAAAAACUAAAUCCUUAUUAGCUUCCCCGUUUGUUAAUUUUACCACGAGGGUUACUUCUCACCUGUAAUGAAAAGGAAAUAAAGCAAAAACACAAACAAGGAGAUGAUGGGUGGGUCAUCCUAAUGUGGAAAAUAAGUCCCGCCAAUGCUUUUUAGCGUGUUUUUUUUUAAUGUUGCCGGCAAGAUUUUUAGUCAAAAGAUUCCUUGACUUCUCCUGUACUACAAAGAGUUUCUUGUCAAAGAUAAAUUUCUUGAAAGUUUGUCACUUAGAUCCUAUCACUCUUGUUCCGAUUACAAUUCAUCAGGCUAGAACUCCCGUGCCAAGCUCGAACCCAAGACUAAGAGGGCUGGUUUGUGUGGGCCAGCACAACUUAAUUACCAUGCUUAGAUAGGGGUUUUAUAAAUAUACAUGUUAGGAAAAGCAAGAUGCUGAAAUUCAACUCUGUUUGGCCAUUUGAAACCAAAGAGUUUGCAAAAUAAUGCACGAAUAUAUGAGUCAAAUUCAGAUUUUGUGGGAGAAGGGGAAUUUCGAUGUGCAAUUGCUGGUGUGGUACAGAAACUGAAGUUAUGGCCCUAGUAAUGAAUAAAGAAUACGUGAUUCAAAGUACUUUGUUAGAAACUAAACAAAGAGAAAUAUAUUCUAGAAUUUGGUGGAGAAUUAAGAAUGUUAGCUCUGAUCUUGAAGUCAAGUUUCCUGUGGAAAAUCAACAACGUUGUACAAUCGUGGCCGGCGAGCAUGAUGACCUCCACCAUGAGAAGUUUUCCAUUUCUUUUUCCCUUCUUUAAAAUUUUCUUUUUAGAUUCUCUCGAUUUGAUUACCAAAGCCAUCGCAGGACAAUCUCGAAUAUUGGUAAACUAUGGCAAGGCAUCAAUAGUGCUCGACAUUGUUAAAGGCUAAGGGAUUUUGAUAAACACCGAUUGAGUUUAGUCGAAGGCCACUUGUAUAAAUAAAAAUGGUUCAACCCCUUCCACUAUAUGGGGGUAAAUUACGCUCAACUUCUCUAGAUUUUGGGGUAAUACGAUUUUGCCUCCGAUUUUUCACUUGUUAUACAAUAACGUCUGAACUCUUCAUUAUAUUGUUAUUAGCAUGCACAUGCUUGUGAAUUUUAAGGGGUAAAAGUAUAAAUUUUAUCACAUUCUUUUUCUAAGGAAGCCUCUUUUUCUAAAAGACUGAAAAAUAUAGAAAAUGGAAGAGAAAUAAAUUAACUAAAAUACAAAUAAUCAAAAUAAUAAAUAUCGAUAAUCAUAUUUAAUGAUGAAUUUUUUUUUUAAAAUUAAAUAAAUAUAGCCACCUUAAUAUAACUAAAUAGGAUAUUUUAAAAAAUAAAUACAAAUUCAUUAGAAUGGGAAAAGGGCAUCUUUAACUACAAGAUCAAAUAACAAGAAUUGCUUAAUCACCAUGUAUGUUUAAAGGGUAAAUUACUGUAAAAUUUAUUGAUUAACAAAAAUAUUUACAAGGAGGACGAUCAAUCCCUUGCAAAUCUAUCUCUUUAAGAGGCAAUCUUUUAAGAAGAGCUUUUAGCAUCUUGAAUUCAAAAAUGCCCUUUGCAUCGAUAGUUAACCGAAAUUUUCUAAAUCGUUUUGGCUUUUAGAUAAGCUUUAAAAUUGGUACCUCCUCGGAUGCAACGACACAUAUAACUUGCUUCAGUUUUGGCUCAUACGCUAGUCUUUAGGUCCGCACCAUAUUGUGUAACGAGGCAUAGCUUUCUUUGAGAAAGCUACUCUCACUGAAUUAUCUUAAAUAGUAACUUGUGCCAUUUUGCUGGUCCUACGUGUUGGCUUUUGUGAGUUCGGGCUUAUAUUAUAUCUUUCCUUCUUAGACAGUUCUUUGCCUUAUAUUUCUUAUUCAAUUGUUGGACGCAUCAAAGAGCAACCAAAAGCAUCCGAUCCAUUAAUUAAACACAUGAACUCAUAUUCUGGUGGAGUUAUUUGCCAAAUUUAUGAUACGGACACCUUGAAGCGUUUGUAACUAUUUGUAUUGUGCCUCAAUUUUCAAUUUACGCUUCACAUUCUUAUCACAUGAUUUCGAACAACCACCUUACCCUAAUCGAUUUGAUUAAUAUCACUGUAAGUGAGUCAGCUUCAUUACUAAACUAAGUAGAUCACCGAAUCAACAAGCAAUUCACCACCUCAAUCAAAGACCGGACAUGCUAGCAUAAUAAAUCACGCGGAUGUCAUGGAAUAAUGCAUAAUAUAUGCUAAUCACUAUAGGUGAGAAAAUGGAUGAUGAAUCCAUUUUGUAAUUCAGAUUCAAUGACCUGGUAAUAACAUGAGUUGUUAGCUCUCUGUGAUAAAAGGGAGGUCUAAAACUUUCUUCUUCUUCUUUUUUUCCUCAAGCCACUCUUAAAUGUGAUGCGACACAAACAUAGACAUCACCUAUACUUAGUUCACUAAUCAGAGAUAUGAUCAGAAGAAAUCAAGAAUGGACCUCACUAAAAGAGUGCAACAUUUCAUGGCGAUAAUAUAAUAACAAUGAAAUCAAUAAAAACUAAUAAUAAUUUGUACGCCCUUCAUGCAAUUGGUCGGCUAAAUGUGCUUUGAUUCAUGGUGUAAACCAAGAGUUCAUGUACUAGAUCUUAGAAGGAACUUCUGAUACCCUCAACAGUUUCAUCUUAUUUUUGCCAUUGGGUCUGCCUUUCGUAACACACACACGCACAGACGGAAGAAAAAAACAUCAUAAGCCCGAAAAACUUUCCGAGGAAUGCUCUAUCGAAAAAAAAAAAAUGAGUUAGUAUCUCUUAACAAAUCCCUCAAGUUAGCACAUGGAUUACAUAAUCCACUGCAUAGACAAUCCCUUAAAUAUGCUAUUCAGGAAUUUAAUUAUUGUAAUUAGCGUGUGAUAUCGUAUACGUGUGGAUAAAGAGAGUAGCUAAGCUAAGCUCUUAGAAUAGAUCAGUGGGAUAAAUAAUUAACUUGUGCUAUGGACUGCUUCGAUGUCUCCUUUUGCAUGUCCAGCUCCAGCCCGUUCCAACCAUUUUAGUGGGUCUUUUGGAUCGAUGGUUUCAUCACUUUGUUCUUCGGUUAUAAAAUGGAAGUUUAUUGGAGUAAUGUGUUACAAUUAAAAGUUUAGAAGGAACAUUGUAUUACCCCUUAAAUUAGGGUAAUUUUUGUUUAAUUUUCCCGUACAUUUAUUAUGUGAUGCCCAAUUUCUAAAACAUUAUUCACAAGGUGAUAGGGUAGGGUGGAUUAAGAAAAUUAGGUGUAGAAAUAUGAGAAGCCAAACUUAUAUUCUAACUAAGCGUCUCAACUUUUCCAUCAAAGUAACCAAGGAACCACAUAAUAUAAGGUCCAUGAUUAGUGUGAGCCCAUUACAAUGUUGGCCCGACAAAAAUCGAUGGACAUCCGACUUCACAGCCUUGAGUAAGGACAUUCAUAAAAAUCACAAUUUCUUAGUCCUAGCCGUAUGGAGCUGGUGAUGUUUUCCCGCAAUGGAUCCAAACCUGUAGAACAGCAAACAUCUUUCAACAAACAACUCUCGCCAGCGAAUGUUCUCUUACGAAUUUGUGUUAGCAAGGCAAGACUGUCACGUCAUUUCUCGAAUCAAAUAGAAACUGCACAUCGCCAUUUCCGCCGCCUUCAAUUUAUACAUUCUGCAAAUGCACGCAUAAUAACCGUUCAGUCACAGAGCUUUAGCUCAAAGCAAAAAGGAGAGUCAUGACGCGUCGCUCCUUCCAUGCAAUGGCUGUAAUUCAGCAAGAUUGAAUAGCAACAACCUGUACAGCAUGACAAUAAGUGAAGGGGAUUAACUUCAGUUCUUUCCAUCACUAUUUAUGCUGGCCUAAGCACGGGAUAACUAAAGCUUACCACAUUCUCUCGCCCCACAAUUCUGAGAAAGAAAAUAGAGUUAGACAUGUAUUAAACGUGCAACAUCAUCAACGACAACGAAAUGAUGAGAGCAACAUCCAGAAGCGGGGAACUCUGUAUAAAUUGAAAUAUAAAUACCUAAAACGAAACCAAUAAUCUUCUCCAAGGGUGAUGAUUGACAGAAAAUGAAAUGCAUCUAGGAAUUUUAUCUGACAUCCUCAAACUAUUAGUUCGGGUCGUGGACUCAUACUACAUCUAAUCAUCUAGCUAUUAUUUGUGAAAAUUUUUUGGAUGCUCUUAAAGCAUGAUGUUUUCAUAAUCGCUUUGACACUACUGCAGUAUCAUUGCUAAUGGUGGCCAUACCUGCAAAUGCCGCAUCUAUUGCAGCGAUAUUGCUUCUUGGAUGUUUGCAGAAAAAAUGAAGUAAGAUGUCAGGUCCAUGUGAUCAUAUCGUCUUCAACCGCAGGAUACAACACCCAAUACUUUUGAGAAUCUGUAAAAUGCAAUUAACGAACCUUUUUCCUUCACAUGUUUGCACGUUAUGUGACAUUUUUAUGCUCAAGGUUUUGAAAUAUUUGCUAGGGAGAGAGGGCGGACAGAGACUACUUCUGACAUAGAGAGAAACUCGACCAAUGUCACUGUCCAAGACACAUGAAAGAAAUUGAGCAGCGAGAUAAGAAAGAUUUGACGCACAUCAUCAUUGAAAAACUUACAAGUCCAGCAAAAGUACUUCCCCAUGCAAACACCACCUGUGAACAUGUAAACUAAAGGUUGAGAAUCAACAUCUGCACUGUAGUUUAUUUUUGGCCAGUCUUUUUAAAGAACUUCACAUUUUUUUGCCCUCCUUCGAAAAGCUCUUUAGUGCAAUCAAAGUAGGUAAUGAAGGAUAGAAUGUUUAAAAUUAGCUCUUGAGCACUACCACAGAUUGAACUUACAACCUGAAACAAAACAUGUAGGUAAUGGGAACAUCAAGUAAUCAGUCGGUCUAUAAACAUGCUAGAAAUUUGAUAGCAUCCAUUCGCUGAACUUGAUGGCGAGGCAAGUCAAUGCCUUGCUUUUGUUUACAUUGAUAUGUUAUUCUGGCCAUAAGAGAACGGUAUGUCUUCUUAUGAAAAGCAUGUCCACAGGUUGAAGAUUGAAGAAUCGAAUAUUUGACAUAUUCACCAAACUGUGGACUACUCAUCCGAACUCAAAUCCAUUCUGCAGUAAUGGCAAACCGCACGUACCAAAAUAUCAGAGCACACACUACAAAGUUAACAGCAGGUCAAAAUGCAAUCUCAUCUUAAGAUAACUCAUGUCACUAACGCCAAAAAUUUAGAGGCAGCGGUGCCUAUAUUUUGUUUAACAAUCAUCCUCUAAUAUACGGCAAGUAAAAACUUAAUUGCAAUCUAUCAACUGAGCUUGCAUGAAAGUAUCUCGUAGAUAUCUAGUGCAUUCUUCAUGUCAUAACGAAAGGAAGUUCUCAAGCACACUUAAGUCUAUGAGGGGCACAAGGAAUCACCUUUGCAUUAUCAAGACAGUGAAGGCAAUAAAAAAUGCGGUUGCAACAGGGGGCUCUAAUGCGGCACCUUCGAUGGUAAUGAGGACAUUUGCUGCAGCAGCAGUAGCAGCAACUUUGAUAUUAAUUGAAAGUUGAAAAGGAAAAAGCUUGAACUACUAUUUGUUAAGGAGGAUAAAUAAAAAACACCGACUGAUAUUAAAGGAGAAAUAACAGAGGCUGAGAUUAGAAAGAAGGGAGAGCUGCAAAGCAACAAAGUAAAUAACACAGAUUGGAGAAGACAUGACAACUCAAAUAAACAAUCGUGAUGAAGAGUGAUAUGGAUCAUCAUCAAUGGUUAAGAAUUUGCGAUGAAGAUCGACAAGGAUUGCCAACUCAUGAAGACUCGUGAGCAGUUAUUCAGUUGAAGAGUAAAACAGAUUGGAAAAACAGUCUUGUGAAUUUCAGUUUUUCUGUUGUAUCUUCGUUUUCUUCUAUAGGAAAAAUAUAUAAGGAGGCUUAGCAGAAUCAUUUUUAAGCUAAGCAAGAGAAUGCAGAAAGAUAGAUAGAAGAUUUCUGCAAAUGAAUGUUCUGCAUUUUACAGAAGAACAAGAGAUAGAAAGAAAGAGCAUGUGUGAAGUUUAGAAGCUCAAAUCUUCCUUGUUCAUUGAUGAUUCAAGAUAUACAGAGUCUGUAUUACAAUCAUAUUGAAAUACAUGAAAUCAAAGCUUCUUGAUUGAUCUUCAGUUCUUCGAUAUAUCUCUCCUUCUUCACAUUGUCAAGUUCUUCAGUUCUGUUUCUUCAUCUUCACAUGGUAUCAGAGCAGUAGAUCAUACCUGUUAGAAAGGCCUGUUCAGCAAUCAUUCAUCAAAUCAAAGGUGAAGAAACUGAAGUUGCAGCAGAUCGCAGUAUCACGGUAAUUGAGGUUACUAUCAUAAUAUCAUUGCCGUUAUCAUCUUCUUCAAAGCUGAGUUAAUAGAAUAAUGGCAGGAAGAACACAGAAGUAUCCUUUCCCAAUACAUGUGAACAUCUCUAAUUUUGUCACAAUCAAACUUGCCGAAGAUAACUUUCUGUUAUGGCAAGCACAGAUCCACAGGUUUUUGAGAAGUCAAGAACUCUUUGGCUUCAUUAAUGGUGAUAUCCCAUCACCUCCUCGAAUGCUGCAGAUUGAAAGAGAAGGGUGUGAAACUGGAGUUAUAAACCCAGAUUACACUGAUUGGACAAAGACUGAUCAGCUGAUUUUGUCUUGGAUAAGCAGAGCUGUUUCUGAAAACAUUCUGAGCCUAAUUAUUGGCUUAGAAACAUCUUAUGAGGUAUGGCAAACCCUGCUCAAUAGAUUUACACAAAAAUCUGUGGCUAGGGAAUUUGAGUUGAGAGGAAAGCUGCAAGCUUGUCAUAAACGAGAUCGAUCUCUGGCUGUGUAUCUUAGAGAAUAUAAAUCGAUCUGUGAUCAACUCAAUGCUAUAGGGAAGCCUAUAGAUGAAAUAACAAAGCUAUUUGGAGUUUUGGAGGGUUUAGGAUCUGAAUAUGAGAAUUUCAAAACCACCAUCUACUGUUUAAAACCUCAACCAAACUAUGAUGAGGUGAUAUCUCAGCUAGAAAGGUUUGAAGAGAGGUUACAAAGGUACUCAUUGAGUUCAUACAAUCCCAAUCUGGCGUAUUAUAGUCAAAGAAAAAUAGAAGUUCAACAAAGGGAAGAAUUUGACAGAGAACCUAUGCAAUACAAUUCUGGUUUUGGAACUUUAAGGGUGAAUAGUCGUGGAGGCCGUAGCUCUGUAAGAGGAAGAUUUCCUAACAAUAGAGGUCGAGGCUUUAGAUAUCCUGGAAGAGGUUCAAUUUACAGAUCAAAUAAUAUCAAUUACAUACAAGAGGGUCAGAAAGUUAAACAAUUUCACAAUCCCUCUGGUUCUGUUUCUAAUCCAGGAUUUCGCCCUUAUAUGGUUCCUCACAGAGAUAUCAAGAAACAAGAUCCUAUCCCAACUCAAGUCUAAACUUUCCUAAGGAUUUACAGGAUGAGAAAUCAGCUGACAGCAUGAGAUUAGAGUGUCAAAUUUGCAAGAGACCAGGACAUGAUGCUUUACAUUGCUAGUAUCGUUUUGAUAAUUCCUAUCAAGCUGAGGAAAUCCCAACAGCUCUAGCAGCAAUACAUCUCGAAGACUCCAAAGGAAGUGAGUGGUAUCCAGAUACUGGUGCAACUGCACAUAUCACGGCCGAUCCUGGUAUACUUCAGAAUCCUUCUAGAUAUACAGGUUAUGACACUAUUAUGAUUGGUGAUGGAUCAUGUUUGCCUAUCACCUAUACUAGUAAUACAUUAUUACAUACUGAAAUGAAUUCAUUGCCUUUAAAUGAUGUGCUAAUUGUUCCUGAGAUUAAGAAGAAUCUUCUGUCAGUAUCUAGGCUAACAGAUGACUAUCCAUGCUCAUUUGUUUUUGAUAAAUUUGGUGUCUAUAUAAAGGACAAUUGCACCAACGCAACUCUGCUGCUCGGGAGGAAAAUUAAAGGACUAUAUCAAGUGAAUUCACAGACAACAAAAGCUUUCCUAACUCAGAGAAACAGAGCGGUAGGAGAGGAUACAUGGCAUCAACAAUUAGCACACACUAAUUCAAAUGUCUUGAAGUACCUGCGGAACCAACAACUGAUUUAGUGCAGUACUAGAAUGCAGAACAUGUGUAGUAGUUGUCAAAUUGCUAAAACCACAGCAUUACCAUUUCCUUCAUCAUAAUCUGUAUCUACUAUGCCCUUAUAGAAAAUUCAUUGUGAUAUCUGGGGACCGUCACCAGUUACUUCUUUUCAGAAUUUCAAAUACUAUGUUCUUUUUGUAGACAAUUUCUCUCGGUUUAGCUGGAUAUAUCCAUUGAAAUUGAAGUCAGACUUUUAUAAUGUCUUUGUUCUAUUUCAAAAGCAAGUAGAGAAUCAGUUUGAGUCGAAAAUCAAGAUAUUCCAGUGUGAUGGUGGAGGAGAAUUCCUUAGCCACAAGUUUCAAACUCAUUUGCAGAACUGUGGUAUCAAAUAGCACAUCUCUUGUCCUUACACACCUGAACAGAAUGGCAUUUCUGAAAGGAAGCAUCACCACAUUGUUGAACUAGGUCUUGCCAUGCUUUAUCAUGGCAGAGUUCCACUGAAGUACUGGGUAGAUGCAUUCAUAACAGCUAACUAUGUUAUCAAUAUACUUCCAACACCAAAAUUACAAAUGCAGUCACCUCACAGAAGAUUAUAUCAAGAAAAGCCAAGUUAUGAUCAUCUCAGGGUGUUUGGAUGUGCAUGUUAUCCAUGUUUGCAACCCUAUGCUCAACACAAGUUUGAUCCAAGAUCUCUAACAUGUGUGUUCAUUAGAUACAGUGAACGUCAUAAAUGUUACAGAUGCCUUGUGCCUACAACAGGUCGUGUGUAUAUUAGUAGACAUGUCCUAUUUGAUGAAACCUCUUUCCCUUUUACUAAGACAUGUCUAACAGAGUAUGCACCACUCACAUCACUCUAUCAGUUAUGGGCAGAAGAGACUCAACUUAUGGAAUCAAAAAGCAAAGAAACAGCUCCUGUUUUCUUAUAGACAUAUGCAGAACAUUCACAGACUAAUGCAGAUAUCACUACAAAUGGUUCUCAAACUUCACAGCAAGUUACAAUACCAUAUAUUGAUCUUUCAUCAUUGCUGUCAAAUGUAACCCAAACACAUGGUACCUCUAUAACAUCAACACAAGAUGAAGUCUCUUCACCAGUACAGAACCAAGAGACGUCUUCAACUGAAACAUCAACAUCCAAUAAUAUGAGUGUUGAAUCUGAACAUGCCAUUCUUCCUCAUGCCUCACAAGCAACAACUUCGAGUCAUUCUAUGCAGACUCGAUCAAAGUCUGGCAUUACAAAACCUAAUCCCAAGUAUGCAUGCCUUGCUGUAUAUGAAGUACCCACUGAACCACGAUCAGUUAAACUAGCUUUAGCACAUAAAGGCUGGUAUAAAGCCAUGACAUAAGAAAUGGAUGCACUUUAUCAUAAUAGAACUUGGGAAUUAAUUCCUAGAACUGAUCAAAUGAAUGUGAUUGGCUGCAAGUGGGUAUUUAAAACAAAACUUGCAUCUGAUGGUAGUCUUGAUAGACUGAAAGCUCGACUAGUUGCUAAAGGUUUUCAUCAAGAAGAAGGAAUAGACUUUACAGAGACUUUUAGUCCUGUUGUCAAGAAUGCUACAAUUCGAAUAGUUCUCUCUGUUGCAAUGAUGAAACACUGGCCAAUUCAUCAACUCGAUGUUAAAAAUGCAUUUUUACAUGGUACUCUUAAUGAGACAGUUUACAUGGAGCAGCCUCCUGGCUUUCAAGAUCCCAAGAAACCUCAUCAUGUUUGUCUCCUCAAGAAGUCUCUCUAUGGACUUCGACAAGCUCCCCGAGCCUGGUUUGACAAGUUCAGCAACUUCUUACUUGAAUAUGGAUUCUCUUGCAGCUCUACUAAUCCAUCCUUAUUCAUAUUUCACACUGGUACAAACACAAUUCUUCUACUACUAUAUGUUGAUGACAUUGUCUUAACUGGAAGUUCCUCUCAGUUGCUUUCUAAUCUCAUCCAUUCUCUCAGUCUCCAGUUUAAUAUGAAAGAUCUCGGUCCACUACAUUACUUUUUUGGCAUUGAAGUUAAACAUACUUCUGAUCAUCUAUUUCUUUGCCAAACUAAAUAUGCUAUUGAUCUUCUUACUCGAGCUCAUAUGUUGGACUGUAAACCAAUCUCAACUCCUCUGUCACUAAGACCAAUCAUUUUGACAAAUGAUUAUGUUCCUCUAUCCAAUCCUGUUGAGUAUCAAAGCUUGGUUGGUGGUCUUCAAUACCUGACUUUAACACGGCCUGACAUUGCCUAUGCUACGAAUUCAUUAUAACAAAAACUACAGACACCUACUAUUGCAGAUCUUCAGAAACUCAAGAGGGUCUUGCGAUAUGUUAAAGGCACCAUAAAUCUUGGGAUUUUCAUUCAUUCUCGAAGCUCCUUACAUCUAUAUGGUUUUUCAGAUGCAGAUUGGGCUAGAUGUACUGAAACCAGAAGAUCAACAACUGGUUUCUGUACAUAUCUCGGCUCCAAUCUCAUUUCUUGGACAACUAAGAAGCAAUCCACAGUCAGUUGAUCCUCUACACAAGCUGAGUAUCGUGCUCUUGCUUCCACCUCUGCUGAACUUACUUGGAUCAGUUUUGUUCUUCGUGACAUAGGAUGCUCUCUCCCUCGUCCAACACAUCUCUUUUGUGACAAUAAAUCAACCAUUGCUCUUACUGCCAACCCAGUUUUACAUGCUCGCACUAAACAUAUUGAAGUGGACUUCCAUUUUGUUCGGGAAAAGGUCUCCUCAGGGUCACUACAUGUAAGAUAUGUUCCAAGCAACUGUCAACUUGCUGAUAUUUUCACAAAAUCUCUGCCUCGUCUUACACAUUUUCAGUUGCGCAUCAAAUUGGGUAUUGGUUCUCCACCCAUUCCCAAUUUGAGGGGGGAUGUUAAGGAGGAUAAAUCAAAAACACCGACUGAUAUUAAAGGAGAAAUAACAGAGGCUGAGAUUAGAAAGAAGGGAGAGCUGCAAAGCAACAAAGUAAAUAACACAGACUGGAGAAGACAUGACAACUCAAAUAAAUGAUCGUGAUGAAGAGUGAUAUGGAUCAUCAUCAAUGGUUAAGAAUUUGCGAUGAAGACCGAUAAGGAUUGCCAACUCAUGAAGACUCGUGAGCAGUUAUUCAGUUGAAGAGUAAAACAGAUUGGAAAAACAGUCUUGUGAAUUUCAGUUUUUCUGUUGUAUCUUCGUUUUCUUCUAUAGGAAAAAUAUAUAAGGAGUCUUAGCAGAAUCAUUUUUAAGCUAAGCGCGAGAAUGCAGAAAGAUAGAUAGAAGAUUUCUGCAAAUGAAUGUUCUGCAUUUUACAGAAGAACAAGAGAUAGAAAGAAAGAGCGUGUGUGAAGUUUAGAAGCUCAAAUCUUCCUUGUUCAUUGAUGAUUCAAGAUAUACAGAGUCUGUAUUACAAUCGUAUUGAAAUACAUGAAAUCAAAGCUUCUUGAUUGAUCUUCAGUUCUUCGAUAUAUCUCUCCUUCUUCACAUUGUCAAGUUCUUCAGUUCUUCAGUUCUGUUUCUUCAUCUUCACACUAUUGCUCAAGAAUGAGUCGAGACAUUACUUGCACGGCAAGUGCCGCUCUCUAACAAAUCAGUAGCAAUAGCAUCUUCACGGUCAGAACAGAGCACGGUUGGAAGCACGAUUGGACAGUGCUGGAAUUGUAGCAACAGGAGGGAACCGAGUGGCGGCCGAUGAGGAGGAAAUGCAAAUUUAAUUAUGAGCCAGGAGUGGUGGUGAUCGCCUGAUCCGAAAUGGAGCGGCUGUGGAACUAGAGGGAAAGCGGGACUGAGAGAACGUUUCUCUGUUUUCAGUUCCCCUUGCCCGCGCGCGAGCCUUCGUUCGGGGGGGGGAGGGGAAGAGAGAGAGAGAGAGAGAUAAAAGUAGGGAAGGAAAGAGGCCGGGCCUCCUCUCCGCAUGGGCCUUGGACCUAGGAUGGGCUACAUUUUUCAGCUCCUUUCUGUUGCUGAGCCUUUUCCGAUGGCUAUUGGACAAAUCUUAAGAGAUCUGGGCUUAAAGUCCGAUACUACCGGAAAAAAUUUGGGUGUCAACGUCCACAUUGCCAACUCUGUUGAUUGGAUAAAUACGUUCAUCUUGUUUUCCAGUGACCAUAAUUGGUUCUGUCGAAGUAUGAAGGUCUGGUGGUAGAUUGAGCCUUAUAAACAAUUGGACUAAGGUUGGUAGCCAUAGAAUAGGAUCUUUAUAAUCAGAAGUAAACAACACUUCAAAGUACAAGCAACACAAUCUUUAAUGCCAAUUAUUGAGGUCAAUAAUGCAACCUAACGAAGGGAUGAAUGGGUUGAUCUACAAAAGUUAAAAAAAAAAUUGUGUAAUAACUCAAGUUAAGAAACACAAAUUAAAUGAAAGGGGAAAAGGCCUCAAUAACAAAAAGGUCAAAUGAUAAUAUUUGAUUAUGCGUUCUGUACAUAUAAAGGUUUAAUUAAUGUAAAAUGAUUGAUCAACAAAAAACCUUGAAAGAAGUUAUCAAUAAGAAUGAUGUCCUUAACUCAUAAAAGACACAGAUGAAUCAAAAUCUAAGGUGAUUUUGUCAAUAAAAUAUUUUUAUUGAUCAAUUUUCUCUUACAUUAAUUAACCAUUUAACAACACAAAAUGAGCGUCAAAUUUUUGUUAUUCGACUUUUUUGUUGUUUGGGGCAUUUUUCCUUUCUACUUAAUUGCGUUUCUUUUUCUUCAAAUACUUACUAGUUCUAUUAAUAUAUCCAUUAAUUUUCUUCCAAAUUUCAUUAUCUAUAUUAUUAUUGAUAGUCAUUUUUUAUGGUACUGAUAAUUUAGUUUUUUUUUUCUCCAUUUUCUGUAUUUUUUAUUUAUUUUUCUUACAGAAAUCAACGGUAAAAGGCAGCCUUCUUUCACGAAAAAUGAGUUGAAGAACAAGUUUACCCCUUCAAUGUCAUCUGCAUUGCACGUGUGAUUGGACAAUAUAGUGAAACAUUAAUGGCUAUAACCAAAUAAAAGUUCAAGAAGUAAUGUGUAGCAGUGGAAAGUUUAUGUCAAACAUGUAUUACCCCGAAAUUUGGAGCAAUUUUGUGUAAUUUUUCCAUAAAUUUAUUAUGCAAUACCGAAUUUCUAAUAUAUUCGCAAGGAGAUUAGUGUGUUUUUAGUAUGCUGGGUGUGGAAAUAUGAGAAGCCAAACUUAUAUUGUACAUAAGUUUCGUAAUUAGUUUAUCAUAGUGAUGUUUGUGAAGUCACUACGAGAAGGUCCUUUGUUUAGCUGCAAUUUCUCAUCCUGUAACCCGAACUCGCAAGUCUUCUUUUCUUUUUCUUUUUUUCUUUUUUUUCUUGGUGAGUACCAAAAAAUCUGCCAUCAAAAUGACAAAAGAUUGUAUUGAAGUGAUUGUAUUGAAGUGAUUGAACACAAAAAAAUGCCACAUAAUCCUUCCAUUUCUAAUCUGAUAUAUCUCUCUAAAUUCUCCCACCGUCCCUGUCUCCUUCCGCGAAAAUCAAUCCCCCCUUCUUCUUUUUUUUGCUUGACCGCUCUUGGCCGGACUUCACACGUGCCACCCUUGACAGGCCCAGCCAAAAUGAUAAUCUUUACACGUGUCAAAUAUAUAUUUUAAAAUAAAUUUUAAGAUAAUAAUUUUUGAGACUGCGUUUAGCAAUCAAAAUAAAAUUGAUUAUAUUUUACGUUUGAUAUUUGAUCAAGAUAGGAUAAAAUCGGAUAUAAGAGAAAUAUAAGUCGGAUAAAAUUAUUCCACGAGGAAAGUUGGAUAAAAGUGGAUAGAAUUUCGAAUAUUCAUAAUUGAAAAUUUAUUUUUUUCGAAUAACAAACUUCUUAAAAUUAGAAAAAUUAAAAUUAUAUUUCAAAAUAACUAAUAUUUGAAGUCCAAUAUAAGAAAUUCAAAAUGACGAAAAAUAAUAAUUUAUUUUUUUAAUUCAAUCUUAUUUUUACUUAUAUAUUUGAAUUCAUUUCUAUCUUAUAAUACAAAUUCGAUAAAUAAAAUGUAAAUAUAUAUUUAUAUAUUACUUAUUUUUAGGUAUUUUAAUAUUUUAGGUAUGUUAUUACGGUUUACUGCUUAAUAAAAUUUUAUUAGAGAAUAAUGGAAAGGGAAAAAAAUAAAUAAAUAAUAAAUAAAUUAAAAAAUAGAGGAAAAAUAUAAUAAAAAAGAAAAUAAAAAUAAAGUAGGCAAACAUGAGAGAUUUUACUAUUUCCAUUUAUUAAUUUUUAUAUUCAUUUACAUUGAUAUGUCAUUUAUACCAAAUAAUGUACAUGAUAUUAUGAGAAUAUAUCCAAUUUUAUUAUUACGAUAAUCAAAUAGUGGAUAUGAUAUGGUAAAAUCCCAAUAUUUUAUAUCCCAUCAUAUUCAAUUCUAUUUUGAUUGAAAAUUCAUACGACCGAAUGUAACCAAAAAGGAUAGAGAGAUUGACGAGCCGAUUCGAGUUCAGCGCACGCAACACAUAUAUAACAGACAAAAAGUGCCUUUGUAUCUAUAGCAAUUCAAAAUUUUCACAAAUUUCAAAAAAUCCUUUUUGUUUUUUAGAUAAGUUUGCAAAUUAGCACCUUCUCGGAUGCGAAGGCAGAUAUAACUUGCUCCAUUUUCGGCUCAUACAUCAUAUUUCUCCCUUGCAGAACUAAUUUUUUGGUAAUGCAAAACUAAAAAAAAAAAAAAAGCCAUCUUAGCAUAUUGGGCUAGUGCCUUUAUGCUACCUAUGUUUGUCUCGGAUAAAAUUGAACAAAUCCUUAAACAAUUUCUUUGGAAAGGCCCAGAGAUGGGAAGAGGGGGUGCAAAGGUAUUCUAGGAGGAUGUUUGUUGCCCAAAAGAGGAGGGAAGCCUUGCUAUACGAAGACUUCGCGAGUAUAAUAAAGCAGCCAUGCUAAAACAUAUAUGGCUUCUAUUCUCGGACAAGGAAUUGUUAUGGUGCAAAUGGAUUCACUCAACUUUCUUAAAAGGGUUGAAUUUCUGGGUGGCCAAAAAGCCUACCUUCUAUUCGUGGGCCUAGAUGAAGAUCCUCCAACUCAGGACUGAAGUCCGUAGUUCCUUCUAUUGGAGGAUUGGAGAUGGCCGAUCAAUGUCUCUUUAGUUCGAUAAUUGGCACCCUAGGGGUCCCUUGAACUUUUAUUUUCCAGAUGUUGCCAUAUAUAGCUCCGGCCUCUCUCGGGAGGGCGACAGUGGUAGACCUGUUCACAUUUGAUGGUGAUGCGGUCAGGAUGAUCUUGGAUACUUGGGAGGAUCCCCUCCCAACCCUCUCCCAAAAUCUGGAUCGCUUUAGCUGGAAGGGGAACACCUCCCACCUCUUCAUGGUGGCUUCGGCUUAGGAAAUCAUUAGAAGAAAGAAGACUCCGGUCUACUGGCAUGUGCUCAUUUGGAACAACUUGAUCUCUCCAAGGUACCAACUAAACAUUUGGCUUAUUGCCAAUCGUAGGCUUCCUACCCAAACUUUUACUAUUUUAUGGUAGGAUAGAUAGUGUCUCGUGCCCCUUUUGUAACAAGUGCCUGAUUCCAUAAACCACCUAUUUUUUGGAUGUCACAUCAUUGCUGGCAUUGCGUUCUUUUGGGCCACGAGAUGCAACCUUCCCUGGUGGAACAGAUCGUGGGCCGAGAAUCUCGAUUGGGCCAUUUCUGUUCUUGCCGACAAAGAUUUCUAUAAGUGCAUUGCCCGUUUAUCUUUUGGUGCUCUCUACUAUUUUAUUUGGAAGUAUAGGAACAACAUUCUCUUUAGAGGAGAGACCUUAACCAUUCCAGCGGUGAAGAAUCAACUCUUCAAAGUCGUCAAGGAUAAAACCAUCACUUUCAAGAGUGUGGAUGAUACGUUUUGAAAUAGGAGGCUGCAACAAAGUUGGGGCAUUGAUCCGAUUAUCUUCUCAGCUGGGGAUACCACAAAUCCUUUAGGGCCCUAGCUUGUCUGAGAUGUCGAUUCGCUUAUACCCUUUUUACGGUUUGAUCCUUAGAGUCUCUUCACUUUUGUCGCUUUUGGUCAUGGUUUGAGGUUUGGAGUCUUCCCGGCCCUACGCGGCCCUCUCCUGCCUCUUGCUAGGUCUCAUUUGCCUAUUGUUUAGGUUGUUCUUUGCUUGUUUGUUCCGCUCUUUGCGGACUUCUUUUGCAUUCGGCUCCCUUCCACUCACUCUGACUUAUUGUCUUAUUGAGUGUAAGUUUUGUGGCGCCGGAUCUUUUGUAAUUAUUGCUUAAAGCUUAAUACAAUAUUACCCUUUAACCAUAUAUAUAUAUAUAUAUAUAUAUAUAUAUAUAUAUAUAUAUAUAUAUAUAGAAGGCUCUAAUCAUAUCAUAUUACAAAAUUAUUUUAGGAAAAUUUGCAGAUACGAAUUGCAGACCUAAAUUAGGCUCGAAUCAUAUCAUAUAACAAUUACCACUUUCUUUGUGCAGGCUAUUCUCACCUAUAUCAUCUUAAGUAGGAACCUUGAGCUAUUUUUCUGUUCCUACAUAUUUACUUUCUUUUGGGCUAUAUUAUAUGCGGUAGAGUUUCUUAAUCUUUAGAAUCUGGGACAUCAAAGCGGACAUACAUAUAGUCGGGCCUCAUGCAAGGAGGGAAGUUGGCAAUCGAGUUUGGUCCAAGAUCCAAUCAUGUAAGUAAUUAUGGUUCGCAUUUCAUUAAAUUAGGGAAAGAUAAGCAAAAUCCCCAAAUUUUACGGGUAGUGCUGCCCUCAAUUUUUUGACUACUACGUAAUAUCGGAAAAAAAUGUUCAAAAAAUCCUAAACUUAUUAUAUAAUGAUUAAUUCAAUCCUAAACAUUUUGAUUGUGUCAAUUUAGCUAUAAACCUUUAAACAAUUUGUCAAACUAGUCUUAAACCUUUUAACGAAUUGUCAGUUUAGUCAUUCAAACUAAUUUAGACUAGAUGUUGUUGGCAUGAUAGCCCCGUUACUACCAGUCUUCCUAUGUGACACAAGUAAUGAUGACAUAGACAAUUUUUCAAAUUAAAUUCAGUUUUCAUUUCAUUUUAUUUCCUUUUUUCUCCCUUUUUUUACACAUGGCCCAUAGCAGUCGAGAGCUAGCAACCUUUGUCAGCCACCAAGUAAAGGCUAGUAGAGUCACUGCGAAGGGCUUGUGAGCCAUUGUUCAUUGCCAACAAGGGCGUUGUAGCCUUUGCCAACCCCAACGAGGGCAUCAUGGCCCUCGCCCAAGCCAUUAUUAGGGAGGGCCUAGGUAAGAGCUUGCAAUGCCCUUACCAAAUCCAUUGAGGGCCACAAUGCCCUUGAUAGAUCUGGUGAGGCGAAGGCAUCACAACCCUUGCCUCAGCAUGCCCUCAUUAGGGUUGGCCCUCGCCCAAGCCAUUAUUAGGGAGGGCUUAGGUAAGAGCUUGCAAUGCCCUUACCAAACCCACUGAGGGCCACAAUGCCCUCAAUAGAUCUGGUGAGGCAAAGGCAUUGCGACCCUUGCCUCAGCCCUCGCUGCCACAGCGAGGGCUAGCGAGCCCUUGCCAAAUCUAGUGAGGGCCAUUGCCCACCUAGUGAGGGCUCUACGGCCCUUGCCUUGGGGUUGUGAGACCCCUUUGACAAUGUGUGAAAAAAGGAAAAUGAAAAGAAAAGAAAACAUCAAUAAAUUGACAAUGCUUUAAAAGGUUUAUGAUUAGUUUGACAAAUCAUUUAUAUAUUUAAAAUAAAAUUGGCAUGAUAAAAAAAUUUCGAAUUGAAUUGAUUUUCAUAUAAUAAAUUUAAAUUUUUUUAGACAAGUUUCUCACCGAAUAACUCAUGUACUUUUGUGUUCUCACGUCCCAUGAACCCUGCACUUGAGGUCAUACCUCGCGAGUCUUCCAUUUUGCUGUAAGAGCACAAAAAAUCUGCCAUUGAAAGGACAGAUGAUUUGUAUCAAGCGAUUGAACCCGAAAUGAUGCCACUUCACUGUCCCACUUACGAUAAUAAUAUCAUUGUCAAAUCUUCCUAGCUUUUGGUGGAUAUUUCAUUGGGAGACAGGUCUUUUCUGUAAUGGUAUCCGUCUAGAUUCUGGACCGUCCCGGACUCCAUCAGAGAAAAUCCAUGUUCGUGACUACUCCGGGGCCGACACUACUAGAGUUUGGCUAAUUUGGCUAAGCUUAAGAGAGAGAGGCCACAGAGACUUCUUUGCAAAGCAGAUGUAGCAGUUCACAGAGCUGUGGUUGCUCUCAUGACUGCUGAAGCGAUGAAAGCGUCUCCAGAUGAUUUGAAGGAUGAUGGGCAGGUUAUCUGAAGAUUAUCAGUGAACAGAUUGGUAUAGUUCUCAAUUUGACCCCGAAGAAUAUGCAGAUGGCAUGAAAAUAUUUCUCUUGAGGCGGGAGCUGGUCCAAGAUUUAUGAGAUGCUGGUGCACCUUUCAUCAUGCACACUUUUUGAAGGAAAAGUUUAUGGAGAGGGUAUUCAUAGAGAUAUAUUUGGUCGUCACAUUUAAUUGUCGAUAUUUUGGCAGUUUUCUAGUCCAUCCUUGCAAUACCUUAGUGAUUCCAGUAGUCUCUUACACCAGCAGCAAGUGUAUGCCUCAUUAGUGCUGCUUGUCGCGUUUAUUUUGCAAGAGCAUUGUAUAGAAUCUUUUGCUACCAUUCUCUGUACAGGCAGCCCACCCCCUCUAUCAAAUAAGAAGGAAUGAAGAGAGAUUGACCAAACGUAAUUGGUUUUGGCAAGAAUUUGGUUGAUGCUCUGAGUCUGUUCUCCUUAGAUAUCCUUGUCAUCAUCCGUGGCUUCGAAUAGCAGAAUGACAAAUUGCCAUGCGAUAGCUUUUUAUCUUCUCUUGUACAUAGGGCUAUGCGUCUCUGAAGCUUAUGGUCUCUUUUUCGCUUCUUCAGCAAUUUCUGCAUUUGAUCUGUGGCUUUUAGAUUAUGUAUUAAGCCUAAGCUGUUCAUCACCUUCUAGCACAAUAACUUGACGAAGCACUGGUAUCCGCAGCGGGGCGGCUCAGACUGUGAGAUGAUGAGAACUUCAUUGCGUCCUUUCUCUUCGUCAAUUACGUGCCCUCUCUGUCGUCUCUUCUGCCACACGCUCUCUCUCUCUCUCUUCUUGCUCUGCGUCUUCUCCCUUUCUCUCUUUCUUUUCUUCUAAAAAUAUCCCGGGGACCUCACCUCUCUCUCUCUCUCUCUCUCUCUCUCUCUCUCUCUCUCUCUCUCUCUCUCUCUCUCUCCCCCCUUCUUCUUCUUUGUCUCGCAAGAAGCAAACGACAACCGCUGCCAUCGUGAUCCUUCGCAAUCCACGAAGAAGAGGCAUUUCUUUUAUAAAAGAAAAGUUGAAAGGGUCGGUUUGGAGUGUUGGCGAGGCGCGUUUGGCUUCUAUCUCAGUUCGAUGCCAAUUGUCGGUUUGCUCGCUUCGCGUUAGGCCACGCUACUUUCUCACAGGUUCUCUCUAUCUCUCUGUGUUGGAGGUUUGUUUGUCAAAACAAGCUAAGUGCGUUUGCCAUAAUAGUGCAGAGUAAUAUAGAACUUCUCACUAAAACAAGAGGUUAGUGUAUGUACAGUAUGUCCAGUUCUAUUACAUAAAAGUACAAAUUUAAAGCCGAGCUACUUGUCACUUUGAUAGAUCUUUGAUAUACUUGCACUAAGUAAAUGUUUAACUCGAAAGAGACCUUUAUGUAUGUAUAUUAAUCUUACUGAAAUUCUAGCUGUACAGUUUUUAAAAUUUUAAUUUUGAAAUCUUUGUUUUACAAACAAAGUGGGGGAUUGUUGGAGGUUUGUUUGUCAAAACAAGUUAAGUGUGUUUUCCUUUUCCCACAUAAGAAAAGUUGGAGGAAGUGGGUCAAUUUAUAAGUAAGGGGUUUCCUUGUGUACCUCAAGGAAUGAUUACGGGUGUGCGAUUAUUUGACGCACUUAGCACUAAUCCCUUUGCCAUUUAUUUAUUUAUUUAUUUUAUGUUAUUAAUUUUUUAAUCAAUUCAAAGGUUGCCUUUUGUUUUUGAGAAUUUUCGGAAAUAAAUAUAAAAAAAUAAAAUUCGAAAUUUUAUUUAUUAAAAAAAUUAUUAUUCUGAAUUUUGUUUGUGUCUUUUGAAGACAACCUUUGGAAAAAUUAAUUAUUCGGUUUGCAACUUUUCCCAAAGGGUUGCAAUUUUUCGGUUUUCGACUUCUUCCGAAGGGUCAUAUUUGUUUAUCCGAACAAUUUUCUAAAUGACGUGUUUGUUCAUAUUUUUUGGAAAUUUUCACGAAGGGUUGCAUGUAAGACUGUUUUAUAUAUAUUUGUUGUUUUCAAAAGAAGAUAAGUGAUCAUUUUCUGAACCUUCGUUCAAAAAAAACUGCAGCCAAUUUUUCGAUUGUUUCCUAGAGAGAUCCCGGAGAAAUAUUAUAAUUGCUAUUUAAUAUUCUCAAUUGAGACUUUGUUGUAUCUUUGGAGGAUUUUUUCCUAUGACCAUUAGCAACUUUGUGAGGGCAAAUAAAUCCUUAAAGAAAGUGAUAUUACGCUUCAAAGUCCGACUUGAGUAUUCUAAAGAUCCGUCUUCAUUGUUCUACUCAAUUCGAAGCCUUAUUUUCCCAACACUUUGUCUCUGUCUCUCUCGCUCUCUCUCGUCAGUUCUUGCUUCACGCCACGCCACGCCAUGCCAUGUCAUGCUAUUUCCUCGCAGGUUCUCUCUCUGUCUCUCUUUCCAACGUGCGGCCGCAUAAACUCGCGUGAAGUUUCACCACAAAAUGAGAAUUUCCUGUUAGCAAUGUCGUGUAAAAGUAAUAGAGAUGAUAUGGACAAAUAUAGGUCAAAUAACUUAAGCACUCCCCUCCAAGAGCAAAAUGAAAAAGGGACUUCUGUAGGCCUCUGUUUCAUAUCAUGUGACUGCCAUUAACCAGCUUGAGCAAUCCCCUCUCGUACAAAGCUGCAGCUUCCUUCAUCUUUCUCUCUCCCGCACCAACAAUGAUGGAUGAUGGGUUUUUAUGUGUGAUAGGCCUACUUAAGCCCGUCUGCUCAUGUUGGGCUAAAACCUAGCUUGUAAGUGAAUGGCCUAUAAAAGAGUGCAGUUACUGUAAUAUAUAGAAUAAAAAAAGGUAAAAAGGGGAUAAGUGAACAGUUGCAUUUUUUAGAAGAGAGAAAUAUGUUUUCUCUAUUUUCCCUCUUGAAACAGUACACGCUUUCUCGACAAAUUGAACCAAGGCUUCGAAGGAUUCCUUAGAAACUAUGAUGGUACUUAAUCUAUGGCAAUUAAGGUAUGUCCGACUUUAUGAUAUGCCUUUGAUUAGUGUUACAUGUUUCUGGGCACGUUUCCGCGUUCGUUUUCGGUAUUUGAUCGUUGAGUAUCGGAUCAUUUUUUCGGGAAUUUGUUUUUUCCCUACAUUGGUAUUAGAGACAUGAUGUUCAUGUUUCUCGAUCACUGUUGAUGUUUAUAAAUUGCUUUUGAUUGAAAUUUUGAGAAACGACGUCAUCGGAUGCUUGGGGAUAGAAAUCCCAACACCUACUCUUGUUCAAUCCCUCUUUUUUGAUUUUUAGUAAAUCAAAAUUUAUUUUUGAUAGCGUAGGGUUAUAGUUCUUGUCGAGACGGGUGGCCUGUCGCUAGGGGCCGCCAGAUGUGCCACCACAUGCGACUAGAAGGUCUGGCAUCGUCAGCGCGUGGCAUGCGUGCAGCAACGGCUACCACGUGCUCGUGCUUGCGCGGUUUUACCAUUUUGCCCCUCUUUUCUUCAUAAUAUUAUGUUGUUGCCAUUGAUAGUUGUUUUUGCGAUUAUGCCCUUAUUGUUCAAUGUUAUUACUAUUUUGUCCCUACUUGACCUGUUGACCCUACCCGGUCAUUUGUUGACCAUUGACCGAUGUUGACCACCAUUGAUCGCCCCCUCCCCCCCCCCCCCACCCAAAAAAAGGAAAAUUUUGUUUAUCUGAUUUUGUUCGUUGUAGAUUAUGAGUAAUCCAUUUUGUUCUGCAUUUGUUGUAGGAACCAUGAUGCGUUUUGUACGCACGCUUAUAUUUCCGAGAACGGAUGAACAAAAUGCAAGACUUGAAGGGCUAAAAAUAUAAUUAGCUAAUUAUCGGUGGAAUGACAGUAAUGUAGUAUCACAUGUGGUCAUGGUCAAUUAAAUGAUACAAGAAAUCAUCUGGAAUAGUUAUCCUAUACUGAAUUUUUAGAAAGUGCCGGCCCUAAUAAACACUAUUCCAUCAAAAUGACAAGCAGUGUUAGAUCACCUAUGGGAGGCCAACGUGGUCCCGGAUUAUAGAAGGCUUGCAAUAGCUUUUGUAAGAGAGUACUAUAGAAUCGAGGUAACCAAGACUUCAACCCUCGAGUUGAGUGUCACAUGGUGUAGAAUGAAUGCCCCUUGGAGGAGCCAUGAGGGCUCUCCACAGGUUUCUUCGCGGUUGACCAAUGUGCCUUUAAAAUUCUCAAAGAAUUUUACUAAAAGAUUAAAAGAGACUUUUCUAGUUUAUAAGAUAGAUGAGAUUAUUUGGGUUUAAUUAUUUUUUUCUUUGAUUAGUUUGAGAUGUUUUAGGUGCAAAUAUCUCUUUAUAUGUUGAUAUAUUUCCUUUGAAUAUAUUACUUAGUGUAAAUGACAUGUUUAAUUAUUGAAAGUUCAACGUUAUCUGUCGUUGUAAAUUAGUAUGUUAAUUUACAAUUCUUUGUAGGAAGUUCAAGAAAGUUUUAACGACUUUGCUGAACUUAUUUUUUCAUGAGUAAUUAUAUUAAUGAUAAUUUCAAGUUAAGAAUUUUGGAUGAUGAUUGGAAAUAUAGUAACAUUUUGAUUCUAAAAUCUUAUUUAAAAUUAUUCAUUAAUAUGACGGGUUUAUACAAAAUGGAUGUAUAAAUGAUAGACAUUAAUAGUUCGUGCAUUUGUGUUUGAUAUGUUCAAAUCCAAUGGCUUCAAUAACUAGGAGUACAAUUGUUGAGUUGAACAAAGAAAAGAAAUUGAACAGCGAAAAUUGUGAAAUAUUGAAUUUGAAAAUUUAAUAUGUGCUUAAAAAGCAAGAAGUACUAAAAGAUCUUAACUAUGUUAUAAAAGAACUUGAGGAUAUUGUGCACCACAUUGAGCUAACAGAAGAUCACCUAAAUACUUUUGAGCGGGAAAUAGAUAUUUGUUGUGCUGGUUUUAGCUCAAAAGGGGUUUCGAGUUCUAAGCGCAAGUGCAUUAAUUCGUUUAAAAGGUGAAAAUGUAAGGGAUCAAGUCCUUCAAGCAAGAAACUAAGACUUGACCAAUAUGAAAGAGGAAAGCGUCCUCAAAUAAAGAAAUUGUUAAUAUGAAAUGUUAUAAUUGUGAUAAGAAGAGUCACUAUGAUCGCGAUUAUCACGAGCUAAAGAAGGUAAACACCUAUUGUAUUUUUGAGAACUUUGCUUAUAUAUCAAGUUAUGUAUUCUUAACUGAAUUUAAUCCUAUGUGGACUGUAGAUUCGAGAGCAAUAGAUUAUGUAGCAAAGGAUAGAGACUCCUUCAUAGAAUUUUGACGAAUACCGACUAGAACUAAAUGGAUCUAUGUAUAGAACAACACUAGAGCUGAAGUAAAAGAGAUUGUCACCUGCCAAUUAAAUAUGCGUGGUGGAUGCACUUUGUUUCUACAUGAUGUAUUAUAUGCUCCGGAGAUUCGUCAGAAUUUAGUGUUUGUUUUAGUGUUGAUAAAACUUGAUUUUAGUUUGAACUUUCAUAAUAAUGGUAUGGAUUUGUAUUUGAAUACAAACUAUUAUAAUUGUGGUUAUUUUCUAGAUGGUUUUAUUGUACUGAACGUUGACUAUGGUAAUAUCAAUGUUUGUUAUUUCCUCUUCAUGUCUUAUAAUUCAUAUGAUAAUGAUGUGAAUGUGUGGCAUGUUAGACUUAGUCAUAUUGGCCAACAACGUAUGAAUAGGCUAACCAAAGAGGGCUUGUUAGGCAACAUUGAAAAAGUCGAUUUGCCCAUAUAUUAGUAUUACCUAACAGGGAAAACAACAAGGAAACCAUUUGGAAAUGGUAAAAAUACUUGAAUUUCCUUUAUAAUUAAUACAUUAUGACAUUUGUGGUCCAAUGAAUGUGAGAGGAAGGCACAUGACUGUUUAUUUCAUCAAAUUUAUAAAUGAUUAUACACGAUUCAGAUAUGUCUAUUUGAUUUCUCACAAAUUUGAAGUAUUAAAUUGUUUCAAAAAGUUUAUGAGCUUAGUAGAAAAUCAAUUAGAUAAAAAAAAAGUAUUAAGAUUCGAUUGAUGUCAAGAAUAUUUAUCUAAUGAGUUCAGAAAUUUAUGUGAUGAAAAAAAUAAUAGAAAAACAAUUGUCUAUUCCCUAUAUUCCUCGACAAAUUGGUAUUGCGAAAAUGAGAAACAGAAUCCUACUAUAAAUGGUUAAGUCCAUGAUGGUGUAUGCUAAGUUACCCAUUAUCUUUUAGGGUGAUGUUUUAUUAACUGUUACCUAUAUACUUAACCGCGUGCCUUCCAAAUCAGUUACUUCCAAUCUAUAUAAUUUAUAAAUAGGUAGAAAACCAGACUUAAGUUUUCUUAAACCGUGGGGUUAUGCUGCCUAUACUCAUGAGCCCUCUCACAAGUUUGGGAAAUUGGGUCCCAGAGAUAAUAAUAGUAUUUUCAUAAGAUACUCUGAACACUCGAAAGGGUAUGUGUUUAUAUGCGAGCAGGAAAGUGGGAGUAUAACUGAAUUUGAAUUACGGGAUGUUAUAUUUUUAGAUAAUGAAUUUCAUAAAAAUGAUGAAAUAGAUGAUGAUUACUCUUUAUUUGAAACCUUGGAUCAAGAUAAUGAAUUUAGUAAAGUUCGUCCAAGUGGGAGUAACAUAAGAAGUGAUGAAUUGAAUUCAACUCACUCUCAAUUACAACAAUAUGAUGAGACCAUAUUGUUAUUAUCUAAUCCGAGUGAGAGCAUAAUGGAGAAUAAUGUGCAAAGUGUAUAAUCUCCCGUACAACUAACAAGUUGCAAAAAUAUUACCCGUUGACGUUCUGACAUUGAAAGGGAAACUCUUAUAAUUGCUUCAUAGGAUGAAGAUGAGCCAAGAAAUGUAAAUGAUGCUCUAAAUUGCCUUAGUAAGAAAAAAUGGAUGCAUGCUAUGGAAGAGGAAAUUGAGUUAAUGAAGUUUGUUACGCCCUAAUCCUCCGAGCACGUACCCAUCCCUCUGUGGUCAAUUAAAUAACGACGUCUCAAGACGCAUUGUCGACCCAUUCAUUUUAAUAUACACAUGCAGAAGCAGUUAUAUAAUCCUUAAACAACAACAAGAUGUGAUAGAAAGAUAGGAUCAUUUUUUCACAAAUUACCUUUUUAUAAACACACGGGUAUAUACACAAAGGUUUAGGAAAGGGAUGGGCUUCCAACAAAAGUGAAUUGUCCUAUGACUAGCUAGUCGGACAUGAUCGCCAAUUCUUCAGGUUUCACCUCCUAAACUUCGGGUUUCGGGUCCUCCACCGCUUUUAUCCCACAACGGGGUGAGAUGACGUCUCAGCAAGUUCAACUUCCUAAGCCCCAACUAGGAAGAAAAUACAUCCACAAGGUUUACUUAUGCACAAUCACGAGAUAUUGGACUUACCUUUGCCUCAAAUUCUUCUUGCACAUCAGUACAAUUAUAUAUUCAUCAUAUCAUUUCACUCAAUCAAAUCAUCAAACCGAUCAAAUCAUCGAUCAAUCAAACUAGACGAUUCCAUGUUAUCACGACCUACUCUCUGUUGGCACAUUCAAUACUCAAACCAACUAUUAUUCACGACCACUCACGGGCACAACCUAUUCCAGAUUCAAUGGCUUCCUAGUGUAACUAGGUUAAUUAUAGUCUAAUGGGCACAACCUUGAUUAUGUGGUAAAUCACGGUCCGAUAGGCAUAACCUUUAUUAGGUGGUAAUCACGACCCAAUGGACACAACCUCUAUUAGGUGAUAAUUACGGCCUAACGACACAACUUCUAUCAGGUGGUAAUCACGGCCUAACGGCACAACCUCUAUCAGGUGAUAAUCACAGCCUGAUAGGCACAACCUCUUUUAAGUGGUCUUCUUAACCUCACCCAUAUUAUCACACGAUUACUCGCCCAUGGUCCAUGACAUUGAGCUUCACACUUAAUUUUCUCAAUUAACAUAACGUCAUGACUUAUUUUCUUCAUAUUCAAAAUACCCGACAAAAAUAAUCGUGUGUAGGUACACGAUCGGCCUUAUCCAAAAUACAAUAUUUUCACUUUUGAAAAUCCCACUAAAUUUAGCAGUCUCAAAAUACAUUUUUGCCGCUGUAGACCGAUACUCGGUAAUUUUCUAAUUAAUUACUGAAAUUAAUUAAUUUUGGGAUAAUUACCCAAAAUUGCAAACAUCCAAUUUGUACAAAAUAAUAGUCAAUUAAAUAAACAGAUCACACCACUACAAUCAGCAUGCAAUUCCGAUCACCGGCUAUCCCGGUCUAAUUUUCGAAAAAUAAAUAAAUAAAUAAAUACAAAAAAUAAUUAUUAAAUGCAAAUAAAUAAGACUUAGGCAGAGCCAUGGUUCCGUUUUUAAGGUUAUCCAUUCCAUGCGUUUGGUAGGUGAAUCCAGUGCUGAGAAGAUCCCUUCUCAUCAUGUCUACAGAACCUAAAAUCCUCGAAGCACCAGUUUCUCUUGCUCCCUCUCCUUCAUCCUCAACACCUCAAGAGUUUCGUGUUUCCAAUGCUUCUAAGAUAGAUUAUCUCUAUGAAGUCUCUCUUAGCGAUGAAACCAAGAUUUUUGAAACUCAACUUCCUCUCAUGAAUCCUUACUCCGCCUUUGUUAAACCAAACUCGUCAUUCUCACCCAUUCGCUCCAUUCGCCAGCUCAUUCACUAAACCCCAAAGCAAGUAAAGGAGUACGUCCAGUCCUCUAAAUUCGACCAGCAUCCUAUUUCUGCUACUAAAAAAUAGUACUUUGUUACUCUCCAGAUCCCUCCAAAGUUUCCCAGACAAUGGGCUCAACAAGGAUACACUCAUGUCCAUUAUGGAGCUAUUCGUCUUGCUCUUACCUUUCAUAGUCGUAAAUGUUUGCCAGUUGUGGCAAGAAUUGCUUUAUUGAAUACUAGAUUUUUACAAUACCAGCAUGCUUGCAUUGGUACUGUACAAAACUACUUUGAAUGUCAGAACAGUCCUUGUAACUUUGUAUCCAAACUUCAACAUCGCUCUUUCAGAUCCCCAGUUACUUUCUUUCUUAAAAGUCCAAGUAUAGCUCACUGGAGCCCCUCAAACUGCUGACUCUGUAGCUGCAACUCUACAUUACCAGAUGGUUUAUCGAGUGCAGAAUCAUGCUCUUGAUCUCAACUUCAACAAUGGUAAUGAAGAUGCUUUGUUUAUCUCCAUGCAAAAUGAUCAUGCAUCAUGUAUCCAUGUUCUCAAACAGAUCUCAAAGGAUACGUUGGCCAAGCUCCUUCCAAAGACUUGGAUCACCAACUACGAAAAGCUACACCAGCAUAACAAGCCUUUCCAGUCUACGGACUCAGAGUUCGUCCGGAAAAAAGAUGGAACUGUUUCCAUCAAAUUUGGCAAGGAAAAUGAAGAAAGUCCUUCUAUCUUCCAAAUCCUCUUCAUGAUUGAACCAUGUGUUCCAGAAUUGAUUUCCGAGUCAGACCCAAAAAAACUUGUUCGACACUUCAACAGUAAUGGACAUCCAGUCCAUUACUACAAAGACAACUAUGGUCAUUGUUUUUUGAAUCCUUUUUGUCAAUGUUCCUAUUGUACAAAUUCCCCUAAUGAGGUAGACCCUCUUGCAAGACCUCCACCUCAACCAAAAAGGCCAAAGGAUAAGGUGUACCAAAGGUACUUAAACGGAGAUCCCUCCUUUGAUACUCUUGGUGAGUGUGAUAAAUACCAAUUCAUGGUUUCCUAUGCACCACCUCCACCACCAGAGUUCAGUACUACAUCCCAAGCUUCACUAGAUCCACCAAAAUCACCUCAACUUUCUCUCCCUCAGAAAAAACAAGCUCUUUCUCCGUUUUACAAACCAAUUCUAAAAUGGGCUAAGAAGCAUUCUUACCCACUUGAAGCUCCAGCAGAAACAUUACCCACUUCUUCUAUCGCCAUGUUCCAUGAAAUUGACUUUCCCCCUCUUGUCAGAGAAAGUUCCAAAUUAUUGUUUCCUACUCCCGAGGAAUUCAUUGAUCCACAAAACAGAUAUCGUCAUGUUCCAAAAAUAGCAACCCCCACUGAUGUGGAUGAACAUGAGAGAUAGAGAAAGACCCCUGUUGCUGAAGCAGUUCUAAAUUGACAAUGCCUUUAAGGCAAUUGAUUCCAAGAUUGGAAAUGUGCAACAAGAUCUCCAAAGGUAUGAUGAAAGCACCAAAAAGAUACUUUCUGAGUUCCAGAAAAAGCUUCAUGCCUUAGAAUCAAGACAACAUCUUGGGUAUCAUUAUUGUGAAAGUCCAAAGCCAUGGAGAGGUUUUUCACAAAGCACACACUUUACUUCAAGGGACUCUACCCAACACACUACACCCUCAUUGAAAUCCUGGACAUGCCUAGAAAAUUUCCGAACUACUUUAGUUAAAUACUAGAGCUUGUCUAAGCUUUAAUUACACUACUCUAACCACUUAACAUGCAAUAACAAUUAAUUAAAUUGCUAAUCGAAUCUAACUAUUCUUCUAAUCCAUACUAAGUCUAAACUAAUCAACCCUUAAACGUCAUUAACCUAUUAACUCACUUGUUAAGCAUUCUGUUUGGAUCAAAACGACGGGGGUGCGGCGAGGGACGAGAUACUUCAAAGUAGGACCGUUAAAUGGGGUCAGGAAUGGCUUGAAAACGGGCUGAACAGUGGCUGUGAUACCCAGGGGCUUUGGCUUCUGUUCGGGGUCGACGAAGGGCUGCUCGGCAAUCGGUUGGGUGGAAAUGGCUAGGUUGGACCGGUGGUGGCUAUAGCAAGCUUAGUAGGUGAAGGCGGUGGUGUACGGCGGCGAAGGGAGCUUCGAUGGUGGCCCGAGCUGGUCUGGCGAGUUCCUGGACGAGAAAGCAAGGCUGGAUAGCGGUGGAGGACACACGGAACAACCGGACAAGUGGCGAGGCCCGCGAAGGCGCACGACAACAAAUGACGGUGAACGGUAACUUUGGCGGGAUGCUCGACGACCAGGGGUGCUUCUGGUUUGACUGCUCUAGAUUGCUAAGCUCAAAAACAACAAAUGAAGGAGGGGGAGGCUACUCGACGGUGGGGGAGAGAGAGGAAGGAGGGAGGGGACAAACUGGCUUGGAGGGGGCCACCUUUUGUCUUUCUUAUCCCAUUUGGUCCCUCCUUGACCGGUCCUACCUCCACAACUGGUGUCCACUAAGAAUUUUCAAGCCAAAAUGCCCCUUCUAGAAGGCUUGAGGAGGUCCAAUUGUUGGGUCCAAUGGGGCACACGAAUUUGCAAUAAAUUUCCCUUAAAUUGGACUUCAAUCCUUCUUGAAUCAACUGGAUUCAACCUCUAUAAAUCCCACCGACAUACCAUUGACAAAUUGGUAUUUUUCCAAGACAUUAGAACCUACUUGCAUCCCAAUUAUGCGGUAAAAAAUGAUCCUCUGACUUUUCUGGACGAAAACAGCUCUACAUCGACUUUUUUCACCAAAAAUCCUGAUUUGCAGAAAAAUCUUCGGAGACCGAGUCGACGUUUCUAAAAUGACUUGCGACAUGACAGAACUUUCAAUUUCUAAAAUCAAAUUCAAAUUUGCGGUUAAUUUCGAUUUGGCGCUAUUUUAGCGUGACCUAAACUACCAAGUAGCUUUCAUAAAUUUUUAGUGUAAAUGACCCGUGGUCGAUUUUCUUCGAGCCACAAUGAACCUCUUCGACACAUUGACGAUUUUCGGUUGCCGUGAAAAUUUCAAAGAUUCAAAUAUGGAUACAUGGUAUCAAAAUGAUAGAAAAAUCAGUCUAGUGUUGGUCAAUGAGAAUUUUGUAAUUUAGUGAAACCACCCAUGUUUAGCCACACAUCUCAAUCGAAUCGAUCUAUCUCUGAUUUCUAAUUGACUUAUAUUUGUGUCGUAAUAACAUCUGCAGAUGAGCACGGUCGAAUAGCCGAUUUCUAGUCGAACCCUCGAGUUUAUUGCGUUAAAUUUCCUUAAUAACUUCCAUAGAUAGUCUAAUUAUUUCACAAGUAAACAAUUAUGAGAAUAGCACUAUAGACGCAUCGAUGAAAGGCUCGAUUAAUUUAAUUGAAAGCAGAAAUAAAAAUUCAGGAUGUCACAAAGUCAAACUAUGUUUGGGAAUUGGUUGACUUUUCAAAAGGAUACAAAGCCAUUAAGAAUAAGUGGGUUCUCAAAAUAAAGUGUAAAUGUGAUGGCUCAAUAGAAAGAUAUAAUUAUUGUCUUGUGGCGAAUGGGUAUAAUCAACGGGAAUGAAUUAAUUAUGAGGAAACAUUUUCUUCGGUAGUGAGAUUGACCUCAAUUUACAUUAUUCUGGCAAUAAUAGUUAGUAUGGAUAUUGAGUUACAUCAAAUGGAUGUAAAGACUACUUUUCUCAAUGGAGAAUUAGAAGUAGAAAUAUAUAUGGAACAACCUAUUAGUUUCAUUUUGAAAGGUCAAGAACAAAAUGUAUGUCGACUUUUGAAAUUGAUAUAUGGCCUCAAGCAAUUGUUGAGACAAUGAUAUAUGCGUUUUCAUAAUGCUAUAAUGACAUAUGAUUUUACAAUAAUUGAUGAGGAUCAUUGUAUAUAUAUCAAGAGAUUUAAAGAUUAAUUUGUGAUCAUAUUAUUAUAUAUUGAUGAGAUACUGAUUGUCGGAAGCAAUAUGGAGUUUGUUAAUACUGUCAAGAGUUGAUUAUUUUCCAACUUUGAGAUGAAAGAUAUGGGUGAGACUGCAUACUUUUUUGGAGUUAAGAUUUCAAGGGAUCAUUCGAAGAGAUCAUUAUCUCUUUUGUAAGAAAUAAGAUUAUUGAAUGAUUUCGUAUGCAAGAUUGUAAACCCAUAAAUACUCCUAUUGCAAAAGGUGAAUGAUUGAAUAAUAUAAUGUGUCCAAAGACUCCAUAAGAGAAUAAACAAAUACAAUAUGUUCUUUAUGUUAAUGUUGUUAGAAGCUUAAUGUACAUUAUGAUGUGUACAAGACCUGACAUAUGUUUUGCAGUUGGAAUGGUAAGUGGAUACCAAUCCAAUCCAGGUCAAGUACAUUGGAAAGCCGUCAAAGAAUACUUAGGUAUCUAAAAGGAAUUGCUUAUUAUACACUAAGUUACCAAAGAAAAGAUCUGCGACUUGAAAGCUAUUUAAAUGCUGAUUGGGAAAGAGAUUUAGAUAAAAGGAAAUCUAUCUUUGGAUUUGUUUUUUAACUGAAUAAUGGCGUCAUAUCUUGGAGCAAUAAGAAACAAACAUGUAUAACUUCGUCCACGAUGGAAGCUGAGUCCGUGGCAUUAUCAGCAGUAAUACAAGAAGGUGUUUGGCUUAAGAGAUUUUUGGAUCAUUUAGGCGUUAUUGUGAAUAUUGCAAACUCAUUGUUGGUUAACUAUGAUAGCCAAACAGCAAUAGUGUAUACCAAAGAUCUAAAAUAUCAUCAUAGCAAGACUAAACAUAUAGAUACCAAGUAUAAUUUUGUCAAAGAUAUGGUUGUAUAAAAAGAUGUGAAUAUUGUAAUUUCAUUUAAGUGUUCACAUUUAAUGACUUUGUAUUUUCAUUAUUAAUGCCUCUAAGUCUUUGUUUGAUGUUUAUGCAUUUUAAUAUUUAGUGCAUUAUGUAAAAUUGAAGAAAGUAUGUCAAACAUAUAAGAGAUUAGCCCACUCACACAGGUAAUCGCCUCUAUUUACUAUGUGAUAUAUAGAUAUGAGGUGGUUUUUAAGCUUAUUAACUAAGUGAUAAUCGAGAGCUCAAGCUUAAAAUAUAUAUGUUACAUUAACUGAGUGUUAAGAUGAGGACAUAGUAUUUAAUAUGUGCAAAAGUAAAAUAACCAACAUAUUUUACUUUAUUUGUCUAUAAUGCUAUAUGUGAGUUCUGAUGAAUUUCGUGAAAAAGUAGAUACGUUAACUUAAGUUGGAUAUUAGGUGUGUCUGAACUAUCAUCUGUACGGUAUUAAAGGUGUAGACAUACGUUUCAUAGGGAAUGAGUUAAUACCGUAAUACAUAUUUCAUACUACGUAUGCAUGAGACAAUCAAUAAGAGUGGCAAAAUUUUUUAUCUCAAUUUUUAUACCGUGUGAGACUCUUGAGGAAAAGAGUUCCUCAAUUUAGUGCCCUUAUGGCUCUUACUUAUUUUCAAGAUUUCUAUUUAGUAUUUACUAUCUUAGAAUGUUGCCAAUGAUCAUGAGUUGAUUCAAUCUAAUAAGAUAUUUCUAGAAAAACAAGUUGAAUUGAAAUUGAGAGUUUCAAGAAAAGAGAAAGAUCGAGUUUGAUGAAUUACAUUCUUAUUUUGUAUUCUCUAGUCAACCAAUUAUGAUUGUUUCGGGAUAAUCAUAAUUGUGAAUACAAUAUAUCAUUGUUAAAAAGAGAUAAAAUAAUGAUGUAAAUGUGAUUAAUCGAUUUAGGGUACUGCAUACUAUAUCUACUAAAAAAUGUAAUGUCCAUUAUGAGCUGCCAUAUAUUCCUAACAUAUAUAUGAUAACGAGUUAUCAAAGUAUGUUGGUCGCACGAAUUAUUUACUAGUGUGAAUGUUGUAGAGAGGUAAAGAGAGUUCUAUUCGGCCAACUAUGUGUGAGUAAAAGAUGAUGGGUUUUUAUGUGUGAUGGGCCUAUUAAGCCCGUCUACCCAUGUUGAGUCAAAACCUAGCCCGUAAGUAAAGGGUCCAUAAAAGAGUGCAGUUACUAUAAUAAAUAGAAUAAAAAGAAGUAAAAAGGGGAUAAGUGAACAGUUGCAUUUUUUAGAAGAGAAAAAUACGUUUUUCUUUUCUUUUUUCCCCUUGAAAUAGUACACACUCUCUCAACGAAUUGAACUAGGGCUUCGAAGGAUUCCUCAUAAAAAUUGCGACGGUACUUAAUCUGUGGUAAUUAAGAUAUGUCCGACUCCGUGAUAUGUCUUCGAUUGAUGUUAUAUGUUUUUGGGCACGUUUUCGCGUUCGUUUUCGAUAUUCAAUCGUUUGAUUAUCGGAUCCUUUUUUUUUUUGGAAUUUUUUUUCCUACAACGGAGAUCAUCAGAUCCUCGAAAGCUCGCCAUAUAGGAGCCAACGUAACCAAAUUCCGAACAACAAAAAGAGUUCGAUCCUGAAUCCAUGCGAAUGUCUUCUACUUGUUUACUGGUCUUUGCUCUUGAGUGGAGCCAAUGGAUGCUAGCUUUUUUGGGGGUGGAUUCCCAUCUUUGUCCUCAUCGGCCGCCCAGCAUAGCCUCAAGCUCCAAGCCCGCGAUGCGAUCAUCGCUUGGAUCGAGGCUUGUUCAAGGUAGUGAUCAAUCUCGAUCGGAGGCUGCGAGGACCCGGGGACAACCUCCAUUGCCAGUCAUGGGGAGGCGCCAGCUGAGAGGAGAGAUGGAAGAGAAAGAGAGACGGAGAAACCGGGAAUAUGGAGAGAUGGGAGAGAGCUGCGCCCUUAGUUGCUGCUCGAUCCGCUCUUGCCGUUUCCCAUCAACUCUGCUCUCGGCUUCGAGACUCAUGCCUUGUCCGGAACCUUUGAUGCUCUUCGCGAUUAAUCACUGGCUUGAAGCAGUGAGAGGGAUAGCUGGCAAGGACAUAGCUUGAGCAGCAGGGAGAGAGAAGGGGACAGGAGAGAGCUGCGGAGUCUCUGCUAGUGAAGAGAGACCCCCAACUACUUGAGGGUAGUGUAUGGAGUUGAUGUAGGGCUGUAUUUAGCGCCCUCCCUUCGUGGUAUUAACCCAAAACUAAAACCUUUGAAAUAGGCACGCAACAUAUUUAGUUUUCGACUGUGCUUGUGUUUAUAGUUCCGGUGAUACAAUGCACAUAUGUAUAUUAUAGGACUGAAGAGGUGUGAAUAGUAAAUUGGUGAUGCGACUUCUUGAUGAAUUUGCAAUGAUUUUGUUCUUUUUCUUUUUAAUCAAUUCAACACUUUACUGCUUCCCCUCUACAAAACAACUAUUAGCUCUGCGAAGGGGUGUAUUUUAAAAUGUAUUAAGUGAAGUAGAUGUUAGGGAUUUUUAUUUUUUUUUUAAUUUCAGGCUUCACUUAGUAUAUUCUUAGUUAUAAUACCUAAGCAUUUUGCUUACUACUACAAAAAAUUUCAAAAUAAUACAUUCGUGUCACAUUACUAAAAACUAAUUUUCAUGUCACAAAAAAACUCCAUACCGGUACGCUCACAUCACAUUUACCCCAACUAAUUGUCAUGUCACGAAAAAUCUCGAAUUGGUACAUCCGAGUCAUAUUUAACUCAAACUGAUGAAAAGAUCUUAAAGUUUGAGGUAAAUGUGGCAUGGAUAAACCACUUGAAGGUUUUUGAAGAAAUUAGUCCUAAACAUUUUGCUAUUUUAAAAAAAAAAAUUAUAUAGAUGAACUUUUGGAUUAUGCAAAAGUCGUCUUACUUCUUGGAUCGGGAUUGCAGUUGUCCGAUUACUUUCAUAUGUCACACUCUUUAGGAAAUAUGCUUAUACUAUUAGUAUUCCUACCCCAAAGUUUUUUAUUGCAAUGCAUAUUGCAACACAAUAUAUGUUAUUAAGAUGGAAUGAGGAGUAUGGAUUGCGUUUGUCUUCUUAGGAUAGUGGGUUGAUUUUUUCUUUCCGAUUUGCAAAACUAGAUAGUAUAAUUUUAUUUUAUUCGUGAAGAAAACAAAAUAAUAUAUGAUGAAUUGAUGACAUGGCUUUUUAGAGUUUAGAUUGGAAAGUAAGAAAAAUUUCAAAUAAAUGCAUGAAGUGUCAUUAUUUUUUCAAAUAAUAGCAUGAAGUGGACAUUGUUUCAAAAAAUGGUCCAAAGUGUCAUUAUUUUCUUAAAUAAGAGUUUGAAAUAGACAUUAUUUUAAAUAAAUAUUUGAAGUGGUCAUAUCAAUUUUAAAGAAGAGCUCGAACUCACCGGCUAGUGAAGGGCAAUUUGUCUUUUAAUUUUUAAUUUUUUUCCUUUUUGAUUUUUUUUCCUUUUUUUCUUUUCAUAAAAAAACUAAAAAAACUAAAACUUCUAAAAAAAGGAAGCAAAAACAUAUGUGGGAGGGCUUCAUCUCGUCUGUGGCUGCCGCCUCACUGCUGAUGGGGUAGCGGCAAUGGUUGGUCAGGUUGUUGACUCUUGGCGAGGGUCAUGGCAAGUUGGCCCUCACAUUGGCUUGGUGGCCCUCCCCCAAGGCCUUCGUACCUCGCGCCUACCUUGAUGGCCAUUGUCGUUGCCCCAUUGGCGAUGGGGUGACGGCCAUGGGAGCCUUUCCUCUCGUAUUUUUUUAUCUUCUUUUAAUUUUUAAUCUAGUUUAACUUAAUUUAAAUUUAAAUUUAAAUUCUGUUUGGAUGAAAAUAUUCCUUGAGACUUGAUCCUUAUUUGAAACAGUUAUAACCACUUUAGGCUCUUUUUUGAAACUGAUAUAGUCACUUUAGACUCUUAUUUGAAAUAAAAACUGCUUCAUAUAGUUAUUUAAGAAAAUGAGGGCAUUUUGAGUUUUUAUUUUGAAUUUUUUUUUUUUGGGACAUAUGCAAUCACUUUUUCCCCCUUUCUUAUGGCAAUUGUCCAGCCAAACGUUGAAGGCCAACUAACUGACAAGGUAAAAGAUGAUUGAUGUAAUGGAAAGCUACUACAUAGGAACUUUAGCUUUNNNNNNNNNNNNNNNNNNNNNNNNNNNNNNNNNNNNNNNNNNNNNNNNNNNNNNNNNNNNNNNNNNNNNNNNNNNNNNNNNNNNNNNNNNNNNNNNNNNNNNNNNNNNNNNNNNNNNNNNNNNNNNNNNNNNNNNNNNNNNNNNNNNNNNNNNNNNNNNNNNNNNNNNNNNNNNNNNNNNNNNNNNNNNNNNNNNNNNNNNNNNNNNNNNNNNNNNNNNNNNNNNNNNNNNNNNNNNNNNNNNNNNNNNNNNNNNNNNNNNNNNNNNNNNNNNNNNNNNNNNNNNNNNNNNNNNNNNNNNNNNNNNNNNNNNNNNNNNNNNNNNNNNNNNNNNNNNNNNNNNNNNNNNNNNNNNNNNNNNNNNNNNNNNNNNNNNNNNNNNNNNNNNNNNNNNNNNNNNNNNNNNNNNNNNNNNNNNNNNNNNNNNNNNNNNNNNNNNNNNNNNNNNNNNNNNNNNNNNNNNNNNNNNNNNNNNNNNNNNNNNNNNNNNNNNNNNNNNNNNNNNNNNNNNNNNNNNNNNNNNNNNNNNNNNNNNNNNNNNNNNNNNNNNNNNNNNNNNNNNNNNNNNNNNNNNNNNNNNNNNNNNNNNNNNNNNNNNNNNNNNNNNNNNNNNNNNNNNNNNNNNNNNNNNNNNNNNNNNNNNNNNNNNNNNNNNNNNNNNNNNNNNNNNNNNNNNNNNNNNNNNNNNNNNNNNNNNNNNNNNNNNNNNNNNNNNNNNNNNNNNNNNNNNNNNNNNNNNNNNNNNNNNNNNNNNNNNNNNNNNNNNNNNNNNNNNNNNNNNNNNNNNNNNNNNNNNNNNNNNNNNNNNNNNNNNNNNNNNNNNNNNNNNNNNNNNNNNNNNNNNNNNNNNNNNNNNNNNCUUUUUAGCUCCUUUGAAAACAUUUUUCAAAUACAAAAGUUCAGUAUCUUCCCACUGAAUUAGUGAAUUAGGUAGCACUCCUUUGUAUAGAAUAACACACACCAAAAUUAAUCUUUCAUAAAUUGCAUUUCAUUGUAAAUGUGAACUACUUAUACACAUAAAAAUAUAAAUCAAAAUACGGGAGAUAAAAAAGAUGCAUGGUCAUUUGUCUACUUGGCUAGUUAGGGAAAGGUUUUGAAAAUAAAUAAAUAAAAUAACAAGUCAUCAAUGGAAAUGGAAUGAGAGGGAUUUGAACCCUUGGUACGAAAAACUCAUACAACGGAUUAGCAAUCUUACACUUUAGUCCACUGAGCCAUCUCUCCCCAUUGAAAAAGGAUAAUUAUUAUCUUACAUCACAAAUGAUUAAUUGAUCUCUUUUUCUAGCUCCCUUACUCUAUGUUUUUGUUAAUCCCGUCUAUAAUGAUUGAUGAAUUAACAACUAUCAAUUGAACUUAUUCUUUCAUUUGAAUUGGUAUUUUUGCUUAUCUUCAUAUAUUGAAACUUAGGGAAGUGUUUUAUAAACAUAUGUAUAAAAAGAACACAUUUCAUUCAGCUCCUUCAUCUUCAUGCAAGCAUGACAUCAUUAUGAACAUGAAGUCCACACUUUCAGAGAGAGGCUAGCCCAACUUAAAUGGGAUAGGAUAGCUUGGUCUAACAUUCUUGCCAAUACAUUAUCCUUAUUCUAUUCCGGAUUGUAAUCUCUAAUGAAAAAUAUAAGCACUAUAGUGAUUAAAGUGAUCUUUUUCAUAUAUUUUUUAGCCCUUCCAAUGGAUCCUGAAAGUCGUAUCUACUAUACCAUAAAUGUGUGGGAGGGGGAGUGACAAUAUUAACUUACUUGCUCACUUUUUAUUUCUCUCUAAACUAAAGAGUUUUCUAAAAGAUGCCACUCUACGAGGAAAGUCCACGGGUCAAGUCUUGCGAGUUCAUCCCAAAGAAAGCGAUCACCUUCCUAGUUAGGAAGAUGCAUAUAAAAGGCCAAUAGCCUCAUGUCACCUUCCACGGCAUAAGCUUUAAAGAAGAGAGCUAUUCAUGCUAAUAAUAAAUAAAGAUUUCAUAAGAUAAGAAAAUCAAUUUUUUUUUGAAAGGGAAAUCCCAAGAAAUCACCAUCAAUAUCUCGGUGUAGGUCCGAGAUAAUCCUUUGUUCCAUAGUCCUAGGGUGGGGCUAUUUACAACUAGCCAAUUGAAAAUUCUCCGAUGUACUAGUACUAGCAAGUGUAUCAAAGAUGCAGUUAUCGAUUCUCUCGAAAGGCCACAAUUACUGUGAGAAAACCAAGGCAAUGAUCAGUAAUUGGUCUGAGUGGAUGAUUAGCCACAUUGAGACUAAGACACGGCUCAGACUCUUAUGGGAGGUAGCAAUAGGGAAUUUUCUGCAAUGGGGGAAAGCCUAGAGUAAGCUACCAUGAGAGAAAAGAUCUUAUUUCUAAAAGGAUUCGAUUCGGAAUUAUCAUAUAUCCAAGGUCCAAUAUUGAAAUAAUUUCACAAUUUUUCCAUGACUUUAGAUGCAAAUCUUUUGAUUCUAUCUCUAAUAUUCUUUACCCCUUCCCAUGUCAAUAACUAAAACGGAAAAAAAAAAAAAGGGAAUGUAAAUGCAUCCGGAAAUAAACAAUUGAUCCCUAUCAAAAGACCUGCUAAAGCCCCAAACCAUACACGUUCACUUAAAAAAAAAAAAAAAAAUCCUUCUGUACGAAUCAAUAAUUAAGAAAAAUUGAGAAACUUAACACAAAGGUGGAAAUCAACCCGCGUCUUCUCCUUGUCAAAGAGAAAUUUUACCAUUCGACUAUAUCCGCAUUUUUUUUUUCAUUCUUGAUACCUUGAUACGAGGUGUUUGGAUAAUAUUUAUCCCUAGCUAGGCCACAUACUGUGAAACCUUUUAAGCACGGGAUUGGACAGUUGUGAUUGGAUUUUAUUUACUAGUCGUAAUUGCGCUUUCAACCAUGAUGGAAUUCUUUGAGCUAGGAUCUAAAGAGAUGGUGACAAGACUCAUUCGACUCACAAUUCGUACUGCAUGGGUCGAUACGCAUAGCGUCUAGUGUCCAUCGUUUACGACUAGGACUACCGGGGCAUCUAAUCCCAUUCGCUCCCUUAACUUUUGCCUCUGAGUGUCAAUGUCGGCCAGCAAAGUGCUUUUGCCAUUAGUGUUCUUUUCGAUCUCUCCACAUUUCACCGCUCCACUAGAAAUUCCCUCUACCAUAGUUAAUGGUUCCAAUUUAUCCUAAAUUUUGGCUUUUGUGAUUGAAAAACCACAUUUGAUUUUUCAGUUUUUCAAUAUCAAUAUAAAAAAGAGGGAAAUUUUUUUAGAUAUUUAGUUUUUGAGAUACUAUACAUACAAACGAAGGGAAGGAUCCGAUUCGUAUAGCUAAUUCCUAUAAAUGUCUAUUUUCUAGGCUAUUCAACCAACAUGUUUCCCUGGAGAAUCGGUAAAUGCUUCUGCUACGAAAAAGGGUUGGGAUAUGAAAUGCUCAAUUUUUUGUGCUCUUGCUACGGUUAAGCAAUCCUCUUCAGAUAAUUCAUCUAACCCAUAGAUAGCUAUAGUGUCCUAAAGUUCUUUGUAACGUUGUAAAGUUUGCAUCUAGGGUUUCUUGAACAAUGUGAUAUUUCACACCAGGUAAAUCCUUAACCCUUUCCCCUCUUACUAAGACUACAUAAUGUUCUUGUGAAUUAUGACCAAUACCAGGUAUAUAAGUAGUGAUUUCAAAUCUAGAGGUUUGGCUAGGGCAUUAUAACAUGACCCAAAUAAGCCUCACUCACCGAUAUUUGAGCAAUUCUUCUUGUUGCUUUUAUAGAACUUCCCUCUUGUAUCAUCUGUAGGGAAUUACUGAUUCCCUAAAAUGGAUUCGACACUAAAUUGAACCCCUAAAAUGAAUGCGGAAGACGAGCCCAAGAACAAACAUGUAUCACCGAUCAAAGGCACACAACAUAAUCGAGCGUACCUUAUUAUCCACAGAUUAAACACCAACGUUGAAGUUUGAGAAAGAAUCUUGAUCUCGUUCUACUGAGGAGUGUACUGUUGCUGGAAGGGGAAAAACGUCGUUUUUGAGAGCGUAGCGUCUUACGCUUCUUGGAGGGAGAGAGAGUCUUAAACAACAUACGUACCCCAAAGGGUACGUUCCCUUUUUCUUUUUCUCUCUUACGUUUUCUCCAAAAGACGUAUCUCUUCAACGUAAAACAUUCCUCCAAAAGACAUAACCCCUCAUAUCUAAAUAACGUAGCCUUUCACAUUGCAACCGUUCCUCCAUGGGCCCUUAUCUUGCGGGUUGGGCUUUUAGGCCCAACAUGGGCGUACGGGCCCACUUAGGCCCAUCAAUAUACAAAUAAAACCAUCAUCUCCCACUCGCACAUGGUGGGCCGAACAGGAUCCUCUUUACCUCUCUACAACAUUCAUACCGGUGAAUAAUCCGUGCGACCAGCAUACUUUGAGAGUUCGUUACUAUACAUAUGUUAGGAAUAUAUAGCAACUCAUAAUAAGCAUCACACUUUGAGUAGAUUUAGUAUGCAGUACCCUAAAUCGAUCGAUCACAUUUAUAUCUCUCUUGAUCUCUUUUUAAUCAUUGAUAUAUUGUAUUCACAAUUACAAUUAUCCCAAAAACAGUCAUAAUUGGUCGACCAGUGAAUACAAAACUUAGAAUGUGAUUCUCCAUAUUCGAUCUUCCUCUUUCCUUCAAACUCUCAAUUUCAGUUCAAUUUGCUUUUCUAGAAAUGUCCCAUCAGAUCAAAUCAAUUCAUGAUCAUUGGCAACAUCCUAAGAUAGCAAUCAUUAAAUAAAAAUCUUGAGAAUAAGUAAGAAUCAUGAAGGCACUUAAAUUGAGGAACUCUCUUCCUCAAGAGUCUCACACGGUAUAAAAGUUGAGAUCAAACUUUUGUCACUCUUAUUGGUCGUCUUAUGCAUACAUAGUAUGAAAUACAUAUUACAGUAUUUAACUCAUUUCCCAUGGAGCGUAUGUCUACAUCUUUAAUACCGUACAUAUGAUAGUUCAGACAUACCCAAUGUCUAACUUGAGUUCACAUAUCUACUCAUACACAAAAUUCAUCAGAACUCACAUCUGGCAUCAUAGACAAACAAAGUAAAAUAUGUCGAUUAUUUUACUUUCAGACAUAGUAAAUAUUAUGUCAUCAUUUUAACACUCAGUUAAUGCGACAUAUUUUAAGCUUAAGCUCUCGAUUAUCACCUAGAUAAUAAGCUUAAAAACCGUCUCAUCUCUAUUAUUACACAGUAAAUAGAGACGAUUACCCAUGUGAGUGGGCUAAUCUUUUAUCUGUCCAACAUACUUUAUCAACUCAAUAUAAUGCACUAAGCAUUAAGAUGCAUAAACGUUAAACAAAGAUUCAUAGGCAUUAAUGAUGAAAAACACAAAUUCAUUAAAUGUGAACACUUCAGAGAAAUUAUAAUAUUCAGUAUAUAAGCCUCUACGCAGUCCUAGAAAUUUUACAUGACCACAAAAUACAUCUCUAGGUAUUGGCUUUGUCAUAGGAUCUGCUACCAUUCUAUGCGUAGAUAUGUACUGUAAGUUCACAUCUUUUUGUGCAACCAUAUCCUUAACAAAAUUAUACUUGAUAUCUAUGUGUUUGGUCUUGCCAUGAUAUUUUGGAUCUUUGGUGUACGCUAUAGCUGUUUGGCUAUCACAAUUAACCAAUAAUGGAUUUGUAGCAUACCCAAUAACAUCUAAAUGAUCCAAAAAUCUCUUAACCCAAACACAUUCUUGUAUUGCUGCUGAUAAUGCCACGAACUUAGCUUUCAUCGUAGAUAAGGCUAUACACAUUUGCUUGUUACUAUUCCAAGAUAUGGCGCCAUUAUUCAGUAAGAAAGCAAAACCAGAGGUAGAUUUUCUUUCAUAUAAAUCUCCUCCCCAAUCAGCAUCUGAGUAGCUUUCAAGUCACAGAUCAUUUCAUUGGUAAUUCAGCUUGUAAUCAACAGUUCUCUUCAGAUAUCUUAGUAUUCUUUUAACGACUUUCCAAUGUACUUGACCUGGAUUGGAUUGGUAUAUACUCACCAUUCCAACUGCAAAACAUAUGUCAGGUCUUGUACACAUCAUAGCGUACAUCAAGCUCCCAAUAGCACUAACAUAAGGAACAUGUUUCAUUUGUUCCUUCUCUUGUGGAGUUCUUUGAUACAAUCUAUGGCUCAAUCAUUCACAUUUUGCAAUAUGAGUAUCAAUGGGUUUACGAUCUUGUAUACGGAAUCGUUCAAGAAUCUUAUUUAUGUAUGUUUCUUGCGAAAGAGAUAACGAUCUCUUCGAACGAUCUCUUCAUAAUAUUAACAAAUUCCAUAUUGCUCUCGGCAAUUAGUAUAUCAUCAACAUAUAAUGAUAUGAUCACAAAUUGAUCUUUAGAUCUUUUGAUAUAUACAUAAUGAUCCUCAUCAAUCAUUCUAAAACCAUAUGCCAUUAUGGUAUUAUGAAAACGUAUAUACCAUUGUCUUGACGACUGCUUAAGGCCAUAUAUCGAUCUCAAAAGUCAACACAUCUUUUCUUCUUGGCCUUUCAUUUUGAAACCAAGAGGUUGUUCCAUAUAUAUUUCUUCAUCUAAUUCUCCAUUGAGAAAAGCAGUAUUUACAUUUAUUUGAUGUAACUCAAGAUCCAUACUAGCCACUAUUGUCAGAAUAAUGCGAAUCGAGGUAAAUCUCACUACAAGAGAAAAAGUUUCUUCAUAAUCAAUUCAUUUCUGUUGAUUAUACCUCUUUGCCACAAGGCGAGCUUUAUGUCUUUCUAUCGAGCCAUUAGCUUUACGCUUUAUUUUGAGAACCCAUUUGUUCCCAAUAGCUUUGCGUCCUUUUGGAAAAUCAACAAGUUCCCAAACAUGAUUUGACUUCAUUAACUCCAUCUCUCUUCCCUUGCAUGAAUCCAUUUUUCUAUUAGGGCAAUUUAGAGCCUCAUAAUAUUUCUUAGUUAAUCCUUAUCUUAUGGAGCAACCCAUAAAAUUUUCCCUUUCAAUGUCAAAACAUCGACGGGGAAUACUUUUGCGACUUGUUCGCCGUAUAGGAGAUUGUGCACUUUGUACAUUAUUCCCCAUCAUGCUCCCACUUGAAUGAAAUUAUGACGAUAUCAUCUCAUCAUGUAGUUGUAAUUGAGAGUGAAUUGAAUUAAUUUCAUCACUUCUCAUGUUACUCCCGCUUGGACAAACUCCAUCAAGUUCAUUAUCUUGAUCCAAGGUUUUAAAUAAGGAGUAAUCCUCACCUAUUUUGCCCUUCUUAGAAAUUCAUUCUCUAAGAAUGUGAUAUCCCGUGAUUCGAAUUCAGUUAUACUUCCACUUUCCUGCUCACCUAUCAUACCCUUUCGAGUGUUCAGAGUAUCUUAUGAAAAUACUCUUAUUUUCUCUGGGACCCAACUUCCCAAACUUGUGAGAGGGCUCAUGAGUAUAGGCAACAUAACCCCAUGGUUUAAGAAAACUUAAGUCCGGUUUUCUGCCUAUCCAUAACUCAUAUGGAGUAAAAGUAAUUAAUUUGGAAUGCACUCGGUUAAGUAUAUAGGCAGCAGUUAACAACGCAUCACUCGAAAAAGUGAUAGGUAAGUUAGCAUGUGCCAUCAUGGACCUAACCAUUUCCAAUAGGGUUCUGUUCCUUCUCACCGCAACACCAUUUUGUUGAGGAGUAUAUGGAAUAGACAACUGUCUUUUUAUUCAUUUUUCAAUACAUAAUUUUCUGAACUCAUCAGAUAAAUAUUCUCAACCUCGAUCGGAUCGCAAUACUUUUAUUUUCUUGUCUAAUUGAUUUUCUACCAAGUUCAUAAACAUUUUGAAACAACUCAAUGCUUUAGAUUUAUGAGAAAUCAAAUAGAUAUAUCCGAAUCGAAUAUAAUUGUGACAUCCUGAAAUUCGACCCUGUUUCGAUAAAGUGAAAUGGGCAUUUCAUCGACGUGCCUAUGGCUCUUUUUCUCUGAGCUGAUCACUCAUGAGUUAACUAACCUAUUGGGUGAAGCCGUUAAGGGAUGUAUCAGCUGUAAAAUCCCUAAAAGCUACCUAAUUGGUUGGAUUGAGCUAAAAUCACGUCUGAUUGAUUUUUAACCACGAAAUUGAACUCGAUUUCGGGAAUCGAAUUUUAAGCGCGUCAUAAUUCUUAUUUUAAGGAUCCUGUCUCAUCGCUCGUCAAUUUAUUGACGGGUCCGAAAUUUCAAUAAAGAAAUUAUCGGAAGAAAAAUUGAAGCCCAAAAGAAAAGAAAAGAGAAAGGAAAAGGAAAAUUGAAAUAAAGAAUUAUGCAUUUCCUUUUCUCUUUCCUCUCUCUCUCUCUCCCUCUCUUUCUUUCUUUCUUUCUUUCUCUCUCCUCUCUCCUCUCCCUUUUCCCCCUCGUGCGAAUUCCCCACCGCUCACUUUCCCUCUCUCUUUCUUUGACCGGUCAAUGCAUAUCCUUCUCUCUCUCUCUCUCUUUCUUCUUCUUCUUCUUCUUCUUCCUUCCUCCGCACGUCCAGCAAGCGAAAACCAGAAGCCGAACCAGAACCAGCUCGCCUCUCAGCCGUCGCCGCUUGUCCUGCCGCCACCCGCGCCCGAGCGCCCGCCACUCACCGCCGUCCGCGCGCGCCCAGGCCGCGCGAUCCAGCUCGGCCCAGCCCUGUUUCGCCUCUGUUCCGCACCGACCAGCCACCGUCCGGCCACCUCCGGCCACCGCUUAGCCCCGUCGGACCACCCUCGCGACCCCCUCGCCCUCCGCCGGCUUCCCCUCGCCGCCCUAGCCGCCGAAGCAGCCCCGAUCAGCCCCGUCCAGCAAACCCGCGAGUGGGUUUCCAGCUGGUUCAAGGCCGUUUUGGGCCGUUUCCGGGCCUCGAAUCCGUGAGUCGCUUUGGGAACAAUCGUUCCUCGCGUCGCCGCCGUCGGAUUGAUCCGAUUUGGUGAGUAAUCUCACUAAUCUCAGAUUAGUUGGCUAAUUAUGCUUUAAGGUUGGUUUAGUUUUAAUUAAUUAUGUUUAGGUUGUUAGAUUAGAAUAAAUUAGCAAUUAUUAGUCAAUUUUUAUGCGAUUUAAAUAAAUUGAUUGUGCAAUUAACAAGUAGACGUGGUCUACUAUUUAUUGGAAGCAUCUUGGGAAUUUUCCGACCCCUAAUUGGGCUUCAAUUUGGCGAUCCGGGCCUAAGUGGGAUUAUUGGCAUUUAAAUAUUAUUUUUCGAAAUUAAAUUAAUUAUUUAAUUAUUUUCCGAAAAUUCAACUGAGAUGGCCAGGAACCGGAAAAUUAUGCUGAUGACGGUGGUGGAGUUCGUUUGUUUAAUCGGGCUUUAUUUUGAACUAAAUUAGAUUUUUAAUGUUAAUUAUUUAAUUUUCGAAAUUAAUUAAUUAUUUAUUUAUUUUCCAAAAAUUCAACUGGGAUGGCCCGUGACCGGAAAUUUAUGCUGAUGAUCGUGGUGAAGUCCGUUUAUUUAAUUGGACGUUAUUUUGAGCUAAAUGGAAUUUUUAAUAUUUAUAAAUUAAUUUUUUUCGGAAAUUGAAAUUGAGAUGGCCGACGACCGAAAUCUCGUGCCGAUUGUCGUGGCGCAGUCUGUUUAUUUAUUUGAGCUUUGAAUUGUGCCAAAUUGAAUUGAAUGUGGAAUUUAGGAUAUGUUCCUAAAUCAUUGUGGUUAAUUAUUUCAUUGAGAAAUCAUUGAAUUUCUAAAGUGGUCGAGUGGGACCGUAAAGCCAUUGAAUAUCGAAAGUGGUCGAGUGGGACCGUAAAGCCAUUGAAUAUCGAAAGUGGUCGAGUGGGACCGUAAAGCCAUUGAAUUUCUAAAGUGGUCGAGUGGGACCGUAAAGCCAUUGAAUAUCGAAAGUGGUCGAGUGGGACCGUAAAGCCAUUGAAUAUCGAAAGUGGUCGAGUGGGACCGUAAAGCCAUUAAAUAUUGAAUGUUGCUGAGUGGGACUCUGAAUAGCAAUAGCUUGAAUGACCGGGAAAUGGUCAGGUUGACAUGUAAUCGACGAGGUCGAUUGAUCAUUGUUUUGAUUUGAUGUUGUGAAUUGAUUGACUGAAUGGGAACGACUGUGAGUGGUCUUGUUGGCUUGUAAUCGACUAGGUCGAUUUGAUCGAUGCUUUGAUCGGUGAUACGAUUGCUUGAGUGCCUAUUGUGAAUUGUAAUGACUUGCAGGUGGGAUCUGAUGCUAAGGUAUGUCUUCUGACCUAUGCGUGUUUAGGCAGCCUUUAGUAUAAUGGUUUACUAAUUGGGCUUAGUGGGGUAGAACUCGCUGAGACGUAGUCUCAUCCCAGUUUGGGGAAAACCAUUUCAGGACCCCGCUAAGGAGCUGAGGAGGAAGAGUUGGAGAAGGAUUUUUGUGGGAGAAGAAGACAAUCUCGAGAGGGGCCGUGAGUACGGCCAAGAUGGACUGAAACUUUAUCUUCUUUUGAGAUCUCCUUUUUGAUGUGAAUAGUUAUGAAGUGAAUUAUGGUUUGUAUAAAAGUUUGGUUAUAAAUUUCAAUAUGAAAAAUAUGGCCCUGCUUUUCUAUCCCAUCGUUUUAUUGUCUGGGGAUUUUAACUGCUUCCGCAUGUGCUUAAAAAUGAAAGGGUCGGCGAUACAUUGUCCUGGGAUAUCGCAUUAUAAAAUCGACCAAAUAGAAGGAUGUGCACGUGCCCGAGGAUCGGGGUGUGACAAUAAUCAUCUAUAAAUGUGAUGAAAUAAACAGCUCCAUGCCUUCCUCUCACAUUCAUCGGACCACAAACGUCAGAAUGAAUUAAAUGCAAAGGAAAUUUAGCUCUUUUACGCUUUCCAAAUGGUUUCCUUGUCGUUUUCCCUACUAGGCAAUGCUCACACAUGGGCAAAUCGACUUUUUUAAUGUUGCCCAACAAGCCCUCUUUGGCUAGUCUAUUCAUACGCCGUUGGCCAAUGUGACCAAGUUUAGCAUGUCACACACUCACAUCAUUAUCAUAUGAAGUAGAAGACGUGAAAAGGAAAUAACAAACAUUGACAUUACCACAGUCAAUAUUUAGUGCAAUAAAACCAUCCAGAAAAUAACCACAAUCAUAGUAGUUUGUAUUCAAAUACAAAUCUACACCACUAUUAUGGAAGUUCAUAUUAAAACUAAGCUUAACCAACACUAAAACAGACACUAAAUUCUGACGAAUCUCCGGAGCAUACAAUACAUCAUGUAGAAACAAAGUGCGUCCACCACGCAUGUUUAGUUGGCAGGUGCCAAUUUCUUUUACUUCUGCUCUGGAGUUGUUUCCUACAUAGAUCCACUUAGUUCCAAUUGGUACUCGUCAAAAUUCCACGAAGGAUUCUCUAUCCUUCGCUACAUGGUCUAUCGCUCCCGAAUCUAUAGUCCACAAAGAAUUAGAUUCAGCUAAGAAUACAAAACUUGAUACAUUAGCAAAGUUCUUAAAAGUACAAGGGGUAAGUACCUUCUUUGACUCGCGACAAUCGCGAGUGUAGUGACGCUUUUGGUCAUAGUUGUAACACUUCACCCUCGAAAUACUCUUCACUCAAGGACGUUUUCAUCUCUUAUGUUGGUUAGCUAUUGGUUUCUUGCAAGAAUGACUCGAUCCUUUGCAUUUCCAUAUAUUGAACGAAUCAAUACGCUUGCACGUAGAGCUCGAAGCUCCUUUUGAGUUGGAAGCAAUAUAGCAAAUAUGUGUUUCCUUCUCAAAUGCCUUGAGGUAGUCCUCUGCUACCUCAAGAUGGCGCAUAGCAUUCUCAAUUUCUUCCAUAACAUGGUCAAUAACUUCUAGUGCUUCUUGUUUUUCAAGCACAUAUUGAAUUUUCAUAUUCAAUAUUUCACAAUUCUCACCGUUCAUUUUGUCUUCUUUGUUCAAAUCAGCAAUUAUGUUCUUAGUUGCUAAAGUCAUUGAUCUAAACAUAUCAGACACAUAUGCACGAAUUAUUAAUGCCUAUCAUUUAUACAUCUAUUUUGCAUAGACCCAUCAUAUUAAUGGAUAAUUUUAAGUAUAAUUUAAGAAUCAAAAGGUCACUAUGUUUCCAAUCAUCAUCCAAAAAAUCCUAACUCAAAACUAUCAUUAAUAUAAUUUUAUAUGCAAAAUAAGUUCAGCAAAGUCACUAAAACGUUUUCGAACUUCCUACAAUGAAUUGUAAAUUAACAUACUAAUUUACAACAAUAAAUAACAUUGAACUUUCAAUAAUCAAACAUGUCCAUUAUACUAAGUAAUAUAUUUAGAGGAAAAAAUAUCAACAUAGAAAGAGAUAUUAACACCUAAAAACAUCUGAGACUAAUCUAAAAAGAAAAUAGGGAAAGUCUUUUCUAAUCUAUCAGUAAAAUUCUCUAAGAAUUCUGAAGGCACAUUGGCCAACCAUGGAAAAACUUUUGGAGAGCUCUCAUGCCACCUUCAAGGCGUAUUCACUUUGCGCCAUGUGGCACUCAUCCCAAGGGUUGAAGUUUUAGUUAACUCGAUCCUAUAGUAUUCUCUUAUAAAAGCUACCGUAAGCCUCCUAUGAUCCGGGACCACGUUGACCUCCCAUAGGCGAUCUAACACUACUUGCCAUUCAGGUGGAAGGGUGUUAAUUAAGACCGGCAGUUUCUCAAAAUCCGGCAUAGGAUAACCAUUCUAGAUAAUUUCUUGUAUUAUCUGAUUGACCCUGACCACGUAUGAUACCACAUCACCAUCAUUCCACCGAUAAUUAUCUAAUUAUGUCAUUAGCCCUUUAAGUCUUGCAUUUUCCUCCUCCGUUCUCGGAAAUGCAGGUAUGCAUGCAUAACGCAUCAUAGUUUUUGCAACAAAUGCAGAACAAAAAUGAAUUAUUUAUAAUCCACAAUGAACAAAAGGGAAAAUACAUAAUUUUACAUGUUUCAUGCAACAAAUGCAAAAAAAAAAAAUUUAAAAAUGGAUUACUUAUAAUCCAUAACCAACAAAUUGGAAAAUACAUAAUUUUCCUUUUUUUUUUAGCCAAUCAACGUCGGUCAACAGUGGUCAACGCAGGUCAACGGCCGGUCAACGGUGGUCAACUCUAGUCAAUGGUCAACGGAUGACUGGGUCAAGUCAACAGGUCAAUGGGUUGAGUCAAACGGGUCGGGUCAACAGGUCAAGUCAACAGUCAACAGGUGGUCGGGUCGGACCGGACGGACCGGACGAACUAAUCGGCUCGGUUGGACAAGCCGACCGGCACGUGACACGCGCGUACCUGGCUAACGUCACAAUGACGUCAGUCGGCGCGUGCGCGGCACGCGCCAGCACCGUGCGCGUGCGUCGCACGUGCCUUUGGCUGAAACGGUGCGUGUGUCGCACGCGGCUGCGGGGGACCGAAUCGGCACGUGCAUUGCACACACCGAUGACCCCCGUUCAUUCCAGCCACGCAUGGUGGCACGUCUGGUAGUCCCCGGUGGCAAUCCGCUACUCGUUUUUCUCGUAUCGACAAGAGCUUCGAUCCUAUGAUUUUAGAAAAAAAUUUUGACUUACAGAAAAUCAAAAAACAGGGUGAGUAGUGUACGAGUGUCGGGAUUGUCCAUCCCCGAUUAGCUGACAGCGGUGUUUAACGAAAAUUCAAUCAAAAAUUAAUUUAUAAAGAUGAAAAGGGGUUGGGAAAACAUGAAAGAUGGCUCUGAUACCAAUGUCGAGAAUUAUUGAUUCCCUAAAACAGAUUCGACACUAAAUCGAACCUCUAAAAUGAAUGCGGAAGACGAGCCCAAGAACAAACAUGUAUCACAGAAUCGAGUAUACCUUAUUAUCCACAGAUUAAACACCGACGUUGAAGUUUGAGAAAAAAUCUUGAUACUGUUCUACCAAGGAGCGUACUGUUGCUAGAAGGGGAAAUACGUCGUUUUUGGGAGGGUAGCGUCUUACGCUUCUUGGAGGGAGAGAGAGUCUUAAACAACAUACGUACCCCAAAGGUUACGUUCCCUUUUUCUUUUUCUCUCUUACGUCUUCUCCAAAAGACGUAUCUCUUCAACGUAAAACGUUCCUCCAUGGGCCAUUUAUCUUGUGGGCCGGGCUUUUAGGCCCAACAUGGGCGGACGGGCCCACUUAGGCCCAUCAACAUACAAAUAAAACCAUCAUCAUCAAACCGUCACCCAUUAAUACAACACUAACAUUAUUUGAUUCCAAAUUCAAAGCAAUCCCUAUUGUACCCUCUUCAAAUUCUACUAAUUCACCCGCCAUGUUCAAAGACGUAAAAUGGUUAUUUGUGAAUUAUUUCAAACAAAUGUGCAUUCUUCUCUUUUUUUGGACAUAAUAGACAAAUCCCCUUUUAUGGCAAUUUGAUGAUAGCAAAUCCCACAGAUCGAAAGCCAUCACCUUCUCAUCCAAAAUCCCUUCAUCCUGUCUUAGCUUCCCCUCAUUUGCUUCCAUAUACAUUACCAUUUCAUCUAUUGGUUUUUGGAUCAGAUUCAAUCACAGUCCCAUAAGCAGUAGGGACCACGAGAGAGCUUAUUUCGUGCUCAAGAUCCCCUAUGAGAUAUUCUUCUAGAGAAGCCCUUGCAUAUGCUACCCUCAUCUAUUCAUGGUUCCAGAUAUGGAACUGGAAUGGGCUUUGACUUCGGUCACGGACCUGGAUUAGGAAUAGGCUUUGGAUCCAUGGCCUUGGAUGUUCUAUCAUGACUCCGGAAUAGGUUUUUCAAUGAUUUAUGGGAAAAAACUAGGCAGGUAAUGUCGAUCUAAAUCCAAAGGCUAUGGUUUGACAAUGAAUUCUUCAUCCAUCAAUUUGAACUAUUGUGAUUUUCCCUCCCUUCCUAGAGCUAGCAAUCGUUGCUUCAUUCGAUUUAGUAGUAGAAGCAGCUAUAGCUUUACCAGUUGUACCUAUUCCAAUUGGAUAGUUGAAGCAACUUCUGGGGGUACCUAUCCAACUGUCUUUGCCGUCGGUAGAAUUGGAUAUUGAUCCAACGGGUUCAGACGCAAGCGAAGGGAAGCUAGGUUCUUUGUUUCCAUGGGUGAGGAUGCUAGGUUACCUGGUUCUCAAAUUAGGUAUUGAACCAUCUUUCCCUCCUGCUGCAACCUAUGCUUCUAUCUCUUUUGGGUCUUGAUCUCGAACUCAAACUGAUGCUUGGUAUUAUUCUAGAUGCUGAGAUGUGAGGACAUGAUACUAACGACUGUGGACAGAUCAAUAGAAUGUGAGAAGUAUGAUGACAUCUGUCCCAACUUCACCAUAAGGUUCGAUCGGCCGCCCUAGGACUAGUAGAGUUUACCAAAAGUUCCUCCUAGGACAAGCAGGCCAGAAGUCCGACCCUACAUAGAAGGUUGAAUAGAAUCUAAAUGAACACGCGCCCUUCAGAACCAUUUCCGAGUACUAUGACCAAAACGAACUCUUGCUUCCAUUAUCUCUUCGCUUGCUCCUGUCACGACAUUUGCGCGUCUAGAUGCUAUGAUUGUAUAAUCAAGAGGAUUAGCUGCUAAAGGUAUUUGUCUAGCAGUAGAUCCUUUAGAUUUAACAUCAACUGUGUUCCAACCUCGAAUCGUUGGUGAGGAACAUUAUGAAAUUGCGCAAAGAGUUAACGGGAGAAUUUAUCUUGGAAGCAGAAGAAUUAUUGAAACAGUGCAAAACCAUCACAAGAGUUUAUGUACAAAAAACGGGCAAACCCUUAUGGGUUGUAUCCGAAGAUAUGGAAAGUCGCUUUGGGUAAAAAUGUAUUAGUAGCUUAUCUAUCAUGGGAAAGUUGCAAUUUUAAAGAUGCAAUACUCAUUAGAGAGCAUUUGGUAUAUGGAGAUAUUUAUACUUAUUUUCACAUACGGAAAUAUGAAAUUCAAACUCAUGUCACAAGCCAAGGACUUGAAAGGAUCACCAACGAAAUAUUGCAUCUAGAAACCCAUUUACUCCGCAAUUUAGACAAAAAUGGAAUUAUGUUACUAGGAUCUUGGUAGAGGCAGGCUUGGAGAAAGACGAUCCAAAAAUUCCCAUUCAUGGUCCUUGCAGUUCAAAUCAUCCAUAAAAUAUACAAAAAGAAACUCUAGAUAUUUGAUAUAUUUCUCUUUGAAUGAGAUCUCAAUUUCAACAACAGAUCCAUUAGAUAUCUUACAACUAGAAUCUCUCUUUUUUACAAUCCAAUUCCUCUGCCAUCAUGACCCCAAUUAGAUUUAGGCAUGAUACAACUUUUCAUUAUUGGGAUAACUCAAGUCUCUUUCGGAUCUAGGAAACUACUCUCAGAGAUAUUUUUUCCUUUUAGAAGAUAGAGGAGAGGAACUACGAGUAGAAAAUUAGUAGUCACUCUAAUACUUAAAUCACCAUAUUGCGUAAGAGAAAGAGCGAGAUAUUGAGAAGCCGAAACUGUUAUGAAAAGAUCGAGGAGGAUUCAGGAGGAGGAGGAGUAGUAGGAGUCUGACAAAAUCGAAUGAUAAUAACAAGGAUGGAGAAGUUUGAGUGGGCCUGGGUGUUAGCAAGUAUGUUCAUUGUGCUUGGACUCAUUUCUUCAAUUUGUUUGAUCCUAGGCAUAAGUUUAUUGGUUCAAAUGAAACGGCAAUAUCUCGAGGAAGGGUAAGACGUGGGUUAGAGAAAUUGGUCAACUCGUCACGCUCAUGACCUAAAGACUACAAGUUCGGAUCCUAUUCCCGCAUAAUCAUCUGGAGGCGUAGUCAGCCUCAAGAUUCCGUAAGUAACUCAGUGCAUGGCUUAAAGGCUUAGAAAGAGAAAGUGAAAUAAGGAACAACUGCGCUAGUUGUAGUUGUUUAGCUCUUUUCUCGAAUAAAAGUUUAUCAUGACUCAUUUAAUUCCCUUUUUGGUGUCUUAGAGUUUGUAAGAUCACAACUGAUCCUAAAAGGAAUAAUUGAAAAAAAUAGCAUGUCAUAUCAAUAGAGAAUUCUGAAAAUAUUUCAUUUUUACCAGAUCAAUUCAAAACCUUGGUUGAAUUCUUCGUGAGAAAAAAAUUAAACGAAUUCAGGGUUGGGUCGAAUGAAUAAAUUGAUAAGAGUCCUAUAACCUCAAUUAAUUAUAAAGAAAGAAAAAGCAAUGAGCUUUUGUUCAUAAUUUCUUAAUUUGAUUGAUCACCCGAUCUAAUUAUAAGUUGAAAAGAUUUUUACCAAGAUGAGAACAAUGUUCCACUACUGGAGCGGCUGAAUAAUCGAGGAUUAGGAUAGCAGUUUUACCGGUGAUGAUAUCUAUGAAAUCAAUGGUCUUUUGCAAUAAAAAGUCAGUUUUUUACAAUGAAAAUGUUAGAUUCUUUAAUAUUUGCGAAGAAAAUUGAUGUUUUUCAGAACAAAAAUUUGUCGAAAUUGUCAGGUAAGAAAAUUCAUGUCCUCCCUUUAAACAAGCUUAGCUUGUUAUUGACGACAGAGCCCUGUCUAUAAACAACAGAUUAGGCGAACAUAAGGCCAACUGCACUUCUUUUCAAACAUCAAUUGUGCUCCUAAGCACAGAAAACUGUUGCCCAGAGUGCUUGCGGUCUUAACAGUUCCAUUCCCACAUCUUAAAUACUUGCAGAAAAUACAAACAACAAAUUCUAUCUCUUGAUCUUAAAUUCGAGAGUAUCAUACCAACAAAAGGUAAUAGAACAUACCAUGCUCCCAACUCUUUGAACAGCUACUUCUAAUUGAAACAAAAGGUAAUAGAACAUACCAUGCUCCCAACUCCUUGAACAGCUACUUCUAAUUGAUUUUCCUCUUUCUUGGUGAUCUUGUAGAGCCAACCACUUCCAAUGUCCUUCAAAUGCUCCACCUUGUUUCCAUUUCUCUUGCUUCUUUUUCGUACUGUCCUCCUUAUGCUGCCAGACGAAAGAAAUGCAUACUAUCAAAUCAAAUCAACUCAUUUACUACAAUAAAGCUGUACCUCUGAUCACGCUAAGGUGAGAUGAUCUCCCUACUGUCUCAGCAUUAACCACAACAUUGUCGGUAUUUGUUAGUAGAGAAAUGACUCGACUGCCUUCCCAUCCAGGCUACUAAGAACCAAAUACUCAAGUUAAAAGGGCAUUUAUGAUCAUUCAAGUACGUAGUCAGAAGUUACUUAAAAGCAGGGUCAAAAGUACCUUUUGAGUGGUGGCAUUGUUAUGAUGCACGUCUGUGACAAGUUUGAUUGACUUCUCUUUGAUUCUCUCUUCAUCCUGUUUACUUAAGAAAGUAAAGUCAGAAAAUAAUGACACAAACAGAGACUAGAAACACAGAAUGAAUGAAUCUUACCUUUGCCUUUUGUUUCAAUGUGAUUUCUGUGCCUUGUCUUGACACUUUGAAUCAAUUUUUGGAUUCUCCUUCCUCUGUUAUCCUUGUCUCUUUAGGCCUAAUAUGCAUAAUUCAAGGCGUUGGUGUCACCAAAGGUUCUUUAUCACUGGAAGGCCAAAUGAUUGAACAAUGCACAUUAUUAGCUGAUGCCAAACGAGUGAACUGAUUUUAGACCUCCUACUGUAAGUAAACUUAGUAUCCAAUUUGAUAUGAUGCAAGCUGUAAUAGAAUUUCGCAGACAACAUUUCAACGAGAAAAAAACAUGCACAACUCGUAGAAUCAGGACAGGUCAAGGAAAGUGUAAGAACAGGAAGUGCACCAAGCUAAACUAAUCAGAGUGCAACUGGGAUAAUAAGUAAUCUGAGCACAUAAAGACUGCUCCGAUUACUGAUGGGACAUGACAAAUUAUUGCGCAUUUGUUUUUGCAAAAUAAAUGGUCAAUUGGGUCCCGAAAUUGCAUUUUCCUGAUAGCUGAACCUUUGUUACAAUUGAGCUUCAACAUCCCAUAUAGAGCGCAAUCUCAAAUACACAUCUCUGGACUCUGGUGACCUUGUUCUUCACACCAGAAACAUUUUCAGAUUUGGUAUCAAUAGCAACCUCUAUUGAUCUGACAGCAAAAUCAACUCCGGUAAGAUCUCAACCGUGCAAAACUUUGAUCCCAAGACUUCCAACCGCAGUGGGUACAACCAUUCCAACCCAACUCUGACAACAACUUCCCAAAGCAAGACCCUCUACGUUCUUUAUUAACGAAACAAAGUUUAUCAGCCAAACAAUGAAUAGCUUCCACUUUCGCAUGAAGAUCCAAGCCUGAAUCACAAACAACUCCCUUUGAACAAAGACUCCAAAAGACCUACAUAAGGUUGCCAAUAAUAAUAACAAAUUGAAAUACAUUCGUCCUAAUAAUUUUGCACUCCAAAAGACGCUUCCCAUGUUUUUCCUUUUCAGCAAGUACUUGCACUAAUAAGAGCUUAUGUAUAACAUAAGGGAUUAUUUCACAGUGCAUUAUGUCAAAAGACAUCAUGUCUACCAUCUUGAUUUGACUCAAAAGUACAGGUAAAUGACAGAUGGCAUUAUUAACUCAACAAAAAUUAAGAAGUAUUAUUUGGGCUAAUCUAUUAUUUGCCUUCGACUUUUAGGUAUAUCCCGGAUUAAAAAUGAACAUGGAUUCAUAGUCAGCAAAAUUAGAGUUGCAAUUUUCUUGAUUAAUUCAAGUAAUUCACAAUGAUUUUGCUUCUGGCCUGUUUCCUAGUUUAUUCACAACCACAUUACUAGGAGAAGACUUUGCUCUUGCAUUUAGUGUUCUCGACUGAUACAAUUACCUAAAUCAGCUAAUGCAAACAAUUUUUGUGAGAUAAAAUGGUGGAAACAAUGGUUGGACAAAUUUUGUACCAAAUCAGUAGUGUAUGCAUACUAAGGAAUGCCCUCUCAACACCAUUAAUUCAUUCUUAGGCGUACCUUAGAUACAUGCAGUCAUGAACUGCGUUGUUUGCACAGAGCAAACUAAAACCUCACAUCAAAAGUACCUCCACAUGGGGUCCUUCAUAUAGCAAUUCUUGACCUAUAUAGCAAUUCCUGUCUACAUCAUUUUUUUAUUUAGUAAUUCCAGCAUUCCAGAAUCAACCAACAUGGAAAAUCUUUAUUUUUAUGCAUAGGAUGAAGAAUCUUACCUGAAGACUAAUGACAAAUGAUGCACUUAGAAGGCCUUUUGAUCUAUUUCAUUUACUGGCAUGAUAAGCAGCAACAUUUUGCCAAAGUACACACAUUAACUUCCAUGAACAUCUCCCCUGGAUUCCCUAAAUUCAAGUAAUAACACUAACACUCUCAACCAGGAAAUACUAAUGAAAAGGUAAUAAUUAUUAAAAGAAAUUGCACACAGGAAACAUAAAUGAAAAUUGGGUGAUAGAUCUCAAAAGAUUAAAGGUAACUCACCUGCUUUGCGUGCUUUCCCUUGGAAAUGUGGAUUAUCUCCACCAAACUAACUCAAACCAGUCGUUUUGUCCAAAUUCUCAUUCCACGACAUGAGUCAAAAGGCCGAUUCUCGUAAUUUCGAUAAAUCCGUGUUCCAGUUAAUUCUGGUAUUAUUUUGAGUGACUUGCAUCCAGAAAUGUCCAAUUCCACUAAUUGCUCCAAUUUCUCCAGCCCUCGAAGCUCAGUCAGUUUCUCGCAAUUUUGCACAACUACACUGAUCAAGUUGGUGCAUGAUGACAAAUCAGGUAAGAUUUCGAUCAAGGAACAUCCUGAGAUAGCAAUAUGCUUUAGAGAUGUUGACUCCUCAAGCCUCGGGAUCUCCCGAAGUUCACAACAAUUUGAUAGAAGCAAUGUCCGUAAAUUACAAAAAUUUGACAAGUUUGGGAAUUUUGCUAAAGACUUGCAAUCCUCAAUCCAUAAACUUGUGCAGAAUGGGAAUCUCUCUGGGAUCUGAAUAUCAAGAAGGUUGUCACAACAAUUGAUUGCCAAAUCAUGCAAGGUGUCAAAGCAACAUAAAUCUGGUAACCUUCCAAAGGAAGUGCACCCGGACAUAUCUAGCACUUUUAAGAACUCCAACCUAUCAAGACCUUGAAUUACAAAUAAGUUUUUGCAAGAUCCAAGAUAUAACUCCUUCAAACCCUUGGAUUUUGGAAGGUCUAGCCUCUGAAUUAAAGUGCACCCAUAGAUAUUCAUCCUUUUUAAGGAUUCUACCCUAUCGAGGCCUUGAAUUUCAACCAAGUUUUUGCAAUUUGUAGCAGCAAAUGUUUUCAGACCCUCGGAUUUUGGAAUGUCUAGCCUUACAAUUGAAGCACAUCCAGAAAUAUCUAUUUCUUCCAUGGACUCCAACUUAUCAAGGCCUUGAAUUUCAACCAAGGUUUCGCAAUUUUUAGCAUCAAAUAUCUUCAGAGCCUCCGAUUUUGGAAGGUCUAGCCUCACAAUUGAAGUGAACCCAAAUAUAUUUAUUUUUUCCAAAGAUUCCAACCUAUCAAGGCCUUGAAUUUCAACCAAGUUUCUGCAAGAUUUUGCAUCGAAUAUCUUCAAACCCUUGGAAUUUGGAAGGUUCAGCCUCUCAAUUGGAGUGCACCCAGAGAUAUUUAUUUUUUCCAAAGAUUCCAACCUAUUGAGGCCUUGAAUUUCAACCAAGUCUCUGCACUUUUCAGCUUUGAAUAUCUUCAUAUCCCCGGAUUUUGGAAGCUCCAGCCUUGCAAUUGAAGCACACCCAGAGAUAUCUAUUUUUUCCAAAGACUCCAACCUUUCGAGGCCUUGAAUUUCAACCAAGUUUUAGCAAUUUUCAGCUUUGAAUAUCUUCAAAUUCCUGGAUUUUGGAAGGUCAAUUAAUUGAAGAGCAAGCUCUGAUUUCCAAGCUUUCCAAAUAAUUCAAUUUGUCAAGACCUCGAAUUUCAAGUAUAUUAUUGCAAUACUUGGUAGAUAAUGUCCUCAGAUGGUUAAAUUGGGAAACGGCCAGUGCUUCCAUAAGCUUGCAUCGAUCCAUUUCCAAGAUUUCCAAUUCGAAGGGGGUGUUUAGAGAUUUUUCUAAUAGUGUUGAUGGAUGCUCCCAUAUGCACUCGAGAAAUUCACAACAAAUAAGUCGUAGUACCUUGAGAUGGGUCAGUUUGAAAAGUGAAGGCAAUCUGCGACUUUGACAGGUGACAUUCAAAUACGUUAAGCUGGAAGGAAGCAUUGACAGAGACUGGAGCUUCUUGCAAUAAAACAGAUCAAGGUGUUGCAGGGAAGAAAGAUUACGGAUGCUUUCUGGCAUUUCCCCUCCCAGUUUUGUGCAAAAUGAAGCAUCUAAAUCUCGGAGGUUUCUCAGCCUUCCAAUACCACUGGGCAAUCUUUUUAUCCCGGUCCAACCAAUAUCCAGAAUUUCUAAGUUCUGCAAAUCCUCUAUGCUGUCUGAUAAUAAAGAAAUGUUUUUACAAAAUCUUAGAAGGAGUUGCUCUAGUGCUUCUAAUUUACCCACUUCUGCUGGCAGCCCCUUGAGCUGCCCACAUCCGCUUAAGUCCAAGCGUAAUAGACUCUUCAUGUUUCCAAUCGAAGAGUCAAUAUGCUCCAGUCUCUGACAAUCUCUAAGGAUCAGAACUUCUAAAUUCUCAAAAGCUGAGAGGAAGGAAGUUUUCUCUAAAUAUCCACAGCUUGUAAGGUCGAGAUAUCUUAGCUUCUCUGCCAUCUGAUAAAAAUAUAAUAAUUGUCAAGAGGUUAGCCUAGAGUGGUUAUAAUUUGAAAAGAAAAGAAAAAAGAAACUUGUUCUUCCAUCUUACCAUGAUGCAACUCCAUCCUUGCCAUUCAUCUGAUAUCUUGCUUGCCGACAAAUUGAGUACAAGUAAUUCCUUUAGAUGAAAAUUGUUUGCUUCAAAAGUCGAGGGGCAAUUCUGCCAUUGAAGCCAUUUUAACUUCUUAACUGAAUUGUCAAAAUCUCCAUUAAAAUGUGCCCCACUCGCGUCAAGGAACCUUAGAUUCCUUAACUUUUUGAAUUGUUUGCUCGUGAGGAUAUUGUCACCUUGGUCAGCCAUUUCGCGCAAGCAUUUUGAGCUGUCUUUGCCCAGAUAAAUGGCCUCAAUCUCUUCUGUUCCCUAUAAGUAAGAAGCAACGUUCAUUAACACUAUUUCUAUCCAAUUAAAAUAAUCUAAUAUCAUUUGUUCAUAUCUCUGUUAACAUGCAUCAAUGUCUUUUAGAGACUAGUGCAGUGAAGAUACGAUUCCUUCCUUGUCCAAUAAACUGUAUUAAAGGCUAACAAAGCAAAGGAUGUGAACUUUGAUUAUGAAAUUGGCCGUAAGUACUCGUGGAUCUUAAAUUAUGAUGUUCUCUUUUUUAGGGUUUUAUUUGGUUCUGAAUAAUAAUUUAUAGUUUCUUAUACAUAUUAUAAGCAUACUUUUACUCUUGGGAUCAAGAUAACACAAGUGCUUUAACUUUCGUACUAUGCUCACUUCGGCGUGGUAACUUUUUUUAUUUUUGACCACUUAAGCGCAUAACUUCUAAAAAACGUUCAUUUGAGUGCCAUAACUUUCAAUCAAUCACUUAAGUGCCAAAAGCUUAUAAAAAUGUUCACCCGAGUGCUGGAAAUUCGACGUGGCAUGGCACUUGUGGUAAACAUUUUCAAAAAGUUAUGACAUUCAAGUGAGUACCAUAAAUUAUGGCAUUCAAGUGAUUGGGAAAAAAAAAAGUUAUGGCACUUAAGUAAGCAUCGUACUAAAGUUAUGAUACAAUGUCCUUUUCCAUUUUACACAUUGAUCUAAUGGCUCAUAUGUAUAACUUGACAACUUGUUAAUCCUCUUCUUUCCUGCGAUGUAGAUUAAUACUAUAAUAGUUAGCAAUACAAGGGAUCUAACUAAGUUACCGUACAAAAUUGAAAGUUGUUUUGUUUAUCUUAUAGAAAUAUGUUUUCUAUCUCUAAAUCAUAUUAGAUAUCCAAAUGAACUAUUAUCACAUAGAGACGUGGUUAUUAUAGUAGUUGUGACAAUUGAGAAAAACAAACUUCUCUUAAAAUAAAGAAAAUCUAAACUUAUGAAGUCCUUUUCUUUUCCCUUUUUCUUAUGUAUAAUUUUCGUGCAUAUUGCUCAACGUCACUACUUACAGUUAAAAUAACGUAUUCUUGUUGUUUUUGCCAUUGGAUUCAUAACUAAUUAUGAGUGACUAAUCUUGUGAUGGUAGUUAUAUUAAUAUUUUCUGAUGUGUUUUAUUUUAUUAAUAGUAACUUGAAAUAUGAAUUAUAUUUAUGCUUUCUAUUAUUAGCAUAAUUUAUUAAUUGAAAUUUUAAAAUAUAAUAAACAAUCCUUAUUUGAUAACUUUGCUUUAAUGUUAAAUAAUAAUUAAUAAAAAUGCAAAGUCAUUUUUGAAUUAUGAAAUUUGAAGCUAUCCAGGCUUCAUGGAAUAACUAUUAUUUCCUUGGGCUCCUUGGAAUAGUUAUUCCUGAUUUUGAGAGAACAGCUAAUUCUAAUCCAUUUUCGAAUCAAUGGAACGAAUAACUGCUUCAUCAGAAUAGACUAGAAAUAUUUCUAAUUUAAAUGUGCAGCAAGCUUUCACCAAGAAAAAACACUCAUGCCUGAGAAUUUUAGAAGUAAUACAGAAAUUUCAUGGAUUUCUAAAUCCGGGUCAGUUUCUCCGAACUAGAAAAAUGUAUUAUCAUACUUCACAAUGUCAUACAAGAUUUCAUAGAUACUCAGGGGAGAAUGUCAUAAUUAGUGGAGAAGGAAUUAUAUCUCAACACCUGAAAGGUAUCCAAGAAAAGAAUAGUUCUAACGAAAGUAAGCAACUUCCAAGAGAACUAAUCAUGCUCUGAUUAGUGAUUUCCCUAUUAAGAGAUCCUAUAUGUCAUCAAAAUUCUGUGUCUUCAAGUGUGUAAUUUUUUGAAAGUGAAAAGUUGCUUUUCUCUGGGAGCUUGAAAAGGUGUUAUUUCCAUCCUACAUGCAAAGAUUGGGCCUCUUUAGGACUUUUUAAGGCUGCAUUUUUUUUUUUUUUUUGUUCUGGUUCAAACGGUUGUGCCUUUUUUUAUUUGGCUGUAUACUCACUAAUAUCAUAGGAGUGUGUUCAAUUAUGCUUUAAAUGUCUUUCAGAUUUUGUUUACUAGUAAAUUGUUCUAGUGCUCUUGUCCAUGCUUCGCACUACCCCUUUUUUUUUUCAAAAUCGAAGUUGAUUGUACUUUUAGAUAACACAUGAAUAUAACUUUAUAUAUUUUGAUUAAAUGUAUGAAUAAACUUAAAAGAAGAUCGUGCAUCAGGUUCAUCAAACAAGUGCUAGUCUUUUGAGCAACAACUUUGAAUCAAACUGAAUGAUGGAUUCAAAGUAAUAGAGUCAAUUCGACCAAAAAAAAAAAAAAAGUAAUAGAGUCAAAGCUAUGAUUGAUUUCACAAACACAAUACAAUCACAUACUUAAAUAUACACAAAAUAUAAUUUUAGAGUAAGUUAUCUCUGGGACUUUCUAUGUGGAAAAAAUAGGACAUUUCUCUUUUUAAUGGUCAUUGCAUGAAAAGCGCUUGACGUUUAUCCAAGGAAGCAGCCCUUGGAUCCUUGGUGUUGUUUCUAGAUUACCUCAUCAAGGACCGGGGAGUUGCCUCCCUGAGAGGGCUCCAGCACCUAUCCCUAUCUUGUGGGGUGACCUGCCUGGAUGCACACCUUUUUUACCUUAUUUUAACAUGUCAAGGCCUCUCACCCUCAAAUUCCCCCGCAUCUUUUUCUUCCUAGGAAGAGGGAAUGUAGGAAGAGGGAAUGUCCUUUUCUCAUUUAACGUCUAGGGGUACCAAGGUCCGUGCGAGGCAAUUUAACAUCCUACUCAGGAUGGACAAAUACAAUACAGUCACAUAAUUAUAUACAAAAUUAAUUUUAGAGUAUUUAUCUUUGGGACUUUUUAUGUGGAAAAACAAGACAUUUCUAGUGGUCAUUGCAUGAAGUACGCCUAACGUUAUAUAUGUCUAUAUAUGUCCCUGUUCUAGCAGGUGAAUUUUGGUAAAAAGGUAAUUCCUAACCUAAUAUUACACGAAAUUAAAAAAAAAAUCCCUUCCAUUCUCAAUUAGGGUAUAAUAUUUGAAAUUUCAUGAAAAAAUGCAGGCACAAUUACUCCAAUUGUAUUAAUUCUAAAACCCAAAGUUUAGAAUUCUAUGAUUUAUAUAUCCUAAUUAGUUAUUGUUCACAGUAGCAUAGUCAAGUUAUUUGUUGCACGUGCCAAGGACAUUACCCCAUCAAUUAAAUAAAUUCAGAUUCAUUUCAAUGUAGAAUACCCCUAUUAAGUAUCUAAUAUAGUUAAAAAUGAUUCUUGGAAAAAAAACUUUGUAAUGUACACUUUGUGUAAGAAAAAUCUCAGAUAAAUUGCAAUACUUACUAAGAGAGAGCUACUUCCUGCUUUCUAAUCAUGUCAAUGAAAUGACAUGAGGAGAAUAAUAUUAUAAGGUUCUCUCUUAAAUAGAGAAAGCACUAAGUAGAGGACCAACAUCACUUUGACCGUUAAAAAGGGACUAAGGGAGGAAAAGAAGAGAAGGGUUACCUCAUUAUCCUCUAGCAUUUUCAAGACUUCCUUGGAGUCCCAUAACCUACUGCGGUAUUGAGGCUUAUUCUCAUUUUCCUCACGGACAAUCCACCUACCAAGAUCUCUCAAUUGAUCAUGCAUUCUAAGCUUAUGAUCCUCUCCAAUUUUUAUUAAUGACAUAAAUCUCAAUACUUCAAUUCCCUCCUCUGGGAAAAAUUCACAGGCAUCCCACAUGUAGGAUGCAAUUCUUUUGUUAGUGCCAACGAAAAAACAAGCAAUAUCCAAAAAUAUUUGCUUUUGUCCUCUGUCUAAUGCUUCAUAACUUAUCUUUAACUUUCCUUGCACUUUCUUAUGAGGGACUUUUUUUAACUUCUCUAUCAUACCUCCCCAUUGUGAUGCCUUUUUUCCACAAAAAAGUGAACCUAAAACCUCAAGAGAUAAGGGAAGCCCCCCUAUGGUGGAUAAAACAUCAUUAGUGAGUUUCUUCAAUUCACUUGGAGGAGCAUCCCCUCGAAACGCAAAUCUACUAAACAGAAUCACAGNNNNNNNNNNNNNNNNNNNNNNNNNNNNNNNNNNNNNNNNNNNNNNNNNNNNNNNNNNNNNNNNNNNNNNNNNNNNNNNNNNNNNNNNNNNNNNNNNNNNUCCCAUUCCGUGGAUGCCAACAAAUAGGGUAGUGCGAGAAUUAUUAUCUAUAAAUUCCGCAACCUUCUUUACAUGACCAUCGAUUCCAAUCAGAUUCUCAGGAAUAACCAACUCAAACUUUUUCUUUAGUUCGCUCAACACUUUUUGGACAACUGAUUUCACCAGCUCUCCUUCAUACCUGUCAAAUGUGACAAGUUCAAAUACAUGGAAAAAGUAAUUUUAUGUUGCUUACCUAAUGAUAACACAAUAAUAAACAAAUCAGAGGAUAAAUUGCACAACUUAAAGAAUUGUCUUGCCACACCUCCAUAUAUUAUCUUAUACGCUAAGAUUAAAGCAGGAAAUGGUGGUGGUUGCUUCAUGUGUCGUACCCCAUUCCAUUAUUGCACUAACAUAAUUUAUUGAGCCAGAAGAAACUUGAAGGUGUCAAUAAUGAAUCUUGAAUAUUACAUGAGUUAUGGAUUUGAGUUAAAUUUCAAACCUGUUGUUUGUUAGAGAUAUUAGGGAUGAUGUGGACAUGACAUCAAAAAAUUUCUAUAGCAUCUGGAAAGGCAAAAAUUCAAUAAGCCAGUCCAAUAUGAGAGUUCAGCCAUUAAUCAAGAAAUAUGUCAUAACUUUAGACACAAGUGGAAUUCAGGUCCUGAAAAUCAUUCGAAGUGCUAUACUAUUGAGGUACCUGAAUACACUUAAGGGAAUUUCUCUUUGUUUGUGCAAUUUUACAUGCUUGCAAGUUUCUACUCUUGUUAUGGAUUUAAUAUCAUUCUAGAUUCGUACACUUAUCAAUUUUUGUUGAGUCAUGGGAUGAUAACAGGUUGUAUUUAAUUUUCAUUUUUAGUAUCGAUAUUCUAUGACUAAUUUUGAUCUGAUAUUGUUUUUAUGGGGAAGUAGAAGAAUGAUCUUUCCUCAAAAGAAGAACAUUACUUUAAUUUAUGCAAGUGUAUGAGAUAGAAAUUAUGGGCCAAAGAUGGGAUAAUGCAUUAAAGAUGAUUAAGGUGAAUAAAUGAUAAAGAUUUUUUUUUUUCCUUCUUUAUAUAUGCAACCAUUUUAAUAGCUAUCAAUUGAUGUCGUUAAUGAUUUAAUAAGUACAACUUCUAAAGAUAAAGAAUUAUGGCUUUGAAAAUUGACAUGCAUGUUUUAUUAUGUUAUGCGCUUUAAUUAGAAACCACCAAGUUGUACUAUUAAUCUCAAUAAAUGUGAUUAGAAAAGUUUGUGAUGAAGAUUAAUGUAGCAAUGUUAAGAGAUCUUUGGAUAUAAGAGUUAGAUAUCAUUUAGACUUGUUAUAUUAUUCAACCGAAUGGGAGCCUAAUAAUAAAUCUGUAAUUGAAUUGGUCAAUAUCAUUAAAGUAAUUCUAAAGAGAAGAAUAACUUAUAGAACUCAUGCAUCGCAGGAUCUUACUGCUAGCCAGAUCUUACUGUUUUUUCUUUACGAUACAAAAUUAAAAGAAAGAAAACGAAGGAGGUAGGAAUAAGAACAACCGCAAAAUACCCACACAAAUUAAAAGAAAGUAGAAAAUGUCUCGGUGAAAAAGUGAAGUACCCUUUGGCUUCCCAUGCUUUCAAGGAACAGACUUUACUGAGUGCUUGCUUCCAUUUCUCCAAAAUCCGUGGGUCAAAAUACUUCUCACGUGUAUGAAAUGCGUCUCCGAAACUCCCUUUUUGAUAUCGCACGUCAGCUGGUUUCACUUUGUAGAAUAUAGGCAACACUAUAGUCCCCGUGUUAUCAUUCUUGCACUCCAUCAUUUGAACCAGUUCAUCUAGGCACCAUUUGCUUGAACCAUAAAUCACAGAGAGAAUGAGAAUCAGGAUCUUACUGUUCUUGAUAGCUGCUGAAAGAUCUGGGCCGAUCUCCUCACCUUGGCGGAGCUCUUCAUCGUCUCUGAAAGCAUGAAUUCCGGCAUCAACGAGCCCUUUGUAGAGGUGAUCAGUAAAGCCUUCUCGAGUAUCUAGGCCUCUAAAGCUCAAGAACACAUCGUAGUGGUCUCCACUUGGUGCUGUGAACGAACUAGAUGCACCAUUGUUAAUUUCUGUUGGAGACGAACUAGAUCCACCAGAAUUAGUUCCCGUUGGCAUAGUCAACGAACCAAAUGCACUAGUGUCAGCAUCUUUGGCAUUUCCACGUGCACUGACUUUCUUCUUAUUGAGAAAAUACAACGCGAGCCUGAAGAGAAGGAUCAGUGCCAUGAGCUCAUUGAAAGAAUGCCCCAAAAUGAGACGAUGGAUUUCGUCUUUGCUCUGACUCUGCUGUUAGAUUUUUGCUUUCAUGUCUGACGGAGAAGAAUAAAUCAGAAUUGCACCAAGAAGUCAAACUCAAGCUAGAUAUAAAUUAGUAAUUUAUUCACCGGAAAAAAUUUCAAUGCACAAGAGGAAAUUUCGAUGAAGAAGCAAUGGAAAGAAAGAAAACCGAUGGUAAUUGUUGGGAAUGACUGAUCCCCGAAAUACCGGAUUCGACACUAAAUCGAACCCCUAAAUCAAUGCGGAAGACGAAGCCCGGGAAAACAACACGCAUCACCGAUCCUAAAGCACACCACGGAUUCGAGCGUACCUUUUAGCCACAGAUUAAACACCGACGUUGAUGGAGGAAGAGAAACUUGGUCCUGUUCGAUCCGGUGAAGCAAAAUCGCCUUGGCGCCUCACUGUUUGCUUUUUGGAGAAAACGACAGAGAGGAGGAGAAGAGGAAGCGUACGUACGUCUUUUUCCCUAUUAAAACAAAACGGUACCUUUUUCCUUUUUCUCCUCCCUUUUAUACCUCUCUCCUUCCAUGGGCCUUAUUCCCGUGGGCCAGGCUUUCUCGGCCCAACUUGGGCGGACGGGCCUUAAGCCCAAUUCUUAUAAAGCCUUCAUCUCCCACUCGCACAUGGUGGGCCGAACAGGAUUCUCUUUACCUCUCUUCAACAUUCAUACUGGUGAAUAAUCCGUGCGAUCAGCAUACUUUGAGAGCUCGUUGCUAUACAUCUGUUAGGAAUAUAUAGCAGCUCAUUAAUGGGCAUCACACUCCGAGUAGAUUUAGUAUGCAGUACCCUAGAUCGAUCGAUCACAUUUAUAUCUCUCUUGAUCUCUUUUAAACAAUGAUAUAUAUUGUAUUCACAAUUAUAAUUAUCACAAAAACAAUCAUAAUUGGUCGACCAGUGAAUACAAAAACUACAAUGUGAUUCUCCAAAAAUCGAUCUUCCUCUUUCCUUCAAACUCUCAAUUUCAGUCCAGCUUGCUUUUCUAGAAAUGCCCCAUUAGAUCGAAUCAUCUCAUGACCAUUGGCAACAUCCUAAGAUAGCAAACACUAAAUAGAAAUCUUGAGAAUAAGUAAGAGUCAUGAGGGGACUUAAAAAAUUGAGGAACUCUUUUCCUCAAGAGUCUCACACGUCAUAAAAGUUGAGAUCAAACUUUUUGCCACUCUUAUUGGUCGUCUCAUGCAUACGUAGUAUGAAAUACGUAUUACGGUAUUAACUCCUUUCCCAUGGAGCGUAUGUCUGCACUUUUCAAUACCGUACAGAUGAUAGUUCAGACAUACCUAAUGUCUAACUCGAGUUCACAUAUCUACUCAAUCAUAAAAUUCAUCAGAACUCACAUCUGGCAUCAUAGACAGAUAAAGUAAAAUAUGUGGGGUAUUUUACUUUCGGACAUCGUAAGUAUUAUGUCAUCAUCUUAACACUUAGUUAAGGCGACAUACGUAUUUUAAGCUUGAGCUCUCGAUUAUCACCUAGAUAAUAAGCUUAAAAUCAGUCUCAUCUCUAUUUAUCACACAGUAAACAGAGGCGAUUACCCGUGUGAGUGAGCUAAUCUUUUAUCUGUCCGACAUACUUCUCAACUUAAAAUAAUACACUAAGUAUUAAGAUGCAUAAAGAUCAUACAAAGAUUCAUAGGCAUUAAUGAUGAAAACACAAAUUCAUCAAAUGUGAACACUUAGGGAAAUUACAAUAUUCAGUACAUUAGCUUCUACGCAAUCCUAGAGAUUUCAUAUGGCCACAAAACACAUCUCUAGGUAUUGGCUUUGUCAUAGGAUCUGCUACCAUUCUAUGCGUAGUAUGUACUCUAAGUUCACAUCUUUUCGUGCAACCAUAUCCUUGACAAGAUUAUACUUGGUAUCUAUAUGUUUGGUCUUGCCAUGAUAUUUUGGAUCUUUGGUAUACGCUUUUGCUGCUUGGCUAUCACAGUUAACCAACAAUUAAUCUGCAGCACUUCCAAUAACACCAAAAUGAUCCAAAAAAUCUCUUAAGCCAAACACUUUCUUACAAUGCUGCUGAUAAUGCCACGAACUCAACUUACAUCGUGGACAAGGCUAUACACUUUUGUUUCUUACUGCUCUAACAUAUGGUGCCAUUAUUCGGUAAGAGAACAAACCUAGAGGUAGAUUUCCUUUUAUUUAAAUCUCCUCCCCAAUCAUCAUUAGAAUAGCCUUAGAGUCACAGAUCCUUUCCAUANNNNNNNNNNNNNNNNNNNNNNNNNNNNNNNNNNNNNNNNNNNNNNNNNNNNNNNNNNNNNNNNNNNNNNNNNNNNNNNNNNNNNNNNNNNNNNNNNNNNNNNNNNNNNNNNNNNNNNNNNNNNNNNNNNNNNNNNNNNNNNNNNNNNNNNNNNNNNNNNNNNNNNNNNNNNNNNNNNNNNNNNNNNNNNNNNNNNNNNNNNNNNNNNNNNNNNNNNNNNNNNNNNNNNNNNNNNNNNNNNNNNNNNNNNNNNNNNNNNNNNNNNNNNNNNNNNNNNNNNNNNNNNNNNNNNNNNNNNNNNNNNNNNNNNNNNNNNNNNNNNNNNNNNNNNNNNNNNNNNNNNNNNNNNNNNNNNNNNNNNNNNNNNNNNNNNNNNNNNNNNNNNNNNNNNNNNNNNNNNNNNNNNNNNNNNNNNNNNNNNNNNNNNNNNNNNNNNNNNNNNNNNNNNNNNNNNNNNNNNNNNNNNNNNNNNNNNNNNNNNNNNNNNNNNNNNNNNNNNNNNNNNNNNNNNNNNNNNNNNNNNNNNNNNNNNNNNNNNNNNNNNNNNNNNNNNNNNNNNNNNNNNNNNNNNNNNNNNNNNNNNNNNNNNNNNNNNNNNNNNNNNNNNNNNNNNNNNNNNNNNNNNNNNNNNNNNNNNNNNNNNNNNNNNNNNNNNNNNNNNNNNNNNNNNNNNNNNNNNNNNNNNNNNNNNNNNNNNNNNNNNNNNNNNNNNNNNNNNNNNNNNNNNNNNNNNNNNNNNNNACCCCUUCACACAAGGCGGAGCCUAUGCUUCAAUCGAGCCAUCAGCCUUCGCUUUAUUUUGAGAACCCAUUUGUUCCAAUAGCUCUGCGUCCUUUCGGAAGAUCAACCAGUUCCCAGACUUGGUUUGAUUUCAUUGACUCCAUUUCCUCUUCCAUUGCAUUGAUCCAUUUUUGCUUACUAGGGCAAUUCAAAGCCUCAUUAAUAUUUCUUGGCUCAUCCUCAUCUUGUGGAGCAACCAUAAAAGUUUCCCCUUCAAUGUCAAAACGUCGACGGGGAAUACUUUGGCGACUUGUUCGCCGUAUGGGAGAUUGUACACUUUGCACAUCAUCCCCCAUCAUGCUCCCACUUGGAUUAGGUAAUGAUGAUGUCGUCUCAUCAUGUGGUUGCAAUUGAGAAUGAGUUGAAUUCAAUUCAUCACUUCUCAUAUUACUCCCACUUGGACGAACUCCACUAACAUCAUUAUCCUGAUCCAAGGUCUCAAAUAGGGAACAAUCUUCCCCUAUUUCGCCCUUCUUAGGAAAUUCAUCCUCUAAGAAUGUGACAUCUCGUGAUUCAAACUCAGUUAUACUCCCACUUUCCUGCUCACCUAUGAACACAUACCCUUUCGAGUGUUCGGAGUAUCUCAUAAAAAUACUCUUAUUUCCUUUGGGACCUAAUUUCCCAAACUUGUGAGAGGACUCAUGAGUAUAGGCAGCACAACCCCAUGACUUAAGAAAACUUAAGUCCGGCUUUCUACCUAUCCAUAACUUAUAUGGAGUGGAAAUAACUAAUUUGGAAGGCACCCGGUUAAGUAUGCAGGCAACAGUUAACAACGCAUCACUCCAAAAAAGUGAUAAGUAAGUUAGCAUGCGCCAUCAUGGACCUAACCAUUUCCAGUAGGGUUCUGUUUCUUCUCUCCGCAACACCAUUUUAUUGAGGAGUAUAUGGAAUAGACCACUGUCUUUCUAUUCCUUUUUCAUCACAUAAUUUUCUGAACUCAUCAGAUAAAUAUUCUUGACCUCGAUCGGAUCUCAAUACUUUUAUUUUCUUAUCUAAUUGAUUCUCUACCAGGUUCAUAAACUUUUUGAAACAACUUAUGCUUCAGAUUUAUGAGAAAUCAAAUAGACAUAUCCGAAUCAAGUAGAAUCAUCUAUAAAAGUGAUGAAAUAAACAGCCCCAUGCCUUCCUUUCACAUUCAUUGGACUACAGACAUCAGAAUGGAUUAAAUGCAGAGGAAAUUCAGCUCUUUUUUAUUUUCCAAAUGGUUUCCUUGUCGUUUUCCCUUCUAGGCAAUGCUGACAUAUGGACAAAUCGACUUUUUCAAUAUUGCCCAACAAGCCCUCUUUGGCUAGUCUUUUCAUAUGUUGUUGGCCCAUAUGACCAAGUCUAGCAUGCCACCGUAUUCACAUCAUUAUCAUAUAAAGUAGAAGACGUGAAACAAGGGAAUAACAUAUUGACAUCACAACAGUCAACAUUUAGUACAAUAAAACCAUCAAGAAAGUGAUCAAAAUCAUAGUAGUUUAUAUCCAAAUACAAAUCUACACAUCUAUUAUGGAAGUUUAUACUAAAACCAAGCUUAACCAACACCAAAACAAACAUUAAAUUUCGACGAAUCUCUGGAGCAUAUGGAACAUCAUGUAGGAACAAGGUGCGUCCACCACGCAUGUUCAAUUGGCAGGUGCCAAUCCCUUUAACUUCAGCUCUGAAGUUAUUUCCCACAUAGAUCCACAUAGUUCCAGUUGGUAUCGUCGAAAUUUCACGAAGGAUCCUCUAUCCUUCGCUACAUGGUCUGUCGCUCCUGAAUCUACAGUCCACAAAGGAUUAGACUCAGUCAAGAAUACAGAACUCGACACAAAAGUAAAGUUCUGAAAAGCAUAAGGGGUGUUGACCUUCUUUGGCUCACGACAGUCGCGAGCAUAGUGACCCUUCUUGUCACAAUUAAAACACUUCACCCUUGUAAGCUUCUUCAUUCGAGGACGCUUUCCUCUUUCAUGUUGGUUAACUUUUGAUUUCUUGUAAUAAUGACUUGAUCCUUUGCAAUCCCACAUAUUGGAACGAAUCAAUACGCUUGCGCUUAGAGCUCAAAGCCCUUUCUGAGCUAGAACCAGCAUUGUAAAUGNNNNNNNNNNNNNNNNNNNNNNNNNNNNNNNNNNNNNNNNNNNNNNNNNNNNNNNNNNNNNNNNNNNNNNNNNNNNNNNNNNNNNNNNNNNNNNNNNNNNNNNNNNNNNNNNNNNNNNNNNNNNNNNNNNNNNNNNNNNNNNNNNNNNNNNNNNNNNNNNNNNNNNNNNNNNNUUUGUUCAGCUCGCAACUAUGCUCUUGUGCCUGAAGCCAUUGAUCUGAACCACAUCAGACAUAUGCACGAAUUAUUAAUGCCUAUCAUUUAUGCAUCCCCUUUUUUUUACAUAGACCCAUCAUAUUAAUGAAUAAUUUCAAGUAAGGCUUCAGAAUCAAAAUGUCACUACGUUUCCAAUCAUCCUCCAAAAAUCCUAACUUAAAACUAUCAUUAAUAUGACUGUCAUAUGCAAAAUCAAUUCUAUGAAGCUACAAAAACUUCUAAAACUACCCACAGCAACCAGCAAUAACAGAAAGCAACAUAUAAUAGAACAUCCAAUAAAAACAAUAAUGCUUUCAAUUAACACAAUUAGGUAGUAAUCAUUACAUAAUAUGUCCACAAAUCACACUUAACACAUAUCAGCCAAUACAACUAACACCAAGUCAGCACACGAACUGGGAAAAAUCCUCUUUUGUUCAAUUUCUUGAUCUUUUCCCUUGAAACAAUACAAUAAUAUUCAUUUACAAAAUCCAUCACAAUUUUCUUAUAGGAAGCAGCUCCGUUGACAUCCCAUAUGCGAUUCAACACAUCUUGCCAUUCAGGUGGAAGAGUGUUUAUGAAAAAUCGCACCAUCUCUGACUGUGACAUAGGACGACCAUUCCAUAUGACCUGUUGAAUUUUCCCGUUGACUUCAAGGACAUGAUCAAUUAAGUCACCUCCCUCCCAUCGAUGAUCAUUCAGCUCAGCUAUCAACUUAGACAGCCUAUCCUUUUGUUCAUCGGUAACGGCGCGAAUAGGUGUGCGCAACCUCAGGGGAGGCAUUGUUCCUGCAACAAAUGCAGAACAAAUAAGAGAUCACAUUAUAAUCCAUAUAGACUUAAUUGAAAAGGAAACACAUUUUUUUUUUUUUUUUUUUUUUUUUUUUUUUUUUUUUUUUUUUUUCGGGUCAAAAUCAACGGGCAACGGUCUUCGGUCAACGUGGUCAACGGUCAACGGUCAAAGGGUCAACGGGCGUCGGUCGUCGAACCGGUCGGACCGGUCGGGCCGGUCGGACCGCUCGCGCGGACCGACGCACGUGCCGCGCGCGUGCGGGGGAUGACGUCACGCAGACGUCAUCCGCACGUGCCUGCCACGUGCCUUGGUCUCCGGUGGGUCGGGUCGCCGGCCGGUGACCGUCCGGCGAAAAGACGUCAGUGAUGACGUCAUCAGUGACGUCAUCCGAACGGUUAUCGACCGUUGGAUGACGUCACGGUGACGUCAUCACGUGACGUCAGCACGCGUCGGUCCGCGGACCGGCGCGUGCCAGUUCGCCCGCCGGCGGCGUGCACGCGCCGGUUCGCCGACCGGCGCGUGCACCGCACGCGCUGGCCAAUGCCAGCGCUUCGGGCGCGUCGCGCCCACGCGCAGCACCUUCCAGCCGCGCGUGUGGGUGCGUGCAGCGGCUCCCGGCGGUGGUCGACACAUCGCCGGACUCGUCUCGACGUCGCGCUUCUUCCUAUGCAAUCAGAAAAUAGUUUCGACAUACGAAAACUCAGUAAAAAGGCCGAAGAACGCUCGGGUGUCGGGAUUUUUGUCCCGAUCCGUACGGCCGAGAGUUUCUUCGCGAAAACUCAAACAAAAAACAUCAAAUUGAUCGGGAGAACGUGAACUAGGGCUCUGAUACCAAUGUUGGGAAUGACUGAUCCCCGAAAUACCGGAUUCGACACUAAAUCGAACCCCUAAAUCAAUGCGGAAGACGAAGCCCGGGAAAACAACACGUAUCACCGAUCCUAAAGCACACCACGGAUUCGAGCGUACCUUUUAGCCACAGAUUAAACACCGACGUUGAUGGAGGAAGAGAAACUUGGUCCUGUUCGAUCCGGUGAAGCAAAAUCGCCUUGGCGCCUCACUGUUUGCUUUUUGGAGAAAACGACAGAGAGGAGGAGAAGAGGAAGCGUACGUACGUCUUUUUCCCUAUUAAAACAAAACGGUAACUUUUUCCUUUUUCUCCUCCCUUUUAUACCUCUCUCCUUCCACGGGCCUUAUUCCCGUGGGCCAGGCUUUCUCGGCCCAACUUGGGCGGACGGGCCUUAAGCCCAAUUCUUAUAAAGCCUUCAGUAAUAGACAAGUGCUGUCAAAAUUCCAAUAAACAAGUGUUCGAGAAGAUGAAAAGUGGGGAGAAAUACAUACAAAAGCGUCAGGGUGGUGAUGAGGGCACGCUUAGCCCAGUGCUUUGCACUGUUGAGCUUUCCUUUCCUUUUGCUAAUUUAUUUUCCAUCAGAGAAGGCAUUUUGGUGAAUAUAAAGAAGCUUUUGAUCACACUUAGGAAUUUCGCCCUCCCACUUUGAGCCUGUUACAUAUUGUAGUAUCAAAUGGAUGAACUCCAUUUCACUACUGAAAUGGAAAAUCAUUUCUUGAAUCAAAAUCAUGUGUUGAGCCUGUUACAUAUUGUGGCCUUGAAUCAUCUAUCAAAGGCUGGUGCCCCAAAAAGGGAAAGCAUUUAUCAAGCAAACUAUCCAGAUAAUUAGCGAUUUCUUGUGGACCUUGACCGUCAUUUAUGGCGAAAGUGGCCCAACGGAAUCCAAGGAAAAUUUUGUGAAGAAGCAAAGUGAUAAUGAAAUUGAGAUAAAACAAAAAAAGCAGAGAAAAAGAAGGUGGGUGAGUCAUCCUAACGUGGAAAAGAAGACCAACCAAUGCUUUUUAGCGUGCUUUUAUGCCGUCGGCAAGAUUUUAGUCAAACAUUCCCUCAAGAUAAAAAAUCAUGACAAUGCUUUGCAGUGGCAAGAAAUUAUUCAUUGUUGGUCCUUUGCCCCUUCUUUUCCCAUGGUACCAGGAUUUUCUUUUCAAAGUUAAAUUUAAGAAAGUUCAUCACGUAGAUCCCAUCACUCUUGUUCUGAUUACAAUUCAGCAUUUUUUAAAGGUAAAAGUAAAAAAAUAAACUUGGGAUAGAGCCCAAACAUUGGCACAGCCAGUUAUUGCUAUCAGGCCUGGCUUGGCAUGACCCCUAACUACAAGGGGUUGUGCCAAGCUUGAGCCAAGGGGACUAGUCCAUGUGGGUCGGCACGACCCAGUUACCAUGCGUAGGUAGGGGCUUGUUAAUAUACAUGUUAGGAAAAGCAAAAUGCUGAAAUUUGAGACUUUUCCAAACUUUGGCAUUUCAAAGGCAAAGAGUUUGAAAGGUAAUGCAUGAGUAUGAAGAGUCAAAUUAUGAUUUUGAGGAAAAAAAGGGAAUCUUGAUGUGCAAUUAACGGUGAAGAAUUAAGGGGAAAAAAGGUAUAUUAGAAUUUGGUGGAGAAUUAAGAAUGCUAGUUCUGAUCUUGGAGUCAACUUGCAGGUGGAAAAUCAGCAACAUUAUACAAUCAUGGCUAGCGGGCAUGAUGACCUCCACCAUGAGUAUUUUUCCAUUUCUUUUUCCUUUUUUUAAACUUUUCUUUUUAGGUUCUCUCAAUUUGAUUAUCAAGGCCAUCACAAGACAGUCUCGGACAUUGGUUUACUGAGGCAAGGCAUUAACAGUGCUCAAUGAAGCCCGAUUGAGUUUAGCUGAAGGCCCACUUGUAAAUAAAGAUGGUGCUGCCCCUUCCACUAUAGGGAGUAAAUUACACAAAACUUCUCUAAAUUUUAGUGUAAUACAAGUUUUUCCUUGGUUUUUCAACUGUUAUACAAUAGUCUCUAAACUUCUAUUUUGUUCCGGCAAUUAAGGGUGUGUUUGUUUAUGUUUCUUUUUUUUGUUUUUAAACAUUUUUUUCUGUUUUUUUGUUCCUGGGAACAAAAAAGGAACAGAAACGCGUUUGGGUGCGUUUCUGUUCCUUUUUUGUUCAUUUGUUCCCAGGAACAAAAAAGAAACAGAAAUAAGAAACACAAAUUUUGUGUUUCUUAUUUCUGAAACAAAUCUUAAAAACACUUUUGUAUUUCUUCUUCUUUUUCUUCUUCUUAUUUUCUUUCCUGAGACAUAUCGGGGUUUUACAACGGCCGAGGCCGGCGAUCGGCCAAAAGAAGAAAAAAAUAAAAAAAAAAGGAAAAAAAAUAAAAAAAUAAAAAAAUAGAAUAAAAAUAUUAAAAAAUAAAAGAAAUAAAAAAAUUAUAUAAAUUUACCAAACGUGUUUCUGUUUAUUUUUUAUUCCCGGAACAAAUUUACCAAACGCGUUUUUUUGUUCAAAAAUUGUUCCCCGGAACAGAAACACUUUUUUCUAUUUCUGUUCCCUGGAACAAUUUUUAAACAGAAACGCAAACAAAUGCACCCUAACUCUUCGUUAUAUUUUUAUUAGCAUGUGCAAUGCAUGUGACUUUUAAGAGGUAUAAGUGUAAUUUCAUCUCAUUCUUUUUUUUCAAGGAAGCCUCUGUUACCCUUAGUUGAUGUAAAAAACUGAAAUAUAGAAAAUGGAAGAGAAAAGGUUUUUUUUUUUUUUUUUAUCGAGGAAGAGAAAUAAAUUAACUAAAAUACUAAUAAUCAAAAUAAUAAUAUCGAUAAUCAUAUUGAAUGAUAAGCAUUUUUCAAAAUUAAAUAAAUAUAGCCACUUCAUAUAACUAAAUAAGAUAUUUAAAAAAUAAAUACAGAUUUAUUGAAAAGGGAAAAGGCAUCAUUAAUUAAAAGAUCAAAUAACAAAAAGUGGUUAAUGGUUAUGUAUGUUUAAAGGAUGAAUUAAUGUAAAAAUGAUUGAUAUAAGGAGAACGAACAAUUGCUUGUAAAAUUUAUCCCUUUAAGAGGCAAUUGUUCAAGAAGAGUUGGUUAAUACCACGAAAAACCCUAACUAGGUAUAAGUUUAACAAAUUUACCUAAAACUAAUUUUUUGACCACAAAAAAUUCCAAACUAGUACACUUAUAACAAUUUUAACGAAAACUAAUAGAAGGUACAUUUUACAAGCGUAUUAGAUUUGGAUUUUUUAUGGUAAAAAAAAAACUAGUUGAAGGUAAAUUUGUCACAUGUGUACUAAUUUGGAAUUUUUUGUGGUAAAAAAUUAGUUUGGAGUAAAUUCGUCACAAGUAUAUUAGUUUUGGGCUUUUUGUUAUAUAUAUAAUAUCUUAUGGACAUUUUUAGUGAUGGGCAUCUUGAGUUUAAAAAACGCCCCUUGCUUUAGUAAUAAUAUGAAAUUUUCUAAAUCAUUUUGGUUUUUAGGUCCGAACCAUAUUGUCGAAUGAGUUAUUGCUUUCUUUGAGAAAGCUAUUCUUACGGAAUUAUCUUAAAUGGUAACUUGUACUAUUUUACUGGUCCUACAUGUUUGCUUUUGUGAGUUUGGGCUAUAUAUGUUAUAUUUGUGUCCUUCCUAGACAGGCCUUUGCCUUAUAUUUGUUAUUCAAUUGUUGGACUUAUCAAAGAGCAACCAAAUACAUCCGAUCCAUUAACAUACAUGAACUCUUUUUGUAGUGAAGUUAUUCCCCAAAUUUACAAUAUGGACACCCUGAUGUGUCCAUAGCUAUUGGGAUUUUGCCUAAUUUUUAGUUUUUGCUUCACACUCUUAUCUUAGGACUUUGAACAACCACCCUAGUUUACUCCAUUCAAUUGAUAUCAAAACAAUGUAAGUGAGUCAGCUUCAUAGCUGAACUAAGUAGAUCACCGAUUCAGCAAGCAAUUCACCACCUCAAUCAAAAGUUGGACAUGCUAUUAUAAAAAAAUCAUACUGAUGUCAAGGAAUGAUACAUACUAUAUGCUAAUCACGUGAGGCGAGAAAAUGAAUGACAAACUCAUUUUGUAGUUCAAAUUCAAUGACCCGGUAAUAACAUAGGUUGUUACCUAACUGUGAUAAAAAGGGGUUUAAUAGGUCUAAAAAUUUCACUUUUUUCCUCCAACUACUCUUGUAAUUAAUGGGUUAUAAACAUUGACAUCAACUAUAUUUAUACUUAGUAAAGUUUUCAUGUGCGAGCUAUCCACAGUUUUGGUCCACUAAUUAUAGAAAUGAUCAGAAGAUAUUAAGAACAGAGGAAGAUGUAACCCUUCGCUAAAUGAGGACACCAUUUCAUGGCAAUAUAAUAAUAGUAACAAUGACAAUAAUCAUAAGUAAUAAUAAUUUGUGCGCCUUUUAUGUAAUAAGUUGGCUAACUAUGCUUUGAGUCACGGUGUAAAGUUAGGUACUAGAUCAUAGGCCAAAAAUACUUACUCAGGAAUGCUCCUGAAAUAUUUGUUCUUAAUAAUAUUUAAAUGUCUAGCAUAACAAUCCAAAUUGUUCUGAUGCCUUAUUGGAAACCCAAAAAAGAAGAAAGAAAAAAAGAAACAGUUAUUAUCGCUUAGCAUAUCCCUCAAGUUAGCAAAUGGAUUACAUAAUCCAUUGCAUAGACAAUUCACCAAAUAUGCUAUUCAGCAAUUUAAUUAUUUUAAUUAAGCGUGUGAUAGUACAUAUGUGUGGAUAAAGUGGGUAGCUAAGCUCUUGAAUAUCAAGGAGUGGAAUAAUGUCGCAAGACUGUUCUAACCAACGAGUAGUGGACAAGAUUUAUUGCCUUACCUCUGUUAAUUUAAAAAUAAAAACAUUAUUGUGGGCAUGAUUUGCGCUCAUGAAAUACUGAAGAUGCUUUGGAGACUUGUACAAUUCCCUUCAGCCUUAUGGAGUCAAAUUAUAAAAGGAAUAUAUUUCCCAAAUGGGAAAUUCUGGAAUGCAGGAAGAGGAUCCUGACCCUCAUGAGGUCGGCAAAGCUUUUACUGGGCAGAGAAUCCAUCUUCCCAGAAAAAACAAGAUGGGCUGUGGGGAACGGGAAAAACAUUCACAUUUGUUAAGACUUAUGGCUAUAACAGGAGCCGAUUGGGGGUCCAGCAAACUUGGAUGACCCCCAAAGAGUCGAAGAGUUGAUUGUUCAGGAUGUAAUGUGCUGGAACGAACAAAGAUUGAAUGAGCUAUUCAAGGAACAUACGGUCAAGGAAAUUAUAGCCAUACCAAUUAGUACAAAUCGGAAAGAGGACGAGCUGGUUUGGACAGGGAGUAAAACGGGGAAAUGCUCAGUUAAAUGCGCCUACAAAUGACUUCUCCCAACAGAACAACUACGGCUCUCAACUCACGCCUCUUCCUCCAACCAAGUUCCUAAGACUCUAUGGAAGAACAUCUGGAGCCUCACCACACUCCCAAAAAUUAAAACUUUCAUGUGGAGUCUCUGUCAGAAUUCCUUACCAACCCAGGAUAAUCUUUGGGAGAAAUUAUUGCCCGAUCCUCUUUGUCCAUUCUGCCGCCAGCUACCGGCAACAACAGAGCACCUCUUCUUACUCUGCGAGUAGACAAAAGCGAUAUGGUCAGACCCAAGAGUCAGUAUCAAGUUUUCCAGUCAAGAGAUUACUAGGCUAGACAAAUGGGUUCUCGAUCAGAUGCAACAAAAGAGGAACUCACCCUCUUUCGAAGUCUUUGCGUGUAUAUUGUGGAACUUGCGGAAGGCACGCAAUUACUUCAUCUUCCAGUCUUGGCAACCAGAUCUGAACGCAAUUAUCGAAAAUGCUUAUGCUAUAGACAAGAACUUUAGACGCCGGAACCCUGUAACAUCUACUCGGGAGAAGGGACAGGUAAAACUACAGGAACUUGAGGUCUGCCCUUCUGCACUUGGAAGACAAGCGCGAUCCGGGGGGAUGAGAAGGAGCCGCACGUGAUGCUGGAAACUGAUAGCUUAUCACUUAUCAGUUCAGCGGUACAUCUCGGGCUCCAAUCCAAGCCCAUGGGAGCUAAGUGGAGUGAUGGACGACAGCAAGCAAAGCCCAGCCCAGUCAAGGUAAAUUGAAGUGGCCUAUUGUCCGAGAGAAGCUAAUCAGAUUGCGGAUUAGAUUGCAAAAGCCCCACGCCAGAAAGCCCUUCCAACUAAUUGGCCAUCGAUUCCACCUCCAUCUUCAUCGAAUUUUUUAUGUUCAGAAACUCAUGUGUGUUGUCUCUUUCGCGAAGUUAGUUGAAUGAAAUGACCCCNNNNNNNNNNNNNNNNNNNNNNNNNNNNNNNNNNNNNNNNNNNNNNNNNNNNNNNNNNNNNNNNNNNNNNNNNNNNNNNNNNNNNNNNNNNNNNNNNNNNNNNNNNNNNNNNNNNNNNNNNNNNNNNNNNNNNNNNNNNNNNNNNNNNNNNNNNNNNNNNNNNNNNNNNNNNNNNNNNNNNNNNNNNNNNNNNNNNNNNNNNNNNNNNNNNNNNNNNNNNNNNNNNNNNNNNNNNNNNNNNNNNNNNNNNNNNNNNNNNNNNNNNNNNNNNNNNNNNNNNNNNNNNNNNNNNNNNNNNNNNNNNNNNNNNNNNNNNNNNNNNNNNNNNNNNNNNNNNNNNNNNNNNNNNNNNNNNNNNNNNNNNNNNNNNNNNNNNNNNNNNNNNNNNNNNNNNNNNNNNNNNNNNNNNNNNNNNNNNNNNNNNNNNNNNNNNNNNNNNNNNNNNNNNNNNNNNNNNNNNNNNNNNNNNNNNNNNNNNNNNNNNNNNNNNNNNNNNNNNNNNNNNNNNNNNNNNNNNNNNNNNNNNNNNNNNNNNNNNNNNNNNNNNNNNNNNNNNNNNNNNNNNNNNNNNNNNNNNNNNNNNNNNNNNNNNNNNNNNNNNNNNNNNNNNNNNNNNNNNNNNNNNNNNNNNNNNNNNNNNNNNNNNNNNNNNNNNNNNNNNNNNNNNNNNNNNNNNNNNNNNNNNNNNNNNNNNNNNNNNNNNNNNNNNNNNNNNNNNNNNNNNNNNNNNNNNNNNNNNNNNNNNNNNNNNNNNNNNNNNNNNNNNNNNNNNNNNNNNNNNNNNNNNNNNNNNNNNNNNNNNNNNNNNNNNNNNNNNNNNNNNNNNNNNNNNNNNNNNNNNNNNNNNNNNNNNNNNNNNNNNNNNNNNNNNNNNNNNNNNNNNNNNNNNNNNNNNNNNNNNNNNNNNNNNNNNNNNNNNNNNNNNNNNNNNNNNNNNNNNNNNNNNNNNNNNNNNNNNNNNNNNNNNNNNNNNNNNNNNNNNNNNNNNNNNNNNNNNNNNNNNNNNNNNNNNNNNNNNNNNNNNNNNNNNNNNNNNNNNNNNNNNNNNNNNNNNNNNNNNNNNNNNNNNNNNNNNNNNNNNNNNNNNNNNNNNNNNNNNNNNNNNNNNNNNNNNNNNNNNNNNNNNNNNNNNNNNNNNNNNNNNNNNNNNNNNNNNNNNNNNNNNNNNNNNNNNNNNNNNNNNNNNNNNNNNNNNNNNNNNNNNNNNNNNNNNNNNNNNNNNNNNNNNNNNNNNNNNNNNNNNNNNNNNNNNNNNNNNNNNNNNNNNNNNNNNNNNNNNNNNNNNNNNNNNNNNNNNNNNNNNNNNNNNNNNNNNNNNNNNNNNNNNNNNNNNNNNNNNNNNNNNNNNNNNNNNNNNNNNNNNNNNNNNNNNNNNNNNNNNNNNNNNNNNNNNNNNNNNNNNNNNNNNNNNNNNNNNNNNNNNNNNNNNNNNNNNNNNNNNNNNNNNNNNNNNNNNNNNNNNNNNNNNNNNNNNNNNNNNNNNNNNNNNNNNNNNNNNNNNNNNNNNNNNNNNNNNNNNNNNNNNNNNNNNNNNNNNNNNNNNNNNNNNNNNNNNNNNNNNNNNNNNNNNNNNNNNNNNNNNNNNNNNNNNNNNNNNNNNNNNNNNNNNNNNNNNNNNNNNNNNNNNNNNNNNNNNNNNNNNNNNNNNNNNNNNNNNNNNNNNNNNNNNNNNNNNNNNNNNNNNNNNNNNNNNNNNNNNNNNNNNNNNNNNNNNNNNNNNNNNNNNNNNNNNNNNNNNNNNNNNNNNNNNNNNNNNNNNNNNNNNNNNNNNNNNNNNNNNNNNNNNNNNNNNNNNNNNNNNNNNNNNNNNNNNNNNNNNNNNNNNNNNNNNNNNNNNNNNNNNNNNNNNNNNNNNNNNNNNNNNNNNNNNNNNNNNNNNNNNNNNNNNNNNNNNNNNNNNNNNNNNNNNNNNNNNNNNNNNNNNNNNNNNNNNNNNNNNNNNNNNNNNNNNNNNNNNNNNNNNNNNNNNNNNNNNNNNNNNNNNNNNNNNNNNNNNNNNNNNNNNNNNNNNNNNNNNNNNNNNNNNNNNNNNNNNNNNNNNNNNNNNNNNNNNNNNNNNNNNNNNNNNNNNNNNNNNNNNNNNNNNNNNNNNNNNNNNNNNNNNNNNNNNNNNNNNNNNNNNNNNNNNNNNNNNNNNNNNNNNNNNNNNNNNNNNNNNNNNNNNNNNNNNNNNNNNNNNNNNNNNNNNNNNNNNNNNNNNNNNNNNNNNNNNNNNNNNNNNNNNNNNNNNNNNNNNNNNNNNNNNNNNNNNNNNNNNNNNNNNNNNNNNNNNNNNNNNNNNNNNNNNNNNNNNNNNNNNNNNNNNNNNNNNNNNNNNNNNNNNNNNNNNNNNNNNNNNNNNNNNNNNNNNNNNNNNNNNNNNNNNNNNNNNNNNNNNNNNNNNNNNNNNNNNNNNNNNNNNNNNNNNNNNNNNNNNNNNNNNNNNNNNNNNNNNNNNNNNNNNNNNNNNNNNNNNNNNNNNNNNNNNNNNNNNNNNNNNNNNNNNNNNNNNNNNNNNNNNNNNNNNNNNNNNNNNNNNNNNNNNNNNNNNNNNNNNNNNNNNNNNNNNNNNNNNNNNNNNNNNNNNNNNNNNNNNNNNNNNNNNNNNNNNNNNNNNNNNNNNNNNNNNNNNNNNNNNNNNNNNNNNNNNNNNNNNNNNNNNNNNNNNNNNNNNNNNNNNNNNNNNNNNNNNNNNNNNNNNNNNNNNNNNNNNNNNNNNNNNNNNNNNNNNNNNNNNNNNNNNNNNNNNNNNNNNNNNNNNNNNNNNNNNNNNNNNNNNNNNNNNNNNNNNNNNNNNNNNNNNNNNNNNNNNNNNNNNNNNNNNNNNNNNNNNNNNNNNNNNNNNNNNNNNNNNNNNNNNNNNNNNNNNNNNNNNNNNNNNNNNNNNNNNNNNNNNNNNNNNNNNNNNNNNNNNNNNNNNNNNNNNNNNNNNNNNNNNNNNNNNNNNNNNNNNNNNNNNNNNNNNNNNNNNNNNNNNNNNNNNNNNNNNNNNNNNNNNNNNNNNNNNNNNNNNNNNNNNNNNNNNNNNNNNNNNNNNNNNNNNNNNNNNNNNNNNNNNNNNNNNNNNNNNNNNNNNNNNNNNNNNNNNNNNACCUCACUGGUGAUGUUCUCUUAGGAAAUCGCGUUAGCAAGGCAAGACCGUCACGUCAUUCUUGAAUAGAACAGAAACUGCACGACACUGUUUACACUCAUUUCAAUGCGCACUUAAUAACCAUUAAAUCACAGAGCUUUACCUCAAAACAAACCGGACAGUCAUGAUGCAUUGCUCCUUCCAUGCAAGGAUGGCUGCUUUUCAGAAAUACAGCAUAGCAGCAACCUUUGCAGCGUGACAAUGAAUGGAGCAGAUUAACUUCAGUUCUUUUCAUCACAACGGUUAUGCAUAAAUCAAAACGCGCAACAUCAACGACAGGGAAAUGAUAAGACAAACGUCCAGAGGGAGACUUCUGCAUAAAUAGGUAUAUAAAUUCCUAAGAGAUACCAAUAAUCUCCGCCAGGGGUGAUGAAUGACAUAAAUGAGAUGCAUCUAGAAAUUUCAUAUAACAUCCUGACACAUGAAAUUUUUCAUCUACACUGACUGAUCACCCUGUGACAAGUGUUUAUGAAUUCGUGCUUAUUUUCUUACAGAUACCAGCACUCCCCACUCAGAGAUUGAAUAGCGGAUGUCGUGCAUUGAGGCAGCAAAGAACUCCCAUUAUUCAUAUGGACAAGCGCUUUGACACCGUUGAGCAUUGCUGCUAAAGGUGGCCAUACCUGCUAAUGCCACAUCCAUUGCGAUGACAGACUUCUAAAGAUAAAAUAUAGUAAGAUGUCAGGUCCAUGUGAUCAUAAUUUUUUCCACUGCAAGAUAUGACACUAACAUUUGUGAUAGUCUGUAUAAUGCAAAUAAGAAACUUCCUUUUUCACAUGUUUGUCUGUUAUAAAGCAUUUUUAUGCUCAAGGCUAAAAAAUUUGCUAGGAUCAGUCUAUAAACAUGCUAGAAAUUCGAUAGCAUCCACCGGUUAAACUUCUUGGCGUGGCAAGAUUAUCCCUACUUUUUGUUUACAUUGAUAUUAUUCUGGGCAUAAGAGAGCAGUAUGGUUAUAAAAAGCACAUCCAUGGGUAGAAAAUUGAAAAGAGUCAUAUUCUUCGUACUCACCAAACUAUAGACUACUUCUCUGAACUCAAUCCACAUGGCGACUUUCAUAUAUGAUACCAAGAAAGUAUGAUGCAAUUAACUAGUGAAUUAACUUCUAGAGAAUAUUAGAGGCAACUUUUGCACAUUUUCAUCAUGUAAAAAUGGAAAACCGCACAUAUCGCAGUGUAAGCACACAUGCUUCAAAGUUAACAUCAGGUCAGAAUGCGAUCUCAUCUCAAGAUAACUCGUGACACUAGCGCCCAAAAUCUACAGGCGGCUGAAGCGGUGGUUAGUGAUCAUUCUUUAAUGUAUGGCAAGUAAAAAUUCAAUUGCAAUCUAUCAAAUAAGCUUGCACACAAAUAUCUCCUAGAUAUCUAGUACCUUCUUCAUGUUGCGACAAAUGAAGUUAUCAAGAAUUCUUAAGUCUCUGAGGGGCACAAGGAAUCACCUUCACAUCAUUAUGACAGUGAUGACAAUGAAAGAUCUUAUCGCAACAAGGGGCUCUAAUGCGGCACCUUCACCAGUAAUGAGGACAUCUGCAGCAGCAGCAACUUUGAUAUCAACUGGAAUUAAGCUGGAACUAAUAUUGCUCAGGAAUGAGCUGAGAUAUUACUCGUCCUGCAAGUGCUCUCUCUCUAGCAACUCAAUAGCAUUAGCAUCUUCUUGAGUUCUUUCGACAGGCACCUGUUCUCCAUUCAUCUGCUAAAGGACUGCCAGCUCAUUGUCUGUCUGACUUCUUUAUAUAAGACAUGUUGAAGGUUUUCCGCAUCAAACUGAUCGUCACUGUUCAAUGGCUAGUUCAUCCAUUUUAGUUUGACUCUGCUGAGACUACCAACAACCUAGAAGCUAGCAUUGAGGAACUCCAGGGCAUCCUCCAGGGGAUUGGGUGUCAUGAUCACUUGAUGAUUUCCUGAAGUCUGGAGCAAAUUAUAUCGGAUGCGACCAUGAUUGAGCCAAUCUCCAGUGAAAUUGCACGAUUCAAUUGCUCUCAAACAAAGUAAGACAACAGAAUAUGGUGAAAGAUUGUAAGAGCAAAACUUGUCCAUCAAGCAUACGCCACCUCCUCCUGCAAUUCUACUUGAAGCUUUCUUCAAAAACUGUUCAUAGCUCAAGCCUCAAACAAAUACCUAUCAGGGAUUCCAUACUGCCAGAAGAACUGCAUAUCAUACGACUGCUGAAGACAGACAUCAAUGUCCUUAAGUAAGAACCUUCGUGAAGAAGGUAUUUUAUCCAGGUUAAUUGACCAACUUUUCCCUCUAUUCCACGUGUUAUCCAAGAGUCAACAAAUUGUUCUAUGAUUCUAGUCCAACAUUUCUUAUUUCAUGCGGUAUGAGCAGCUCUCUCUCUCUCUCUCUCUCUCUCGCGCGCGCGCGCUCGCGCACGUGCGUGCGCAUACGCUCCCCCUCCCUCCCUCCUGUGCCAUGUGCCAUGGUCCACAAAGAUACCUGAAUUCUACUCUGAAACCAAAAUUACUAUGUCUGCGUCAUGCAUUCAUCUUAAAUAUGGCUAAAAACCUACCAUUCUAGCAGAGAUUUCUCAAAGUUCUCAUUGUGCUAAAGUUCAUGAGCACCAGGAUCUACGGCAAAGGUCAGAAAGCACGUUACCUGAAUGAGCACAAAAAUUGCUACCUAAACCUCCUUAUGUCAUGCAGAGUAUACAUUAGUGCAUAUAUCAAUCUGUAAACUACCCUCCAAAUGAAUACAGCAUAUCAUUUGAUACGUUUAUUGUUCAAUCUCAUGACGUGGAUUCUACACUGUCCAGCAAAUUUCCAGGACAAGGAAAGUAGGGGGAAGUCUGCUCCAAUCAGUAGAUCUCUGAAAAGAGGAAAAUUAAAAUCUUAACCAUACAAAAGAUGGAAAAGUUGACUAUUCUUCACUCGAGAGUUAAAUCAUCAGACAAGGUCGGUCAGGGAUUAUAAUGAAUAUUCAGUGUAAAAGGGCAGCGAGUUGAUUCUCCUCUUAUUAAUCUUCUUAUAAGGAACUUAUUUAAUUAGAUGAAUCUUCUUCGGCAUUCACUCUGGUUCCUUUCUCAGUUAACCAAAGCCACAUGACACAAUAUGCUAUCAAACUGCCUGGUGAAACCUAAAUACACCACAUUGUAUUCUGUCACCAACAACCGAAUUGCAAGCUCAGUGCAAAUAAACUACUGCGCACCACGCUUUUUCCCAAAUCCUAAAGAAAAAAAGGGGAAUUUUCAGAGUUAUCGUAUCGUAUCCCACAUCACUAAUCUCUUAUGUAUGCGACAAGUCAUCACCUGACACAUUGUCCAUAAUGAACACAGAUAAGCGCGACCUGCUUUGACGAGUUGGGAAAUAAUUGGAAUGGCACAUCCUUAAUCACACGAGAUAGCGGCAAAAGAAAGGAAAAACUGCAGGGAUUCCAUCCUUUUGACAAAGGAUAAAAUACACCAUGCUAGUCCUCAAGUUAUCGACAGGAAUUGAAUCAUGUUGUUGCAUGAGUUUAUCAUCUGAACUCUUGGGCAAUAAAACUGCCAAAUGAACGACAGUUCAAAAAAUGGUAGAUUCAGGCUAACAUCAACAACAAAUACCAUUAAAUUUAUCCAGAACUCUCUCUCUCUUUCGUCGAGAGAAACCUCUUCCAGCACCAAGAUGUGUAAAUUGGACCGGUAAUCAAACGCUAUAACAAACGCAAGGACUCUGUUCAAAUGAAAUCAUCAUCUAGAUUUCAAUUUCAAACCAUUCCCGAACAUUCACGAGCCAAUAUCAUUCAACUACAUCAGAAAAAAAAAAAAAAAAAAAGACGACAAAUGCCUCAAUGCAUCCGAACUCCUCAUUCGCUGCCUCAACACGACACAUACAAACCCAAAAUCGAUUCUGAUUCAGAAUAUAAUUAUUUCAAGUUAACGGGAUCAGAGACUUUACAACUUCCAUCAAAUUAAGUAUAAAUAGUACGGUAGUUUCAGCACUCGGAUAUUACUUCUCUUUUCCUUAUUCACCGAUAACAUAAUCUAUCAUUUGGCGUACGCAUAUUCUUUCAUUUGUGUGAAAUCAGAAUAUUUAUUUUAUGAAAAUAAUUCGUUAAGUUGUAUCUUAUUUCAUAUAAAUCUUCCUCUUUUGAGCAAAAUAAAGACGGAAUUCUUAAUUAAUGUUAUAUAUUAAUAUAAAAAGUCGAUAACAGUUACAAAGUUCCUAAAUAGCAUGUCGUUAUUGGAGGGUAUAUGCCUAUAUGGACAUUUAUAUGUAAUUUUUUGUUGUUAAAUUAUACUUAAUUGAAUCAGUUAUAGAAAAUGUUAGAAUUCCAGUAACUGCUAAUUUCCGAUCUUAAAACUAAUGUUAUUAAAACUAACGUAAUUUGGGUUGGACAAACUCAUGGAAAAGAAAUAAGUGGAGAGUGUAAGAAAGGUAAUCCUUAAGAGCAGAACGAUCCUUUAAAAAAUGCGAAUGCGUGCAUUGUUAUGAAUAGUUCUAGUUGGCAUCUUGAAUUAAAAAGCGCCUACUCGGAACUUUCUCCUAUCUUGGCUCAUAGGUUAUUUUUGUUAUCCCUUCUACCACGAAAGAUCCAUUGAAGAACUAGUUUUUUAGGUUUGAAUCAUAUUAUUGUUGGCGCCAAAAUUGACCUAUUGGGCUUCGGAAGUAAACAAGAGGAAAGCAGGCCUAGCGUACGAGAAUCCAUGGACAAUAGGCCGAAAGGACAGCAAUUAGCAACAAAAAUGUUGAAGGGCGCGACAUCAGAAGACUUGUCGAGAGGGACGAGAUAAGAACAAUAGCAGUUAUGGGCAAUCAGCACUAGCGAUGAUGCAGAUAAGGCAGAGCAGUUAUCGACAUAGAGCUGAAGCUUCCGGAAUGAUUUGAAAUCGAAAUGGUAAUCACGAAAGAGCAGUUACUCGUAGAUAACUAUAAAUAGCUAAAGAGGCGUUCUUGUAAAGGACCUUUUUGCCAAAAUCGACAAUCGAACACAUAUUUCACUAGUUAUUUUUUUUCUUUAUUGUACUUUUACAUUUAAUUGCACAUUUACUUUUUCUCCUGUUUUCUUGUAUUUUCGCUUGCCCAUGGCUUAGACAAGUCACUUCCUUUCUAGAACGACAUAAAACCCAUUUCAAACAAUAAAGCCGAAAUUUUGCCCCUUUAGUGAAAGAUAUUUGUCAAGGGAACUUUUUCCCGGCAAACAUCUUUUUGGUACACUUGGUGGGUGGGACUAUUGUGUUCCGUUCCUAGGAAGUGUUAAUGGCAAAAACAUGGAACUAGGAGAGUCGAUCCUCAGUCGAUGAUGAUAAUUUGUCCCCGUAGCGCGUUGGAGAAAGAACUAUCCGUUCCGAAAUUUCCGGCCAUAAUGUAGACCCUAACUAUGAGUAACUAAACUUGUGAUAGUAGUAGUUAUGUUAAUAUUUUCCAGUGUGAUUUUUAUUUUAUUAAUAGUUACUUUGAAUAUUAAUUGUAUUUAUGCUCUUUAUUAUUUUUAGCAUUAAUUAUUAAUUGAAAUUACCAAGUAUAAAAACAGUUCUUAUUUUAUAAUUUUUCUUUGAUUUAAAAUAAUUCAUCAUUAAAAAAGAAAAUUCAUUUUUGCAUUAUGAAAUUUGAAGCUAUUCUAGGUUUCAUGGAAUAGCUAUUAGUUCCUCGGGCCCCUAGGAAUAGUAAUUCCUGAUUUUGAGAGAACAGCUAAUUUCUAUUCCAUUUUUGAAUCAAUGGAAUGAAUAAUUGCUUCAUCAGAAUAUAUUAUAAAUAUUUCUAAUCCAAAUGGGCAGCAAGCUUUCACCAAGAAAAAUCACUCAUGCAUGAGAAGUUAAGAAGUAAUACAGAAAUUUCAUCAAUUUCUAAAUCCAGGUCAGUUUAUCCGAACUAGAAAUUUUUUUUAUUGUACUUCACAAUGGUGUACCAGAUUUCAUGGAUACUCAGGGGAGAAGACAUGACUAGUGGAGAAGGAAUUAGAUCUCAACAUCUGAAAGGAAUCCAGGAGUACUUAUAACAAAUUAUAAAAGACGCAACUUCCAAGAGAAGUAAUCAUGCUUAGAUUAUUCAUUUCCAUGACAAACUUCUCUAUUGAAAUAUCAGGAAAUCCUAUCUGUCAUCAAAAUUCUUUGUCUUCAAGUGUGCAGUUUUUUUAAUCUUCAAUCAUCGAUCGACAGAGUUUGAGUACACUUAUGGCCAAAUCUCAAAAACAAGCCCAGGCAAAAGUAAUACUAUCUUUCAAAAUUUUCAGAAUAAAAAGCAUAACCUUUUACAUGUAGAACAAAAAUAGCACAACUUUUCCAAUGUAGGAAAAAAAACAAAAACUCAACCUUUUAUCAUGGAACAAAAUGGACACCCGUUCCAAGUUCCGUCCGUUAGCAUCAUCAAAUCACCACAAAUAACCUAUAUGGCUUGUUGCAUUGACACGCAUAGUGAGCCAUGUCAAUCAACAGAAAAACGUCAUCCUUUUCUUAUUUAUAAUCUUUGUCAACAAACUUAGUGUAUAAUCUUCAUUACCAAAUUUUUAACAUUUUGCAAAUGUCAUUUGUGGUAAUAAUUAACGGGGCUCAUUGUGCAUGUCAGCACCAUGAGCCAUGUAGGAUGAUGCUUGGUGACUUACGGUGAGAAUAGACAUAAUUUGUAACGCGCGUCUUUUUUGUCCUACAAGUGAAAGGUUGAGAUUUUCACUGGGAAGCUUGAAAAAUUGUGUUAUUUCAUCCUGCACGCAAAAGAUUGGGCUUCUUUUUAGGAUUUUUUUAAGGUUGCAUUAUUUUUGUUCCUGGUUCAAAAGUUUGUGCCUUUUUUUUUUUUUUAUAAAAUUUUUGGUUGUAUACUCACCAAUAUCCAAGGAGUGUGUUAUCAAUGUGUUUCAAUUAUGUUUUAAAUAUCUUUCGUUUUUUGCUUAUUUGUAAGUCGCCCUAGUGCUCUUGUCCAUGCGUCGCACUUCUGGUUUUUAUUCUCUGUUUUUUUUUUAAUCGAAGUUGAUUGUACUUUUAGAUAACACAUGAAGAUACUUUAUAUAUUUUGAUUAAUUGUAGGAAUAAACUUAAAAGAAGAUCUUGUAUCAGUUUCUUCAAAGCCACUUUGAUUUUGACUUAAUGAACCCAACAAAAUUACUGAAAUAAUUACGUCAAAUAAUGUACCUUUUUAGUUGUAAAAGUUAUUUUUACCAAUUUAUUUAGAUAUAAGAAAUACAGCAUAUCACUUUUCUUUUGGUUAGCUAAGUUUAUUUUAUGAUGUAACACAAACGACAUAAUAGAUAGACAUUCGCUCUGAAAUUGCUAAUAUAUCAAUUGGCCCUUAAGAUAAUAAAUAGGUUGUAUGAAAUACGCCUAACGUUAUGUAUGUCUAUAUAUGUUCUUGUUCUAUCAUGCGAAUUUUGGUAAAAAAAGUAAUUCCUAACCUAAUAUAACAUACUUAACUGAGAUAAAAUGUAUAAGCACGUUGACACAGCCAGUUCUUAAUGACUGACUUUCUCUCUCAACAAUGUAGAGUUUUUAUCUACCUUUGAGUAGCGAAAUUUCACUGAAACCCUAUCCCCAAUUCCACCGAUACCCUCCUUCCAUUCCUCGAUUCCCCCUCUCAACCCUGGUUGUCGCCAAUUACCUUUCACUCUCGUUAGCCUUUCUGAUCGGCCAUCUCUGUCAUCUUUGAAUUUCGGUUGCAGGACAAAAUCAGGCGGAACACCUUCUCCGACUGGUUCGCUCUUUGCAUGUUUCCUUGCCCCUGUGUAUCUGUUGAUCUGUGAGGUUCUUCUAUCUUCAGACAAUUCUAUGGUGCAAUUGGACUGUUCCUGUUUAGAUCCUGGUUUACCCUCGUUUUCUGUUGUGUGUUGCUGCUUUUCGCAUUGGAAUGGAUUUUAGUAAGCCGGAUGAAUCUGCGUGUAUGGCUGCUCUUUGUUCCAAACUGGGUCGCCUUAAUACUGAGCAACGGAUUGAAGUCUGGGACGACGAUCCUUCCCCUGAAAAAUUGGAAGAAUGUCGACUAACAUUAGUAGGCAAAAUCCUUUCCAACCCAUCAAUAACCUUCCAAGCUUUCCAAAGUAUUUUGAAGAGGGCUUGGCGGACUGAACAAGUCAAUAUAUCCCAGAGAGAAACAGGCAUAUAUGUGGCAAAAUUUAACUCACAUACUGACAAACAGAGGGUCCUCGGAGGAGGUCCUUGGCUUUUUUCAAGCCACCUCGUCAUUCUUAAGUCGUGGCAGCCCAAUACCCCCUUACAUUGUUAUGAUUUUUCAACCUGUGCUUUUUGGAUACGAAUUUUUGGUUUGCCCUUAGAAUGGACUACAGAAAAACUGAUUGCAAAAGCUGUGCAGGACAUGGGACGGGUAGUAGAAGUUAGAAUUGACACUAAAGAAGGGGCUGCAUUACGGGCUGAUCGAGUUAGAGUUGAGCUAAACCUGCAAGCACCUUUAAGAACAGGGAAGUUGAUCCGUCUAGAUGGAAAAAUUCUAUGGCUUGAUUUCCGCUAUGAGCGUCUAUCCCAUUUCUGUUACUCUUGUGGCAAAUUGGGACAUUAUGCUAUGUGUUAUAAGGAUAUUCCAUAUGAUGACGCUAAUUAGAAGGACGGGACAAAAUGAACUAUGGACAAUGGCUUAGGGAUGAAGUAAAAGAAUGCAGUCCUUACUGGUGCAGCUUUUACUCACCACAAGAAAAAAUAGAGCAGACUGAAGAAAGCAUACCUGAAACGCCUCCAUCACAAAUUCAGAAAAUCCCCCUUCUGUCCUCUCCAAGACACCCGGCAUCAGACACUUUAACCACUCUAGUCAAUAUGGCAACUCUCCAGGUAAUGGUCCCUGAUUAGCGACAUGCUAAGGAGGCAAUUAUGCAAGAGACAUCCCUCCACACUGCGCUCAUUCCUAUAGUAGCUAAAAUGAAGGGUAUUUAGACUCCAUCUACAGAUAUUCAACUAAAUAAGAAGCUGAGAUGUUUCAGAUUGACACCGAAAGUGGGUGUCACCAAAAAACAGAAAAGACACUCUGUAUGACACUACAGGCUUAAUACUGGAGAACCUGGACGACUCCAAUCUCACGGAGGCACCUGUGUUUGUAGCAGGUGAAGCUAGAAAUUGGGCUUUGAUGGCUGACCCUCAACAGCCACCAACUUACAAAUGAAGAUGAUAUGCUGGAACUGUUAGGGAUUGGGCAACUCCCUAACAGUUCAAGCUCUUAAGGCCAUGAUGGCCAAGGAAAAGCCCACUAUAGUUUUUUUGAUGGAAACAAAGGGCGUGCAUGGAAAUGCUCCAAAGAAACGUUUCUGGAACACUUCUGUACGGAUUUUGUUCCCGGGAACAAAAAAAGAACAGAAACGCUUGCGUUUCUGUUCUUUUUUUGUUUUUUUGUUCCCGGAACAAAAUUGGAGCAAAAAAAGGAAACACAAAAAAGUUGUUUCUGGAGAAAAGAAAUACUUCUUCGAAGCCAAAAAAGAACAAAAAUUUCUUCUCUCUUCUCUUUUCUUCUUCUUUUUUUCUUCUUUUUUCUUUGGCCGGUCGCCGGCCUCGGCCAUGGCCGGCAACCGGCCGUUGAGGGCCGGCGACGCCGUCGAGGGUUGGCGACCUCGCCGGAGCGUCGCCGGCCCCCGGUGAGGCCGAGCCUCGCCGUGGCUGGGUGAGGCUGCCGGCCCCGUCGGCCGGUCGCCGGAGGCCGGUGAUCGGCCGAAAAAAUAAAAAAUAAAAAAGAAAGGAAAAAAUGAAAAAUAAAAUAAAAAUGUUUAAAAAAUUAAAAGAAACAAAAAAAGAAUAAAAUUUACCAAACGUGUUUCUAUUCAUUUUUUAUUCCCGGAACAAACGUUACCAAACACGUUCUUUUGUUCAAAAAUUGUUCUCCGGAACAGAAACACUUUUUUUUGUUUCUGUUCCCUAGAACAAAAAAAGAACAGAAACGUUACCAUUCGCACCCAAAGAAUACUAAGGUGAAGCUUCGAAGUAUUCAGCGCCGCCUUCACUUCAAUAGCUCUCAUAUAAUCAACCCUACAGGUAUGGCGAGAGGUAUGGCGCUAUUUUGGAACAAUCAAGUAAGCUUAAAUGUGAUUCGCUCAACGCAUGAUUAUUUUGAUAUGCUCUACACAGAUUUCCAAGAUGAUCGGACUAUGCGUCUAACUUGUAUUCAUGCUCGUUUUGUGUACCACAAUAGACAAAUUCUGUGGGAUGAACAUAGAGAGAUCGGCUAUGCUAACACAUUACCUUGGGUAUGUGUGGGGGAUUUCAAUGAAAUACUCUACCCCUAGGAAAAGAUAGGAAAGAGACAAGUAGAUCCCUAUCGAAUGUUAUCUUUUCGAGCUGUCCUCAAUGAUCGUUCCUUUAUGAAAUUACCAAGCAAUGGCUGUAAGUUUACCUGGAUGAACAACCGCGAGGGAGAUGAGUUGGUGAAGGAAUGUCUGGAUCGGGCGAUGUGUACGAUGGACUGGCGAUUAUUAUUCCCUGCAGCUAAGGUCUUUGCGCUACUCGUUGUUGGGUCUGACCACAGCCCAUUAAUUAUCAACUCUUCAUCAACCUAUAAAGCACAAAGGAAAUCUUUUAAUUUUGAAGUUUUCUGGAAUGAAGAUGAAGAAUGCCGAGAAAUUAUAUCUGUAGCAUGGAACUCAGUGAGGGUUCAAGGAUCUUGACUAAUUUCAAAGUUAAAGCAUGUUUCUGAAGCCCUGACUAAGUGGAGCUGAUUAAAAUUCUCCAGAGGUGAUCUUAAAAUAACUUCUCUACAACAUCUUCGACAAAUUAUAAACCAGCAGCAUGCUCACUAUAAUAGAGAGGAAGUAACUAAGAUCAGAGAGGAAAUAAGGUGGACUUGGUAGCAAGAAGAGCAAUACUGGGCUAUGCGGUCGAGAAUUCAAUAGUUAAGGUGGGGCGAUAAGAACACGAAAUUCUUUCAUGCGACCACUCUUCAAAGACGGCAAAAAAAUAGAAUUAGCAUGCUUCAAGAUGAUCGCCAACAAUGGAUUCGAGAUCCUCAUACUUUACAGGUUAUGGCACGCAAUUUCUUUUCAGGUUUAUAUACAACGGUGGGUCAUCGAGAUUAUAGUCCCAUAAUUCAACAAUGCCCACAGGUGGUUACCAACGAAAUGAACGACCAAUUGCUGGAAGUGGUUACUUCAGAGGAGAUUCACCAGGCUAUCUUUCAGCUGGGAUCUACUAAGGCACCAGGCCCUGAUGGUUUCAAUGGAAUAUUUUAUCAAACACAUUGGGAGGUUAUAAAAGACGAUCUUGUUCUUCUAGUUCAAUUUUUUUUCAAACAGGAUGAAUGCCCGCCAAUCUGAACCGCACUAUUAUAGCUUUGAUUCCCAAGACUCCUCAUCUAGAGAGAAUGGAGCAAUACAGACCAGUCAGUCUCUGUAACUUUGCAUAUAAAGUCAUUUCGAAGGUAAUUGCCAAUCGCCUAAAACCUUGGUUACCUAAGCUGAUUUCUAUGGAACAAAUUGCCUUUGUUAAUGCGCGACAGAUCCAAGACAAUAUCUUAAUCUUUCAAGAAGUUCUUCAUCAAUUUAAAACCCGAAAGCGGAUUAGGAAAUUCAAUGCAAUUCUCAAGACCGACAUGCAAAAGGCAUAUGACAGAGUCGAAUGGGAUUUCCUUAAGGACUAUCUUCUAAAAAUGGCUUCCAUUCAUUGUGGGUACAAUGGGUAAUGUAAUGCAUUACCACCACUUCUUAUAGCAUCAGGUUUAAUGGAAAGCAACUUCCUUUUAUCUACCCAACUCGUGGCCUAAGACAAGGUGAUCCUUUAUCUCCAUAUAUAUUUAUUCUUUUAGCGAAUGUUCUGUCAACUUUGAUCAACCAAGCAGUCAAUAUAGAACAUAUAAAAGGUAUAAGAUUGAAUAGAUGGUGUCCUACCCUUUCCUAUCUGUUUUUGGCUAAUGAUGCAAUAUUUUUCCUAGACGGCAGCAUUCGGGAAUGCCAAAACCUUGCUAACAUUUCAAAUCAGUAUUGUGUGGCCACGGGGCAGGCUUUGAAUCGCAACAAAUCUGAACUUAUUUUCAGUAGGCAUUGCCCUAUCAGACUACAGGAAAAUAUGUCUAUAGAGUUACAAAUACCCAUGCUUCAAAGGUAUGGAAAUUAUCUGGGAAUCCCAUCUGACUGGGAUCGUUCCAAAAAGGAUAUGUUUUCUUGGAUUCUAGCGUGAGUUCAUUCCAAACUAGAAGGAUGGAAAGAAAAGUUCAUUUCAAAGGGAGGUAAGGAAAUUCUUAUCAAGUCUGUGAUUCAGGCGAUUCCACAUUAUGCUAUGUCGGUCUUCAAGCUACCUUUGUGUCUUUGUAAAACUAUAGAAAAGAGUAUCGCAAGAUUUUGGUGGAAAAAUGAUUUGAAUAGAGCAGGAAUACAUUGGAAGAAAUGGGAUAUCAUCAAAGGCAGUAAGGAUAAAGGCGGGCUCGGAUUUCGUGAUUUUAUUGAAUUUAAUAGAGCCAUGCUUGGAAAGCAAGCGUGGUGUUUACUACAACAUCCUCAAGCUUUAUGGAGUCAGCUACUCAAGGGUCUGUAUUAUCAUUCUACAAAAUUUAAGUCAGCGAACAAAGGAACUCGAUCGUCCUGGGUUUGGCAAAGCAUUCUUACGGGUAGAGAUGUUAUUCUCCCACAUCUUAGAUGGUUCGUCGGCAAUGGGAGUAAAAUCAGAAUCCAAGAGGAUCCAUGGUUACCAAGAGAAAUUCUUGGUGGACCCGCGACCAGAGAGGAGCCACAGUUGGUGGCUGAUCUAAUAGAUCCAGUCCACAACAACUGGAACACAUCUCUGCUCCAUCGUUUUCUGGAUGAGCAUACUAUUCAAGAGAUUCUAACCAUCCCAGUUAGACCUCACUAUACAAAAGAUAAAUUAAUCUGGCCAACAACAAAGGAUGGUCGACACACAGUGAAGAGCAAUUAUCAUAUUUUAAUAGCAAUCUCCAGCAACAACAACAAUCACAUGGCAUCAUCCUCUUAUAAGAACCCUAGAAUACUAUGGAGAAAAAUUUGGUCAAUGCGAACGACUCCAAAAAUAAGGAAUUUUCUUUGGUCGGUGAAAAUGCAGUAGCUUCCACAUAAAAUUUGUUUCGCCAACAAAUCAUAACCGAUCCCUACUGUCAGCUAUGUCACCAACAAACCCCAAAAACUUUAGAGCAUCUGUUCCUACUCUGUUCAUGGACUCAACCAAUAUGGGCUCAUCCAUAGAUCAACAUCGACAUACAACCUCAACAAAUCCAUCAAAUAGACGCAUGGUUAGCAAUAAAAAUUAUAUCGACAAAGAACUCACCUUCUUUGGAAGUAAUAGCCAACGUUUGUUGGUAGAUCUGGAAAAUGCGGAAUGGCUUCAUAUUCCACAAUCAACGACUGGAUCCAUCCCUUGCAAUAGAGGCUACUUUGAUCGAGACUCAACUUUAACAAAUCUCUUCUCCUUCCUCUUCGAGACAAGCUAUUGCAAACUAGAUCCCUGCCCACCUCUGGCGACCACCCAAUCCAGGCACCUUAAAAUGUAAUAUUGAUGCAUCCUAUCAACUAGGGAGUACAGAAGGAGUGAUGGCUUCAAUAUCUAGAGAUCAUCAAGGAAGACUCACUGAUAUCUAUACUAGCAGAUUUCCAGCCGCAUCAGCUCUAGUUGCGGAGUUCCAGGCCUUCUCUUUCAUGAUCUAGCAUUUCUAUGGCAAGGUCUACAUCAGGCACGACUCGUGAUAGAAUUCGACUGUAGCACUGUUGUCGACGCCGUCACAGGUGGGAGAUCACCGCCAUGGGAACUCCAUUCCUUGCUCACGGAAGCUAUCGAUUCGAUGUCCCGUUUCCCUAAUUUGACAGUGCAGUUGUGUCGAAGAGAAGCCAAUGCAGUAGCCGAUUGGGCCGCUAAGGCCCAGUGAGUAGAAACUUUGGCCCAAAAUUGGAAUAUCUUCCCACCCUACCUUGAUGGAUCUUGUGUAUGCUGGUGCCCUUGCGGUAGGAUGUAUAUUCCGAUUAUAUGAAUAUAAUGUUUCCUUUUGACCAAAAAAAAGAAAAAACUAAUAUAACAUAAAAGAAAAUACCCUUCCAUUCUCAAUUUGGGAAUAAUGAUUGAAAUUUCAUGAAAAAUGCGGGCACGGUUACUCCAAUUGUUUUAAUUCUAACACCUGGAGAAUAUAAUUCUAUGAUUUAUAUAAUCCUAAGUAGUUAUUGUUCCCAGUAGAAUGGUCCAAUUAUUUGUUGCACGUGUCAAGGCCGCAACCAAAUCAAUUAUAUAAAUUCAAAUCUUUUCAAUGUAGAAUACACCUAUUAAGUUUCUAAUAAAUUUGAAAGUACCUCGUUCUUGGAAAAAAACUUUGUAAUGUGCGCUUAUGUAAGAUAAAUCUCAGAUAAAGCUAACACUACUUACUAAGAGAGAGCAACCUCCUAAUUGUUAAUCAUGUCAAUGAAACGACAUGAGGGCAAUAAUAGUUUCGCUGCUCACUAGAGCAAGCACUAAGUAGAGGACUAACAUCACUUUGACAGUAGAACAUAAACCAAGAGAGCAAAAUAAAAGAAUCAGUUACCUCAUUUUCCUCUAGUAUGUUCAAGACUUCCUCAGAGUCCCAUAACCUACUGCGAUUCUGAGGCUCUUUGUCUUCUUGUCGAAUGAUUUCCCGACCUAGAUCUCGCAAUUAAUCAUGCAUUCUAAGCUCAUGAUUCUCUUCAACUUUUAUUAAUGAAAUUAAUCUCAAUACAAUGACCUCAUUUGGGUGAAAGCCACAACGUCCCACUUAUAGGAUGCAAUUCUCAAGUUAGAGCCAAUGAAAAAGCAAGCGAUAUCCAAAAAUAUUUGCUGUUGUCCAUGCUCUAACGUGUCAUAACUUAUUCUUAGCUUUUCUUGCACUUCCUUAUGAGGGACAUUUUGUAACUUUUUUUAUUAUAUCUUCCCAUACUACUAGCUCUUUAUUGCACAAAAACGAGCCUACAACCUCAAGAGAUAAGGGAAGUCCUUCGGUGGCGGACACAGCCUUACGAGUAAGAUCCUCAAAUUCCCUUGGAGGAGUGUCCCUUCGAAACACAUGUUUACUAAACAAAAUCAAAGCGUUACCCCCAUCCAUUUGCUCAUGUUCAUAUUGGUAAUCCACCUUAGCAUUGUCAAGAAUACUCUUGUUUCGAAUGGUAAUAAUGAUCAUACUUCUUGAAGAAAACCAAUUAUAAUUUCCAGCCAAAAUCUUCAAUUGAUUGUCAUCAUCCACAUCAUCGAGAAAAAAGAGGACUUUCUUACCUUUAAGCUUGGAUGGGAGGAAAUUAAUCCCUUCAUCCCAAUUAUGAGCUAGAUUGCCCUACUUCAAUAUACCAUUGAUUAACUGGUUCUGUAAGUGAUGAAUGCCAUUACGUUUCCAUGAUUCCCUAACAUCAGCAAUGAAGCUACGAUGAUCAAAUUGAUCGGAGAGUUUGUUGUAGAUGGUUUUAGCAAAAGUGGUCUUACCAAUGCCUUCCAUUCCAUGGAUGCCAAUAAAUAGGGGGGCACAAGAAUUUUUAUCGGUCUUACCAAUGCCUUCCGUUCCAUGGAUGCCAAUAAAUAGGGGGCAUAAGAAUUUUUAUCUUCAUAUUCCAUAACUUUCUUGACAUGAUUAUCAAUUCCAACCAAAUUCUCAGGAAAAACCAACUGGAAAUUUUUCUACGGCUGGAACAACACUUCCUGGACCACCGAUUUUAUCAAUUCUACUUCUGACCUGUCAAAUGUGACAAUUUUUCAAAUACAUGGAAAUAGCAAUUUUAUAUUGUUUAACUAAUGAUAACACGAUAAUAAAUAAAUCGGAGGAUAAAUUGGAAAACUUAAAGAAUUGUUUUUGCCACAACUCCAUAAAUUAUCUUAUACCCUAAAAUUGAAGCGGGAAAUGGCAGUGGUUGCAUCACAUGGCGCGGCCCAUUCCAUUAUUACUCUUGACUUUAUUGUGCCAAAAGAAACUUGAGGGCGUCGCUAGAGAAUAUUGAAUAUUAUAUGAAUUAUGCAUUUGAAUUAAAUUUAUAUUUGUUGCUUGUUAAAGAUAUUAGGGAUGAUGUGGACGUGACAAUGAAAACUUUCUAUAGCGUUUGAAUAAGCAAAAUCCAAUAAGCAAUCAUAAUAUCUACCACUGACAUAUUUCUUUUGUAAGAAUAAUUUAUAGCAACUAAUUAACAACAUUAAUAAUGUAACAAAUGUAACUUGGGAAGACAAGGAAUUAAGGUUUUGACAAUCAACAUACACGGUACAUGACGUUACAAGCUUUGAACAAGAACUGCCAAUAAGUUGUACAAUUAACCUCAAAUAAAUACGUAACUAGAAAAGUUCGUGAUGAAGAUUAAUGUAGCUUAUACUAUAAACUAGGGGAAAAAAGCACAAUGUUACAAAAUAAAAUCUUAUUAUUCAAACGAAUGGGAUCAUAACAAUAAAAUCUCUAAUUAGAUUGGUCAAUGUCAUUAAAGCAAAAAAACUUUAAAAAAAAAAAGAAUAACUUAUAGAACUCAUGCAUCGCAGUAUGUUACUGCCAGCAUGAUCUUAUUGCUUUUUUAUAUAAAAAGAAAAGAACGAAAACGAUGCAGGUGAGAAUAAGAACAACCGUAAACACCCACACAAAUAAAAAGAAAGUAGAGAAUGUUUUGGUGAAAAAAAGUACCCAUUUGCUUCCCGUCCUUCCAAGUUACCAACUUGUCUGAGUGCUUGCUUCCAUUUCUCCAAAAUUGUUGGGUCUAAGCCCCUCCACGUGAAAGUUUUCAUGCUCAUGAAAUGCCUUUCCAAAACUCCCAAUUUGAUGUUGUACGUCAACUUGUGACACUUUGUAGAAUAUAGCAUGGUAUUAUUCUUUCACUCCAUUAGUUCAACCAAUUCAUUGAGGCACCAACGGCUUCCACCAUAUUUCUCUGAGAGAAUGGGGAUGAAAAUCUUACUGUUCUACCACCUGCCAUGGUGGCUCCGCUGGAUAAGAGCUCCAUUGAUCCUUCCCCAAAGGUGAGGGGUUCGAAACCCAGUGGAGGCAUUUUGUAUCUUACGUGGGAUGUCGGGGUGGUGGGUCCUCCGCUAACGUCCCCCCGGGUUUACCUUGUCGGCUGCCGACUGUACGGGGUUCCCGAGUCAUAAAAAAGAAAAAAUCUUAAUGUUCUUGAUGGUCGCCAAAAGAUUUGGGCCAAUCUCCUUGCCUUGGUAGAGCUCCUCGUCAUCUCUAAAAGCACGAAUUCCGGCUUCGAUGAGCCUAUUGUAGAGGUGAUCGGUAAAGCUAUUUGAGUAUCGGGGCCUCUAAAGCUUAAGAACACCUCGUAACUAUCUCCAGUUGUCGAACUAGAUGCACCAUUAUUAGUCUCUGUGGGAGACGAACUGGAUCCACCGGCACUAGUUCCCAUCGCCGCUGUCAAUGAACCAUAUGCACCAGAAUUAGCAUCUUUUGUAUUUUCACGGUUGCUAGCUUUCUUCUUAUUGAGAAAACAGAACGCGAGCACGAAGAGAAGGAUGGGUGCCACGAGCACGGCAAAAGAAUGCCCAAAGAUGGGACGAUGCAUUUCGUCUUUGCUCUGACUCUACCCCUAAUUUUUUCUUUCAACUCUGACGGAGAAACAAACCAAAAUGCCUCUCAAGAAACACGAAAUGCCUUGUUACCCUUUGCCCCUUUAUUGGCUUGAAUUAUAUAAUGGAACCAGUUAACAACUCGCAAUCAAUAAUUCAAACUUGUCAGGCUAGAUAUAAAUUAGCACUUCAUUGACCGAGAACAGUAACCGCGCGCUUAGAGUCGCUGUCUUCGUGCGUGGAAAUUCCAAAUGCACCAGAAAAUCCAAGCCGAUACCUGCCUAGGAAGAAUAAGAGCGCAUAUGAUAACCAUUAUAGUCAGAAACUGAUUUCUAAAAGAGAAAUAUAUUUUCUAUUUCUAUUCUUGGAUGAGUUUUUGAACAAAAAUAUGUGUUUGAUAAUGACACUAGAAUAGAAAUUCAUUUGAUAAUGAUAUAAAAUUUCUUCCUUUCGGGCAGUGAUAGAUGGCGGUUGAUAAUCGGUAGACGGUGGAUGGCAAUCGACAAUUGGCGCAUGGUGAUUGGUAAUUGGCGACAGGCGGCUGUGGCGGCGAACGGUGGUGGCAGUGAGCAAGGGAUGGCGGCCGGCGACGGUGGUGGUGGACGAUGGUUGGCAGCAGGCAGCAAUGGAUGGCAAUUGGCGAUCGACGGCAACAAGCAAUGAUUGACGGAUGGCAAUCGAGUGGACGAUGGAUGGUGGGCGAUGACGGUGGAUGGAUAGUCGGCUAGUAGUGAGGAAAAACAAUGAGAUGAGUUUUUAUUUCUUAUUUAUGUUCCAGAAAUAGAGAAUAAAAUUUUUUACUUUUGAUUUCUGUUCCAAACCUAUUUCUUGAACAAAAAUCUAUUCCAGAAAUAAAAAAAUGAAAUAGUUUUACCAAACGGAUUUCUAUUGCAGAACUAGGCCUCAAACAAAAAAAAAGUUAUGAAAUAGAAAUAAAAUGGUUAUCAUGAAAAUCUCAAAAUAGCUGAGGAAAUGUCGAUGCAUAAGCAGUGAUAAGAAAUAAAACCAAAAAUAAAAGACAAGUUCUGCUAUUGUAUAAGUCGGACAAAUGGUCAAGCUCAAGAUAGAUAAAUAUUUUUUCUUUUGUUAACAUAUUCUAUCCGUUGGAAAGGUACUGAUCCCAUUCAGGAAUUUAGCCCCAUCACUUUUGAGCUGUUAAAUAUUGUAGUAUCCAGUGGAUAAAUUUCAUUUCCUACUGAAGUGUUGUAUUAUCAGCGAGCACUUGUGCUAAAAAAAUUAUAUUAUUAACACGUGUCGAGGAUCAUGAAAUUAUCAACAUGCUAUAAAGUGACUUAUAAAAAUGACUAUUUUAUCUGCAAAAUUGUGCGGGGCUAUGCAUUUGAUCUGACGAAAUGUAUGUUACAAAGCCACUUGCAUUAGGUCCAGCAGUAUUGGGUUUCCCAACAUCCAUUUCCAUAGUAAAACAAAUACUCUUUUGAACUAAAGUCGAUUUUCAUUUUGUAAAUCAUGUUAGCCGGGCACAGUUUUCUAGAUUUGGAGGGAGAAAGAUCCAUUUUGGUUGUUCAAAAUUUUCUAAAUCAUUUUGGUCCUUAAAUAAGUUUUCGAAUUGGAGCCAACUUGGAUGCAACGAGAAAUAUAACUUUCUCCAAUUUUGGCUCAUGCGUUAUUUUUUUUUAAUAGGAUUCGGACCUAAAAGAUUAGUUCUUCAGUGGAUCUUUCUCCAUAAUGAUGAUGAUGAUGAGGUAUUUCUUUACUCUGAUCUCUCUUCUUUUGAAGGUCAAAACAGAAAAAUACAACCAAAGAUCAUAAAUUAUGCUCAUUGUGACAGCAAAAAUCCAAACUCUUUUCUGGUAAACUUGUUCUAGUAUGGCACAAAUACCCUUUGCUUACCAUUAGAAAACCUUGAACUCUACUUAGUGUGAACUAAUUUCCCAAAUUUGUUCUCGCGUACAAGUUUAUGGGUUUUGUUGAGACUUGAGUAUUGAUGUCACUAGUUAACAUAAUUUAAGAUUUUUAAAUAACAAAGAAAAUUUGGGGUGAUUGUGUCACAGUGCCCAUAGUUUAAAGAAUUUAAUAGUAUAAACACAGGUCAAAAUAGAUUAGGCAACUUCAUAUUCCUACGUUUCGAUACGUGUAUAUUCUCAUUGAUGAAAUUCUUUAAAACGUCUAAUAAUUCAUCUAACUUCUAGCUGUCAAUUACCAAUCAUCCUUAGUAUUACAAAAUAGUAGACCCAAAUUUUUAUUGCAGUUUGGAGGGAGAGACAUAGUUUUAAUUAAAUCGGUGUGGAGUGCCCCUACAUAGUUGUGGCGCCCAUCGACUAUAAUAUGUCUACUUUUCUAAUCUAAGUCAAUUUUAUGAUGGUACAUUUGCACUUCAGGCCUUCGCUAAUACAAAUUUUGAUUAGAUAGUACGUAGAAUCAUAUUCAUGGAGAAAUAAAAUCUUCCCCACGAAGCAAUAUUAUAAAACGCAUUUGGCUCGCCAGAAAAUUAUUAUAAGUACUAUUUUAUUGAUGAUCACUUAUGCCACAAUAUUAUGUCGCUAAUGCGUGUUGGGGAUCAUGUAUAUAUAUAUUCUCUCUUUCUUUCUUUCUUUCAUUUUCAUUUUGUACCCGAGCACAAUGCAAAGAAGUUCUUUGCUCUAGUUCUUCCCUUAGUUUUUUCUUCUUAGUUUUUCCUUCAAAUCCCAGAAGGAAAUCAAAGUCUCUCCUCUCUUUCGCUCCAACUUUAUUCUUAAAAACAUCAAAAGGCAACGAAAGUAAUUUAAAGUAACAUUUUGUUGACAUGGUAAGAUUUUCUUUUGUUAUGGUAAAAGACAUGGUAAGUUAUCCCCAUAAAUGCCACCAAAACGUAUCUUCUUGCAAGUCUUGGCCUAAAUCAUAAAACAGUAGUUUUAUAAAUCUAAGUUCGAGGGGAAAAUUUUUGCAUCUAAAGUUUUUGGAUCUGAAUUGAUCUACUGUACUCACUUAUCCUAUAUAGGAUAUGGACAUCCUCCUGCAAUAUCUAAAUUAAUUUGAUAAAGUUGAAAGGUCAUACACUUCUCAAGAAAAUUAAGAUUCCAUGACAUUUAAAAAAAAUGAAAUAACAUUGAAAGUUUAUGACAUUUUUAAUAACAAGUGGAAAGGCUAAAGAGAUUUGGAAGGUUUACUUUUCCAAAAAUGACUUUUAAAAGAAAAUGAGAUUUUUCUAGAUUUCCAAUAUACAUUCAUAAAUUUAUUCACUGGUUAGAUAUUAAAUUAUGAUUUGAUCAUAUUGCUUAAUAUAUAAAUUUUAGUGUACUUAUUUUCAUUACUCGUAAAUAAUUAUGACAUUAUUUUGUCAAACUUCAAAUAAUGGAGCACAUGCUUGCAGAGUGAAAGUUUACAUCUUUUUUAACAUAAUUGAAAAAAAAUCCAAAUAUUGCUAGCAAUCAUAUAAAUAUCUUCAUUAAUUAGAAUCUCUUACAUAAAACGGUCAAACCAGGUGUUCAUUUAUAAAAUGGUGGCUAAAAGAAUCAUUUAUCAAGCAAAGUAUAAAAAUAAUAAACCCCACUGGCUUGAUUUUUUUUUUUUUCAUCUGUUUUACUUUAACUCUUAAUUCACUCUUAAAUUUUUGUCCGACCUCUUUGCAAAGCGUGGAAAUAAAACUCAACUUCUAAAACUAAAUAUUCCCACCCUUAACUCCCGAGAAGAUGGAAAAUUGAACUUCUCACCUUCUAUUUUUUAUGUGAAAAGGGUAUACUGGCUUGUUGACUAGUAGCAUAAUAAAAACUUUUCUUGUGGACAUCGACCUUUGUUCACGCCGUGAACGUGUGCAAAAUACCCGGGAACCGCCUGGACCGCCCGGAACCGGACCGGAACCGCCCGGAACCGGCGGUUCUUGAGGGAACCGGUCCGGUUCCCGGUUCCAAUUUAUGGGAACCGGUAGGUACCGGUCGUGUUCCCAGUUCCAUGGGCGGAUCCGCCCGCCCACCCACCCGGACCGGACCGGAACCUUUUUAAUAUUAAAAAAAAAAUUACUAAAAGAAAUCUUAGAUCUCAUCUCACUCCCUUCUAGGGGUGUGCAAAAUACCCGGGAACCGCCCGGACCAUAUUUGUAAAUUCGCUGCGUUUACUUCUCCCACCGUCCCCAUCUCCACGUACUUAAAUUUGGUUUUUCUUUCUUUGGCUUGCUUUGAUGUCACGUAGUCGUUCUAUGUUGAAAAUCAAAAUUGUUUUGCGUCAAGAUCGGUUCCAUGGAUCCACCCGGGAACCGGAUCGGACCGGCGGUCCGGUACUCGGGUGGAUCCAUGCAACAAACGGGUGGAUCUCGAUUCUAAUCUUUCGGAACCGGUCCUUAGCGGGCGGUUCCCGGUUCUAGGUUGGGAACCGCCCGCCCGGACCAUGCACACCCCUAGUUCACGGUGAAUGUGGCCCGAGGGAAUCUGUGGAAAACUUUCUAAAGAAGCAAAGUGAUAAUGAAAAGGAAAUAAAGCAGAAAAGCAAAGAAAAAGAAGGUGGGUCAUCCUAAUGUGGAAAAGAAGACCUGCCAAUGCUUUUCAGCGUGUGCCUUUUUGUUGUCGAAGGAUUUUAGUCAAAAGAUCCCUCCAAGGAAAAAAUCAUGACAAUGCCUCACGGUGGCAAUAAAUUAUUCAUUAUUGCUCCUUUGCCCCUUCUUUUCCCAUGCUCCAAGGAUUUUCUUUUCAUAGUUAAAUCUAUGAACAUUCGUCACGUUAAUCCUAUCGCUCUUGUUCCGAUUACAUUUCGGUUGCUCCUUAAAAAUAAAACUAAAACUAAAAAAUGAACCUAGGCUAGAGCUUGAACAUUGACACAGCCCAUUAUUGCUAGCGGGUGGCACAACCCCAGGGGUUGAGCCUAACUUGAGCCCAUCACAAUAGAUAUACUUUAAUAUUUCUAGUAACGCAGGAAAAAAUUUGAGAUACUAAUAUCAUAGUGGCCAUAAUUUAAAGCUUUUAGUGGUAUAAACCCAAGUCAAAAUAGAUUCCACGGCUGCAUAUUCCUACAUUUCGAUAUGUAUAUAUUAUGGUUGACGAAAUGCUUAAAAUAUUUAUGAACUCAUCAAACUUCUAGGUGUCAAAUAUCAACCAUCCUUAGUACUACAUAAUAGCGGACCUAAAUCAGUGUGGAGUGCACCUAGAUAGUUGUGCCGACCAUUGAUUGGAAUGUGUCUAGUCGCUCUCCUCUUAAUCAAGUUUUGUGGUGAUGGUCCAUUUGCACUUUAAGUUGUUGCUAAUAUAAAUGAUGAUUAAAAAGUAUAUAGAAUCAUUUUCGUGAAGAUAUAGAAUCUUCUCCACUGACGAAUAUUUUUAAACGACAUUUUAGCUUGCCUGAAAUUAUUCUAUUAUUUUAUCAAUGAUCACUUUGCCACAAAAUUAUAUCACUAAUGCGUGUAUGUACGUAUAGAUAUUGUCUUCUUCUUCUUCUUUUCCAUUUUGUACGUGAGCACAAUGCAAAGGAGUUCGUCUUUGCUCUAGCUCUUCGCUUAGUUUCUCCUUCAGAUCCCAGAAGGAAAUUAAAGUGUCUUCUCUCUGUUGCUCCUACUUUAUUCUUAUAAACAUCAAAGAGCAACGAAACUGUUAUAUGAUAUAUAGUGCCAUUUUGUAGGUAUGGUAGCAUUUUCUUUUGUUAUGGUAAAAGACAUGGUAAAUUAUGCCCAUAAACGCUGCUAAGAUUUUUCUUCUUGCAUGUCUUCGUCUAGAUUAUAAAUAGUAGUUUUAUAAGUCUUAGCUUGAGGGGCUUGCACCUAAAGUCUUUGGAUGCGAAUUGAUCUACUGUACUCACUCAUCAACUCUAGAUAUGUACAUCCUCCCGUGAUAUCUAAAUUAACUUGAUAAAAUUGAAAGUUCAGGAUAAUCUGCACGAAAAUUAAGAAUUCAUGACAUUUUAAUACAAAAAUGAGAGAUUAUAUUCCACUUAUAAAAUUGGAAGUUCGUGACAUUUUUAAUGAUAAGUGGAAAGUACGAGACUCUCUAGAAUAUUAGGCUAAAGAAAUUUGGAAUAUUUAUUUUUCAAUAAAAAAAUUAGGGAUAUGUGCAACACAAAUCCUAAAACUUACAAAAAGUGCAUUCAAGUCCUAAAACUUGUCAAAUUGGUUCAAUUGAGUCAUAAAGUUAACACCGUCAAACUCAGUAACGGAAAACGCUGACGUGGCACAGACAUGGCAUUUUAAAUAAUUUUUUAUUAUACACAUGGCUUUUAACAUUAUAUUUAUUCUUGUUUAAAUUAGAUUUAAAAAUAGAAAGGAAAAGCUAAAUUUAUUUCAAAAAACAAAACCAUGCAAAAAAAAAAAAGGCACCGAUGGUGCUUCCCCCGCCACCCAUUGCUGAAGUGGCCGGUGAUGGUCGCCGGCCCUAGGUGGGGUGGCCUGCCCUCGCCGGCCCCAAGCGAGGGCCGACCACCCUUGCUAGGUCGGGCGAGGACACCCAAAUCUGGGCACGCCGGCCCUCACGGGGGGCCGGCGACCAUCGCCCUCCCUGCUGGACGCCUUGCCGGCCCUUGCCUAGUAGGGUGCAUGGUCUGGGCGGGGGGUUCCCAACCUAGAACCGGGAACCGCCCGCUAAGGACCGGUUCCGAAAAAUUAGAACUGAGAUCCACUUGUUUGUUGCAUGGAUCCACCCGGAAACCGGACCGCCGGUCCGAUCCAGUUCCCGGGUGGAUCCAUUGAACCGAUCUUGACGCAAAACAAUUUUGGUUUUCAACAUAGAACGACUACGUGACAUCAAAGCAAGCCAAAGAAAGAAAAACCAAAUUUAAGUAUGUGGAGAUGCGGACGGUGGGAGAAGUAAACGCAGCGAAUUUACAAAUAUGGUCCGGGCGAUACCCGGGUAUUUUGCACACCCCUAGAAGGCAGUGAGAUGAGAUCUAAGGUUUCUUUUAGUAAUUUUUUUUUUAAUAUUAAAAAGGUUCCGGUCCAGUCCGAGUGGGUGGGCGGGCGGAUCCACCCAUGGAACUGGGAACCGGACCGGUACCUACCGGUUCCCAUAAAUUGGAACCGGGAACCGGACCAGUUCCCUCAAGAACUGCCAGUUCCGGGCGGUUCCGGUCCUGUUCCGAGCGGUCCGGGCGGUUCCCGGGUAUUUUGCACACCCCUAUCGCCUAGGGUCGACGAUGCUCGCCCAGAUCUAGGCGUCCCCGACGCUGGAUCGGGUGGAGUAGUUGGUGGCUGCUUGGUGACAACGAUAGUCCGAUGCAGUGAUGGCGUUAGGGGGGUCAGCGGUAGGACGUUGGGGAACGGUAGCAGCCUAGCACUGCAAAGGGUCACGGCUGGUUUUGCUAGGGACGGCAUCAGGGCUACGGCGGCACGGCUAAGCAGUAGUUCGAUGCAAUGACGGCGACGGAACCCCUGCCCUUCGAAACCCACUCACUCAGAUCUGGAUAGCGUCGAGGCACGGUGUCGGGAGUGCAACGGAGCUAAAUCGAAACGCCCAGAUUUGGGCGAGCAUCGCCAACCCUAGGCGAGGGUCGGCGAGGCCUCUCGUAGGGAGGGCGAGGGUCGCUGACCCCCCGUGAGGGCCGGCGUGCCCAAAUCUAGGCGUCCUUGCCCGACCUGGCGAGGUUGGUCGGGCCUCGUCUGGGGUCGGCGAGGCCUCGCUCAAACUCGCCCAAGGCCGGCGACUGUCGCCAGCCCCACCGGCGAUGGGCGGCGGCUGUGGCGGAAAUGCCGGCCGAUGCCAUUUUUUUUUAUAACAAUUUUGUUAUUUUAAAUAAAUUUUAGUUUUUCAUUUUUAGUUUUUAAAUCUAAUUUUUAAAAAUUUUGAAUAAAAAAUAAUUUUAAAAAGUCACGUGAAAAAUAGAAAUUCAUUUAAAAUAUGACGUCAGCGCCAUGUCAGCAUUUUCCGUUAGUAAAUCCGACGGUGUUAAAUUUAGGACUCAAUUGAACCAACUUGACAAGUUUUAGGACUUGAUUGCACUUUUUGUAAGUUUUAGGACUCAAUUGCACUUUCCUUGUAAGUUUUAGGACUUGUGUUGCACAUAGCCCAAAAAAAUUAAAAGAAAAUGAGAAUUAUCUAGAUUUCUACGCUUGUACAAUAUUUAUGUUCAUAAAACAUGUUAAACUAUGAUUUGGCCAUAUUACUUAAUAUCGAUUUUCGUAUACUUAUUAAUGUUACUCGUAAAUAAACCAUGACUUUUUUUUUUGUCAAACUUCAAAAGAGGGGGAGUGCAUUCUUACUGCGUAGAAUUUUACAUCUUUUUUUUUUAACAGAAUUGAAAAAGAAAAAUCCACAUAUUGCCAGCAAUUUUAAUAAAAAGCACCGUUAAUUAGAAUAUUUUACAUGAAACGGUGAAAUCACGUCAUCUUACAAAUUCCCAUCGAGGAUCCAUGGAAGAUAUUGAAAUACAGUCUUGAAUCAUUUAACAAACGUUGCUGGCCAAUAAAGAAAAAGGAUUAAUAUCACAAAAAACUCUAAACUGAUACAAAUUUACUUUAAACUAAUUUUUUGACUUCAAAAAACUUCAAAUUGAUACACAUGUGAUAAACUUACCCUUCAUUAGUUUCCGUUAAAUCUUAUUGUUAAGUUACUAAGUCGGAUGACAUGUCAAUUAACGGAUGUACCAAUUUGAUCUAUGGUCUUUUGUGGUAUUAAUUCAAUUUAAUGGAAACUCAUGGAGAGUAAAUUUAUCACAAAUAUACCAGUUUAAGAUUUUUUGGUCAAAAAAUAAUUUGAGGUAAAUUUAUCAUAUGUGUACUGAUUUUGGAUUUUUUUUAAUUAAAAUUAAAUUUGGGGUAAAUUUACGUAUGGGUACCAAUUUGAAAUUUUUUGUGGUAUUAAUCUUAAAGAAAAUCAUUUAUCAAAUUGUGGCCAGAAGAAUCAUUUAUCAAGCGAACUAUCAAAAUAAUCAACGACAUGGAGCGUCCCAAACCGCGUGGAAAAAACGAAAACAAACGAAAAAAAAAAAAAAACGGAGGAUUUUCCUGCUUUCACAUCGAAGCUGGGUGGGAGACGAAGCUUCGAGGAAGUUUCGCGCCAAAAUGUCGUGCGUCCCGUAUUGGAAAUUUGUCUCUUCAUUUACAUUGUAUUUUUGUGAAUAUAUUUUUAGGAUGUAAAUUAUACACGGUUCGUUGUCGUGGGUGAGUCAAUGAUUGACCUCAUGUAAAUCCAUGCACGAAGUAUUCACGUCUCAGCCUCCUAGUGGGAAACCGUCACAAGUAUCCGGGAACGGGCAGUGUCGAGGAGGAGGACGGCCCCUUUCGUCCCCCUAAAACUGGCCGUGUUUCUAGAGGUCGACCUGAGAUUUUUUCACCCGAGACACGGUCGACGCUACAUAAUAUAAUUGAUAGUAGUGUACAAUGAAAGGCUCAGACAAAUGCCACUCGAUUCCAAGGGCGUGCCUGGCAAAUUGGCGAGAGAUCUGGUUUCCGAAGUGGAGAUGAGACCCCUUUUGUGCCCGUGAGGGAUUCUAGGAGCUCAAAACUGGUGAUUAGACCAGCUUGUUAUAGAACAGACUGGUACCUAAGGACCGAUGUUUUCCUUUUUUCUUGAAACCUCUAACUCGAAAUUUCUAUCAAACCUAAUCUUCUAAAUAGUGACGAUGGAUUAGACAAUGAGAUAUCAGAUUUCCAUUAAUAUUGAUGAAUUUUACAAAGUCAAAUCAAUUUUUGCUCCACAAAGUUGGUAUCUUUAGUCCUAUUUAUCCAAAAUAGUCGAUUCUAUCACAUAAACAACCACAAACUGAUACAUAUGUGAUAAAUAGAAGGUAAAAUCCCAAAUUGGUACAAGUAUUUAUGGUUACAUGUCAUUUAACUUAGCAAUUUAACACAAAUUCUAACAGAGAAUAAAUUUGUUACAGGUAUAUAGUUUGGAGUUUUUUGUAGUUUAAAAAUUAGUUUCAAUAAAUUUGUCACGAGUGAAUCAACUUGGAAUUUUUCAUGGUAUUACAUCAAUUAAUAAUCUCACUUGUAGUUCUUCAUCUCAUUUAAAUUAUCCAAUUGAAUUCUUAGAUUUUAAACAUCUAAGUGUAUAACAUAAGAUUUUAUAUUGUUAAAAUGACCAUCAUCCCAUUGGCAAAAAAAAAAAAAAAAAAAGAAGAAGAAGAAGAAAAAGUCCACCGCCUAAAAUCAACCUUGGUGAAAUUUAAUCUCUUAUUUGACUUUACUUUUACUUCUCCUAUUAAUUAUCAUUUAAAAAUUAAUUGGCAUUGACAUAAUUUAUUACCUUUUAUAAGAUGCACCUCCACUUUAUAUUUUUCUACAUUUAUAAGUCUAUAAAUAUAUAUUAAAAUUUUGCAUCUAAAGACAAUUAUUAGAGAUGGACUAUUCGAGGAAAAAUUAGAAACAGAAAAUUCAUAUGAAGAAAAUAGGGAGAUCGUAAAGAGGGGAGGGGGAAUGGAGAUGGAGAUGGAUUACAUACAUUUGACUAGUAUAUGAGUUCGGCUUUGGGCCCAGUGGAAAAGAGUUACAACCAAGAUGAAGAAUAGAACCAUCCGAAUAUUUCUUGUUCAAAGAACAAAAUUAAUCCUAAGACAAAGUGUAGUCCAACUGUCUAGGAGCUGAACUUCCUUCAACCAAGCCCCUACUUGGAUCCAUACCUAGCUUGGAUCUUAUGCAGUUCCUUGAGGGCUUCAGCCACAUCUAUCCGAUCCUGCGGUAACUCCAUCGAGCGUGCAACUCCAAUCCUUAGGAUGGAGGAGAUGCAUCCUCUCAUCCUCUCAAUGUCAUUCUCACUUUCUUCAUUAAAAAUGGCCGAGUCCACGAUCUCCAUCACUCAGUCUGGUAGAGCCACCUUGACAAAGUUGUGGAGAUUUAAAUGGUCCUUGAAAGUCUUUUCUAUGGGUCUCCUCCCAGUUAACAUUUCCAAUAAAAGAAUACCGUAGCUAUACAUAUCGCCUUGUGUGGAUACCAUAUCCCCCAUGCCAUACUCUAAAAUAGUGUACAUCAAGCAGUAUACAAUGAAAAUAAAUAUUUGAUCUAAAAGUCAACACAAAUAAAACUUAGACAAUUAAUGAGAAAAUUUUCUUACUAGGAGGGACAUAACCUAUAGUACCCCUCACUACCACUGAGCUAUUGCUAUCGUCAAUGUCCAUGGCGUCUAUUUUCGCAGGGGAGCUAAUCGUCGCUAGCCCAAAAUCCCCAACUCGUCCCAUCAUCUCGUUGUCCAGAAGGAUGUUACUUGGCUUCAGAUCUCCGUGUACAAUCUUUGCGCUACAAGCCUCGUGAAGAUAUUUGAUUGCAAAAGUUAUGUCAAUGGCAAUGUCUAACCUUUGCAUUAGUCCCAAAUGCCUUGGCUUUCCGUGUUCAUGUUCAUGCUCAACGUCCCCUUCGUUUCCUUGGUGUAUCCAAUUCUCUAAACUCCCAUUAGCCAUGUAUUCGUACAAUAGAGCUUUGAAAUCGUUGCCGUGAUAGUCCACGCUUGAACAAACGUUCACUAUUUUCACAAGAUUUUGGUGUCGUAUAGCCCCUAAAGUUUGACAUUCCGAGACGAAGCUCUUUGAAGCACCUCUGUGGCCCAAGUUGAGCACUUUAACCGCCACUAAGCCGUAUUCCUGUGUGGUUGCUUUAUAGAUGGUGCCAUAUCUCCCUUUACCGAUCCCAUUGAUCUCAGAGAAUCCGUUUAAGGCUCUAAAGAGCUCCUUAUAAGAGACCAGCGAAAAUUUGUGUUCAAAUGGAAGUUCAAUCGAAGAGGUAUUCUUUUUCAACUUCUUUCUCCGAUACCAAAAGAUAAACGGGCAAAGACACAAAAUGAAGCAUGACAAGACGGUCACCACUAUGGUGAUUACUCUAACUUUGUUGGUCCAUAAUGAUUUAGAGGUAUUCAAUUUGCAAGAUGGAAGGUUUAGUUCUGCAAUACCUCCACAAAGAUUCCUAUUCUCAAAGACGAACACUGCACUAGCAUUAAGAAAUACACCUUGCUUCGGAACUUCUCCUUCAAGCUUGUUUGAGAUAGAUUCAAGUACUUUAGAUCUGUAAGUUGAGUGAGAAAGCUCGGGAUUUCACCAGAGAAGUUGUUAUGGGAAACAUCCAACUCUUGUAAGCCUCGUAAUGUGCCUAAAGCUGAAGGAAUUGUGCCAUUAAAGGAAUUGAAUGCUAAGUUGAGCCGCUCCAAUACUAAGCACUUGCCAAUGGAGAUAGGAAUCCCAUCAACUUAUUGUAAGAUAGAUCUAGUUCACCAAGAUUGAUCAAAGACCCAACUUGAGAUGGGAGAGAUCCACUCAAUUGGUUAUGUGCCAAGCUAAAGAUAAUCGAAAUGCAAAAAAGGCCAAGAACCUCCCCUGGGAUUGAACCACUCAAAUUAUUAUUGGAAAGCUCGAGAAUGAUUAGUUGCCUACAAUUACCAAGGCUCUGUGGUAUUUCCCCAUAGAAGUCGUUGAAUAGUAGGUAAAAGCGAUUCAAUAAAGUCAAAUUGCCGAUCAAUGACGGAAUCUCUCCCGUUAGCAUGUUUCCACUUAAGUACAAUUCGUGCAAGUUAUGGAGUGCUCCAAUACAAGAAGGAACAUGACCAUCAAGCGAAUUGUUUGAUAAGUCAAGAUAGGACAAGUUGAAGAGAUUGCCAAUACCUGGAGGAAUGGUUCCGUACAUUGUGUUGGACGACAUAGAAAUUAAGCUAAUGCUAUUGGAAAGAUUGCCAAUGGAAUCCGGCAAUAGACCUUCAAGAAAAUUGUUGUCCAAUGAAAUAACUUCCAGCCUUGAACAAUUAGUCAAUGGGGUAAUGAAACUGAAGUCAUCUCGCAACUCGUUAGAAGUAAGGGACAUUACUCUAAGAGCUUUCAGCCUUCCAAGAUUUGCAGGCAUCGGUCCAUGAAAAUUGUUAUUGUCAUAGAAGAUGUAUUGAAGGCCAGAGGCAUUAGAUAAGGACGAAGGUAUAACCCCAGUAAACAAAUUACUAUGAAAAUCAAGAAAAAAGAGAGAAGGAAGAGUAUCACCAAUAUAAUGGGGAAUGCUCCCUCUCAAUUGAUUGUUACUGACGUGAAAAUAGAAAAUGCUAGACAUGUUGAAGAAUGUCAGAGGGAUCUCGCCGGUGAGUUGGUUAUACGCCAAUUGAACAAAACUCAACCAUGAAGCUUGGACAACAUCUUAGGAAUCUCUCAUCGCAACCCAUUUUUCAUGAGCGAAAGCUCGUAAAGUUGGGAGAGAUUUCCAAUAGAAUGAGGAAUAGAUCCUGCAAGACUAUUUAUAGCCAAACCUAAAUCUUGAAGCUUUGACAAAGAGCCGAGCUCAUCAGGAAUUUUGCCCACGAGUUGGUUAUCGAUGAGAUUUAAAAUCUCAAGGUUUGAGCACUGAGAAAGAUUGGUGGGCAUUUGCCCAUCUAAAGUGUUGUUACUAAGGACGAGAUGACGAAGGUGAAACAAGUGGCCAAUGCUUUGUGGAAUUUCACCGCGAAAGCUGUUAUUUUGUAGAACGAGGCUUCUCAAGAAAGAGAGGUUUCCGACAUGAGGUGAUAGAAGACCCCCCCCCCCCCCCCCAAGCCUUUUGACAUCAGGUUGAGGGACAUGACUCUUUCGGGAUGCUGUCCACCGCAUAUCACACCUUCCCACUCACGGUGAUGAAAAUAGUCAUUCCACGAGCUCAAAGCUCUAAGUGGAUCCUCAUCCACACUAUGUCUGAAGUAGAUUAAAGCGAGCCGAUCUGUUUGGUUGGUUUGCAUCAUUGGACUUGUCCAUAAUGGGAGCUAGGCAUAGAAAAAUAGCAACGUAAUCGCCAUAUACUUUUCCAUUGUGAGUGGGUUCUAUGUCCUAACAAGCUGCAAGCAAAUUCUCUUCUAGAUUGAAUUAAAGAAGAAAUGAAGACCUUCAAAAGUAUAUGCGUUUCCAUUGAUCAAAAGACACAUUUUUAGACGGCGAAACUUGACCCAAUAUGCAAAUUUAACCCAAACAAAGAGUUGGACUUUAAAAGUAUUGCAGAUUGGCCGAACCAAAGAAAGGGUGCACAAAAUGGAGGAUUUGAUGGCUACCCAAUGACUUCUUGGAAAGCCGUGCCGCGAAGAAAGGAAAUCAAGAAUGGAUGUAGUCCCUGAUUUUUGGCCAUUUCAAAGAGAGCUCCUAUUUGUUUGUGGGCAAAGCGUGUAAUUUGUGAUGUGCAUUUUUAUACAUCCAAAUUGUUAGAACCAUGGGUUCAGGUUUAGUUUAGACAUGGGAAAAACUCGAGCAGAUUGAGACAUUGUAAUUCCGGUUCUCCAAUUAUAGCAAAUUUUUAUUACUAGCUCUCCCUAUAGAAAUAUGUGUCAACACUCGGACUGACUCGCGUAAGUCUUUGAAUCCUUUAUUAUUCCUCGAUUAUUUUUUUGAUGAUUUUCCACUUACUUAAAUGUAAAAUCCUUAUUAGCUUCCCCGUUCGUUAAUUUUACCACGAGGGUUACUUCUCACCUAUAAUGAGAAGGAAAUAAAGCAAAAACGCAAACAAGGAGAUGAUGGGUAAGUCAUCCUAAUGUGGAAAAUAAGUCCCGCCAAUGCCUUUUAGCAUUUUUUUUUUAUGUUGCUGGCAAGAUUUUUAGUCAAAAGAUUCCCUGACUUCUCCCAUACUACAAAGAGUUUCUUUUCAAAGUUAAAUUUCUUGAAAGUUUGUCACUUAGAUCCUAUCGCUCUUGUUCUGAUUACAAUUCAUCAGGCUAGAACCCCUGUGCCAAGCUUGAACCCAAGACUAAGAGGGCCGGUUUGUGUGGGCCAGCACAACUCAAUUACCAUGCUUAGAUAGGGUUUUUAUAAAUAUACAUGUUAGGAAAAGCAAGAUGCUGAAAUUCAAGUCUGUUUGGCCGUUUGAAACCAAGGAGUUUGCAAAAUAGUGCACGAGUAUAUGAGUCAAAUUCAGAUUUUGUAAAUUUUGAUGUGCAAUUGCCGGUGUGGUACAUAAGCUGAAGUUAUGGUCCUGGUACUGAACAAAGAAUACGUGAUGCAAAGUACUUUGUUAGAAACUAAACAAAGGGAAAGAAAGAUAUUCUAGAAUUUGGUGGAGAAUUAAGAAUGUUAGCUCUAAUCUUGAAGUCAAGUUUCCCGUGGAAAAUCAACAACGUUUCUACAAUCGUGGCCGGCGAGCAUGAUGACCUCCACCAUGAGAAGUUUUCCAUUUCUUUUUCCCUUCUUUAAACUUUUCUUUUUAGGUUCUCUCGAUUUGAUUACCAAAGCCAUCGCAGGAUCGUCUCGAAUAUUGGUAAACUAAGGCAAGGCAUCAAUAGUGCUCGACACUGUUGAAGGCUAAGGGAUUUCAAUGAACACCGAUUGAGUUUAGUCGAAGGCCCACUUGUGUAAAUAAAGAUGGUUCAACCCCUUCCACUAUAUGAGGGUAAAUUAUGCACAACUUCUUUGAAUUUUGGGGUAAUACAAAUUUGCCUCCAAUUUUUCACUUGUUAUACAAUAAUGUCUAAACUUUUAUUUUGUUCAAACAAUUAACUCUUCAUUAUAUUGUUAUUAGCAUGCACGUGCUUGUGAAUUUUGAGGGGUAAAAGUACAAAUUUUAUCUCAUUCUUUUUCUAAGGAUGCCUCUUUUUCUAAAAGACAUAAAAAUAUAGAAAAUGGAAGAGAAAUAAAUUAACUAAAAUACUAAUAAUCAAAGUAAUAAAUAUCGAUAAUCAUACUUAAUGAUGAGAAUUUUUCAAAAUUAAAUAAUCAUGAAUAUAGAUAAAGUUACUAGCACAAUAGGAAAAUAAUCAAUGGCGGGAAUUGAGAAUGAUGAAGAGGAUGAGAGGGAUACCGAAUCUGAUUCAGUAUCAAAGUUGAUUGGGAAAACUAGUUAUGAUGGGAAUAGGAUCUGGUCUUUCAAAGUAGUGGAAUCAAGUUGUUCUUCCUAAUUGCCCAGAUCUCUUGAGAAUGAUUCUAAUGGAUUGGAUAGCAUCAUUUGGUUUGGCUUUUCCCUUAUAAAAAUUGAGGAUUCUUCAGGCAUCUUCUCUUUUCCCUUUUCUUUCCUUAUUUGAUCCAAUUCUUUGAGGCGACUUCGCAUUUCUAUCACAUUAGUCUUGUCUCGUUUGGUGGGAGCUUCUAUGAGAGCAGUAAAGAUAAAUGUAUUCUGAGGUGGUGGAGGGAGCGAAUACUCAGUCCGUAAUGCAGUUGGAAAUGGAUCAACACGCUUGAAUUUUCCUUCUUCUAGAAGUUGGAUUUGCCUCUUAAGCUUUUCUAUUUCCGCCUCUGGUCUCUCGAGAUGAUGAUAUCCCAAAUGUUGUCCGAAUUCCAAGACAUGAAGUCCUUUUUGGAAGUUCGAAAGCAUCUUCUUGGUGGUUUCAUCGUAUCUUUUAAGAUCUCGUUGCACAUCCACAAGUUUGAAAUCAAUUGUUUUGAACGCAUUGUUGUGCGUUAGGAGAGUCUCUGAUUGCCAAUUCAAGGCAGCUUCAGCAACAUAAGUUCUUUUUUGUCUUCCAUGUUCGUCCACAUCAGUUGGGGCAUUUAUUUUGGGAAUAUGUCGAUAUCUCCCUGGCUGGUCGAUGAAUUCUUCUAGGGCAGGGAACAAAAGUCUUGAACUUUCUCGAGCAAGAGAAGAAAAAUCUGCCUGUUGGAACAUAGCAAUGGAAGAACUGGGUAAUGCCUCUUCUGGAGCCUUAAGUGAAUAGGAGUGCUUCUUAGCCGAUUUUAGGAUUGGCUUAUAAAACUGGGAAAUAACGGGUUUUUUGUGAGGAAGAGGUGAUGUUGCUGGUGAGGCUAGUGAGAGAGGAAGGUGGUGCAGUGAACUCUGGCGAUGGAGUUGGAGCAUAAGAAAUCAUAAAUUGAAACUUAUCACACUCACCAAGAGCAUCAAUGGAGGAGUCUCCGUUCAAAUACCUUUGGUACAUAGUAUCUUCGGCUUCUUGGGUUUCCGUCGGGGUCUUGCAUUUGGGUCUACUUUGUUGGGAGAAUUUGUAUAGUAAGAGCACUGGCAAAAAGGGUCCCAAAAACAGUGACCAUAUCGAUCCUUGUAGUAAUGGACAAGAUUUCCAUUACUCUAGAAGUAUUGGACAAGCCUUUUGAAACCUGGCUCGGACAUUGAUUCAGGAACACAUGAUUCAAUCAUGAACAGGGUCUGGAAGAUAGAAAGAUUUUCUUCCUUUUCCUUACCAAAUUUGAUGGCAACGAUGCCAUCUUUUUUCCUGACAAAUUCGGAGUCUAAAGACUGGAGAGGCUUGUUGUUCUGAUAUAACUUUUCAUAGUUGGUAAUCCAGGUUUCUGGAAGAAGCUUGGCUAACUUUUUGGAAUUUGUCUGGGAACAUGAAUACAGGAUGCCUGAUUAUUUUGCAUGGAAAUGAAUAAAGCAUCUUCAUUCCCAUUUUGGAAAUAUUAGAUCAAUAACAUAGUUUUGCACUCGAUAAACCAUUUGGUAGUGCAAUGUUGUAGCAAUAGAGUCAGCAGCCUAGGGAGCUCCUAUAAGUUGGAUCUAAACUUUCAAAAAUGAAAGUAGCUGGGGAUUUGAAAGUGCGAUAUUGAAAUAUAAAUAUCAGGUUAUAAAGACUGUUAUAGCAUUCAAAGUGAUUUGGAUUGUACCAAUACAGGCAUGCUAAUAUUCUAGGAACCGAGUAUCCAAUAAGGCUAUUUUGGCCACAACUGGCAGGCCUUUACAGUCAUGAAAGGUGAGAGCAAGACUAACAGCUCCAUAAUGGACAUGUGAGUAUUCUUGUUGGAUCCAUUGUUUGGGAAAUUCUGAUGGAAUUUAAAGAGUAACAAAAUACUCCUUUUCCAUGGCUGGAAUGUGAUGUUGAUCAAAUUUGGAGAACUAGACGUACUCUUUUACUUCCUUAGGAGUUUGGCGAAUAAGUUGCCAAAUGGAGUGGAUGGAGAAAACGAUGAGGCAAGUUUAGCAAAAGCAUAAUAAGUGUUCAUGAGAGGGAGUUGAGUUUCAGAGAUCUUAGUUUUAUCACUAAGAGAGACUUCAUCACUAAGAGAGACUUCAUUAAGAUAGUCAAUCUUAGAAGCAUUUAACACAUGAAAAUCUGAAAGAGAUGAAGAAGAUGGAGAUGAAGCAAGAGUAAUUGAGGCUUCUAGUAUUUCAGGAUUAGUAAUAAUGCAAAUAGAUCUUCUCAGUAAUAAUUAUCCCGUUAUUUUACAUAGGUGUUUAGUCGACCUACCGUAAACUGAUUAAUGACGACUCCUAAUUGAAAAAUCAUUUGCUUAUUAAUAACUUGAACCUAAGUCGUGAAUUGGUAUGGGUUUGGGAGAGCCUGAUAUAAGUUUAGGCUUAGUAAUCCAUUAGCCAAACCCUAGGUGGUUCCCCCAAGAUUAGGUCGCGACAACUUGAAACUAAAUAUUUCUACUCUCAACUCUAAAAAAAAUGAAAAAUUGAACUUCUCACCUUCUAUUUUCUAUGUGAGAAGGAUAUGCCAAUAGUUGACUGGCUUUUUGACUAGUAGCAUAAUAAAAACUUUUCUUGUGGACAUCGACCAUUGUUCACGGUGAAUGUGGCCCGAGGGAAUCUGGGGAAAACUUUGUGAAGAAGCAAAGUGAUAAUGAAAAGGAAAUAAAGCAAAAAAGCAAAUAUAAAGAAGGUGGGUCAUCCUAAUGUGGAAAAGAAGGCCCAUCAAUGCUUUUCAGCGUGUGCCUUUAUGUUGUCGGCAGGAUUAUAGUCAAAAGAUCCCCUAAGGAAAAAAUCAUGACAAUGCCUCACGGUUGCAAUAAAUUAUUCAUUAUUGCUCCUUUGCCCCAUCUUUUCCCAUGCUACAAGGAUUUUCUUUUCAUAGUUAAAUCUAUGAACAUUCGUCACGUUAAUCUUAUUGCUCUUGUUCCGUUUACAUUUCAAUUGCUCCUUAAAAAUAAAAAUAAACUUAAAAAAUGAACCUAGGCUAGAGCUCAAACAUUGGCACGGCCCAUUAUUGCUAGUGGGUGGCACAACCCCAGGGAUUGUACCUAACUCGAGCCCAAAAAGAUAUUUGUGUCACGACAAAUUAGGGUUUUUAGUAACGUGAGAAAAAAAUUGAGGUACUAAUAUCAUAGUGGCCAUAAUUUAAAGCUUUUAGUGGUAUAAACCCAAGUCAUAAUAGAUUCCGUGGCUUCAUGUUCCUACAUUUCGAUAUAUAUAUUAUGGUCAACGAAAUGCUUAAAAUAUUUAAGAACUCAUCAAACUUCUAGGUGUCAAGUAUCGACCAUCUUUAGUACUACAUCGGUGUGGAGUGCACCUAGAUAGUUGUGCCGACCGUUGAUUGGAAUGUGUCUGGUCGCUUUCCUCUUAAUCAAGUUUUGUGGUGAUGGUCAAUUUGCACUUUAAGUCGUCACUAAUAUAAAUGAUGAUUAAACAGUAUAUAGAAUCAUAUUCGUGAAGAUGUAGAAUCUUCUCCAUUGACGAAUAUUCUAAAACGACAUUGGGCUUGCCUGAAAAUAUUAUUCUUAUUAUUUUAUCAACGGUCACUUUUGCCACAAAAUUAUACCACCGAUGCGUGUAUGUAUGUAUAGAUAUUCUUUCUUUCUUUUCUUUUUUUCCCAUUUUGUACGUGAGCACAAUGCAAAGGAGUUCUUCUUUUCUCUAGCUCUUCCCUUAGUUUCUCCUUCGAGUCCCAGAAGGAAAUUAAAGUGUCUUCUCUCUAUUGCUCCUACUUUAUUCUUAAAAACAUCAAAGGGCAACGAAACUGUUAUAUGAUAUAUAGUGCCAUUUUAUAAAAAUGGUAGCAUUUUCUUUUGUUAUGGUAAAAGAAAUGGUAAGUUAUCCCCAUAAACACUGCCAAGAUUUGAUCUACUGUACUCACUCAUCAACUCUAGAUAUGGACAUCCUCUUGUGAUAUCUAAAUUAACAUGAUAAAAUUGAAAGUUCAGGAUAAUCUGCAAGAAAAUUAAGAUUUCAUGACAUUUUAAUACAAAAAUGAGAGAUUAUAUUCCACUUUUAACAUUGGAAGUUCGUGACAUUUUUAAUGAUAAGUGGAAAGUACGAGACUCUCUAGAAUAUUAGGCUAAAGAGAUUUGGAAGAUUUAUUUUUCCAAAAAAUUAAAAAUUAAAAAAAAAUGAGAAUUAUCUAGAUUUCCACGCUUGUACAAUAUUUAUGUUCAUAAAUCAUGUUAAACUAUGAUUUGGCCAUAUUACUUAAUAUCGAUUUUAGUAUACUUAUUAACGUUACUUGUAAAUAAACCAUGACUCUUUUUUUUUUUGUCAAACUUCAAAAGAUGGGGAGUGCAUUCUUACUGCGUAGAAUUUUACAUCUUUUUUGAACAGAAUUGAAAAAGAAAAAUCCACAUAUUGCUAGCAAUUUUAAUAAAAAGCACCGUUAAUUAGAAUAUUUUACAUGAAACGGUGAAAGCACGUCAUCUUACAAAUUCCCAUCGAGGAUCCAUGGAAGAUAUUGAAAUUGUAGUCUUGAAUCAUUUAACAAACGUUGCUGGCCAAUAAAGAAAAUGAUUAAUAUCAUAAAAAAACUCUAAAUUGGUACAAAUUUAUUUUAGACUAAUUCUUUAACUUUAAAAAACCUCAAAUUGAUACACCUGUGAUAAACUUAUCAUUCAUUAGUUUCCGUUAAAUUUCACUGUUAAGUUACUAAGUUGAAUGUCAAGGGAUGUACCAAUUUGAUAUGUGGUCUUUUGUGGUAUUAAUUCAAUUUAAUGGAAACUAAUGGAGAAUAAAUUUGUCACAAUUAUAUCAAUUUAAGAUUUUUGGUCAAAAAUUAAUUUGGGGUAAAUUUAUCAUAUGUGCACUGAUUUGGGAUUUUUAUAAUUAAAAAUAAAUUUGGGGUAAAUUUUUUACCAAAAAAAAUUAAAUUUGGGGUAAAUUUACAUAUGGGUACCACUUUGAAGUUUUUUGUGAUAUUAUUCCUAAAGAAAAUCAUUUAUCAAAUUGUGGCCAGAAGAAUCAUUUAUCAAGCAAACUAUCAAAAUAAUCUGCGACACGGAGCGUCCCCAACCACUUGGAAAAAACGAAAAAAAAAAACAAGGAUGAUUUUCCUGCUUUCACAUCGAAGCUGGGUGGGAGACGAAGCUUCGAGGAAGUUUCACGCCAAAUCGUCGUGCGUCCCGUAUUGGAAAUUUGUCUGUUCAUUUACAUUGUAUUUUUGUGAAUAUAUUUUUAGGAUGUAGAUAAUACACGGUUCGUUGUCGUGGGUGGGUCAAUAAUUGAACUCAUGUAAAUCCAUGCGCGAAGUAUAUACGUCUCAGCCUCCUUGGGGGAAACCGUCACAAGUAUCCGGGAACGGGCAGUGUCGAGGAGGAGGACGGUCCCUUUCGUCCCCCUAAAACUGGCCGUGUUUCUAGAGGCCGACUCGAGAUUUUUUCAUCCGAGACACAGUCGACGCGACAUAAUAUAAUUGAUAGGAGUGUACAGUGAAAACCUUAGACAAAUGCCACUUGAUUCCAAGGGCGUGCCUGGCAAAUUGACUGAAGUGGAGAUGAGACCCCUUUUGUGCCCGUGACGGAUUCUAGGAGCUCAAAACUGGUGAUUAGACCAGCUUGUUAUAGAACGGACUGGUACCUAAGGAUCGAUAUUUUCCUUUUUUCUUGAAACCUCUAACUUGAAAUUUUUAUCAAACCUAAUAUUCUAAAUAGUGACGAUGGAUUAGAUAAUGAGAUAUCAAAUUUCCAUUAAUAUUGAUGAAUUUUACAAAGUCAAAUCAAUUUUUGCUCCACAAAGUUUGUAUCUUUAGGUCUAUUGAUCCAAAAUAGUCGAUUCUAUCACAGUUUCGAUUUGAUGACAGCAUAAAACCAUUUUUUGGGGGACCUUGACCGUCGUUCACUACGAAAUUGGUCCAACAGAAUCCGAGGAAAAUUUGGUGAAAAAGCAAAAGUUGCGAGGAGAAUUCGGCACUCAGCAUAAAUAUGGCAACUGCUUCGAAGGUGAAGGCGGAAGAGAUGGAUAGAGACGCGUAGGGACGAAGAGAAACUGAAAAGCUCUUCUAGAUGUUGAUGCGUUAUAAAAAAGCGAUAAUAAAAUUUAGGGUUAAAUAUCCAGAAUACAUUUAUAAUAAAUCACCAAAAACCUCAAAUUAAAUAUUUGUGAUAAAUUUAUCCUUCAUUAGUUUCUGUUAAAUUUGAUUACUAUCACAAAAAGUCACAGACCGAUACACAUGUGACAAACGGAGGGUAAAUCCCAAAUUGGUACAAGUGUCUAUUGCCAAAUGUCAUUCAACUUAGCAGCUUAACACAUAUACUAACGGAGAAUAAAUUUGUUAUAGGUUUAUAGUUUGGAGUUUUUUGUGAUCAACAAACUAGUUUGGAUAAAUUUGUUACAAGUGAACCAACUUGGGAUUUUUCAUGAUAUUACAUCAAUUAAUAAUCUCACUUGUAGUUCUUCAACUCAUUUAAGUUAUCCAAUUGAAUUCUCAUAUUUUUAACAUAUAAGUGUAUGACCUAAGAUUUUAUAUUGUCAAAAUGACCAUCAUCCCAUUGCCAAAACAAAAUAAUAAAAAAAGGCCACCACCUAAAAUCAACUUUCGUGAAAUUUAAUAAUCUUAUUUGACUUUACUUUUACUUCUCAUAUUAAUCCACAAUAUGAAUUAUCAUUUAAAAAUUAAUUGGCAUUGACAUAAUUUAUUACCUUUUAUAAGAUACACCUCUACUUUAUAUUUUUCUACAUUUGUAAAUUUGUAAAUAUAUAUUAAAAUUUUGCAUCUAAAGAAAAUUAUUAGAGAUGGACUAUCCAAGGAAAAAUUAGAAACAGAAAAUUCAUAUGAAGAAAAUAGGGAGAUUGUAAAGAGGGGAGGGGGAAUGGAGAUGGAGAUGGAUUACAUACAUUUGACUAGCAUAUGAGUUCGACUUUGGGCCCAGUGAAAAAUAUUACAACCAAGAUGAAGAAUAGAACCAUCCGAAUUUUUCUUGUUCAAAGAGCAAAAUUAAUCCUAAGACAAAGUUUAGUUCAAGUGUCUGGGAGUUGAACUUCCUUCAACCAAGCCCCUACCUGGAUCCAUACCUAGCUCGAAUCUUAUGCAGUUCCCUAAGGGCUUCGGCCACGUCCAUCCAAUCCUGUGGUAACUUCAUCGAGCACGCAACUCCAAUCCUUAGGACGGAGGCAACACAUUCUCUCAUCCUCUCAAUGUCAUUCUCACUUUCUCCGUUAAAAAUGGCCAAGUCUACGAUCUCCAUCACUUGGUCUGGUAGAGCAACCUUGACAAAGUUGUGGAGAUUUAAAUGGUCCUUGAAAGUUUCUUCCGUGGGUCUUCUCCCAGUUAACAUUUCCAAUAAAAUAAUACCAUAGCUGUACAUAUCGCCUUGUGUGGAUACCAUAUUCCCCAUGCCAUACUCUAAAAUAGUGUACAUCAAGCAAUAUACAAUGAAAAUAAAUAUUUUAUCUAAAAGUGAACACAAAUAAAACUUAGACAAUUAAUGAGAAAAUUUUCUUACCUGGAGGGACAUAACCUACGGAACCCCUCACUACCACCGAGCUACUGCCGUCAUCAAUGUCCAUGGCGUCUGUUUUCAUAGGGGAGCUAAUUGUCGCCAGCCCAAAAUCCCCAACUUGUCCCAUCAUCUCGUUGUCCAAAAGGACAUUACUUGGCUUUAGAUCUCCGUGUACAAUCUUUGGGCUACAAAGCUCGUGAAGAUAUUCAAUUGCAAAAGCUAUGUCAAUGGCAAUGUCUAACCUUUGCAUUAGUCCCAAAUGCCUUGGCUUUCCAUGUUCAUGUUCAUGCUCAACAUUCUCUUCGUUUCCUUGGUGUAUCCAAUUCUCUAAACUCCCAUUAGCCAUGUAUUCGUACAAUAGAGCUUUGAAAUCGUUGCCGUGAUAGUCCAUGCUUGAACAAACGUUCACUAUUUUCAUGAGAUUUCGGUGUCGUAUAGCCCCUAAGGUUUGACACUCCGAGACGAAGCUCUUUGAAGCACCUCUAUGGCCCAAGUUGAGCACUUUAACUACCACUAAGCCACCUUCCUGUGUGGUUGCUUUAUAGACAGUACCAUAUCUCCCUUUCCCGAUGACAUUGAUCUCAGAGAAUCCAUCUGAGGCUCUAAGAAGCUCCCCAUAAGAGACCAUCGAAAAUUUGCGUUUAAAUGGAAAUUCAAUCGAAGAGGUAUUCUUUUUCAACUUCUUUCUUCGACACCAAAAGAUAAACAUGCAAAGACACAAAAUGAAGCAUGACAAGAUGGCCGUCACUAUAGCGAUUACUCUAACUUUGUUGGUCCAUAAGGGUUUAGAGGUAUUUGAUUUGCAAGAAGGAAGGUUUAGUUCAGCAAUACCUCCACAGAGAUUCAUAUUCUCAAAGACGGACACUACACUAGCAUUGAGAAAUACUCCUUGCUUCAUAACUUCUCCUUCAAGCUUGUUUGAAGAUAGAUUCAAGUACUUUAGAUCUGUAAGUUGAGCAAGAAAGCUCGGGAUUUCACUUGAUAACUUGUUAUGGGAAACAUCCAACUUUUGUAAGCCUUGUAAUGUGCUUAAAGCCGGAGGAAUUUCGCCAUGAAAGGAAUUGAAUGCUAAGCUGAGCCGCCCUAAUACUAAGCACUUGCCGAUGGAGCUAGGAAUUGGUCCAAUCAACUUAUUGUAAGAUAGAUCCAGUUCGCCAAGAUUGAUCAAGGACCCAACUUGAGACGGGAGAGAUCCGUUCAACUGGUUAUGUGCCAAGCUGAAGAUAAUCGAAAUGGUAUAAAGGCCAAGAACCUCCCCUGGGAUUGAACCACUCAGAUUAUUAUUGGAAAGCUCGAGCUCGAUUAGCUGUUUGCAGUUACCAAGACUUUGUGGUAUUUCCCCGUAGAAGUUGUUGAACGCCAGGUAAAAGCUAUUCAAUAAAGUCAAAUUGCCGAUCGAUGAUGGAAUCUCUCCCGUUAGCAUGUUUCCACUUAAGUACAAUUCAUGCAAGUUAUGGAGUGCUCCAAUACAAGAAGGAACAUGACCACCAAGCGAAUUGUUUGAUAAGUCGAGAUAGGACAAGUUGAAGAGAUUGCCAAUACCUGGAGGAAUGGUUCCGUACAUUGUGUUGGACAACAUAGAAAUUAAACUAAUGCUAUUGGAAAGAUUGCCAAUGGAAUCCGGCAAUAGACCUUCAAGAAAAUUGUUGUCCAAUGAAAUAACUUCCAGCCUUGAACAAUUAGUCAAUGGGGUAAUGAAACUGAAGUCAUCUCGCAACUCGUUAGAAGUAAGGGAUAUUACUCUAAGAGCUUUCAGCCUUCCAAGAUUUGCAGGCAUCGGUCCAUGAAAACUAUUAUUGUCGUAGUAGAUAUACUGAAGGCCAGAGGCAUUUGAUAAAGACGGAGGUAUAACCCUAGUAAAAAAAUUAUUAAGAAAAUCAAGAAAAAGGAGAGAAGGAAGAGUAUCACCAAUAUAAGGGGGAAUGCUCCCUCUCAAUUGAUUGUUACUGACGCAGAAAUAGAAAAUGUCGGACAUGUUGAAGAUUGCCGAAGGGAUCUCGCCAGUGAGUUGGUUAUUCAUCAAUUGAACAUACCUCAAACCAUGAAGCUUGGACAAUGUCUUGGGAAUCUCUCCUUGCAACCCAUUUUUCAUCAGUGAAAGCUUGUAAAGUUGGGAGAGAUUUCCAAUAGAAUGAGGAAUAGAUCCUGCAAGACUAUUUAUAGCCAAACCUAAAGUGUGANNNNNNNNNNNNNNNNNNNNNNNNNNNNNNNNNNNNNNNNNNNNNNNNNNNNNNNNNNNNNNNNNNNNNNNNNNNNNNNNNNNNNNNNNNNNNNNNNNNNCAGGAAUUUUGCCCACAAGUUGGUUUAUUUGAUGAGAUAUAAAAUCUCAAGGUUUGAGCACUGAGAAAGAUUGGUGGGCAUUUGUCCACCGAAAGAGUUUUUACCAAGGACGAGAUGACGAAGGCGAAACAAGUGGCCAAUGCUUUGUGGAAUUUCACCGCAAAAGCUAUUAUUCUGUAGAACAAGGUUUCUCAAGAAAGAGAGGUUUCCGACAUGAGGCGAUAGAAGACCCCCCCCCCCCAAGCCUUUUGACAUCAGGUUGAGGGACACGACUCUUUCGGGAUGCUGUCCACCACAUAUUACACCUUGGCACUCACAGUGAUUAAAAGAGUCAUUCCACGAGAUCAAAACUCCAAACAGAUCCUCAUCCACACUGUGUCUGAAGUAGAUUAAAGCCAGCCGAUCCGUUUGGUUGGUUUGCAUAGUUAGACUUGUCCAUAUGGGAGCUGGGCAUAGAAAAAUAGGAACAUAUCGCCAUAUGCUUUCCAUUAUGAGUGGGUUCUAUGUCCUAACAAGCUGCAAGCAAAAUCUCUUCCAGAUUGAUUUAAAGAAGAAAUGAAGACCUUCAAAAGCAUAUGCAUUUCCAUUGAUCAAAAGACACCAUUUUACACGGCGAAACCCUACCCAAAAUGCAAGUUUAACCCAAACAAAGAGUUGGACUUUAAAAGUAUUGCAGAUUGGCCGAACCAAAGAAAGGGCACACACACACACUUACGUCAAAAUGGAGGAUUUGAUAGCUGCCCAAUGACUUCCUAGAAAGGCGUGCCGUGAAGAAAGGAAAUCAAGAAUGGAUGUGGUCCCUGAUUUUCGGCCAUUUCAAAGAGAGCUCCUAUUUGUUCGUUGGCAAAGCGUGUAAUUUGUGCUGUGAGUUUUUUACAUCCAAAUUGUUAAAACCUUGGGUUCAGGUUUAGUUUAGAUAUGAAAAGCACUCGAGCAUAUUGAGGGAUUCUAAUUAUAAUUCUUUAAUUAUAGCAAAUUUUUAUUACUAGCUCUCCUCGUAGAUAUAUGUGCCAACACUCAAAUUGAAUCACGUAAAUCUUUGAAUCUUUUAUUAUUCCUCAUUUAUUUUUAUUUUUUUAUGAUUUUCCACUGACUUAAAAACUAAAUCCUUAUUAGCUUCCCCGUUUGUUAAUUUUACCACGAGGGUUACUUCUCACCUGUAAUGAAAAGGAAAUAAAGCAAAAACGCAAACAAGGAGAUGAUGGGUGGGUCAUCCUAAUGUGGAAAAUAAGUCCCGCCAAUGCUUUUUAGCGUGUUUUUUUUUUUUAUGUUGCCGGCAAGAUUUUUAGUCAAAAGGUUCAUUGACUUCUCCUGUACUACAAAGAGUUUCUUGUCAAAGAUAAAUUUCUUGAAAGUUUGUCAUUUAGAUCCUAUCACUCUUGUUCCAAUUACAAUUCAUCAGGCCAGAACUCCUGUGCCAAGCUCGAACCCAAGAAUAAGAGGGCUGGUUUGUGUGGGCCAGCACAGCUCAACUACCAUGCUUAGAUAGUGGUUUUAUAAAUAUACAUGUUAGGAAAAGCAAGAUGCUGAAUUUCAAGUCUGUUUGGCCGUUUGAAAACAAAGAGUUUGCAAAAUAUUGCACGAGUAUAUGAGUCAAAUUUAGAUUUUGUGGGAGAAGGGGAAUUUCAAUGUGCAAUUGCUGGUGUGAUAUAGAAACUCAAGUUAUGGUCCUGGUAAUGAACAAAGAAUAUGCGAUGCAAGUACUUUGUUAGAAACUAAACAGAGAGAGUUAUUCUAGAAUUUGGUGGAGAAUUAAGAAUGUUAGCUCUGAUCUUGAAGUCAAGUUUCCCGUGGAAAAUCAACAACGUUGUACAAUCGUGGCCGGUGAGCAUGAUGACCUCCAUCAUGAGAAGUUUUCCAUUUCUUUUUCCCUUCUUUGAACUUUUCUUUUUAGGUUCUCUCGAUUUGAUUACCAAACCAUUGCAGGACAAUCUCGAAUAUCGAUAAACUAAGGCAAGGCGUCAAUAGUGCUUGACACUGUUGAAGGUUAAGGGAUUCCAAUGAACACUGAUUGAAUUUAGUCGAAGGCCCACUUGUGUAAAUAAAGAUGGUUCAACCCCUUCCACUAUAUGGGGGUAAAUUACGCACAAUUGUGAAUUUUGGGGUAAUACAAUUUUGCCUCCGAUUUUUCACUUGUUAUACAAUAACGUCUGAAUUUUUAUUUUGUUCAAGCAAUUAACUCUUCAUUAUAUUGUUAUUAGCAUGCACAUGCUUGUGAAUUUUAAGGGGUAAAAGUAUAAAUUUUAUCUCAUUCUUUUUCUAAGGAAGCCUCUUUUUCUAGAAGACUGAAAAAUAUAGAAAAUGGAAGAGAAAUGAAUUAACUAAAAUACUAAUAAUAAAAUAAUAAAUAUCGAUAAUCAUAUUUAAUGAUGAGAAUUUUUCAAAAUUAAAUAAAUAUAGCCACCUUAAUAUAACUAAAUAAGAUAUUUUAAAAAAUAAAUACAAAUUCAUUAGAAUGGAAAAAGGCAUUUAUAACUAAAAGAUCAAAUAACAAGAAUUGCUUAAUCACUAUGUAUGUUUAAAGGGUAAAUUACUGUAAAAAUUAUUGAUUAACAAAAAUAUUUACAAGGAGGACGAUCAAUCCCUUGCAAAUCUAUCUCUUUUAAGAGGCAAUCUUUCAAGAAGAGCUUUUAGCAUCUUGAGUUCAAAAAUGCCCUUUGCGUCGAUAGUUACCCAAAAUUUUCUAAAUCAUUUUGGCUUUUAGAUAAGUUUUAAAGUUGGAACCUCCUCGGAUGCAAUGGCACAUUUAACUUGCUUCAGUUUUGGCUCAGACACUAGUUUUUAGGUCCGCACUAUAUUGUGUAAAGAGGCAUAGCUUUCUUUGAGAAAGCUACUCCCACCGAAUUAUCUUAAAUAGUAACUUGUGCCAUUUCGAUGGUCCCAUGUUCUUGCGUUUUUGAGUUUGGGCUUGUAUUAUAUCUUUCCUUCUUAGACAGUCCUUUGCCUUAUAUUUCUUAUUCAAUUGUUAUACGCACAACCAAAAGCAUCCGAUCCAUUAAUUAAACGUAUGAACUCAUAUUCUAGUGGAGUUAUUAAUCAAAUUUACGAUAUCAAUGCUUUGACGCGUCCGUACCUAUUGGGAUCAUGCCUCAAUUUUCAGUUUACGCUUCACACUCUUAUGGUAGGAUUUCGGACAACCACCUUACACUACUCGAUUUGAUUAAUAUCAAAGCACUCUAAGUGAGUCAGCUUCAUUACUAAACUAAGUAGAUCACCGAAUCAAUAAGCAAUUCACCACCUCAAUCAAAGAUUAAACAUGCUAUUAUAAUGAACCACGCGGAUGUCAUGGAAUAUUGAGUGUAGAAAUAUGAGAAGCCAAACUUGUAUUCUAACUAAACAUCUCAACUUUUCCAUCAAAGUCACCAAGGAACCACAUAAUAUAAGAUCCAUUAUUAGUGUGAGCCCAUUACAAUUUGUGGCCCGACAAAAAUUGAUGGACACCCGGCUUCACAGCCUUGAGUAAGGACAUUCUGAAAAUCACAAUUUAGUCCUAGCCGCAUGGAAAACUGGUGAUGUUUUCCCGCAGUGGAUCCAAACCUGUAGAACAGCAAACAUCUUUCAGCAAAAAACUCUCACCGGCGAAUGUUCUCUCACGAAUUUUUGUUGGCAAGGCAAGACUGUCACGUCAUUUCUCGAAUCAAAUAGAAACUGCAUAUCGCUAUUUCCGCCGCCUUCAAAUUAUACACUCUGCAAUGCACGCAUAAUAACCGUUCAAUCUCAGAGCUUUACCUCAAAGCAGAAAGGAGAGUCAUGACGCGUCGCUCCUUCCAUGCAAUGGUUGUUUUUCAGCAAGAUUGAAUAGCAGCAACCCGUACAGCAUGACAAUAAGUGAAGGAGAUUAACUUCAGUUCUUUCCAUCGCUAUUUAUGCUGGCCUAAGCUCGGGAUAACUGAAGCUUACCGCAUUCUCUCGCCCCACAAUUCUGAGAAAGAAAAUACAGUUAGACAUGUAUCAAACGUGCAACAUCAUCAAUGACAAAGAAAUGAUGAGAGCGACAUCCCGAAGCGGGGAACUCUGUAUAAAUUAAAAUUAAAAUACCUAAAAGGAAACCAAUAAUCUUCUCCGAGGGUGAUGAUUGACAGAAAAUGAGAUGCAUCUAGGAAUUUUAUCUAACAUCCUCGAACUAUUAGUUCAGGUCAUAAACUCAUACCAUAUCUAAUCAUCUAGCUGUUAUAUGUGAAAAAAUUUGGAGUGCUCUUUAAGCAUGACGUUUUCAUAAUCACUUCGACACUAUUGCGUAUCACUGCUAAUGGUGGCCAUACCUGCAAAUGCCACAUCUAUUGUAGCGAUUCUGCUUCCUAGAUGGCCGAAGAAAAAAUGAAGUAAGAUGUCAGUUCCUCCUGAUCAUAUCGUCUUCAAGUGCAGGAUACAACACCCAACACUUUUGAGAAUCUGUAAAAUGCAAUUAACGAACUUUUCUUCUUUCACAUGUUUGCACGUUAUGCAGCAUUUCUAAGCUCAAGGUUUUGAAAUAUUUGCUAGGGGAAGAGGGCAGACAGAGACUACUUCCCACAUAUAGAGACACUCGACCAAUGUCACUGUCCGUGACACAUGAAAGAAAUUGAGCAGCGAGAUAAGAAAGAUUUGACGCAAAUCAUCAUCGAAGAACUUACAAGUCCAACAAAAGUACUUCCCCAUGCAAACACCACCUGUGAACAUGGAAACCAAAGGUUGAGAAUCAACAUCUGCACUGUAGUUUAUUUUUGGCCAGUCUUUUUAAACAACUUCACAUUUUUUACCCUCCUUCAAAAAGGCUCUUUAGUGCAAUCGAAGUAGGUAAAGGAGGAUAGAAUGUUUAAAAUUACCUCUUGAGCACUAUCACAGAUUGAACUUACAACCUGAAACAAAACAUGUAGGUAAGUGGGAACAUCAAGUAAUUAGUCGGUCUAUAAACAUGCUAGAAAUUUGAUAGCAUCCAUCCGCUGAACUUGAUGGCAAGGCGAGUCAAUGCCCUGCUUUUGUUUGCAUUGAUACGUUAUUCUGGUCAUAAGAGAACGGUGUUUCUUCUUAGGAAAAGCAUGUCCACAGGUUGAAGAUUGAAGAAUCGAAUAUUUGACAUAUUCACCAAACUGUGGACUACUCAUCCGAACUCAAAGGACAUGGCGACUUCCGCACAUAUCCAUCAUGCAGUAAUGGCAGACUGCACAUACCAAAAUAUUAGAGCACACAUUACAAAAUUAACAACAUGUCAGAACGCAAUCUCAUCUUAAGAUAACUCAUGCGACUAGCACCCAAAAUUUAGAGGCAGCUGCAGCGGUGCCUAUACUUUGGUUAACGAUAAUCCUCUAAAAUAUGGCAAAUAAAAACUUAAUUGCAAUCUAUGGACUGAGCUUGCACGAAAGUAUCUCAGAUAUCUAGUGCGUUCUUCAUGUCAUAACAAAAGGAAGUUCUCAAGCACACUUAAGUCUAUGAGGGGCACAAGGGAUCACCUUUGCAUCAUCAUGACAGUGAAGGCAAUAAAAAAUGUUGUCGCAACAGGGGGCUCUAAUGCGGCCCCUCAACAGUAAUGAGGACAUCUGCCGCGGCAGCAGCAGCGUCUUUGAUAUUAACUGAAAGUUGAGAAGGACAAAGCUUGAACUACUAUUGCUCAAGAAUGAGUCGAGACGUUACUUGUACGGCAAGUACCGCUCGCUAACAAAUCAGUUGCAAUAGCAUCUUCACGGUCAGAACAGAUCACGGUCGGAAACACGAUUGGACAGUGCUGGAAUUGUAACAACAGGAGGGAACCGAGUGGCGGCUGAUGAGGAGGAACAGCGACGUUAAUUAUGAGCCAGAAGUGGUGGUGAUCGCCUGAUCGGAAAUGGAGCGCCCGUGGAACUAGAGGGAAAGCGGGACUGGGAGAACGUUCGGGGGAAGAGAGAGAGAGAGAGAGAGAGAGAGAGAGAUAGAGAGAGAGAGAAAGAGAGAGAUAAAAGUAAGGAAGGAAAGAGGGCGGGCCUUCUCUCGGCAUGGGCGUUGGACCUCGGAUGGGCUCCAUUUUUCAGCUCCUUUCUGUUGCUGAGUCUUAUUCGAUGGGCUAUUGGACAAAUCUAAAGAGAUCUGGGCUCAAGUCCGAUAUUGUCCGGCGGGGAGCUCCAGUUGUGGAUCUGGGCUGAGGUCUUAUUAGUCCUCUCCUUAAAAUAUAUAUAUAUAUAUAUAUAUAUAUUUAUUGUUAACUUUAUUUAUCUUUACAAAAAUGCAGAUUCAAUUUGCUAGCAGAUAUUUGGGUGUCAACGUCCACGCUGCCAACUCUAUUGAUUGGAUAUAUACGCUCAUCCUAUUUCCAAUGACCAUAAUUGGUUCUGUCAACGUAUGGAGGUUUGGGGGUAGAUUGAGCCUCAUAAAAAAUUGGACUAAGGUUGGUCGACAAAGAAUAGGAUCUUUAUAAUCCGAAGUAAACAACACUUCAAAGUACAAGCAACACAAUAUUUAGGCUUUGUUCAUUUCAUGGAAAAUAACUUCUAGAAAAAUAUUUUUCAAAUUUUUCGAUGUUCAUUUUAUGAAAAAUGAAUUAGUCAAGAAAAACGUUUUAUGCUAUUGGAAAAAAAAAACACAUUCAAAAGUGAGGAAAAUAUUUACAUUUUCGAAAAGUAGAAAAUAUUUUCCAUGACUUCUUCCACCUCGCUUUCUUUCACCAAACACAUUUUCAUUCCAUUUUAUGUUUUCUUUUUCUUUUCUUUUUUACAUUGAUUUUUUAAUUUCUAUUUUCUUUUUUGCUUUUCUCUCUUUCUUUCUCUUCUACUUUGACCUUGGUAGGUUGAUGAAGAAGAAGAGAAAGAAAGAAAGAAAAAAGCAAAAAGAAAAAGAAAAAAAAGGAAAGGAAAAGAAAAAAAAAAUUAAACAUUAAAAAAUAGAUUUAAAAAAAUGAAAUAAUGAAAAAAAUUAUUGAGAAUGAGCGCAUGCAGGAAUAGAUUUUUCUUACCAAACGGCGAAAAAUAUUUUCUAGUUCAUUUUCAAAUUUCAGCUGAAUACAGGAUAUAUAUGAUUAUUUUCCUAAAAAAUGACUUGCUAGAAAAUAAUUUUCAAAAACACCACAUUUUUCAAGAAAAAAAAAACAAAGCCUCAAUAGCAAUUAUUGAGGUCAACAAUGCAACCUAACGAAGGGGUGAAUGGGUUGAUUUACAAAAGUAAAAAAUAAUUUAUAAUAGCUCAGGUUAAGAAACGCAAAUUAAAUAAAAAGGGGACAAGGCCUCAAUAACAAAAAGUUCAAAUGAUAAAAUUUGAUUAUGCGUUAUGUAUGUAUAAAGGUUUAAUUAAUGUAAAAUGAUUGAUCUACAAAAAAUCUAGAAAGAACUUAUCAAUCAAAAUGAUGUCCUUAACUCAUAAAAGACGAAGAUGAAUCAAAAUCUAAGGUGAUUUUGUUAAAAAAUAUUUUUAUUGCUCAAUUUUCUUACAUUAAUUAACCAUUUAACAACACAAAAUGAGCAUCAAAUUUUUGUUAUUUGAUUUUUUGUUCUUUGUGGCAUUUUUCUUUUGUACUUAAUUGCGUUUCUUUUUGUUCAAAUACCUACUAGUUCUAUUAAUAUAUCCAUGAAUUUUCUACCAACUUUUAUUAUCUAUAUUAUUAUUGAUAGUCAAAUUUUGUGGUACUGAUAAUUUAGUUAAUUUUUUUUUUCAUUUUCUGUACUGUUUUUAUUUUUCUUAUAGAAAUCAACGGUAAAAGGCAUUCUUUCGAGAAAAAAAUGAGAUGAAGAACAAGUUUGCCCCUUUAACGUCAUCUACAUUGCACAUGUGAAUGGAGAAUAUAGUCAAAUGUUAACAGCUAUAACCAAAUAAAAGUUCAAGAAGUAAUGUGUAACAGUCAAAAGUUUAUGUCAAACAUGUAUUUUCCCGAAGUUUGGAGCAAUUUUUGUAAAUUUUCCACAAAUUUAUUAUGCAAUGCCGAUUUUCUAAUAUAUUCAUAGGGAUAUUAGUGUGUAUUUAUGUAUGUUGGGUGUGGAAAUAUGAGAAGCCAAACUUAUUUUGUACAUAUUUUAGGUAUUUUAGGUAUAUUGGUAUAGUUUACUGUUUAAUAAAAUUUUAUUAGAGAAUGAUGGAAAAAAAAGAAAUAAAAAAGAAAUUAAUUAAAAAAGAGAGGAAAAAUAAAAUAAAAAAUAAAUCAAAAUAAAGUACAUAGUCGCAAGAGAUUUUUACCAUCUUCAUUUAUAAACUUUCAGGUUCGUUUAUAUUGAGACGUCGUUUAUAUUAACCAAUAUAUAUAUAUAUAUAUAUAUAUAAUAUGAUGUGAAUAUAUCCAAUUUUAUACUUACGAUCACCAAAUUGUGGAUAGGAAAUGAUAAAAUCCCACGAUUUCCUAACCUAUCAUAUUUAAUCCUAGCUUAAUUAGAAAGAUAGAUGACUAAACAUAACUAAAGAGGAUAGGGAGUUGGCGAGCCAAUUCGAGUUCAAUGAGCUGUGUUGAUGGGCCUUCGAAACCUAGUUCGCAGGUUGAUUAACUUCCCCGGGUCAAAAGGCUAGAGACACUCGUUGCAUUUGGGCCAUAAAAUGCUGACAAUUCUCAACAACAGACCGGAAUACCCAUGGGCUUUCGGUUUGGCCCGAUAUAAGGAGGGUUGUAGAUAAGCUAUCACUUUCCAUCCUCACCUGAAGAUCACCACUUUUCCUCCACAGAUCAGUUCCACCCUAUCUUCAACGAGAGCGCCAAGGCUUCUCUCACUGCUAGGAUUUCAGGCACAAGGGCCGUCGGAGCCCGUGAGCAUCUCUACACACCCCAACUACUGAACCCACUCAAGAGCGAGUGUUGUGCACUGAGGCAGCAAAGAACUCUCAUUAACCUCAUGCUUAAUGGCUUUGACCAAUCACCUUAUGCUAAGUGUUUAUGAGCAUUUCUUAUCUUCUCACAAAUACUAACACUCCCAUCAUUCGCAUGGAUAAUUGCUUUGACACUGUUGAGUCUUACUUCCAAUGGUGGCCACACUAGCAAAUGUCACAUCCAUUGCAAUGAUAUUGGUUGUAACAUAUUAUCGCAUAAGCUAUCAGGAAAUUAAUGCGAUAUUAUUAGAAAAAUAAAUGAGAAACAAUAAAGGAUACUAAAGAUUUAUGUGGUUCGGUACUAAGUGUCGGUACCUACAUCUACGGAGAGAGCCGACAGCAGAUAAUUCACUAAUAAUCAAACAAUCCAAGUUUGCAGUCGCUCACGUGCUCGAAUGUUUCUCACACCAAGAUUAAACUCAAAUUUAAAGUGUUUGCAAAAAUACUCACAACACCAAUCCACGGUGUGUAUAGCCCCACUCUCUGAUUCUUCCUUUCGUUCUUCGUACGGCGUUCCCCAGGAAAUCACGGUGCGGCCAUUGUACUCUCUUUCUUCUUGUGCGGCUACACUUUGCUGAAGGAACCCACUCCACGCUUCUCAAAGAAAGAAGCCACUGGCGGCCAUUCACACAACGAGGAACCCCUUUUGUCUUGCAGUGGCAGGGGACUUCUUUCCUCUCGUUAGUCCAACCUUCGGCAAAGGUGAGUCCAACUCUUCAAUUUUAUUGUGCUGUCAAACUUGGAUAUUUAUUCAAUCUGGUUGGAUUCUAUAAAUGGCUCAGACUUGAGACAUAAUUUAACGAUACCACAUGGAUGUCUGCAGAAAAAUAAAGUAAGACGUGAGGUCCAUGCAAUCAUAUUGUCUCCUGCUGCAGGAUAUGUCACCUAACACUUAUGACAAUCUGUACAAUGCAAAUAAGAAAUUUCCUCUCUAACAUGAUUGCCCAUUGUUAAGCAUUUUUAUGCUUUUUGUUUACAUUGAUACUAUCCAGGGCAUAGGAGAACAGUAUGUCAGGUUAUGGAAAGCACGUCCGUGUGUAGAAGAUUGAAAAAUCACAUUCAUCAUCAUAUUCACCAAACUAUAGAGUACUUAUCAGAACUCAAUCCACAUGGUGACUUUCAUUUAUGAUACAAAGGAAGUCUGAUGCAAUUAAGUAGUGAAUUAACUUCUAUGGCAACCUUCUGCACAUAUUUGUCACAUAAAAAUGGAAACCUGCACAUAUCGCAAUAUAAGCGCACACAUUUCAAAGUUAUUAUCAGGUCGGAAUGCACUCUCAUAUGAAGAUAACUCAUGACACUAGUGCCCAAAAUCUACAGGCACCCGAAGCAGUGCCUCCAUUUGGUUGAUGAUCAUUCUCUAAUGUAUGACAAGUAAAACUUUAAUUGCAAUCUAUUAACUAAGCUUACUCUAAAGUAUCUCCUAGAUUUAUAUUUAAUGCCUUCUUCAUGUCAUGACAAAGGAAGUUAUCAAGCAUUCUUAAGUCUAUGAAGGGCAAAAGGGAUCACCUUCACAUCAUUAUGAUAGUGCUAAAAAACGAGCCGAGACAUUACUUGUACUGCAAGUACCCUCUCUCUAGCAACCCGGUAGCAUUAGCAUCUUCUUCAGCUUUUUUGACAGGCAUCUGUUCCACAUCCAUUUGCUAAAGGACUGCCAGCUCAUUGUCUGUCUGACUUCUUUAUAUAUGACAUGCUGAAGGUUUCCCGUGUCAAACUGAUGAAGCCCUGGUUUUUAAUAGCUAGUUCAUCCAUUUUAGUUUGACUCUGCUGAGACUACCAGCUGCCUAGGCUAGCGAUGAGAAGCACCUGCAAAGAUGAGCAAACUUAUCAACAUUCUAUAACCUCCUAAGAAUUUUACUCGGCCAAUCAAGCAAGGAGACUCUGCAACAUUGAUUUCAUCUACAAGGCUCAAGACCAUUUGACAUCAGCAAUAAGACCAUCCAAUUAAUGUGGAACAGCUCCAAUCAGGAGUACUCCAAUCGAAGGAAUCGUCAAAACAAGUAGAUCUAAAAGAUUCCCAUAUAAUAACAUAGGUGAUGGAUUGAGGAACACCAGGGCAUCCCGCCAUGGGUAAUAAGGAACCGUGUGUCAUGAUCACUUGAUUCCUUGAAGUUUGGAACAAACCAUACCUAAGAUGACCAUGAAUGAGCCAAUCUCUGGUGAAAGCCAACAAAAUCACACAAUCCAAUUGCUCUAAAAUGAAGUAAGACAAUAGAAUAUGGUGAAAGAUUGCAAGAACAAAACUUGUCCAUCAAGGAUAUGCUACCUCCUCCCACAAUUCUGCUUGACGCUUUCUUCGAAAAUUGCCAAUAACUCAAGCCUCAGACAUUCAACUGUGCUGACUCAUGAGACUUUUCCUAUCAGAAGGCUCUUCCCACAAAACAAAUACCUUCAAGUUGACUAGAUGAUUCCAUAAUGUACAUCUGCUGAGGACAGACAUACAUGUCCUUAAGUAAGAACCUUCAUGAAUAAGGUAUUUAUCCAGGCUAAUUGACCAACUUUUUCAUUUAUUCCACAUGUUAUGCAAGAGUCAACACAAAUCAAAUUGUCUUCAUGAUUCUAGUCCAACAUUUCCUAUUUCAUGCGGUAUGAGCAUAUGCUUCUUCCAUGUGCCUGAAUCAAAUGGGUGGGUUUGGAGGGAGGCAUGGUGAGAAUGAGAGGGAGAAUGUUUCUUUUUUAAGCCUAGAAUUAUAGUCGAAGCCCCACUAAACGGAAUCAUAGCUCACAUCCAAGGAAUUUUGCCUACACAAACAGUUAAGGAAGCAACCACUUCAUUUGUGUGUCAUGAAACAAGUAAAUUCUGCCAUCUAUUGCCAUGGCGGACUGCUGCUUUAGAACAACACAUUGAUCUAUCUCGAAUCAUUGCAAAUGCUACUUCAGUAAUCCUCUUCCGGCAGCAAUCAUCAGCAAUGGGAAUCUUGCUCCAUUUCAUGUACACUACCCUAUAUGAACCAGCCUCUCUUCUUCACCAUGGUCUACCAUCUUGAUUAAAUCUCCUUUCAUCGCGCAGGGGAAAAAAAAAGGCAGAACACGAGCAUAGAGAUUCCAGAAUUCUACUUUGAAACCCAAACUACAGUAUCCACAUUUUGCAUUUAUCUUAGAUAUGUCUAAAAAGCCAACCAUUCUAGUAGAUAUUUCCCGAAGUUCUCAAUUUGCUACAUUGCAUGAGAACCAAGAUCUAGGGUAAAGGUCAGAAAGCUUGUCACUUGAAUGAGCAAAAAACUGCAAACCCAUACAUUUGUAUGUUACAUAGAGAUAGAGUAUGCAUUAGCGCAUGUGUCGAUCUGUAAACUGCUCUCCAAAUGAAUUCAACAUAUUAUUUGAUACGUCUUUUGUUCAGCCUCAUGACAUUUGGAUUCUACAUUGUCCUGCAGAUUUUCAGGACAAGGAAAGUGGGCGAAAACUGCUCCAAUCAUUAGGAGAUCUCUAAAAAGAGGAAAACAUGAAAAUGUGUCCACUCCACCUUUCCCUGAAAACAAAAUUUCCAAGUACUCCAGAAGGAAGAAAAUCUACGUCCCACAAAAGAUGGAAAGGCUUACUCAUCUUAACCGUUAACAUUCUUCACUCAAGAAUUGAAUCAUCAGGCAAAGGUCAGAAAGUAUGUUACUUGGAUGAGCACAAAAGUCAGAACCUAAACCUCCUAUGUCAUGCAAUGCAUUAGUGCGUAUGACAAUCUAUAAACUACUCUCCAAAUGAAUACAUCAGAUCAUUUGAUAUAAUUAUCGUUCAGCCUCAUGAUGUUUGGAUUCUACGUUUUCCAGCAACAUUUCCAGCACAAGGAAAACGGGGAAAAAACUGCUCCAGCCAAUGAGACAUCCCCUUGAGCCAAGACCUCAGUCAUAUGUAGAAAAGAGGAAAACAUGAAAAGCAAGUACCACUCUAUCUUCCCCUAAAUACUAAAUUCCCAAGGACUCCUAAAGGGAGAAAAUGUAAACCCUAUAAAAGAUGAAAAGGCUGGCUUUCACCUUAGCCAUCAUUAACGUUCUUCAUUUGAGAAUCGACUCAUCAGACAAGGCCAGCCAUGGAUAAUAGAUGAUAUUAAGUGUAAAAGAGCAGCUAGUCAAUUCUCCUCUUCAUCUUCUUACAAGGAACUUAGGUGAAUUUGCAUCAACAUUCACCUUGUCUCCUGUUUCUCACUUAACAAAAGCCACCUAGUUGGGGUGAAAUAAAUGCAGUACAUAGCAUUCCGUGACUAAUAACCGAAUUGCAAACUAAAAUUCUAACAGCGCUAUAACACACCACGCUUUACACAAAAUGUUCCGGAAAAUAUUGAAUUUCCAGAGUUAUCAAAUCCCAGCAUAUCUAACCUCUAAUGCAUGUGCCAAGGAAUCACAUGACAAAUUAUCCAAUGAUUCGGGAAAUGAUUGCAAUGCCACAUCCUUAAUCACACGAGAUAGCAACAAAAGAAAAGAAAGAGGUGGGAAGUCCAUCAUUUCGACAAAGGAAAAACAAGACCAUGUUAGUCCUCCAGUUAUCAACAAGAAUCGAGUCGUGAUGCGAUAACUGCCAAAUGAAUGACAGUUCAAAUUGUCAUAGGAUCAAACUAACAUCAACAACAAUACCAUCAAAAUUAUCACAAACUCUCUCCUAGAGAGAAAUUUCUUCCAAUGCAAAGGACUCCGUUCAAAUGAAAUCAUCACCGAGCCAGCAUUCCCAUUCUAAUUAUGUCCGAAUGUUCAAGAGAUCCCAUUUUUUCAGCUACGUCAAAAACCAAAACAAGAUAACAAAAAAAUGCCUCUGAACAAUCUUCAUUCACUGUCUCAACAUGACACUGACAAACCCAAUAUCAGUUUCGUUUCAGACUAACAUCCUUCCCCUUUCAGAACAACGAAAUUUGAAUUAAAUAUGAAGUAUGCAUUAAAUAUGACCGGAAUUGGUAUAAAUUGACGUCGAAGAAUGUUUAUUUUAGUUGGGAGCUCUUCCUUGAAGACAUGAAUGAUAAUUAUUCUGUUCCUAAGAACAAUUUCUAGCCAGAAAUAUAUUUUUGGAAGGAAUUUUAUGAGGGGAAAACUGUGGAGGAAGAAGAGGUAGAGGUUAAUCCUGAAACUCCAGUGAAUCAAGGUGCUUUAGCGCCCUAUGAGCAAGCUCAAAUUGAUCCAACCCAGGCAAAUAUGGAGGGACAAGAGGAGGGGUAGUAGAAAUGACUGCUUCUCCCCAGUAGGAGGAAGGCAUGCCAGCUGUAAGUAACAUAGAGUUUAACAUUUUAGUUAACGUUCUAUCCUUACGCUUUGCAACACCAUUUGAUUGGGGGUGAAUAAGGAUCAGUGGUUUCAAGUAUUAUACAUUCUGAAGCACAAAAUUCCUUGAACCUUGACAUAGUAUAUUCUCCUCCUCUAUCACUCCUAAACCUCUUAAUUUUCAGGUUGAGUUGAUUUUCUACUCUAGACUUGAAAAUCUUAAACUUUUCAAAAGCCUCAUCUUUCGAUUUCAACAAAUAGACAUGAUAAUAUCUAGAAAAAUCGUCUAUAAAUGUUAUUAGAUACUUCUGACCACCUUUAGUAAUGUAAUUUCUAAAGUCACAAAUGUCAUAAUGUAUUAACUCAAGAAGUUGUGUGCUUUUAGAAACCAACUUAAAUGGUUUUCUAGUUAUUUUAGCUUGUGCACACACUUCACACUUAUCAAAUCAAAUAGAAGUAUCUAAUGGAAUGUUGUGAGUUUUAACUAGAUGUUGCAUUUUCCUAUAAUUCACAUGUCCAAGUCUAUUGUGUAGCAACUUUGGAUCAAUCAAAGUAGAUUUCACAUGGUUUAUGCUAUCAUCAUUUAAACUCAUCAUAUACAUAUCAUUAACCAUGAAUGCACAACCAAAAUAAUAUGAGUUAACAUAUAAAGUUACUCUACCAUUCAUAGUUGAAAAAGACAUACCAGCUUUAUCAAGUAAACUCAUAGAUAUCAAAUUCUUCUUAAGUAAAGGUACUACUCUAACAUGUUUUAGAGUUAGUAAUUUACCUGAGGAGAGCACCAAAUUUGCAGUUCCAGCAUGAGUCACCUUUGCCUCACCACCAUUGCAAUUUUCCAUAGUGUCUUUCACUUCUAUAACCUCCGUGAGUAAGUUCUUGUCAUUUGUAGCAUGACAAGUAGCGCCACUGUUCAACCACCACUCAGAAGAAAUGCUGGCCUUUCCAUUCUUCAUCAUUUCAAUGAAGGCUCGAGGCUCAAAUCCUCUAUUAUGUGGUGUGUCAUUAUUUGGCUUCCUCGGCAACUUACACUCUGCUGCCUAGUGACCCCACUUUCCACAGUUAUGGCACUUGCCCUUCUUCUUCUUUUUGAAGAUAGUCUUUUUGGCCUCUAACUGUAAAGGGGAUUCACCUUUUGGUGACUUGAACUUUUUCUGAGGUUUAUUGGAGUGUGAAACUAAGUUGGCAACUGACUUUUGUUGUCCUACUUGUUCCAAACUCUUCCUAGUGAUAUUUUGAUUUUCAAUGUGAAUAUACCUCUUUAAUUCAUCCAGUCCCAUCUGUACCUUCAGUCUGUGCAUUUCAGUCUUGAAAUAACUCAAUUCAGUUGGUAGUUUGCUCAACACAAGACCGACAAAGAGAUUAUCGGACAUAUCAGAAUUAUCAUCUUUCAGCUUGUUCCUCAUGUUCUCAAAUUCAACUAACGGAGAGGUGAUGCUUGAAUUCAUAGUGAAUUUAAAGUCAAACAAUUUCUCCGCUAGGAGAGUUUUAGAUAGCCCCUCUUGUUUUUGGAACUGAGCGUUCAAGUGAUCCCAUAUCUCUUUUGCCGUCUUAUACUCACUAUAAGUCAUAGCCAAAUUAGGAUUUAGAGAGUCCAACAAGUAAUCUCUACAAAAAUCCUCAUCUUUGUUCCAUUGAUAUUCAUUCACAUCUUCAGUGGUAGAUGCAAAAUCGCUUAAUACAGUAUAUAAUAUGUCACGUUCUUUCAUGCCAAAUUGAAUAUGUAAUUUCUAGCCAUGAAAUUCAGUAACAUCAAAAGAUUACAACUUUAUAAUAUCAUAGGAACUACGCUUUGCCAUUUUAAUCAAAGCAAAGUGUUAGAAAGAGUGCACCUUGAAGUCCUCAGAGCAACAAAGUCGAAUAACUCCCCUAACCUUGAUCAAACUGCUCUGUAGAGAUGGAAUUUGCCAAAAAAAAACCCCAAAAACGAAUUUGGAGCGCCCAAAAACAUUAAGAUGGACUGCCCUUGUCGCUGAAACUCGCUGAAAAAUUUCACCCCCGAAAUUGGCUAGAAAUUUCGUCCUCGAAAUUCGCUAGAAAUUCAGAUAGAAACUUCCGGGUGCUGUAACUUCUCCGUCCGACCUUCGAUUGAUGCGAGUGACCACUCAAAACGUUCGUAUCGACGAGUAGAUCAAAGCCCAAGUGGUUUCACCCUCUUAAAUUAGCUAUAAUUGUUUGGGUUUUCGAAUCAAACAUUUCGGUCACCUAAAUCUUCAAACUCAGAUCCCGGCCAAUAUCACCGUUGAAAUCGAAAGUAAAUUACAGCCACGAGUUCGUCUUGACGAAAUCUUCAAGAAGACACUUUACUCGCUCAAAUCCGACACACGAACCUAAUACUUCAAGAUUGUUGGAGGUAAUAGGUUUGAGAGAGAAGAAGUGGUUGCUUGAAGUAUUAUACCAAGAAACGUCAAGUUUGGAAUGCUCAACAGUGUUACCUCCAGCGUAGGGAAACCCUAGAGUUUUUAUAUGCACGUUAUUGAGCUCCGGCCCAUAUAGAUCCAAAUAACAUGCUUUUACCUAUUGGGCUUGUAUGUGAACAUAUUAUUUUGGACUAUAUUAAUAAUAUAUCCAACACGAUCUUUUUGCCUUGGCGGACUUUGUUAUUAUCUCUGAAUGUGGAGAUUCCGGCCUCAAUGAGCUUAUGAUAGAGGUGAUCAGUGAAGCUAUCUCGAGUAUCUUUAGCACUAAAGCUCAAGAACACAUUGUAGCAGUUUCUAGAUGACUCGGUUGACGGACUAGAUGCACCAGAAUUAGUUUCCGUUGGUGCAGUCAACGAACCAGAUGCGCCAGUAUCAUAAUUUUCUGCAUUUCCAUGCACGUUAGCUUUCUUCUUAUUGAGAAAAUAGAACGUGAGCCCAAGGAGAAGGAUCGGUGCCACGAGCACGGCCAAAGAAUGCCCAAAAAUAAGACGAUGCAUUUCGUCUUUGCUCUGACUUCGCACUUGAUUUUUGCUUUCAAGUCUGAUAGAGAAGAAAACCACAACGCCUCUCAAAAAAUACGAGAUGCCUUCUUACUCCCCAUUGUCUCUUCCUUGGAUUGAUUUAUAUAGUCAAGACAGCUGGCAACCGUAAUUGCACCAAGAAGUCAAACUUGUCAAGCUAUGUAUACAAAUAAGGUUAAUACCUGAAAAACUCUAAAUUGGUACUGAUAAAUUUCUCAAAACUAAUUUUUUGACCAUAAAAAGUCACAAAUUGGUUUAUCUUUGAUAAAUUUACCCUAAAUAACCACAAAAAACCAUGAAUGGACCUAGACUUAGAACCAGGGAAGGAGAGUAAAUUUCCUGCAGGUAUGCAUUCCAUAGUGGGCGAACAACUCCCGUUCAAGCCCUUCAGGGACAGUCUUUUAGCAGAAAACCACUCAGCCCUUUAGUUCAGAGCCUAGAGACACUCAGAGAUGCCAGGAUGGAAACGUUUCUAACCUACCCAAGCUGCAUUUCUUGGAGAAUCCUACCAGGCUGGAGAAGAAGAGGAGUUUAGAAAGCCAUGGAGAGAUUUUCACAAAGCACACACUUUACUUCAGGGGACUCUGCCGAAAACGAUACACCCUCCUUGCCUUUUAUAGGCAAUAAGAGGUCACCAGGACACACACAGGGACCUUACUCACGGGUCCAGAUAUAAACAGAGGCAUCGGAAACUUCUGGGAGGGAAUUAUUAGCACACUAUGAACAGUAACUGUACAGUGAACAUUACUUUCCCUAGCCUAGUGCUACAGUAAAAGUGAACAGUGAUUUUGCUACAGUGAAAUUGUACGGACUCAAUGGUCUCGUCCGUCGCGAGCAUUGUAGCUACAUACUGAGUUUUCUGAGCUGUAUUCUAGGAGAUGUGCCUCAUAUUUUUGUUCAAGGGCUUCAAGGUCUUUAGGUGAGAGGAUUUGGUUCAGCCUUCGUGAUGUGGAUGCUUCUUCAUGAGCCCAAUGUGAUGCUUCUUCUUCAGCCCAGUUUGUGCUUUCAUUUUCUUGAGUGUCGGCAGGAAUUCUUGGCCGAGGCCAGUUGGAUGGCUGUGCAUAGAAAGAUGUGUCCAUGCUUUGGAAUUGUUUGUNNNNNNNNNNNNNNNNNNNNNNNNNNNNNNNNNNNNNNNNNNNNNNNNNNNNNNNNNNNNNNNNNNNNNNNNNNNNNNNNNNNNNNNNNNNNNNNNNNNNNNNNNNNNNNNNNNNNNNNNNNNCUUCCUUAGCUUCUGGUGCUAGGUCAUAAUGAUCCCACGUAGUGGGUGCAUUAUUCCCAAACAUCUUUGGGAAUGGUCUUGUUUUCUUGGCACAGGAUUCUCUGGAGUUCUCGGUAUUCAUGUUCACAAAGUCUAACAGAUCUUGGAUAAGAUUUGUGGAUCCGUGCUUCUCGAUUGUCCAAGUAAGGUUUAUAGGAUGUGGUUCCUAUUUCCUGUGGAGCAUCAAUGAUUCUUCCAUUGUUUGUAAAAAAAUGCCAUGGACGUCUGAAAAACAGGAUGGUAUGGACUUCGGGAUUCGGUGUCAUGGUUCUUAGUUCCUUUUCCAAGUCUUGUUUCCAACAUGUAGGAUGAUAGAACCAAUUUAGAAAUUCUAAAAGAUUUCUAUCACAUUCUUUUUCGAUGUUUCUCCCGAGCAAGAAUAUCCUUGUGAGGUUAGCAAUGAAUCUUCUGGUUGGAAUUUCAAAGGCUAUUAGGUACUUAUUGGUUAAGUACCACAAUAACGUUUUGAGCUGUUCAGGGAAAUCAUCUUCCUUCCAGAUAAGAGGAUGAAUGAAUGGAUAAUUUAUAUUCAACCCAAAAGGAUAAAGAAUUGAACCUCCAUUGAAUUUGAAUAUGUCUGUGUGGCAUUGCCACAUGAGGUUCUCCAGGUUCUCAGCAAGACUGUCGUUCUGGAUUUGCUGAAUAAUCUCCUGGGGGUAUUUCCAGCUUUGCAAAUCUUUGAUCUUCUCAAUUUUGUAUUUCACUCCAUGAUUGAGCAUAUGAAAAACAGGCCUUUUGAUGUACAUGUUGAUUUCGGCUGGUGCUUUUGGCCUUGACAAGAAAUCAGCAAGUACAUUCUUCUUUCCGGGAAUAUGCUUAGUUUCAAAGGAGUAUUUUGAGAACCAUUCAGCCCAUCGAAGCAGUUGGGAAUUUGGAAUCUGUUUCUGUUUAAACUUGGUCAUCUGAGGGAAAGAUGCCAUGUCUAAUUCUACCAAGAAGUGGUGGCCUAUAAGAUGAAACUCAAACUUUUUGAUUCCAUUUUUAACUGCUAGGAUUUCUUUGAAAGUGGAAUGGUAAUGCAUUUCGGCUUAGGAAAAUUUUCCACUUUUGUGAGUACAAAGAUGUCUCUUACCAUCAAUCUCUUCGAACAAGAUGGCUGCCCAGUAUUCAUCACUGGCGUUAAUUUGAAGAAUCCUUUUGCAUGUUGAUGGUAUUUGCAAUGGUGGGAGAUUUUGCAUAAUCUCCUUAAGUUCAGCGACUGCUUUGGUCUGAGCUUUUCCCCAAGGUGGGGAAUUCUUCUUCAGCAUAGAUUGCAAAGGAAUCAUAAGCUUUGCAAUGUUUGGGACAAAAACUCUGAGAUAAUUAAUUAUCCCAAGAAAUUGCUAAACUUGCUUUGUUGUGAAGUUAUCUUGGGGAAACUUCAAUAAUUCUUGAGCAAUAUGUGGCCCUGGAUAGUAUGUACCUUUGUUGAGGUGCAUACCAAGAAAUUUGAUUUCUGUUUAGGCAAUAUUCAUCUUUCUUUGAGAAAGCAUGAUACCAUGUUUUUUCACAGUUUUUGCAAACUGCUCAAGGAGUUGACAGUGUGACUGCUCAUCAGGGCUGUAGAGCAGAAUAUCGUCAAUGUAUACGACUGCACUGACAAAAUUGGUUGGAAAAUACGACAUAUGGCCUUUUGGAAGAGGGAUGGUGCUACCUUUAAGCCAAAAGGAAGAAUUUUCCAUUGGAAGUACUGGUUCGGGAUACAGAAUCCUGUUUUGGAUCUGUCUUCAGGAUGGAUGCCCAAUUGCCAAAAUCCGGCUUUAAGGUCGAAUUUGGAAUAGAUGUGGGCCUUGGUUAGACCACUAAAGAGAGAAUCUCUCGAUGGUAAAGGGAACUUAUCGUCUUGGAGAAAAAGAUUGAGAGGUUGAUAGUUGAUCACCAAUCUCAUUUUUCCUCUGUUUUGCUCGGCGCGCUUAUUGACAUAAAAGGCUUCACAAGCCCAUUGUGAAUCGGAGAUUUCAAUAAGGCCUUGUUGCAAUAGUUCCGAGCAUUCCCUUUGAGCUAAAAUCAGAUGUUCUGGCUUCAUUCCCAUGUGGCUCGCCCUGGUUGGGUUUAUGUCUUUAUUUUUCUUGAAAUGAAGGCGAACAAAGAACUCUGGAUUUUCCCAUAAAGGAUGGGAACACUUUUGAGCGAAUUCUGAAUGGGAUUUUGAACAAGAUUCUAGCAACUUUUGCAUAAUUGGAUCUAGUAGACUCAUUUGAAUGGAAAAGAGUCUCUGGAUAUUAACGAACUCAGAGAAUUGAUCUUUAUAUCUAAGACAUUUUCCAGGAAUGAUGCGAAGCUGAGAGAUUUGAGUCAUGAUGUCCCACCCAAUUAUCAGAUCUUUAUUGGGAAGGUUUGAUCCAAAGAUUUUUGCAGUUAUGGAGCACUGAGGGAAGAACUGGACAGUUACAGGAGUGGUUCUGACAUUUGUGGAGAAAGUAUCUCCUGAAGCAGAAUUAAAAUAUUAGAUGUAAGGAGUCCAGAAUUCUUCAGGAAGAACUUUGGUGUCUAAUAUUGAACAACUUGCUCCUGUGUCAAUGAGAGCAAUAACAGUGAUGGGUUUGGCAAACUUUGAAGUGAGAAUUUUUACAGGGAAAUGGGGACAGUGAGUUUGACUUGAAAAUAUGUCAAGGUUUGGAUCUGGGGAUGAUGGUGAUAUAUGGAAAAUAUCUUUAGACUCUGAGUCUGACUCAGUCUCAUUGGAAGUUUGGUUAGAGGGAAUGACACAAAGAGUUUGUUCAGAUGGCUCUUCAUCAGCAGAGAAUAAUGAUUCAAUAUCAUCAUUUUCAAGAGAAAUACCUAUUUCAUUCUCAAUGUGAUGAAUUAGAUGAUUCUGACCUUUUCUCGCUUGAGGACAAUUUUUGGCAAAAUAUCCUUUCUGAUUGCAAAUGUAGCAACGGUUUGAUUUUUUGUGACUUGUGCGAUCCUUCCUUUUGCGUAGGUAUCGCCAUUUCUUCUUUUUCCGGAAAUGCUUGGAGCCAUGUUUGGAUUUCUUUAUCCAAAACUUCUUGUAGUGUUUUUUCUUCCGGGAAUACUUGCCACAUGUACCAUCACAGUCUUUCUUGGAACAUUUGAUUUUUGACUUCUGGCGAGAACAAGCUGAUUCAAGGCGCUUGUCGUCUGUGAUGUAAGUAUGGACCAUCUGGCGUUUCAAGCAUAAUUCUUCAAGACAUAAAUGAACUUCUUGCUGUAUUUCUCCUAGGGGAACAUCUUGUAUUCUCCUUUGUUUUCCGAAGAAAGAUCUUUCAACCAUCUGGGAUAGUUCUUUAGGGAUGGAAGUAAGGAAAACAUGCUUCAGAUUUGGAUCUACUCCGACUUGGUAGAAAAGCUGAAGCAUUAUUCGAUAAUGCUUAUCAAGAUGUUUUUCCUGGAGGGAGCAACAUCUUCUUUCGAAAAACUCUCUUCUUUUUAUUUCUAUGAGAUCAGUGGGUUUUCCCACAAAGACAUGAUAUAAGAGAGUGAUGGCAUGGCUGAAAUUAGGUGACAUCAGAAAAUGGAUCUGGUCUUGUUCUGAAAUUGAUUGCCACCAGAGUUUUAAGCUUCCUGUGAACCUUGUAACAAAGUUGUACAGGACGUCAUUCAUAUCAUGGUUAGUGAUAGACUGGGUAUUCAACCAAGUAUGAAAUUCUUCAAGCCUUAUUGGCCAUUUGUGAUAAGGAAUAUCAUCAAUGGUGAAGAAUUGUUUUGAUACCAUAGACACAUGCUGAGCUGGAUUGCUUGUCUGACCAAUUUCUGGGUCAGAAUAGUUUGAUUCCAUUUUAUCAUUUGGAGAGUCAGCCAUAAAUAUUGAUGAAGUUACUGGUGCAAUGGGGAGGGAAUCAACUGUAGGAAUUGAGAAAGAUGAAGAUGAGGAAAGGGAUAUUGAAUCUGAUUCAGUAUCAUGAGAAGUUUGCUAUACUGGGAGUAGAGUCUGUUUUUCUGGAAUGAUAGGAUCAGGUUGUUGGAUUACAGAGUCAGGUUCCUGAGUACCUAAAUCAUUUAGAAAAGAUUCUAAGGGAUUUGAUAGCAUCAUCUGAUCUGGCAUUUCUCUUAGAACAAUGGAACUUGAUUCUGUAGGCGGUAUUUUUUUUCUUUCCCCUUUUCCUUCUGCAAGGCCUUGAGGCGAUUUUGUAUUUCUGCCAUAUCUGGUUCUCGUCUAUAGGGAUCUUCUGGAAUAGUGGCAAAAAUAGACGUCUGUGGCGGUGGGGGUAAAUACCCGGUUUUAACAGGAGGUGCCAAUGGAUCGAACAGUCUGAACCUCCCUUCUUCAAGAAGUUGGAUCUAUUUCUUGAGCUUCUCUAUUUCUGGCUUUGGACUUUCAAGAUAAUGGUACCCAAGAUGUUGUCCCGAUUCCAAGGUGUUAAGCCUUUUCUGGAAUUCAGAAAGUAUCUUUUUGGUACUUUUAUCAUACCUUCGGAGAUCUUGUUGCACAUUUCCGAUUUUGGAGUCAAUUGCCUUGAAGGCAUUGUUUUGUGCCAACAGAGUCUCUGAUUGCCAAUUUAGAACAGCCUCAGCGGCAGGGGUCUUUUUCUGCCUCCCAUGUUCAUCCACAUCAGUGGGAGUAGGGAUUUUAGGAACAUGGCGGUAUCUUUCAUGGGGAUCAAUAAACUCUUCUGCAGCAGGGAACGCGAGUUUAGAACUUUCCUUGACAAAAGGAGGAAAGUCGGUAUCCCGGAACAUAGCGAUAGAAGAAGUGGGUGGUGUUCCUUCUGGAACUUCAAGGGGGUAAGAGUGCUUCUUAGCCCAUUUGAGUAUUGGCUUAUAAAAUGGGGAGAGGGUUUGCUUUUUCUGGGGAGGAGAUGGUGGUGGUGUUUUUGGUGGAUCUAGUAAGGCUUGGGAUGUAGUACUGGAUUCUGGUGGUGGAGGUGGUGCAUAAGAAACCAUGAAUUGGUAUUUGUCAUAUUCACUGAGAGUAUCCACGGAGGAAUCUCCGUCUAAAUACCUUUGGUAUAUCCUAUCCUUUGGCCUUUUCCGUCGAGGUGGAGAUCUUGCAAAAGGAUCUACCUCGUCAGGAGAAUUUGUACAAUAGGAACAUUGACAAAAAGGAUCCCAAAAACAAUGACCAUAGUUAUCUUUGUAGUAAUGAACAGGAUGUCCAUCACCAUCGAAGUGUCGAACAUGCUUUUUUGGAUUUGGCUCGGAAAUAGAUUGAGGAACACAUGGUUCAAUCAUGAAGAGGGUCUGGAAGAUAGAAGGACUUUCUUCCUUUUCCUUGCCAAAUUUGAUGGAAACAGUUCCAUCUUUUUUCCGUACGAACUCUGAGUCCGUAGACUGGAAAUGCUUGUUAUGCUGGUGUAGCUUUUCGUAGUUGGUGAUCCAAGUCUCUCGAAGGAGCUUGGCCAAUGUAUCCUUCGGAAUCUGUCUAGGAACAUGGAUACAUGAUGCUUGGUCAUUCUAUAUAAAGAUAAACAAAGCAUCUUCAUUACCAUUGUUGAAGUUGAGGUCAAGUGCAUGGUUCUGCACUCGAUAAACCAUAUGGUAAUGUAGUGUUGCAGCUACAGAGUCAGCAGUUUGAGGGGCUCCAGUACGUUGGACUUGGACUUUCAGAAAAGAAAGUAACUGGGGAUCUGAAAGGGCGAUGUUGAAGUUUGGAUAUAGAGUGACAAAGACUGUUCCGGCAUUCAAAGUAGUUUGAACAGUACCAAUGCAAGCAUGCUGGUAUUGUAAAAAUUUGGUGUCUAACAACGCAAUUCUUGUCACAACUGGCAAACCUUUACGACCAUGGAAAGUGAGAGCAAGAUGAACAGCUCCAUAAUGGACAUGAGUGUAUCCCUGUUGAGCCCAUUGUCUGGGAAAUUCAGGAGGGAUCUUGAGGGUAACAAAGUACUCUUUUUUCAGUAGCAGGAAUAGGAUGCUGGUCCAAUUUGGCGGACUGGACGUACUCCUUUACUUGCUUUGGGGUUUGGUGAAUAAGCUGACAGAUGGAGCGGAUGGGUGAAAAUGACGAGUUUGGUUUGGCAAAAGCAGAAUAGGGGUUCAUGAGGGGGAGUUGGGUUUCAGAAAUCUUGGUUUCAUCGCUAAGAGAGACUUCAUAAAGAUAAUCUAUCUUAGAGGCAUUAGAAACACGAAAUUCUGGAGAUGUUGAAGAUGAAGAUGAGGGAGCAAGAGACAUUGGUACAUUUGUGAAAAAUAUAUCAUUUGUUAAAUUGAAUUAACACCACAAAAAAAAAUCACAAAAAUUAUAUAAUUGUGACAAACGAAAGGUAAAAUCCCAAACUAGUAUAUUGGUUAACUGUCACAUGUCAUCCAAUUUAGUAAAUUGACUGUAAAUUUUAACGGAAACUAAUAAUGAAUAAAUUUGUCAUAAGUGUACCAGUUUGAGGUAAAUUUAUCAAAAAUGUACCAAGUUAGGAUUUUUUACGGUCAAAAAGUUAGUUUGGGAUAAAUUUAUCACACAUAUACGAGUUUGGGGUUUUUAGGAUAUUAAUUCUAUAAAUAAAUUAGUAAUUCAUUCAGUAGAGAACAGUAACCACAUGCUUAGAGUUGUUGUCUUGACGUGGCAGAAAUGUCAAUGCACAAGAGAAUCCAAGACAAUACAUAUCCUGGUAGCAGAUAAUAUGCGAGGAAAUUUCAAUGUAGGAGUAAAGAAAAUAAAUUAAAACAAAUAUAAAUAUUCAACUACUGUUAAAAUUUUAAUACACUUGAAAUGGAGAGAGACUCAGGAUGAGACUGUGACAUGGAUUUACCAGAGAAGAUGAAAAGUGGAGAGAGAGAGAGAGAGACGGGACUUCGUCUGAUCUAAGUCCAAAUUAAAAUAAUAUAUGAAUUGGCUAGAUCUGCUGGAAUAUUUAGUAGGCUGGUAACUAGUAAGGUCAUAUGCUUAUUUAAAACAGCCUUAGUCACUUAAAACAUUUAUUUGAAGCAAUCAUAGCCACUCAGAUUCUUAUUUGAUAUGAGAUUUAUUUCAGACUCUUAUUUAAGAAAAUAAUGACACUUUAGAUCUUUAUUUGAAUUUUUUUAAAAAUAACUAAUAACAUCGAGUGUCUCCGAUUGUGUUGAAAAUGCCAAAAAAAAAAAAAAAAGAGAGGAGAGAAUUUUCUUGCUUUUGCAUUGAAGCUGGGUGGGAGACGAAGCUUCGAGGAAGCUUUGCGCCAAAAAGCCGUGCGUCCCGCAUUGGAAAUUUGUAUUUUCGUUAAAAUUAUUUUUGUGAAUAUAUUUUAGGAUUUAAAUAGUACAUGGUUCGUUGUCAACGUUGGGUCAAUGAUUGACCUACUGUCAAUGCAUGCGCGAAGAAUUUACGUCUCAACCUCCUAAUGGAAAUCGACCCAAAAAAAAAAAAAAGCUCCUAAUGGGAAACUGCAAAGAAGUAUCUCAGAACGGGCGGUAUCGAGGAGGGGGAUAGUCGCUUUCGCCCCCCUAAGACUGACCAUGUUUCUAGAGACCGACCCGAGAUCUUUCCACACCAGACACGAUCAACAGUACAUAAUAUAAUUGACUGGAGUGUACAGAAAAAAACUUUAGACAAACGCCACUUGAUUCCGGGGCCGUCACUGGCGAAUGGGUGAGUGAUCUGGUUUUUAAANNNNNNNNNNNNNNNNNNNNNNNNNNNNNNNNNNNNNNNNNNNNNNNNNNNNNNNNNNNNNNNNNNNNNNNNNNNNNNNNNNNNNNNNNNNNNNNNNNNNCGAUCAUCUUUCUUUUUCACAAACAAAACUGGUGCAUCCCAAGGUGAAGCACUUGGCCUAAUGAAUCCUUUGUCAAGCAACUCUUGUAGUUGCACCUUUAAUUCCUUCAACUCGACUAAGGCCAUCCUAUACGGGGCUUUAGAUAUUGGUCCUAUUCCAAGCAUUAAUUCAAUUUCAAACUCAGCUUCCCGCUCUGGUGGUAAUCCAGGCAACUCCUCAGGAAAUGCAUCUUGAAAUUCAUUAACCACUCGAACUUCCUCAAGUUUAGGCUCUUCCUUAGUAUAAUCUUUAACCAUAGCCAGGUACCCUUGACAUUCCUUGUCAAGUAACGCACAUGCUUCUACUCCUGAGAUAAGUGCUAUAGAUAGGUUGGUCUGACCUCCCAAAAAUUCAUAACUAGACUAAUCAGGUAAGACAAAUUGGAUCACUUUUCUAUAACAAUCCAUUUUGGCCCGAUACUUACGAAGCCAAUCCAUUCCUAUAAUAGCAUCAAAAUCAUACAUAGCCAUUACGACCAAGUCUAUUUCCAUAUCCUUUCCUCCCAUUGGUAUUUUACAAUUUCCACACACCAGCGUAGACAAUACCAUAUUCUUUAAAGGCGUGGAAACACAAAGAGGCGUCUCAAGGGGCGUAACUUCUAUUUUACUCAAAUGCCUAUAUCUUUCAGACACAAAUGAAUGCGUAGCACCCGUAUCAAAUAAUGCAUAUGCCUUUUUACCAUUUAUAAGGAUCGUACCUAAGAUAACGUUUUUGGAAGCUUCCGCCUUCUCUUGGGUGACUGCAUAAACCCUUCCUUGUGCUGGUGGCCUAUGAGGAUUCCUUGAUAAGUUUGAUCUAACAACACUCUGUUGUCCCUAUCGCAUCGAGCCAACACUCAUUUGCGACCUUUCUUGUCGGUAACUUCUCCUAAGGUGGCCCACUUGUCCACAACCAAAACAUCUCAGUCAUCCAUUGCAAGGUCUUGGGCCAUGUCGCCCAUUACACCUUUGACAAACAUCAGGUUGAUAGGGUGCUUUCCCUAUAUUCAGGCCAUUUCUUGCUCCCCCAAAAUUUCCAUAAUUGCUCUUUUUCUUCACAUUCCAAGUCUGACCUUGACCAGGGUAGGGUCUCUUACCCUUUCUCACAUCAUUAAAGUUAAGCUGUUUCUUAAACUCUGUUCAUUCUCUCAUCAGCUCCUGCUCCACAAAUUGUGCCCUUUCAUAAAUCUCAUGGUAAUCCCUUAUGUUCAAAGGCACUAGUUGUUUCCUGAUAUCAGUUCUCAACCCUUUCAGAAAUCUCUUAGUCUUUUCUUCCUAAUUCUCAAUCAGCCUAGGAGUAUAUCUAGAUAAUUAAGAAAAUCUAGCCUCAUAUUGGUCUACUGUUAGCUCCUUUUGUUCUAACUGAACAAAUUCUGAAAUUUUCUUGUCCUUAGCACAGUCAGAAAAAUACUUUCUAUUAAAAGCUCUCACAAACUCUCCCCAAUUAACAUCAGUACCUGGUGGAAAGAUUAUGUCAUUCGAAGCUCUCCACCAAAAUUUUGCAUUUCCCUCCAAUUGGUACUCUACCAAAGUUAUUUUCUCAACAUCAUUACAGUCCAACAACCGGAAAAUUCAUUCCAUUCCAUCAAUCCAAUGCUCCGCCUCCUCAAGACUUCCCAUUCCACUGAACUUAGUGGUUUCAGCUUCAGAAAUUGCUCCACCAGUCCUUGAGUACGGCGUUUUGCUCUGGGUUGUUGCUGCGCUUGUCUUUCCAUCAGAUUUCCUAUAUUGGCCAAUGCCUGCGGGAUAUCUUCCAUCCGGGGUUCAGCCCUUGCAGUAGAGGCUUCAGCCCUUGAUGGAUGAUGACUUCCAUAUCGUACCAUGAUUUUCCUAUAGUUUCCAAGCAUUUGCCAUAGGAAAUAUCUGUGACUUAAUGUCUUCAUUAAAAACAACAGCACUAAGGAAAAUAAGUAAUAUAAUCAUGUUACUAGUACCUAAAAGCAACUAAUAAUAACUACUAGGGAUCUACGAGUGAUUACUCAUCACCCGUUAUUCAAAGUUACCCAACUAUUCUAGUCAAUAUCAUCUGGUGUGCAUUGUCAUCAAGUUCCUCAAUUUCCAAAUGAGGCUCCUUAUCACUCCAACUUAUAACCAUUCGCUCUGAUACCAAAAAGGGCGGCUAUGGCACCCCAAAACACCUAAGAACGCCACAGGUACUUAUCGCUCCACCUAAUAAACACUAGUAUAUCUCUUAGUAGAAGCAUCGUAGUUCAUAGGCAUUUUUUUUUUAAAAAACGGUCCUAGCGCAACUUAUUAGCGGAAGCAUAAUUGAAUAUCACCAUCUCUCCCUCCAACAAUCAUGAUACAAUGCACACCACCAAGCACCAUAGAAAAAGAUAAAGCCGAGCCACUUUUAAUUACAUAUUUUCAGGAUGGAUUUUCUCGGGUCGAUACAACAAAAGAAAGCCAAGAUUUUUAACUACACUUGGCCACAUCCCAAAAGGAUAUCUCGACCCCUAUAACAAUCAUGUGUCAUCCUCCAUCUAUCAGUGUCGGCUACCCCCCAAAAAGAAACGUUAGCUCUCUACCCCUCAUGCAGCCAUCACACCCAUCCUGGCGCGUCGGGCAAUGGUGGUGGCAACAUCCCCCUAACCACUCCAUCUCGGCGGACGUGGACCAACAAAAACUCCUGUAUGAUCGGGCCCCCAGCCAGGCCCACAUCGUACAUGACCAGCACUCGAACUCGCACAAACGUCAGACCAGGGAUGGUAACACAGUCGAUCUCCGAACACUUUACCUCCACGUCAGAUGGGAGGCCAUAGAAGGUGCCCCGCGUGACAGUAGGGAACGACAUCUUUCUAAUAUGAAAUGUUGGUCCCCGAAGGGGUGAGUACAGCUACUCAACAAGUAAAAGAUCCAAUACACCACUCAAUGCAUCACACAAUACAAUCAUAACAAUCAUAGCAUAAUACCUCUCAUUCAUGCAUCCAGGCAUAGCUUAUCUUGUAGCUAUGCAUAUGUCAUCAUAUCAUACGUGCAUAAUUCAAUUUCCACUUUUAUUUUUCAAUUUGAUCACCACAUCUUUCUUUCCCGGGACCAGUAAUUGCAUCCCACAUUUUUAUCACUCGCACUCCAACCUGGCAUCGCGAGAAACCCACGGCACAUACCACCGGGCAUCCGGCACCCCCACAUUCCGGGCAUCUCGCAUCCCAACUGGCAUCACGAGGCAUUCCCCGGGCACAAACCUCCAAGGCUUCCGGCACCCAACCAUUCCGGGCAUCUCGAAACUCCCGAGGACAUCUAGCACCCCCCCAUCCCGAGCAUCCUGACACUCUCAGGGCAUUAUCGACCCACCUCCAACAGUUUCCUCAUUCAUCAUAAUUCAUAUUCACCAAUUUAUGUCUCAACCAUCAACAUGGCACAUGAUGUAAUGACAACAAAGUCAAAUUCAGCAUUUGAUUCUAUAUGCAAUGCCAAAUAUCAUCACAUGCUCAGUAAGAUUCAAUCACCUCAACCAAUAUAAUUAAUAGGGCUCAUCCAAAACAAAAUAACCAUAAAUUUCAGCAUUUGAAAUUCGCACAAUCCAGUUUGCACAGUUUUAGAAAAUAUUUCCAUUAAAUACCCAAAUGGUCUUUAAAAAUUAUGAGAUUUGAACAUGUGAUAGUCAAGACAUAAUGGCAGAUAUUUCAUGAAGGACACUGCACCAAAAUAUCCUCAUAAAAUUUGAUAUAGAUCACGCAUCACAGCAUUUCUAUUCUAUCAAUACAGCUUGCACAAUUUUUUUGAAACAUUUUUGGUUAAAUAGGCAAUUGAACUUCAAAAAAUAUGAAAUUUGAAUAUGUUGCAGAGAAGACAUACAGAAAGAUACUUCGUGCAGAACACUUUGCUGAAAGAGCUUCAUAAAAAAAGAUAUGACCCAUGCAUUGAAAGCUGACUAAAUCCCGAACGCGUCAUAUUACUAAAUACUCUAAUGACCUUAAAAAAUUAUGAAAUUUAAAUAUAUGGUAGCCAAGGCCCUAAAGUAUAUUUUUCAUGAAGACAUAGAAGUCAGAUUCGUCCUAGAUAAUUAAUUAUGGACGGUUGAAUCCCCUGUUUCUAACACCGAACAUUCCAGGUUUAGCCAUCUGCAAAAAUCACGAUUUCACCUACUUAUAUUCCAUCUUUUCCUCUGAAUUUUUUUUAUAUGUUUUGCCUCAUGAGGUCUAAUACAACUUUCAUUAAUGGGUCAAGGUGAUAUUUUCAAAUUAAAGUCAUUUUAUAGUCCACGAAGUCACUGGGGUUCAGUUCAACAUUUCCAGAUCUAAUGUCUUCAAAAGAAAAAUCGUUUGCUAGGCUAUACUUGUUCGUUUUACCUAAAAUUUGAGUAUGUUAGUCUUCAAGAUGUUCUAUACAACUUUCAUGAAGAGGUCGAAGUGAAAUUUUCAGUAAAAAGUUACAUUCAACAUACAAAAUCACCAAGAGGUCAACAAAACAGCUUCAGAUCUAACAUUUUCGUAGAGGGAGGGUUUUACCCCUCAAAACUCAUAUAUUUUGCCUCAAAUUUUAGAAUGUUAUAAUUUAAGAGGUUUUCUACAACGUUCAUGAAGAAUUCGAAGCCAAAAUCCGACUCAAACAUUGCAUGCAAGCCACUACAACAUUCUGGGUCAGAUGGUUUACUCGAGAACAGCUUACUACUUCAAAUCAACACACUCAAAACUUCGAUUUUGCACACCCUAGACAUCCGAAAUUCAUCACCAUUCAAACACACAUGCAAGAUACAACAUGCAAGAGCAGAAUAAGGAUCCCAAAUUGCCUCCAAACCGAGCACAACGGCGGCGAUCGACGGACGCAUGGGCGGCUACGAGCGACAGACGCACAGCUUCUUCCUCGCGCGGCCCUCUCCUCCUCUCUCUCGGUUUCUCUCGGUAACUCUCUCUCUCUCUCUUCGGACGACACACCUCCUCCCUAAACCAGCCACCUUUUCUUUUCAUUUCUCUCAUACUCAUCAUUAGCAAUGAUUGAUUCUUGCAUGGAUGACACUUGGUCAUCAACUUGGGACAAAUGGGGGAGGACAUGCAAAACCGGUCCCCCCCCCCACCUUCCUCACGGUCGACGGCCCCUUAUGGUUCUAAUGGGCCAGCCAAUUGGUCCAUCUUAGGCCCAUCCCUCUUGGGCCUAAGACCCAAGUUUAAUGAGAUCUAAUUUUAACCCUUUUAAAAACUAAUUAAAUCUCUAUUUAAUUAAAGCACUAAAUUGCAAAUUAAGAUAACCAUAUACUUGAAAUUAUAAAUACAUAAGUCCCCAUCUAUCAUACAUAUGGCCAAAGAUAAAACUUCAUUUCCAAAAUUCAUCCAUUAAAGAUUUGGCCAUACAUCUCAUCGCAAAUCAUGGGUUAGAAGGCUACAAAUUACAAUGUCGGUACUUCCAUCACCUAUCCAUGGUCCAUGGCAUAUUCAGGGAUUUUAUGAAAUUCUAGGAUGCCACAAGCAUGCCGGUUGUAAGUAAGAUAGAGUUUAACAUUUCAGUUAAUGUUCUAUUCUUACGCUCUGCAACACCAUUUGAUUGGGGGUGAAUAAGGAGCAGUGGUUUCAAGUAUUAUACCUUAUGAAGCACAAAAUUCUUUGAACCUUGACAUAGUAUAUUCUCUUCCUCUAUCACUCCUAAACCUCUUAAUUUUCAAGUUGAGUUGAUUUUCUACUCUAGACUUGAAAAUCUUAAACUUUUCAAAAGCCUCAUCUUUCGAUUUCAACAAAUAGACAUGAUAAUAUCUAGAAAAAUUGUCUAUGAAUGUUAUUAGAUACUUCCGACCACCUUUAGUAAUGUAAUUUCUAAAGUCACAAAUGCCAUAAUGUAUUAACUAAAGAAAUUGUGUGCUUUUAGAAACCAACUUAAAUGGUUUUCUAGUUAUUUUAGCCUGUGCACACACUUCACACUUAUCAAAUCGAAUAGAAGUAUCUAAUGGAAUGUUGUGAGUUUUAGCUAGAUGUUGCAUUUUCCUGUAAUUCACAUGUCCAAGUCUAUUGUGUAGCAACUUUGGAUCAAUCAAAGUAGAAUUCACAUGGUUUAUGCUAUCAGCAUUUAAAAUCAACAUAUACAUAUCAUUAACCAUGAAUGCACAACCAAAAUAAUAUGAGUUAACAUAUAAAGUUACUCUACCAUUCAUAGUUGAAAAAGACAUACCGGCUUUAUCAAGUAAACUCAUAGAUAUCAAAUUCUUCUUAAGUAAAGGUAUUACUCUAACAUGUUUCAAAGUUAGUAAUUUACCUUAAGAGAGCACCAAAUUUGCAGUUCCAGCAUCAGUCACAUUUGCCUUACUACCAUUGCAAUUUUCCACAGUGUCUUUCACUUCUAUGACCUUAGUGAGUAAGUUCUUGUCAUUUGUAGCAUGACAAGUAGCGCCAUUGUUCAACCACCACUCAAAAGAAAUGCUGGCCUUACCAUUCUUCAUCAUUUCAAUGAAGGCUCGAGGCUCAGAUCCUCUAAUUAACAUAUUAGCCUCAUUAUGUGGUGUGUCAUUAUUUAGCUUCCUCGGCAACUUACACUCUGCUACCCAGUGACCCCACUUUCCACAGUUAUGGCACUUGCCCUUCUUCUUCUUUUUGAAGAUAGUCUUUUUAGCUUCUAACUGUAAAGGGGAUUCACCUUUUGGUGACUUGGACUUUUUCUGAGGUUUAUUGGAGUGUGGAACUAAGUUGGCAACUGACUUUUGUUGUCCUAUUUGUUCCAAACUCUUCCUAGUGAUAUUUUGAUCUUCAAUGUGAAUAUACCUCUUUAAUUCAUCCAGUCCCAUCUGUACCUUCAGUCUGUGCAUUUCAGUCUUGAAAUAACUCCGUUUAGUUGGUAGUUUGCUCAACACAAGACCGACAAAGAGAUAAUCGGACAUAUCAGAAUUAUCAUCUUUCAGCUUGUUCCUCAUAUUCUCAAAUUCAACUAACUGAGAGGUGAUGCUUGAAUUCAUAGUGAAUUUAAAGUCAAACAAUUUCUCCGCUAGGAGAGUUUUAGAUAGCCUCUCUUGUUUUUGGAACUAAGCGUUCAAGUGAUCCCAUAUCUCUUUUGCCGUCUUAUACUCACUAUAAGUCAUAGUCAAAUUAGGAUUUAGAGAGUUCAACAAGUAAUCUCUACAAAAAUCCUCAUCUUUGUUCCAUUGAUAUUCAUUCACAUCUUCAGUGGUAGAUGCAAAAUCGCUUAAUACAGUAUAUAAUAUGUCACAUUCUUUCAUGCCAAAUUGAAUAUGUAAUUUUCAGCCAUGAAAUUCAGUAACAUCAAAAGAUUGCAACUUUAUAAUAUCAUAGGAGCUACGCUUUGCCAUUUUAAUCAAAGCAAAGUGUUAGAAAGAGUGCACCUUUAAGUCCUUAGAGCAACAAAGUCGAAUAACUCCCCUAACUUUGAUUAAACUGCUCUGUAGAGAUGGAAUUUGUCAAAACAAACCCCAAAAAUGGAUCCGGAGUGCCCAAAAACCUUAUGAUGGACUGCCCUUGUCGCUGAAACUCGCUGAAAAAUUUCGCCCUGAAAUUCGCUAGAAAUUUCGUCCCCGAAAUUCGCUAGAAAUUCAAAUGGAAACUUCCGGGUGCCGUAACUUCUCCGUCCGACCUUUGAUUGACGCGAGUGACCACUCAAAACGUUCAUAUCGACGAGUAGAUCAAAGCCCAAGUGGUUUCACCCCCUUAAAUUAGCUUUAAUUUUUUAGGUUUUUGAAUCAAAGAUUUCGGUCACUUGAAUCUUCAAACUCAGAUCCCGGCCAAUAUCACCGUCGAAGUCGAAAGUAAAUUACAGCCACAAGUUCAUCUUGACGAAAUCUUCAAGAAUAUACUUCAAGAUUGUUGGAGGUAAUAGGUUUGAGAGAGAAAAAGUGGUUGCUUUAAGUAUUACACCAAGAGACGUCAAGUUUGGAACACUCAACAGUGUUACCUCCAGCAUAGGGAAACCCUAGAGUUUUUAUAUGUAUGUUAUUUUGAUAUGGCCCAUAUGGACCAAAAUAACCAUGCUUUUACCUAUUGGGCUUGUAUGUGAACAUAUUAUUUUGGAAUAUAUUAAUAAUAUAUCCAACACAAUCUUCUUGCCUUGGCGGAGUUUGUUAUUAUCUCUGAAUGUGGAGAUUCUGGCCUCAAUGAGCUUAUGAUAGAGGUGAUCAGUGAAGCUAUCUUGAGUAUCUUUACCGCUAAAGCUCAAGAACACAUUGUAGCAGUUUCCAUAUGACUCGGUCGACGAACUAGAUGCACCAGAAUUAGUUUCCGUUGGUGCAGUCAACGAACUAGAUGCGCCAGUAUCAUAAUUUUCUGCAUUUCCAUGCACAUUAGCUUUCUUCUUAUUGAGAAAAUAGAACGUGAGCCCAAGGAGAAGGAUCGGUGUCAUGAGCACGGCCGAAGAAUGCCAAAAAAUAAGACGAUGCAUUUCGUCUUUGCUCCGACUUCGCACUUGAUUUUUGCUUUCAAGUCUGACAGAGAAGAAAACCACAAUGCCUCUCAAAAAGUACGAGAUGCCUUCUUACUCCCCAUUGUCUCUUCCUUGGAUUGAUUUAUAUAGUCAAGACAGCUGGCAACCGUAAUUGCACCAAGAAGUCAAACUUGUCAAGCUAUGUAUACAAAUAAGGUUAAUACCUGGAAAACUCUAAAUUGGUACUAAUAAAUUUCUCAAAACUAAUUUUUUGACCAUAAAAAGUCACAAACUUGUAUAUUUUUGAUAAAUUUAUCCUAAAUAACCACAUAAAACCUCAAAUUAGUAUAUUUAUGAUAAAUUUUUUCAACCGUCAAAAAUCUCAAAUUGGUACAUUUGUGAGAAAUAUAUCAUUUGUUAAAUUGAAUUAACACCACAAAAAAAAUCACAAAAAUUAUAUAAUUGUGACAAACGAAAAGUAAAAUCCCAAACUAGUAUACUGGUUAACUGUUACAUGUCAUCCAAUUUAGUAAAUUGACUGUAAAUUUUAACGGAAACUAACAAUGGAUAAAUUUGUCAUAAGUGUACUAGUUUGGGGUUAAUUUAUCAAAAGUGUACCAAGUUAGGAUUUUUUAUGGUCAAAAAGUUAGUUUGGGAUAAAUUUGUCACACAUAUACGAGUUUGGGGUUUUUAGGAUAUUAAUUCUAUAAAUAAAUUAGUAAUUCAUUCAGUAGAGAACAGUAACCACAUGCUUAGAGUUGUUGUCUUGACGUGGCAGAAAUCUCAAUGCACAAGAGAAUCCAAGACAAUACAUAUCCUGGUAGCAGAUAAUAUGCGAGGAAAUUUCAAUGUGGGAGUAAAGAAAAUAAAUUAAACCAAAUAUAAAUAUUCAACUGCUGUUAAAAUUUUAAUACACUUGAAAUGGAGAGAGACUCAUGAUGAGACUAUGACAUGGAUUUACCAGAGAAGAUGAAAAGUGGAGAGAGAGAGAGAGAGAGAGAGAGAGAGAGAGAGAGAGAGAGAGACACGGGGCUUCGUCCGAUCUAAGUCCAAAUUAAAAUAAGAUAUGAAUUGGCUAGAUCUGCUGGAAUAUUUAGUAGGCUGGUAACCAGUAAGGUCAUAUCCUUAUUUAAAACAACCUUACUCACUUAAAAUAUUUAUUUGAAACAACCAUAGCCACUUAGAUUCUUAUUUGAUAUAAGAUUCAUUUCAGACUCUUAUUUAAGAAAAUAAUGACACUUUAGAUCCUUAUUUGAUUUUUUUUUUUAAAUAACUAAUAACAUCGAGUGUCUCCAAUUGUGUUGAAAAUGCCAACAAAAAAAAAAGAGAGGAGAGAAUUUUCUUGCUUUUGCAUUGAAGCUGGGUGAGAGACGAAGCUUCGAGGAAGCUUUGCACCAAAAAGCCGCGCGUCCCGCAUUGGAAAUUUGUAUUUUCGUUAAAAUUAUUUUUGUGAAUAUAUUUUAGGAUUUAAAUAGUACACGGUUCGUUGUCAACGUUGGGUCAAUGAUUGACCUACUGUCAAUGCAUGCGCGAAGAAUUUACGUCUCAACCUCCUAAUGGGAAACUGCAAAGAAGUAUCUCAGAACGGGCGGUGUCGAGGAGGCGGACAGUCGCUUUCGCCCCCCUAAAACUGACCAUGUUUCUAGAGGCCGACCCGAGAUCUUUCCACACCAGACACGAUCAACAUUACAUAAUAUAAUUUACUGGAGUGUACAGAAAAAAACUUUAGACAAAUGCCACUUGAUUCCGGGGCCGUCAUUGGCGAAUGGGCGAGUGAUCUGGUUUUUAAAGCGGAGGCGAGGCCCCUUUCAGGCUUGUGACAGAUUUUAAGAGUUCAGAAUAGGUAAUUAAACCGGCCUAUUAUAGAAAGAACCCGUACCUAGGGACCCUAGGGACCCAUCUUUUCUCUUUUUUUGAAACUUCUAACUUUGAAUUUUUAUCAAACCUAAAUAAUGAAAUAUCAUAUUUCUAUUAAUAUUGAUGAAUUUUACAAAGUCAAAUCAGUUUUUGCUAAAAAAAAGCUUGCGUCUUAAAUCCUCUUAUUCCAAAAUAGUCAAUUCUAUCAUAGAACCGCUUUGAUGACAGCAUAAAAGCAGUUCUUGGGGGACCUCGACCCAUCGUUCACGGCGAAACUGGUCCGAGAGAAUCCGUGGAAAAUUUUGUGAAGAAGCAAAAGUGAUAAUGAAAAUGAAAUAAAGCUAAAAAAACAAAGAAAAACAAGGAGGAUGGGCAUCCUAACGUGGAAAAGUAGUCCCGCCAUUGCUUUUUAGCGUGAUUUUUAUGUUGUCGGCAAGAUGUUAGUCAAAAGAUUCCCUCAAGGAAAAGAUCACGACAAUGCCUUGUGGUAAGUACAAAUUUUUUAUCAUUGCUCCUUUGUCCCGUCUUUUCCCGUACCACGAAGAGUUUCUUUUCAAAGUUAAAUUUUAUGAAAAAUUUCUCACUUAUAUCCUAUCAAGCAAAUCAUUUAUAAAAUGAUGGCCUGAAGAAUCAUUUAUAAAGCAAACUGUCAUGAUAAUUUAGGAUCUGCAUUGUAACAUUUCUGUUUCUUUUAAUUUCUAUUCUUUUGUUCCCCGAAAAAAAAAAAAAAACAGAAAUCCGUUUGGUAAAACUUUUAUUUCCCGGAAUAAUUUCUCAAUUUUUUUUUGUUCCUAGGAAUAGUUUUGGAAUAGAAAUAAGAAACAAAAAAAAAAGUAGCUUUUAUCUUACUUUUACCAAAAAAAAAAAUAGUAACUUCUUGUUCUUGGGAAUAAUUUCUAGAAAUAAGCCAAAUUUUUUUUUUGUUCCUCUCUUGCUGCGGUCACCUCCCAUUACUCGGAGCCAUCGUCAACCGUUGCGGCCGCCGUCGACUACUACCGCCGCCCACCAGCCGCUGUCGUUCGUUGUCGCUGCCGCCUGCCAGCUAUCGUCAUCUAUUGUCGAUGCCGCCUGCUAGCUGUUGUCAUCUAUUGUCGCUGCCGUCCGUUGUCGCUUGCCGGCAGCGGCGACGGAUGGCGACAGCCGGCGGCGGAGGUGGUGGCGGAUGGCGUCGCCACCGCUUGCCGCCGCCGGUCGGCGAUAGGCGAUCUGUGAGCAAAAAUAAAAAAUGAAUAAAUACAAAAAAUAAAUUUUUUCGUACCAAACGUACUUCUAUUCUUUUUCUAUUUCAGGAGUAGAAAUUUUGUGUAGUUACUAAGGGUGCGCAUGGUAAACUUCCCCAGCCCAACAAUUUCUAUUCUUCUCUUCCCCAGAACAAAAAAAAGAAUAGAAACGUGUUUGAUAACGACAAGUUAGUUUUUUGUUCCCGGGAAUAAAAAGUUAGACCGAGAAUGGUUUUGAAAUAGAAAUGAGAAGUAAAAAAAAGUUGCUUCUUGUUCCCGGGAACAAGUUUAAGAAAUAAGUGAAUUUUUUUUUUCUUUUAUUCUUCUCUUGCUGACUGCCAUUGACCGCCCUUGACCGUCGCCCGCCAUGGCCCGUCGUCGCUGCUGCCGCUGUCGGCCGACCGCCGCCACCGCCAGAGGCCGACCGCUGCUGCCGCCGGCCGACCGCCGCCGCCGCCGGUGGCCAUUGGACGUCGCCACUGCCGCACGUCGCCGCCGCCGGACGACCGCCGCCACCGCCGGUCGACUGUUGCCGCAGCCGCCGGACGACCGUUGCCGCAGCCACCGGACGACCGCCGCCGCCGCCGGUCGCCGCACGUCGCUGUCGGCCGACCGUUGCCGUUGCCGUUGCCGUUGCCGUUGCCGUUGCCGCUGCCGCCGAACAACCGCCGCCGCCGCCGCCUCUACCGGCAAAAAAUAAAAAAACAAAUAAAUAUACAAAAGAAACUAUUUUUUACCAAACGCAUUUCUAUUCUUUUUCUAUUUCUAGAGUAAAAUUUUUGUGUAGUUACCAAAUGGGUUUUUUUACAUAGAAAUUGUUCCCCAGAAUAGAAAUAGAAAAAAGCUAUUUCUAAAAAAAAAAUUGUUCCCCGGCCUAGAAAUGUUACCAUGCGUAGCCUAAACACCUUCUUUUACUUAGAAAUUGUUUCAAAAGUAGAAAUAAAAAAUAACUAUUUUUGAAAAGAAACUUUUUCCCAGCUAAGAAGCAUUAUCAUGCGCACCCUUAUCCACCGGUUUGAUGACUAGUAGAAAAAACCAUUUCUUGUGGACCUCGACCCGUCAUUCAUGGCAAAGUGGCCCGAGGGAUUCUGAGGAAGACGCAAAGUGAUAAUGAAAAGAAAAUAAAAGCAUAAAAAGCAAAGAAAAAAAAAAGUGGGUCCUCUUAUCGUGGAAAAAUGACCCGCCAAUGCUUUUUAGCGUGCUUUUGUGCUGUCGCCAAGAUUUUAGUCAAAAGAUUCCCUCAACCGAAAAAUCAUGACAAGAAAUUAUUCAUUAUUGCUCUUGUGCCCCUUCUUUUUCUGUGCCUCGUUAAUCCUACCGCUCUUGUUCCGAUUACAAUUCAAUCACUCCUUAGAAAUAAAAAGAGUUAAUACCACAAAAAUCUCUAAAUUAAGGUAUAUAUAAUAAAUAUUACUAUAAAUUAACCUUUUGAUUAUGAAAAAUUCGAAACUAGUAAAUUUAUGAUGAAUUUAUUCUAAAGUACUUUUUUUACCAUGAAAACCCCAAACUGAUAUACAUACACAAAACUAAUUUUUUGACUUGUAAAAAUUUUAAACUAGUAUACUUGUAACAUAUUUGCCUUUUCGGAUAUUUUGCUGUCAAAUUAUUGAAUCAAUUUGGGGUUUUAUCCUCCAAUUAUCAUAGGUGUAUCGGUUUUGUGAUUUUUCAUGGUAUUAAUCCAAUUUAAUGCAGGGUAUAUUUAUCACAACUGUAUAAAUUUGAGAUUUUUUAUGGUCAAAAAAUUAGUUUAAAGUAAAUUUGUCAUAGGUGUACCUAUUUGGGGUUUUUCGUAGUUAAAAAUUAAUUUAAGAUAAAUUUGUCAUAUGUAUACCAAUUUGAGAGUUUUUCGUGACAUUAACCCAAAUACAAAUAAUGAAUGAACCUAAGUUAGAACUCGAACAUUGGCACAACUUGUUAUUGCUAGCUAGCCUGGCUUGGCAUGACACCUAACUAUGAGGGGUCGUGCCGAGCUCAAGCCCAAGAGGGUGUUGGUGUCUACUUUGGGAUUUUUAAUAACACAAGAAAAAGUUUGAGGUGUUGAUGUCACAAUGGUCAUAAUUGAAAGUUUUUGAUGGUAUAAACCAAAGUCAAAAUAGAUUCUCCAGCUUCAAGUUCCUACAUUUCGAUAUGUAUAUAUUCUUGUUGACAAAAUGCUUAAAAUAUUUAAGAACUCAUCAAACUUUUAGAUGUCAAGUAUUAACCAUCCUUAUAGUGGACCUAAAUCGUUGCAGAGUGCACCUCCAUAGUUGUGCCAACCAUUGAUUUGAAUGUGUCUAGUUGUUCUCCUCUUACUCAAGUUUCGUGGUGAUGGUCCAUUUGCACUUUAAGUCGUGGCUAGUAUAAAUGAUGAUCAAAUAGUACAUAGAAUCAUAUUCCUGGAGAUAUAGAAUCUUCUCCACUAACCAAUAUUCUAAAACGACGUUUGGCUUGCCUGAAGAUAUUAUUCUUAUUAUUUUAUCAACGAUCACUUAUGCCACAAAAUUAUGUCACUAAUGCGUAUCAAAGAUCAUAUAUAUUCUUCUUUUGUUUAUGCAAAGAAGUUCUUUGCUUUAGUUCUUCCCUUAGUUUCUCCUUCAAAUCCCAGAAGGAAAUAGUGUCUUCUCUCUUUUGCUCCUACUUUAUUCUUAAAAACAUGAAACAGCAAUGAAACUAUUAUGUAGUGCCAUUUUGUAGAUAUGGUAAGAUUUUCUUUUGUUAUGGUAAAAGAAAUGGUAAGCAAUGCCCAUAAAUGCCGCCAAAAUGUCGCCAAAAUGUAUCUUCUUGCAAAUCUUCGUCUAAAUCAGAAAUAGUAGUUUUAUAAGUCUUAGUUUGAGGGGUUUGCAUCUAAAGUCUUUGUAUAUGAAUUGAUCUACGGUGCUCACUCAUCAAAUCUAUAUAUGGACAUCAUCCAGUGAUAUCUAAAUUAACUUGAUAAAGUUGAAAGUUGAGGAUACUUUGUGAAAAAAUUGAGAUUUCUUGAUAUUAUAAUACAAAAAUGAAAGAUUAUAUUCCACAUGAUAAAGUUGAAAGUUCAUGACAUUUUUAAUAAUAAGUGGAAAGUUCAAGAUUCUCUAGAAGAUUAGGCUAAAGAGAUUUGGAAGAUUUAUUUUUCCGAAAAAUUAUUUUCUUAAAAGAAAAUGAGAAUUGUCUAGAUUUCCACGCUUGUAUAAUAUAAAUGUUCACAAAUCUAUUUAUGCACUGGCUAAAUGUUAAAUUAUGAUUUGGUCAUAUUACUUAAUAUCGAUUUCAGUAUACUUAUUAACGUUACUUGUAAAGAAACCAGAACUUUUUUUGUCAAACUUCAAAUGAUAAAGAGUGCAUUCUUACUGCGUAGAAUUUUACAUCUUUAUUUUUAACGGAAUUGAAAAUGAAAAAUCCACGUAUUGCUAGCAAUUUUAAUAUAAAAAACGCCAUUAAUUAGAAUGCAUUCAUGAAUCGGUGAAAGCACGUCAUCUUAUAAAUUCCCAUUGAGGAUCCAUGGAAAAUAUUGAAAUUGUGGUCUUGAAUCAUUUAUCAAACGCUGCUUGCCAAUAAAGAAAAGGAUUAAUAUCACAAAAAACUCUAAAUUUUGCAAAUUUAUUUUAAACUAAUUUUUUGACUUUAAAAAACCUCAAAUUGAUACACUUGUGAUAAAUUUACCCUUCAUUAAUUUCCAUUAUAUUUCACCAUUAAGUUACUGAGUUGGAUGACAUGUCACUUAAUGGAUGUACCGAUUUGAUAUGUGGUCCUUUGUGGUAUUUAUGCAAUUUAACAGAAAUUAACGGAAAGUAAAUUUGUCACAAAUUUACCAGUUUAAGAUUUUUUGGUCAAAAAUUAAUUUGGGGUAAAUUUAUCAUAUGUGCAAUGAUUUGGGGGUUUUUUAUAAUUAAAAAUUAAUUUGGGAUAAAUUUACAUAUGGGUACCAAUUUGAAGUUUUUUGUGGUAUUAAUCAUAAAGAAAAUCAUUUAUCAAAUUGUGGCCGGAAGAAUCAUUUAUCAAGCAAACUAUCAAAAUAAUCAACGACAUGGGGCGUCCCCAACCGUGUGGAAAAGACGAAAACAAACCAAAAAAAAAAAAAGUUUUUACGUCUCAGAUUCCUAGUGGGAAACCGUCAGAAGUAUCCCGCAACGAGCGGUGUCGAGAAGGAGGACGGUCCCUUUCGUCCCCCUAAAAUUGGCCGUGUUUCUAGAGGCCGACCCGAGAUUUUUUCACCCGAGACACGGUCGACCCGAGAUUUGUGCCCGUGACGGAUUCUAGGAGCUCAAAACUGGUGAUUAGACUAGCUUGUUAUAGAACAGCCUGGUACCUAAGGACCGAUAUUUUCCUUUUUUCUUGAAACCUCUUGAAAUUUUUAUCAAACCUAAUCUUCUAAAUAGUGAUGAUGGAUUAGAUAAUGAGAUAUCAGAUUUCCAUUAAUAUUGACAUUUUUUACAAAGUCAAAUCAAUUUUUGCUCCACAAAUUUUGUAUCUUUAGUCCUAUUGAUCCAGAAUAGUCGAUUCUAUAACAAAACCAAUUUGAUGACAGAAUAAAACCAUUUUUUGGGGGACCUGGACCGUUGUUCACUGCAAAACUGGUCCGACAAAAUCCGAGGAAAAUUUGGUCAAAAAGCAGAAGUUGCGAGGAGAAUUCAGCACUUAGCAUAAAUAUGGCAGCUUCUACGCAGCGAAGGCAAGAGUUAUAAGAACCACAACAGCGAGGGUGAAAGAGACGGAUAGAGAUGCGUAGGGACAAAGAGAAAGUGAAAAGCUCUUCUAGACAUUGAUGUGUUAUAAAAAAGUGACAAUAAAAUUUAGGGUUAAAUAUCCAUAAUACAUUUAUAAUAAAUCACUAAAAACCUCAAAUUAAUAUAUUUGUGAUAAAAUUAUCCUUCGUUAGUUUCUAUUAAAUUGGAUUACCAUAAAAAAAGUCACAAAUCGAUACACAUGUGAUAAACGAAGAGUAAAAUCCUAAAUUGAUACAAGUGUCUAUUGCCAUAUGUCAUUCAACUUAGCAAUUUAACACGGAUACUAACGGAGAAUAAAUUUGUUACAGGUGUAUAGUUUGGAGUUUUUUUUGGUAAAAAAAUUAGUUUUGAUAACUUUGUCACAGGUAAGCCAACUUGGGAUUUUUCAUGGUAUCACAUCAAUUAAUAAUCUCACUUGUAGUUCUUCAACUCAUUUAAAUUAUCCAAUUGAAUUCUCAGAUUUUUAACAUCUAAGUGUAUGGCCUAAGAUUUUAUAUUGUUAUGAUGACCAUCAUCCCAUUGCCAAAAAUAAUAAUAAUAAUAAGGGUUCCACCUAAAAUCAACCUUGGCGAAAUUUAAUAAUCUUAUUUGACUUUACUUUUACUUCUCCUAUUAAUCCACAAAAUGAAUUAUCAUUUAAAAAUUAAUUGGCAUUGACAUAAUUUAUAACCUUUUAUAAGAUACACCUCUACUUUAUAUUUUUCUACGUUUAUAAAUCUAUAAAUAUAUAUUAAAAUUUUGCAUCUAAAGAAAAUUAUUAGAGAUGGACUAUCCAAGGAAAAAUUAGAAAUAGAAAAUUCGUAUGAAGAAAAUAGGGAGAUCGUAAAGAGGGGAGGGGGACUGGAGAUGGAGAUGGAUUACACACAUUUGACUAGUAUAUGAGUUCCUUUGGGCCCAGUGAAAAAGAUUACAAGCAAGAUGAAGAAUAGAACCAUCCGAAUUUUUCUUGUUCAAAGAGCAAAAUUAAUCCUAAGACAAAGUUUAGUCCAAGUGUCUGGGAGUUGAACUUCCUUCAACCAAGCCCCUACUUGGAUCCAUACCUAGCUCGAAUCUUAUGCAGUUCCUUGAGGGCUUUGGCCACAUCCAUCCGAUCCUGCGGUAACUCCAUUGAGCACGCAACUCCAAUCCUUAGGAUGGAGACGACGCAUCCUCUCAUCCUCUCUAUGUCAUUCUCACUUUCUUCGUUAAUAAUGGCUGAGUCCACGAUCUCCAUCACCUGGGUUUGGCAAAACCACCUUGACAAAGUUGUGGAGAUUUAAAUGGUCCUUGAAAGUCUCUUCCGUGGGUCUCCUCCCAGUUAACAUUUCCAAUAAAAGAAUACCGUAGCUGUACAUAUCGCCUUGUGUGGAUACCAUAUCCCCCAUGCCAUACUCUAAAAUAGUGUACAUCAAGCAGUAUACAAUGAAAAUAAAUAUUUAAUAAGCAAACACAAAUAAAAAUUAGACAAUUAAUGAGAAAAUUUUCUUACCAGGAGGGACAUAACCUACAGAACCCUUCACAACCACUGAGCUACUGUUGUCAUCAAUGUCCAUGGCNNNNNNNNNNNNNNNNNNNNNNNNNNNNNNNNNNNNNNNNNNNNNNNNNNNNNNNNNNNNNNNNNNNNNNNNNNNNNNNNNNNNNNNNNNNNNNNNNNNNNNNNNNNNNNNNNNNNNNNNNNNNNNNNNNNNNNAUUCGAUUGCGGAAGGUCCGUCAAGGGCAAUGUUUAACCUUUGCAUUAGUCCCAAAUGCCCUGGCUUUCCAAGUUUCAGGUUCAUGCUCAAUGUCCUCUUUGUUUCCUAGGUGUAUCCCAUUUCUCUAAACUCCCAUUAGCCAUGUAUUCGUACAAUAGAGCUUUGAAAUCGUUGCCGUGGUAGUCCACGCUUGAACAAACAUUCACUAUUUUCACAAGAUUUCGGUGUCGUAUAGCCCCUAGGGUUCGACAUUCCGAGACAAAGCUCUUCGAAGCACCUAUGUGGCCCAAGUUGAGCACUUUAACUGCCAGCAAGCCGCCUUCUUGUGUGGUUGCUUUAUAAAUAGUACCAUAACUCCCUUUACCGAUCACAUUGAUCUUAGAGAAUCCAUCUGAGGCCUUAAAGAGCUCCUCAUAAGAGACCAUCGAAAAUUUGCGUCUAAAUGGAAAUUCAAUCGAAGAUGUAUUCUUUUUCAACUUCUUUCUUUGAUACCAAAAGAUAAAUAGGCAAAGACACAUAAUGAAGUAUGACAAGACAGCAGUCAUUGUGACGAUUACUCUAACUUUGUUGGUCCAUAAUGGUUUAGAGGUAUUUGAUUUGCAAGAAGGAAGGUUUAGUUCUGCAAUACCUCCACAAAGAUUCCUAUUCUCAAAGACAGACACUGCACUAGCAUUGAGAAAUACUCCCUGCUUCAGAACUUCUCCUUCAAGCUUGUUUGAAGAUAGAUUCAAGUACUUUAGAUUUGUAAGUUGAGCGAGAAAGCUCGGGAUUUCACCAGAUAAGUUGUUAUGGGAAACAUCCAACUCUUGUAAGCCUCGUAAUGUGCUUAAAGCCAGAGGAAUUUCGCCAUGAAAGGAAUUGAAUGCUAAGUUGAGCCGCCCCAAUACUAAGCACUGGCCGAUGGAGCUAGGAAUUGGUCCAAUCAGCUUAUUGUAAGAUAGAUCCAGUUCGUCAAUAUUGAUCAAGGACCCAACUUGAGACGGGAGAGAUCCACUCAACUGGUUAUGUGCUAAGCUGAAGAUAAUCGAAAUGGUAGAAAGGCCAAGAACUUCCCUUGGAAUUGAACCACUCAAAUUAUUAUUGGAAAGCUCAAGCUCGAUGAGUUGCCUAUAGUUACCAAGACUUUGCGGUAUUUCCCCGUAGAAGUUGUUGAAUGGCAAGUAAAAGCGAUUCAAUAAAGUCAAAUUGCCGAUUGAUGACGGAAUCUCUCCCGUUAGCAUGUUUCCUCUUAAGUACAAUUCGUGCAAGUUAUGGAGUGCUCCAAUACAAGAAGGAACAUGACCACCAAACGAAUUGUUUGAUAAAUCAAGAUAGGACAAAUUGAAGAGAUUGCCAAUACCUGGAGGAAUGGUUCCGUACAUUGUGUUGGACGACAUAGAAAUUACACUAACACUAUUGGAAAGAUUGCCAAUGGAAUCCGGCAAUAGACCUUCGAGAAAAUUGAGGUCCAAUGAAAUAAUUUCCAGCCUUGAACAAUUAGUCAAUGGGGUAAUGAAACUGAAGUCAUCUCGCAACUCGUUAGAGGUAAGGGAUAUUACUCUAAGAGCUUUCAGCCUUCCAAGAUUUGUGGGUAUCGGUCCAUGAAAACUAUUAUUGUCAUAGUAGACGUACUGAAGGCCAGAGGCAUUCGAUAAAGACGGAGGUAUAACCCCAGUAAAAAAAUUACUAAGAAAAUCAAGAAAAAAUAUAGAAGGAAGAGUAUCACCAAUAUAAGGGGGAAUGCUCCCUCUCAAUUGAUUGUUACUGACGAAGAAAUAUAAAAUGUUGGACAUGUUGAAGAUUGCUGGAGGGAUCUCGCCAGUGAGUUGGUUAUUCAUCAACUGAAAAAACAUCAAACCAUGAAGCUUGGACAAUGUCUUGGGAAUCUCUCCUUGCAACCCAUUUUUCCUAAGUGAAAGCUUGCAAAGUUGGGAGAGAUUUCCAAUAGAAUGAGGAAUAGAUCCUGCAAGAUUGUUUCUACUCAAACCUAAAACUUGAAGCUUUGAUAAAGAGCCAAGCUCAUCAGGAAUUGUGCCCAGAAGUUGGUUAUCGAUGAGAUAUAAAAUCUCAAGGUUUGAGCACUGAGAAAGAUUGGUGGGCAUUUGUCCACCAAAAGAGUUUUUACCAAGGACGAGACGACGAAGGCGAAACAAGUGGCCAAUGCUUUGUGGAAUUUCACCGCGAAAGCUAUUAUUCUGUAGAACAAGGCUUCUCAAGAAAGAGAGGAUUCCGACAUGAGGCGAUAGAAGACCCCCCAAGCCUUUCGACAUCAGGUUGAGGGACACAACUCUUUCGGGAUGCCGUCCACCACAUAUUACACCUUGCCACUCACAAUGAUGAAAAGAGUCAUUCCACGAGCUCAAAGCUCCAAGCUGAUCCUCAUCUACACUAUGUCUGAAGUAGAUUAAAGCAAGCCGAUCCGUCUGGUUGGUUUGCAUUGUUCGACUCAUCCAUAAAGGGAGCUGGGCAUAGAAAAAUAGGAACGUAAUCGCCAUAUGCUUUUCCAUUGUGAGUGGGUUCUAUGUCCUAACAAGCUGCAAGCAAAGUCUCUUCCGGAUUGAAUUAAUGAAGAAACGAAGACCUUCAAAAGCAUAUGCAUUUCCAUUGAUCAAAAGACACCUUUUUACACGGUGAAACCCGACCCAAAAUGCAAGUUUAACCCAAACAAAGAGUUGGACUUUAAAAGUAUUGCAAAUUCGCCGAACCAAAGAAAGGGCACACACACACUUCUGUCAAAAUGGAGGAUUUGAUAGCUGCCCAAUGACUUUCUGGAAAGGCGUGCCGUGAAGAAAGGAAAUCAAGAAUGGACGUGGUCCGCGAUUUUCAGCCAUUUCAAAGAGAGCUCUUAAAUGUUCGUGGGCAAAGCGUGUAAUUUGUGUUGUGAGUGUUUUACAUCCAAAUUGUUAAAACCUUGGGUUCAGGUUUAGUUUAGACAUGGAAACACUCGAGCAUAUUGAGUGAUUGCAAUUCAAAUUCUCCAAUUAUAGCAAAUUUUUAUUACUAGCUCUACCCAUAGAUAUAGGCACCAACACUCGGAUUGAAUCGCAUAAAUCUUUAAAUCUUUUAUUAUUCCUCGUUUAUUUUUUUGGUGAUUUUCCACUGACUUAAAUACAAAAUCCUUAUUAGCUUCCCCGUUCGUUAAUUUUUACGCAAGGGUUACUUUUCACCUGUAAUGAAAAGGAAAUAAAGAAAAAAAGCGAACAAGGAGAUGAUGGGUGGGUCAUCCUAAUGUGGAAAAUAAGUCCAGCCAAGGCUUUUUAGUAUUUUUUUUUUUAUGUUGCUGGCAAAAUUUUUAGUCAAAAGAUUCCCUGACUUCUCCCAUACUACAAAGAGUUUCUUUUCAAAGUUAAAUUUCUUGAAAGUUCGUCACUUAGAUCCUAUCACUCUUAUUCCGAUUACAAUUCAUCAUGCUAGAACCCCCGUGCCAUGCUUGAACCCAAGACUAAGAGGGCCGGUUUGUGUGGGCCAGCACAGCUCAAUUACUAUGCUUAGAUAGGGGUUUUAUAAAUAUACAUGUUAGGAAAAGCAAGAUGCUGAAAUUCAAGGCUGUUUGGCCAUUUGAAACCAAGGAGUUUGCAAAAUAAUGCACGAGUAUAUGAGUCAAAUUCAGAUUUUGUGGGAGAAGGGGAAUUUCGAUGUGCAAUUGCCGGUGUGGUACAGAAACUAAAGUUAUGGUCCUGGUAAUGAACAUAGAAUACGUGAUGCAAAGUACUUUGUUAGAAACUAAACAAAGAGAAAGAUAUUCUAGAAUUUGGUGAAGAAUUAAGAAUGUUAGCUCUGAUCUUGAAGUCAAGUUUCCCAUGCAAAAUCAACAGCGUUGUACAAUUGUGGCCGGCCGGCGAGCAUGAUGACCUCCACCAUGAGAAGUUUUCCAUUUCUUUUUCCCUUCUUUAAACUUUUCUUUUAGGUUCUCUAGAUUUGAUUACCAAAGCCAUUGCAGGAUAGUCUCGAAUAUUGGUAAGGCAUCAAUAGUGCUCGAUACUGUUGAAGGCUAAAGGAUUUCGAUGAACACCGAUUGAGUUUAGUCGAAGGCCCACUUGUGUAAAUAAAGAUGGUUCAACCCCUUCCACUAUAUGGAGGUAAAUUGCACACAACUUCUCUGAAUUUUGGGGUAAUACAAUUUUGCCUCCGAUUUUUCACUUGUUAUACAAUAAGGUCUGAACUUUUAUUUUGUUCAAGCAAUUAACUCUUCAUUAUAUUGUUAUUAGCAUGCACAUGCUUGUGAAUUUUAAGGGGAAAAAGUAUAAAUUUUGUCUCAUUCUUUUUCUAAGGAAGCCUCCUUUUCUAAAAGACUAAAAAAUAUAGAAAAUGGAAGAGAAAUAAAUUAACUAAAAUACUAAUAAUCAAAAUAAUAAAUAUCGAAAAUCAUAUUUAAUGAUAAGAAUUUUUCAAAAUUAAAUAAAUAUAGCCACCUUAAUAUAACUAAAAAAAAUAUUUUAAAAAAUAAAUACAAAUUCAUUAGAAUGGGAAAAAGGCAUCUAUAACUAAAAGACCAAAUAACAAGAAUUGCUUAAUCACUAUGUAUGUUUAAAGGGUAAAUUACUGUAAAAAUGAUUGAUUAACAAAAAUAUUUACAAGGAGGACGAUCAAUCCCUUGCAAAUCUAUCUCUUUUAAGAGGCAAUCUUUCAAGAAGAGCUUUUAGCAUCUUGAGUUCAACAAUGCCCUUUGCAUCGAGUUAUCCGAAAUUUUCUAAAUCAUUUUGGCUUUUAGAUAAGUUUUAAAGUUGGAACCUCCUCGGAUGCAACGGCACAUUUAACUUGCUUCAGUUUUGGCGCAGACACUAGUUUUUAGGUCCGCACCAUAUUGUGUAAAGAGGCAUAGCUUUCUUUGAGAAAGUUACUCCCACCGAAUUAUCUUAAAUAGUAACUUGUGCCAUUUUGAUGGUCCUACGUGUUUGCUUUUGUGAGUUCGGGCUUGUACUAAAUCUUUCCUUCUUAGACAGUUGUUUGCCUUAUAUUUCUUAUUCAAUUGUUGGACGCAUCAAAGAGCAACCAAAAGCAUCCGAUCCAUUAAUUAAACACAUGAACUCAUAUUCUAGUGGAGUUAUUCGCCAAAUUUACGAUAUGGACACCUUGAUGCGUUUGUAACUAUUUGGAUUGUGCCUCAAUUUUCAAUUUACGCUUUGCAUUUUUACUGCAGGAUUUCGAACAACCACCUUACCCUAAUUGAUUUGAUUAAUAUCAAAACACUGUAAGUGAGUCAGCUUCAUUACUAAACUAAGUAGAUCACCGAAUGAACAAGCAAUUCACCAACUCAAUCAAAGACCAGACAUGCUAGCAUUAUAAACCACGCAGAUGCCAUGGAGUAAUGCAUAACAUAUACUAAUCACUAGAGGUGAGAAAAUGGAUGAUGAACCCAUUUUGUAAUUCCGAUUCAAUGACCUGGGAAUAACAUGAAUUGUUAACUCUCUGUUAUAAAAAGGGAGGUCUAAAAUUUUUUUUUCUUUUUUUUUUCUUCAAGCCACUCUUAAUUGUGGUGCGACACAAAUAUGGACAUCACCUAUACUUAGUCCACUAAUCAGAGAUGUGAUCAGAAGAAAUCAAGAAUGGACCUCACUAAAAGAGUGCAACAUUUCAUGGCAAUAAUAUAAUAACAAUGAAAACAAUAAUAAAUAUAAUAAUUUGUACGCCCUUCAUGCGAUUGGUCGGCUAAAGGUGCUUUGAGUCAUGGUGUAAACCAAGAGUUCAUGUACUAGAUCUAAGAAGGAACUUCUGAUACCCUCAACAGUUUCAUCGUAUUUUUGCCAUUGGGUCUUCCUUUCGUAACACACGCACAGACGGAAGAAAAAAACAUCAUAAGCCAGAAAAACUUUCCGAGGAAUGCACUCGAACUAUUCGUUCUUAAAAAUAUUUAAACCUCUAGCAUCACAUUUAAAUUGUUUUAAUGCCUUAUCGAAAAAAUAAUAGUUAGUAUCUCUUAACAAAUCCCUCGAGUUAGCACAUGGAUUACAUAAUCCAUUGCAUAGAAAAUCCAUUAAAUAUGCUAUUCAGGAAUUUAAUUAUUGUAAUUAGCGUGUGAUAUCGCAUAUGGGUGGAUAAAGAGAUUAGCUAAGCUAAGCUCUCAGAAUAGAUCAGAGGGAUAAAUAAUUAACUUGAUGCUAUGGACUGCUUCGAUGUCUCCUUUUGCAUGUCCAGCUCCAGCCCGUUCCAGCCAUUUUAGUGGGUCUUUUGGAUCGAUGGUUUCAUCACUUUGUUCUUCGAUUAUAAAAUGGAAGUUUAGUGGAGUAAUGUGGGGAAAAGUACCAAAAUAGUCCUAAAUAUUUUAUAUUAGUACCAAUUUAAUCAUAAACUUUUUAAUUGGACCAAUUUAGUCAUAAACUUUUUCACAUUGAUACCAGUUCAGUCCAUCCAGCUAAUUUAAGCCAGAAAUUGCUAACAUGGCCGCUGGUGGUCUUAUGUGGCACCACGUGGACAAAUUUCAUAAUUUUUUAUAUUUUUUCAGAUUUUUUAAAUUAUUUUUUUCUUUUUUUUCUCUUUUUUUUUUUCCUUUUUCCUUAUCGUCGGCUGGCCGACCAUCGCCGGCCACAAGCUGGUUAGGGCGAGGGGUCCGCACCCUCGCUGGCCACUGGCGAAGGCUGCCGUGCCCUCAUCGGCCACAAGCGAGGGCGACGGCCCUUGCCUAGAUCCAAGCGAGGGCCGAAACCCUCACCCGCUGGCUAGUGAGGGCGCGGUAGCCCUCACUCGUGGUGGGCGAGGGUGCGGCGACCCUCGUCCAGAUCCAGGCGAGGGCCAUGGCGGCAUCGCCUGCUCAGGCGAGGCUCACGAUGCUAUCACCACGCUUAAUCCGGUGUGAGAUCGCGGACUUCCCCAUGCCAUUAUCCCUCCAGAAGCUACCCAAGCUCAUGAUGCCGACCACCUCCUUCAACCUCUGGGGGCUGCGAAGGCUUGGGUGACCAUGUCGCGAUCGGAGGCGACGGAGCUCCAGAUGCAGCAGACGCAACUCGCUUGGAUUUGGGCGAGGGCCGUUGCACCCUCGCCCGCCAUGAGCGAGGGCUGCUGUGCCCUCAUCGGCCAACGAGUGAGAGUUUCGGCCCUCACCUGGAUCUGGGCGGGGGCCGUUGCCCUCGCUUGUGGCCGGCAAGGGCGCAGCGGCCCUCGACAGUGGCCGGUGAGGGUGCGGGGCUCCUCGCCUCGACUAGCUUGUGAUUGGCGAUGGUCGGCUGGCCGGCGACCUCGCUGGCCAAGGGUAAGGAAAAAAGAAAAAAGAAAAGAGAAAAGAGAAGAAAAUGAAAAAAAGAAAAAAAUAAUUUAAAAAAAUCUGAAAAAAAAAUAUUUAAGGCACCACAUAAGACCACCGGCGGCCAUGUCAGCAAUUUCCAGCUUAAAUUAGCCAGAUGGACUGAAUUGGUACCAAUAUAAAAAGGUUUAGGACUACUUUGGUCCAAUUAAAAAAUUUAGGACUAAAUUGGUACCGAUAUAAAAGGUUUAUGACUAUUUUGGUACUUUUCCUGAGUAAUGUGUAACAAUUAAAAGUUUAGAAGGAAACUUGUAUUACCCCUUAAAUUAGGGUAAUUUUUGUGUAAUUUUCCCGUACAUUUAUUAUGUGAUGCCCAAUUUCUAAAAAAUUAUUCACAAGGUGAUAGGGUAGGGUGGAUUAAGAAAAUUAGGUGUAGAAAUAUGAGAAGCCAAACUUAUAUUCAAACCAAGCAUCUCAACUUUUCCAUCAAAGUCACCAAGGAACCACAUAAUAUAAGGUCCAUGAUUAGUGUGAACCCAUUACAAUGUUGGCCCAAUGAAAAUCGAUGGACAUCCAACUUCACAGCCUUGAGUAAGGACAUUCAUAAAAAUCACAAUUUCUUAGUCCUAGCCGCAUGGAACUGGUUUUCCCGCAAUGGAUCCAAACCUAUAGAACAGCAAACAUCUUUCAACAAACAACUCUCACCGGCGAAUGUUCUCUUACGAAUUUGUGUUAGCAAGGUAAGACUGUCACGUCAUUUCUCGAUAUCCCUCCCCACAACUUGAGUACACGUAAUUCCUUUACAUGAAAAUUAUUUUCGUCAAAAGGCGAGGGAUAAUACUCCCAAUGAAGCCAUUUUAACUUCUUCAUUGAGCCCUCAAAAUCUCCACUAGAAUGUGCCCCUUUGGCGGCAAGGAACCUUAGAUUCCUUAACUCGAAUUGUUCUCCCGCAAGAACAUUAUUGCCUUGGUCCAUUGUUCGGCCAAAGCCUUCUGAGUUGCCUUUGCUAAGAUAAAUGGCCUCAACCUUUUUUAUUCCCUAGAAGUAAGAAUCAAUGUUCAUUAACACUUAUUAUAUCAAUUAAAAUAAUCUAAUAUCAUUUCUUCAUACCUCUAUUAAUAUGCAUCAAUCUUUUAGAGAUUAGCAAAUUGAACAUUUGAUUCUUCCUUGGCCAAUAAACUGUAUUUAUAAAGGGUAACAAAGUGAAGGAUGUCUGCUUAGUUUGAAAUUGUCCUUAAGUGCUCGAAUAAAAAAAAAUUAAUGUAUUAUUUUUUGGGUUUUAUCUUUUUCUGAAUAAUAGUUUAUAGUUUCUUAAACAUAUUGUUGACGUACUUUUACACUUUGAUCUAGUGGCUGAAUGUAACUUCAUUUCAAUACUAGUUAGCAAUACAUGGCAUUUAAGUAAAUUACUCUGUAAAAUCGUAAGUUAAUUUGAUCAAAUAUUAAUAGAAAUAUAAUUUCUCUCUUGAUAAUUUUCAUAUUAGAUAUGCAAAUGAACUAUAGUCACAUAAGGACAUGAUUAUUGUAAGAAAUGUGAUAAUUGGGAAGAACAAACUUCUCUUAAAUUAAAGAAAAAAUAACCUUAUAAAGUCCUUUUUCUUUUCCCUUUUCUGAUGUAUACUUUUUGUGUAUAUUACUCGGCUUGCUACUUACAAUUAAUAUGACAUUUACUUGUUUUUGUUUUUCCAUUGGAUUCAUAACUAACUAUGAGUAACUAAACUUGUGAUAGUAGUUAUAUUAAUAUUUUCCAGUGUGAUUUUUAUUUUGUUAAUGGUUACUUUGAAUAUUAAUUCCUGAUUUUGAGAGAACAGCUAUUUCUAUUCCAUAGUAAUUCCUGAUUUCGAGAGAACAGCUAUUUCUAUUCCAAUUUUGAAUCGAUGGAAUGAAUAAUUGCUUCAUCAGAAACCUAGAUUUUUCUUUUUUUAUGGUAAAAGACAUGGUAAGUUAUCCCCAUAAACGCUGCCAAGAUUUUUCUUCUUGCGUGUCUUCGUCUAAAUUAUAAAUAGUAGUUUUAUAAGUCUUAGUUUGAGGGGUUUUGCAUCUAAAGUCUUUGGAUGCGAAUUGGUCUUCUGUACUCACUUAUCAACUCUAGAUAUGGACAUCCUCCUGUGAUAUCUAAAUUAACUUGAUAAAAUUGAAAGUUGAGGAUAAUCUGCAAGAAAAUUAAGAUUUCAUGACAUUUUAAGACACAAAUGAGAGAUUAUAUUCCACUUAUAAAAUUGGGAGUUCGUGACAUUUUUAAUGAUAAGUGGAAAGUACGAGACUCUCUAGAAUAUUAGGCUAAAGAGAUUUGGAAGAUUUAUUUUUCCAAAAAAAAAAAAAUUAAAAGAAAAUGAGAAUAAUCUAGAUUUCCACACUUGUACAAUAUUUAUGUUCAUAAAUCAUGUUAAACUAUGAUUUGGCCAUAUUAGUUAAUAUAGAUUUUAGUAUACUUAUUAACGUUACUCGUAAAUAAACCAUUGACUUUUUUUUUUGUCAAACUUCAAAAGAUGGGGAGUGCAUUCUUACUGCGUAGAAUUUUACAUCUUUUUUGAACAGAAUUGAAAAAGAAAAAUCCACAUAUUGCUAGCAAUUUUAAUAAAGAGCACCGUUAAUUAGAAUAUUUUACAUGAAACGGUGAAAGUACGUCAUCUUACAAAUUCCCAUCGGGGAUCCAUGGAAGAUAUUGAAAUUGUAGUCUUGAAUCAUUUAGCAAACGUUGCUGGCCAAUAAAGAAAAGGAUUAAUAUCACAAAAAACUCUAAAUUAAUACAAAUUUAUUUUAAACUAAUUUUUUGACUUCAAAAAACCUCAAAUUGAUACAUCUAUGAUAAACUUACCUUUCAUUAGUUUCUAUUAAAUUUCACCGUUAAGUUACUCAGUUGAAUGACAUGUCAGUUAACGGAUGUACCAAUUUGAUCAGUGGUCUUUUGUGGUAUUAAUUCAAUUUAAUGGAAACUAACGGAGAGUAAAUUGAUCACAAAAAUACCAGUGCAAGAUUUUUUGGUCGAAAAUUAAUUUGAGGUAAAUUUAUCAUAUGUGCACUGAUUUGGGGUUUUUAUAAUUAAAAAUUAAUUUGGAGUAAAUUUACAUAUGGGUAUUAAUUUGAAGUUUCUUGUGGUAUUAAUCCUAAAGAAACUCAUUUAUCAAAUUGUGGCUAGAAGAAUCAUUUAUCAAGCAAACUAUCAAAAUAAUCAAUGACAUGGAGCGUCCCCAACCGCAUGGAAAAAACGAAAACAAACAAAAAAAAAAAAAGGAGGAGGAUUUUCCUGCUUUCACAUCGAAGCUGGGUGGGAGAUGAAGCUUCGAGGAAGUUUCGCGCCAAACUGUUGUGCGUCCCGUAUUGGAAAUUUGUCUCUUCAUUUACAAUGUAUUUUUGUGAAUAUAUUUUUGGAUGUAAAAAAUACACGGUUCAUUGUCGUGGGUGGGUCAAUGAUUGAACUCGUGUAAAUCCAUGCGCGAAGUAUUUACGUCUCAGAUUGCUAGUGGGAAACCGUUAGAAGUAUCUCGGAACGGGCAGGUCGAGGAGGAGGACGGUCCCUUUCGUCCCCCUAAAACUGGUCGUGUUUCUAGAGGCCAACCUGAGAUUUUUCACCCGAGACACGGUCGACACGACAUACUGUAAUUGAUAGGAGUGUACAGUGAAAACCAUAGACAAAUGCCACUUGAUUCCAAGGGCAUGCCUGGCAAAUUGGCGAGAGAUCCGGUUUCUGAAGUGGAGAUGAGACCCUUUUGUGCCCGUGACGGAUUCUAGGAGCUCAAAACUAAUGAUUAGACCAGCUUGUUAUAGAACGGACUGGCACCUAAGGACUGAUGUUUUCAUUUUUUCUUGAAACUUCUAACUUGAAAUUUUUAUCAAACCUAAUCUUCUAAAUAGUGAUGAAGGAUUAGAUAAUGAGAUAUCAAAUUUCCAUUAAUAUUGAUGAAUUUUACAAAGUCAACUCAAUUUUUGCUCCACAAAGGUUGUAUCUUUAGUCCUAUUGAUCCAAAAUAGUCGAUUCUACCACAGAACCGAUUUGAUGACAGCAUAAAACUAUUUUUUGGGGGACCUUGACCGUCGUUCACUGUGAAACUGGUCCGACAGAAUCUAAGGAAAAUUUGGUGAAGAAGCAAAAGUUGUGAGGAGAAUUAGGCACUCAGCAUAAAUAUGGCAGCUGCUUCGGAGGCGAAGGCAAGAGUUAUAAGAACCGCAACAACGAGGCGGAAGAGACAGACAGAGACGCGCAAGGACGAAGAGAAACUGAAAAGCUCUUCUAAAUGUUGAUGCGUUAUAAAAAAAAAGUGAUAAUAAAAUUUAGGGUUAAAUAUCACGAAAAAUUUCAUAACACAUUUAUAAUAAAUCACAAAAGACCUCAAAUUAAUAUAUUUGUGAUAAAUUUAUCAUCUGUUAGUAUUUUUUUUUUGAUGACCCGGGAACCCCCGUACAGCUGGCAGCCGGCGAGGUAAACCCGGGGUGACGCUAGCGGAUGACCCACCACCCCGACGUCACACUUAAGAUCCCGUGUGGCCAGCGGGAUUCGAACUCCUCUCCUCUUCGCAAAGGAUCAUGGGAGCCUUAUCCAACUGGGCCACCACAGGCGGUGGUAUCAUCUGUUAGUUUUUGUUAUCACAAAAAGUCACAAACUAAUACACAUGUAACAACGGAAGGUAAAAUUCCAAAUUGGUACAAGUGUCUAUUGCCACAUGUCAUUCAACUUAGCAACUUCACACAAAUACUAACGGAGAAUAAAUUUUUAUAGGUGUAUAGUUUGAAGUUUUCUGUGAUAAAAAAAUUAGUUUGGAUAAAUUUGUCACAAGUAAACCAAAAUUAUGGUAUUAAAUCAAUUAAUAAUCUCACUUGUAGUUCUUCAACUCAUUUAAAUUAUCCAAUUGAAUUCUCAGAUUUUUAACAUCUAAGUGUACAACCUAAGAUUUUAUAUUGUCUAAAUGACCAUCAUCCCAUUGCCAAAAAAGAAAAAGAAAAAGGCCACCACCUAAAAUCAACCUUGGCGAAAUUUAAUAAUCUUAUUUGACUUUACUUUUACUUCUCCCAUUAAUCCACAAUAUGAAUGAUCAUUUAAAAAUUAAUUGGCAUUGACGUAUUACCUUUUAUAAGAUACACCUCCACUUUAUAUUAUUCUACAUUUGUAAAUCUAUAAAUAUACAUUGAAAUUUUGCAUCUAAAGAAAAUUAUUAGAGAUGGACUAUCCGAGGAAAAAUUACAAACAGAAAAUUCAUAUAAAGAAAAUAGGGAGAUCGUAAAGAGGGGAGGGGGGAAUGGAGAUGGAGAUGGAUUACGUACAUUUGACUAGUAUAUGAGUUCGGCUUUGGGCCAAGUGGAAAAGAGCUACAACCAAGAUGAAAAAUAGAACCAUCCGAAUUUUUCUUUUUCAAAGAGCAAAAUUAAUCCUAAGACAAAGUUUAGUCCAAGUGUCUAGGAGCUGAACUUUCUUCAACCAAGUCCCUACUUGGAUCCAUACCUAGCCCGGAUCUUAUGCAAUUCCUUGAGGGCUUCGACCACGUUCAUCCGAUCCUGCGGUAACUCCAUCGAGCACGCAACUCCAAUCCUUAGGAUGGAGGAAACACAUUCUCUCAUCCUCUCAAUGUCAUUCUCACCUUCUCUGUUAAAAAUGGCCGAGUCCACGAGCUCCAUCACUCGAUCUGGUAGAGCCACCUCGACAAAGUUGUGGAGAUUUAAAUAGUCCUUGAAAGUCUCUUCUGUGGGUCUUCUCCCAGUUAACAUUUCCAAUAAAAGAAUACCAUAGCUGUACAUAUCGCCUUGUGUGGAUACCAUAUCCCCCAUGCCAUACUCUAAAAUAGUGUACAUCAAGUAGUAUACAAUGAAAAUAAAUAUUUUAUCUAACAGUCAACACAAAUAAAACUUAGAUAAUUAAUGAGAAAAUUUUCUUACCAGGAGGAACAUAACCUAUCGAACCCCUCACUACCACUGAGCUAUUGCCGUUGUCAAUGUCUAUGGCAUCUAUUUUCACGGCAGAGCUAAUUGUUGCCAGCCCAAAAUCCCCAACUCGUCCCAUCAUCUCGUUGUCCAAAAGAACGUUACUUGGCUUCAAAUCUCCAUGUACAAUCUUUGGGCUACAAGCCUUGUGAAGAUAUUCGAUUGCGGAAGCUAUGUCAAUAGCAAUGUCUAACCUUUGCAUUAGUCCCAAAUGCCUUGGCUUUCCAUGUUCAUGUUCAUGCUCAACAUUCUCUUCGUUUCCUUGGUGUAUCCAAUUCUCUAAACUCCCAUUAGCCAUGUAUUCGUACAAUAGAGCUUUGAAAUCAUUGCCGUGAUAGUCUAUGCUUGAACAAACAUUCACUAUUUUCACGAGAUUUCGGUGUCGUAUAGCCCCUAAGGUUCGACACUCUGAGACAAAGCUCUUCGAAGCACCUCUAUGGCCCAAGUUGAGCACUUUAACCGCCAGCAAGUCGCCUUCCUGUGUGGUUGCUUUAUAGACAGUACCAUAUCUCCCUUUACCAAUCACAUUGAUCUCAGAGAAUCCGUCUGAGGCUCUAAAGAGCUCCCCAUAAGAGACCAGCAAAAAUUUGUGUUUAAACAGAAAUUCAAUCGAAGAGGUAUUCCUUUUCAACUUCUUUCUCCGAUACCAAAAGAUAAACAGGCAAAGACACGGAAUGAAGCUUGACAAGAUGGCCGCCACUAUGGCGAUUACUUUAACUUUAUUGGUCCAUAAUGAUUUAGAGGUAUUGGAUUUGCAAAAAGGAAGGUUUAGUUCUACAAUACCUCCACAGAGAUUCCUAUUCUCAAAUACGGACACUACACUAGCAUUGAGAAAUACUCCUUGCUUCGGAACUUCUCCUUCAAGCUUGUUUAAAGAUAGAUUCAAGUACUUUAGAUCUGUAAGUUGACCGAGAAAGCUCGGGAUUUCACCAGAUAAGUUGUUAUGGGAAAUAUCCAACUCUUGUAAGCCUCGUAAUGUGCUUAAAGCCAAAGGAAUUUCGCCAUGAAAGGAAUUGAAUGCUAAGUUGAGCCGCCCCAAUACUAAGCACUUGCCAAUGGAGAUAGGAAUUGGUCCAAUCAGCUUAUUGUAAGAUAGAUCCAGUUCAUCAACAUUGAUCAAGGACCCAACUUGAGACGGGAGAGAUCCGCUCAACUGGUUAUGUGCCAAGCUAAAGAUAAUCGAAAUGGUAUAAAGGCCAAAAACCUCAAUUGGGAUUGAACCACUCAGAUUAUUAUUGGAAAGCUCAAGCUCGAUGAGCUGCCUGUAGUUACCAAGAGUUUGCGGUAUUUCCCCGUAGAAGUCGUUGAACGGUAGGUCAAAGCGAUUCAAUAAAGUCAAAUUUCCGAUUGAUGACGGAAUCUCUCCCGUUAGCAUGUUUCUGCUUAAGUACAAUUCGUGCAAGUUAUGGAGUGCUCCAAUACAAGAAGGAACAUGACCACCAAGUGAAUUGUUUGAUAAAUCAAGAUAGGACAAAUUGAAGAGAUUGCCAAUACCUGGAGGAAUGGUUCCGUACAUUGUGUUGGACGGCAUAGAAAUUGAACUAACGCUAUUGGAAAGAUUGCCAAUGGAAUUCGGCAAUAGACCUUCAAGAAAAUUGAGGUCCAAUGAAAUAAUUUCUAGCCUUGAACAAUUAGUCAAUGGGGUAAUGAAACUGAAGUCAUCUCGCAACUCGUUAGAGGUAAGGGAUAUUACUCUAAGAGCUUUUAGCCUUCCAAGAUUUGUGGGUAUCGGUCCAUGAAAACUAUUAUCGUCAUAGUAGACGUACUGAAGGUCAGAGGCAUUCGAUAAAGACGGAGGUAUAACCCCAGUAAAAAAAUUACUAAGAAAAUCAAGAAAAAAUAUAGAAGCAAGAGUAUCACCAAUAUAAGGGGGAAUGCUCCCUCUCAAUUGAUUGUUACUGACGCAGAAAUAUAAAAUGUUGGACAUGUUGAAGAUUGCUGGAGGGAUCUCGCCAGUGAGUUGGUUAUUCAUCAACUGAAAAAACGUCAAACCAUGAAGCUUGGACAAUGUCUUGGGAAUCUCUCCUUGCAACCCAUUUUUCCUGAGUGAAAGCUUGCAAAGUUGGGAUAGAUUUCCAAUAGAAUGAGGAAUAGAUCCUGCAAGACUGUUUCUACUCAAACCUAAAACUUGAAGCUUUGAUAAAGAGCCAAGCUCAUCAGGAAUUUUGCCCAGAAGUUGGUUAUUGAUGAGAUAUAAGAUCUCAAGGUUUGAGCACUGAGAAAGAUUGGUGGGCAUUUGUCCACCGAAAGAGUUUUUACCAAGGACGAGACGACGAAGGCGAAACAAGUGGCCAAUGCUUUGUGGAAUUUCACCGCGAAAGCUAUUAUUCCGUAGAACAAGGCUUCUCAAGAAAGAGAGGUUUCCGACAUGAGGCGAUAGAAGACCCCCCAAGCCUUUCGACAUCAGGUUGAGGGACACGACUCUUUCGGGAUGCCGUCCACCACAUAUUACACCUUGCCACUCACAAUGAUGAAAAGAGUCAUUCCACGAGCUCAAAGCUCCAAGCGGAUCCUCAUCCACACUGUGUCUGAAGUAGAUUAAAGCGAGCCGAUCCGUUUGGUUGGUUUGCAUUGUUCGACUCAUCCAUAAUGGGAGCUGGGCAUAGAAAAAUAGGAACGUAAUCGCCAUAUGCUUUUCCAUUGUGAGUGGGUUCUAUGUCCUAACAAGCUGCAAGCAAAGUCUCUUCCAGAUUGAAUUAAAGAAGAAACGAAGACCUUCAAAAGCAUAUGCAUUUCCAUCGAUCAAAAGACACCUUUUUACACGGUGAAACCCGACCCAAAAUGCAAGUUUAACCAAAACAAAGAGUUGGACUUUAAAAGUACUGCAGAUUCGCCGAACCAAAGAAAGGGGACACACACACUUCCGUCAAAAUGGAGGAUUUGACAGCUGCCCAAUGACUUUCUGGAAAGGCAUGCCGUGAAGAAAGGAAAUCAAGAAUGGACGUGGUCCCCGAUUUUCGGCCAUUUCAAAGAGAGCUCUUAAAUGUUCGUGGGCAAAGCGUGUAAUUUGUGAUGUGAGUGUUUUACAUCCAAAUUGUUAAAACCUUGGGUUCAGGUUUAGUUUAGACAUGGAAACACUUGAGCAUAUUGAGUGAUUGCAAUUCAAAUUCUCCAAUUAUAGCAAAUUUUUAUUACUAGCUCUACCCAUAGAUAUAGGUGCCAACACUGGGACUGAAUCGCAUAAAUCUUUGAAUCUUUUAUUAUUCCUCGUUUAUUUUUUUGGUGAUUUUCCACUGACUUAAAUACAAAAUCCUUAUUAGCUUCCCGUUCGUUAAUUUUUACACGAGGGUUACUUCUCACCUCUAAUGAAAAGGAAAUAAAGCAACAACGCGAACAAGGAGAUGAUGGGUGGGUCAUCCUAAUGUGGAAAAUAAGUCCCGCCAAUGCUUUUUAGCAUUUUGUUUUAUGUUGCUAGCAAGAUUUUUAGUCAAAAGAUUCCUUGACUUCUCCCGUACUACAAAGAGUUUCUUUCCAAAGUUAAAUUUCUUGAAAGUUCGUCACUUAAAUCCUAUCACUCUUGUUCCGAUUACAAUUCAUCAGGCUAGAACCCCCGUGCCAUGCUUGAACCCAAGGCUAAGAGGGCCGGUUUGUGUGGGCCAACACAGCUCAAUUACUAUGCUUAGAUAGGGGUUUUAUAAAUAUACAUGUUAGGAAAAGCAAGAUGCUGAAUUUCAAGUCUGUUUGGCCGUUUGAAAACAAAGAGUUUGCAAAAUAUUGCACGAGUAUAUGAGUCAAAUUUAGAUUUUGUGGGAGAAGGGGAAUUUCAAUGUGCAAUUGCUGGUGUGAUAUAGAAACUCAAGUUAUGGUCCUGGUAAUGAACAAAGAAUAUGCGAUGCAAAGUACUUUGUUAGAAACUAAACAGAGAGAGUUAUUCUAGAAUUUGGUGGAGAAUUAAGAAUGUUAGCUCUGAUCUUGAAGUCAAGUUUCCCGUGGAAAAUCAACAACGUUGUACAAUCGUGGCCGGUGAGCAUGAUGACCUCCAUCAUGAGAAGUUUUCCAUUUCUUUUUCCCUUCUUUGAACUUUUCUUUUUAGGUUCUCUCGAUUUGAUUACCAAAGCCAUCGCAGGACAGUCUCGAAUAUGUAAACUAAGGCAAGGCAUCAAUAGUGCUCGACACUGUUGAAGGCCAAGGGAUUUGGAUGAACACUGAUUGAGUUUAGUCGAAGGCCUACUUGUGUAAAUAAAGAUGGUUCAACCCCUUCCACUAUAUGGGGGUAAAUUAUGCACAACCUCUCUGAAUUUUGGGUUAACACAAAUUUGCCUCCGAUUUUUCACUUGUUAUACAAUAACGUCUGAACUUUUGUUUUGUUCAAGCAAUUAACUCUUCAUUAUAUUGUUAUUAGCAUGCACAUGCUUGUGAAUUUUGAGGGGUAAAAGUAUAAAUUUUAUCUCAUUCUUUUUCUAAGGAAGCCUCUUUUUCUAAAAGAUUGAAAAAUAUAGAAAAUGGAAGAGAAAUAAAUUAUCUAAAAUACUAAUAAUCAAAGUAAUAAAUAUUGAUAAUCAUAUUUAAUGAUGAGAAUUUUUCAAAAUUAAAUAAAUAUAGCCACCUUAAUAGUACUAAAUAAGAAAUUUUAAAAAAUAAAUGCAAAUUCAUUAGAAUGGGAAAAAGGCAUCUAUACCUAAAAGAUCAAAUAACAAGAAUUGCUUAAUCACUAUGUAUGUUUAAAGGGUAAAAUAUUUACAAGGAGGAUGAUGAAUCCCUUGCAAAACUAUCUCCCUAUGAGGCAAUUUUUCAAGAAGAGCUUUUAGCAUCUUCAAGAAGAGCUUUUAGCAUCUUGAGUUAAAAAAUUAUUGAAAUAUAUAAUGCACGAAAAAGACAAGAUCUUGCAAUUUAUAUCAACACAAAAUUACUAGAGAAAUAAACGAUUAAUAAUAAGGAUACUAGAAAUUUAUGUGGUUCGGUUCGAGUAUCGGUAUCUACGUCUAUGGGAAGAACCAGUAGCAAAUAAUCCACUAUAAUCGAAGAAUCAGAGUUUACAACCGUUCACACGCUCGAGUGUUUCCCACACCUAAAUUUAAGCCAAAAGCGAAAGUGUUUAUAAAUAAACAAUUCACUUGGACAUAAACUCAUGGCACAAAAUUACCAUGCAUUCAAGCUCAAAGUAAAAUGCUCUACGUAUGCCAAAACAAGAACUAGGUGUGUGUCUCUUCUCCACGUACAUAUAGCUUAGCGUUCUCUACCCCUUCAAGGCUUGUUCGACGUGUGGACAUGUGGACGUGGGGCUCUUUUUUCUUUCGUAGGGCUUCUCUUCUUUUUUCCGCUAAAGAGCACGACUUUUAUAUUGUGUGCCCAUGGUCAAAACUUUGACUCUAGGCCCCACCUUGGAUUCUUUUCUUCAAUAUGGAUUCUUCUUCUACCUUCUUCUGCACGUACAAAAAAAGAUAGAAAACUCUCACCUUUUUUUUUAUCUUUAUUUUAUUUCCUUCUUUGUGCAGCUAUAAGGAGUCCAACAAAAGAAUGACUUUUUCUUCCAAUUUGAAAUCUACUUGAGAAAGCUUUUUCAAUUAAUUCGAUUUAACAAAUCAUUAUCCGAAUUCAAACUUAAGACAUUAAUUUAACAAUUUCCACAUUGGCUUAAUGUUUGAAAUUAAGUUAUAAUGUUCAUCAUCCAUGUCGCUCUCCCAAUACCUUGAGGGGCAUUCACUCUCCACAGACGCUAAUAGUUAUCAAGCAGAGCUUGAGCUUCGCCAAAAGAACAGACUUAGUCAUUAUGUCUGCCGGGUUAUCUGUUAUAGCAAUUUUUUUGACAAUAACAUUACUUUUAGCUAAGACAUCUCAGAUGAAGUGGUAUCUGAUGUUGAUAUGCUUUGUUCGCUCGUGAUAAACUGAAUUAUAUGCCAAAUAUAUCGCACUUUAAUUAUCAUAGUACAUAUCCAUAUUUUUAUUUUAAACCAAAGUCCGAGAGCAAACUUCGUAACCAUAUCACCUCCUUCGCUACAAAGGUUAGUGCCAUGUAUUCUGCCUUAGUCGAAGACAAGGCAACGUGAUCCUAUAAGGACGUUUUCCAACUAACUAUACCACCUGUUAAUGUAAACACAUAUCCUAGUAAAGACCUGCAAUCAUUCAAGUCACUGGCGUGAUUCGAAUCCACAAAACUAGUAGUCUCACUGCCAUUGAUGUCCAUCUGAUACACCAUACCUACCUUUGUUGUCCCUUUCAAAUAUCUGAGGAUCCAUUUCAUAGUUUCCCAAUGAGCUUUACUAGAAUGCUUCAUAUAGCGACUAACCACGCUUACAACUUGUGAAAUAUAUGGCCUAGUAUAUACAAUAGCAUACAUAAUACUACUCACGGCACUAGAAUAAGAAACACGGGACAUAUGCUCCUCAUCUUCCUCAAUCUACGGUGAUAAUUUAUUUGAAUGUAUAAAGUAUUUCGCUAAAGGUGUACUUACAAAUUUUGCCAACUGCAUAUUAAAACGUGCCAUGAUCUUCUCAAUAUAUUUCUUCUAAGAUAAAUGUAAAACUUUUACAGCCCUGUCAUGCAAAAUCUCCAUACCCAAUAUUUUAUUUGCAGCACCUAAAUCUUUCAUCUCAAAUUUAGUAUUUAAUUGCUUCUUCAACAAAUCAAUAUCAGACAUACUCUUAACUGCUAUCAACAUAUCAUCAACAUAUAAGAAUAAAUAAAUCAAAGACCAUCCUCCAAUCUCCUAAAGUAAAUGUAACUAUCUAUCUGACUUUUCGAGUAGUCUUGACUAGCCAUGAAAGCAUCAAAAUGCUUAUAUCACUAUCUAGAAGACUGUUUUAGCCCAUACAAAGAUUUCUUCAACAAGAAAACAUGAUCUUCCUUACCUAGAAUAGCAAAUCCCUCUAGCUGCCUCAUAUAAAUUUACUCAUUCAACUCAUCGUAAAGAAACACAGUUUUCACAUCUAGCUACUCUAACUCAAGAUCCUACAAAACAACUAAAGCAAGUAAAACAUGAAUUGAAGCAUGUCUUACCACAUGAGAGAACACAUCAUUGUAGUCAAUGCCCUCACGCUAUGUAUAUUCCUUCGCCAUAAGUCUCGCCUUAUACCUCGCUGCCUCAACAAUAGGAAUGCCCUCUUUCCGUUUAAAGACCCAUUUACUUCCGACAAUCUUCUAACUCUUGGGUACUUUAACUAACUCCCAUGUGUGAUUUCGAUGGAGUGAUUCUAUCUCUUCACUCAUAGCCCCUAGCCAUUGCGACGACUCAGAGCUAGCCAUCGCCUCAAAGUAAGACGAAGGCUCAUCUGUCUCCAGCUCAUCACCUACAUUCAAUGCAUAAGCAAUAUCUAUAUAACCAUAACAUACUGGUGAUUUAAUUUGCAUUCUCUAUCUAUCUACAACUAUAGUGUGAUGUGGCUUUGCCGAUUGUUCACUAUCAUUGCCUUCAGGAAUUGUGGCCUCAUCUGCAGUCUCAACUUUUAUUAUCUUAGAGGUCUCCGAAGUCUCCACCUGAAACUUCACCUUACUAAUGACACCAUGAUCUGUCUGUUCUACUGGUUGUGUCUUAGAACUUCUCUAUUGAAGCAUUGUAAUCUCAUCGAAUAUCACAUUUCUGCUUAUUAGAAAAUCGGGUGAUCUGGGAUCGGUGCACCAUAGUUGGUAGCCUUUCACCCCAUGGGCAUAAUUCGGAAAUAUGUACUUCUUCGCACUCGACCCAAGCUUAUCAUCACUCACAUGAGCAUACGCAGGACAUCUGAAUAUACAUAAUCUGGAGUAAUUAAUAGGUUUCCCUAACUAUACUUCCUCAGGAGUCUUCCAUUCGAUAGUAGAUAAUGGAGAUCGAUCAACCAGGUAACACGCCAUGUUUACCGCUUCGGCCCAAAAUUCCUUGCUAAGUCCUACAUGCAAAAGCAUGCAUCGAGCUCAUUUAGGAAAAAUUCUACUCUUUUGUUCUGCCACGCCAUUUUGCUGUAGUGUUCUAGGUAUUGUGCGAUGUCUUACAAUCCAUUCUUUUCGUAGAACUCAAUAAAAUCUUUAUCAUAAAACUCCAUGCCAUUAUCAUUUCUCAAGCACUUGAUUUGUUUAUCUGACUACUUCUCAAUCAGUCCCUUAAAUUUCUUGAACCAAUCGAACACUUCAUAUUUGCGCUUCAGAAAGUAUACUCAUACCUUCCUCAAAUAAUCAUCGAUAAAUAUUAGCAUAUAUCAGGUACCUCCUUUAGAAGGAACUGAAGACAAGCCCAAGACAUGUGAAUGAAUGUAUUCAACUAGUUGUUUAAUCGAAUGAACAGCUAUAGUAAACUUAACUCGGCGCUGUUUCCCAAAGAUUCAAUACUCACAUAAGUCCAGCUUCCUUAUCUUUUGACCCUUCAACAACCCUUUGUCAUACCUGCCUUGCUCAUGUGCCAUAAACGCAUAUGCCAUAAUUGAGUCAUGUCAAAAUCUGACUCACCUGAUGAAACUGCAACGGUUCUGGUUACGGUCUCUCCCAGUAGAUGAUAGAGAGUAUUUACUUUCUUCCCCUUCAUCACCGUCAUGACACCUCAAGAUUUUCAGUAUUCCAUCUCCAGCGAUGUAUCUACACCUGAUCUCAUUGAGUGUCCCUAGAGAAAUAAGAUUUUUCUUGAGCUCCAGUACAUGCCUCACAUCUAUCAAUGUAUGCACCACCCUAUCGUGCAUUUGAAUCCGAAUUAUCCUUAUUCCUACAGCCUUACAGGCUACAUUAUUUCCUAAAAGAAUGAUACCACCAUCUAUAGUCUAAUAAGUAGUAAACCAAUUUUUAUGAGGUGUUAUAUGAUAAGAACACCCUAAAUCUAGCACCCAUUCAUCUCUUGACGAAGUAGUAGUCACACAUAAAAUAGCUUUUGUAUUACUAGUGCUCCCCUUAGCAACAUUUGUCACAUUACUUGUAGCAUUCUGCCUAUCACCUUUAUUCCUCUGCUUUGGACAAUCUUUCCUGAUGUGCCCCUGCUCAUGAUACUUAAAGCACUUGAAAUAGCUAGUACGAGUACCUAGAGGGGGGGUGAAUAGGUAUACAAAAGUUUUUCUCGAAGCUUGCACGAUAUUUAAACAAUUAAAGAAUUUGCAACAGUUAAAAAUUCAAUCGCAAGACUUAGUAAGGGAAAGAGAGAAUUGAACACUCGGUUUAUAGUGGUUCGGCUUGAUUCAAGCCUACGUCCACUCUUCUGCACUGACAGCCGAUUGGCUGGAUUCCACUAUGAUCAAAGAGUUGUUACAGUGUUGAUCUUCCUUGAUUUCUAGGUGUAGAUGAUCUACCACACUCACUCAAGGCGUCACCAAGUAUAAACACUCUCUGUAUACAAUUUCGCUCAGUCUCAACUAACAAUCAAGGAUCUUCAGACUCUGGAAUUUUUCUAUCGAUCACACACUUAAAACAACUAGAACGUCUUCCUUUUAUACUCCUUCAUGCCAUCAUAGCCGUUGGCACUUACCAAAGGAAUUCCUCCAAUCUACCCGUUGGACGGAAUCAAUCAAGAAGAUCAUCCGAGCUUUUUAAGGAAUCUGAUGAUAGCCCAUCAAUCCUGUUCGCCCAUACAAUCAGGAUCUCGGUUUCCAAGAAUAGAAUAAUCCAAAAUUAUUUCGUCGACCAUCGGAUCUUCAAUCGAUCUUAGAUAAGAAUUAAAGAAUCCGAAAUGAUUAUCCAACCAAAGAAUCUAUUCCAGAGGAUAGGAUCAAAUCCUCAACCAUAAACCUCGGCUUUGGAUUUCCUUCAACACUGGAUUAGAAAGACUGUCAGUGAGAAUGAUUUUGAGUCUUGAGUCUUGAGUCUUGAGAUAACAAAGUCUUGAGACUAUAAAUUCUUGAGACUUUAACUAUCGAUAUCCAGACUUAGACUGAUAGAAAUGUUUUGUCAGCUUCAAAAUAUUCUAGAAAGAUUUCUCCAACAGCACUUCACGUGUCCCUUGGACUUUCUAUGGCGUGAUUUCGAUCUGUUUUUAUCUCUGUUGCUACUAGGCCCUCGAUGUUGUUCUUUACCAUGAAUCGUCAGUGUUUGCGCUACUCCUUGCGCCAGACCGUCAUCUCGCAACUUUCUCUUCCACUCUUUCGAAAACAAGGUGGACUUUACCUCUUCUAAGGUAAUUGUAGUACACUUAUGCAACAAUGAAUCAGUAAAGUGCUCUCAUGACUCUGGUAAAGAAGCUAACAUUAUGCCAUAUUCUUCAUCAUCAAGUAUCUUACCAACGUUCUUCAAAUCCAUUAUGAGUUUAUUGAAUUCAUCCAGGUGGAUUAUGAUAGAUGUACCUUCAGUAUAUCUAAAUUGAAACAUCAUUUUCAAUAUGUACGAGCAAUUGUUCAAAUCUUUCUUCACAUAGAGUGCCUGAGGUUUUGCCCAUAAUGCUGUGGCAUCCUUCUCCUCGGCAACUUUUAUUAAAACCUCAUCUGACAAGUUCAACAGAAUUGUGCUAUUUGCUCUUUCCAUUAGCUCUACCCUCUCAGAGACUUUCAUUAUAAUCGGCAACUCAUCUUCACCAUCUAGUGCCUUGGCCAAACCUUGGGUUGUCAAUAAUGCCCACAUCUUGAUGCUCCAUAACCUAAAGUUGUUCUUCCCAUUAAACUUCUCAAUUUCAGAUUUCCUCUUAGACAUAAUUGCAAUAAUAUAAUUUCCAGAUAAUAAUCAGACAAGCAAAAACUUCAAAUCACAAUCAAGAAAUCCGAUCCCAAGCUCUAAUACCAAUUGUUGAAAUAUAUAAUGGACAAAAACGAUAGGAUCUUGCAAUUUACGUCAACGCGAAAUCACCAGAAAAAUAAACGAGAAAUAAUAAGGACACUAGAAACUUACGUGAUUCGAUUCGAGUAUCGGUAUCUACGUCAGCAGGAAAAGCCAACAGCAAAUAAUCUACUAUAAUCGGAGAAUCGGAGUUUACAAUUGCUCACAUACUUGAGUGUUUCCCACACCUAGAUUUAAACCCAAACCCAAAGUGUUUAUAAAUAAACAACUUAUAUGGACAUAAACUCACGACAUAAAAUUACCGCGCAUUCAAACUCAAAGUAAAAUGUUCAAUGUACGCCAAAACAAGAACUAGGCAUCUAUCUCUUCUCCACGUACGUACAGCUUCGCGUUCUCUACCCCUUCAAGGCUUGUGCGACGUCUGGACGUGUGGACACGCAGCUCCUUUUUCUUUCAUAGGGCUUCUCUUCUUUUUUUCCGCAAAAGAGCAUGCCUUUUAUAUUGUGUGCCCAAAAUCAAAACUUUGACUCUGGCCCCACCUUGGAUUCUUUCUUCCAAUAUGUAUUCUACUUCUGCUUUCUUUUGCACGUACAAAGAAAGAUAGAAAACCCUCAUUUUUUUUUAUCUUUAUUUUAUUUUCUCCUUUGUGCAGCUAUAAUGAGUCCAACAAAAAAAAGGGCUUUUUCAACCAAUUUCAAAUCUACUUGGAAAAUAUUUCUCAAUAAAUUCGAUUUAACAAAUCAUUAUCCGAAUUCAAACUCAAGACAUUAAUUUAAUAAAAAUGCCCUUUGCAUCGAUAAUUAUCUGAAAUUUUCUAAACCGUUUUGGCUUUUAGAUAAGUUUUAAAAUUGGAACCUCCUCGGAUGCAACGGCACAUAUAACUUGCUUCAGUUUUGGCUCAUACGCUAGUUUUUAGGUCCGCACCAUAUUGUGGAACGAGGCAUAGCUUUCUUUGAGAAAGCUACUCUCACCGAAUUAUCUUAAAUAGUAACUUGUGCCAUUUUGCUGAUCCUACGUGUUUGCUCUUGUGAGUUCGGGCUUAUAUUAUAUCUUUCCUUCUCAGACAGUUCUUUGCCUUGUAUUUCUUAUUCAAUUGCUGGACGCAUCAAAGAGCAACCAAAAGCAACUGAUCCAUUAAUUAAACACAUGAACUCAUAUUCUGGUGGAGUCAUUCGCCAAAUUUACGAUAUGGACACCUUGACGCGUUUGUAACUAUUUGGAUUGUGCCUCAAUUUUCAAUUUGCGCUUCAUAUUCUUGUCGUAGGAUUUCAAACAACCACCUUACCCUACUCGAUUUGAUUAACAUCAAAACACUGUAAGUGAGUCAGCUUCAUUAGUAAACUAAGUAGAUCACCGAAUGAACAAGCAAUUCACCGCCUCAAUCAAAGACCGGACAUGCUAGCAUAAUAAACCACGCGGAUGUCUUAUAAUAAUGCAUGACAUAUGCUAAUAACUAGAGGUGAGAAAUGGAUGAUGAACCCAUUUUGUAAUUCAGAUUCAAUGACCUGGUAAUAACAUGAGUUGUUAGCUAUCUGUGAUAAAAGGGAGGUCUAAAACUUUCUAUUUUUAUUUUUUAUUUUUAUUUUUUAUGUUUUUAUCUCAAGCCACUCUUAAAUGUGCUGCGGCACAAACAUGGACAUCACCUAUACUUAGUCCACUAAUGAGAUAUGAUCAGAAGAAAUCAAGAACAGACCUCACUAAAAUAGUGCACCAUUUCAUGGCGAUAAUAUAAUAACAAUGAAAACAAUAAUAAAUAAUAAUAAUUUGUACGCCCUUCAUCCAAUUGGUCGGCUAAACGUGCUUUGAGUCAUGGUUGUAAACCAAGAGUUCAUGUACUAGAUCUUAGAAGGAACUUCUGAUACCCUCAACAGUUUCAUCGUAUUUUUGUUAUUGGGUCUUCCUUUCGUAACAAACACACAGAGACGAAAAAAAACAUCAUAAGCCAGAAAAACUUUCCGUGGAAUACUCUCGAACUAUUCGUUCUUAAAAAUAUUUAAACGUCUAGCAUUACAUUUUAAAUUGUUUUAAUGCCUAAACGAAAAAAAAAAAAAAACAGUAUCUCUUAGCAAAUCCCUCAAGUUAGCACAUGGAUUACAUUAUCCAUUGCAUAGACAAUCCAUUAAAUAUGCUAUUCAGGAAUUUAAUUAUUGUAAUUAGCGUGUGAUAUCGUAUGCGUGUGGAUAAGGAGAGUAGCUAAGCUAAGCUCUUAGAAUAGAUCAUAGGGAUAAAUAGUUAACUUUGAUGCAAUGGACUGCUUCGAUGUCUCCUUUUGCAUGUACAGCUCCAGCCCGUUCCAACCAUUUUAGUGGGUCUUUUGGAUCGAUGGUUUUAUCACUUUGUUCUUCGGUUAUAGAAUGGAAGUUUAGUGGAGUAAUGUGUAACAAUUGAAAGUUUAGAAGGGACCUUGUAUUACCCCUUAAAUUAGGGUAAUUUUUGUGUAAUUUUCCAGUACAUUUAUUAUGUGAAGCCCAAUUUCUCAAACAUUAUUCGCCAGGUGUAGAAAUAUGAGAAGCCAAACUUAUAUUCUAACUAAGUGACUCAACUUUUCCAUCAAAGUUACCAAGGAACCACAAAAUAUAAGGUCCAUGAUUAGCGUGAGCCCAUUACAAUGUUGGUCCGACAAAAAUCGAUGGACAUCGAACUUCACAGCCUUGAGUAAGGACAUUCAUAAAUAUCACAAUUUCUUAGUCCUAGCCGCAUGGAACUGGUGAUGUUUUCCCGCAAUGGAUCCAAACCUGUGGAACAGCAAACAUCUUUCAACAAACAACUCUCACCGGCGAAUGUUCUCUUACGAAUUUGUGUUAGCAAGGCAAGACUGUCACGUCAUUUCUCGAAUCAAAUAGAAACUGCACAUUGCCAUUUCCGCCGCCUUCAGUUUAAACACUCUGCAAUGCAUGCACAAUAACCGUUCAAUCACAUAGCUUUACCUCAAAGCAAAAAGGAGGACGCGUCACUCCUUCCAUGCAAUGGCUGUUUUUAAGCAAGAUAGAAUAGCAGCAACCUGUACAGCAUGACAAUAAAUGAAGGAGAUUCACUUCAGUUCUUUCCAUCACAAUUUAUGCUGGCCUAAGCACCGGAUAACUGAGGCUUACCACGUUCUCUCGCCCCACAAUUCUGAGAAAGAAAAUACAGUUGGACAUGUAUCAAAAGUGCAACAUCAUCAACGACAAAAAAAUGAUGAAAGCAACAUCCAGAAGCAGGGAACUCUGUAUAAUUUGAAAUAUAAAUACCUAAAGGGAAACCAAUAAUCUUCUCCAAGGGUGAUGAUUGACGGAAAAUGGGAUGCAUCUAGGAAUUUUAUCUAACAUUCUCAAACUAUUAGUUCGGGUCGUAGAUUCAUACUAUAUCUAAUCAUCUAGCUAUUAUUUGUGAAAAAAUUUUGGGUACUUUUGAAGCAUGACGUUUUUGUAAUCGCUUUGACACUAUUGCGUAUCACUGCCAAUGCCACAUCCAUUGCAGCGAUUCUGCUUCUUGGAUCUGUAAAAAAAUAAAAAUAAAGUAAGAUGUUAGGUCCAUGUGAUCAUAUCGUCUUCAACUGCAGGAUCCAACGCCCAACACUUUUGAGAAUACGAAACAUGCAAUUAACGAACUUUUUUCUUUAACAUGUUUGCACGUCAUGCAGCAUCUUUAUGCUCAGGGUUUUGAAAUAUUUGCUAGGGGGAUAGGGCGGACAGAGACUACUUCUGACAUAGAGAGAGACUCGAUUAAUGCCACUGUCCAAGACACAUGAAAGAAAUUGAGCAGCGAGAUGAGAAAGAUUUGAUGCACGUCAUCAUCCAAAAACUUACAAGUCCAACAAAAGUACUUCCCCAUGCAAACACCACCUGUGAACAUGGAAACCAAAGGUUGAGAAUCAACAUCUGCACUGUAGUUUAUUUUUGGCCAGUCUUUUUAAAUAACUUCAAAUUUUUUGCCCUCCUUCGAAAAGAUUUUUAGUGCAAUCAAAGUAGGUAAUGAAGGAUAGAAUGUUUAAAAUUACCUCUUGAGCACUAUCACAGAUUGAACUUACAACCUGAAACAAAACAUGUAGGUAAGUGGGAACAUCAAGUAAUCAGUCGGUCUAUAAACAUGCUAGAAAUUCGAUGGCAUCCAUCCGCUGAACUUGAUGGCAAGGUGAGUCAAUGCCCUGCUUUUGUUUACAUUGAUAUGUUAUUCUGGUCAUAAGAGAACGGUAUGUCUUCUUAUGGAAAGCAUGUCCACAGGCUGAGGAUUGAAGAAUAGAAUAUUUGACAUAUUCACCAAACUGUGGACUACUCAUCCGAACUCAGAUGACAUGCGACUUCUGCACAUAUCCGUCAUGCAGUAACGGCGGACUGCACAUACCAAAAUAUUAGAGCACACACUACAAAGUUAGCAACAGGUCAGAACGCAAUCUCAUCUUAAGAUAACUCAUGUCACUAGCGCCCAAAAUUUAGAGGCAGCUGAAGGUGCCUGUAUUUUGGUUAACGAUCAUCCUCUAAUAGAUGGCAAGUAAAAACUUAAUUGCAAUCUUUCAACUGAGCUUGCACGAAAGUAUCUCGUAGAUAUCUAGUGCGUUCUUCAUGUCAUAACAAAAGGAAGUUCUCAAGCACACUUUAGUCUAGGGGCACAAGGGAUCACCUUUGCAUCAUCAUGACAGUGAAGGCGAUAAAAAAUCUCGUUGCAACAGGGGGCUCUAGUGCGGCACCUUCAACGGUAAUGAGGACAUCUGCCGCAGCAGCAGCAGCGUCUUUGAUAUUAACUGAAAGUUGAGAAGGACAAAGCUUGAACUACUAUUGCUCAAGAAUGAGUCGAGACGUUGCUUGUACGGCAAGUACCGCUCGCUAACAAAUCAGUAACAAUAGCAUCCUCACGGUCAGAACAGAGCACGGUCGGAAACACGAUUGGACAGUGCUGGAAUUGUAACAACAGGAGGGAACCGAGUGUCGGCCGAUGAGGAGGAACAGCGACGUUAAUUAUGAGCCAGAAGUGGUGGUGAUCGCCUGAUCGGAAAUGGAGCGGCCGUGGAACUAGAGGGAAAGCGGGACUGGGAGAACGUUUCUCUGUUUUCAGUUCCCCCUCUUGCGCGCGCACGUGCCUUCGUUCGGGGGAAGAGAGAGAGAGAGAGAGAGAGAUAAAAGUAAGGAAGGAAAGAGGCCGGGCCUUCUCUCGGCAUGGGCCUUGGACCUUGGAUGGGCUCCAUUUUUCAGCUCCUUUCUGUUACUGAGUCUUAUUCGAUGGGCUAUUGGACAAAUCUAAAGAGAUCUGGGCUCGAGUCCGAUAUUGUCCGGCGGGGAGCUCGAGUUGUGGAUCUGGGCUGAGGUCUUAUUAAUCCUCUCCUUUAAAAAAAAAUUGUUAAUUUUAUUUAUCUUUACAAAAAUGCAGAUUCAAUUUGCUAGCAAAAAUUUGGGUGUCAACGUCCACGUUGCCAACUCUAUUGAUUGGAUAUAUACAAUCAUCCUAUUUCCAUUUACCAUAAUUGGUUCUGUCAAAGUAUGGAGGUCUGAGGAUAGAUUGACCCUCAUAAAAAAUUUGACUAAGGUUGGUUGACAAAGAACAGGAUCUUUAUAAUCAGAAGUAAACAACACUUCAAAGUACAAGCAACACAAUAUUUAGGCUCUGUUCAUUUCAUAGAAAAUAACUUCUAGAAAAAUAUUUUUCAAAUUUUCCGAUGUUCAUUUCAUGAAAAAUGAAUUAGUCAAGAAAAACGUUUUCUGCUAUUGGAAAAAAAAAACACAUUCAAAAGUGAGGAAAUAUUUACAUUUUCGAAAAGUAGAAAAUAUUUUCCAUGACUUCUUCCACCUCACUUUCUUUCACCAAACACAUUUUCAUUCCAUUUUAUGUUUUCUUUUUCUUUUUUCUUUUUUACAUUGAUUUUUAAUUUCUAUUUCCUUUUUGUCGUUUCUCUCUUUCUUUCUCUUCUACUUUGACCUUGGCAGGUUGAUGAAGAAGAAGAGAAAGAAAGAAAGAAAAAAGCAAAAAGAAAAAGAAAAAAAAGAAAGGAAAAGAAAAAAAAAUUAAACAUUAAAAAAUAGAUUUAAAAAUUGAAAUAAUGAAAAAAAUUAUUGAGAAUGAGCACAUGUAGGAAAAGAUUUUUCUUACCAAAUACUGGAAAAUAUUUUUUAGUUCAUUUUCAAAUUUCAGCCGAAUACGGGAUAAUAUGAUUAUUUUCCUAGAAAAUGGCUUGCUAGAAAAUAAUUUUCAAAAACACCACAUUAUCGAGAAACAAACAAAGCCUUAAUACAAGGUCAACAAUGCAACCUAACAAAGGGAUGAAUGGGUUGAUUUACAAAAGUAAAAAAUAAUUUAUAAUAGCUCAGGUUAAGAAACGCAAAUCAAAUAAAAAGGGGACAAGACCUCAAUAACAAAAAGUUCAAAUGAUAAAAUUUGAUUAUGCGUUUUGUAUGUAUAAAGGUUUAAUUAAUGUAAAAUGAUUGAUCUACAAAAAAUCUAAGAAAGAACUUAUCAAUGAAAAUGAUGUCCUUAACUCAUAAAAGAUGAAGAUGAAUCAAAAUCUAAGGUGAUUUUGUUAAAAAAUAUUUUUAUUGCUCGGUUUUCUUACAUUAAUUAACCAUUUAACAACACAAAAUGAGCAUCAAAUUUUUGUUAUUUGAUUUUUUGUUCUUUGUGGCAUUUUUCUUUUAUACUUAAUUGCGUUUCUUUUUGUUCAAAUAGCUACUAGUUCUAUUAAUAUAUCCAUGAAUUUUCUACCAACUUUUAUUAUCUAUAUUAUUAUUGAUAGUCAAAUUUUGUCGUACUGAUAAUUUAGUUACUUUUUUUUUUCAUUUUCUGUACUGUUUUUAUUUUUCUUAUAGAAAUCAACGGUAAAAGGCAUUCUUUCGAGAAAAAAAUGAGAUGAAGAACAAGUUUGCCCCUUUAACGUCAUCUACAUUGCACAUGUGAAUGGAGAAUAUAUCAAAUGUUAACAGCUAUAACCAAAUAAAAGUUCAAGAAGUAAUGUGUAACAGUCAAAAGUUUAUGUCAAACAUGUAUUUUCCCAAAGUUUGGAGCAAUCUUUGUAAAUUUUCCACAAAUUUAUUAUGCAAUGCCGAUUUUCUAAUAUAUUCAUAGGGAGAUUAGUGUGUAUUUAUGUAUGUUGGGUGUGGAAAUAUGAGAAGCCAAACUUAUUUUGUACAUAUUUUAGGUAUUUUAGGUAUAUUGGUAUAGUUUACUGUUUAAUAAAAUUUUAUUAGAGAAUGAUGGAAAAAAAAGAUAUAAAAAAGAAAUUAUAUAAAAAAGAGAGGUUAAAAUAAAAAAUAAAUCAAAAUAAAGUACAUAGUCGCAAGAGAUUUUUACCAUAUUCAUUUAUAAACUUUUAGGUUCGUUUAUAUUGAGAUGUCGUUUAUAUUAACUAAUAUAUAUAAUAUGAUGUGAAUAUAUCCAAUUUUAUACUUAUGAUCACUAAAUGGUGGAUAGGAAAUGAAAAAAUCCCACGAUUUCCUAACCUAUCAUAUUUAAUCAUAGCCUAAUUAGAAAUAUAGAUGAAUAAACAUAACUAAAGAGGAUAGGGAGUUGGCGAGCCAAUUCGAGUUCAAUGAGUUGUGUUGAUGGGCCUUCGAAACCUAGUUCGCAGGUUGAUUAGCUUCCCCGGGUCAAAAGGCUGGAGACAUUCGUUGCAUUUGGGCCAUAAGAUGCUGACAAUUCUCAACAACAGACUGGACCACCCAUGGGCUUUCGGUUUGGCCCGAGAUAAGCUAUCACUUUCCAUCCUCACCUAAAGAUCACCACUUCUCCUCCACAGAUCAGUUCCACCCUAUCUUCAACGAGACCGCCAAGGCUUCUCUCACUGCUAGGAUUUCAAGCACGAGGGCAGUUGGAGCAUGGAUUUUCUUGGCGAAGCCGGCCACGAGAGCCCAUGAGCAUCUCUACACACCCCAACUAUUAAACCCACUCAAGAGCGAGUGUUGUGCACUGAGGCAGCAAAGAACUCUCAUUAACCUCAUGCUUAAUGGCUUUGACCAAUCACCUUAUCCUAAGUGUUUAUGAGCAUUUCUUAUCUUCUCACAAAUACUAACACUCCCAUUAUUCACAUGGAUAAUUGCUUUGAUACUGUUGAGUCUUACUUCCAUCGGUGGCCACACUAGCAAAUGCCACAUCCAUUGCAAUGAUACUGGUUGUAACAUAUUAUCGCAUAAGUUAUCAAGAAAUUAACGUGAAUAAAUGAGAAACAAUAAAGGACGCCAAAGAUUUACGUGGUUUGGUACCAAGUGUCGGUACCUACAUCCACGGAGAGAGACGAUAGCAGAUAAUUCACUAAUAAUCGGAAAAUCUAAGUUUGCAGUCACUCACAUGCUCGAAUGGUUCUCAGGCAUUUGAUUUGUUUAUUUGACUUCUUCUCAAUCAUUGCAUUAAAUUUCUUGAACCAAUCGAACACUUUAUAUUUGUGUUUUAGAAAGUAUACCCAUACCUUCCUCGAAUAAUCGUUAAUAAGCGUCAACAUAUAUCAGACACCUCCUUAAGAAGGAACUGAAGAUGAGCCCCAAAUGUUUGAAUGAAUGUAUUCAACUGGUCGUUUAGUCGAAUGAACAACUGUAGUAAACUUAACUCGACGCUAUUUCCCAAAAAUGCAGUGCUUACAUAAGUCCAGCUUCCCUAUCUUUUGAACAACCCUUUAUCACUUAGCAUUGUCAUACCUGCCUUGCUCAUGUGCCCUAAACACAUAUGCCAUAAUUGAGUCAAGUUAGAAAGUGACUCACCUGAUAAAACUGCAAUUGUUUCGGUCAUGGUCUUUCCCAAUAGAUGAUAGAGAGUAUUUACUUUCUUUCCCUUCAUCAUCAUCAUAACACCUCAAGAGAUCUUCAGUACUCCACCUUCAAUGACGUACCUACACUCGAGUCAUCGAGUGUCCCUAGAGAAAUAAGAUUCUUCUUGAGCUCCGGUACAUGUCUCACAUCCGUUAAUGUACGCACCACCCCAUCAUGCAUUCGAAUAUGAAUUGUUCAUAUCUCCACAGCCUUGCAAGCUACAUUAUUUCCCAAAAGAAUGCUACUACCAUUUACAGUUUAGUAAAUAAUAAAUCAGUUCUUAUGAGGUGUCAUAUGAGAAGAACACCUUGAAUCUAUCAUCCAUUCGUCUCUUGACGAAGUGGUAGUCACAUAUAAAAUGGCUUCUACAUCACUAGUGCUCCCCUCGGUAACAUUUGCCACACUGCUUGUAGCAUUCUGUAUCUCACCUUUAUUCCUCCGCUUUGGACAAUUUCUCUUGAUGUGCCCCUCCUCAUGAUACUCAAAACACUUCACACGUCCCUUGGAAUUUUUAUUGCGUGAUUUCAAUAUACUUUUACAUCUGCUGCUACUAAGCCCUCGAUGUUGUUCUCUACCCCAAAUCGUUAGUGCUUGCAAUACUUCUUGCACCAGACUGUAUCUCACAAUUUUCUCUGCCACUCCUUAGAGAACAAGGCAAACUUUACAUGUUUUGAGGUAAUUGUAGUAUGCCCCUAUAAUAGUGAAUCAGUAAAGUGUUCCUAUGACUCUGAUAAAGAAGCUAACAACAUUAUGCUAUGUUCUUCAUCAUCAAGUAUCUUACGAACGUUCUUCAAAUCGAUCAUGAGUUUAUUGAAUUCAUUUUGGUGGAUUUUGAUAGACGUACCUUCAGUAUAUCUAUAUUGAAACAUCAUUUUCAACAUUUAUAAGCAAUUGUUCAAACAUUUCUUCACAUAGUGUUAUAUCCUGAAUUUCGACCUCGUCUUGAUAAUAUGAAAUAGGCAUUUCGUCGACGUGCCUAUGAUCCUAUUUCUCUGAGUUGGCCAUUCACAAGUUAACUAAUCUACCGGGUGAAGUCGUUAAGGGAUAUAAACGCAAUACACUUGAGAAUUCGAUUAGAAAUCGACUACUCGACCACGAUAAUUGGCAAGGGUCAAUAUGGCACCGUUAUAAUCGAUUAGUGAUCGGAUAUAGGUCGAUUCGAUGGAAUGACAUAAUUAAAUUGUGGGUGAUUUCACAUGUUUGCAAAAUUCUCGUCGAACGGCAUUAACCCGAUUUUCUAUCAAUUCUGUACUUGGUGCUCGUAAUUGAAAUCUUGAGAUUUUGACAACAACCGAAAGUUGCCGAUGAGUCGAAGAUGCACAAAUGUGGAUCGAAAAUUAUUAACCAAGGGUCAAACGAGAUAAAAUCCUUAAAAGCUACCUAGUAGGUUAUGUUGUACUAAAAUUGUGUCCAGUCGAUUUUAACCACGAAAUGGAAUUUGGCUUCGGGAAUCAUACGUUCGAGCGUCUCACGAUUUAUUUAUAGGAUGCCGUCUCGUCUUUCAGAGAAAUUCCGUCGAGCUUGGGAUUUUGCGGAAAAAUCAGUUGCGGCAAAAAAAGAAAAUAAAAGGGAAAUUCGGAUAGGUAGACCAAGUUGGAUUUUUCUACCUCAAUUAGGCUUAUUUUGGGAAAUUAAGCUUAGGAAAGUAAUUUGGGAGGAUGAACAUGUGCAUGAAGACUUUUGGGGCCUUCUAAUGAUGAUUUUAGAUAUUUCCCAUUGACUUUCCCUCUCUUCCCCUCUCUCAUGCACAUAUUCUUCCCCCCUUUUGCUGCCGACCUCACCCUUUAUUUUGCUGCCACAACUCCUCACACAUUUCUUCUUAUCUCCUAGCUAUUGCCAACACCAUCAUUUCCCUUCCCCCCCCCCCCAUCUUUCUCCUCUACCGCAUCAACCAUCGCCUCCACUUCCCCUCUUGUUUGCUGCCCCCAUCAUCUAACUCCAUUUGUACGCCCUCAUCCCACCACCUUCCAUCCAUCACGCUAGCAUCCAUCACCUACCGCCCAACUCCAUAGCAACUGUCCACCAAAACUCCAUGCCCGCAGCCACCAACGGCCAGCAGCUCAUCCCCACCGUUAGCUCCGUCCAACAGUCGCGCCGUCACCACCGAGUAGCCACCACAACUUAGCCACUAGCGUCCACCCAAACCGAGACCAAGCUGAGCCGAACCUUUCAUUUUGGCCGUGAGCUAGUCAGGCCAGCACGGCCGCCAGUGGAACUCCAUUCGAGUCAUGGUAGACUCCGGUUCUCGUUGCCGUCGCGUUGCCAUCACCGUGAGCCCGCCGCCGUUGAAUUUUGGUGAGUUAACUUCCUAAUCCUUAAUUAGGUUGUGAAUUUCACUUAGGGGUUAUAUUAGUGUUAAUUAUCAUGGUUAGAUCAGUGCUAAGAAUCAUUAGUGUUAAUUAAGUUGGAUUAGCUUAAAUUCAUAUUAGUUCACUGGACCCUCGUUGUUUGCCAUUUUUGUUGGGAAAAUGUGCUAUGAUUUCGAGGUUGCUUUCUUCUUAAAAAAUGUUCUAGACAUCUUCAGCUAUGACAUAUAUUUUACUCAGAAUUUUUUAUGGAUUUAAAUGAACAAGAUUUCAGUCUCGCCAUUUGCAAAAUAGAAUCUCGGAUUGUGCUGAAACAGUGACCUUUUGGUGUUCAAUGGAUUUUUAUCAACUCUUAGGGUUCGAUUUUUAAAAUAUUUUUUGCACGAAAGUUGUUUUUCACAUCUUGUAUUUUAACAUAUUCAAAUUUCAGAUCAAACAGACAAGUUUUGGACCUUGAACCAAACUGAUUUUGAAAAAUAUAAUUUUUGGAUAUGGGCACAGUUUUUGUAAUGGUUUGAGUGAAUUACUGCUCUUAAUCUAGGAAGAUUUGGGUUAAGGUGUCUUCAAUAAAAAUAUUCGUUUAAGUGUUCUUUACAACAUAUUCAUAUUUGAGAAUUUUUCAAAUUCGUUUGAUUAUGUUUCUGGAUUUAAACUCGGAGAUGCGCGAGUGGCCCAAUUUCUGUCGGUUAGCACCGGUUGUGAUUUUGUUAUUGUUCUUGGUGUAGUACUUGCUGAAUGAUGUGUAUUUGGUGAUGAGGUUGACUUGUGGCAUGCUGAGAACUUAUGUGUGAGAUCGUGAGGUUAAUUGGUCUUUGUUGGUUAUUUAUUGUUAUUGCAAAAGGUGACUCUUUGGACUAUUAAAUAGAAAAUAAAUGAGGUGUCGGGUCCGGACACCAAAACUUGUUUGCCCAAUACAACAAUAAGGUUUUAAACUAGGUGCGUGCAAAUUUUGACGGAUUAAUUUUGAGUAUGUGAGCACUUAUGAAUUUAUUUCUAAAUGUGUUGAACAAAAAAAAAAAAGAGGUUAUUAAAGCUUAGUUCCAAAAAUGAGUGUUUGGAAAAGAAAUUAGAAAAAUAAAUAUGGUGUCGGGUUUGGACGCCAAGUUUUAAGUGCUCAAUAAAACGAGGAGGUUUUAUACUAAAUGCGUGCAAAAUUUGACGGGUUAAUUUUAAGUACAUGACCCUGUACAAAUUUAUUUUGAAAGGUUUUGGAAAAAAAAAGAAGGUAGUUGCAAGUUUUAUUAUUUGAAAAGGAAUUUUGGUUUUCUUGGCUAAAUGACAGAAGAUAAGAAAUGGGUUUGGUUGAUGACAUGCGUGUAUGGUCACUAAGUGGAACCCGUCACUCAACGGAAGUUUGGGAGCGAUGCCUAAUUUUAUCGGAUGCCUAGUGGGAGUCCAGAAGUUGGUAGCAGUGGAGGCUGGACCGAUGCUCCUUUAUGGGAUGCUGUUUAGGCAGGGGUUCUAGACGUUGCCGUGUUUGAUGGGGCAGGACAAUGCCUGAUUUUUAUCAAAUGCCUAGCGGGGGUUUGGAUGAUCGCCAACUAGGGAGUUGGCUGUGGGCGAUGGGCCUUAAUAACUGGAACAUGCCUGAGUGAUUGAAAGAGUUUUGCCUUAUUAUCGGGCGAAAUUAUGUGGCACAGUAUGGGACGUGUCAUAACGGUUUGGCCUUAUAAUUGUGAUCCUUGUGAUUAAUUGAUAUAUGAAAGUGAGGCAUUCUUGUUGUUGAUUACGCUUGCUACGUGUAUAAAUGUAUAUGAGAUGUACUAAUGUGCAGGGAGGUGCUGAGGCGAGAUAAGUUUUGAGUGGUGCAUGUUUAGGAUGCCUCUAAGUGAAUUCUCGUCAUAAUCGGAGUUUAGGGUAUUCACUCGCUGAGACAUUGUCUCACCCUGUCGUGGUUUAAUUUUUUCAAGUCCUUAGUGUGGAGAACCCGGAGCCCGAGGCUAAACGGUCUGAAGCGUAGAUGGCCCAGUAGAUUCUUUUAGGUCAGACCUUAUGUUUAUAGACCUAUUAAGACUGGUUUGAUAUGUGUAUAAAGUGAUUUGUGAUAAUUGGCUUGUCUUUCCACUAUCCCAAUGUUUGAUGGUGGUCAGGGUAUCUGUUUAUUUCGCUUCUGCAUGUGCAUAAAAUGAAAGAGUCGGUGACACAUCUUGGGAACGUCGCAAAAUUUUAGUCGACCGUCGAGGGAUGUGUGCAUGCCCGGGGUUCGGGGCGUGACAUAGAGUGCUUGAAGUCUUGCUCAUAAUGCUGCAACAUUCUUCUCGUCGGCAACUUCUAUUAAAAUCUCAUCUGACAAGUUCAACAGAAUUGUGCUAUUUGCUCUUUCCAUUAGAUCUAUCCUCUUAGCGGCUUUCAUUAUAGUCAGCAACUCAUCUUCAUGAUCAAGUGCCUUGGCCAAACCUUGGGUUGUUAAUAAUGCCUACAUCUUGAUGCUCCAUAACCCAAAGUUGUUCCUCUCAUUGAACUUCUCAAUUUCCGAUUUCCUCUUAAACAUAAUUGCAAUAACGGAAUUUCCAAAUAACAAUUAGACAAGCAAAAACUCCAUAUCACAAUCAAUAAAUUUGAUCCCAAGCUUUGAUACCAAUUGUUGAAAUAUAUAAUGCGUGAAAAUGACAGGAUCUUACAAUUUACGUCAACAUGAAAUCACUAGAGAAAUAAAUGAAAAAUAAUAAGGAUACCAAAAAUUUACGUGGUUCGGUCCCAACAAAGAGAAUCGGUAGCAAAUAAUCUACUAUAAUCAGAGAAUCAGAGUUUACAAUUGCUCACACGCUUAAGUGUUUUCCAUACCUAGAUUUAAGCCAAAACCCAAAGUAUUUAUAAAUAAACAACUCACUUAGAGAUAAACUCACGACACAAAAUUACUGCACAUUCAAGCUCAAAGUAAAAUGUUCUACGUACACCAAAAUAAGAACUAGGCAUCUGUCUCUUCUCCACAUACGUAUAGCUUCGCAUUCUCUACCCCUUCAAGGCUUGUGCGAUGUAUGGACGUGGACGUGCGGCUCCUUUUUUCUUUCAUAGGGCUUCUGUUCUUUUUUCCAUUAUAGAGCACUUCUUUUAUGUUCUGUGCCCAUAGUCAAAACUUUGACUCUGGGCCCCACCUUGGAUUCUUUUCUCCAAUAUGGGUUCUUCUUCUACCUUCUUCUGCACGUACAAAGAAAGAUAGAAAACCCUAACUUUUUUUUUUUUUUUAAUUUUAUCUUUAUUGUAUUUCCUCCUUUGUGCAACUAUAAGGAGUCCAACAAAAAAAAAAGGGUUUUUUCAUCCAAUUUGAAAUUUACUUGGAAAAUCUUUCUUAACAAGUUUAAUUUAACAAAUUAUUAUCCAAAUUCAAACUCGAAACAUUAAUUUAACAAAAAUAUCAUUUGCAUCGAUAGUUAUUUGAAAUUUUCUAAAUCGUUUUGGCUUUUAGAUAAGUUUUAAAAUUGGAACCUCCUUGGAUGCAAUGGCAGAUAUAACUUGCUUCAAUUUUGGCUUAUAUGCUAGUUUUUAGGUCCACACCAUAUUGUGUAACGAGGCAUAUCUUUCUUUGAGAAAGCUACUCUCACCGAAUUAUCUUAAAUAGUAACUUGUGCCAUUUUGCUGGUCCUUUGUGUUUGCUUUUGUGAGUUCGGGCUUGUAUUAUAUCUUUCCUUCUUAGACAGUUCUUUGCCUUAUAUUUCUUAUUCAAUUGUUGGAUGCAUCAAAGAGCAACCAAAAGCAUCCGAUCCAUUCAUUAAACACAUGAACUCAUAUUCUAGUGGAGUUAUUCGCCAAAUAUAAGAUAUGGACACCUUGACGCGCUAUUUGGAUGGUGCCUCAAAUUUCAAUUUACGCUUCAUAUUCUUAUCGCAGGAUUUCGAACAACCACCUUACCCUACUCAAUUUGAUUAAUAUCAAAACACUGUAAGUGAGUCAGCUUCAUUACUAAACUAAGUAGAUCACCAAGUCAACAAGCAAUUCACCGCCUCAAUCAAAGUCCGGACAUGCUAGCAUAAUAAACCAAGCGGAUGUCAUGAAAAAAAUGCAUAAUAUAUGCUAAUCACUAGAGGUGAGAAAAUGGAUGAUGAACCCAUAUUGUAAUUCAGAUUCAACGACCUGGUAAUAACAUGAGUUGUUAGCUAUCUGUGAUAAGGGGGAGGUCUAAAACUUUUUUUUUUUUUUUAAUCUCAAACCACUCUUAAAUGUGGUGCGACACAAACAUGGACAUCACCUGUACUUAGUUCACUAAUCAGAGAUAUGACGGACCUCACUAAAAGAGUGCACCAUUUCAUGGCAUUAAUAUAAUAACAAUGAAAACAAUAAUAAAUAAUAAUAAUUUGUGCGUCCUUCGUGCAAUUGGUCGGCUAAAUGUUCUUUGAGUCAUGGUGUAAACCAAGAGUUCAUGUACUAGAUCUUAGAAGGAACUUCUGAUACCCUCAACAGUUUCAUCGUAUUUUUGUCAUCGGGUCUUCCUUUCGUAACACACACACACACACACAGANNNNNNNNNNNNNNNNNNNNNNNNNNNNNNNNNNNNNNNNNNNNNNNNNNNNNNNNNNNNNNNNNNNNNNNNNNNNNNNNNNNNNNNNNNNNNNNNNNNNAUUUUUAAUUCUUUUAAUGCCUUAUCGAAAAAAAAAAAAACAGUUAGUAUCUCUUAGCAAAUCCCUCAAGUUAGCACAUGGAUUACAUAAUACAUUGCAUAGACAAUCCAUUAAAUAUUUAAUUAUUGUAAUUAGCGUGUGAUAUCGCAUAAGUGUGGAUAAGGAGAGUAGCUAAGCUAAGCUCUUAGAAUAGAUCAGAGGGAUAAAUAAUUAACUUGAUGCUAUGGACUGCUUCGAUGUCUCCUUUUGCAUGUCCAGCUCCAGCCCGUUCCAACCAUUUUAGUCGGUCUUUUGGAUCGAUGGUUUCAUUACUUUGUUCUUCAGUUAUAAAAUGGAAGUUUAGUGGAGUAAUGCGUAACAAUUGAAAGUUUAGAAGGAACCUUGUAUUACCCCUUAAAUUAGGGUAAUUUUUGUGUAAUUUUCGCGUACAUUUAUUAUGUGAUGCCCAAUUUCUAAAACAUUAUUCGCAAGGUGAUAGGGUAGGGUGAAUUUAGAAAAUUAGGUGUAUAACUAUGAGAAGCCAAACUUAUAAGGUCCAUGAUUAGUGUGAGCCCAUUACAAUGUUGGCUCAACAAAAAUGGGGAAAUUGUCCAAAAAGUCCUAAACAUAUUGCACUUUUACCAAUUCAAUCAUAAACUUUUAAACUUUACCAAUUCAGUUCUAAACCUUUUCACUUUUUGUCAAUUGAGUCUAUUCAGCCAAUUUUGGCUGAAAAAUGAUAAUGCGGAUGCUAGUGGUGCCACGUAGGACCGCUAGCACUAAUGUGGAUAAUUUUUAAUAACAUUUUAAUAUUUUUUGAAUUUUUUGAAUUUUUGANNNNNNNNNNNNNNNNNNNNNNNNNNNNNNNNNNNNNNNNNNNNNNNNNNNNNNNNNNNNNNNNNNNNNNNNNNNNNNNNNNNNNNNNNNNNNNNNNNNNGCAUUAAAAUAUUAUUAAAAAUUGUCAACGUCAACACCUGCGGUUCUAUGUGGCACCACUAGGGUCCACAUCAGCAUUUUCCAGCCAAAAUUGGCUUAAUAGACUCAAUUGAGAAGAAGUGAAAAUGUUUAGGACUAAAUUGACAAAAGUAUAAUAGAUUUAGGACUUUUUGGACAAUUUUCCCGACAAAAAUCGAUGGACAUCUGACUUCACAGCCUUGAGUAAGGACAUUCAUAAAUAUCACAAUUUCUUAGUCCUAGCCGCAUGGAACUGGUAAUGUUUUCCCGCAAUGGAUCCAAACCUGUAGAACAGCAAACACCUUUCUACAAACAAGUCUCACCGGCGAAUAUUCUCUUACGAAUUUGUGUUAGCAAGGCAAGACUGUCACGUCAUUUCUUGAAUCAAAUAGAAACUGCACAUUGCCAUUUCCGCCGCCUUCAGUUUAUACACUCUGCAAUGCACGCACAAUAACCGUUCAAUCACAGAGCUUUACCUCAAAUCAAAAAGGAGGACGCGUCACUCCUUCCAUGCAAUGGCUGUUUUUCAGCAAGAUUGAAUAGCAGCAAGCUAUACAGCAUGACAAUAAGGGAAGGAGAUUAACUUCAGUUCUUUCCAUCACUAUUUAUGCUGGCCUAAGCACCGGAUAACUGAAGCUUACCACAUUCUCUCGCCCCACAAUUCUGAGAAAGAAAAUACAGUUGGACAUGUAUCAAAAGUGCAACAUCAUCAACGACAAAAAAAUGAUGAAAGCAACAUCCAGAAGCAGGGAACUCUGUAUAAUUUGAAAUAUAAAUACCCAAAGGGAAACCAAUAAUCUUCUCCAAGGGUGAUGAUUGACGGAAAAUGGGAUGCAUCUAGGAAUUUUAUCUAACAUUCUCAAACUAUUAGUUCGGGUCGUAGAUUCAUACUAUAUCUAAUCAUCUAGCUAUUAUUUGUGAAAAAAUUUUGGGUACUUUUGAAGCAUGACGUUUUUGUAAUCGCUUUGACACUAUUGCGUAUCACUGCCAAUGGUGGCCAUACCUACAAAUGCCACAUCCAUUGCAGCGAUUCUGCUUCUUGGAUGUCCGUAAAAAUAAAUAAAUAUAUAAAGUAAGAUGUUAGGACCAUGUGAUCAUAUCGUCUUCAACUGCAGGAUCCAACACCCAACACUUUUGAGAAUAUGUAAAAUGCAAUUAAGGAACUUUUUUCUUUCACAUGUUCGCACGUCAUCCAGCAUUUUUAUGCUCAGGGUUUUGAAAUAUUUGCUAGGGGCAUAGGGCGGACAGAGACUACUUCUGACAUAGAGAGUGACUCGACCAAUGCCACUGUCCAAGACACAUGAAAGAAAUUGAGCAGCGAAUGGGAAAGAUUUGGCGCACAUCAUCAUCCAAAAACUUACAAGUCCAACAAAAGUAAUUCCCCAUGCAAACACCACCCGUGAACAUGUAAGGUUGAGAAUCAACAUCUGCACUGUAAUUUAUUUUUGGCCAGUCUUUUUAAACAACUUCACAUUUUUUGCCUUCCUUCAAAAAGCUCUUUAGUGCAAUCAAAGUAGGUAAUGAAGGACAAUGUUUAAAAUUACCUAUUGAGCACUAUCACAGAUUGAACUUACAACCUGAAACAAAACAUGUAGGUAAGUGGGAACAUCAAGUAAUUAGUCGAUCUAUAAACACGCUAGAAAUUCGAUAGCAUCCAUCCGCUGAGCUUGAUGGCAAGGUGAGUCAAUGCCCUGCUUUUGUCUACAUUGAUAUGUUAUUCUGGUCAUAAGAGAACGGUAUUCUUAUGAAAAGCAUGUCCACAGGUUGAAGAUUGAAGAAUCGAAUAUUUGACAUAUUCACUAAACUGUGGACUACUCAUCCGAACUCAAAUGACAUGGCAACUUCUGCGCAUAUCCGUCAUGCAGUAAUGGCAAACUGCACAUACCAAAAUAUUAGAGCACACACUACAAAGUUAGCAACAGGUCAGAACGCAAUCUCAUCUUAAGAUAACUCAUGUCACUAGUGCCCAAAAUCUUGGAGGCAGCUGAAGCGGUGCCUAUAUUUUGGUUAACGAUCAUCCUCUAAUAUAUGACUAAUAAAAACUCAAUUGCAAUCUAUCAACUGAGCUUGCACGAAAGUAUCUCGUAGAUAUCUAGUGCGUUCUUCUUGCCAUAACAAAAGGAAGUUCUCAAGCACACUUAAGUUUAUGAGGGGCACAAGGAAUCACCUUUGCAUCAUCAUGACGGUGAAGGCAAUAAAAAAUCUCGUUGCAAUGGGGGGCUCCAAUGCGGCACCUUCGACGGUAAUGACGACGUCUGCCACAGCAGCAGCAGCAGCAACUUUGAUAUUAACUGAAAGUUGAGAAGGACAAAGCUUGAACUACUAUUGCUCAAGAAUGAGUCGAGACAUUACUUGCACGGCAAGUACGGCUCUCUAACGAAUCAGUAGCAAUAGCAUCUUCACGGUCAAAACAGAGCACGGUCGGAAACACGAUUGGACAGUGCUGGAAUUGUAGCAACAGGAGGCAACCGUGUGGCGGCCGAUGAGGAGGAAAUGCAACUUUAAUUAUGAGCCAGGAGUGGUGGUGAUCGCCUUAUCCGAAAUGGAGCGGCUGUGGAACUAGAGGGAAAGCGGGACUGACAGAACGUUUCUCUGUUUUCAGUUCCCCUUCUUGCCCGCGCGCGAGCCUUCGUUCGAGGGGAGAGAGAGAGAGAGAGAUAAAAGUAGGGAAGGAAAGAGGCCGGGCCUCCUCUCCGCAUGGGCCUUGGACCUAGGAUGGGCUCCAUGUUUCAGCUCCUUUCUGUUGCUGAGCCUUUUUCGAUGGCUAUUGGACAAAUCUUAAGAGAUCUGGGCUUAAGUCCGAUAUUACCGGCAAAAAUUUGGGUGUCAACGUCCACAUUGCCAACUCUGUUGAUUGGAUAAAUAUGUUCAUCCUGUUUUCCAGUGACCAUAAUUGGUUCUGUCGAAGUAUCGAUGUUUGGUGGUAGAUUGAGCCUGAUAAACAACUGGACUAAGGUUGGUAGCCAUAGAAAAAGAUUUUUAUAAUCAGAAGUAAACAACACUCCAAAGUACAAUCUUACCAAAAAAAAAAAAAAAAACACUUCAAAGUACAAGCAACGCAAUCUUUAAUGCCAAUUAUUGAGGUCAAUAAUGCAACCUAACGAAGGGAUGAAUGGGUUGAUCUACAAAAGUUAAAAAAAAAAAUAUGUAAUAACUCAAGUUAAGAAACACAAAUUAAAUGAAAGGGGAAAAGGCCUCAAUAACAAAAAGGUCAAAUGAUAAUAUUUGAUUAUGCGUUCUGUACAUAUAAAGGUUUAAUUAAUGUAAAAUGAUUGAUCAACAAAAAACCUUGAAAGAAGUUAUCAAUAAGAAUGAUGUCCUUAACUCAUAAAAGACACAGAUGAAUCAAAAUCUAAGGUGAUUUUGUCAAUAAAAUAUUUUUAUUGAUCAAUUUUCUCUUACAUUAAUUAACCAUUUAACAACACAAAAUGAGCGUCAAAUUUUUGUUAUUUGACUUUUUUGUUGUUUGGGGCAUUUUUCCUUUCUACUUAAUUGCGUUUCUUUUUCUUCAAAUACCUACUAGUUCUAUUAAUAUAUCCAUCAAUUUUCUACCAAAUUUUAUUAUCUAUAUUAUUAUUGAGAGUCAUUUUUAUGGUACUGAUAAUUUAGUUUGUUUUUCUCCAUUUUUUGUAUUUUUUUUUCUUACGGAAAUCAACGGUAAAAGGCAGCCUUCUUUCACGAAAAAUAAGAUGAAGAACAAGUUUAUCCCUUUAAUGUCAUCUGCAUUGCACGUGUGAUUGGAGAAUAUAGUGAAAUGUUAAUGGCUAUAACCAAAUAAAAAUUCAAGAAUUAAUGUGUAGCAGUGGAAAGUUUAUGUCAAACAUGUAUUACCCCGAAAUUUGGAGCAAUUUUGUGUAAUUUUUCCAUAAAUUUAUUAUGCAAUACCGAAUUUCUAAUAUAUUCGCAAGGAGAUUAGUGUGUUUUUAGUAUGCUGGGUGUGGAAAUAUGAGAAGCCAAACUUAUAUUGUACAUAAGUUUCGUAAUUAGUUUAUCAUAGUGAUGUUUGUGAAGUCACUACGAGAAGGUCCUUUGUUUAGCUGCAAUUUCUCAUCCCGUAACCCGAACUCGCAAGUCUUCUUUUUCUUUUUUUCUUGGUGAGUACCAAAAAAUCUGCCAUCAAAAUGACAAAAGAUUGUCUUGAAGUGUUUGAACACAAAAUAAUGCCACAUAAUCCUUCCGUUUCUAAUCUGAUAUAUCUCUCUAAAUUCUCCCACCGUCCCUGUCUCCUUCCGCGAAAAUCAAUCCCCCCUUCUUUUUUUUCGCUUGACCACUCUGGGCCGACUUCACACGUGCCACCNNNNNNNNNNNNNNNNNNNNNNNNNNNNNNNNNNNNNNNNNNNNNNNNNNNNNNNNNNNNNNNNNNNNNNNNNNNNNNNNNNNNNNNNNNNNNNNNNNNNNNNNNNNNNNNNNNNNNNNNNNNNNNNNNNNNNNNNNNNNNNNNNNNNNNNNNNNNNNNNNNNNNNNNNNNNNNNNNNNNNNNNNNNNNNNNNNNNNNNNNNNNNNNNNNNNNNNNNNNNNNNNNNNNNNNNNNNNNNNNNNNNNNNNNNNNNNNNNNNNNNNNNNNNNNNNNNNNNNNNNNNNNNNNNUUUUUAUUUCGAAAUAACUAUAUUUGAAGUCCAUAUAAGAAAAUUCAAAAUGUCAAAAAAUAAUAAUUUAUUUUUUUAAUUCAAUCUUAUUUUUACUAUAUAUUUGAAUUCAUUUCUAUCUUAUAAUACAAAUUCGAUAAAUAAAAUGUAAAUAUAUAUUUAUAUAUUACAUAUUUUAGGUAUUUUAAUAUUUUAGGUAUGUUAUUAUGGUUUACUGCUUAAUAAAAAUUUAUUAGAGAAUAAUGGAAAGGGAAUAAAUAAAUAAAUAAUAAAUUAAUUAAAAAAUAGAGGAAAAUAUAAUAAAAAAGAAAAUAAAAAUAAAGUAGGCAAACAUGAGAGAUUUUACUAUUUCUGUUUAUUAAUUUUUAUGUUCAUUUACAUUGAUAUGUCAUUUAUACCAAAUAAUGUACAUGAUAUUAUGAGAAUAUAUCCGAUUUUAUUAUUACGAUCAUCAAAUAGUGGAUAUAAUAUGGUAAAAUCCCAAUAUUUUAUAUCCCAUCAUAUUCAAUUCUAUUUUGAUUGAAAAUUCAUACGACCGAAUGUAACCAAAAAGGAUAGAGAGAUUGACGAGCCGAUUCGAGUUUAGCGAGCUAUGUUGAUGGGCCUUCGAAACCUAGUUCGCGGGCUGAUUAGCUUCCCUGGGUCAAAAGGCCAGAGAAAAUGGCUGCAUUUGGGCCGCAAGAUGCUGACAAUCCUCAACAACGGACCGGACUACCCAUGGGCUUUCAGCUUGGCCUGGGAUAAGGAGAGUUGUAGAUAAGCUAUCACUUUCUAUCCUCACCUACGAAUCACCAUUUUUCCUCCACAAAUCAGUUCCAACCUACCCUCAACGGGAGCGCCAAGGCUUCUCUCACUGCCAGUAUUUCAGGUACGAGGGCCGUCAGAGCAUGGAUUUUCUUGGCGAAGCCGGCCAUGAGAGCUCGUGAGCAUCUCUACACACCCCAACUACUGAACCCGCUCAAGAGCGAAUGUUGUGCACUGAGGCAGCAAAUACCUCUCAUGAAUCGCAUGCUUAAUUGCUUUGACCAAUCACCUUGUGCCAUGUGUUUAUGUGUGUUUCUCAUCUCAUUACAAAUACUAACACUCCCAUCAUUCGCAUGGAUAAUUGCUUUGACACUGUUGAGUCUUACUUCCAACGGUGGCCACACCAGCAAAUGCCACAUCCAUCGCAAUGAUACUGGUUGUAACAUAUUAUCCUAUAAGCUAUCAGGAAAUUAACGCGAAAUUAUUAAAGAAAUAAAUGAAAAACAAUAAAGGACACCAAAGAUUUACGUGGUUCGGUACCGAGUGUUGGUAUCUACAUCCACGGAGAGAGCCGACAGCAGAUAAUUAACUAAUAAUGGGAAAAUCCACGUUUGCAGUCGCUCACACACUCAAAUGUUUCUCACACCUAGAUUAGACUCAAACUUAAAGUGUUCGCAAAAAUACUCAACACAAAUCCAUGGUGUGCAUAGCCCCCGUUCACGGCCAAGCAACAAGCGCCUCACUCCCGGAUUCUUCCUUUCGCUCUUCAUGCGGCGUUCCCCAGGAAAUCACGGUGCGGCCAUUGUACUCUCUUUCUUCUUGUGCGGCUGCAUUUUGCUAAGGAACCCACUCCACGCUUCUCAAAGAAAGAAGCAACUGGCAGCCAUUCGCACAACGAGGAACUCCUUUUGUCUUGCAGUGGCAGGGGACUUCUUUCCUCCCAUUCGUCCAACCUUUGGCAAAGGUGAGUCCAACUCUUCAAUUUUAUUGUGUUGUCAAACUUGGAUAUUUAUUCAAUAUGGUUGGAUUCCAUAAACGGCUUAUACUCGAGACAUAAUUUAACGAUACCGCAUAAAUGUCUGCAGAAAAAAAAAGUAAGACGUGAGGUCCAUGUAAUCAUAUUGUCUCCUGCUGCAGGAUAUGACACCUAACACUUAUGUACAAUGCAAAUAAGAAAUUUCCUUUCUAACAUGAUUGCCCAUUGUUCAUUUUUUAUGCUUUUUGUUUACAUUGAGACUACUCAAGGCAUAGGAGAACAGUAUGUUAGGUUAUGGAAAGCACGUCCGUGUGCUAAAGAUUGAAGAAUCACAAUUCAUCAUCAUAUUCACUGAACUAUAGGGUACUUAUCAGAACUCAAUCCACAUGGUGACUUUGAUUUAUGAUACAAAGGAAGUCUGAUGCAAUUAACUAGUGAAUUAACUUCUAGAGAAUAUCAAUGGCAACCUUCUGCACAUAUUUGUCACAUGAAAAUGGAAACCUGAACAUAUCGCAAUAUAAGCACACACAUUUCAAAGUUAUCAUCAGGUCAAAAUGUAAUCUAAUAUGAAGAUAAGACGUUAGUACCCAAAAUCUAUAGGCACCCGAAGCAGUGCCUCCAUUUGGUUGAUGAUCAUUCUCUAAUGUAUGGCAAGCAAAACUUUAAUUGCAAUCUAUUAACUAAGCUUACUCUAAAGUAUCUCCUAGAUAGACAUCUAAUGCCUUCUUCAUGUCAUGACAAAGGAAGUUACCAAGCAUUCUUAAGUCUACGAAGGGCAAAAGGGAUCACCUUCACAUCAUUAUGACAGUGAUGGCAAUUAAAGAUCUUGCUGCAACAAGGGGCCAUAAUGCAGCACCUGCACCAGUAAUGAGGACAUCUGCAGCAGCAGCAACUUUGAUAUCAACUGAAAGUCGAUGGGAAUUAACUUGGAACCGAUAGUGCUAAAAAAUGAGCCGAGACAUUACCAUACUGCGAGUGCCCUCUCUCUAGCAACCCGGUAGCAUUAGCAUCUUCUUCAGCUUUUUCAACAGGCAUCUGUUCCACAUCCAUCUACUGAAGGACUGCCAGCCCAUCGUCUGUCUGAAUUCUUUAUAUAUGACAUGCUGAAGGUUCCCGUAUCAAACUGAUGAAACCCUAGUUUUCAAUAGCUAGUUCAUCCAUUUUAGUUUGACUCUGCUGAGACUACCAGCUACCUAGGCUAGCGAUGAGAAGCACCUACAGAGAUGAGCAAACUUAUCAACAUUCCAUAACCUCCUAAGAAUUUUACUUGGCCAGUCAAGCAAGGAGACUCUGCAACAUUGAUUUCAUCUACAAGGCUCAAGACCAUUUGACAUCGACAAUAAGACCGUUCAAUCAAUGUGGAACAGCUCCAAUCAACAGUGCUCCACUUGAAGGAAUCGUCAAAACAAGUAGAUCUAAAAGAUUCAUAUAAUAACAUAAGUGAAGGAUUGAGGAACACCAGGGCAUCCCGUCAUAGGUAAUAAGGAACCGUGUGUCAUGAUCACUUGAUUCCUUGAAGUCUGGAACAAAGCAUACCUAACACGACCAUGAAUGAGCCCAUCUCUGGUGAAAGCCAACAAAAUCACACAAUCCAAUUGCUCUAAAAUGAAGUAAGACAACAGAAUAUGGCGAAAGAUUGCAAGAGCAAAACUUGUCCAUCAAGGAUAUACUACCUCCUCCUACAAUUCUGCUUGAAGCUUUCUUUGAAAAUUGCCAAUAACUCAAGCCUCAGACAUCAACUGUGCUGACUCAUGAGACUUUUCUUGUCAGAAGGCUCUUCCAACAAAACAAAUACCUUCAAGUUGACUAGAUGAUUCCAUAAUGUACAUCUGCUGAGGACAGACAUAUAUGUCCUUAAGUAAGAACCUUCAUGAAGAAGGUAUUUAUCCAGGCUAAUUGACCAACUUUUUCAUUUAUUCCACAUGUUAUGCAAGAGUCAACACAAAUCGAAUUGUCUUCAUGAUUCUAGUCCAAAUUUUCCCAUUUCAGGCGGUAUGAGCAUAUGCCUCUUCCAUGUGCAUGAAUCAAAUGGGUGGGUUAAGUUGGAGGGAGGCAUGGAGAGAAUGAGAGGAAUAAUCUUUCUUUUUUAAGCCUAGAAUUAUAGCCAAAGCUCCACUAAACGGAAUCAUAGCUCACAUCCAAGGAAUUUUGCCUACACAAACAGUUAAGGAAGCAACCACUUCAUUUGUGUUUCAUGAAACAAGUAAAUUCUGCCAUCUAUUGCCAUGGCGGACUGUUGCUUUAGAACAACACGUUGAUCUAUUGUUAAUCAUUGCAAAUGCUACUUUAGUAAUCCUCUUCCGACAGCAAUCAUCAGCAAUAGGAAUCUUGUUCCAUUUCAUGUACACUAGCCUAUAUGAACCAGCCUCUCUUCUGUGCCAUGGUCCACCAUCUUGAUUAAAUCUCCUUUCAUUGUGCAGGGGGAAAAAAGGCAGAGCAUGAGCAUAGAGAUCCCAGAAUUCUACUUUGAAACCCAAACUACAGUAUCCGCAUUAUGCAUUUAUCUUAGAUAUGUUCAAAAGCCGACCAUUCUAGCAGAUAUUUCCCAAUGUUCUCAAUUUGCUACAUUGCAUGAGAACCAGGAUCUAGGGUAAAGGUCAGAAAGCUUGUCACUCGAAUGAGCAAAAGACUUCAAACCUAUACAUCUGGAGAAGGCAGAUCUAGUGCUGCGAAGGGGCUCCUGUUCGUCUUGGGGAUGGCAAAGUAUCUUGACAGGAAGGGAUCACGGUAGGAGACGGGACUGAAAUCAGAAUAAGAAAAGAUAACUGGCUAAGAUCUGGAGUCAUUGGUGGCGAGGCAGCCCCCCAACUAGUGGCAGGCUUAAUUGACAAAGAGGAAUUCAAGUGGAAAGAGCAUAUGAUUAAUGGGAUAUUUGACGAAAGAACUACGAACGAAAUCCUAGCUGUUCCUAUCAGUUCAACCAUGGACAAAGACAAGAUGGUUUGGACAUGCACAACCUCAAGCUCUAACUCAGUGAAAAGUGCCUACCAUCACUUAAUGUCAACAGAAACAAAGCAGCAAGCAGAACAACUAACAUCCUCAUAUCAAACACCCAGAUACCAAUGGAAAUUGAUUUGGAACAUGAAUGUUAACACAAAAAUGAGGCUCUUUACUGGAACGUGUGCCAAAAUGCAAUCCCAUCUUUAGAGAACUUGUUCAAACGGAAAGUCUUACCUGAACCCAUCUGCCCCCUUUGCCAAAAGACCCAAGAAACAGUUGAGCAUAUUUUUCAAUGAUGCGACUGGACUCGUGAGGUCUGGAAUCACCCAAAAUUAGAUAUCAGAAUCACGGGCAAGGAGCUCAGUCACAUGGAGGAGACGAUUCUACAAUGAGGUAACCCAAAUGCAAACUCACUUUCACAAGAUUUGGUAGCAGGGGUUCUCUGGAACAUUUGGAAGGCUUGGAACCAUUUCAUCUUGCGCCAUCAAAAACCAGGUUAGAGUAGCAUAGUGGAAGCGACCAUGGCUGCACAAAAGAACUUUGAGAGAUGGAAUUAUAGAAGGCAAAAACGAACACAGCAGCAGGAACUCUUACCCGAGAUGUGAAACCCAUCGAGAAGGGGUUGGCUGAAGAUCAACGUUGGCGGGUCUCUAGUGGACGGACAAACCGCGGGAAGCGUUGCCGGGAUAUGCGGAGACGAAGCUGGGAGAGUGGAGAAUCAUUUAUUUUGCAUUUCUCAAUCUAUACAAUUACCUUCGGCAUGUUAUCAGGUGCCCUUAUACAUUAGGUUUUUUUUUCAGUAAUUCCAGAAUUGCAGAAUCAAUCAGACGUGGAGAAUCUUUAUUUUUUUGCAUCGGAUGAAGAAUCUUACCCGAAGACUAAUGACAAAUGAUUCACUUAGAAGACUUUUUGAUUUACUUCCGAUACUAGCAUGAUGUGCAAAAAUAUCAUGCCAAAGCACACAUUAACUUCUAGGAACAUCUCCUCUGGAUUCCUAGAAAUCAAAGAAGAUAAUUAUAAAACUGCCAACCAUGAUAUACUAAUAAAAAGGUAACAAAUCUUAAAAGAAAAUGCAAACAAGAAACACAAAUGAAAAUUGGGCAGUAAAUCUCAAAAGAGAAAGAGGGAGCUUCCCUACUUUAUGUACCUUUAUUAGGAAAUGUGGAUCAUCUCAAUUAUUCCGACUCAUCCCAUCCUAGUUAUCUCGUCCAAAUAUCUUCAGACCUUUGGGUAUUUGGAUGGUUGAGCCUUCCAAUUUAACUUUAGUCAAACAUUCCAACCCAUCGAGACCUAGAAUUUCGACUAAGUUGUUGCAAUUUUGAGCAAUUAACAUCUUUAGACCCUUGGAUUUUGAAAGAUCCAGCUUUUUAAUUGAAGUGCACGAGAUAUUAAGCUUUUCCAAUGACUUCAACCAUUGGAGACCUCGAAUUUCAACUAGGUUUUUGCAAUUUUUAGCAUCUAGUACCUUCAGAUCCUCAGAUUUUGGAAGGUCUAGCCUUUUAAUUGAAGAACACUCAAAGAAAAGUAACUCCUUCACGGACCCUAAAAUAUGGAGAUGUUCAAUUUCGAUUAAGUUUUUGCAAUAUUGAACAUGCAAUAUCUUCAAACUCCCGGAUUUUGAAAGGUCCAACCUUUCAAUUGAAGUGCACCUGACAAUAGAUAACUUCUCUAACAACUUCAGCUUAUCAAGGCCUUGAAUUUCGAUUAAGUUUUGGCAAAAUUGAGCACUUAAUUUCUUCAUGCACUUAGAUUUUGGAAGGUCCAAUCUUUCAAUUAAAGCACACUUGACGAAACAGAGCUCUUCUAGGAAUUCCAGCCAAUUGAGGCCUUGAAUUUCAACUAAGUUUUGGCAAUUUUGAACAUUCAAUAUUUUCAGACCCUUGGGUUUUGAAAGGUCCAACCUUUCAAGUGAAGUGCACUCAACGAUAGAUAUCUUUGCCAAGAAGUCCAACUUAUCAAUGCCUAGAAUUUCCACUGAGUGUUUGCAAUUUUCUACAUGUAAUAUCUUUAGACCCCCAAACUUCGGAAGGUCUAACCUUUCAAUUGAAGCACACUCGAGGACACAUAAUUCUUCCAAGAGCUGCAACUUAUCGAGGUCAUGAAUUUCGACUAAGCUUUGACAACGUUGAACAUGUAAUUUUUUCAUGUCCUUCGAUUUUGGAAGGUCCAACCUUUCAAUUAAAGUGCACUUAGAGAUGCAUAGCUCUUCCAAGUACUCUAACCUAUCGAGGCCUUGAAUUUCAAUUAAGCUGUUGCAAUUCUCAAUUUCUAGUUUUCUCAUGCCUUUGGAUUUUGGAAACCUUUCAAUUGACCCUUUGAUGGUCAUGCUUUCCAAAUAUUUCAAUUUGUCAAGACGGGAAAAUUCACGUAUAUUACAACAACCUUGGGCAGAUAAUGUCUUCAGAUGGUUCAAUUGUGAAACAUCCAGUGUGUCCAUUGAUUCGCAAAACAAGAUUUCUGACAAAUCUAACUUGAAGGGAGUGUUUAGAGAUCGUUGGGAACAUUCUGAAAACUCUAGUAGUGUUGAUGGGAGCUCCAAGAUGCACUUGAGAAUUUUGUAGUUGAGAAGGUGUAGUUGCUUGAGAUUGGUUAAGUGCGAAAGUGAAGUCAUCUUGAAACUUUGACAGGUGACACUCAAAUAUGUUAAGCUGGAAGGAAGCUCCGGCAGCCAUUGAAGCUCCCAGCACUUUAAAACUUCUAAUUUUUUGAGCUUUCUCAACCUUCUAAUAUCAUUGGGUAAUUUCUUUAUUCCAGUCCCAAAAAUAUCCAAAGUUUCUAGAUUUUGCAUAGCCCCUAUGUUGUCCGGUAGGGAAGAAAUGUGACCACAAUUUCUUAGGAGAAGUAGCUCCAGUGCUUCUAAUUUAGUCACUUCUGCCGGCAACUCCUCGAGACUAAUACAUCCCGACAAGUUCAAGCGUGCUAGAGUCUUCAUGUUUCCAAUCGAAGAAUCAAGUUGCUUUAGACUUCGACAACCUUUGAGGAUAAGAACCUCUAAGUUCUUAAAAGCUGAAAGGAAGAAAGUUCCUUCCAAAAAUUGACAAUGUGUUAGGUCGAGAAACUUGAGCUUUUGUCCCGUCUGAUAAAAAAUGUAAUAAUUGUGGAGGGGUUAGCCAAAAGUAAUUUUGAUUCAACAGAAAUCAAUACGAAAAAAGAAAGAAACGACUUGUUUAACCAUCUUACCUUCACAAAAUUCCAUCCCUGCCAUCUGCUAGAAAUCUUGCUUCUCGACAACUCGAGUACAACCAAUUCCUUUACAUUAAAUUCUUUUGCUUCAAAAGUCAAGGGACAAUUGUGCCAUCGAAGCCAUUUUAACUUCUUAGUGCAGUUCUCAAAAUCUCCACUAAAAUGUGCUUCACUUGCGUCGAGGAACCUUAAAUUCCUUAACUUCUUGAAUUGUUUUCCCUUAAGGAUAUUGUCACCUUGGUCAAUGGUUUCACCACAGCUAAGACAAAUGGCCUCAAUCUUUUCUGUUCCCUAUUAGUAGGAAUCAACAUCCAUUAAUACUAUUUAUAUCCAACUUAAGUCAUCUAAUAUCAUUUGUUCAUAUUGCUAUUAUUAUGCAUCGAUCUCUUCAAGAGACUAGCAAAUCCUUUUUUGGCAGAUAAACGGUAUUUAUAAAAGCUAACAAAGUGAAAGAUGUCAAUUCUGACUUUGAAAUUUGGCCAUAAGUACUUUGAUCUUAAAAGAAUUAUGAUGUUCUCUAGUUUUAUUUUAUCAUGUAUAAUAGUUUACAGUUUCUUAUACCCAUUAUAAACGUACUAUUACCCUUUGAUCUACCUAUAGGGUAAAACUUCACAACUGGUAAAUCCUCUUCUCUUGUAUUGUAGUUUUGUUGCUAUACUAGUUAGGACGCACAUGCAAUGCAUGGAAUUUAAUUAAAUUACAAUGCACAAAAUUGAAAGUUCUUGUGAUUAUUGUGACAAUUGGGAAAAAAAAAAAAACUUCUCUUAAUAUAAAAAAAUUUAUCCUUAUGAAGUCCAUCUUUUCUUUUCCGUAUUUUCUUGUGUUUAAAUUUCGUGUAUAUUACUCAGCUGUGUUACUUACAAUUAAUAAAAAUAUAACUUAUACUCAUUUUUGCUUUUUCCAAUGGAGUAAUGACUAAUUGUACGUAACUAAGCUUGUGAUAGUAGUUACUUUAAUAUCAUAUGUAAUUUUUUUUAUUAAUAGUAACUUGAAUUAUUAUCAAUAAUUAAUCUCUAAUUAUAAGCAACUGAGAUAAUGACAUUAAUUAUAUCUAUGCUCUCUAUAACUUAUCAUACUAGCAUAAAUUAUUAUUUAGUUGCAGAUCACAAUUGGCUAUAUUAUAAAUUGAUCAGAAAUUGAAUUAUUCAAGUAUAAUAAGUAUAAUUGUCCUAAAACAAUUAUAAUGAAUAUAAUAAACAGUCCUAAUUUAUUAACUUUGAUUAAUUUGUAUAUAACUAAUUAUUAAAAAUGUAUAGUAUUUUCGGAAUUUUAAAAAUUGAACUUAUUCUUGGCUACAUGAAAUAGCGAGUAACUCCUUGGCCCCCAGGAAUAGCUAGUCCUGAUUUUGAGAGAAUAGCUAUUUCAAAUCUACUUUUUGAAUCAAAGGAAUGAAAAAUUGCUUCAAUUUUAAUGAAUUAAAAACAUGAUAGUUAUUCCUGCGAACCAAAUGUGCAACAAGCUUUCACCAAGAAAAAUCACUUAUGCAUAAGAAGUUAAGGAGCACCAACAAUUCAUGGAUUUCCAGAUCCAUGUCAGUUUAUUCAAACCAGAAAAUUUCUUAUUGUAUUUACAAUGUUUCUUAAGAUUUCAUGGAAACUCAGAGAGAAUGACAUAAUUAGUGGAGAUCUUAUACCUAAAAGAAAACCCAUGAGAAGAGUAAUUAUAAAAAAAGUAAGCAACCUCCAAGAGAAGUAAACAUACUCAGAUUAGUCAUUUCCAUGAGAAAAUUCCCUCUCAAAAUAUGAAGAAAUCUAUCUGUCGUCAAAAUUGAGUAACACUCAUGGUCAAAUCCCAAAAAAAAGCCAAACCAUUUGUACUUGAGACAAAAGUAACACAAUCUUUCAAAUGUCCCCAAAAAAAAAAAAAAAAAACCCUAAUGUAUCGGGGACAUGUUGACAUGGAACAAAGCCCAACCUUUUAGCCGGGAGAAAAACCGACAUCUAUUGUAAAUUACAUUCAUUAAAUUGCCACUAAUAUCCUACAUGGGUCACUGUGUUGACGUACACAGCGAGCCACAUCAACCAGCACAGAAGAACGACGUUGCCUUUUCAUUUAUAAUCUUUGCCAACAAAAUUAGUGUAUAAUCUUUGUUAUCAAAUUUUAGCAUUUUGUAAAAAACAAAACAGAAAGCCGUAUAAUUAAAAUUGUUUUUGUGCAUGUCAGCCCAAUGAGCCAUGUAGGUGUCGUGUGUCUAUUUAAGGUGAGAGGAGAAUAGGUAGAAUUUGUAAUAGAUGCCAUUUUUGUAUCGCGAGUGAAGAAGGGCUGAGCUUUUCCCUGGGAAGUUCGAAAGGUGGUGUUAUUAUCAGCUCACAUGCUUGUGUAACGACCAGGCCCCACUGUGUGAUAUUGUCCGCUUUGGACUGCUUUGGACUGAUCGAGAGUUGAUCGAUCGGCCGUGACACUUGCUUGGGCUUCCUUUUAGGAUAUUUUAGGUUGUGUUAUUAUUGUCAAGGGUGCAAAAGGCUGCACUAUUUUCACUUGGCAGUUCACUCACUAAUAAUGUCUGAGGAAUGAGUUAUAAAUGUGUUCUAAUUAUGCUUUAAAUGUCUUUUGUUUUUGUUUAUUUUGUAAGUCGUGCCAAUGCUCUUGUCCAUGCUUUGCACUUCACAUGACGAAUAUCGAGAUUGACUGUUUUCGAUGACAUACAUGACGAUAACUUCUAAUAUUGAUCGGAUGUAGGAAUCAACUUACAAGAAUAUUGUAUCANNNNNNNNNNNNNNNNNNNNNNNNNNNNNNNNNNNNNNNNNNNNNNNNNNNNNNNNNNNNNNNNNNNNNNNNNNNNNNNNNNNNNNNNNNNNNNNNNNNNNNNNNNNNNNNNNNNNNNNNNNNNNNNNNNNNNNNNNNNNNNNNNNNNNNNNNNNNNNNNNNNNNNNNNNNNNNNNNNNNNNNNNNNNNNNNNNNNNNNNNNNNNNNNNNNNNNNNNNNNNNNNNNNNNNNNNNNNNNNNNNNNNNNNNNNNNNNNNNNNNNNNNNNNNNNNNNNNNNNNNNNNNNNNNNNNNNNNNNNNNNNNNNNNNNNNNNNNNNNNNNNNNNNNNNNNNNNNNNNNNNNNNNNNNNNNNNNNNNNNNNNNNNNNNNNNNNNNNNNNNNNNNNNNNNNNNNNNNNNNNNNNNNNNNNNNNNNNNNNNNNNNNNNNNNNNNNNNNNNNNNNNNNNNNNNNNNNNNNNNNNNNNNNNNNNNNNNNNNNNNNNNNNNNNNNNNNNNNNNNNNNNNNNNNNNNNNNNNNNNNNNNNNNNNNNNNNNNNNNNNNNNNNNNNNNNNNNNNNNNNNNNNNNNNNNNNNNNNNNNNNNNNNNNNNNNNNNNNNNNNNNNNNNNNNNNNNNNNNNNNNNNNNNNNNNNNNNNNNNNNNNNNNNNNNNNNNNNNNNNNNNNNNNNNNNNNNNNNNNNNNNNNNNNNNNNNNNNNNNNNNNNNNNNNNNNNNNNNNNNNNNNNNNNNNNNNNNNNNNNNNNNNNNNNNNNNNNNNNNNNNNNNNNNNNNNNNNNNNNNNNNNNNNNNNNNNNNNNNNNNNNNNNNNNNNNNNNNNNNNNNNNNNNNNNNNNNNNNNNNNNNNNNNNNNNNNNNNNNNNNNNNNNNNNNNNNNNNNNNNNNNNNNNNNNNNNNNNNNNNNAUGAGAAGCACCUACAGAGAUGAGCAAACUUAUCAACAUUCCAUAACCUCCUAAGAAUUUUACUUGGCCAGUCAAGCAAGGAGACUCUGCAACAUUGAUUUCAUCUACAAGGCUCAAGACCAUUUGACAUCGACAAUAAGACCGUUCAAUCAAUGUGGAACAGCUCCAAUCAACAGUGCUCCACUUGAAGGAAUCGUCAAAACAAGUAGAUCUAAAAGAUUCAUAUAAUAACAUAAGUGAAGGAUUGAGGAACACCAGGGCAUCCCGCCAUAGGUAAUAAGGAACCGUGUGUCAUGAUCACUUGAUUCCUUGAAGUCUGGAACAAAGCAUACCUAACACGACCAUGAAUGAGCCCAUCUCUGGUGAAAGCCAACAAAAUCACACAAUCCAUUGCUCUAAAAUGAAGUAAGACAACAGAAUAUGGCGAAAGAUUGCAAGAGCAAAACUUGUCCAUCAAGGAUAUACUACCUCCUCCUACAAUUCUGCUUGAAGCUUUCUUUGAAAAUUGCCAAUAACUCAAGCCUCAGACAUCAACUGUGCUGACUCGUGAGACUUUUCUUGUCAGAAGGCUCUUCCAACAAAACAAAUACCUUCAAGUUGACUAGAUGAUUCCAUAAUGUACAUCUGCUGAGGACAGACAUAUAUGUCCUUAAGUAAGAACCUUCAUGAAGAAGGUAUUUAUCCAGGCUAAUUGACCAACUUUUUCAUUUAUUCCACAUGUUAUGCAAGAGUCAACACAAAUCGAAUUGUCUUCAUGAUUCUAGUCCAAAUUUUCCCAUUUCAGGCGGUAUGAGCAUAUGCCUCUUCCAUGUGCAUGAAUCAAAUGGGUGGGUUAAGUUGGAGGGAGGCAUGGAGAGAAUGAGAGGAAUAAUCUUUCUUUUUUAAGCCUAGAAUUAUAGCCAAAGCUCCACUAAACGGAAUCAUAGCUCACAUCCAAGGAAUUUUGCCUACACAAACAGUUAAGGAAGCAACCACUUCAUUUGUGUGUCAUGAAACAAGUAAAUUCCGCCAUCUAUUGCCAUGGCGGACUGCUGCUUUAGAACAACACAUUGAUCUAUCUCGAAUCAUUGCAAAUGCUACUUUAGUAAUCCUCUUCCGACAGCAAUCAUCAGCAAUAGGAAUCUUGUUCCAUUUCAUGUACACUAGCCUAUAUGAACCAGCCUCUCUUCUGUGCCAUGGUCUACCAUCUUGAUUAAAUCUCCUUUCAUCGUGUAGGGGAAAAAAAGGCAGAGCACGAGCAUAGAGAUCCCAGAAUUCUACUUUGAAACCCAAACUACAGUAUCCGCAUUAUGCAUUUAUCUUAGAUAUGUUCAAAAGCCGACCAUUCUAGCAGAUAUUUCCCAAUGUUCUCAAUUUGCUACAUUGCAUGAGAACCAGGAUCUAGGGUAAAGGUCAGAAAGCUUGUCACUCGAAUGAGCAAAAGACUUCAAACCUAUACAUCUGGAGAAGGCAGAUCUAGUGCUGCGAAGGGGCUCCUGUUCGUCUUGGGGAUGGCAAAGUAUCUUGACAGGAAGGGAUCACGGUAGGAGACGGGACUGAAAUCAGAAUAAGAAAAGAUAACUGGCUAAGAUCUGGAGUCAUUGGUGGCGAGGCAGCCCCCCAACUAGUGGCAGGCUUAAUUGACAAAGAGGAAUUCAAGUGGAAAGAGCAUAUGAUUAAUGGGAUAUUUGACGAAAGAACUACGAACGAAAUCCUAGCUGUUCCUAUCAGCUCAACCAUGGACAAAGACAAGAUGGUUUGGACAUGCACAACCUCAAGCUCUAACUCAGUGAAAAGUGCCUACCAUCACUUAAUGUCAACAGAAACAAAGCAGCAAGCAGAACAACUAACAUCCUCAUAUCAAACACCCAGAUAGCAAUGGAAAUUGAUUUGGAACAUGAAUGUUAACACAAAAAUGAGGCUCUUUACUGGAACGUGUGCCAAAAUGCAAUCCCAUCUUUAGAGAACUUGUUCAAAAGGAAAGUCUUACCUGAACCCAUCUGCCCCCUUUGCCAAAAGACCCAAGAAACAGUUGAGCAUAUUUUUCAAUGAUGCGACUGGACUCGUGAGGUCUGGAAUCACCCAAAAUUAGAUAUCAGAAUCACGGGCAAGGAGCUCAGUCACAUGGAGGAGACGAUUCUACAAUGAGGUAACCCAAAUGCAAACUCACUUUCACAAGAUUUGGUAGCAGGGGUUCUCUGGAACAUUUGGAAGGCUUGGAACCAUUUCAUCUUGCGCCAUCAAAAACCAGGUUAGAGUAGCAUAGUGGAAGCGAACAUGGCUGCACAAAAGAACUUUGAGAGAUGGAAUUAUAGAAGGCAAAAACGAACACAGCAGCAGGAACUCUUACCCGAGAUGUGAAACCCAUCGAGAAGGGGUUGGCUGAAGAUCAACGUUGGCGGGUCUCUAGUGGACGGACAAACCGCGGGAAGCGUUGCCGGGAUAUGCGGAGACGAAGCUGGGAGAGUGGAGAAUCAUUUAUUUUGCAUUUCUCAAUCUAUACAAUUACCUUCGGCAUGUUAUCAGGUGCCCUUAUACAUUAGGUUUUUUUUUUCAGUAAUUCCAGAAUUGCAGAAUCAAUCAGACGUGGAGAAUCUUUAUUUUUUUUGCAUCCGAUGAAGAAUCUUACCCGAAGACUAAUGACAAAUGAUUCACUUAGAAGACUUUUUGAUUUACUUCCGAUACUAGCAUGAUGUGCAAAAAUAUCAUGCCAAAGCACACAUUAACUUCUAGGAACAUCUCCUCUGGAUUCCUAGAAAUCAAAUAAGAUAAUUAUAAAACUGCCAACCAUGAUAUACUAAUAAAAAGGUAACAAAUCUUAAAAGAAAAUGCAAACAAGAAACACAAAUGAAAAUUGGGCAGUAAAUCUCAAAAGAGAAAGAGGGAGCUUCCCUACUUUAUGUACCUUUAUUAGGAAAUGUGGAUCAUCUCAAUUAUUCCGACUCAUCCCAUCCUAGUUAUCUCGUCCAAAUAUCUUCAGACCUUUGGGUAUUUGUAUGGUCGAGCCUUCCAAUUUAACUUUAGUCAAACAUUCCAACCCAUCGAGACCUAGAAUUUCGACUAAGUUGUUGCAAUUUCGAGCAAUUAACAUCUUUAGACCCUUGGAUUUUGAAAGAUCCAGCUUUUUAAUUGAAGUGCACGAGAUAUUAAGCUUUUCCAAUGACUUCAACCAUUGGAGACCUCGAAUUUCAACUAGGUUUUUGCAAUUUUUAGCAUCUAGUACCUUCAGAUCCUCAGAUUUUGGAAGGUCUAGCAUUUUAAUUGAAGAACACUCAAAGAAAAGUAACUCCUUCACGGACCCUAAAAUAUGGAGAUGUUCAAUUUCGAUUAAUUUUUUGCAAUAUUGAACAUGCAAUAUCUUCAAACUCCCGGAUUUUGAAAGGUCCAACCUUUCAAUUGAAGUGCACCUGACAAUAGAUAACUUCUCUAACAACUCCAGCUUAUCAAGGCCUUGAAUUUCGAUUAAGUUUUGGCAAAAUUGAGCACUUAAUUUCUUCAUGCACUUAGAUUUUGGAAGGUCCAAUCUUUCAAUUAAAGCACACUUGACGAAACAGAGCUCUUCUAGGAAUUCUAGCCAAUUGAGGCCUUGAAUUUCAACUAAGUUUUGGCAAUUUUGAACAUUCAAUAUUUUCAGACCCUUGGGUUUUGAAAGGUCCAACCUUUCAAGUGAAGUGCACUCAACGAUAGAUAUCUUUGCCAAGAAGUCCAACUUAUCAAUGCCUUGAAUUUCCACUGAGUGUUUGCAAUUUUCUACAUGUAAUAUCUUUAGACCCCCAAACUUCGGAAGGUCUAACCUUUCAAUUGAAGCACACUCAAGGACACAUAAUUCUUCCAAGAGCUGCAACUUAUCGAGGUCAUGAAUUUCGACUAAGCUUUGACAACGUUGAACAUGUAAUUUUUUCAUGUCCUUCGAUUUUGGAAGGUCCAACCUUUCAAUUAAAGUGCACUUAGAGAUGCACAGCUCUUCCAAGUACUCUAACCUAUCGAGGCCUUGAAUUUCAAUUAAGCUGUUGCAAUUCUCAAUUUCUAGUUUUCUCAUGCCUUUGGAUUUUGGAAACCUUUCAAUUGACCCUUUGAUGGUCAUGCUUUCCAAAUAUUUCAAUUUGUCAAGACGGGAAAAUUCACGUAUAUUACAACAACCUUGGGCAGAUAAUGUCUUCAGAUGGUUCAAUUGUGAAACAUCCAGUGUGUCCAUUGAUUCGCAAAACAAGAUUUCUGACAAAUCUAACUUGAAGGGAGUGUUUAGAGAUCGUUGGGAACAUUCUGAAAACUCUAGUAGUGUUGAUGGGAGCUCCAAGAUGCACUUGAGAAUUUUGUAGUUGAGAAGGUGUAGUUGCUUGAGAUUGGUUAAGUGCGAAAGUGAAGUCAUCUUGAAACUUUGACAGGUGACACUCAAAUAUGUUAAGCUGGAAGGAAGCUCCGGCAGCCAUUGAAGCUCCCAGCACUUUAAAACUUCUAAUUUUUUUAGCUUUCUCAGCCUUCUAAUAUCAUUGGGUAAUUUCUUUAUUCCAGUCCCAAAAAUAUCCAAAGUUUCUAGAUUUUGCAUAGCCCCUAUGUUGUCCGGUAGGGAAGAAAUGUGACCACAAUUUCUUAGGAGAAGUAGCUCCAGUGCUUCUAAUUUAGUCACUUCUGCCGGCAACUCCUCGAGACUAAUACAUCCCGACAAGUUCAAGCGUGCUAGAGUCUUCAUGCUUCCGAUCGAAGAAUCAAGUUGCUUCAGACUUCGACAACCUUUGAGGAUAAGAACCUCUAAGUUCUUAAAAGCUGAAAGGAAGAAAGUUCCUUCCAAAAAUUGACAAUGUGUUAGGUCGAGAAACUUGAGCUUUUGUCCCGUCUGAUAAAAAAUGUAAUAAUUGUGGAGGGGUUAGCCAAAAGUAAUUUUGAUUCAACAGAAAUCAAUACGAAAAAAGAAAGAAACGACUUGUUUAACCAUCUUACCUUCACAAAAUUCCAUCCCUGCCAUCUGCUAGAAAUCUUGCUUCUCGACAACUCGAGUACAACCAAUUCCUUUACAUUAAAUUCUUUUGCUUCAAAAGUCAAGGGACAAUUGUGCCAUCGAAGCCAUUUUAACUUCUUAGUGCAGUUCUCAAAAUCUCCACUAAAAUGUGCUUCACUUGCGUCGAGGAACCUUAAAUUCCUUAACUUCUUGAAUUGUUUUCCCUUAAGGAUAUUGUCACCUUGGUCAAUGGUUUCACCACAGCUAAGACAAAUGGCCUCAAUCUUUUCUGUUCCCUAUUAGUAGGAAUCAACAUCCAUUUAUACUAUUUAUAUCCAACUUAAGUCAUCUAAUAUCAUUUGUUCAUAUUGCUAUUAUUAUGCAUCGAUCUCUUCAAGAGACUAGCAAAUCCUUUUUUGACAGAUAAACGGUAUUUAUAAAAGCUAACAAAGUGAAAGAUGUCAAUUCUGACUUUGAAAUUUGGCCAUAAGUACUUUGAUCUUAAAAGAAUUAUGAUGUUCUCUAGUUUUAUUUUAUCAUGUAUAAUAGUUUACAGUUUCUUAUACCCAUUAUAAACGUACUAUUACCCUUUGAUCUACCUAUAGGGUAAAACUUCACAACUGGUAAAUCCUCUUCUCUUGUAUUGUAGUUUUGUUGCUAUACUAGUUAGGACGCACAUGCAAUGCAUGGAAUUUAAUUAAAUUACAAUGCACAAAAAUUGAAAGUUCUUGCGAUUAUUGUGACAAUUGGGAAAAAAAAAAACUUCUCUUAAUAUUAAAAAAUUUAUCCUUAUGAAGUCCAUCUUUUAUUUUCCGUAUUUUCUUGUGUUUAAAUUUCGUGUAUAUUACUCAGCUGUGUUACUUACAAUUAAUAAAAAUAUAACUUAUACUCAUUUUUGCUUUUUCCAAUGGAGUAAUGACUAAUUGUACGUAACUAAGCUUGUGAUAGUAGUUACUUUAAUAUCAUAUCUAUUUUUUUUUAUUAAUAGUAACUUGAAUUAUUAUCAAUAAUUAAUCUCUAAUUAUAAGCAACUGAGAUAAUGACAUUAAUUAUAUCUAUGCUCUCUAUAACUUAUCAUACUAGCAUAAAUUAUUAUUUAGUUGCAGAUCACAAUUGGCUAUAUUAUAAAUUGAUCAGAAAUUGAAUUAUUCAAGUAUAAUAAGUAUAAUUGUCCUAAAACAAUUAUAAUGAAUAUAAUAAACAGUCCUAAUUUAUUAACUUUGAUUAAUUUGUAUAUAACUAAUUAUUAAAAAUGAAAUAGCGAGUAACUUAUUGAACUUAAAAAUUGAACUUAUUCUUGGCUACAUGAAAUAGCGAGUAACUCCUUGGCCCCCAGGAAUAGCUAGUCCUGAUUUUGAGAGAAUAGCUAUUUCAAAUCUACUUUUUGAAUCAAAGGAAUGAAAAAUUGCUUCAAUUUUAGUGAAUUAAAAACAUGAUAGCUAUUCCUGCGAACCAAAUGUGCAACAAGCUUUCACCAAGAAAAAUCACUUAUGCAUAAGAAGUUAAGGAGCACCAACAAUUCAUGGAUUUCCAGAUCCAUGUCAGUUUAUUCAAACCAGAAAAUUUCUUAUUGUAUUUACAAUGUUUCUUAAGAUUUCAUGGAAACUCAGAGGAGAAUGACAUAAUUAGUGGAGAUCUUAUACCUAAAAGAAAACCAUGAGAAGAGUAAUUAUAAAAAAAGUAAGCAACCUCCAAGAGAAGUAAACAUACUCAGAUUAGUCAUUUCCAUGAGAAAAUUCCCUCUCAAAAUAUGAAGAAAUCUAUCUGUCGUCAAAAUUGAGUAACACUCAUGGUCAAAUCCCAAAAAAAAGCCAAACCAUUUGUACUUGAGACAAAAGGAACACAAUCUUUCAAAAUGUCCCAAAAAAAAAAAAAGCCUAAUGUAUCGGGGACAUGUUGACAUGGAACAAAGCCCAACCUUUUAGCCGGGAGAAAAACCGACAUCUAUUGUAAAUUACAUUCAUUAAAUUGCCACUAAUAUCCUACAUGGGUUACUGUGUUGACGUACACAGCGAGCCACAUCAACCAGCACAGAAGAACGACGUUGCUUUUUCAUUUAUAAUCUUUGCCAACAAAAUUAGUGUAUAAUCUUUGUUAUCAAAUUUUAGCAUUUUGUAAAUAAAUAAAAAAAAAAGCCGUAUAAUUAAAAUUGUUUUUGUGCAUGUCAGCCCAAUGAGCCAUGUAGGUGUCGUGUGUCUAUUUAAGGUGAGAGGAGAAUAGGUAGAAUUUGUAAUAGAUGCCAUAUUUGUAUCGCGAGUGAAGAAGGGCUGAGCUUUUCCCUGGGAAGUUCGAAAGGUGGUGUUAUUAUCAGCUCACAUGCUUGUGUAACGACCAGGCCCCACUGUGUGAUAUUGUCCACUUUGGACUGAUCGAGAGUUGAUCGAUCGGCCCGUGACACUUGCUUGGGCUUCCUUUUAGGAUAUUUUAGGUUGUGUUAUUAUUGUCAAGGGUGCAAAAGGCUGCACUAUUUUCACUUGGCAGUUCACUCACUAAUAAUGUCCGAGGAAUGAGUUAUAAAUGUGUUCUAAUUAUGCUUUAAAUGUCUUUUGUUUUUGUUUAUUUUGUAAGUCGUGCCAAUGCUCUUGUCCAUGCUUUGCACUUCACAUGACGAAUAUCGAGAUUGACUGUUUUCGAUGACAUACAUGACGAUAACUUCUAAUAUUGAUCGGAUGUAGGAAUCAACUUACAAGAAUAUUUGUAUCAGUUGUCUCAGCCGCUUUAACUUGGAGUAAUGACAGUGCCAUGAAUGAAGAAGAAAAAUGAACCCAGCAAGAAUUAUGAAAAAAUUACGACCAAUGACGUACCUUUUUAGUUUGUAAAGCCAUCAAUACCAAAGUUAUCUAGACUUAAAUAUACAGCAUAUUCAUUUUUCUUUUAGUUAGUUCAGUUUAUUUUAUGAUGUAAUACGAAGACAUAACAAAUGAACAUUGGCUUUAAUAUGAUAACAUAGAAAUCAGCUCUUGAGAUUAUAUAUAGGUUGCACGUUGAAAAUGCAAAUAUGUGCUAGUUUUUGAGCAACAACUCCGAGUCAAACAAAUGAUGGAUCAAGAAUAUUAAGAGUCAAAACUAUGAUUAAUUUCACACAUACAAUACAAUCACAUAAUUAUAUACAAAAUAGAAUUUUAGAGUAAUUACCUUUGGGACUUUUUAUAUGAAAUAAAUAAGACAUUUCUCUUUUCAAUAGUCAUUGCAUCAAAUACGCUUAAUGUCAUAUAUAUCUGCAUACAUUAUGUUCAUAUUCUAUUAAUUAUAUGUUCGGUAAGUUUUGAAUCAGUCCUUAUUAUGUGAAUUUUGGUAAAAGGAAUUACUAACUUAAUAUUACAUAAAAUAAAUAUCCCUUCCAUUCUCAAAUACAUUAUAAUGAUUGAAAUUUCAUGAGAAAUGUGGGCAUGAUUGCUCCUACUAUAUCAAUUCCAACACCUAGAGAGUAGAAUUUUAUGAUUUAUAUAUCCUAAGGAAGUUAUGGUUUACAGUAGCAUAGUCAAAGUUAUUAUUGCAUGUGUCAAGGAUGUAAUUGAAUAAAUUUUAGAAGUUAAGGAUUUUGUCAAUAUAGAAUACCUCUAUCAAGUAUCUAAUAAAUUUGAAAAUAGCUCGUACUUNNNNNNNNNNNNNNNNNNNNNNNNNNNNNNNNNNNNNNNNNNNNNNNNNNNNNNNNNNNNNNNNNNNNNNNNNNNNNNNNNNNNNNNNNNNNNNNNNNNNNNNNNNNNNNNNNNNNNNNNNNNNNNNNNNNNNNNNNNNNNNNNNNNNNNNNNNNNNNNNNNNNNNNNNNNNNNNNNNNNNNNNNNNNNNNNNNNNNNNNNNNNNNNNNNNNNNNNNNNNNNNNNNNNNNNNNNNNNNNNNNNNNNNNNNNNNNNNNNNNNNNNNNNNNNNNNNNNNNNNNNNNNNNNNNNNNNNNNNNNNNNNNNNNNNNNNNNNNNNNNNNNNNNNNNNNNNNNNNNNNNNNNNNNNNNNNNNNNNNNNNNNNNNNNNNNNNNNNNNNNNNNNNNNNNNNNNNNNNNNNNNNNNNNNNNNNNNNNNNNNNNNNNNNNNNNNNNNNNNNNNNNNNNGCUUUUCUUUUGCUGGUCCCAAUGAAAAAGCAAGCAAUAUCCAAAAAUAUCUGUUUUUGUCUAUAAUCCAAUGCUUCAUAACUUAUCCUUAACUUUUCUUGCACUUUCUUAUGAGGGACUUUUCUUAACUUUUUUAUCGUAUCCCUCCAUAGCAUUGGCUGUUGUCCACACAAAUAUGAACCUAGAACCUCAAGAGAUAAGGGAAGCCCUCCAGUGGUGGACACAACAUCAUAAGCGAGGUCUUCAAAUUCACUUGGAGGAGAGUCCUUUCGAAAUGCAUGUCUACUAAAUAGAAUCAAAGAUUUAUCCUUAUCCAAUUCCUCAUGUUCAUAGUUGUAGUUCACCCGAGCAUUGUCAAGAAUACUCUUGUUUCUGGUGGUAAUAAUGAUCCUACUUCCUGAAGAAAACCAAUGAUGAUUUCCAGCCAAAGCUUUCAGCUGAUCAUAAUCAUCUACAUCAUCAAGAAGAAUGAGGACUUUCUUACCUUUAAGCAUUAAUGAGAGGAUCUUAAUCCCUUCAUCCUUAUUACGAGCUUGAUUGUCUUGCUUCAAUAUAUCAACGAUUAACUGAUUUUGUAAGCAAUGAAUGCCAAAGCGCUCCCAUGACUCCUUAAUAUCAGCAAUGAAGCUAUGAUACUCAAAUUUAUUUAAGAGCUUGUUGUAGAUGGUUUUAGCAAGAGUUGUCUUGCCAAUGCCUCCCAUUCCAUGGAUGCCAACAAAUAGGGUGUCACAAGGACUUUUAUCUACAAAUUUUAUAAUCUUCUCCACAUGACUGUUAAUUCCAACCAAAUUCUCAGGAAUAUUCAACUCAAACUUUUUUUUCAACUCGCUUAACACUUUCCGGACAAUCGAUUUUACCAAUUCUCCUUCAUACCUAUCAAGUGUAACAGGAGUUCAAAUACAUCGUAAAUAUAAUUUUAUAUUGUUUAUCUAAUGAGAGCACAGUAGUAAAUAAGUCUAGGGAUAAAUCCUAAUACUUUAACAAUCAUUUUGUCCACCUUCAUAUAUUAGCAUACUUUGGAUUGAAAUCAUAUUUCAAACUUCUUGUUGUUGAAGAUAUUAUGGAUGACAUGGACAUGGCUUUGAAAACUUUUUAGAGCGUUUGGAUAAGAAAAAUUCAAUUAGGCAACAUGGUAUGAGAGCUCAGCCACCAAUUAACAAACAAGUUGCAACUUUUGAUGCAAGAGGAAUUUAAGUCUUAUAUACCAAUCCCGAAAGUCGUUCAAAGUGCUUUAUUGUGAACUACUUGAAUACAAUUAGGGGAUUUCUCCUUAUUUGCCCAAUUUUACAUGCUUGCAAGUUUCUGCUCGUGCUGUGAAUUUUGAUUCUAAAUUCAUGUUCUUAUCAAUUUCCAUUGCAUCAAGAGUUGAUAACAUGUACUUUACUUUCCUUUUGGUGUCUAUAUUAUAUGUAUUGAUUUUAUUGGGAAGUAGAAGGAUAAAUUUUCGCAAAAAAAAAAAAAAAAGAGAACAUCGCUUUGAUAUAGGAAAAUGCAUUGAAAAUUAUUUGAACAAACGUAUUACAAAGAUAAUACUUUUUCCUCAACCAUCUCUUUUUUGACUUGCUUAGUUGAAUUACAAUCUCACAUAAAUUUGUAAAUAGAAAAGUUUGUAAUGAAGAUUGAUGUAGCUUACACUGUAAACAUGGGAAAAAAAAGGCACAAUCUAACAAAAUCUUUGGAUAUAAGAGCAAAAAUUCAUUUGAAAAAUCUUAUAUUAUUCAAGCGAUUGUAAUCAUAACAAUGAAAUCUAUAUUAGAUUGGUCAAUAUCAUCUUAUUAAGAAACUGAAAAAAGAUAAUUUAUGGAACUUAUGCAUCGCCAUGUGUUACUACUAUAAAAAUCUUGCUGCUAACCAAUAAAAACGAAAAAGAAGCGAGUAGGAAUCAGAUUCAGGAAACACCCCUACAAAUUAAAAGAAGGUACAUAAUGCUUUCGUGAAAGAUUUUACCCAUUAGCGUCCCAUCCUUUCAAGGAACUAACUUCAACAAGUGCUUGCUUCCAUUUAUCGAAAAUUGUUGGGUCGAAACGCCUCUCGCGCUUAUGAAAUGCAUCCCCAAAACUCCCGAUUUGAUGUCGCACGUGAGCUGGCUCCACUUUGUAGAAUAUCGGCAACACUAUAUGCCCGCUGUCACUUUUCUUGCACUCCAUUAUUUGAACAAGCUCGUCCAUGCACCAAUUACUUGAACCAUAAUUUACAGAGAGAAUCGGGAUUAGGAUCUUACUAUUCUUGAUGGCUGUCAAAAGAUCUGGGCCGAUCAUCUCUCCUUGCCGAAUCUCAUUAUUGUCUCUAAAAGUAUGAAUUCCAGCAUCGAGAAGGCCGUUGUAGAGGUGAUCAGUGAAACCCUUUCGAGUAUCUACACCUCUAAAGUUCAAGAACACAUCAUAGUAGUUUCCAAUUGAUGCGGUCAAUGAACUAGAUCCACCAGAAUUAGUUUUUGUGGGCGCAGUCAACAGAUCAGACGCACCAGUAUUUGCAUCUUCUGCAUUUCUAUGCACACCGACGUUGCAUUUCUCAAUGGGAGGAUGCAUUUCUUCUUUGCCUUCAAGUGGUGGAAUUUCAAUGCCCAAGAAAAUCCGAGAUGAUACCUGCCCUGGAAGAAGAGAAUAUGUGAGAUGCAGAAGCAAUCAAAUUAAGUAGUACCAAAAAGAAAAAGACAAGUGCCAUCAUAGAAUUAGUCCGGCAAUCCAUUGUGCUAGAUACAUUAUGUUACUACCGCAUUACAUNNNNNNNNNNNNNNNNNNNNNNNNNNNNNNNNNNNNNNNNNNNNNNNNNNNNNNNNNNNNNNNNNNNNNNNNNNNNNNNNNNNNNNNNNNNNNNNNNNNNACCUUAAUAUAAGAUCGAUUUGAAAAGGAGGAUACAGAAUCAAGAAAAAGCAUUCUCAAAGAAUAAAAAAUCGAUCCAGUCCGGGUAGUUCAGUUGGUCCGAAUCCCACCCUAGAAACAGAAAUUGGAUCACCCAUCACCGUUUCCAAUUUCAUGGAAUCAGGAACUAGACUAGCACUCUUGUGAACCACCUAGAACCAGCUGGUCCAAUCUAGUUCAGGCAGUUAUCAGUUCAGACGGUUCCCAUUACACACCGCUAAUAUUCUUGAGAGGACAUGUAGAGAGGAAAAAAGAAUUCUGCGUACUUCACUAUCCUUUUCGAUUCACAUAGAUGUCCACUCCAUCCGACCGCCUCUAGUUGUCAAUGUGGGUUUCUCUAUGACGGAUCAGCUAUCGGUGUUCAUGCUAUAAUUUGCUAUUAAAGUGGGGAAUACGACAGAACAAAGGACUCUCCAUUCUUAAGAAAAAGAUUGAAUGACACACAUCGAGACUCAACCACAUAUUCAGGCCCUCAGACAUUCUCUCGAUUAUCGAAAGAUGGUGCACUAAAAGCAGCUUGAUGGAAGGAGUUCGGAACUGCCCAUAAAAUAGAUGAAGUUGACACUUAAAUUUUGGCCACCAUAUUUAAUUCUUUAUCGCAUAGAAAAAUUAAGUAUUAACCCAACCCCAUAACAAAAGUACAAUGAUCAUAAUUUAUAUUCACAUAUUAUUUAAGUCAUGCAUCACAUACAAGCCACAUGACCCCACAUGAUAUUAUGAUGGACCGUCAUGCAUGCAAACGUGGGCACUAUGACUGGCCAUCUUCAGGAAGAGUUUCAAUUCUGCACCCCACUCCUGAUUGAUAAUGUUGGUUACUAAGUUGUUGCUUGCAGAAUUUAUCUCCAUUCGGGCACACCGGGGAACGCCGGAUUACCCCCCAUAUGGUCGACUAAAGAUGAAUGAAUCUGGAUGAAUAUACUUCGACCUUCGAGAUAAGGCUUAGAUAUAUUUGCAUGCAAAAUUAAGUGAAAUUUGGUGUACAUGAAUUGGCAACAAAAGAUGGAAGGAUUCGGUCAAGAUGGACUUUGAAUUUAUGAGAAGCCGAGAGAGGAAUGUGUCCGUGAAGAGAGACAUAUAGUGCAAAAGAGGGGAAAAUAUAUAAAAAGAUCUCUUAGGUUGUUAUGGAGGGACAAGCAUUUGUUUAUUUCGUCUCUUUUAUCUGCUUACAAGGACACACAUACUCGGCUAGCACAUGUGGACAUAAUAUUCAACACCACAUUGGGAGAUAAAGAUGACGGGUUUAGAAGUAAUAUCGAGUUGGGGACCAACGGUCCUCAAUUAGCGUGAAUACUUCCAUAUCCUUAACUCACGCAACAUUGAAUUUCCAUUUUAAUUCGAUUAAUCAUAUGAGAAUUAUACAUGAAGAGUUGCCUCUAACUUAUUAGGGCCGAGUAUAAAUCAAGUGAAGUAUGGGAGAUACCUUACUUCCUACGUAACUAGAGAUCCAGUGUUGUUGUGUCGAAGACUUAGGCAUUGUUUGGUAACCAUCCAAAUAGUGGCUGAUUCUAAUUUUUUGUUCCUGGGAUUAGUUUGGGAACAUAAUCGCGUUUGGUAAAAUUUUUGUUCCUGAGAACAGAUUUGGAGUAGAAUAAAAAAAAAAUUGAUUCUUGUUCCGGGAACAAAAGAAAGAAUAAAAAAAGUGGAACCCUUCUCUCCCCUCCUCUGUUGCCGUUCGCCAUUGUCCACCAUUUACCGUCACCGCUGUUCGCCGCCAUCCACCGUCGUCCAUCGCCGCCGUCCGCCAGUCGCCGGCAACCAGUCCAGCAAGCUCGUCGGAGGCAAGCCUAGCCUUGCCGGUGGCCAGGCGGGCCUCGCCCAGCCCCGCUGGUGGCCAGGCAAGCCUCGCCCAGCCCCAGCGAGGCCGAGCCUCGGCGGGGCUGGGCACGGGCUGGGCAAGGCUCGCCUAGCUGCCGACGAGGCUCGGUCGACGAGGGCCGGCCUCGCCGAGAGCUGGCGAUGCUCCGGUGAGGUCGCCGGCCUAAAGAAGAAGAAGAAGAGGAAUAGGAGAAAAAAGAAAAAAAGAAAAAAAGAAAAAAAAAGAAAAAGGAAAAAAGUGUAAAAAUUAUUUAAAAAUUAAAAAGAAAUUGAUUUGGAACAGAAUUAAUGAGCACAGUACCAAACGCAAUUCUAUUCCAGAAUCAGAAAUUUUGGACAGUUACCAAAUGGCUUAAAAUACUUAGAAUAUGUUCUAAGAACAGAAUAAAAAAGAAUUAUUUCUGAUCAGAAUCUACUUCCAGGAACAAAAUCGUUACCAAACGCACCCUUAAUUACAUAAGUUAUCUAACUAUUGCCCUUUUAAUCCCUAAGCUUAAUUACUUACCUAGGUAUUUUUACAAAAUUAUAAAUCUUAAGGUUCUCAUCCGCUAAGUGAACAAGCAAUGCUUUUGUGUUUAUAAUGAUUUGAAAUGUACCCAAAAUAUUCAGCUAAAACAAGCAAAAUCAAAACUCAAAAAAAGCUACAUAAAAGAUAUACAAUCAAUUGAACUAAAAAGGUAGUAAAAGAACGAACAAAAGUAAAGUGUAUUAAAGUAAUCCGAUAUGAGUAGGGAAAAGAACAUGACAUGGCCUUGUUAUUAAGCCUUAGGACAACAAUCCCUAUGAGGUUGACUUCAGAAACUAUUUUAUCUUAAAAUGGGUAAUAUGAUUAAUCGAAAUUUUCAGAGACAAAUAAAGCCUUACAUCGGUACUUUGUCGUCCGAGGUCAGAUCCCAAUCCAACUUUUGGAUAUUAGGUAUUCACUUAGUCCUCCUCAAGUUUAUCCUAGGUUAUUCAAUUAUUUGAAGUGAAUCCUAAAUUCAACUAAGCUAUUUACUAUGGUUUUUUUUUUCUCAUAGUUAUGUUUCUAAACAACUAAUUUCAUUUUUUUCUUUAUAUUUUUCAAUUAAGUCUAUUUCAUUUAUUAAGACUAAUUAGCUAAACCGAUCCCAAGUGGAUCCUAAACUAAACCAAAUAUUACUAUUUUUAUUCAACGUGACUAUACUAAGUCUAUUAUCGAGCCUGAUCUAGAGUUCGAAUUCUAGAACUAACUCUAAUCUUAAUUAAAGCUAAUGAAAAUCUCCAAACUUCUCCGAUCCACCUCCACAGUUCGGUUUAUCAUAGUCUCAUUGCACUCACUCAUGCACCACGAUCAAUAAAAGCAUUAGAAUGCUCACAAAAAGAAUUGACCACCAAAGAGCUAGGAAAAAUCAAUAAAUUGGCACUCAGCACAUCUCCUGCAUCAAGCAUAUCAAGCAAGGAGAAUCAACACACUUAAUCGCUUGAACAAAUGAGGUCCAAUUUUGAUGAAACACCCAUGAAUUUGCAGCUUAUUAAGUCUACUUUAGUUUCUCAGAUAACCAUUUUCAUGAUCAGAGCCACAAAACCCGAAAUUGUAAAUCACCUCAGAAAAUUAUGAAACCAGUCCUGUUUGAAAGCUUAAGACGUCUUCUAAAACUUUGUAGUUUAUCAUUUACUGAGAUUCGGCCCAUAUUUUAACGAAAUUGCAGAAACAGCCUUGAAGGUCAGACUGGCCUUUGACAUUCUGACUGGUACUUUGAGAAGACAUUUGACUGAGCAAUUCAAUUUGGAAUUUCAUGAAAAUUGAAUGAAUGGAAAGAUCUGGAAGUCUUUUAAAAGUUUGUAAUUCAUGAUAUUCCGAGAUUUUGUCAUUAAGAUCUCCUAAAUCCCAAAAUACCCAGCACGCCUGAUCAGACUUCUAAUUCCAGAUUCAACUUCAAUUUUCUAUUAUCUUUGUCCUAGAUUUUGAGGUGGAUUUGACCUAGUAAAUGAUCUUCAACUUGGGAUUAUAAUCUAUCAAAACGAAGCUUAAAAUGUCAUGAUCAUUUCAUUAGUUAAUUCCUUUUGAUGAUUUGGUCAUUUACUAGGUCGAAUAACCUGAUUAAUCUCAAUGAGUAUCCAAACCUGUGAUACUUCUCAACAACAAAUCGUCAGGCACACGCAUUUUGGUCCUUUAAACCAAUCCCAUUGACCUUCCAUGACUCAUCACGCACAAAAUACGAGCAAGCCCACAAAGAGUUCCUCAACAGCACUUAUUUGCUACGCUUACGGGGCCUAUUUAAAAGAACCUUCUAACAGUGAUCAUGCAAUGCGUCUCAUAGCAAGCAUAAGAAGAACAAACCAGCCACGUUUGCUUUACACGAUUGCAUGGAACAAACGAAAAUUUUAGCAUGAAACAGACCUAAAAGAACCGUCUAUCGGUUAUCAAUGGCAUGACAAUCCCAGAACAUGCCCACGGUGAACUCGCCAGCAUCUCGCCACAUACAUAUAUACAUUCAACUUUUUCUUCAUUGACGCUGUCACAUAUAAGCAGCAUAUACAAAGGAUAAUGAGCAAGAAAUCUCAGUGUAUAACCACUAGACUCAUCCUCAAUGAAGGAAAACAAAACUCAAGCAAAGCUUCAUUGACAGGAGACAGUAAACAAGUUACUCUCGAUCAAAACCUAACCUGCAAUGUUCGCUGUUCUAUUUCGAGAAUAUAAUCAAACCUGUGGUAAGCACUUCAGUCAAAGGAUCUAGCUGCAGCUGUGAAACAACGAUUCACAUCCGAAUUAUCAUCAGGACAAGCUCAAGUCACCAACAGAUCCUCAAUUGGAGGCUAAUUUCAAAUAAAUCACAACAAAAUUUCUCAGCCUCAGCUUUAUACAGAGAACAUCAGAACAUAGAAUUUGAGUCUAUGCUCAUCAUACCUUCGAGUUUCAGUUUUGGAAGAGAGCAAAUCGAAGAACAGAGUUCCUAGAUAUGUCAAUGAUGGAGAUCAAAGAAUAGAGUUCCAAACAGAUUAAUCUACUAAGAGUAAACUCUAUCAAAGGUGUUCACUAAAAUCCCUAAACUAAAUGCAUACUAACCAAAUGAAACUAAGCUAAAUCUAGCACUGGAUUUUUUAUUUUUUUUAUCGGUCGUCUUAUUUCUACUUUAUAAGUCACUGUGUGUACUUUGUGUAGGUUAUGAAACCCUAGUCUUUCUCACAUGUCCCUACCCCUCAGCUCCUGAGAAAAGGAGGGAAUCAAACUCAACACCUCCCCCUUUUCAAGUGAGAAAUGUGUCUACCGGACUAACCCCUAGUAGUUAAAUCUAGCACUAAACAUAACAACCUAAUCAAGAUCUCUAUCUCUAGCUAUUAUACAAUUUUUUAAUUUAUCGAAUUUUUCUGUUAGAAAUUAUUACUUUUAUAGUAGAGGGGGCUCGGGCUGGUCCUCUGGCCCGGUCUGAAGUUGGAAUGGACGCUUCCGCCUGGCGAGGGCCACAUCUCUAGUAUCAUGGGUUCUGGAUCUUAAGCUUGGGACAUUAUUGGGCUCUUAAAUCAAGCCCACUCAACUGAACUAAACCGAUUUCAUAAAAAGUCAAACCCAGGCCAAACAUUAAAAAGCUGAGUCAAGCCCGUCCCAAAUCAAACCCAACGUGCAAAGAUUUUUAACCUCACCUUGUCGAGGAAAUAACCAACGCAUGAACAGAAACAAUGGAAACGUACGGAAGGAAAAUGAUGUUGUUGAAAGCUUAUCUCUGGGCACCAUUGAAUGCUUCACUAACUCCUGGCCAUUCCUCACACAUUACCACCACAGAGCCAUCAUCAUAACAAGCUCUGCUGCAACCGCGAAACAUAUAUAAAAGAAAACGUUCAGAUUCGAUUUUGUUAACAAAGAAAUCUAACUGAAAACGUACUCAGCAAUUAAUAGAAAAUUCCUUUCACAUGAAACAUGUUCACAAGUGUUGCAACCCUCUCAAAGCACAUCCGACAGCAAGGUCUGAACCUUUUGAGGGGUUUAGAGGCAUUACUCAUAAGACGGUCCAAAUAAUCUCUCGAUUAUGAGUACAGGCUCUCCCCAACCAUUCUCCCUUGUAACAUUUGGAGAUUUCAUUUUUUAAGUCCUUUUUAGCCUAAUUAAAUCCUAGAGUUCCCACUAGCAAUUUGAAUAGGCUAAAAACCAUAUCAAAUACGGGAGGUUUGACUCAUUUUCUACGCAACUAGAGAUUCUAAAUACGAGAAUUGGAUUACGCUAAUAUUUAUAUUAAUGCCCUUUUGGUGCCUCUAACUCGGAAGGCCGUUGCCUAAGUGGUUAUGCAUUGUUUUUACCAUUUUACUCUUUUUGCAUUUUUCCUCUUACCUUCUGCCUUUUAUUCUAUUAUUUCUUUUGUUCCCAUCAUCUUCCUCCUUCCUCAGAUGGACGAGCCUCUGCCCUGGACUUCUCAGAACUUCCAUCGAUAAAACCCCAAAGGUGCAUUAAACCAAACCUACUCCCGCAAAUCUUGUCACUGGCAACAAUCGCUAACCUCCGAUCAUCAAACGAAAUGCCGUUACCAGACCACCACAGUCAACCACUCCCGGCCACCGAAAUUUAUCAUCGCCGGCCACCCCAUGAAGUAGGGCAAAGCACAGAACAGAUGGAAGGGAAGUGAACGCAGCAACAAUCCCAGAAACGACGCAAUAUGGCAGAAGAUGUGAUGUUCAACAACCAUUAAGAAGGCGUCUUAUCACGCAAAACAUAUAGAUAUGCACUCAAGGUAAUUUACAAUCGGGAAUAAACUGACACGGAUUCGGUUCCUGCAUUUCGUCGGACAUGCAGCGUAAGUGGGCUGAGGAGAAGGUAUUGACCAUUUUUAGACCUCGAACUCGGAUCUAGACCCAAAGAAAUCAUCAAGAAACACUCGAAUUCAGCCAUAUCAACUUACUCGAACCCAGCGAAUGGAUCAGAAAAAAUACCAGUCUCGGCCUCCGAUUGGACCAAAAGGGGGCGACGGUUCAUGGGAACCGGGUUUAACCGCUAAGACUCCUACCCGGCUCGAAGCCGACGGCCAUAGUAUGAGUUCGGGACGAGUCAGUCUACAGCCGGCUGCCUCCCUUCGUCUCCAAGCUGCAAUCCUCGGAUUAAGGAACUCGAACCGAGCAACUAAAGAAACUCACCGGAAAUGCUGAGAAUCAGGAGAGAGGAGUAGUGAGAAACGACGCCGGCUGGAGGUUGUUGGACAGCGGCAGUGGAAGUGGCCGGUCGGGUGAGGUCCAAAGAGACAAGCAAAGGGAGAUGCGGGACUGAGAGGAGGAGAAGGCAAAUGGCUUGGUGAGGGGGCGCCGGUAAUGGCUGCGACUGGUGGUGGCGACUGAGGCUAUGGACGGAGGAGGGUGGUCGACGGUGAGGUAGAGGUAAGGGGGAAUGGAGAAGAAAAGAGCGGGUGAGAUUUAGAACCAAAAAAAGAGAGUGCGCCUGAGGAUGGAGAUGAGCAAAAAGAAGACCCCGUUUGCUCUUUUCCCCGACCUUGUCUGCAAUAAAUCUCCAUUUUUCAUUUUGAACACUUUAACUUGCUCUAUUUCCACUCCAUCAUUGAUUCCUCAACCCCAUUGUUCACAUUGAAUUGACUAUAUUAUCCACUAUAAGUCUUACUCUUAACUUAGGUUUAUUUCUCACUUUGAUGAAACUAUCCAUACUCCUCCUAAACAAUAAUUAUUAAUUUUAAACAUGAGGUCUACUCUUGAUUUUAAGAUUAUCUUUGCCUUUCUUUUCUUCUUUUUUGAUUUUUUCCGUUUCUUUCUCCAUUUGAAACAAAGUUGGCGUACCUCUUUUUCCAAAAAAAAAAAAAAACAAUCGGUAAAUACUAAUUAUUUAACAAAAAAGCUAAUCAUUGUAUUGAUAGUUGUAUAUUUCUUUUUUUACUAAGAACUAUUAUUCAAAAAAUAGCCUAAGCACAAGUAAAAGGGAAAAAGAACUAUCUACCAAUUUUAGUAUGCAUUUCGUUUAUAUGUGUCAUUAUGUUGUAGUUCGUGUAUUUUAACUCGUCAACUUUCAUUUUAUUUAGUAAAUUUGAUAGUCAAAUUUUUAAUUAUUAUAUUGUGUGACGUAUUAAAUAUUUUAAGUGACCUUGAUCAGUUCCUUUUCCAAAUUAUAGUCAAUCAAACAUGAUCCAAUCUUUCUUCUCUAUUGUAUAAUGAAAAUAUUACGCAAAUCAUGAUAAUUACCUCUUCUAUUGCAACCAAGAAGAACAUAUUUGUCUCUCUUUGACUCUUUUAUAAAGACAACAUAACCUUAAGUAAGAAGAUGCGUCUGCAAACUACAUAAAAAAAAAAAAAAAAAAAAAACUCUCACGUUAGAAAAUUACCUCAUAAUGUUUCAAAUGAACUUGUUGACUUGAUUAAUUAUUGUUUUCCAUUUGCAGUUUCGCCAUCGAUGGAUACAUUUAGUCAAUUAAACAAUAUUGUCUUACAUAGUGACCACAUUACUAGAAAAAAAAUGCAAUGAAACAUAAGCAAACUGUGUAUAAUGCAUAUAUCAACCACAAUAUCAAAGUUGAAAAAUUCACCAACAUGAGGACAAUCUAAGGAAAUAAAUAAACAAUUUACAGAUAAAACUAACAUUUUUUACUCUAAUGCGUGAUUAGUGCGUCUAGAUUACAAUAAUGGAUAAUAAGUUCAGAAGAAAACAAACAUGAAAGAAAUAUUGAAAUGUAAUUGGUGUAAAAGAAGCAGUUAGGUAAAAACAAGGCUUGCACUAUUUCCACUCCUUAUUAGCUUUUGACAUGCCUAUCACAUCUAAUUGACUAUAGUGUCAUUUGCUUUCUUAACUUUUACUAUAGACGAAACUAAUCAUACUCCUUUCAAAUAAAUUUUUUUAAGAUUAAAUAUAGGGUUCAACUCUCUUGAAAAAAAAUACUUUACCCGAAUCAUAAAUAAAUUUUUUUAUUAUAUUAAUAAGAGACUCAUUAUUCACUUAAAGCAAUAUAUAUCAAGGUAUAUCUUUCAAUUUAUAGUGCGAGGAGCUCCAAGUGAAUUUGUUGACAUGAUUAAUUGAUGUUUUUCAUUUGUAGUUUCAUCAUCAAUAAAUACAUUUAAGUAAUUUGGGUUCUCUUUAAUAUUGUCCACACAUAAUAACUACACUACAAAGAACAAUACAAUGAAAUAUGACUAAAUUGUGUAUAAUGCAUCAAGUAACCACAAUACUCAAUCUUUGAGUAAAUUCUUGUAAAUUUGCAACAAAAAUUGAAAUAAAAAAAUUUUCAAUCAUGAGGAUUAUCUGAGGAAAUAAAGUUAAUAACGGGCAUAAUAAAUUUAAAAGAAGACAGACAUGAAGAAAAGUUAGAAUAAAAUGGGUUUGGAAGAAACAACUAAAGUGAAAAAAAAAAGUUGUUCGAAAGAGACGUGGGUAGUUUUGUCUUUUAAUAAAAUUGAAACAAAAGAAAAAAAAAUGGUAAGAAACUAUUUUAAUUUAGGGUAGGACCUGUAAGAGUACUGUAGUCAAAUCGAUAUGACGAAGGGGCGUGGGAGCUAAUAAUGGGAUGAAAAUAGCACGAGCUUAAAAAAAGUGUUUAAAAGGAAUAUAGAUAAUUUUGUCUUUUAAAAAAAGUUGAGACAAAAGAAAAAUAAGAAAAAAGGUGAAAAAAAAAAUCUUAAAUCAAGAUUAAGAAUCGCAAUAUUGCAGUCAAUUCAAUGUGACAAAAGUGUUAGGAGACAAUAAGAAGCGGAAAUAGUGUGCGCUUUUUCUUUUUGACCCUAUGUGCUUUUGUUGCUGUUGACCCCUCCCUUGUGUGCAAAGUAAUCCCAGAUACCCCCUUUUGUCCUAUUCAUCCACGGCCCCCCACAAAAUAGAAUAACCUAGCUUGGUGACAAGUGGGAAGCUUGCAAUGGUGAGGCUUCAGACAAGGCGCCAUGUGGCACGAGAAGUAGAAAGGCACGAUCUAGGGUCGAAUUGAGCCGAGCUUUGUCGGGCCUUGGCUUGAGCAAUUAGAUCAAUGAAGUAUGUAAUAAUGCAUACAUGUGGUGGCUCGAGCUAGAUCUUGAGCAACAAAGAUAGACAUACAUACCAUUCUAGUAAUAGAGCUAUGUUACUAGUAUGUUCAUGGAGCAAAUUAUUAGCACACUAAUGAAAUUACUAUCAUGGCUUGAAUUGGUUGACAUAUGAGAAUAACCAUUUAAAAAAAAAAAAAAAAGUUGCUAUCACGAGAUAUCACCCUAUGCUUUUCACUAUAGGACAAAUUUCCUUGCACGUUCAUAGAUUGACUUACCUAGUACUCCAUAUUAGGAGCUAUUUGUCUUAUACAUGAAUGAGAACUAAAAGUACUUCACUAUCAAUCACGCCCCUCCCCGAAGAUCCGCCGUCAGCUCCAUUUCCGUUCCCCGGGAUCCACACUGCCCGCACCCAGAGAUCUGAUCGGCCUCAAUGUGCCUAUGAAGACCGCAAAUCAUUUCAUCCAACGGCCGUGGAUGAAGGGAAACCAAAAUGGGUGAAAUCUUCCACGUAAUCUACGGCUGAUUAGUGAAUGGAGAGAGAAAUUUCCCUUGGGUGCUUUUUUCUCUUUCAGUGACAUGAAAAUAUUCGACUUUGAGUGCUAAAAACGACCACUAUCACGACACAUUUUGACUCACGCCAUUUUGGGGAGAAGUCGGUCGGUUUCGUUGAAAAAUAAAAUAAUUUUUACAUAUUAACUUGACUUUGAGCGAAUCAUGAGAGGCCUGGCCUGUCGUUACAAUAAAAGGGAAUUGAGACACGAUCCCACAGGGUGCCGAUUACGGAUUGAUGUAUUGGAAUUGAACAUGCAUAUGUCGUCUAUGUGAGCCAUCAAUUAAGAAAUUAAUCCUAAACAGCAUGUGAAUCCACUGAAUGACGUGCUGUAUGAAUAAUACAAAAAAUUAUUAAUGUGGUCUAAUUUUUUGUUUUCUCUUUUUAAUUAACAAAAAUACAAAUGACCCUAAAUUUCUACAAAUUAAAUGGAUUUCUAUUAAUCUUUAAUCAUGCUCGAGUAAAAUUGAUACGUAUGACCUAAUGUUGGCACUUGAUUUUUGCUGGCCAUUCAAAUUUCCAUUCUCGCAAAAAAGAACAAUUAUGGAAAAUAGCAAUGAUCUUCGAUCUCCAUUCUUAUCAUAGAGAAUUAUACAGGUUAUGAAAAAUAGCGAUGAAAAAUAGGAAUGAUCUUGGUUCCGCAUAACUACAGAGUCCAAUUGAUUCUCCAUAUUAGUCAUUCGUGUGCUCUCAUUUUCAUUCUCCAUUCUUGUUGUUGAAUGCGUUCAAAUAGAAGAUUUUCCUUUGGCCGUUUUGCAUUACCUUGAUUUUGCAAAAUAAAGUCAAAAGAGAUUAAGGUAGUAUAUGGAAGAGAAGUGGAAAGAAUACAGCUCUUCAAAAUUCAUCCUUUCUUAGAGUGACUCUUGUAAAAGUCCAAUCUCAUAUGAAAAUUUCUUUAUAAGUUCGAAGAGGAAACGCAUGGUGAUUAAUCAAAAUGCCCAUUCCAUAUUCCAUUAGAACUUGGUAAAAACACACGAAAGGGAGGCUUUCACUAGUUACAUCAAAAUUUGCAAAAGACAAUCCCUAUACAUUCUCUGAGAAUUGGAAAGAAAUUCCUAUAAAUCGUUACUAAAAUGCGUAAAAGAAAGUCCCAUACAUUCUGUUUAAAGAAGUAACCACUUAACAGUUAUUCUGACAAUUUCAGCAUAAUAGGCGAGAGUCUUUUGGAAUUUUCACUGAACAUAGUGAGACCAAAGCGAUGAAUUUUUUUCUAAAGUCAGAAGCAUGAAGAGAUGAUCUAUCAUAAAAUAAAGUAAUUAUUAACACAACACGUAACUCUCACCCUUCUUUGUCAUGUCUAUCACCUAGUCUAUCUUUUCGCACGAUUCUCACAAGUAUAAUCAUCAAAUCGUUAAACUCUCACCCUUUUUUUCGUAAUAAAAAAGAAUAAGUUGAUUCAUAGUGAAGGUCAUCGUGCUUUCUAGCUAUGAUUAUAUAAUGUUGUUGAUUUUCCACUGACUAGCUAACUCCAAGAUCAGAAUACACUACUUAUCCGUUCGAGAGAAAUUUUUUGAGCGGAAAGAAUGCUUACCAAACUUGUUUUUUACUACUCACGAAAAGCUCAAAAUCGGACGUGAUUCUAACAAAGACGAUCUACCCUAGAAUCGGUUUAAGUGGUCCAUGUGUUUGGAUUUGGUAGAGGGAGUUAGCAUCAUGGGAGUUCUCGGGUGAGCGUGCCUACGGUCGGGGCAACGAUGCUGUGUUUUCGGAGUGCAACGUCAACAUUGGGAAGCCAAAAUAUUAUCCUUGAUUCAAAGACAAACCACGAAGAAGAUACAUGCGAGUAUGGAUACAUCAAUGAAGGGCAUUUUGAUAAAUUAACUAUAAAGGGGUGUUUUUAAUCAAAGAAUUUUAGCACCACCCUUUUUGCAAACUAAUCUUAAUAAACAUAACAUUUUUCCUUUUUCCCAUUAAUUUUUCAACAUAUAACUUACAAGCAGGCCCAACACCUUGGUACUAAUACAUAAUGUUUAUUUACCUCCAAAAUUUGGGGGAAUUUUUGCGUAAUUUUUCAACAAAUUUAUUGUGCAACAUCAAAUUUGUAAAACAUUUGUAAGAAGAUUGUGGCAUAAUUAGGUAUGUCGAGUAUUGAAAUAUGGGAAGCAAAACUUAUAUUCCAACUCAAAAUCUCAAAUUUCCCAUUGAUGUCACUCAGGAACUGCAAAACGUAUGGUCCAUAAUCAUAGUGAGACCUUGACAAUUGGGGUGGACCUAACCCUAAUGUUGCCGAUUUAGAAGGAACACAAGAAGGCUCAUCAAUCUGUCGUAGUGAUUUUUUUUUUCUCUCUCUCAAUAACCAGCAACUCCGGUGGAUCUUUAAACACCCUUCAAGCCCUAUAAUUCAGUUAAGUUGAAGCCUUUGAUCCACAUGGAUGGCUUGACAGUGAGUAACUCGCACGCAAAUGAAAUCAUUUAAACAAACGACUUCCAAUUUUUGAACUACAACCAUUAUUGCCCUAAUAAACCACGCCAACUUCGACCGUCUAGGCAGGUUUUUUUCCUAUUAUCUUUUUCGAAGAAAUGUAACUGUUGGUAGGCCCUCACUUUUUGACAUGAGUAUGAACUUAAAAGAGCUAGUUAUAUUAGAAUAAUUAUGUUAGUGUUGAGUUGUAUAUCUUCUCAUCUACUAUGAUCUGGCCCCAUUAUGCUAGAUAUUGGUGCACGGACUCAUUUAAUUUCUAUUCAAAGUUACCACCGGUAUGAGAAUGAUAUAUAAUUAUUUUCAUAUCGGAGGUGUAACAGUCAAUCUACCUUAUGAUUGGAAAGAUAAAUGUUUGUCUGUGAUUAUUUUUAAAUAGUAAUUUCUGCAUAUAAAAAUUUUAUGAUGUGAAAUCCUAUUUUUUCAUAACGAGCUAAGGGGUAGGUAUUGUUGGCCUAGAAGUAGCAAUAAAUUGGACUUUAUUGAGAUCAUUCAUGCGCCUAUUACAAAGUAUUUGAAGUGAGCCACUAAGUACUAUACAUCAUUUGUGAUCCGAAGGUUCUCUCUUUCUUCUGACAAUUGAGGUCACGAGCGUUGGUCACUUGACUACCUUAAAGCUCAUGAAAUAUUUUGCAAGCUUUAUGCAUAUAUUAAGUUCCUCCUAUUUGGCCCAUGGAUAUAGCUUAAUCUAGCAUUUGGGCAUGGUNNNNNNNNNNNNNNNNNNNNNNNNNNNNNNNNNNNNNNNNNNNNNNNNNNNNNNNNNNNNNNNNNNNNNNNNNNNNNNNNNNNNNNNNNNNNNNNNNNNNGACGUUCUACAUGGUUUAAAAAAGAGAGAUAAAAAUAAGGAAUAUUGAAAACAUAGUAAUAUUAAAACAUUAAAGAAAGGGAAAUUCGAAAGGUAAAAGAAGGGACGGACAAGGGAGGGAAGUGGCGCACUGUUGCCUGACUUUAGCAGAUACCGACCAGGUGUCUUGCGACCUCGGUGAUCCAUGAUUAGGGUUACACAGCCCCAGCCCAAAUUAGACCUUGGCUAGCUUCUCGCGACCCAACUAGGAGUCUAGGACAAUGGCUUCUCUCCCUCCCUCUCUCUCUCUCUGGCUUUGAUUUUUUUUUUUUUUUAAAGAACAAGAUUUUGUCGAUAUUUUAUCCAGCCUAAGAAACUCGCAUGUAAGCACAAGAUUGCCCGGUCAAUGCUAACGUCAUGCCGAUGUGUCAACUCGCCUUAGUAUUUUCAUUUUUUGUUAUAACAAAACGACCAAUUCAAAUAUUAAGAAAAAGAACAUAUACUUUAAAGACCAAGUUGCACAAAAAGCAUAUAUCCCUAAUGUGUUUAAUGUUACGUUUCUAAAAAGCAUUUCUUGAUUCAAAGAAUCUAUUUAUAUUGCAAUGCAAGGGCUUUUUAUUAACUUGAUCAGUCCAUGAUACGGCGCCGUCCAAUCCGACGCGAUGCAACUCCUGCCUUACGUCUUCACGUCGACUCUCUCUCUCUCUCUCUCUCUCUCUCUCUCUCUCUCCCUGCUUUCAUUUUCAACAAGCGUACCAGGAAAGCCAAAUCCCAACUCUCUCGAACGGACCCAUUGUACCGUUAGUUAACCCAGCUUUUGUUUUGCGUUCUCUGCUGCUUUGCGUGCGUGCGUGCGAGUGACGAGUGUUUGCUAGCUAGUUUAGCUCNNNNNNNNNNNNNNNNNNNNNNNNNNNNNNNNNNNNNNNNNNNNNNNNNNNNNNNNNNNNNNNNNNNNNNNNNNNNNNNNNNNNNNNNNNNNNNNNNNNNGUGCCUAAACAACAUAGCACGAGCUGUUUGGAGAUUUAUUCAUAACGUGAAUCGCGCUCGUGACCCCAUGGAAGAUGGCCCAUUUAACUCAGGCCAACAUAUUGAAGGUCGGUCCUUCUUUUUUUACUUUUUGGUAAACUUAUUAAAGAUUGGUCACAGUUAACAUGAAGCUUCUUCAUGCAACCUUAGUAGGGAUAAAGAUGGACGGUAUCAACUGAGCUCACAUUUGAUGAGAUUUAAGCACCUUCGGUGUGAAUCUACUUUUGGAAAAUGCUGCUGCAAUUCCACACCCCUCAUAUAAAUUAGUUUUUUCUAUAAGCUCAAUAAAAUAGCUAGCGAUAGUUUGACCACGAGCAUCAUGGGAAACCUUUAUGAUAAGUUAGAAUUCUGAAUCUGUGGGUGCGUUUGUUUCCAAAAAAAAAAAAAAAGUUUCAAGAUAAAAGGACAAUAUCUUACAAAAAAUAUCUUGAAACUUUUUUCUUUCUUUUCAGGUUAGGGAAUUUGUUUUCCUACUUUAAGAAUACAUAUAUUCUUCAAUUAUAAAUAAAUUUUCUGUUUACUAAUUAUUUUCAGCAAACCAAAUGUGUAAAAGUCAGAAAAACUAAUUCAUUAAAAAAAAUUUCACUCGAAUAAGGCUAACGAACUCUUGUCACGUUUUUCUUACCUUUACCAAAAAAGAAAAAAAAAAAAAACUCUUGUCACGUUGAAUUGUUUGGGCUUGGACGCCCUUGCCCCAAAGAAAACGUAUAUAUUAAUUACUAUAAAUUUAUUUUUCUAUGUUAAGACUACUGCUAAAAGUGAAUCAUGAAAUCGAUGACUUACUGAGCCACCAGAAUCACUAACUAAUACUAAUCUAAUAUUAAUAAAAUAGAACAUACUUAUAGAAUAGAAGAAAACUGUCUUUUAUGUAUACUUCCCCAGUAACACACCCUAUAUUGAUAGUUGGGCAAUAAUUUGCUAUAUUACGAUGGUGGUUUAAGCCAUGUUAAACUUCCAAAGCCAAAGCAAUGGGUAGUAGGGUAGUGCAACCAGUCCGACUCUACUCGAAAAUUAGAUCAAACGGGCCAUAGAAACAGGUCCAAUUUCUAGUUCUAGUGGAAACAACUUCAGUUCUAAGUUCUAAAUUUUUUGAACCAAUAGUAGGGGUGAGCAUGAUCCGGGUUGGUCCGGGCCACCCCUUAACCCUAGGACCAACCCGUACAAUGUCGGUUCUCAAUUUUUAGGACCGAGGAUCGACCCUAUUGAGCUUGGGACCAAGGAUCGGACCGACCCAUUGGGUUCGGUCCGGUUCCAAGGUCAACCCAGGACCGAUCGAUAAUUUUUUUCGUCUUAUUUUUUUAUACUCCCUAAAAAAGCAAACUUAUAAAUUCAAAUUACACAUCCAUCUACAAUAUGGCAUUGUGCAACUAAACUAUAAAUANNNNNNNNNNNNNNNNNNNNNNNNNNNNNNNNNNNNNNNNNNNNNNNNNNNNNNNNNNNNNNNNNNNNNNNNNNNNNNNNNNNNNNNNNNNNNNNNNNNNUUUUGAUUCGAGUGUGUCUGAAGAGGAGGGAUUCUAAGUCCGAACAGGAAUCGAUUUUGGGUUUGUCCGUGCCGUGUUGAGGCAGGGGAUUAGGAUAGUUCCGAGGCAUUGAGGCGUUUGAUGUCUUUUUUUUUUUAUUUCUGAUGCAGUUGAAUGUUAUAGGAUCUUGAACGGACUCCUUGCAUGGUCAUAGCGUUUUGACCACCGGUCCAAUAUGCACCUCUUGGUGCUGGAAGAGGUUUCUCUUAAGGAGAGAGAGAGUCGGCAUCUAAUGGUAUCGUUGUAGAUGUUAGUCUGAUCUUACAAUUUUUGAACUGUUACUCAUUUGGCAGUUUUAUCGCCCGACUUUCCGGUUGAUUAACAUGAGCGACAUCGUGGCUCGAUUCUUGUCGAUAACAAGAGGAGUAGCUUGGUGUUGUUUUUUCCUUUGUCGAAGUGACGGAGUUCCCCCGCUGCUUUCCUUUCCUUUACCGCCAUCUCGUGCGAUUGAGGAUGUGGCAUUCCAAUCAUUUCCUAGGAACAAGUCGCUCUUAUCCAGUAUAUGUUAUGGACAGUGUUAGCCGAUAGGUGUACAAGUAUGUAAACUGUGAGUGUGGAUUGGCAAUGAGAACCAUCUAAGUUUCGAGGGUGGAACUACUCAAAACUUCACCAUAGUCUAUUUUGAAGAUUACUAAUGGAAUCCAGUCUUACUGCAGCUAUUAGUUUAGGAGACUAGACAUAAGCUUGAUAUAAGCCAAAUCAUGAUAAAUCUAAUUUGCAACAUCUUUUAUCUCUUUGCACCUUUUUCAAUAUUUUUCUGACAAGGGCAUGCUGCAUUGCAUAUAAGCAUAUUGCAUAUUUACGUCUGGUAACAUCAAGCUUUCCCUGCUUAUAUCCAAGUCCAGUUUCAAAUAACUUGUGAAAAUCUAAAAUAAUAUUAUUAUACAACAUAUUCACCCCUAUUUAGGUUGUAUCGUUAAUCUCAACAAAAAUGACGGCCUUUUGAAUGUUGCACUCUCUAAAGUUUUUGGAAAUUAUGCCGAGUAGGCCCAAUGUUCUCAUAUAUAGGAAAAUUUAUUUCUCAAAGUUCCUGGCCCUAUUUCACUUCUUUGUAAAAGCAUGCUCCAAGAAUUCACAAAUAUGUGUAAACCUUCACUUUUUCUUUUACACUUGCAUUUGAGUUUAGUUUUCAAUUUUGGAAUAUGUACUUUUUCUGAUCCAUUUUUGUCCAUAUAGUUUGGUUAUAUGGAUGUAGUAUGGUCAUAUGUCCGUGCAUGUGUGACAUAAGAUAACAACUCAAACAUUUAUAUAUUUAAAUUUACAAGCUGCUCGCAAAUCGACACCGACUGAUAGACUAUUUGUCACUACAAAUGACUUUCAGUAUUGUGAGAUUAUAUAUGCAUGCUUUCUAGGGUAUAUCAAUCUAGUAAGGCUAACGUCCUUUUUACAUUAGAACACGUUAUAAUGCCUUAAAGAAUAUUUCGCUUAAAUUUAUUGGAGAAAAAUCUACAAGUGAUUUUGAUGAUAUCCAAACUAUCCUUAAUAUAAUGUUUACUACGACAUAUGCAUAUAUAUAUUUAGAAAGGAUUACACAAUAUUGAUAGUGUGAUCUAGUAUAUGAAGUAUGCAACAGGUCCGGAAACAGUUUUUUGUGUAAAUACUACCAAUGGAUCUAAAGAUCAACUGAUGACGAUGUUCAUAUCGCAGCUACAAAUAUCAAGUCGUUGGUGUUAUAACAACCAUGAACAUCUUAUAAAGUUUGUUGGGUUAGCAAAUUAGCCAUUGUGGCUAAGGAUUUGCACAACAACAUAAUCCAGUUGAAAGUAGUAAUUUGAGAAUCCAAGUCGUCUAAUAAGUCUAUCAGAGACUACAGUGAUGGGACAGUGGCAAAUGCUAUACUUAAGUAGACUACAAAUGUUCAAGAAAAAAAGAACUAUAUGGGCAGUUCUAUUCUUGGAUAGACUCCAAUGGUUCCUUGCUUUUUUUUUUCUUCUUUUUUUCAUCCUAGAACCACCAUACAGCCGGCAGCCAGUGGCGUAAACCAGGGAAAGCACUAGCGCGGGGGCCCACCUCCCACAACACUCCACUUUAGUCACACAAUGGGGGCAUAGAGUUUCGAACCCCUUCCCUCCCGAAUGAGAGGGCAGGGCGCGAACCAGCGCGUCCACCGCAGGGUGAGUGGUUCCUUGCUUGUUUGAUCUUCUCUUAACGGGCAAAUUGGAGAUGAAUAUAAGAGAAAAGACCUAAGAAGCCAAGGAGGAGAAAGAGAACAACAUUAUCUAAAGAUUUGCAUUAUGCUUUGUUCCUAACUAUACACUCUUGCCCAAAGUGUUUCGUUAAGUUUUGUAUUCAUGAUAUUUGAGUAAUUGUGUUCUAGAUUAAAUGUAGAGGGUAAGAAUUGCAAUUGGGUCUUGAUAAUGUGAUUUAUCUUAUAAUAAGACUACUGUUUGCCUAUUGUAAUUGUCUGAGUAGCUUACACAUGCAAUCCAGCCUGAUUUGUGGCUAUUAGUCUGAAGAGUGAACGUAAACUUGGAGAUAAAGCCAAACCACUAUAUAUCAUUGUGUGUUAUUGUUUUACUCUCUCUUACUCUCACAGGCACAGAUCACAAACUUCGAAACAUCAUCUUGACCUUAUCUUUACUUAGCAUUAGCUAAUUUAUGUGAAAAAUUGUCAAGUUUUCUUUAAAAACCUAUUCACCCCCUCUAGGUUGUAUUAUUAGCUCCCAACAAAUUAGUUGCUUUGGAGCAACAAAAAGCUACUAAAAAAGUCUUGAAACUUGCUAAAUAUAAUAGAAGAUGUUCUUUUCAUAUAUUUUUCUCUCUUGAAGUAAAUACACAUAUUUUUCAUAUUCUUCCUUUUUGAAGCUUUUGGUGUUUCGGAGACAAAAAGAAUAACUCUCCAAUCAGAUUAUUCAACUGGAAAAGCAAUCGAUGCAAAAACAAACCUUGAAAUUGGAAAUUGAACAAUUGAGAAGAUCAUUAAAUGUCAUGAAGCACAUGAAAGACGAGGAUGAUACUGAAAUUUUGAAAAUAAUUAUUUUGCUAGCGGAUAUGAGGGGAAAAUAGGGGAAUCUUGAGGAUGUAGAAGUGCUGAAUCGAGCUAUCAUAGUAAAGGUGCAUAAUCGCAAUAAUGAGCUUCAAGAAGCUCGCAUAAAAUUGAUCAAUGUAAGUUUGCUUUUUCUCUUCUUUUUUUUAUGGUGAGAUUUUUAAAUUUUUUUGCAGGGAAUCAUGUUCACUUGUAUCAUUUGUCAUCUUUUUUCAUUUUUGGUUUGCUAUCUUCAGUUACUUCACUCAAUACAAGUUUCUGUUGCAGCUGUACAUCAUUGAUUGACUUAGCUAAGGUGCCAAAUUAAACUUAAUUUGCAAGUAUCAAAAGACAUACAUAGUGAUUUUAAAGUCGAUGGCAAUGUUCAAGGUUGACAGAAAACUCCAAUCCUCCAGUGAAGCUGCACCUAAAUAAGUACGUAUUUGCUUGCGCCAUAGUGACCUCCGUGACCCCCCUUUUGCUUGGGGGAUUGACCAUAACCAAUCAAAAGGGACCUCAUGGAGGCCACCACGGCGGACCCAAGGGCAUACUUCUUCUAAGGCAGCUUUACUCGAUCAACUUAGGUUAGACAUUUCCAUCGACUUUAAAAAUUACUAGAUUUGUCUUCUAAGACUUGCAAAGUAAGUCAAUUAACACCUUAGGCAAGUUAAUUAGUGGUGUACAAUAGCUACAAGAGAAACUCAUGUUGAGUGAAAUAACAGAAGACAACAUCUUCAACUAUAUGAAAUUCAAUUUAAGUCUAGUACCGAAGCUCAUUAUUCCUUACCAAUUAAUUGGGAACUCUACUUCUUUAUUAUUAUUUCAUAUCUUUAUGUGCACGGAACUUCUGGCCUUUCUUUGUGUUUUUUAUUUAGUCCCUUCAUCCCUAAACAAAUUAAUCCUCUCUUCAUUAGUCUUUUUUACCCAGAACGCUUUUCACUCUCAAGUUCAGUAAGCUCCCAUCUCUUCAAACCUCCAUUAAUCUUUUCUCUCAUUCUCGCUCAACUCACUCACCAUUCUUCGAGCAAUUCACUCAUAUCUGCACCCUUAAACCCAUGAAUUUGGAGGCAAGUGUCGUGUGCACUCAAAGAAAAGAGAUACACCCAGAACACAUGGAGAGAGAGAACGCAUGUAUCUGCAUAUAUUGAAAAUGCAUUCACUCAAACGACACUUACACAGAAGACACAUUCAGCAAAGACAAUUUGUGAUCUAACAUGUCAUCACAAACACUUACGCGGGAGAUAUCUAAUUGAGUCUCACACACGAUAAUAUAAUUCUUCAAUUUCAGUAUAUGCCUAAUGAAUUCUCCAGCAAUAACCACCAAACUUUCUCAAAUUACCACACUGACAUUACCGAAUUAUUCUAGAGAAUCGAGAGCUUAACACGUGCAAACAUGGGAGGCUUAUUAGAGUCGAGAUUCUUGGAAUUAACUAACAAAUGAAUUCAUCUAGCCUAUGCAACUAGCGCAUUGGAUGAAUAAAACAGAUGAGGUGAUCAUGGUCAGACCUGAGGUUACGUCUAUUAGUAACGCAGUUCAGAUAUUUCAAUGAAUAAUUAGUAAACAUCAAGUCAGAGAACAACACGAUGACAAGUUGGUGGAAAUCAAGACACGUUCAACAUGAAACUAUCAUUUAGAAUUGAGAUCACGGAUAUAAGCUCUGACGUGUAUGAUUUUAAAGCUAGGAAGAACUAGAUUCUCAUCCUCUGUUUUCAUUUUCAUACAUCUAAACCAGAAGAUACUCAGUUAGAUCUAGCGAAAGGUAAUUACCUGCAGCGACGGCUGAUGGCUUUGAACAAAACAAUCACCGAGGCGCUCUAGAAGGCUUGAAUUUGCGAAGGAGUCGAUGGCAGCAACUGGUCGAACUUUUCAUUCAACAAUGGCACUCCAAAAACAGGGACAAGCAGGAAAAUUCCAGAGCAGCUCGGCGAUGACGAACAGCCGCUGUAGGCAGGGUUACGACAUCCUGAAAUGGUGCACCAUGAAUGCUGAUGUCAAUUAACCGUGAAGAAACUCCUGGAAAGCGAUGGGAUCAAAGUGUGUUUAAACUACCGUUAGACCCUCAAUCAGUAUGGUUUUCUCCCCUCAAACCUCGGUCACAUAACUAGGACUUGACCCACCAGAGCAGAGCAGAGAUGCAGUUGCAGUAAUUACCUCGGAGAUGCAGCAGAAGGUCACGAACAACGAUCGAACGGAGAACUCAAAAGUCCCGGGAGCAUCUCCACCGAUGGUCCGGGCUAUGGGGGGAAGAAAUCUCGACUGAGAUCUGAGCUUUCCGGACUACCCUCUGGCGGAACAGGGGCGAAUAGAGAGGUGGUGGAGGUCUGCAAAAUCUAAAACAAAACUCGUGAGAGCUUUCUAGGGACUCAUUGCAACUCCAAAACUGAUGCUCUGUCUUCUUGCUCUGGUGUUCUCUCGGCUAAAGAGUUUCAAAUAUCAGCAAUUACUGUAACUUUUUUUCUCCUAAACCGGACAAGGCAUAUAGAUAUUAUGUUAUUAGUACCAAAGUGCGGGGCCUACUUUAAAGAGUUUCAGAUAUCAACAAUUGAUAGAGACACCCAUUUAUAGUUAAUUUAUCAAAAAGCCCGUUUAUUAAUAUAUUCAUGCCAACACGUAUCUUCUUCCUGAUUUGUUUUUCAAUUAAGGAGAAGACUGUAGCUUCCCGAAAUUGAUGUUGCACUCCGAGCAUGACGACAUUGCUGCCUCGGCCGUAGACACCCUCACUCGCAAAGUCCCGCGAUGCUAACUCCUCAUGCCAAAUCCAACUGCGUUAGACCAAAUUGUUAGAGAAAACUUCCAUGAGUGUUUUGAAGUUGACAAAAUGUUUCAAUCAGUCUAGUAUAAAGACUUGUAGACUCUUUUAUCAAAGUUUGAAGGCUUCCGGACUGCUAGACUUAAGACUCAAAGUCUAUAAUCAUUGACAGUUUUUUAGACCGUCGAAGAAGGCUUAUCCAGAACUGAGUAUUUCGUUAAGGAUUUGAUUCUAUCGAUUGAAGAAGAUCUCUUGGCUGGAUAUAACAUGUCGGAAUCCAUUAUUCAAGUUGAGAUUAAUUCAGGGAUUUUGGAUCCGUUGAUUGGCAAAGUAUAUUUGGAAGGUUCUACUUGUGGAAACCUAGAUCCUGAUUGUAUGGGUGAACAAGAUUGGUGGGCUAUCGUCAUAUUCCUUAAAUAACUCGAAAUCUCCCUAAUUGAUUCUGUCCAACGGGUAGAUUGGAAUAACUUCUUUGGUAAGUGCCAAUGGGUGUGAUGGCAUGAAGGAGUAUAUAAGGAAGACGUUCCAGUUAUUUGAGUGUGUGCGCGAUAGAAGAAUUCCAAAGUCUGAAGCUCUUUGGUCUUAGUCAAUUCAAUCGUUGAGCAAAAUAUUGUACUAAAAAGAGAGUUUAUAUUUUUGUGAGACUUUGAGGAAGUGUAGCAUAGUUUCUACACUGUGAAAUCAAUGAAGAACUAUAUUGUAACAACUCUUUUGAUUCAUAGUGAAAUCCAGCCGGUGGGCUGUCAAUGCAGAAGAGUGGACUUAGGCUUGGAUUAAGCCGAACCACUAUAAACCUUGUGUUCUUAUUCUCUUACCUAAUCUUUUUUACUUUGAUCGUAAUUCAAUUUGAUUAUUAGAGUCUAAUUUCCUUUUCAUAAUCUAUUGCUGAUCAGAGUUGUUUUAAAAGUAAAAUCACUCACUUCACUCUGGAAAAUUUGUUUUCGUGCCUAUUCACCCCCUCUAGAUGCUCGUACUAACUUUCACAGUUGGUAUCAGAGCAUGUAUACUCACUUAAGUUGAAAUGUUUUACUUCAGAGUUAAAGAUUCAUCGCUAGUAUGUUGGCUCCAGGUCUGGUUGAAGGCAAAGUAAUACCAGAACACCUUAUUUUGAUGGAAAGGAAUACAAUAUAUGAAAAAAGAAGAAGAUGAAAGCAUUCCUAAGAUCAAAUGAUCCUUUGGAAUGUGACGUGGUAGACAAAUGAAUCAUUCUUAAAGCUGCAACAGUCUCAAAAAGAGGAAAAGAAACUGUUGAGUCUAGUGAAAUGACUCAAGAAGAGAUAACCAAGAGACAGGCUCUUGAUAUAAAAGUAAUUUAUUCUUUAUAUUGUGCAUUAUCUCCUACUGAAUAUAACAGAAUAUCUUCUUAUGAAACAGCUAAAGAAGUCUGGGAUAGAUUACACAUCACCUAUGAAGGAACUGAUCGAGUGAAAGAAACCAGAAUUAACAUUCUGCUCGGUCAAUAUGAAGCAUUUAAGAUGAAACCAGAAGAAUCUAUCACUGACAUGUUUAGUUGUUUUACAAAAAUCAUGAAUGGUCUUGAAUAUCAAGGUCAACCAAUUUCUGGACCCAUGAAGGUUAACAAGUUACUACGUGGAUUGUCCAAAGAUUGGAAUCACAUAAAGACCUCAAUAAGGGAGACACAAAGAAUUAUGCCACUCUCUGUUGACAAAUUGGUUGGCACUCUUCAGUCUUAUGAAGUGGAGCAAAUCAACGAAGAUGGAGAUCCCAAAGGUAAAAGAUCUAUUGUAUUAAUAACUAAUGAUGAUUCUGAUGUCACAGAUUCUGAAGACGAUAUGGAUGAUGAAGAGCUUGCUCUCAUGAUAAGAAGAUUCAGAAAACUGAACAGAAAGGGGAGAAGAUUUAAUUCAAAGAAACAAAGUUCUCAAAAGUUAUAAAAUAAAUCAGUUGAGGAUGAUGAAUCCAAUAAAGAUGUAGUCUGCUUUGAAUGCAAGAAAAAUGGACACAUCAGACCCAACUGUCCUCUGCUGAAGAGAAAUAAAGGAAAAGCUAAAAAAUAUCGAAAGACGCUUAAAGCAGAAACUUGGAGUGAUACCGAAUGUGAGGAAAGUGAUGAUGAUUAUGCCAAUAUUUGUCUCAUGGCACAAUUAGACUCAGACUUAGACAGUGAAAUCGAAGUAAGUAAUUUAAAAAUUCCUACUAAAGUUUCUAUAUAUAUUGAUGAAUUGUGUCUUAAUCUUAAAACCUCUCUUAAAAGGAUUUCCAAACUUGAAAAGGAAAAUUCUGCACUAAAACAAUAGGAAAAUGUUUGGAAAGAAAAGGUCGAAAGUUUAGACAAAAGUGUUACUACUUUGAAAGAAAAUGCAAACAAUCUUUCAAAAGAAAAUUCAUUCUUAAAAAAUGAUAUCUCAAAUAUUUCUAAAAGAUUUUCUAUAUGAUCUGAGAAACUUGAAAAAAUUCUUUCAGCACAAAGAUCUUACUUCAACAAAUCAGAUUUGGGAAUGACUGCUGAAACCAUUACUCUAAUUGAUUUUCCUAAAGUAAAGGAAAGAAUUAAGCAAAGACUUACAAAAGAUUCUUACAAAAAUCAUUUCCAAAUUUUUUUUGUAAAACUUGUAGGCCGUAGUGCUCUUAAAUAUUCUAAGUGCAAUAGCUCGGAUCAUUUUGAGAAAGAAUGUCCUAUGGUUUGGAAACCUGUUAAGAAGGUAUGGGUAAAGACCGUAUAUUACACUAACACCAAUGGACCCAAGAAAAUAUGGUAACUAAAGAAAGCUUAAGUUUCUUUUCUAAAUGCAUGUCACUAUCAAGAAAAAUGUUAAAUGGUACUUGGAUAGUGGAUGCUCAAGACAUAUGACAGGAGACUCAAAUUGUUUCAUAAAACUUGUGCAAUUAAUGGUGGAAAAGUUUAUUUUGGAGGAAAUAGCAAAUGAAGAAUUGUGGGAUACAAAACUGUAAAGAUUGGAAGCCUCAAGAUCAGUAAUGUUUCCUUAGUGGAAGGACUCAACUACAACUUGUUGAGUAUUAGUCAACUGUGCGACACUGGUUUCAAAAUCAACUUUCAAGAAGGAAUAUAUUCAGGAACCAGUAAAGACUCCUCUCAGUCUUUCACAAGGCGAAGACAUGGGAAUAUCUACCUCUUAGAUAUCAAACCAGAUGAAACCCAAUGUCUAAUCUCAAUUCAAGAGAAAGCAAACUUAUAGCAUAGAAAACUUGGGCACAUCAACAGGAAGCAAAUAGCCAAAAUCUCAGCAAAGAAGCUUGUUCGUAGACUACCCAAACUAACAUACCAAAAGUCUGAUCUAUGCACACCAUGCGUGUUAGGAAAACAAGUAAGAAAUUCAUUCAAACCAAUAAAUCAAGUAUCCACUAACCGUGUACUGCAGCUCUUGCAUAUGGAUCUCUUUGGACCAACCAGAACUCAGAGCAUUGGAGGUAAGAAAUACUGCCUAGUAAUUAUGGAUGAUUAUUCACGAUUCACUUGGGCAUAUUUCUUGGCAAGUAAGUCUGAAACAUUUUCUUAUUUUAUAAAGUUUGCUAAGAAAAUCCAAAAUGAGAAAAUGUAUGUUAUUUCAAAUAUACGGAUAUACCAUGAAGGUGAAUUUGAAAAUCAAGACUUUGCUAAAUUUUGUGAAGAAUCUGUCUUUCAGCAUGUGUUCUCUUCACCAUAUACUCUAAAGCAAAAUGGAGUUGUGGAAAGAAAGAAUAGAUCGCUGCCGGAAAUGGCUAGAACUCUUUUAAUUGAAAGUAACAUCUCUUCUCGUUUUUGGGUUGAAGCAGUUUCUACAGCGUUCUAUAUUAUUAAUAGAGUCUUCUUAAGGUCUAUUCUGGAGAAAACUCCCUAUGAGUUAUUCAAAGGUAAGAAGCCAAUUGUUUCGUAUUUUCAUAUGUUUGGAUGCAAAUGUUUUAUAUUGAAAAAUGCAAAUGAUCGAGUUGGUAAGUUUGAAGAAAAAUUAGAUGAAGGUAUUUUCCUUGGAUAUUCAAUCACAAGCAAAGCUUACAAAGUAUACAACAAAAAGACUCAAUUUGUGGAGGAAUCGAUGAAUGUCAAAUUUCAAGACUUUAUGCAAAAUCAAUCGAUUCAGACUCAACCUGAAGAACCUAAACCUGCUCCAGACUCUACAAAGUCUACAUUUCCAGAAGCAGCUCAGACUUCAGAAGAUUAGCAACAAAUGAUCAUUGAAGAUUCAAAUGGAGGAAAUGAUCAACAGUCUGACAAAUCAACUAGCAACUGGAAGCAUAAGUCCAGUCAUCCCAAAGAUCUCAUUAUUGGUGAUAUUAAUAAAGGAAUUCGCACAAGAUCCAAAAGGCGUGAAGAGUCUAGUGUUGUGGCUCUUAUUUCUGAAAUAGAACCCAAAAGCAUGAAAAAGUUUUAACUGAUGAAAGCUGGAUUGAAGCUAUGCAAGAAGAACUCAGGCAAUUCAAUAUUAAUGAUAUCUGGGAAUUGACUCCAAAACCAAAAGGUAAAUCCCUCAUUGGAGCUAAAUGGGUUUUCAGAAACAAGAUGAACGAGAAAGGAAAAGUCAUAAGAAACAAAGCAAGAUUUGUGGCCAAAUGAUAUACGCAAGAAGAAGGAAUAGAUUAUGAUGAAACUUACGCGACAGUAGCAAGGUUAGAAGCAAUUAGAUUACUUGCUUUUGCUUGUUAUAAGAAUUUCAGGUUAUUCCAAAUAGACGUCAAAAGUGCUUUCCUAAAUGGAUUUAUCCAAGAGGAAGUCUAUGUGGAACAACCUAUCGAUUUUGAAGACCCAAGGAAACCAGACUCUGUAUUCAUACUAAAAAAGGCUAUAUAUGGUUUAAAGUAAGCGCUUCGAGCUUGGUAUGAGAGACUAAGUAAGUUUUUAACUCAAAAUGGCUUUGUUAAAGGUAAAGUAGAUAUUACAUUGUUUAUCAAAAGAGAAAGCAAAAGCUUUUUACUUGUUUAAAUUUACGUUGAUGAUAUUAUUUUUGGAUCUUCUAAUAAAAAUAUGUGCAAGAAAUUCUCUAAGUCUAUGCAGGAUGAAUUUGAAAUGAGCAUGAUGGGUGAACUAACUUUCUUUCUCGAGCUUCAAGUGAAACAACUGAAGGAGGGAACCUUUACUCACCAAGAAAAAUAUGCUAAAGAACUUGUCAAAAAGUUUGGACUAGAGAAUUGCAAAAAGACUGAUAUACAAAUGUCAAAUUCCUUGAAGCUAGACAAAGAUGAAGGAGGAAAGAAAGUUGACUAGAAGCUAUACAGGAUUAUCAUUGGUUUACUUCUUUAUCUUACUGCUUCUAGACCUGACAUUCUGUUUAGUGUUUAUAUUUGUGCUAGAUUUCAAUCAGAUCCCAAAGAAUCUCAUUUAAGUGCUGCAAAACGUAUUAUCAAAUACAUUACCUCAACUUCAAAAUUAGGCCUCUGGUAUCCUAAAGAAGGAGACUUCACUCUUCUUGGAUACUCAGACGCAAACCUAGCAGGAUGCAGAGUUAAUAAAAAGAGCACCUCGGGCACCUAUCAACUACUUGAUAACAGGACAGUGUCUUGGUUUUCAAGGAAGCAAAGUACCGUAGCUCUUUCUACAGCAAAAGCAGAGUAUGUAACUCUUGGAAGUUGUUGUUCACAAAUUCUGUGGAUAAAACAACAGUUAAGAGACUUUGGAAUUGAAAAUUCAUGCACUGAGAUCAAAUGUGACAACACCAGCGCAAUCAAUCUCACCAAGAAUCCAAUUCUUUAUUCAAGAGCAAAACAUAUAGAGAUUCGACAUCAUUUCAUUAGAGAUCAUGUUCAAAAUGGAGAAGUUUUGAUUCAGUUUAUUGAUUCAAAGAAUCAACUGGCGGACAUAUUUACAAAGCCUUUGGAGAAAAAUCAAUUUGAAGUUAUUCGUUCCAGACUCAAUAGCUUAAAGUCUGAGGAAGUUCAGACUCAGGGCUGAAAGUCUAAAGACACUCAGACUUAGACGAUCAAGAUUCACGACUGUAAGUUAUUUCUAUUUUAGAAAUUUAUCUCUCGGAUAAAAUCUCGAAAAUGUACGAUCAUCUAUCUGUAAUUGAUUGAUGUUAUCUUCCCCAGUUUUCAGGAUUAUUGCAAUCUUUCCUUUUCGAAAAAGAAGUUAUUUUUUUUAAAAUGACGGUUAUCUAAUUUUUCAAAAAGGCAGUUAUUUUUGGAAAGACAUUUUUAUUUUUCCUUUUUACGACAUUCCGUAUGCCUUGCUUCGACUGCCUUAUAUAUUAUUGGUUCUUCUUCGUUUUACUCACAAAAACCCUAAGAGAGCACAGAUUGUCAACUUUUUUUUCUUCUCUUGUAUAAUCCUCGAAAAGUUGUCACAUAUCUGNNNNNNNNNNNNNNNNNNNNNNNNNNNNNNNNNNNNNNNNNNNNNNNNNNNNNNNNNNNNNNNNNNNNNNNNNNNNNNNNNNNNNNNNNNNNNNNNNNNNNNNNNNNNNNNNNNNNNNNNNNNNNNNNNNNNNNNNNNNNNNNNNNNNNNNNNNNNNNNNNNNNNNNNNNNNNNNNNNNNNNNNNNNNNNNNNNNNNNNNNNNNNNNNNNNNNNNNNNNNNNNNNNNNNNNNNNNNNNNNNNNNNNNNNNNNNNNNNNNNNNNNNNNNNNNNNNNNNNNNNNNNNNNNNNNNNNNNNNNNNNNNNNNNNNNNNNNNNNNNNNNNNNNNNNNNNNNNNNNNNNNNNNNNNNNNNNNNNNNNNNNNNNNNNNNNNNNNNNNNNNNNNNNNNNNNNNNNNNNNNNNNNNNNNNNNNNNNNNNNNNNNNNNNNNNNNNNNNNNNNNNNNNNNNNNNNNNNNNNNNNNNNNNNNNNNNNNNNNNNNNNNNNNNNNNNNNNNNNNNNNNNNNNNNNNNNNNNNNNNNNNNNNNNNNNNNNNNNNNNNNNNNNNNNNNNNNNNNNNNNNNNNNNNNNNNNNNNNNNNNNNNNNNNNNNNNNNNNNNNNNNNNNNNNNNNNNNNNNNNNNNNNNNNNNNNNNNNNNNNNNNNNNNNNNNNNNNNNNNNNNNNNNNNNNNNNNNNNNNNNNNNNNNNNNNNNNNNNNNNNNNNNNNNNNNNNNNNNNNNNNNNNNNNNNNNNNNNNNNNNNNNNNNNNNNNNNNNNNNNNNNNNNNNNNNNNNNNNNNNNNNNNNNNNNNNNNNNNNNNNNNNNNNNNNNNNNNNNNNNNNNNNNNNNNNNNNNNNNNNNNNNNNNNNNNNNNNNNNNNNNNNNNNNNNNNNNNNNNNNNNNNNNNNNNNNNNNNNNNNNNNNNNNNNNNNNNNNNNNNNNNNNNNNNNNNNNNNNNNNNNNNNNNNNNNNNNNNNNNNNNNNNNNNNNNNNNNNNNNNNNNNNNNNNNNNNNNNNNNNNNNNNNNNNNNNNNNNNNNNNNNNNNNNNNNNNNNNNNNNNNNNNNNNNNNNNNNNNNNNNNNNNNNNNNNNNNNNNNNNNNNNNNNNNNNNNNNNNNNNNNNNNNNNNNNNNNNNNNNNNNNNNNNNNNNNNNNNNNNNNNNNNNNNNNNNNNNNNNNNNNNNNNNNNNNNNNNNNNNNNNNNNNNNNNNNNNNNNNNNNNNNNNNNNNNNNNNNNNNNNNNNNNNNNNNNNNNNNNNNNNNNNNNNNNNNNNNNNNNNNNNNNNNNNNNNNNNNNNNNNNNNNNNNNNNNNNNNNNNNNNNNNNNNNNNNNNNNNNNNNNNNNNNNNNNNNNNNNNNNNNNNNNNNNNNNNNNNNNNNNNNNNNNNNNNNNNNNNNNNNNNNNNNNNNNNNNNNNNNNNNNNNNNNNNNNNNNNNNNNNNNNNNNNNNNNNNNNNNNNNNNNNNNNNNNNNNNNNNNNNNNNNNNNNNNNNNNNNNNNNNNNNNNNNNNNNNNNNNNNNNNNNNNNNNNNNNNNNNNNNNNNNNNNNNNNNNNNNNNNNNNNNNNNNNNNNNNNNNNNNNNNNNNNNNNNNNNNNNNNNNNNNNNNNNNNNNNNNNNNNNNNNNNNNNNNNNNNNNNNNNNNNNNNNNNNNNNNNNNNNNNNNNNNNNNNNNNNNNNNNNNNNNNNNNNNNNNNNNNNNNNNNNNNNNNNNNNNNNNNNNNNNNNNNNNNNNNNNNNNNNNNNNNNNNNNNNNNNNNNNNNNNNNNNNNNNNNNNNNNNNNNNNNNNNNNNNNNNNNNNNNNNNNNNNNNNNNNNNNNNNNNNNNNNNNNNNNNNNNNNNNNNNNNNNNNNNNNNNNNNNNNNNNNNNNNNNNNNNNNNNNNNNNNNNNNNNNNNNNNNNNNNNNNNNNNNNNNNNNNNNNNNNNNNNNNNNNNNNNNNNNNNNNNNNNNNNNNNNNNNNNNNNNNNNNNNNNNNNNNNNNNNNNNNNNNNNNNNNNNNNNNNNNNNNNNNNNNNNNNNNNNNNNNNNNNNNNNNNNNNNNNNNNNNNNNNNNNNNNNNNNNNNNNNNNNNNNNNNNNNNNNNNNNNNNNNNNNNNNNNNNNNNNNNNNNNNNNNNNNNNNNNNNNNNNNNNNNNNNNNNNNNNNNNNNNNNNNNNNNNNNNNNNNNNNNNNNNNNNNNNNNNNNNNNNNNNNNNNNNNNNNNNNNNNNNNNNNNNNNNNNNNNNNNNNNNNNNNNNNNNNNNNNNNNNNNNNNNNNNNNNNNNNNNNNNNNNNNNNNNNNNNNNNNNNNNNNNNNNNNNNNNNNNNNNNNNNNNNNNNNNNNNNNNNNNNNNNNNNNNNNNNNNNNNNNNNNNNNNNNNNNNNNNNNNNNNNNNNNNNNNNNNNNNNNNNNNNNNNNNNNNNNNNNNNNNNNNNNNNNNNNNNNNNNNNNNNNNNNNNNNNNNNNNNNNNNNNNNNNNNNNNNNNNNNNNNNNNNNNNNNNNNNNNNNNNNNNNNNNNNNNNNNNNNNNNNNNNNNNNNNNNNNNNNNNNNNNNNNNNNNNNNNNNNNNNNNNNNNNNNNNNNNNNNNNNNNNNNNNNNNNNNNNNNNNNNNNNNNNNNNNNNNNNNNNNNNNNNNNNNNNNNNNNNNNNNNNNNNNNNNNNNNNNNNNNNNNNNNNNNNNNNNNNNNNNNNNNNNNNNNNNNNNNNNNNNNNNNNNNNNNNNNNNNNNNNNNNNNNNNNNNNNNNNNNNNNNNNNNNNNNNNNNNNNNNNNNNNNNNNNNNNNNNNNNNNNNNNNNNNNNNNNNNNNNNNNNNNNNNNNNNNNNNNNNNNNNNNNNNNNNNNNNNNNNNNNNNNNNNNNNNNNNNNNNNNNNNNNNNNNNNNNNNNNNNNNNNNNNNNNNNNNNNNNNNNNNNNNNNNNNNNNNNNNNNNNNNNNNNNNNNNNNNNNNNNNNNNNNNNNNNNNNNNNNNNNNNNNNNNNNNNNNNNNNNNNNNNNNNNNNNNNNNNNNNNNNNNNNNNNNNNNNNNNNNNNNNNNNNNNNNNNNNNNNNNNNNNNNNNNNNNNNNNNNNNNNNNNNNNNNNNNNNNNNNNNNNNNNNNNNNNNNNNNNNNNNNNNNNNNNNNNNNNNNNNNNNNNNNNNNNNNNNNNNNNNNNNNNNNNNNNNNNNNNNNNNNNNNNNNNNNNNNNNNNNNNNNNNNNNNNNNNNNNNNNNNNNNNNNNNNNNNNNNNNNNNNNNNNNNNNNNNNNNNNNNNNNNNNNNNNNNNNNNNNNNNNNNNNNNNNNNNNNNNNNNNNNNNNNNNNNNNNNNNNNNNNNNNNNNNNNNNNNNNNNNNNNNNNNNNNNNNNNNNNNNNNNNNNNNNNNNNNNNNNNNNNNNNNNNNNNNNNNNNNNNNNNNNNNNNNNNNNNNNNNNNNNNNNNNNNNNNNNNNNNNNNNNNNNNNNNNNNNNNNNNNNNNNNNNNNNNNNNNNNNNNNNNNNNNNNNNNNNNNNNNNNNNNNNNNNNNNNNNNNNNNNNNNNNNNNNNNNNNNNNNNNNNNNNNNNNNNNNNNNNNNNNNNNNNNNNNNNNNNNNNNNNNNNNNNNNNNNNNNNNNNNNNNNNNNNNNNNNNNNNNNNNNNNNNNNNNNNNNNNNNNNNNNNNNNNNNNNNNNNNNNNNNNNNNNNNNNNNCCUGAACUCACUGCUUACUUCUAUUCUAAUCUAAGUUUCUUGGAUACGAAUAGAUUCUCUUUUAGUGUUUGAGAUCAGAACUAUGUAGUUGACAAGGAUACAUUGGCUGAUGUGAUUGGAGUUGAAAGAAGGAAAUUCCAACCAAUCAGUGUGUAUUAGUUGUGCGACGGUAGAGCUUGUUCGAGAUAGAAUGGCGGAAGGAAAGAUUUCAUAUUUGAGGAUGCAUGCCUCAAAUAUUUUGCUUCACAAGAUAGUGAUCAACUGCCUCAGACCCAAAUCGACUUCGAAGACCGAUGUUUCAAACUCGAAGGCAAAGCUAAUGUAUGCCAUUAACGCUGGCAAAAAGUUCUCUCUUCCACACACUAUUUUGUUCCACAUGUAUAGAACGAUGGUGAAAGACAAUGGUCAACUUCUUUACUUCGCACUUGUCACUAAGUUAUUCAAACAUUUGAACAUUCAGCCUCUCAGGAUUCUUUGUGUUCGAACAUGCGAUCAAAUGGUGGUGGGACUGAAAAUGGUCUCUAAAAUGCGUCUGAAGGAACUUAACAAGACUUUGGAGCGAUUCAAGGAUAAAACCCCUGUCAAGACUCAUCCAGUUUCUUCAGCUGCAAAACGGAAAGGGAAGGACCCCAUGGUUGCUUCAUCCAAGAAAAGAAGAGCACUCAUCUUGGAGGAUGAAGAGGAUGAUGAUGAUAUCACAAUUUCUGCUCUUGCUUUGAAAAACUUAAGUCGUUCUGUUCCAAAGACAGAGGUGAGACAAGAACAGGAUAAGGAGGAGAUCGAACAAAGGAUCGGAGAGAGAGAAUCAAUGGAGAAAGAAGUAGAGGAAGAAAGGAUUGCUGAAGAAGAAGAAGAAGAGGGCAGGGGUGAACAAGAGGAAACAGAGCAUGAAGAGUACUUCUCACCACCUGAAGGCAAUGAAACAGGGGGGGAUUCUGAGAAAAGAGGUAUAUCUUCAAUUGCUGCUACUAGUGAAGGAAUAAGUCGUUCACCUUGCAGAUUCAGAAGACAUUUAUGCCUCUCAAUUCCCUGAGGAAUGCUAUGAGGUUUCAUCGCCAAAUCUAAGUGAUCGUGCUGACUUGCCAUCAUCUGUCAAUACACCUACUAAUCGUGCAAAAGCCAGUACUUAGACUGAUAAUUCAGCAGAUUUUCGCAGAGUGCUUGAUGUUCUUAUGGAGAUGCAAUGCCAAAUUUAUGCUCUGGGAUGCGAAGUUUAGAACUUGCAGAAUGCAGGUCAAGCCUCUUCAAUUUCUUUACAUGAUCAAAUUCAUGCCCUUACUCUUCAAGUUCAAGCAAAUGCCAAGGGUGAAGAUGUGGCUCAACUGAAGGAGGAUUUGAAAAAGCUGAAAGGGAUUGUCUAGUCAAUGGGAGAUUUCCAACUUGUUCGUGUUCCAAAGCAAUCCUAAUUCCAUUCGCUUUUCAUCUCUACCUUUUUAAUGCUGACAAAAAGGGGGAGAGAUGUGGUGCAAAUUUGAGAUUUGAGAUUUGAGAUUUAAACUCUUGACUUUUUGAUUGACUUUACUUUUGUGUUUGGCUGUUUGGUUGUGACUGGAUUUUGAUUUGGAUUGUUUGAUCGUUUGUUUAUUUUGAGCACUAUUGGUAUUUCAUGGCAAAGAUAGAUGCUUAUUUACAUGACUAACUUAAUUCCUGUGGAUGCAGAUUUUAAUGUUAUCCUUAUUAAGCCAAUUAUCUUUUGUGAGAUAUCCAUGUUUGCUUGAGUAUUGUUUUGCAGGUCAAAGUUAUCCAAAUCUGCAAGAAAGUUUUGUCACCAUAAAAAAAGGAGGAGAUUGUUGGAGAAAACUUCAUUGAGUGUUUUGAAGUUUAAAAAGGUUUCCAUUAGUCUAGUCUGAAGACUUGCAGACUCUUUCAUCAAAGUUUGAAGGCUUCCGAACUGCUAGACUCAAGACUCAAAGUCUAUCCUCAUUAACAGUUUUCUAGACCGUCGAAGAAGGCUUAUUCAGAAUUGAGUAUUUCGUUAAGGAUUUGAUUCUAUCGAUUGAAGAAGAUCUCUUGGCUGGAUAUAGCAUGUCGGAAUCCAUUAUUCAAAUUGAGAUUGAUUCAGGGAUUUUGGAUCUGUUGAUUGGCAAAGUAUAUUUGGAAGGUUCUACUUGUGGAAACCUAGAUCUUGAUUGUAUGGGCGAACAUGAUUGGUGGGCUAUCGUCAUAUUCCUUAAAUAACUCGAAAUCUCCUUAAUUGAUUAUGUCCAACGGAUAGAUUGGAAGAACUCCUUUGGUAAGUGCCAACGGGUGUGAUGGCAUGAAGGAGUAUAUAAGGAAGACGUACCAGUUAUUCGAGUGUGUGUGCGAUAGAAGAAUUCCAAAGUCUGAAGCUCCUUAUUCUUAGUCAAUUCAAUUGUUGAGCAAAAUAUUGCACUCAAAAGAGAUUUUAUAUUUUUGUGAGACAUUGAGGAAGUGUAGCAGAGUCUCUACACUGUGGAAUCAAGGAAGAGCUAUACUAUAACAACUCUUUUGAUUCGUAGUAAAAUCCAGCCGGUGGGCUGUCAGUCCGGAAGAGUGGACGUAGGCUUGGAUUAAGCCGAACCACUAUAAACUUGUAUUCUUAUUCUCUUACCUAAGCUCUUUUACUUUGAUCGUAAUUUAAUUUGAUUAUUAGAGUCUAAUUUCAUUUUCAUAAUCUAUUACUGAUCAGAGUUGUUUUAAAAGUAAAAUCACUCACUCUGGAAAAUUUGUUUUCGCACCUAUUCACCCCCUCUAAGUGCUCGUACUAGCUUUCACACAAAUGACCCAAUUCAAGGGUAGCCUAAAUUUGGUGGGUCGUGUUUGAUUUUGAGCUGCUCCAUUGUAAUUGAAAGAAAAAAGGGUUUAGUAAGCAUUUCUCUUGCUUGAGGAAUUUCUCUCCAAUAGUUAGCAACGUUACAUAAUCAUGGCUAGCAAGCAUGGCCACUUCCACCAAACCUCUCCAAAGCUUUGGGGUUGUAUAUGUUUUUUUUUUCUUUGGUGACCAAGGAUCUGUCAGAGCAUGCCUUUGUCGGCUUACGCCAAUUUGGAGUCUCAUAGGCCUCCGCAGUGGAGGACCUACAACAACUAUACCUCGAGGAAAAUGGCCUAGCAAGCCACUGCCGGGGCCCCCGCUUGAAUCGCUAGCAAUGCAGGGUUUCGAACUCUUAACCUCCAUGCGUUGGAAGGGGAGCUCUCAAUCAACUGCACUGCCCACGGGUGAGUUUUAGGUAGUAUACGUUAGUCCCCAAUUUUUCUACUAUUAUCUAAUACCCUCUUAACUUUCAUUUUGUUUGAACUGUAAAGGCUCAGUUAUUUUUUCGUUAACCUAUUCAAUGCACGUGCCUUUCAAAAGAUGGAAGUAUUUUUUUCAUCUCUUUUUUUUUUUUUUGAGAAAAUCUCUCGUUUACUCUUAUUUGAUAUAAACUAAAUGAAAAAUAUAUAAAAUUAAAGAAAAAUAAAUUGUGUAUAAUACUAAUAAUAAAAAUAAAUAAAUAUCUAUAAGUUGCGUCUGAUCGUCCAAAUUUCAAUUGGAAUAAGAUUGAAUAAAUGGGAAUUUGAAAUCCUCCAAAUAUCCCUGGAUUGUAAAAAUAUCCCAUCAUAUGUUUUUUGGUAACUAAGAUAGGAUUUGAAAUAUUUUUAAAAAAUAUUUGAAAAUAUUUAGCGUUUGAAAAUCUUUGAAAUUCCCAUCUCCUUAGGGCUUCAAACCUUUCCGAUCACGUGGUUAGUUGGAAAUUCGAUCUCGAUGCAUGACGGUUCCCAACCGGCACGAGUUCACAUAAUUUUUGGAAAAGCCUCGUGGAUAACGAGAGGCACUUCUUGUGGGUUGUACAACCGGACUUCAUCACCAAAGAAGGCCCGUGAGAGGAGAUUCCACAUCACGGUGCCAUUGUGGCAUUCUUGAUGCACAUCAAUUGGAACUCCAUGCGUGAGAGAAAGGUCCCCACGAAGCCAAUGGUGUGUUGGCCGUUCUUUGUCGACCAACUAGUGAACAGGCGGCUUGUGAGUCACACGUGGAAGGUUGAGCUCGACAUGAAGGACAUAUGGAAUUGGAAUGGAAAGGAUGAUCUAUGCGUUGGUGGUGACAACUAACCUAGUAAGGUGACAAUGAUCAUGCUAUGGUUGGAAGUGAUGUUGAUAAGCUAUCUUGGUGGUGUCCUUGUGCAAUGCUGCCGACAAAGCAAUAUAUGAUGCGUCACUCUAUUAGUGAUUUUUUUAUAAAAAAAUUAUAUCUAAUUCGGGAUUAUCCCAUCCCCUAGACUGGAUUUCUUAUUCGGUAUUUUGUCUGAAUGUAUCCAAGUUUAUAUGGUUAUGAAAACGUCACCAAAUAUCGAAUAAGAUAAUUUGUUAUACCACCAGAUUCAAAAUUAGACUACCAAACACAACCAUAAUUAUAUUAAACGGUAAGAAUUUGUUACUAUUUAAUAAAAAUAGCCACUCUGAUAUAACUAAAUAAGAAAUUUUAAGAAUUAUAAUAAACAACAACUAAACGAAAAGGGAAAAGGCCUCGUAAGAUCAUGUGACAAAAUUUGCUUUCAUCGUUAUGUAUAUUUCGGGGGUUAAUUAAUGUAAAUUUGAUUGAUUAACAAAGAAUUUUACAUGAAGAAUAAUCGAUCCCUUGCAAAUUGUGACCCUUUCAAAGGUAAUCCUUAAGGAAGAGCUUUACAUAUGCGCGCGCAACACAUAUAUGAUGGGCAUCGUGAACUAAAAAGUGCCUUCGCAUCUAUAAUAAUUCAAAAAUUUCAAAAAUUUCAAAAAAUUAUAUUUUGUUUUUAGAUAAGUUUGCAAAUUAGCACCUUCUCGGAUGCGAAGGCAGAUAUAACUCGCUCCAUUUUCGGCUCAUACAUCAUAUUUCUCCCUUGCAGAACUAAUUUUUUGGUUAUGCAAAACUAAAAAAAAAAAAAAAAAAAAAAUUUAUCUUAGGCUCUAAUCAUAUCAUAUUACAAAAUUAUUUUAGAUAAAUUUGCAGAUAUGAAUUGCAGACCUAAAUUUUUAGGCCUGAAUCAUAUCAUAUAACAAUUACCACUUUCUUUGUGUAGGCUACUCUCACCUAUAUCAUUUUAAAUAUGAACCUUGAGCUAUUUUGCUGUUCCUACAUAUUUACUUUCUUUUGGGCUGUAUUAUAUGCGGUAGAAUUUCUUAAUCUUUAGAAUCUGGGACAUAAAAGAGGACAUACAUAUAGUUGGGCCGCAUGCAGGGGGGAAGUUGGCAAUCGAGUUUGGUCCAAGAUCCAAUUAUGUAAUUAAUUAUGGUUCGCAUUUCAUUAAAUUAGGAAAAAAUAAACAAAAUCCCUCUGACUUUUAUGGGUUGUACUGCCCUCAAUUUUUUGACUACCACGUAAUAUUGGAACAAUUUUUCAAAAAAUCAUAAGUUUAUUGUAUAAUGACUACUUCAAUCAUAAACAUUUCGAUUGUGUCAAUGUAGUUGUAGACCUUUAAACAAUUUGUCAAACUAGUCUUCAAUCUUUUAACGAAUUGUUAAUUUAGUCAUUCAAACUAAUGUAGACCAAAUGUCAUUGGCAUGACAACCCCAUUACUGCCAAUCUUCCUAUGUGUCACAUGUGAUGAUAACAUAGACAAUUUUUUUAAUUAAAUUCAAUUUUUAUUUCAUUUUAUUUCAUUUUUUCUCCAUUUUUUUUUUAUACAUGGCCUACAGUAGUCAAGAGCUAGUAACCUUUGUCAGCCACCAAAUAAAGGUUAGCAGAGUCACUGGGAAGGGCUUGUGAGCCAUUGCUCAUUGCCAACAAGGGUGUUGCAACCUUUGCCAACCCCAACGAGGGCGUCAUGGCCCUCCCCCAAGCCACUGUUAGUGAGGGCCUAGGUGAGAGCUUGCAAUGCCCUUUACCAAACCUAGUGAGGGCCAUAAUGCCCUCGAUAGAUCUAGUCAGGCAAAGGCAUCGUGACCCUUGCUUCAACCCUCAUUGCCACAGCAAGGGCUUGUGAGCCCUUGCCAGAUCUAGUGAGAGUCGCUGCCCACCUAGUGAAGGCUUUGUGGGCCUUGCCUAGGAGUUGCGAGACCCCUUUAGCCAUGUGAAAAAAAAAAAAAUGAAAGAAAAGAAAAUAUUAAUAAAUUGAUAAUUCUUUAAAAGGUUUAUGACUAGUUUGACAAAUUGUUUAAAUGUUUAAAAUAAAAUUAGCAUAAUAAAAAAUUGAAUUGAAUUGAUAAUCAUAAAAUAAUUUUAAAAUUUUUUAGACAAGUUUCUCACCGAAUAACUCAUGUACUUUUGUUUUCUCAUGUCCCAUGAACCCUGCACUUGAGGUCCUACCUCGCGAGUCUUCUAUUUUGCUGUAAGUGCACAAAAAAUCUGCCAUUGAAAGGACAGAUGAUUUGUAUUAAACGAUUGAACCCGAAAUGAUGCCACUUCACUGUCCCACUUACGAUAAUAAUCAUAUCAUUGUCAAAUCUUGCUAGCUUUUGGUGGAUAUUUCAUUGGGAGAUAGGUCUUUUUUGUAAUGGUAUCCGUCUAGAUUCUGGACCGUCCCUGACUCCAUCAGAGAAAAUCCACGUUCGUGACGGCUCCGGGGCCGACACUACACGUGUCGCUAGGCCACAAGCCCCGCCAAAAUGAUGCUUUUUUGACACAUGUUGAAAUGUAACCCGUUAGAAUGAUACCCUCCGACAACAUCAUUCUUAGCCGCAUGAUAACCUUAUCGAUCAGCGCCAAUCAUGCCCCCAGUUUGACAAUGCCCUCAUUUUUUUUUCCUAACCCAAUAGCAUGGGCACGAAAACCCUUUUUUUUUUUUUUUUUUUCUAAUCCAAUGGCAUGGGCACGGAAAACCAAUUACUUGGACAACUAUGAAACAACUUGCAAGCCUCAUGGAAUUGAACUACUGUAAAUUGAUAAAUAAAUAAAAAAGAUAGUUGGUGAUAGGCAAACCGUCAAUUCAAACUAAACAAAGAUUCUUUUUUAGAAUGUUAUCUUAAUUCAAAUUUAGACUACCAAAAAAAAUAACAUAAUUAUUUUAAAUGGUAAGAGUUUGUUAGCUUUUAAUAAAUACAGCCACCCUAAUAUAAAUAAAUAAAAAAUUGAGAAAAUUCCAAAUAAGAGCCUAAGAUGUCUUCAUUUUUUCAAAUAAGGAUAUAAAGUAGACAUUGUUGCGUAUAAAGAAUUGAAGUGUUAUCAUUUUCUUAAAUAAGAGCCUAAAGUAAUCAUACCAGUUUCAAAUAAGGAUCUGAACUCAUUGUAUGGUGAAUGACAAUUUCGUCUUAUAAAUAUUUUCCAUUUCUCCUUUCUUUUUUCUUUUUUCCAAACUCAAAAAAAUUAAUUAAAAAAAAAAGAACACACACAAGAGGAAGGGCUCCCUCCUAUCUAUGGCCAUUGCCACAUAAUUAGUGGGGCGUGUGGCAAUGGCUGAUGAAGUCAUCGACCCUAGGCAAAGACCCUGGCUUGGGGGUUGAUGACCUCAUCGGCCACCACCACCGCCCCACUAGUGAUGAGGCGGCGGCCACAGGAGGGAGGGCCCUCCCACCUCUAUUUUUGCUUUUUCUUUUUCUUUUAUAAUUUUAAUCUUAUUUAAAUUGUAUUCUGAGGAAAUACUUUUGCUCGAUCGGAAUUUUUUAACGGUUGGCAAGUCAGCAAAACUAGGCCCUUAUUUGGAACAACCGUGACUACUUUAGAUACUUAUUUGAGAUUGAUAUAGCCACUUCAAGCCUUUAUUUGAAACAAAGUCUACUUUAAACCACUAUUUGAGAAAAUUAUGGCAUUCGGGCUUUAUUUUUGGAAGUUUUCCUAAGAAAUUUUAAGAAAUAUAAUAUACAACAACUAAAUAAAAAGGGAAAAGGCCUCGAUAACAUAAAGAUCAUGUGACAAAAUUUGCUUCAAUUGUUGUACGGUGAUAAAUUCAAUCUUAAACCUUUCGAUUGUGUUAAUUUAGCUAUAGUCUUUUAAAUGAAUUGCCAAACUAGUCUCAACCUUUUAGCAAAUUUUCAAAUUAGUCAUUUCGGUUAAUUUUGAUCGAACAUCACAAAUGUGACAACCCAAUCAGCGCUGGCCCUUUUUUACACAUGGCCAGCAGAGCCAGCCACUGGCCAAGAGACAGCAGUCUACAUUGGCCACUGAGCAAAGGCCAGUGGGGCUGCUUGUCACUAGAGAGGGCUUCGCAACCCUUCAAGCCGUCACUGAUCCUAGUGAGAGUGUCACGGCUCUUGCCUAGGCCAUUGUUGACCCUAGCGAGGGCUAGGGCAAGAGCUUGUGAUGCCCUCGCCAAACCAAAAAAGUGUCGUGACGCCCUUGACAGAUCUGGUGAGGUGAGGGUAUUGCGGCCCUUGCCAAAGUCCUCGUUGCCACAGCAAUGGCUUGUGAGUCUAACGGGGAGGUGAAAUUUGUAAGCUUGCGAUCUCCGAUAACUUCUGUUAGAUUCAAAUUCUCUAGUGUUCAAGGUUGUGAAAGCCAACUUGUGUUUGGAUAUUACAACUUUUUGAGAUUAAAACGUUCUAAGAGGUUGUGUUUGGAGUCGAUACUGAGGGAGAAUUGUUUGCUAGUUGAGAAACUUUCUCCUUCUGAAUGCACUUACGGUGCGCUUCAAAAUGGAGACGUGCCGUUACUGACACCAGCUGUUUUGGACUCUUCGCGAGAGGUAUUAUUCUCUUUAUCAUUUUCUUCUCAGAAUGUGCAAUUUCUCUGUUCAGGAGUUAGGGUUGUGGAGCAAUAUGUGCAUGAUUUUCUGUUGUUUUUGGUAUCUCAACAUUAACAAUUCUUCCAUGAACCAAUUUCUUAAACUCCCCCCCACCCUUCCCUCUUCUCUGUCGGCAUGCGCACGUGCACACGCACACACUUUUACUUUGUGCUUAGUAUUGUGGUUGUUACUUAUGUAAAACCAGUAUUAAUUGUCCUAAGCUUAACUGAUCAGGGUCUACAGAAGCUGACCGGUGAAGCAAUGCGGCCCUCGGAUGUAUCUAGAGAUAAUGACGACAUUAAUGGGGGAAAUUCUUCAGGUUCUGAUGCAGAGUACAUGAAGCUUCUUCCGUUUGCUCUGUCCUUUUCCGCUGCUCCUACUUUCUUUCUGAGAUUGCACCUGAAGCUUCUUAUGAAUCAUAGUGUCUCCAAAAUUAGUUUUGUUGAGCUUAAUCAGGAGAAGAGCACUGAAACUGCAAGAAUUUUGGCUCAAUCUAACAUCGCCAUAGAUGACUGCUCAAAGAAUGAUGUGGGAUUCCAUGCUAGCCAAGAAGUUCCAUCAAGAGAAAGUCCUUGUGAUAGGUACUUGCAUUGUGCUAAAGAUGAUCAAGCUGUUCAGCUAGUUGUUUGCGGGGGUACAGAUUUGAGGACCCCUGAGGAUAACCAAAGCAGUGAUCUUCAUGCUGGCAGGAUUCACAGUGGUAAUGCUGUAGUUGGUGAUGAGGUUGGCCAGGUGCAGGAAGGGCAAGGAAACUAACGCAGCAUCAGAGAAAACGUCAAGGCCUCUGCUUGGUGGGGAGAGGAUCACAAAUGGUGCUUGUCCUUCUUUGAAUGGUAUUAAGAUAGAUACUCCCCAUUAUAAUGAAGGUGAUAAGCCUGCCAAUGAUGGAUCCCUGCGUGGUUUGCCGCCUACUGGUAUGGCUUGCGAUAUGAAUGGGCAGCCUCGUUCCCAGUCCAAAUCCCACCGCACCAAGAAUCGUAUGGGCAUCGCAGUAGAAGUAGGUUCAUUUUAUGGACACUUCUCACGUGGUUGGGUCAGAUGCAAAAUCAGACGGUUCCCUGAAUAGUUUUGGCAAUGGACCGAAGAAACCACGGACACAUGUUACUUACUCAUAUCCUUCUGGAGUUUCAGUUCAAGUUCAAGGCCACAGCAGAGGAACAUUCCUCACAAAGAAUCAGGAACUCAAUGAAGAGGGCCUCGAUGUCGCCUGAGUUCCUCAAAAAACUGGGAGUUGUUAUCGUGUCAUGCGACUUGUUAAUUACAGUGGGGGACAGAAUGGAGAAGAGAGUGGGGCAGAGGUGGUACUUGAACUUGUUGAGAAUGAAUGGAACCUUGCAGUAAAAGUUUCAGGAACCAAUAAAUAUUCUCAUAAAGCACAUCAGUUUCUGCUGCCUGGGUCCACUAACAGGUAUACACAUGCUAUGAUGUGGCGAGAAGGGAAACAGUGGACACUCGAAAUUUCAGACAGAAGCCAAUGGGCUCUUUUCGAGGAAAUGCAUGAAGAGUGUUACAACCGAAACUUCCGUGCUGCAUCAGUCAAGAACAUUCCGAUUCCUGGUGUCUACGUGGUAGAAGAUUAUGAUGAUAAUGGAAUGGAGCUGUCAUUUCGCAGUUCUGCUAUCUACUUCCAGCAGGUUGAAACAGAUAUUUAAAUGGCCUUGAAUCCAUCUCGUGUCCUAUAUGACAUGGAUAACGAUGAUGAGUGGUGGAUUUCAUCUCGUCAAAGUUCUUCAGAUGUUAAUGAUAAUGGCUAUGGGCAGAUAUCUGUGGAGAUGUUUGAGAGGACAAUGGACAUGUUUGAGAAGAAAGCUCAUGCUCUACAGCGUGACCAUUUCACAUCCGAGGAAAUGGACGAUUUGCAGUUAGGUGCAGGACCAGUUGUAAGAGGUAUUUAUGAACAUUGGCGGCAGAAGAGGCAAAAGAAGGGAAUGCCAUUGAUUCGACUUCUUCAGGUACCUUUUAAAAUCCUUUUUAUUGUCGUUUAUUGAUUUUUUCCAGAUACACAUUUAUGUGAGUUGCUGCAUUUAAUUUGGCUUUCUGCAAUUACUGUUAAUCUGCCAUCGGGAACAAUUUCCGUCACUCGGUUUUCCAGAUGAACGUUUCCUUGUUGAGAUGCUCAUUUUGUUUUAUUUGGGGUGUACUUUGUUUGAGUGAAUUGCAAAGGAUUGUCGGGGGACCUGUUGGUAUGUGAUUGCUUUGUUCCUCUCUUCCAUGCCCGUUUCAUUUUUAUCUUUUCCUGGAGUCGUUCUUUGGAAUUUUGUCUGAUAUGGGGCUGCUUUCUGCUCUGGAGCAUGUGGAAAUAUCUGGUUUUUGUGAUCUUCCUUUUUCGUUCUUGCAUAAUUGUUAUAUAGUAAUAUCAACUUCUUAGGCCUUCAUGCAUGAUGGUAAUGCUUGGUUUUUCAAUUAAUAGGGCAUUGAGCAUGAAUAAAGAAACAAAUAGCCUUUGAAAUUAGCUCUUAAUUAGUUCAGUUAUUAAUUAGUUGGUUAGACAUAUUAUUCAAAAUCAGAUGCUAAUUUGUAUGUCUCUUUUUUGUUAAUUAGAUCUUCCUGUCAUGAUUAAUCCUGUCUGUUACCUUUGUGUGCACAUAGUGUGCACUCUUUUGAACUUGUGAUUUAAAUGUCAUGGUAUCAAUUAUUCAAUUCAUGCUCAUGCUUUGCAGCCACCGUUAUGGGAAAUGUACCAGCAGCAGUUGAGAGAGUGGGAGCUAGCUUUGAAUAAAGGGAACUCUGCUGCUUCUGAUGGAUGUCAGAAGGCCUCAGCUGCUGAAAGACCUCCCAUGUUUGCUUUUUGUAUGAAACCUGGGGGCUUAGAAGUCCCUAAUAAAGGCUCAAAGCAAAGGUCGCAAAAACGAUUCUCAGUCACGGGGCAAAGCAAUGGUUUUCAUGGAGAUCAGGACAGUUUCCAUGCUUUUGGUAAGUUAUGUGAAUUUUACUAAGCGGAACACUUUUAGGUUAUUUUUUCUUGGAUCCAGAAUCUUGACGUCGUUAUCUUUUUGUUCCUGUCAGGGAGGAGAUUGAACGGACCUAGUUUUGGAGAUGAUAGGGCCGUCUAUUUGGGACAUAACUAUGGACAUGCAGACAAUUCUCAAAUGGCACAGACGUCUCCAUUGGGAUAUUCUCCACGAGAUGUCCCUGGCCAGGGAUAUUUUCCAAUUGGCAAUGAUGGAUUCAAUCGAAAUUAUCCUCCGAGACUACAGAGAUAUAAGUCAAAGAAGUCGUGCUGUUGCAUCUCCUCGACAUUCACAGGUGGUCACUGCCUACAGCAGGGGAGCCACGGGCAGUAAUAAGAAUACCCAUCACUGGAAUUCUCAUCAACAGUUUUCGUCUGAAGGCUCUCAGAGACCAUCUAGUGAGCAGUGGGACCGGACGGAUAUGGAUGAAUAUAAAUUGUUGGAUGCAUCUGGUGCAGCACGGUAUGCAUCUAAUUUAGCUAAGCUUAAGAGAGAGAGGGCACAGAGACUUCUUUGCAAAGCAGAUGUAGCAGUUCACAGAGCUGUGGUUGCUCUCAUGACUGCUGAAGCGAUGAAAGCGUCUUUGGAGGAUAGGAAGGAUGAUGGGUAGGUUAUCUGAAGAUUAUCAGUGAACAGAUUGGUAUAUUUCUCAAUUUGACCCCCGGAGAAUGUGCAGAUGGAAUGAAAAUAUUUCUCUUGAGGCGGGAGCUGGUCCAAGAUUUAUCAGAUGCUGGUGCGCCUUUCACCAAGCACAGUUUUUGAAGGAAAAGUUUGUGGAGAGGGUAUUCAUAGAGAUAUAUUUGGUUAUCACAUUUAAUUGUCGAUAUUUUGGCAGUUUUCUAGUCCAUCCUUGCAAUACCUUAGUGAGAUUCCAGUAGUCUCUUACACCAGCAGCAAGUGUAUGCCUCAUUAGUGCUGCUUGUCGUGUUUAUUUUGCAAGAGCAUUGUAUAGAAUCUUUUGCUACCAUUCUCUGUACAGUCAGCCCACCCCCUCUACCAAUUUAGAAAGGAAAUGAAGAGAGAUUUACCAAACGUAAUUGGUUUUGGCAAGAAUUUGGUUGAUGCUCUGAGUCUGUUCUCCUUAGAUAUCCUUGUCAUCAUCUGUGGCUUCGAAUAGCAGAAUGACAAAUUACCAUGCGAUACCUUUUUAUCUUCUCUUGUACAUAGGGCGAUGAGUCUCUGAAGCUUGUGGCCUCUUUUUCGCUUCUUGAGCAAUCACUGCAUUUGAUCUGUGGCAUUUAGAUUAUGUAUUAAGCUUAUGUUGGAAGAUACGCAAGAUAUCUUCAGAUCGCAUUGAAUAUUUCUCAGAUCAAUUAAGAUCAAAUCAGGGAUCAAUUAAUAUCAAGUCUAGUUUGUACAUUAUUUAGUUCCCUUUCUCAUUAUACAUGUCUUGUAAUAUAAACAUUGAUAUUGUACGUACAGACAUAUACAGAGAAUACUCAAAAACUUCUCUUCUCAAUUUUCCCUUUUCAUAUUCUUACAUGGUAUCAGAGCCCUUAUGGUUCUGACAUAGCUUCCGCACUUGUCUUUGAAUUGCCUUCCAUGAUCUUCUGUUCUUGGCUGUCGUUACACUUGCAAACCAAAACAGCAUCCGACAGGAAUUCUUGAUUCUUCGCUCUUUGGCCAAUCUGCAGAACAGAGUUACUGCAGAAUUUUUUUCUUCAUCAUGACAAACCCAGAAACACUUCGCCCAAGCCCUCCACUACGCCUUACGAUCCGUGAGGCACUUCGCGAAAGCCAUGGCUCGCGAGAUGGAGGCGGCAAACUGGAACCUCGACGAGGCCAUCCCAUUCAUCAAGCCGCAAGCAAGGUUCGCGAAGCCCGGCCACCGGCACUUCGCCAUCGAAUCGUUCGAGGCCAGAUCGAUCUUCGAGGGCUUCAACUUCCCCGACGGAGGAAGAGCUCGGUUCUGGCGGAGGCGGUGGCGGUGGCGGUUUGGAGCAACGACGCCCUGGACGGCCGAGCGAGCGGCGGCAAGAGGUGGUGACGGUGGCUUGGGGACGGCGGCGAGGAGCGGCGUGGACGGCGCGACAGCUCGUCGGGCUCAACGGCGAGACGGCUUGUCGGACGAGCGGUGGGUGGUGGUGGUUCGGUGGCCAAGAGGUGGUGGUGAGUAGGGCGUGGGGCGGCGGUGUGGUGGUGGGUGAAGCAGCAGCUACCAAGAGGAGGAGGAAGAAGAAGAAGAAGAAGAAGAAGAAGAAGAGGUAGGGUUUCGGCCGAGAGAGGGGGAAAGAGGAGAGAGAGAGAAGAAAAGAAAAAAGUUGGGGGGGCAAGAAGUGACGUGACGAGGGAAAAGGGGAGAAAAGAAAGAGAGAGAGAGAAAAGAAANNNNNNNNNNNNNNNNNNNNNNNNNNNNNNNNNNNNNNNNNNNNNNNNNNNNNNNNNNNNNNNNNNNNNNNNNNNNNNNNNNNNNNNNNNNNNNNNNNNNUUUGAACGGACCUAGUUUUGGAGAUGAUAGAGCCAUCUAUUUGGGACAUAACUAUGGACAUGUAGACAAUUCUCAAAUGGCACAGACAUCUCCAUUGGGAUAUUCUCCACGAGAUGUCCCUGGCCAGGGAUAUUUUCCAAUUGGCAAUGAUGGAUUCAAUCGAAAUUAUCCUCCGAGACUACAGAGAUAUAAGUCAAAGAAAUCUGGUGCUAUUGCAUCCCCUCGACAUUCACAGGUGGUCACUGCCUACAGCAGGGGAGCCACGAGCAGUAAAAAGAAUACCCUUCUUUGGAAUUCUCAUCAACAGUUUUCGUCUGAAGGCUCUCAGAGACCAUCUAGUGAGCAGUGGGACCAGAUGGAUAUGGAUGUAUAUAAAUUGUUGGAUGCAUCUGGCGCAGCACGGUAUGCAUCUAAUAUGGCCAAGCUUAAGAGAGAGAGGCCACAGACACUUCUUUGCAAAGCAAAUGUAGCAGUUCACAGAGCUGUGGUUGCUCUCAUGACUGCUGAAGCGAUGAAAGCGUCUUUGGAGGAUAGGAAGGAUGAUGGGCAGGUUAUCUGAAGAUUAUCAGUGAACAGAUUGGUAUAGUUCUCAAUUUGACCCCGAAGAAUGUGCAGAUGGCAUGAAAGUAUUUCUCUUGAGGCGGGAGCUGGUCCAAGAUUUAUCAGAUGCUGGUGCACCUUUCAUCAUGCACAGUUUUUGAAGGAAAAGUUUAUGGAGAGGGUAUUCAUAGAGAUAUAUUUGGUUGUCACAUUUAAUUGUCGAUAUAUUGGCAGUUUUCUAGUCCAUCCUUGCAAUACCUUAGUGAGAUUCCAGUAGUCUCUUACACCAGCAGCAAGUGUAUGCCUCAUUAGUGCUGCUUGUCGUGUUUAUUUUGCAAGAGCGUUGUAUAGAAUAUUUUGCUACAUUCUCUAUACAGUCAGCCCACCCCCUCUAUCAAAUAAGAAAGAAAAAAAGGAAAUGAAGAGAGAUUGACCAAACGUAAUUGGUUUUGGCAAGAAUUUGGUUGAUGCUCUGAGUCUGUUCUCCUUAGAUAUCCUUGUCAUCAUCUGUGGCUUCGAAUAGCAGAAUGACAAAUCACCAUGCGAUACCUUUUUAUCUUCUCUUGUACAUAGGGUGUUGUACUUUAGCUAGUUAGCUAGUACGUCCAUGAUGGGGUGCGAUUGGACCGCACCAAUUGGACUUGAUAUGCUACGAUGGAAAGGCACAAAUGGAGGGGUACGAAGGGAGACGUAUAAAAGGCUCCCGAACAUAACCGUUGGAUUAGUUGGCAAUUCAUUCGUACCAAAUUUUCUCUCCAUUUCCAUCAAAGAAGAUCAAUGCAUUCCAUUUCAUCUUUGCAAGAACAAUCGGCAUUUACGCCGUGGAAAUCGGGUGUUUUCCUUGUAAUUGCAUCCAGACUAACGUGAGGUAGUGUUGUUCGUGAUUUAUUCGUAAUUCAACGUUCGUUCCGGGGCUAUUUGCUGUUUGCGCAUCAAAAUCAGGUAAGUCAUCUUCCGCCGACUCGAAUUCCAACAUUGGUAUCAGAGCCCGAUCGUGAUUUCUGCCUUGUUUUUCAUCGAGUUUUCUCAUUUACCAUUUGAUAAUGAGAUCAAGAGAUAGUAUUCUACACUGUUUGGAUCUCUGAUAGUCAGAAUUGCCCUAUGAAAAACUCGAAAUUGAACCGGAGCGAAGAACGGGUUUGGGGUCGUGUGCACCCGUGAGGUUUUGGCCAUAAUUCGAAAUGAUUUUUUGGUCAAAAUUAAUUUUUGAAUAUACAGGGUGAAAGAGCUCGUCGAGACGAGUCCGGAAGUGGGUCGAGCGCCGCCGGGAGACGCCGGACGCGCCCACAUGCGCGGCCAGAAGCCGCUGCGCGUGGGCGCCACGUGCCUCAAGCGUUGGCACAGCCAGCGCAUCUGCAACAUGCACUGGUCAGCGAACCGGUACGUGCGCGACGUUUGCCAGCCGGCGAAUCGACACAUGCCGGUCGGCGAACCGACGCGUGAUGACGUCACCCAACGGUUGGUAACCGCUGGGAUGACGUUAGCGCCGACGAUAGUUGGCCGGCCGGUCACCGGCCGGCAACCCGACCCGACCCGACCCGACCGUUGACCAGUCAACCGGUCCGGCGGUCAAACCGGUCGGACCGGCCAGGAGCCGUUUGGCUCGUUGGCGCGUGCGCCACACGCGCCGCGCACUCAGGCGGCGCGUGGGGGCGCGUGCGAGCUCCGAUUGGAGCAUGGUUGGUGGCGUUUGGUUCGUAUGAGUGUCCUCUACACAAUGGUAUAAUUAUUUUAUACUUUUGAAUUUUAUAAAUGUAUGAAAAUGCUAAGGGAACCCUAUGUACGCGUAUUUUUUUGGGGUUUAAUGCAGCUUAUUCAUUUGUAGCUUGUAUUUUCUUGUGAUUAGGGAAAUACAGUAGCUAGCUUGUGUGCAAAUGAUGUUAUAUAUGCUGUGUAGAGCUUGGUUCAAUGAUAUGAUGUAUAGAUUUUAAUAUACUUGCAAUUUUCUAGUUGCUAGAAAAUUAGAACAAUGGUAGGAAAUCCAUUACAUGUUGAAUUGCAUAGUUGAAGCAUGAUUGUUGUUUAUACGUUGGUUAUUAUCAUGCUAUGUUUUUGUGUUAAGGAAAAAUGUAGAAAUUACAUAAGGUCAUGUAAUUAUUUUUUUCCUAGUGGGAGUUCAUAGGUUGGUAGAAUUUGAAAUAGUUCUCACCUAGAACUUAACAUUUGCGCAAAUUAAACUAAUUAAUGAUAAUAGAACAAUUGUACAUAGAAGUUGAUUGGGAACAUAGUGAACUUUUGCUUUUGUGUCUUUUGUUGAAUUAUCAUUAAUUUAGUUUGUUUUUGCUGCAAAUCAAAUAUGUGUGUUACUAUGUAAAGUGUGCUAGUAUUGAUUCUGCGUUUAUUAUGUUAAUGUGUUAUAGCAAUUGAUUAUGGCAUCGGCAUCCAAGACCAUUGUGGCUGACCUCAAUAAGGGUGAGAAGCUGAACGGUGACAAUUAUGAUAUUUGGCACCGAAAGGUUCAGUAUAUCCUUGAGGAGCAAGAGGUUUUGGAAACCCUCAACCAUACCAUGGAUGAACCUGAGCAUGGAACUUCAGCUCAACACAGGAGAGAUCUGGAAGCUUAUCAAGCUUGGAACCGGGAACCGGAUCGGUUCCCUCAAGAACCGCCGGUUCCGGGCGGAACCAGAUCGGAACCGGGCGGUCCGGACGGUUCCCGGAUAUUUUACACACCCCUAAUAGAGCUGUAUUUAGCGCUGCCCUUUCGUGGUAUUAACCCAAAACUAAAACCUUUGAAAUAGGCAUGCAACAUAUUUAGUUUUUGACUGUGCUUGUGUUUAUAGUUCCAGUGAUACAAUGCACAUCUGUACAUUAUAGGACUGAAGAGGUGAGAACAGCAAAUCGGCGAUGCGACUUCUUGAUGAAUUUGCAAUGAUUUUGUUCUUUUUAUUUUUAAUCAAUUCAACACUUUACUGCAUCCCCUCUACAAAGCAGCUAUUAUUUCUGGGAAGGGCUGUGUAUUUUAAACUGUAUUUUUUUUUUUGGACAAGUGUAUUUUAAACUGUAUUAAGUGAAGUAGAUUUGAUUAGUGAAAUAGUGAUAAAGCAUGUUGGGAAUUUUUCUUUUUUUUGGGUAAUUUUAGGCUUCACUUAUUAUAUUCUUAGUUAUAAUUAUACCAUUAAGCAUUUGGAUUAAUACUACAAAAAAAUUCCAAAAUGGUACACUUGUGCCACAUUACCCAAAACUAAUUUACAUGUCAUAAAAAAAAAAAAAAACUCCAUGCCGGUAUGCUUAUGUCACAUUUACCCCAACUAAUUGUUGUAUCACGAAAAAUCUCAAAGUAGUAUUCCAAGUCAUAUUUAACUCAAACUAGUGAAAAGAUCCCAAAAUUUGAGAUAAAUGUGACAUGAAUAUAUUAGUUUAAGAUAAAUGUGUCAUGAAUAUGUCAAUUAGUCCUAAACAUUUUAUUAUUGUUUUAAAUAUAUAUAUAUUAGAUGAACUUUUGGAUUAUACAAAAGUUGUCUUCCUUCUUGGAUCAGGAUUGCAGAAGUCCGAUUACUUCCAUAUAUUACACUCUUUAGUAAAUGUGUUUAUACUCUUAUUAUUCCUACCCAAAGUUUCUAAUUCCAAUGCAUAUUGCAACACAAUAUAUUUUAUUAAGAUGGAAUGAGGAGUACGGAUUGUAUUUGUCUUCUUAGGAUAGUGGGUUGAUUUUCUUUCUGAUUUGCAAAACUAGAUAGUUUAAUAUUAUUUUAUUUGUGAAAAAAACAAAAUAAUAUAUGAUGAGUCGAUGACGUGGCUUUUUAAAGUUUAGAUUGGAAAAUAGGAAAAAAUUUAAAUAAGGGCAAGAAAUAUCAUUAUUUAUUCAAAUAAAAGUUUGAAGUGGACAUUGUUUUAAAUAAAAGCUCAAAGUACAUUUAUUUUCUUAAAUAAGAGUCUGAAGUGAACAUUAUUUCAAAUAAGGAUUUGAAGUAGUUAUAUCAAUUUUAAAGAAGGGCUCGAACUCACCGACUAGUGAAGGGCAAUUUCGUCUUUUAAUUUUUUUUUCCUUCUUUCUUUCUUUUUCUAUUUUUUCUUUUCAUAAAAAAACAAACUAAAAACAAAAACUUUAAAACAAGAGAAGCAAAAAUACAAGUGGGAGGGCUUCCUUUGGUUUGUAGUUGUUGUCCCAUUGCCAAUGAGGCAGCGAAGAUGGCUGGUCGGGUCGUCGGCACUUGGGUGAGGGUCGUUGGCCCUUGCAUAGGCAUGGUGGCCCUCACCCAAGGGCCCCAAACCUUACUACCUAGGCGUUCGCGAUCUUGUUGGCCAGCGUUGUUGACCCACCAGCGAUGGGGCAAUGGCCAUAGGAGUCCUCCUGCUUGUAUUUUUGCUUCUUCUUUUAUUUUUUAAUUAUAUUUAAUUAUAUUUAUAUUUAUAUUUAAAUUGUGUUUGAAUGAAAAUAUACUUCGAGAUUCAACCUUUAUUUAAAACAAUUUUAACCACUUCAAGUUCUUCUUUGUGAUUGAUAUAAUAUCUUUAGACUUUUAUUUGAAAUAAAAUCUACUUUAUGUCUUUAUUUUAAAAAAGUAAGGGCAUUUCAUGUCUUUAUUUGAAUUUUUUUUUUUUAAAAGUAUGCAAUCACUUUUUUUUCCCUUCUUGUGACGAUUCUCCAGCCAAACAAUGAAGGCCGACUAACUGACAGCUAAAAGAUGAUUGAUGUAAUGGAAAGCUGCUACAUAGGAACUUUAGCUUUAAUUAUUACUAUAUUUUUCUCCUUUUUAAUUAUGCAUAUAGCUGGAAUUGGAAAGCGAAAAACAAUUAGAAAAGUCAUCGGAUGAGUGGUGUGGAUUUUGAUUUUGAUUUUUACUUGGGUGAGAACAAUACUCCACUACUGGAACUGCUGAAUAGUCAAGGAUUAGGAUAUGCAGUUUUACCAGUGAUGAUAUCUAUGAAAUUACUGGUUUUUUUUUUUUUUUUUUUUUUUUUUUUUUUUUUUUUUUUUUUUUUGGGCGGAAGAAGUCAUUUUUACAAUGAAAAUGUCAGAUUCUUUCAUAUUAGCGAAGAAAAUUGAUGUUUUUAGAACAAAUAUUUGUCGAAAUUGUUAGGUAAGAAAAUUCAUGUCCUCCCUUUAAACAAGCUUGGCUUGUUAUUGACGACAGAGCCUUGUCUAUAAACAACAGAUUAGGCGAACAUAAGGCCAACUGCACUUCUUUUCAAACAUCAAUUGUACUCCAAAGCACAGAAAACUGUUGCCCAGAGUGCUUGCGGCCUUAACAGUUCCAUUCCCACAUCUUAAAUACUUGCAGAAAAUACAAACAACAAAUUCCAUCUCUUGAUCUUAAAUUCGAGAGUAUCAUACCAACAAAAAGUAAUAGAACAUAUCAUGCUCCCAACUUUUUAAACAGCUACUUCUAAUUGAUUUUCCUCUUUCUUGGUGAUCUCGUAGAACCAACCACUUCCAAUGUCCUUCAAAUGCUCCAUCGCUUGUUUCCAUUUCUCUUGCUUCUUUUUCAUACUGUCCUUGUGCUGCCCGAUGAAAGAAAUGCAUGCUAUCAAAUCAAAUUUCACAUCUUUACGUAACAACUCGUUUACUACAAUAAAGUUGUACCUCUAAUGAUGCUAAAUUUGUGAGAUGAUCUUCCGACAUUCUCAGCAUUAACCACAACAUUGUUGGUAUUUCUUAGUAGAGAAAUGACUCGAUUGUCUUCCCAUCCAGGCUGCUAAGAAUCACAUACUCAACUUAAUAGGGCAUUGAUAAUCAUUCGAGUACAUAGUUUCUUCAAAGCAGGAUUGAAGUACCUUUUGAGUGGAGGCAUCGUUAUGACAUCUCCGUGGUAAGUUGAUUGACUUCUCUUUGUCUGAUUCUCUCUUCAUCCUGUUCACUUAAGAAAGUAAAGUCUGAAAAUAAUGACACAAACAGAAACUAGAGACACAGAAUGAUUGAACCUUACUUAUCUUUUGUUUCAAUAUGAUUUCAGUGCCUUGUCUUGACACUUCAAAUCCAUUUUUGGAUUCUCCUCCUUCUAUUAUCUUGUUUUUUUAAGCCUACUAGGCAUAAUUCGAGGCCUUGGUGCCACCAAAGGUUCUUAAUCACUGGAAGGUCAAAUGAGUGAAUGACGCACAUUAUUAGCUGAUGCCAGAAGAGGGAACUGAUUUAUAGACCUACUACUGUUUGUAAACUUAGUAUCCGAUUUGAUAUGAUGCAAGCUGUAAUAGAAUUUCGACAGAUAACGUUUCAAGGAGGAAAUAUAAUGGGCAACUUGUAGAAUCAAGACAGGUCAAGAAAAGUCUAAGAACAGAAAGUGCACCAAGCUUAACUAAUCAGAGUGCAACUGGGAUAAUGAGUAAUCUGAGCACAUGCGACUGCUCCAAUUAUUGACAGGGGGACAUGACAAAUUAUUGCACAUUUGUUUUUGCAAAAUAAAUGGUCAAUUGGAUUCCAGAAUUGCAUGUUCAUGAUAGCUUAACCUUUUUUACAAUUGAGCUUCAAUAUCCCAAAUAGAGCGAAAUCUCAAAUGCACGGGAAAAGUGUUAAAAAAAAUCCUAAAUCUUUUGCAUUUAUGCCAAUUUAGUCCUAAUUUUUUUUUGGUGCUAAUUUAGUCCUAAACCUUUUUACGUUGUGCCAAUUCAGUCUUUUUCAGGCAAUUUUGGCUGAAUUUUGCUGACCGGAUGCCGGUCGGCUAUCAUGGUCUGAUCGGCGCUGACGUGGAUAACUUUUAAUAAUAUUUUAAUAUUUUAGAUUUAUUUUUAUUUUUAUUUUUAUUUUUAUUUUUUCUUAUUUUUUCUUAUUUUUUCUUUCUCCUUCUUCCAGCCGGUCGCCGAGGUCCGGCGACUGGCCAGAGGUGAUAGUCAACGAGGUCGAGGUCGACCUUGUCGGCCACCUCACUAGUGGCCACGAGGGCGGCCUCGUGCCAGGCGGGCAAGCCUCGCCCUUGCCGGAUCUGGCGAGGGUCAAGCGUCGCCGGACCGCCUGGUGGGAGGCCGCCCUCGAGGCUUUGGGGGUGAGGCUCGCCCUCGUUGGAUCUGGCGAGGGUGAGCCUCGCCGCCCAAUGUGAGGCCACCCUCGCGGCCACUGGCGAGGUGGUCGGUGAGGUCGACCUUGACCUCACCGGCCGUCACCUCUGGCCAGUUGCCGAGAUUCGGCGACUGGCGGGAGGAAGGAGAAGGAAUAAAUAAAUAAAAUAAAUAAAAUAAAAUAAAUUCAAAAAUAUUAAAAUAUUAUUAAAAAUUGUUCACAUCAACACCGAUCAGGCUAUGUCAGCCGGCCGGUGUUCAGUCAGCAAAAUUCGGCCAAAAUUGGCCAGAAAAGACUGAAUUGGCACAACAUAAAAAUGUUUAGGACUAAAUUGGCACCAAAAAAAGAUUUAUCACUAAAUUGGCAUAAAUGCAUAAGGUUUAGGACUUUUUUUAACACUUUUCCCGUAUUAAUCCUAAAGAAAAUCAUUUAUCAAAUUGUGGCCAGAAGAAUCAUUUAUCAAGCAAACUAUGAAAAUAAUCAAUGACAUGGAGCGUCCCCAACCGCGUGGAAAAAAAAAGGAGGAGAGGAUUUUCCUGCUUUCAGAUCGAAGCUGGGUGGGAGAUGAAGCUUCGAGGAAGUUGUGCGUCCCGUAUUGGAAAUUCGUCUUCAUUUACAUUGUAUUUUUGUGAAUAUAUUUUUAGGAUGUAAAUAAUACACGGUUCGUUGUCGUGGGUGGGUCAAUGAUUGACCUCAUGUAAAUCCAUGUGCGAAGUAUUUACGUCUCAGAUUCCUAGUGGGAAAUCGUCACAAGUAUCCCAGAAUGGGCAGCGUCGAGGAGGAGGAUGGUCCCUUUCGUCCCCUUAAAACUGGCCGUGUUUCUAGAGGCCGACCCGAGAUUUUUUCACCCGAGACACGGUCGAUGUGACAUAAUAUAAUUGAUAAGAGUGUACAGUGAAAACCUUAGACAAAUGCCACUUGAUUCCAAGGGCGUGCCUGGCAAAUUGGCGAGAGAUCCAGUUUCUGAAGUGGAGAUGAGACCCCUUUUGUGCCCGUGACGGAUUUUAGGAGCUCGAAACUAGUGAUUAGACCAGCUUGAUAUAGAACAGACUAGUACCUAAGGACCGAUAUUUUCCUUUUUUCUUGAAACCUUAACUUGAAAUUUUUAUCAAACCUAAUCUUCUAAAUAGUGACGAUGGACUAGAUAAUGAGAUAUCAGAUUUCCAUUAAUAUUGAUGAAUUUUACAAAGUCAAAUCAAUUUUUGCUCCACAAAGUUUGUAUCUUUAGUCCUAUUGAUCCAAAAUAGUCAAUUCUAUCACAGAACCGAUUUGAUGACAGCAUAAAACCAUUUUUUGGGGGACCUUGACCGUCAUUCACUGUGAAACUGAUCCGACAGAAUCUGACAAAAUUUGGUGAAAAAGCAAAAGUUGCAAGGAGAAUUCGGCACUCAGCAUAAAUAUGGCAGCUACUUUGAAGGCGAAGGCAUGAGUUAUAAGAACCGCAACGGCGAGGACAUAAGAGACAGACAGAGACGCGUAGGGACGAAGAGAAACUGAAAAGCUCUUCUAGACGUUGAUGUGCUAUAAAAAAAGCAAUAAUAAAAUUUAGGGUUAAAUAUCCAGAAUACAUUUAUAAUAAAUCACCAAAAACCUCAAAUUAACAUAUUUGUGAUAAAUUUUCCUCCGUUAGUUUCUGUUAAAUUUGAUUACUAUCACAAAAAGCCACAAAUUAAUACACAUGUGACAAAUGGGGAGGGUAAAAUUCCAAAUUGGUACAAGUGUCUAUUGCCAUGUGUCAUUCAACUUAGCAAUUUAACACGGAUACUAAUGGAAAAUAAAUUUGUUACGGAUAUAUAGUUUGGAGUUUUUUGUGGUAAAAAAAAUUAGUUUUGAUAAAUUUGUCACAUGUGAACCAACUUGAGAUUUUUCAUGGUAUUACAUCAAUUAAUAAUCUCACUUGUAGUUCUUCAACUCAUUUAAAUUAUCCAAUUGAAUUCUUAGAUUUUUAAAAUCUAAGUGUAUAACCUAAGAUUUUAUAUUGUUAAAAUGACCAUCAUUCCAUUGGCAAAAAAAAAAAAAAAAACCACCACCUAAAAUCAACCUUGGCGAAAUUUAAUAAUCUUAUUUGACUUUACUUUUACUUGUCUUAUUAAUCCACAAUAUGAAUUAUCAUUUAAAAAAUAAUUGGCAUUGACAUAAUUUAUAACUUUUUAUAAGAUACACCUCUACUUCAUAUUUUUCUACAUUUAUAAUUCUAUAAAUAUAUAUUAAAAUUUUGCAUCUAAAGAAAAUUAUUAGAGAUGGACUAUCCGAGGAAAAAUUAGAAACAUAAAAUUCAUAUGAAGAAAAUAGGGAGAUCGUAAAGAGGGGAGGGGGAAUGGAGAUGGAGAUGGAUUACAUACAUUUGAAUAGUAUAUGAGUUUGGCUUUGGGCCUAGUGAAAAAGAUUACAACCAAGAUGAAGAAUAGAACCAUCUAAAUUGUUCUUGUUCAAAGAGCAAGAUUAAUCCUAAGACAAAGUUUAGUCCAAGUGUCUAGGAGCUGAACUUCCUUCAACCAAGCCCCUACUUGGAUCCAUACCUAGCCUGAAUCUUAUGCAGUUCCUUGAGAGCUUCGGCCACGUCCAUCCGAUCUUGCGGUAACUCCAUCGAGCAUGCAACUCCAAUUCUUAGGACAGAGGCAACACAUCCUCUCAUCCUCUCAAUGUCAUUCUCACUUUCUCCGUUAAAAAUGGCCGAGUCCACGAUCUCCAUCGCUCGGUCUGGCAGAGCCACCUUGACAAAGUUGUGGAGAUUUGAAUGGUCCUUGAAAGUCUCUUCUGUGGGUCUCCUCCCAGUUAACAUUUCCAAUAAAAGAAUACCGUAGCUGUACAUAUCGCCUUGUGUGGAUAGCAUAUCCCACAUGCCAUACUCUAAAAUAGUGUACGUCAAGCAGUAUAUAAUGAAAAUAAAUAUUUUAUCUAAAAGCAAAACACAAAUAAGACUUAGACAAUUAAUGAGAAAAUUUUCUUACCAGGAGGGAUAUAACCUACGGAACCCCUCACUACCAAUGAGCUACCGUUGUCAUCAAUGUCCAUGGCAUCUGUUUUUGUAAGGGAGCUAAUUGUUGCUAGCCCAAAAUCCCCAACUCGUCCCAUCAUCUCGUUGUCCAAAAGGAUAUUACUUGGCUUCAGAUCUCCGUGUACAAUCUUUGGGCUGCAAACCUCGUGAAGAUAUUUGAUUGCAGAAGCUAUGUCAAUGGCAAUGUCUAACCUUUGCAUUAGUCCCAAAUGCCCUGGCUUUCCAUGUUCAUGUUCAUGCUCAACAUCCUCUUUGUUUCCUUGGUGUAUCCAAUUCUCUAAACUCCCAUUAGCCAUGUAUUCGUACAAUAGAGCUUUGAAAUUGUUGCCAUGAUAGUCCACGCUUGAACAAACAUUCACUAUUUUCAUGAGAUUUCGGUGUCGUAUAGCCCCUAAGGUUCGACAUUCCGAGACGAAGCUCUUCGAAGCACCUAUGUGGCCUAAGUUGAGCACUUUAACUGCCACCAAGCCGCCUUCCUGUGUGGUUGCUUUAUAGAUAGUACCAUAUCUCCCUUUACCAAUCACAUUGAUCUCAGAGAAUCCGUCUGAGGCUCUAAAGAGCUCCUCAUAAGAGACCAUCGGAAAUUUGUGUUUAAAUGGAAAUUCAAUCCAAGAGGUAUUCUUUUUCAACUUCUUUCUCCGAUACCAAAAGAUAAACAGGCAAAGACACAUAAUGAAGUAUGACAAGACGGCCGUCACUGUGGCAAUUACUCUAACUUUGCUAGUCCAUAAUGGUUUAGAGGUAUUCGAUCUGCAAGAAGGAAGGUUUAGUUCUGCAAUACCUCCACAAAGAUUCCCAUUCUCAAAGACAGACACUGCACUAGCAUUGAGAAAUACUCCGUGCUUCGGAACUUCUCCUUCAAGCUUGUUUGAAGAUAGAUUCAAGUACUUUAGAUCUGUAAGUUGAGCGAGAAAGCUCGGGAUCUCACCAGAUAAGUUGUUAUGGGAAACAUCCAACUCUUGUAAGCCUCGUAAUGUGCUUAAAGCCAGAGGAAUUUCGCCAUGAAAGGAAUUGAAUGCUAAGCUGAGCCGCCACAAUACUAAGCACUUGCCGAUGGAGCUAGGAAUUGGUCCCAUUAGCUUAUUGUAAGAUAGAUCCAAUUCGCCAAGAUUGAUCAAGGACCCAACUUGAGACGGGAGAGAUCCGCUCAACUGGUUAUGUGCCAAGUUGAAGAUAAUUGAAAUGGUAGAAAGGCCAAGAACCUCCUCUGGGAUUGAACCACUCAGAUAAUUAUUGGAAAGCUCAAGCUCGAUUAGCUGCCUGCAUUUACCAAGACUCUGCGGUAUUUCCCCAUAGAAGUUGUUGAACGGCAAGUAAAAGAAAUUCAAUAAUGUCAAAUUGCCGAUCGAUGAUGGAAUCUCACCCGUUAGCAUGUUUCCGCUUAAGUACAAUUCAUGCAAGUUAUGGAGUGCUCCAAUACAAGAAGGAACACGACCACCAAGCGAAUUGUUUGAUAAGUCAAGAUAGGACAAGUUGAAGAGAUUGCCAAUACUUGGAGGAAUGGUUCCGUACAUUGUGUUGGACGACAUAGAAAUUAAACUAAUGCUAUUGGAAAGAUUGCCAAUAGAAUCCGGCAAUUGACCUUCAAGAAAAGUGAAAGCCAACAAAAUAGCUUCUAGCCUUGAACAAUUAGUCAAUGGGGUAAUGAAACUGAAGUCAUCUCGCAACUCGUUAGAAGUAAGGGAUAGUACUCUAAGAGCUUUUAGCCUUGCAAGAUUUGCGGGCAUCGGUCCGUGAAAACUAUUAAUGUUAUAGUAGAUGUAUUGAAGGCUAGAGGCAUUUGAUAAGGACGGAGGUAUAACCCCAGUAAAAAAAUUACUAUUAAAAUCAAGAUGAAGGAGAGAAGGAAGAGUAUCACCAAUAUAAGGAGGAAUGCUCCCUCUCAAUUGAUUGUUACCGACGCUGAAAUAGAAAAUGCCGGACAUGUUGAAGAUUGUUGGAGGGAUCUCGCCGGUGAGUUGGUUAUAUGCCAAUUGAACAAAACUCAAACCAUGAAGCUUGGACAAUGUCUUGGGAAUCUCUCCUUGCAACCCAUUUUUCAUGAGUGAAAGCUUGGAAAGUUGGGAGAGAUUUCCAAUAGAAUGAGGAAUAGAUCCUACAAGAUUGUUUAUAGCCAAACCUAAAGCUUGAAGCUUUGACAAAGAGCCGAACUCAUUAGGAAUUUUUCCUACAAAGUGGUUACCAAUGAGAUUUAAAAUCUCAAGGUUUGAGCACUGAGAAAGAUUGGUGGGCAUUUGUCCGCCCAAAGAGUUGUUACUAAGGACGAGACGACGAAGGCGAAACAAGUGGCCAAUGCUUUGUGGAAUUUCACCGCGAAAGUUGUUAUUCUGUAGAAUGAGGCUUCUCAAGAAAGAGAGGUUUCCGACAUGAGGUGAUAGAAGACCCCCCAAGCCUUUCGACAUUAGGUUGAGGGACACGACUCUUUCGGGAUGGCGUCCACCACAUAUCACACCUUGCCAUUCACAGUGAUGAAAAGAGUCAUUCCACGAGCUCAAAGCUCCAAGCGGAUCCUCAUCCACACUAUGUCUGAAGUAGAUUAAAGUGAGCCGAUCCGUCCGGUUGGUUUGCAUCGUUGGACUCAUCCAUAAUGGGAGUUGGGCAUAGAAAAAUAGGAACAUAAUCGCCAUAUGCUUUUCCAUUGUGAGUGGGUUCUAUGUCCUAACAAGUUGCAAGCAAAGUCUCUUAUAGAUUGAAUUAAAGAAGAAAUGAAGACCUUCAAAAGCGUAUGCAUUUCCAUUGAUCAAAAGACACCUUUUUACACGGCAAAACUCGACCCAAUAUGCAAGUUUAACCUAAACAAAGGGUUGGACUUUAAAAGUUUUGCAGAUUGGUCGAACUAAAGAAAGGGCAAACACACACACUUACGUUAAAAUGGAGGAUUUGACGGCUACCCAAUGACUUCCUGGAAAGCUGUGCCGCAAAGAAAGGAAAUCAAGAAUGGAAGUGGUCCUUGAUUUUCGGCCAUUUCAAAGAGAGCUUUGUGGAAUUUCACCAUGAAAGUUGUUAUUCUGUAGAACGAGGUUUCUCAAGAAAGAGAGGUUUUCGACAUGAGGUGAUAGAAGACCCCCCCAAGCCUUUCAACAUUAGAUUGAGGGACACAACUCUUCCGGGAUGCCAUCCACCACAUAUCAAACCUUGCCACUCACAGUGAUGAAAAAAGUCAUUCCACGAGCUCAGAGCUCCAAGCGGAUCCUCAUCCACACUAUGUCUGAAGUAGAUUAAAGCGAGCCAAUCCGUUUGGUUAGUUUGCAUCAUUGGACUCAUCCAUAAUGGGAGAUGGGCAUAGCAAAAUAGGAACAUAAUUGCCAUAUGCUUUUCCAUUGUGAGUGGGUUCUAUGUCCUAACAAGCUGCAAGCAAAGUCUCUUCUAGAUUGAAUUAAAGAAGAAAUGAAGACCCUCAAAAGCAUAUGCAUUUCCUUUGAUCAAAAGACACCUUUUUACACGGCAAAACUCGACCCAAUAUGCAAGUUUAACCUAAACAAAGGGUUGGACUUUAAAAGUUUUGCAGAUUGGCCGAACCAAAGAAAGGGCAAACGCACACACUUACGUCAAAAUGGAGGAUUUGACGGCUACCCAAUGACUUCCUGGAAAGCUAUGCCGCAAAGGAAGGAAAUCAAGAAUGGAAGUGGUCCUUGAUUUUUGGCCAUCUCAAAGAGAGCUUUGUGGAAUUUCACCAUGAAAGUUGUUAUUCUAUAGAACGAGGCUUCUCAAGAAAGAGAGGUUUUCGACAUGAGGUGAUAGAAGACCCCCCAAGCCUUUCAACAUUAGAUUGAGGGAUAUGACUCUUUUGAGAUGCCAUCCACCACAUAUCACACCUUGCCACUCACAGUGAUGAAAAGAGUCAUUCCAAGAGCUCAAAGCUCCAAGCGGAUCCUCAUCCACACUGUGUCUGAAGUAGAUUAAAGCAAGCCGAUCCGUCUGGUUAGUUUGCAUCAUUGGACUCGCCAUAAUGGGAGCUGGGCAUAGAAAAAUAGGAACAUAAUCGCCAUAUGCUUUUCCACUGUGAGUGGGUUCUAUGUCCUAACAAGCUACAAGCAAAGUCUCUUCCAGAUUGAAUUAAAGAAGAAAUGAAGACCUUCAAAAGCAUAUGCAUUUCCAUUGAUCACAAGACACCUUUUUACAUGGCAAAACCCAACCCAGUAUGCAAGUUUAACCCACACAAAGGGUUGGACUUUAAAAGUAUUGCAGAUUGGCCGAACCAAAGAAAGGGCACACGCACACACUUAUGUCAAAAUGGAGGAUUUGAUGGCUGCCCAAUGACUUCCUGGAAAGCCGUGCCGCGAAGAAAGGAAAUCAAGAACGGACGUGGUCCUUGAUUUUCGACCCUUUCAAAGAGAGCUCCUAUUUGUUUGCGGGCAAAGCAUAUUAUUUGUGCUGUGAGUUUUUUACAUCCAAAUUGUUAAAACCUUGGGUUUAGGUCUCGUUUAGACAUGGGAAACACUCGAGCAUAUUGAGUGCUUGUAAUUCCGAUUCUCCAAUUAUAGCAAAUUUUUAUUACUAGCUCUCCCCAUAGAUAUAUGUGCCAACACUCGGACUUAAUCACGUAAAUCUUUGAAUCCUCAUUAUUCCACAUUUAUUUAUUUAUUUUUGGUGAUUUUUCACUAACUUAAAUACAAAAUCCUUAUUAGCUUCCCCAUUCGUUUAUUUUACCAUGAGGGUUACUUCUCACUUGUAAUGAAAAGGAAAUAAAGCAAAAACACAAACAAGGAGAUGAUGGGUGGGUCAUCCCAAUGUGGAAAAUAAGUUCCGCCAAUGCUUUUUAGCGUGUUUUUUAUGUUGCCAGCAAGAUUUUUAGUCAAAAGAUUCCUUGACUUCUCUCGUACUACAAAGAGUUUCUUUUCAAAGUUAAAUUUCUUGAAAGUUCGUCACUUAGAUCAUAUCACUCUUGUUCCAAUUACAAUUCAUCAGGCUAGAACCCCCGUGCCAAGCUUGAACCCAAGACUAAGAGGGCCGGUUUGUGUGGGCCAGCACAACUCAAUUACCAUGCUUAGAUAGGGGUUUUAUAAACAUAUAUGUUAGGAAAAGCAAGAUGCUAAAAUUCAAAUCUGUUUGGCCGUUUGAAACCAAAGAGUUUGCAAAAUAAUGCACGAGUAUAUGAGUCAAAUUCAGAUUUUGUGGGAGAAGGGGAAUUUCGAUGUGCAAUUGCCGUGUGGUAUAGAAAUUGAAGUUAUGGUCCUGGUAAUGAACAAAUAAUACGUGAUGCAAAGUACUUUGUUAGAAACUAAACAAAGAGAAAGAAAGACGUUCUAGAAUUUGGUGGAGAAUUAAGAAUGUUAGCUCUAAUCUUGAAGUCAAAUUUCCCAUGGAAAAUCAACAACGUUGUACAAUCAUGGUCGGCGAGCAUGAUGACCUCCACCAUGAGAAGUUUUCCAUUUCUUUUUCCCUUCUUUGAACUUUUCUUUUUAGGUUCUCUCGAUUUGAUUACCAAAGCCAUCGCAGGACAGUCUCAAAUAUUGGUAAACUAAGGCAAGGCAUCAAUAGUGCUUGACACUUUUGAAGGCUAAGGGAUUUCGAUGAACACCGAUUGAGUUUAGUCGAGGGCCCACUUGUGUAAAUAAAGAUGGUUCAAACCCUUCCACUAUAUGGGGGUAAAUUACGCACAACUUCUCUGAAUUUUGGGGUAAACAAAUUUGCCUCCAAUUUUUCACUUGUUAUACAAUAACGUCUGAACUUUUAUUUUGUUCAAGCAAUUAACUCUUCAUUAUAUUGUUAUUAGCAUGCACAUGCUUGUGAAUUUUGAGGGGUAAAAGUAUAAAUUUUAUCUCAUUCUUUUUGUAAGGAAGCCUCUUUUUCUAAAAGACUGAAAAAUAUAGAAAAUGGAAGAGAAAUAAAUUAACUAAUAUACUAAUAAUCAAAAUAAUAAAUAUCAAUAAUCAUAUUUAAUGAUGGGAAUUUUUCAAAAUUAAAUAAAUAUAGGCACCUUAAUAUAACUAAAUAAGAUAUUUUGAAAAAUAAAUACAAAUUCAUUAGAAUGGGAAAAAGGCAUCUAUAACUAAAAGAUCAAAUAACAAGAAUUGCUUAAUCACUAUGUAUGUUUAAAGGGUAAAUUACUGUAAAAAUGAUUGAUUAACAAAAAUAUUUACAAGGAGGAUGAUGAAUCCCUUGCCAAUCUAUCUCUUUAAGAGGCAAUCUUUCAAGAAGAGCUUUUAGCAUCUUGAGUUAAAAAAUUGUUAAAAUAUAUAAUGCGUGAAAACGAGAUGAUCUUGCAAUUUACGUCAACGCGAAAUCACUAAAGAAAUAAAUGAGAAAUAAUAAGGACACUGGAAAUUUACGUGGUUCGGUUCGAGUAUCGGUACCUAUGUUCACGAAAAGAGCUAGUAGUGAAUAAUCUACUAUAAUCAAAUAACCAGAGUUUACAAUCGCUUACAUGCUCAAGUGUUUCCCACAUUUAGAUUUAAGCCCAAACCUAAAAUGUUUUUAAAUAAACAACUCACUUUGACAUAAACUCAUGGUACAAAAUUAUCACGCAUUCAAGCUCAACGUAAAAUGCUCUACAUAUGCCAAAACAAGAACUAAGCGUCUGUCUCUUCUCCACUUAUGUAGAGAUUCGCGUUCUUUACCCCUUCAAGGCUUGUGUGAUGUCUGGAUGUGUGGGCGUGCAGCUCCUUUUUCUUUUGUAGAGCACGCCUUUAAUAUUGUGGGCCUAGGCCCCACCUUGGAUUCUUUUCUCCAAUAUGGAUUCUUCUUCUGCCUUCUUCUGCACGUACAAAGAAAGAUAGAAAACCCUCACCUUUUUUAUUUAUUUAUUAUUAUCUUUAUUUUAUUUCCUCCAUUAUGCAGCUAUAAGGAGUCCAACAAAAGAAGGCCUUUUUCAGUCAAUUUGAAAUAUACUUGGGAAAUCUUUCUCAACUAAUUUGAUUUAACAAAUUGUUAUCCAAAUUCAAACUCGAGACAUUAAUUUAAUAAUUCUCCUCCUUGGCUCAAUGUUUGAAGCCAAGUUAUAAUGCUCAUCAUCCAUGCUGCUCUCCCAACGCCCUAAGAGGUGUUCACUCUUCAUAGACGCUAAUAGAGCUCAAGCAGAACUUAAGCUUCGUCAAAGGAACGGACUUAGUCAUUAUAUCUGCCGGUUAUCUACUAUAGCAAUCUUUUUGAUAAUAACAUUACCCUUAGCUAAGACAUCUCAGAUGAAGUGGUAUCUGAUGUUGAUAUGCUUCGUUCGCUCGUGAUAAACUGGAUUAUACACCAAAUAUAUCGCACCUUGAUUAUCAUAGUGUAUAUCCACACUUUUCUAUUCUAAAUCAAAGUCUAAGAGCAAACUUCAUAACCAUAUCACCUCCUUCACUACAAAGGUUAGUAUCAUGUACUUUGCCUCCGUUGAAGACAAUGCAACAUGGUCCUAUAAGGAUGCUUUCCAACUAACUACAUCAUUUGAUAGCGUAAACACGUACCCAACUAAAGACCUGCAAUUAUCCAAGUCACCGACAUGAUCCGAAUCCACAAAAUCAGUGGUCUCACUGCCAUUGUUGUCCCUUGGGUACACUAUACCCAUGUCUAUUGUCCCUUUUAAAUAUCUAAGAAUCCACUUCACAGCUUUCCAAUGAGCUUUACUAAGACGCUUCAUAUUACAACUAACCACACUCACAGCUUGUGAAUAUCAGGUCUGAUACAUACCAUAGCAUACAUAAUACUACUCACGGUACUAGAAUAAGGAACACGGGACAUAUGCACUUCCUCUUCCUCAGUCUAUAGUGAUAAUUUAUCUAAAAGUAUAAAGUGCUUCGCUAAAAGUGUACUUACAGAUUUUACCAACUACAUAUUAAAACGUGCCACGAUAUUUCUCAAUAUUUUUUUUAAGAUAGACGUAAAACUCCUAUAACCCUGUUAUGCAAAAUCUCCAUACCUAAUAUUUUCUUUGUGGCAUCUAAAUCUUUCAUCUCAAAUUCAGCAUUUAACCGCCUCUUCAGUACAUCAAUAUCAGAUAUAUUCUUAACUGUUAUCAGCAUAUCAUCAAUAUAUAAGAGUAAAUAAAUCAAAGAACCAUCCUCCAAUCUCCUAAAGUAAAGGUAGCUAUCCAUCUGACUUUUCAAGUAGUCUUGACUGGCCAUAAAAGCAUCAAAAUGUUUAUACCAUUGUCUAGGAGACUAUUUUAGCUCAUACAAAAAUUUCUUCAACAAGCAAACAUGAUCUUCCUUACGUGGAAUAACAAAUCCCUCUAGCUACCUCAUAUAAAUUUGCUCAUCCAACUCAUCAUGAAGAAACGUAGUUUUCACAUCUAACUACUCUAACUCAAGAUCCUGCAAAGUAACCAAGGCAAGUAAAACACGAAUUGAAGUAUGUCUUAUCACAUGAGAGAACACCUCAUUGUAGUCAAUGCCCUAUGCUGUGUAUAUUCUUUUGUCACAAGUCUCACGUUAUACCCCGUUGCCUUGAUAUUAGGAAUGUCCUCUUUCCAUUUAAAGACCCAUUUACUUCUGACAAUCUUCUGGCUCUUGGGUACUUUGACCAGCUCCCAUGUUUGAUUUCGAUGGAGUGAUUCCAUCUCUUCACUCAUAACCCCUAGCCAUUGCGAUGACUCAGAGCCAACCAUCGCCUCAAAGUAAGACGAAAGCUCAUCUGUCUCCACCUCAUCACCUAUAGUCAAUACAUAAGCAAUAUAUGUAUAACCAUAACGUACUUGUGACUUAAUUUGCCUUCUCUUUCUAUAUGCGCCUAUAGUGUGCUAUGGUUUUGUUGGUUGUUCACUAUCAUCGACUUCAUAAACUGUAGCCUUAUCUACAGUCUCAACUUCUAUUACCUUAGAGGUCUCAGGAGUCUCCGCUUGAAAUUUCACCUCACUAAUGACACCAUGAUCUGUUUGCUCUGCGGGUUGUGUCUUAGAACUCCUCUGUUGAAGCACUAUAGUCUCAUCGAAGAUCACAUCUCUUCUUAUUAGAAAACCUGGUGAUAGGAUCGGUGCACGACAGCCGGUAGUCUUUUACCCCAUGUGCAUAAUACAUAAAUAUGCAUUUCUUAGCCCUCGAGUCAAGCUUACCAUCACUCGCAUGAGCAUACAUAGGACAUCCGAAUAUAUGUAAUAUGGAGUAAUCAUCAGGUUUCCCUGACCAUACUUUCUCAUAAGUCUUCCAAUCUAUAGUAGAUGAUGGGGUUCGAUUAAUCAGGUAACACGCCAUGUCACGCCAUUCUACUGUAGUGUCCUAGAUAUUGUGCAGUGUUUUACAUUUCAUUCUUUCUUGCAGAACUCAGUAAAAUAUUUACCACAAAACUCCAUGUUAUUAUUGGUUCUCAGGCACUUGAUUUGUUUAUUUGACUGCUUCUCAAUUAGUGCCUUAAAUUUCUUGAACCAAUCGAACACUUCAUAUUUGUAUUUCAGAAAGUAUACCCAUACCUUCCUCGAAUAAUCGUCGAUAAGCGUCAGCAUAUAUCAAGCACCUCCUUAAGAAGGAACUGAAGACGAGCCCCAAACGUUUGAAUGAAUGUAUUUAACUAGUCGUUUAGUCGAAUGAACAACUGUAGUAAACUUAACUCGACACUGCUUCCCAAAAAUGCAGUGCUCACAUAAGUCCAGCUUCCCUAUCUUUUGAACAACCCCUUAUCACUUAGCAUCAUCAUACUUGUCUCGCUCAUGUGCCCUAAACACAUAUGCCAUACUUGAGUCAAGUUAGAAAGUGACUCACCUGACAAAACUGCAACGGUUUCGGUCACAGUCUCUCUCAGUAGAUGAUAGAGAGUAUUCACUUUCUUCCCCUUCAUCAUUGUUAUGACACCUCAAGAGAUCUUCAGUACUCCACUUUCAACGAUGUACCUACACCCGAGUCAUUGAGUGUCCCUAGAGAAAUAAGAUUCUUCUUAAGCUCUGGUACAUGCCUCACAUCUGUUAGUGUGCGCACCACCCCAUCAUGCAUUCGAAUCUGAAUUGUCCAUAUCUCCACAGCCUUGCAAGCUACAUUAUUUCCCAAAAGAACGCUACUACCAUCUGCAGUUUGGUAAAUAAUAAAUCAGUUCUUAUGAGGCGUCAUAUGAUAAGAACAUCUCGAAUCUAGCAUUCAUUCGUCUCCUGACGAAGUGGUAGUCACACAUAAAAUGGCUUCUACAUCACUAGUGCUCCCCUCGGCAACGUUUGCCACACUGCUUAUAGCAUUAUGUAUCUCACCUUUAUUCCUUCGCUUUGGACAAUUUCUCUUGAUGUGCCCCUCCUCAUGAUACUCAAAGCACUUCACACGUCCCUUGGAAUUUUUAUAGCGUGAUUUCAAUAUACUAUUACCUUUGCUGCUACUAGGCCCUCGAUGUUGUUCACUACCCUGAAUCGUUAGUGCUUUUGCACUACUUCUUACACCAGAUCGUAUCUCACAAUUUUCUUUGCCGCUCCUUAGACAAUAAGGCAAACUUGACUUGUUUUGAGGUAAUUGUAGUACGCCAUUAUAACAGUGAAUCAGUAAAGUGCUCCCAUGACUCUGAUAAAGAAGCUAACAACAUUAUGCUAUGUUCUUCAUCAUCAAGUAUCUUACGAAUGUUCUUCAAAUCGAUCAUGAGUUUAUUGAAUUCAUCUUGGUUGAUUCUGAUAGACGUACCUUCAGUAUAUCUAUAUUGAAACAUCAUUUUCAACAUUUAUAAGCAAUUGUUCAAACAUUUUUUCACAUAAAGUGCGACACCUAAAUUUCGACCUUGUCCUAAUAAUAUGAAAUGGGCAUUUUGUCGACACACCUAUGAUCCUAUUUCUCUGAGUUGGCCAUUCACGAGUUAACUAAUCUACCAGGUGAAGCUGUUAAGGGAUAUAAACACAGCAAACUUGAGAAUUCGAUUAGAAAUUGACUGCUCGACCGCGAUAAUCGGCAAGGGUCAAUAUGGCACCGUUAUAAUCGAUUAGUGAUAGGAUAUAGGUCGAUUCGAUGGAAUGGCAUAAUUAAAUUGUUGGUGAUUUCACAUGAUUGCAAAAUUCGCGUCGAACGGCACUAACCCAAUUUUUUGUUAAUUCUGUACUCGGUGCUUGUAAUUGAAAUCUUGAUAUUUUGACAACAACCGAGAGUCGUCGACGAGUCGAAGAUGCACAAACGUGGAUCAGAAAUUAUUGACCACGGGUCAAACGUGAUAAAAUCCCUAAAAGCUACCUAGUAGGUUAGGUUGUACUAAAAUCGCGUCCGGUCGAUUUUAACCAUGAAAUGGAAUUCGGUUUUGGGAAUUGUACGUUCGAGCGUGUCACGAUUUAUUUAUAAGACGCCGUCUCAUCUUUUGGAGAAAUUCUGUUGAGCUCAGGAUUUUGCGGAAAAAUUGGUUUGCGGCAAAAAAAGAAAAUAAAAAGGGAAAUUUGGAUGGGUAGACCAAGUUGGAUUUUUCUACCUCAAUUAAGCUUAUUUUGGGAAAUUAAGCUUAGGAAAGUAAUUUGGGAGGAUGAAGAUGUGCAUGAAGACUUUUGGGGCCUUCUAAUGAUGAUUUUAGAUAUUUCCCAUUGACUUUCCCUCUCUCUUCCCCUCUCUCACGCACAUAUUCUUCCCUCCUUUUGCCGCCGACCUCACCCUUUCUGCCCAUUUCCCCUCAGCCUUAUCUUCUCCAUUUUCUCCUUUUAUUUUGCUGCCACAACUCCUCACGCAUUUCUUCUUCUCUCCCAGCUUUUAUUUUGCUGCCACAACUCCUCACGCAUUUCUUCUUCUCUCCCAGCUACUGCCAACACCAUCAUUUCCCUUCCCCCCCCCCCAUCUUUCUCCUUUGCCGCAUCAACCAUUGCCUCCACUUCCCCUCUUGUUUGCUACCCCAUCAUCCAACUCCAUUUGUACACCCUCAUCCCACCACCUUCCAUCCAUCACGCCAACAUCCAUCACCUACCACCCAACUCCAUAGCAACUGUCCACCAGAACUCCACGCCUGUAGCCACCAAUAGCUAGCUGCCCGUCCCCACUGUUAGCUCCGUCCAACAGCUGCGCCGUCACCAUCGAGCAGCCACCACACCUUAGCCACCAGCAUCCACCCAAACCGAGACCAAGUUGAGCCGAACCCUUCCUUUUGGCCGUGAGCUAGUUAGGCCAUCACGGUCGUCAGUGGAACUCCGUUAGAGUCACGAUAGACUCCGAUUCUCGUCGCCGUUGCGUUGCCAUCGCCGUGAGCCCGCCACCGUCGAAUUUCGGUGAGUUAACUUCUUAAUCCUUAAUUAGGUUGUUAAUUUCACUUAGGGGGUUAUACUAGUGUUAAUUAGCAUGGUUAGAUUACUGCUAAGAAUCAUUAGUGUUAAUUAAGUUGGAUUAGCUUAAAUUCAGAUCAGUUCACUGGACCCUCAUUGUUUGUCAUUUUUGUGGAGAAAAUGUGCUACGAUUUUGAGGUUGCUUUCUUCUUAAAAAAUGUUCUAGACAUCUUCAGCUAUGACAUAUAUUUUACUCAGAAUUUUAUGGAUUUAAAUGAAUAAGAUUUCAGUCUUGCCAUUUGCAAAAUAGAAUCUCGGAUUGUGCUGAAACAGUGACCUUUUGGUGUUCAAUGGAUUUUUAUCAACUCUUAGGGUUUGGUUUUUAAAAUAUUUUUUCACGAAAGUUGUUUUUCACAUCUUGUAGUUUAACAUAUUCAAAUUUCAGAUCAAACUGACAAGUUUUGAACCUUGAACCAAACUGAUUUUGGAAAACAAAAUUUUUGGAUAUGGGCACAGUUUUUGUAACGGUUUGAGCGAAUUACUACUCUUAAUCUAUGAAGAUUUGGGUUAAGGUGUCUGCAAUAAAAAUGUUCGUUUAGGUGUCCUUUACAACAUAUUCAUAUUUGAGAGUUUUUCAAAUUCGUUUGAUUAAGUUUCUGGAUUUAAACUCGGAGACGUGCGAGUGGCCUAAUUUCUGCCGGUUAGGACCGGUUGUGAUUUUGUUGUUGUUCUUGGUGUAGUACUUGCUGAAUCAUGUGUAUUUGGUGAUGAGGUUGACUCGUGGCAUGCUAAGAACUUAUGUAUGAGAUCGUGAGGUUAAUUGGUCUUUGUUGGUUAUUUAUUGUUAUUGCAAAAGGUGACCCUUUGGACUAUUAAAUAGAAAAUAAAUGAGGUGUCGGGUCCGAACACCAAAACUUGUUUGCCCAAUACAAAAAUAAGGUUUUAAACUAGGUGCGUGCAAAUUUUGACGGAUUAAUUUUGAGUAUGUGAGCACUUAUGAAUUUAUUUCUAAAUGUGUUGAACAAAAAAAAAAAAAAGAGGUUAUUAAAGCUUAGUUCCAAAAAGGAGUGUUUGGAAAAGAAAUUAGAAAAGAAAUAUGAUAUCGGGUUUGGACGCCAAGUUUUAUGUGCUCAAUAAAACGAGGAGGUUUUAUACUAGAUGCGUGCAAAAUUUGACGGGUUAAUUACAAGUACAUGACCCUGUACGAAUUUAUUUUGAAAGGUUUUGAAAAAAAAAAAAAAAGGGGCAGUUGCAAGUUUUAUUAUUUGAAAAGGAAUUUUGGUUUUCUUGGCUAAAUGACGGAAGAUAAGAAAUGGGUUUGGUUGAUAACAUGCGUGUAUGGUCACUAAGUGGAACCCGUCACUCAACGGGAGUUUGGAGCGAUGCCUGCUUUUAUCAGAUGCCCGGUGGGGGUCCAGAAGCCGGUAAUGGUGGAGGCUGGACCGAUACUCCUUUAUGGGAUGUCGUCUAGAUAGGGGUUCUAGACGUUGCUGUGACCGAUGGGGUAGGACGAUGCCUGAUUUUUAUCGAAUGCCUGGUGGGGGUUUGGAUGAUCACCGACUGGGGAGUUGGUUGUGGCCAAUGGGCCUUAAUAACUGGAACAUGCCAGAGUGAUUGAAAGAGUUGUGCCUUAUUAUCGGGCAAAAUUAUGUGGCACGGUAUGAGACGUGUCAUAAUGGUUUGGCCUUAUAAUUGUGACCUUUGUGAUUGAUUGAUAUAUGAAAGUGAGGCAUUCCUGUUGUUGAUUAUGCUUGCUGUGUGUAUAAAUGUAUAUGAGAUGUACUAAUAUGCAGGAAGGUGCUGAGGCGAGGUAAGUUCUGAGUGGUGCAUGUUUAGGACGCCUCUGAGUGAAUUCUCAUCAUAAUCGGGGUUUAGGGUAUUGACUCGCUGAGACAUUGUCUCACCCUGUCAUGGUUUAAAUUUUUCAAGUCUCUACUGUGGAGAACCCGGAGCCCGAGGCUAAAGGGUUUGGAGCGUAGAUGGCCCAGUAGAUUCUUUUGGGUUAAACCUUCUGUUUAUAGACCUAUAAGACUGGUUUGAUAUGUGUAUAAAGUGAUUUGUGAUAAUUGGCUUGUCUUUCCACUAUCCCAAUGUUUGAUGGUGGUCCGGAUAUCUGUUUAUUUCGCUUCCGCAUGUGCAUAAAAUGAAAGAGUCGGUGACGCAUCUUGGGAACAUGGCAAAAUUUUAGUUGACCGCCGAGGGAUGUGUGCAUGCUCGGGGUUCGAGGUGUGACAUAGAGUGCUUGAAGUCUUGCUCAUAAUGCUGCAACAUUCUUCUCGUUGGCAACUUCUAUUAAAAUCUCAUUUGACAAGUUCAACAGAAUUGUGUUAUUUGCUCUUUCCAUUAUAUCUAUCCUCUUAGCGGCUUUCAUUAUAGUCAGCAACUCAUCUUCAUUAUCAAGUGCCUUGGCCAAACCUUGGGUUGUCAAUAAUGCCCACAUCUUGAUGCUCCAUAACCCAAAGUUGUUCCUCUCAUUGAACUUCUCAAUUUCCGAUUUCCUCUCAAACAUAAUUGCAAAAACAGAAUUUCCAAAUAACAAUUAGACAAGCAAAAACUCCAAAUCACAAUCAAUAAAUUUGAUCCCAAGCUCUAAUACCAAUUGUUGAAAUAUAUAAUGCGUGAAAAUGACAGGAUCUUACAAUUUACGUCAAUGUGAAAUCACUAGAGAAAUAAAUGAAAAAUAAUAAGGACACUAAAAAUUUACGUGGUUCGGUCUCAACGAGGAGAGCCAGCAACAAAUAAUCUACUAUAAUCGGAGAAUCGGAGUUUACAAUUGCUCACACGCUUAAGUGUUUUCCACACCUAGAUUUAAGCCAAAACUCAAAGUAUUUAUAAAUAAACAACUUACUUGGACAUAAAUUUACGAUGCAAAAUUACCGCACAUUCAAGCUAAAGUAAAAUGCUCUACGUACACCAAAACAAGAACUAGGCGUCUGUCUCUUCUCCACAUACGUAUAGCUUCGCGUUCUCUACCCCUUCAAGGCUUGUGCGAUGUAUGGACGUGUGAACGUGCGGCUCCUUUUUCUUUCGUAGGGCUUCUGUUCUUUUUUCCACUAUAGAGCACCCCUUUUAUAUUGUGUGCCCAUAGUCAAAACUUUGACUCUGGGCCCCACCUUGGAUUCUUUUCUCCAAUAUGGGUUCUUCUUCUACCUUCUUCUGCACGUACAAAGAAAGAUAGAAAACCCUAACUUUUUUUUUAUUUUAUCUUUAUUUUAUUUCCUCCUUUGUGCAGCUAUAAGGAGUCCAACUAAAAAAAAAGGGUUUUUCAUCCAAUUUGAAAUCUACUUGGAAAAUCUUUCUCAACAAGUUCAAUUUAACAAUUAUCCAAAUUCAAACUCGAGACAUUAAUUUAACAAAAAUGCCAUUUGCAUCGAUAGUUAUCCGAAAUUUUCUAAAUCGUUUUGGCUUUUAGAUAAUUUUUAAAAUUGGAACCUCCUUGGAUGCAACGGCAGAUAUAACUUGCUUCAGUUUUGGCUCAUACACUAGUUUUUAGGUCCACACCAUAUUGUGUAACGAGGCAUAGCUUUCUUUGAGAAAGCUACUCUCACCGAAUUAUCUUAAAUAGUAACUUGUGCCAUUUUGCUGGUCCACACCAUAUUGUAUUAUAUCUUUCCUUCUUAGAUAGUUCUUUGCCUUAUAUUUCUUAUUCAAUUGUUGGACGCAUGAAAGAGCGACCAAAAGCAUCCUAUCCAUUCAUUAAACACAUGAACUCAUAUUCUAGUGGAGUUAUUCGCCAAAUUUACGAUAUGGACACCUUGAUGUGCUAUUUGGAUUGUGCCUCAAAUUUCAAUUUACGCUUCAUAUUCUUAUCGCAGGAUUUCGAACAACCACCUUACCCUACUCAAUUUGAUUAAUAUCAAAACACUGUAAGUGUCAGCUUCAUUACUAAACUAAGUAGAUCACCGAGUAAACAAGCAAUUCACCGCCUCAAUCAAAGUCCGGACAUGCUAGCAUAAUAAACCAAGCGGAUGUCAUGAAAAAAAUGCAUACUAUAUGCUAACCACUAGAGGUGAGAAAAUGGAUGAUGAACCCAUAUUGUAAUUCAGAUUCAAUGACCUGGUAAUAACAUGAGUUGUUAGCUAUCUGUGAUAAGGGGGAGGUCUAAAACUUUUUUUUUUUUUUUUAUCUCGAACCACUCUUAAAUGUGGUGCGACACAAACAUGGACAUCACCUGUACUUAGUUCACUAAUAAGAGAUAUGACGGACCUCACUAAAAGAGUGCACCAUUUCAUGGCAUUUACAUAAUAACAAUGAAAACAAUAAUAAAUAAUAAUAAUUUGUACGCCCUUCGUGCAAUUGGUCGGCUAAAUGUGCUUUGAGUCAUGGUGUAAACCAAGAGUUCAUGUACUAGAUCUUAGAAGGAACUUCUGAUACCCUCAACAGUUUCAUCGUUUUUUUGCCAUUGGAUCUUCCUUUCGUAACACACACACACACAAACGGAAGAAAAAAACAUCAUAAGCCAGAAAAACUUUCCGAGGAAUGCUCUCGAACUAUUCGUUCUUAAAAAUAUUUAAACGUCUAGCAUCACAUUUUAUAUUGUUUUAAUGCCUUAUCGGAAAAAAAAGAAAAAGGUUAGUAUCUCUUAGCAAAUCCCUCAAGUUAGCACAUGGAUUACAUAAUCCAUUGCAUAGACAAUCCAUUAAAUAUGCUAUUGAGGAAUUUAAUUAUUGUAAUUAGCGUGUGAUAUCGCAUACGUGUGGAUAAGGAGAGUAGCUAAGCUAAGCUCUUAGAAUAGAUCAGAGGGAUAAAUAAUUAACUUGAUGCUAUGGACUGCUUCGAUGUCUCCUUUUGCAUGUCCAGCUCCAGCCGGUUCCAACCAUUUUAGUGGGUCUUUUGGAUCGAUGGUUUCAUCACUUUGUUCUUCGGUUAUAAAAUGGAAGUUUAGUGGAGUAAUGUGUAACAAUUGAAAGUUUAGAAGGAACCUCGUAUUACCCCUUAAAUUAGGGUAAGUUUUGUGUAAUUUUCCCAUACAUUUAUUAUGUGAUGCCCAAUUUCUAAAACAUUAUUCGCAAGGUGAUAGGGUAGGGUAGAUUUAGAAAAUUAGGUGUAGAAAUAUGAGAAGCCAAACUUAUAUUCUAACUAAGCAUCUCAACUUUUCCAUCAAAGUCACCAAGGAACCACAUAAUAUAAGGUCCAUGAUUAGUGUGAGCCCAUUACAAUGUUGGCCCGACAAAAAUCGAUGGACAUUCGACUUCACAGCCUUGAGUAAGGACAUUCAUAAAAAUCACAAUUUCUUAGUCCAAGUCGCGUGGAACUGGUGAUGUUUUCCCGAAAUGGAUCCAAACCUGUAGAACAGCAAACAUCUUUCAACAAACAACUCUCACCGGCGAAUGUUCUCUUACGAAUUUGUGUUAGCAAGGCAAGACAGUCACGUCUUUUCUCGAAUCAAAUAGAAACUGCAAAUUGCCAUUCCGCCGCCUUUCAUUUAUACUCUCUGCAAUGCACGCACAAUAACCGUUCAAUCACAGAGCUGUUUUUCAGUAAGAGUAGAUAGCAGCAACCCGUGCAUAUAUCACCAUGUUGUCAUGCAUAUAUCACCAUACAGUCAUGCAUAUCUCACCAUGCCAUCGUGCAUAUACCACCAUGCAAUCAUACUUGUAUUUCCAUGAGGUUCAUUCCAUGCCAUAUGCACAUACAUACUCAUGAUUCAUAUCAUCCAUACAAUCAUGUAUACAUCGCCAUGAGAUCCAUUCAAGCAUUCAUGAUCGAAUUCUCAAUAUCAAAUAGCAUCAAUUUACUUUCAUAAGCAAAUCAUGCAUCAUACCAUAUGCACACACCCAUGCGCAUGAUUCAAUUUCCAAUUUUAUCUUUUAAUAGGAUCUCAUCAUUUUUUUUCUUUCAGGGACUAAUGUUUGCAUCCCUCAAUUUAUCGCUCGCACCCAACCUCGCAUCACGAGGAACCUCCGGCACAAACCUCCGAGCAUCUCGCAUCCCAUCUGGCAUCACAAGAAAUCCCCCUAGCACAAACCUUUAGGGCUUCCGGAAUUACGUACCGCCAUACCACCAGGCAUUCCCCCUGGAAUUACGUACCGUAUACCACCGAGCAUCUCAAAACUCCCGAGGACCCUCCGGCACAAACCUCCAGGCAUCCCAACACUCUCAGGGCAUCGUCGGCUCACACCUCUGAUGGUCUCGUUAUUAUCACAAUUUAUGAUCACAUAUAUGUCUCAUUUUCAACAUGGCAUUUGAUGCAACAAUAUCAAAGGUCUAAACCAGCUUUUUUGAUGUCAUAUGAUAUGCCAAACGUCAUCAUAUAUGCAGCACACACAACACCCACGAUAUCACAUUUCGUAAAGAAAUUCAUUGGCUUUUGAAAAUAGAACCAAUUUUCGGAUAAAACAGAAUGCACCUCUUUAGUAAAAAUUCUUGGAAAAUUAGUAAACAAUCUCAAUAAAUUCUGAAAAUUUGACAUAAUGUAAACAAGAUCCAGAGGAAUAUAUUUCAUGAAGAACACCAUGUCAAGAAAGUUCCACAUCAAUCACAUAGAUCCACACAUCACAGCAAAAGAAAUUCCAGCACCACUUUAACACAGUUUCGGAAAUAAUUUCGAUUAAACCCUUAAAUGAACUCCGAAAAUUCUAAGAUUUUAAUAUGUUAUAGCACAUAGAGGUAAAAGUCCCAUGAAGAAAUCAAAGUCUAAUUCCUUCUGGAUUAAAAGAUAUAAUUUUUGUAAUUCUCCCUAACUCUCGAUUCACUGUCCAGAUUCAUCAUUUUCAAAAAAAAGCGUUUUCCUCGAUCAAUAAUUGUCCUUUUAUUCUAAAAUUUUAAUAUGUUACUCCUUAAGAUGUUGUCUACAACUUUCAUCAAGGACAAAAGAUCAAAUUUCAAACUUAUAACUUUAUAAAAAUCCACAGAAGCGCACUAGGUCAGCAUAACGAUUUCCAAAUCUACUCUCUUCAAAGAAAAAUGGUUUUACCAACCUAUACUUGUUUAUUUACUCUCAAAUUUUGAUAUGUUAAUCAUAAAGAAGUCCUAUACAACUUUCAUUAAGAAGUCAAAGUGAGAUUCCAACUAGAACAUCGCAUGCAACUCACGAAAUCACCAAAGGUCGAACUGUUUUUCCAGAAACAGAACACUAGGCUAGAACACAACUCCUAUAACUUCGAAAUUUCUCACCUCAACCACAUCCAAAAUUCACCAUUCAUCACACACAAACACAGCAAGCAAAGGGUAGAUCAAUGGGCUCUACUUGCCUCUAAUCCAAGCAAAACACAGCAAGCAAACGGCGGGGCAAGGCGGCUUGACGGCGGCGACUCGGCGACACGCACGACAGCGAACGGCCUCCCUCUUCCUUUCCUUCUUUCUCUCUUCCUCUCUUCCUCUCGCACGACGUCUCUCUCUCUCUCUCUCUCUCUCUCUCUCUCUCUCUCUCUCUCUCUCUCUCGGACGAUAACCCUCUCUUCCAAUCCGCCUCUUCUCUUUUCUUUCCCCCUCAAUGAUUUGCAAUCAUUUGAUUUUGCAUGGCUCUUACACUUGGCUACAAAGGGGAAACACUUGGCAAGCUUCUCUUGCCACUGGGGGAUUUAGCCAUGCAAGUUGAUGGGCCUUCCUUUAGGGCCUCUCCCUUCGUUCCUCUCUUCCCAUGGUCGAUGGCAGCCCCUUCCCUUUGGGCUUCACGGGCCAGGCCUAAAUGGCCGAACGGUGGGGUCUUGCAGGCUGGUUUUGGCCUAAGAAUUUUGGCCCACUUCCUCUUUUAAUAAUUUACUCUAAAUCCCACUUAUAAAAUCCUAACUGAAAUUUAUAUAACCAUAAAAAUUGCAACAUAAAUUAAUAAAUUCCAACUUAUAAAACACAUGGCCAAGAGUAGAAUUUUCUUUCCUAUCAAAUAAUUUUCCACUAAAAGCUUGGCCUUAAUCUUAUUGCAAAUCAUGGAUCAAAUGGCUACAACAUAAUUUGAUGGUGCUUCCAUCACCUAUUCAUGGAUCAUAGCAUAUCUAGGGAUUGUCAUGAAAUUCUAGGAUGCCACAAUAUCCCUUUGCCAUAAGUCUCGCCUUAUACCUCGCUCUCUCAACAACAGGAAUGCCCUCUUUCCAUUUAAAAACCCAUUUACUUUUGACAAUCUUCAAACUCUUUGGUACUUUGACUAACUCCCAUGUCUAAUUUUGAUGGAAUGAUUCAAUCUCUUUACUCAUAACCCCUAGCUAUUGCGACGACUUAGAGCCAGCCAUCACCUUAGAGUAAGACGAAUGCUCAUCUGUCUCCACCUCAUCACCUACAGUCAAUGCAUAAGCAAUAUAUGUAUAACCAUAACGUACCGGUGAUUCAAUUUGUCUUCUCUAUCUAUCUACAGGUAUAAUGUGUAGUGGCUUUGCUGAUUUUUCACUAUCAUCGACUUUAGGAACUAUGGCCUCAUCUACAGUCUCAACUUCUAUUACCUUAGAGGUCUCCAGACUCUCCACUUGAAACUCCAUCUCACUAAUGACACCAUGAUAUGUUUGCUCUACUGGUUGUGUUUUAGAACUCUUAUGCUAAAGCAUUGCAGUCUUGUCGAAGAUCACAUUUCUGCUGAUUAGAAAAUCGGGUAAUCUGGGAUCAGUAUACCACAGUCGGUAGCCUUUCACCCCAUGUGCAUAACCUAGAAAUAUGCACUUCUUUGCACUCAACUCAAGCUUAUCAUCACUCGCAUGAGCAUAUGCAGGACAUCUGAAUAUAUGUAAUCCGGAGUAAUUAACAUGUUUCCCCAACUAUACUUCCUCAGGAGUCUUCCACUCGAUAGCAGGUGAUGGAGAUUGAUUAACCAUAUAACAUGCCAUGUUUACCGCUUCUGCCCAAAAUUUCUUGCCAAAUCCUACAUGUGAAGGCAUGCAUCAAGCUCACUUAUGCAAAUUUAUGUUCUUCUAUUCUAUCACACCAUUCUACUGUAGUAUCCCAGGUAUUGUGCAGUGUCUUAUAAUCCAUUCUUUUCCGCAGAACUCAAUAAAAUCUUUACCACAAAACUCCAUGCCAUUAUCAGUUCUUAGGCACUUGAUUUGUUUAUCUGAUUGCUUCUCAAUUAGUGCAUUAAAUUUCUUGAACCAAUCGAACACUUCAUAUUUAUGCUUAAGAAAGUAUACCCAUAAUUUCCUCGAAUAAUCGUCAAUAAAUGUCAAGAUAUAUAGGGCACCUCCUUUAGAAGGAACUGAAGAUAGGCCCCAGACGUCUAAAUGAAUGUAUUUAACUAGUUGUUUAGUGGAAUGAACAGCUAUAGUAAACUUAACUCAACGCUGCUUCCCAAAGAUGCAGUGCUAACAUAGCACUAACAUAAGUCCAGCUUCCUUAUCUUUUGACCGUUCAACAACCCUUUAUCACUUAGCAUUGUCAUACUUGCCUUACUCAUGUCACGCCCCGAACCUCGAGCACGUCAACAUCCCACCAUGGUCAUUCUAAUGCGACGUCCCAGGUUAAGUCGCCGACCCACUCAAAUAUUUAAUGCACAUGCGAAAGCAUAUUAUAAAACCCUUGACAAUAAAAUACGGGAUAGAAAAGCAGGAAGCAAAAUCACCACAUAACAUUUUCAUAAUUCAACAGAAUUACAAACAAAGGUCUACGACCAACAGUCUACAAAAGACCGGCUCUUAAAAAGGAAUUGUCCUACGACCUACAAGUCGAACACGUUCUCCAAUCCUCCUGAUUUCACCUCUGCAACUCCUCAAGGCCAACCAAAGCUAUCUAGCUGCUCCGUCAACCAGGGACCUGAAAUUUUAAUCCCCAAACCGGGAUGAGACAAUAUCUCAGCAAGUUCAACCCCCUAAACCCUUAUUAGAAAGAAAAUACACCCCGGGUGACCUGGCCACAUCACACAAAAGACUUACCUUGCAUUAGCCUUCACAUGCAGGUUAGCACAAUUUAUAUAAUUCAACCACGUACAAUUAUGAUAACCAAACAACCAUGGCACAAUCACAUCAUCAGAACAAUUCAACCACUUGGAUCGUCUCAACGAUCAAUCGACUUGGCCGAUUACAUGUCAUUCUAGCAAAUCAAUCAUUGCUCUCAAUCACGGCCCCACUCGGCCAAUUUUAGAAUUAGUGGCAUCACGGCCCCACUCGGCACGACCUUUAAAAAGGUGGUAGAUUACGGCCCGGUUGGGCGCGACCUUUAUCAAGUGGCAAUUCACGGCCUCACUGGGCACGACCUUUAUCAGGUGGCAUAUCACGGCCCCACUGGGCGCGAUCUCUAAUAGGUGGCAUAUCACGACCCCACUGGACGCGACCUUUAUCAGGUGGCAUAUCACGGCCCCACGGGGCGCGACCUCUAAUAGGUGGCAUAUCACGGCCCCACUGGGCACGACCUCUAAUAGGUGGCAUAUCACGGCCCCACUGGGCGCGACCUUUAUCAGGUGGCAUAUCACGGCCCCACUAGGCGCGACCUCUAAUAGGUGCCAUAUCACAGCCCCACUGGGCGCGACCUCUAAUAGGUGCCAUAUCACGGCCAAUCACCCAUCAAUUUCCACACUUGGAACUUUAUAAAAAGAAUCCAUAUUUAUCACAAUCACACUCCAUUUGCCACAAUCAAUCAUCAAAUUCAAAUUCUAAGUAUGCAGCAGCGAUUGGCACGAAAUUCUGAGAGUAUAAAGUCCCGACAAAAUUUUCGGAAUUUAAUAAAUAAUUAAUUUUAUUCCGAAAAUUAAUUAAAUAAUAUUAUCCAUAGUUUUCGCAAUCCAUGCUCAAUUUAUAANNNNNNNNNNNNNNNNNNNNNNNNNNNNNNNNNNNNNNNNNNNNNNNNNNNNNNNNNNNNNNNNNNNNNNNNNNNNNNNNNNNNNNNNNNNNNNNNNNNNUGACUACACAGCAGAGAUCGGCACGAAAUUCUGAGCAACCGGGGUCAACAAUAAUUUUUCCUUUUUUUAUAAUAAUAUUUUAAUAAUUUCGGAUUAUAAUAUAAUAUUAUAAUUUCCAGAAUUUCGAAACAUUUAAAUAAUUCAAAAAUAAAACCUAUUAUGUCACAUCAAGGUUUAUUAUCAAAUAAACUCUCUUAGCCUUUAAUUAAACAUGCUUUAAAUUAAACAAACAUCUUAAUUUAAUUCACAAUUAAAUAAACUAAACUAAUCACCUAAGCUUACUUAACUUAGGCUAAGCACACUUAGGGCAUCAUUAAUCGUCUAAUCAAGGUUUAGUGAGCUAAACUCACCGGAUUAGCGAGCCGAGCGAACCAAAACGACGAGGACGACCCGAGGAUCGACUUUCUUCAAGGCGGACCGAGCAUCCGGGCUCGGGAAGACGGCCAAAACGGGCCAAAUAGGUGCUGCCAUACCCAUUUUUGCAGCCACUGAUUUGGGGCUGGAGGAGGCGGAUCCGGCGCCGGAAUGGGCGGAGGAGGGCGGCGGCAGCUCGUUGGUGGCUCGGACGGUGGCACAUGGCGGCCAGGCGGGCCUCUAGCGACCUUCACGACAACGAACGGGCGGCUGGACGGUGAAGGGACGACGGCUGGUGGCAGACGAAGCAAGAACGGGAGGGGUGGAGCAGCUCGCGUGCAGACGGGCGGCGACGGCGAACGGCGUGCGGCAGUGGUGAACGGCGGAGGCGUGCAACCUCUUCGGCUCCGCUGGUCUGCUCGGUUCUGCCCAGCAACAAGAAGAAGAAGAUGGAGGAUAGACGAUCGAACGGUAGGGGAAGAGAAGAAGACGGAAGGCAAACGGCGGCGACGGCGGCGAGCGGUGAGCUCCGGCGAUGGGCGACAAGCGGCGAAGGAGGCGGACGGCGAGGGGCUGCUUUGGCUUCUUCCUCUGCAAAUUUUCUGGUCUUUCGCACAAAGAAGAUGGAGGAGAAGCCAACAGAAGGGAGAGAGGAAGGAGAGAGAAGGAGAGAGAAGGAGGGGGCCCUUUUCUUUUCUUUUUCCUUUUUUUUAAUCCAACAAAUGGCCUAUCAUGACAUCACUUGAUGAUGUCAUACUCUACCAUCUCCCACAACCUUAUUCCAAUGGGUUCACUUGCAAUUUCCGCCGGGGUCCAAUUCUUUGUACAAUAACUUCUUCAAUUUCACUUGAUUCUCUUCUAAUUGAAUUAAAUUAAAGCUCAUAAAAUUAAUUCAAUGUCACCACACUUCAAUUCACAUCUUCACUUGUCUAUAGAACCAACUUAAGUCCCAAAAGCAAGACCAAAGGCGGCCUACUAAUUUCUCGAGCCAAAAUAGCCAUUCUCUAAUUUAAUUUCUGAAAAAUUCUGAUUACAUGAAAAAUCUUCCGAAGAUGAGUUAAUGAUCCUAAAAUAAUUUGUGACACACCCAGACUUCCAAUUUCUGAAUUCUGACUCAAUUUCACGGUUAAUUUCAUUUUGGCACGAUACUAGCGUGGCCCAACCUAUCGGGUAGCCUUUAGAAAUUUUCAUGCAUUGACNNNNNNNNNNNNNNNNNNNNNNNNNNNNNNNNNNNNNNNNNNNNNNNNNNNNNNNNNNNNNNNNNNNNNNNNNNNNNNNNNNNNNNNNNNNNNNNNNNNNGCCGUCGAAUUUCGGUGAGUUAACUUCCUAAUCCUUAAUUAGGUUGUUAAUUUCACUUAGGGGUUAUAUUAGUGUUAAUUAGCAUGGUUAUAUUAGUGCUAAUAAUCAUUAGUGUUAAUUAAGUUGGAUUAGCUUAAAUUCAGAUCAGUUCACUGGACCCUCAUUGUUUGCCAUUUUUGUGGAGAAAAUGUGCUACAAUUUUGAGGUAGCUUUCUUCUUAAAAAAUGUUCUAGACAUCUUUAGCUAUGACAUAUAUUUUACUCAGAAUUUUAUGGAUUUAAAUGAACAAGAUUUCAGUCUCGCCAUUUGCAAAAUAGAAUCUUGGAUUGUGCUGAAACAAUGACCUUUUGGUGUUCAAUGAAUUUUUAUUAACUCUUAGGGUUCAAUUUUUAAAAGAUUUUUUCGACGAAAGUUGUUUUUCACAUCUUGUAGUUUAACAUAUUCAAAUUUCAGAUCAAACAGACAAGUUUUGGACCUUGAACCAAACUGAUUUUGGAAAACAAAAUUUUUGGAUAUGGGCACAGUUUUUGUAACGGUUUGAGCGAAUUACUGCUCUUAAUCUAAGAAGAUUUGGGUUAAGUUGUCUUCAAUAAAAAUGUUCGUUUAGGUGUCCUUUACAACAUAUUCAUAUUUGAGAAUUUUUCGAAUUCGUUUGAUUACGUUUCUGGAUUUAAACUCGGAGACGUGCGAGUGGCCAGAUUUCUACCGGUUAGGAUCGGUUGUGAUUUUGUUGUUGUUCUUGGUGUAGUACUUGCUGAAUCAUGUGUAUUUGGUGAUGAGGUUGACUCGUGGCAUGCUAAGAACUUAUGUGUGAGAUCGUGAGGUUAAUUGGUCUUUGUUGGUUAUUUAUUGUUAUUGCAAAAUGUGACCCUUUGGACUAUUAAAUAGAAAAUAAAUGAGGUGUCGAGUCCGGACACCAAAACUUGUUUGCCCAAUACAAAAAUAAGGUUUUAAACUAGGUGCGUGCAAAUUUUGACGGAUUAAUUUUGAGUAUGUGAGCACUUAUGAAUUUAUUUCUAAACGUGUUAAAAAAAAAAAAGAAGAGGUUAUUAAAGCUUAGUUCCAAAAAGGAGUGUUUGGAAAAGAAAUUAGAAAAGAAAUAUGAUAUCGGGUUUGGACGCCAAGUCUUAUGUGCUCAAUAAAACGAGGAGGUUUUAUACUAGAUGCGUGCAAAAUUUGACUGGUUAAUUACAAGUACGUGACCCUGUACGAAUUUAUUUUGAAAUGUUUUGAAAAAAAAAGGGUAGUUGCAAGUUUUAUUAUUUGAAAAUGAAUUUUGGUUUUCUUGGCUAAAUGACGGAAUACAAGAAAUGGGUUUGGUUGAUGACAUGCAUGUAUGGUCACUAAGUGGAACUCGUCACUCAACGGGAGUUUGGGGGCGAUGCCUAAUUUUAUCGGAUGCUUGGCGAGGGUCUAGAAGCCAGUAGCGGUGGAGGCUGGACCAAUGCUCCUUUAUGGGAUGCCGUCUAGGCAGGGGUUCUAGACGUUGCCGUGCCCGAUGGGGCGGGACGAUGCCUGAUUUUUAUUGAAUGCCUGACGGGGGUUUGGAUGAUCGCCGACUGGGGAGUUGGCUGUGGCCGAUGGGCCUUAAUAACUAAAACAUGCCUGAGUGAUUGAAAGAGUUGUGCCUUAUUAUCGGGCAAAAUUAUGUGGCACGGUAUGAGGCGUGUCAUAACGGUUUGGCCUUAUAAUUGUGACCCUUGUGAUUGAUUGAUAUAUGAAAGUGAGGCAUUCCUAUUGUUGAUUACGCUUGCUGCGUGUAUAAAUGUAUAUGAGAUGUACUAAUAUGCAGUAAGGUGCUAAGGCGAGGUAAGUUCUGAGUGGUGCAUGUUUAGGACGCCUUUGAGUGAAUUCUCGUCAUAAUCGGGGUUUAGAGUGUUGACUCGCUAAGACAUUAUCUCACCCUGUCGUGGUUUAAAUUUUUCAAGUCCCUAGUGUGGAGAACCUGGAGCCCGAGGCUAAAGGGUCUGGAGCGUAGAUGGCCCAGUAGAUUCUUUUGGGUCAAACCUUCUGUUUAUAGACCUAUAAGACUGGUUUGAUAUGUGUAUAAAGUGAUUUGUGAUAAUUGGCUUGUCUUUCCACUAUCCCAAUGUUUGAUGGUGGUCAGGGUAUUUGUUUAUUUCGCUUCCGCAUGUUCAUAAAAUGAAAGAGUCGGUGACGCAUCUUCGGAACGUCGCAAAAUUUUAGUUGACCGCCGAGGGAUGUGUACAUGCCCGAGGUUCGAGGUGUGACAUAGAGUGCUUGAAGUCUUGCUCAUAAUGCUGCAACAUUCUUCUCGUCAGCAACUCCUAUUAAAAUCUCACCUGACAAGUUCAACAGAAUUGUGCUAUUUGCUCUUUCCAUUAGAUCUAUCCUCUCAGCGGCUUUCAUUAUAGUUAGCAACUCAUCUUCAUUAUCAAGUGUCUUGGCCAAACCUUGGUUGUUAAUAAUGCCCGCAUCUUGAUGCUCCAUAACCCAAAGUUGUUCCUCUCAUUGAACUUCUCAAUUUCCGAUUUCCUCUCAAACAUAAUUGCAAAAACGGAAUUUCCAAAUAACAAUUAAACAAGCAAAAACUCCAAAUCACAAUCAAUAAAUUUGAUCCCAAGCUCUGAUACUAAUUGUUGAAAUAUAUAAUACGUGAAAAUGACAGGAUCUUACAAUUUACGUUAACGUGAAAUCACUAGAGAAAUAAAUGAAAAAUAAUAAGGACACCAAAAAUUUACGUGGUUCGGUCCCAACGAGGAGAGCCAGCAACAAAUAAUCUAUUAUAAUCGGAUAAUCAGAGUUUACAAUUGCUCACAUGCUUAAGUGUUUUCCACACCUAGAUUUAAGCCAAAACCCAAAGUAUUUAUAAAUAAACAACUCAUUUGGACAUAAACUCACAAUACAAAAUUACUGCACAUUCAAGCUCUAGAACAAAUGCUCUACGUACACAAAACAAGAACUAGGCGUAUGUCUCUUCUCCACAUACGUAUAGCUUCGCGUUCUCUACCCUUGAAGGCUUGUGCGAUGUAUGGACGUGUGGACGUGCGGCUCCUUUUUCUUUCGUAGGGCUUCUGUUCUUUUUUCCACUAUAGAGCACCCCUUUUAUAUUGUGUGCCCAUAGUCAAAACUUUGACUCUGGCCCCACCUUGGAUUCUUUUCUCCAAUAUGGGUUCUUCUUCUACCUUCUUCUUCACGUACAAAGAAAGAUAGAAAACCCUAACUUUUGUUUUAUUUUAUCUUUAUUUUAUUUCCUCCUUUGUGCAGCUAUAAGGAGUCCAACAAAAAAAAAAGGGUUUUUUCAUCCAAUUUGAAAUCUACUUGGGAAAUCUUUCUCGACAAGUUCAAUUUAACAAAUCAUUAUCUAAAUUCAAACUCAAGACAUUAAUUUAACAAAAAUGCCCUUUGCAUCAAUAAUUAUCCGAAAUUUUCUAAAUCAUUUUGGCUUUUAGAUAAGUUUUAAAAUUGGAACCUCCUUGGAUACAAUGGCAGAUAUAACUUGCUUCAGUUUUGGCUCAUACACUAGUUUUUAGGUCCACACCAUAUUGUGUAACGAGGCAUAGCUUUCUAAAAGAAAGCUACUCUCACCGAAUUAUCUUAAAUAGUAACUUGUGCCAUUUUGCUGGUCCUUCGUGUUUGCUUUUGUGAGUUCGGGCUUGUAUUAUAUCUUUCCUUCUUAGACAGUUCUUUGCCUUAUAUUUCUUAUUCAAUUGUUGGACGCAUCAAAGAGCAACCAAAAGCAUCCGAUCCAUUCAUUAAACACAUGAACUCAUAUUCUAGUGGAGUUAUUCGCCAAAUUUACGAUAUGGACACCUUGAUGCGCUAUUUGGAUUGUGCCUCAAUUUUCAAUUUACGCUUCAUAUUCUUAUCGCAGGAUUUCAAACAACCACCUUACCCAACUCAAUUUGAUUAAUAUCAAAACACUGUAAGUGAGUCAGCUUCAUUAGUAAACUAAAGUAGAUCACCGAAUCAACAAGCAAUUCACCGCCUCAAUCAAAGACUAGACAUGCUAGCAUAAUAAACCACGCAGAUGUCAUGAAAUAAUGCAUAACAUAUGCUAAUCACUAGAGGUGAGAAAAUGGAUGAUGAACCCAUUUUGUAAUUCAGAUUCAAUGACCUGGUAAUAACAUGAGUUGUUAGCUAUCUGUGAUAAAAGGGAGGUCUAAAACUUUCUAUUUUUUUUUUAUUUCAAGCCACUCUUAAAUGUGGUGCGACACAAACAUGGACAUCACCUAUACUUAGUCCACUAAUCAGAGAUAUGAUCAGAAGAAAUCAAGAACGGACCUCACUAAAAAAGUGCACCAUUUCAUGGCAAUAAUAUAAGAACAAUGAAAACAAUAAUAAAUAAUAAUAAUUUGUACGCCCUUCAUCCAAUUGGUCGGCUAAAUGUGCUUUGAGUCAUGGUGUAAACCAAGAGUUCAUGUACUAGAUCUUAGAAGGAACUCCUGAUAUCCUCAACAGUUUCAUCGUAUUUUUGCCAUUGGGUCUUCCUUUCGUAACAUACACACACGCAGACGGAAGUAAAAAGCAUCAUAAGCCAGAAAAACUUUCCGAGGAAUGCUCUCGAACUAUUCGUUCUUAAAAAUAUUUAACGUCUAGCAUCACAUUUUAAAUUGUUUUAAUGCCUUAUCGAGAAAAGAAAAAAAAACAGUUAGUAUCUCUUAGCAAAGCCCUUAGGUUAGCACAUGGAUUACAUAAUCCAUUGCACAGACAAUCCAUUAAAUAUGCUAUUCGGGAAUUUAAUUAUUGGAAUUAGCGUGUUAUAUCGCAUACGUGUGGAUAAGGAGAGUAGCUAAGCUAAGCUCUUACAAUAGAUCAGAGGGAUAAAUAAUUAACUUGAUGCUAUGGACUACUUCGAUGUCUCCUUUUGCAUGUCCAGCUCCAGUCCGAUCCAACCAUUUUAGUGGGUCUUUUGGAUCGAUGAUUUCAUCACUUUGUUCUUCGGUUAUAAAAUGGAAGUUUAGUGGAGUAAUGUGUAACAUUGAAAGUUUAGAAGGAACCUUGUAUUACCCCUUAAAUUAGGGUAAUUUUUGUGUAAUUUUCCCGUACAUUUAUUAUGCGAUGCCCAAUUUCUAAAACACUAUUCGCAAGGUGAUAGGGUAGGGUGGAUUUAGAAAAUUAGAUGUAGAAAUAUGAGAAACCAAACUUAUAUUCUAACUAAGCGUCUCAACUUUUCCAUCAAAGUCACCAAGGAGCCACAUAAUAUAAGGUCCGUGAUUAGUGUGAACCCAUUACAAUGUUGGGCCGACAAAAAUCGAUGGACAUCUGACUUCACGGCCUUGAGUAAGGACAUUCAUAAAAAUCACAAUUUCUUACUCCUAGGGGUGAGCGGGUCCAGGGUGGGUAGGGUCUAGACCUGGACCCUGUUCCCUACUCUAUUAUAACCGGUUCUCCUUUUUUGGACCCUGUUCCCUACCUGUUUUUAUUGGACCCUGUUCCCGGCCCACCCUAUUUUUCCGAUCCGGGAACAAGGUUGACCCUGUUUAUAUUGGAACCUGUUCUGCAUAAAAAUUAACCUUAGAAAAGCAAGUCUAGAUGAGUUAUCUUGCUGCUUGGCCAAUUCUUUCUGCAAUCCCCAGCAAAAAUAUCAAGAUCAAAAUUAGUCAGGUGCGUUAAAUAACCCCUACCAUUGACUUGCUUCAGUUAAUCAGAAUCAAACUAACCUUGAAGACUGUUUCUUCCUUCCACAUCUCAACCCCUUUGCAGAACGACCUUGACGAGGUUCCUAAUCAUUCAAAUGGCCAAGAAAAAUGUUGACAGUCUUUUGGUCAAUAACUAAAUUGUUCUACUUACAGGAGGAGCUAAAGAAAUCAGAGUGGAAAGCAGAACGAGAAAGAAUUGAACAUAAUUUCCCAGUGACAAACCUAAAAAGAGUAUGAUGAUUAAAACGGUGAUGAGCCAGUAAGGGAAGACCACACUGAGCGCUACACCGACGGUGAUGCCGAGCAUUAGCAUGGGCUGGAACAGAAGGGCCAGAUCAUAGUCUAUGAUGGGAACUUCCCUCAUCGGAUGGGGUACUCUCAGGUUGUACCAGACAGAGGCCGUGGAUGCCCCCGUUAUCAUACCUGCACAAAUACCAAAACUUUCAAUUAACAAAAGUCCUUGCUGAGAAGUUGGCAUAAUUCUUCCCAGCUCCUUUAGCUAGAGAAGCAAGGAAAGGCCAAAAAAAAAAGGAAACAAUUCAUAAACAAACCUCAAAUCAACAAAAAAAAACACUGGACUUGAAACAAUGAACACAGAGAAAAAAGUUUCCACUUUUCGAGCGUAAUUAUCAAUCUAAGCUCGUUAAAAAAUGAUUUCCUUCCUUUUGGUUACUUUUGUGUGCUCUUCAACGCGUGUGGCAAGGUAAAAAGGAAAGUGUUCACCACCAUCACCAUCACGUCACAUCUCAUUCCAACUCUAGUAUAAUCUCACUGCAACCUAUGGUAGGCACCGAAUCCUGUACAAAUGACCACUUGCAACGGCACUAAAAGAAGGAAACAGAAAAGUGAUUGAGAAGGAGAUUAUGAUAUUCUGAGGAAUUUUGUCCGACUCACACUUGGAGAUGGCAGCAGCAGACUUGGUGUCGAACCCGACGACGAGGGUGAGCAUGGGCACGAAAAUGCCGCCGCCCCCGACGCCGCCCACCGUCCCACAUGCCGACCCCAGAAAACUGAUCACCGUGGCCACCACCACCCGCCACCCAAACUCCAAAUCCUGCUCCACCCCCAUCACCCAGAAAACCAAACGAAAACCACCUUUAUGAGUCGAAAUCCACGUUGGCAAAAAGUAGACCUGUUAAACGGGUGGGUCGGGUCGGGUUUGGGUCGGGUCAUAAAUGGUCCGACCCAAAUCGACCCAUUUAACCCGUUUAUGACCCAUUUAUUACAAUGCAAAAAUUUUAACCCAUACCCGACCCGACCCGUACCCGACUCAUACCCGACCCAUUUAACGAAACAUAAAAAAGUUUAUAUAUAUAUUUUUAAAAUGAUAUUGCUAAAAUGGUUUUAUACAACAUAAAUUUAAUAGAUAAUUUUUAUAAUUUUUAAAAUAAUUAUUUAAAAAAAAAUCGAAUUUUAAUUAUUUUUUGUUUUUUUAAAAAAUUAAUUUUUUUAUUUUUUAUUUUUUUAAAAAUAAUUUUUUAAUUAUUUUUAUUUUUAUUUUUAAGAAUAUAAUAUAAUAUUUCUUUUUCUUUUUCUUUUUCUUUUUCUUUUUCUUUUUCUUUUUUCUUUUUUCUUUUUUCUUUUUUCUUCUUCUUCUUCGGUCAGCCGCCGGCCACGACGACUGCCGGCGGCCGGCCACAGGCGAGCCUCGAGCUCGCCCGGCUCGCCGACGCCGGCGAGCUCGAGGCUCGCCAGAUCCGGCGAGCUCGAGCUCUCCCGACGCCGGCGAGCUCGAGUCUCGCCCGACGCCGGCGAGCUCGAGUCUCGCCAGAUCGGCGAGGCUCCAGAUCCGGCGAGCUCGAGGCUCGCCAGCGUCGGGCGAGCUCCGGGCUCGCGGGCGUCGGGAGUGGCCGGGCUCGCGGGUCCCGGGGCGUCGGCGAGGCCUCCGCCUCGCCAGAUCUGGCGAGCUCGAGAGCUCGCCCCUCGCCCGACGCCGGCGAGUUCGAGUCUCGCCAGAUCGGCGAGGCUCGAGCCUCCGCCUCGCGAGAUCCGGCGAGCUCUAGCUCGCCCGACGCCGCUCGCCCGGCCGGUCGCCGGCCAUCGCCGUGCCGGCGACCGGAGGAAGAAGAAAGAAAAAAAUAAGAAGAAAGAAAAAAUAAAAAAUAAAAUAAAAUAAAAAUAAUUAUAAUUAUAAUUUCGGUUUUUAUAAAAAAAAAAAUUAUAAAGUCAAAGAGAGGAGAGAGAUGGUGGGGUUUUGAAUGAAAAUAAAUAGGUUUAUUUUUAAUGGGUUGAUAAAUGGGUCAACUCUUUAACCCAUUUAAAACCCAUAUAUCUUAGUCUUAACCCAUUAAAACUCAUUAUGGGUGCUUUAUAAAAGAAAGCUUGACCCAUUAAUGAUCCAUUUAACCAUAAAUGGGUCUAUAAAUGGGUUGUGCAACCCAUUUAACACCUCUAGCAAAAAGCUACGAAAACAGAGCCCGAAGUGCACCCGCGGCGGGUGUGGCGCGGCGGGGGGCUCUGGGGAAGGCAAGACGAGAGGCUGGAGCGAGGAGGAGGAGGCGAGGAAGGGGUCGAGCAGGUGGAGGUUGUCGGGGGUGACGACGACGGUGACGGUGACGGUGACGGCAGGGGCAGCGGGGCGGGGGAGGAGGAGGAGCUUGGCGGCGGUGGUGCGAGCGCGAGGGGAACCGGGAGAGGAGCUCAGGGAAGUCUGGUUCUCUGCGUCUGCGCCUCUACGGGUAAAGAUAGAAAUAAAAUUAGGGUUUUGCUGGGGUAAAAACCGGUUCUCCAACCGGUUCCCAAACCGGUCUGGUCGAACCGGUUCUCGGACCAGUUUAAACAGGGUCUGAGUUUUGGGAACCGGUUCCCGACCCUGUUUUCCGGGUGGGCCGGACCGGGAACCGGGUAAACCCGGUCCGGUUGCACACCCCUACUUACUCCAAGCCGCAUGGAACUGGUGAUGUUUUCCCGCAAUGGAUCCAAACCUGUAGAACAGCAAACAUCUUUCAACAAACAACUCUCAUCGGCGAAUGUUCUCUUACGAAUUUGUGUUAGCAAGGCAAGACAGUCACGUCAUUUCUCGAAUCAAAUGGAAACUGCAAAUUGCCAUUUCCGCCGCCUUCCAUUUAUACUCUCUGCAAUGCACGCACAAUAACCGUUCAAUCACAGAGCUUUACCUCAUAGCAAAAAGGAGAGUCAUGACGCGUCACUCCUUCCAUGCAAUGGCUGUUUUUCAGCAAGAUUAGAUAGCAGCAACUCAUGCAGCAUGACAAUAAGUGAAGGAGAUUAACUUCAGUUCUUUCCAUCACUAUUUGUGCUGGCCUCAGCACCGGAUAACUGAAGCUUACCACAUUCUCUCGCCCCACAAUUCUGAGAGAAAAUACAGUUAGAUAUGUAUCAAACGUGCAACAUCAUCGACGACAAAGAAAUGACGAGAGCAACAUCCAAAGGCGGGGAACUCUAUAAAUUGAAAGAUAAAUACCUAAAAGGAAACUAAUAAUCUUCUCCAAGGGUGAUGAUUGACAGAAAAUGAGAUGCAUCCAGGAAUUUUGAUCUAACAUCCUCAAAUUAUUAGUUUGAGUCUUAGACUCAUACUAUAUCUAAUCAUCUAGCUAUUAUUUGUGAAAAAAAUUUGGGUGCUCUUGAAACAUGACGUUUUCAUAAUCGCUUUGACACGAUUGCGUAUCACUGCUAAUAGUGGCCAUACCUGCAAAUGUCACGUCCAUUGCAGCGAUUCUGCUUCUUGGAUGUCUGCAGAAAAAAUAAAGUAAGAUGUCAGGACCAUGUGAUCUUAUCGUCUUCAACUGCAGGAUAUAGCACCCAACACUUCUGAGAAUCUGUAAAAUGCAAUUAAUGAACUUUUUUCUUUCUCAUGUUUGCACGUUAUGCAGCAUUUUUAUGCUCAAGGUUUUGAAAUAUUUGCUAGGGGGAGAUGGCGGACAGAUACUACUUCUGACAUAGAGAGAGACUUGACCGAUGUCACUGUCCGAGACACAUGAAAGAAAUUGAGCAGCAAGAUAAGAAAGAAUUGACGCACAUCAUCAUCGAAAAACUUACAAGUCCAACGAAAGUACUUCCCCAUGCAAACACCACCUGCGAACAUGGAAACCAAAGGUUGAGAAUCAACAUCUGCUCUGUAGUUUAUUUUUGGCCAGUCUUUUUAAACAACUUCACAGUUUUUACCCUCCUUCGAAAAGCUCUUUAGUGCAAUUAAAGUAGGCAAUGAAGGAUAGAAUGUUUAAAAUUACCUCUUGUGCACUAUCACAGAUUAAGCAUACAACCUGAAACAAAACAUGUAGGUAAGUGGGAACAUCAAGUGAUUAGUCGGUCUAUAAACAUGCUAGAAGUUCAAUAGCAUCCACCCGCUGAACUCAAUGGCAAGGCGAGUCAAUGCCUUGCUUUUGUUUACAUUGAUAUGUUAUUAUGCCCAUAUGAGAACGGAAUGUCUUGUUAUGAAAAGCACGUCCACAGGUUGAAGAUUGAAGAAUCGAAUAUUUGUCAUAUUCGCCAAACUGUAGACUACUUAUUCGAACUCAAUUUGCAUGGCGACUUCUACCUAUAUCCGUCACGCAAUAAUGGCAAACCGCACAUAUCAAAAUAUUGGCACACACAAUAGAAAGUCAACAAUGGUUCAGAGUAAAAUCUCAUCUUAAGAUAACUCAUGUCACUAGCGCCCAAAAUUCAAAAGCAGCUGAAGCUGUGCCUAUAUUUUGGUUAACGAUCAUCCUCUAAUAUAUGGCAAGUAAAAUGCAAUCUAUCAACCGAACUUGCACGAAAGUAUCUUGUAGGUAUCUAGUGCGUUCUUCAUGUCAUAACUAAAGGAAGCUCUCAAGCACAUUUAAGUCUAUGAGGGGCACGAGGAAUCACCUUUGCAUCAUCAUGACAGUGAAGGCAAUAAAAAAUCUCGUUGCAACAGGGGGAUCUAUUGCGGCACCUUCGACGGUAAUGAGGACAUCUGCCGCAGCAGCAGCAACAACUUUGAUAUUAACUGAAAGUUGAGAAGGACAAAGCUUGAACUACUAUUGCUCGAGAAUGAGUCAAGACAUUACUUGUACGGCAAGUACCGCUCUCUAACAAAUCAGUAGCGAUAGCAUCUUCGUGGUCAGAACAGAGCACGGUCGGAAACACGAUUGGACAGCGCUGGAAUCGUAACAACGGGAGGGAACCGAGUGGUGGCCUGAUCGGAAAUGGAGCGGCCGUGGAACCAGAGGGAAAGCAGGACCGAGAGAACAUUUCUCUGUUUUUAGUUCCCCCUCUUCCUUCGUUCGGAGAGAGAGAGAGAGAGAGAUAAAGGUGAGGAAGGAAAGAGGCCGGGCCUUCACUCGGCAUGGGCCUUGGACCUCGGAUGGGCUCCAUUUUUCAGCUCCUUUCUGUUGCUGAGUCUUAUUCGAUGGGCUAUUGGACAAAUCUAAAGAGAUCUGGGCUCAAGUCCCGAUAUUGUCCGGCGGGGAGCGCGAGCUGUGGAUCUGGGCUGAGGUCUUAUUAGUCCUCUCCUUUAAAAAAAAAAAAUUGUUAACUUCAUUUAUCUUUACAAAAAUGCAGAGUCAAUUUGCUAGCAAAAUUUAGGCGUCAACGUCCACAUUGCCAACUCAUCCUGGUUCCAAUGACCAUAAUUGUUUCUGUCAAAGUAUGGAGUUCUAGUGAUAGAUUGACCCUCAUAAAAAUUUUUACUAAGGUUGGAAGACAGAAUAGGAUCUUUAUAAUCAGAAGUAAACAACACUUCAAAGUACAAGCAACGUAAUAUUUAGGCUCUGUUCAUUUCAUGGAAAAUAACUUCUAGAAAAAUGUUUUUCGAAUUUUCCGACGUUCAUUUCACGAAAAAUAAAUUAGUCAAGAAAAAUGUUUUCUACUAUUGGAAAAAAGACACAUUCAAAAGUGAGGGGAAUAUUUUCCACUUUUAAAAAGUAGAAAAUAUUUUUCAUGACUACUUUCACCUCAAUUUCUUUCACCAAACACAUUUUCAUUCCAUUUUUAUGUUUUCUUUUUUACAUCGAUUUUUUAAUUUCUAUUUUCUUUUUUGCUUUUCUCUCUUUCCUUCUCUUAUUCUUCUUUUUUGACCUUGGCAGGUUGAUGAAGAAGAAGAGAAAGAAAGAAAGAAAAGGCAAAAAGAAAAAGAAAAAAAUUAAACAUUAAAAAAUAGAUUUAAAAAAUGAAAUAAUGAAAAAAUCAUUGAAAUUGAGCGCAUGUAGGAAAAUAUUUUUCUUACCGAAUGGUGGAAAAUAUUUUCUAGUUCAUUUUCAAAUUUCAGCCGAAUACGGGAAAAUAUGAUUAUUUUCUUGGAAAAUGACUUGCUAGAAAAUAAUUUUCAAAAACACCACAUUUUUCAAGAAAAAAAACGAAGCCUUAAUACUAGUUAUUGAGGUCAACAAUGCAACCUAACGAAGGGAUGAAUGGGUUGAUUUACAAAAGUAAAAAAUAAUUUAUAAUAGGUCACGUUAAGAAACGCAAAUUAAAUAAAAAGGGGAAAAGGCCUCGAUAACAAAAACUUCAAAUGAUAAUAUUUGAUCAUGCGUUAUGUAUAUAUAAAGGUUUAAUUAAUGUAAAAUGAUUGAUCUACAAAAAAUCUAGAAAGAACUUAUCAAUGAAAAUGAUGUCCUUAACUCAUAAAAGACGAAGAUGAAUCAAACUCUAAGGUGAUUUUGUUAAAAAAUAUUUUUAUUGAUCAAUUUUCUCUUACAUUAAUUAACCAUUUAACAACAAAAAAUGAGUGUCAAUUUUUUUUAUUUGAUUCUUAGUUGUUUGAGGCAUUUUUCCUUUCUACUUAAUUACGUUUCUUUUUGUUCAAAAACCUACUAGUUCUAUUAAUAUAUCCAUGAAUUUUCUACCAACUUUUAUUAUCUAUAUUAUUAUUGAUAGUCAAAUUUUAUGGUACUGAUAAUUUAGUUAAUUUUUUUCUCCAUUUUCUGUAUUUUUUAUUUAUUUUUCUUACAGAAAUCAACAGUAGAAGGCAUUCUUUCGAGAAAAAAUGAGAUGAAGAACAAGUUUACCCCUUUAACGUCAUCUCCAUUGCACAUGUGAAUGGAGAAUAUAGUGAAAUGUUAACGGCUAUCACCAAAUAAAAGUUGAAGAAGUAAUGUGUAACAGUCAAAAUUUUAUGUCAAACAUGUAUUUUCCCGAAGUUUGGAGUAACUUUUGUAAUUUUUCCACAAAUUUAUUAUGCAAUGCCAAAUUUCUAAUAUAUUCACAGGGAGAUUAGUGUGUAUUUACAUAUGUUGGGUGUGGAAAUAUGAGAAGCCAAACUUAUUUUAUACUUUAUGUAUUUUAGGUAUAUCAAUAUAGUUUACUAUUUAAUAAAAUUUUAUUAGAGAAUGAUGAAAAAAAGAUGUAAAAAAGAAAUAAAUUAAAAAAAGAGAGGAAAAAAAUAAUAAUAAAGUACAUAAUCGCAAGAAAUUUUUACCAUCUUCAUUUAUAAACUUUCAAGUUCGUUUAUAUUAAUACGUUGUUUAUAUCAAAUAAUAUAUAUGAUAUGAUGUGAAUAUGUCCAAUUUUAUAAUUGCGAUCAUCAAAUGGUGGAUAGAAUAUGAUAAAAUCCCACAAUUUCAUUGCCUAUCAUAUUUAAUCCUAGCCUAAUUAGAAAUUUAGAUGACUAAACAUAACCAAAGAGGAUAGGGAGUUGGCGAGCCAAUUUGAGUUUAGUGAGCUGAGUUGAUCGGCUUUCGAAACCUAGUUCACAAGCUAAUUAGCUUCCCCGGGUCAAAAGGCUAGAGACACUCGUCGCAUUUGGGCCAUAAGAUGCCGACAAUCCUCAACAACAGACCGGACUACCCAUGGGCUUUCAGUUUGGCCUGAGAUAUCACUUUCCAUCCUCACCUGCAGAUCACCACUUUUCCUUCCCAGAUCAAUUCUACCUUGUCUUCAACAGGAGUGCCAAGGCUUCUCUCACUGCUAGGAUUUCAGGCACGAGGGCCGGAGCAUGGAUUUUCUUGGCGAAGCCGGCCACGAGAGCCCAUGAGCAUCUCUACACACCCCAACUACUGAACCCACUCAAGAGCGAAUGUUGUGCACUGAGGCAGCAAAGAACUCUCAUUAAUCUCAUGCUUAAUGGCUUUGACCAAUCACCUUGUGCCAAGUGUUUAUGAGUGUUUCUUAUCUUCUUACAAAUACUAACAAUCCCAUCAUUCGCAUGGAUAAUUGCUUUGACACUUUUGAGUCUUACUUCCAAUGGUGGCCACACCAGUAAAUGCCAUGUCCAUUGCAAUGAUACUUGUUGUAACAUAUUAUCGCAUAAGCUAUCAGGAAAUUAAUGUGAAAUUAUUAGAGAAAUAAAUGAGAAACAAUAACGGACGCCAAAGAUUUACGUGGUUCAAUACCAAGUGUCGGUACCUAGAUCCACGGAGAGAGCUGAUAGCAGAUAAUUCACUAAUAAUCGGAAAAUCCAAAUUUGCAGUCACUCACAUGCUCGAAUAUUUCUCACACUUAAACUAGACUCAAAUUUAAAGUGUUCGCAAAAAUACUCACAACACAAAUCCACGGUGUGUAUAGCCCUGUUCACGGCCAAGCAACAAGCGCCCCACUCUCUGAUUCUUCCUUUCGUUCUUCGUGCGGCGGUCCCCAGGAAAUCACGGUGCGGCCAUUGUACUCUCUUUCUUCUUGUGCGGCUACACUUUGCUGAAGGAACCCACUCCACGCUUCUCAAAGAAAGAAGCCACUGGCAGCCAUUCACACAACGAGGAACUCCUUUUGUCUUGUAGUGGUGGGGGACUUCUUUCCUGUCAUUCGUCCAACCUUCGGCAAAGGUGAGUCCAACUCUUCAAUUUUGUUGUGCUAUCAAACUUGGAUAUUUAUUCAAUCUGAUUGGAUUCCAUAAAUGACUGAGACUCGAGACAUAAUUUAACGAUACCACUUGAAUGUCUGCAGGAAAAAAAAAAGUAAGACAUGAGGUCCAUGUAAUCAUAUUGUCUCCUGCUGCAGGAUAUGACACCUAACACUUAUGACAAUCUGUAUAAUGCAAAUAAGAAAUUCCCUUUCUAGCAUGAUUGCCCAUUGUUCAGCAUUUUUAUGCUUUUUGUUUACAUUGAUAUUAUCCAGGGCAUAUGAGAACAGUAUGUCAGGUUAUGAAAGGCACAUCCGUGGGUAAAAGAUUGAAGAAUCACAUUCAUCAUAUUAACCGAACUGUGGAGUACUUAUCCAAACUCAAUCCACAUGGUGACUUUCAUUUAUGAUACAAAGGAAGUCUGAUGCAAUUAACUAGAGAAUUAACUUCUAGAGAAUAUCAAUGGCAACAUUCUGCACAUAUUCAUCACAUAAAAAUGGAAAACUGCACGUCGCAAUAUAAGCGCACACAUUUCAAAGUUAUCAUAAGGUCAGAAUGCAAUCUCAUAUGAAGAUAACUCAUGACGCUAGUGCCCAAAAUCUGCAGGCAGCUGAAGCAAUGUCUCCAUUCGGUUGAUGAUUUUUCUCUAAUGUAUGGCGAGUAAAACUUUAAUUGCAAUCUAUCAACUAAGCUUGCUCUAAAGGAUCUCCUAGAUAUAUAUCUAAUGCCUUCUUCAUGUCAUGACAAAGGAAAUUAUUAAGCAUUCUUAAGUCUACGAAAGGCAGAAGGGAUCACCUUCACAUCAUUACCACAAUGAUGGCAAUUAAAGAUCUUGCUGCAACAGGGGGCUGUAAUGCAGCACCUUCAGCGGUAAUGAGGACAUCUGCAGCAGCAGCAACUUUGAUAUCAACUGAAAGUCAACAGGAAUUAACCUGGAACCGAUAUUGCUCAAGAAUGAGCCAAGACAUCACCUGUACUGCAAGUACCCUCUAUCUAGCACCCUGGUAGCAUUAGCAUCUUCUUCAGCUUUUUCAACAGGCAUCUGUUCCACAUCCAUAUGCUAAAGGACUGCCAGCUCAUUGUCUGUCGGACUUCUUCAUAUAAGACAUGCUGAAGGUUCCCACAUCAAACUGAUGAAACCUUGGUUGUUCAAUAGCUAGUUCAUCCGUUUUAGUUUGACUCUACUGAGACUACCAGCUACCUAGGCUAGCGAUGAGAAGUACCUGCAGAGAUGAGCAAACUUAUCAACAUUCCAUAGCCUCCUAAGAAUUUUACUUGGCCAGUCAAGCAAGGAGACUCUGCAACAUUGAUUUCUUCCACAAGACUCAAGACCAUUGACAUUGGCAAUAAGACCGUCCAAUUAAUGUGGAACAGCUCCAAUCAGCAGAGCUCCAAUCGAAGGAAUCAUCAAAACAAGUAGAUCUAAAAGAUUCCCAUAUAAUAACAUAAGUGAAGGAUUGAGGAACACCAGGGCAUCCCGCCAUGGAUAAUAAGGAAUUUUGAUCACUUAAUUCCUUGAAGUCUGGAACAAACUAUACCUGACACGACCGUGAAUGAGCCAAUCUCCAGUGAAAGCCAACAAAAUCACACAAAUCAAUUGCUCUAAAACGAAGUAAGACAACAGAAUAUGGCGAAAGAUUGCGAAAGCAAACCUUGUCCAUCAAGGAUAUACUACCUCCUUCCGCAAUUCUGCUUGAAGCUUCCUUCGAAAACUACUAAUAACUCAAGCCUCAGACAUUCCAUUGUGUUGACUCACGAGACUUUUCCUAUCAGAAGGCUCUUCCAACAAAACAAAUACCUCCAAGUUGACUAAUUGACUCCAUAAUGUACAUCUGCUGAGGACAGACAUACGUGUCCUUAAGUAAGAACCUUCAUGAAGAAGGUAUUUAUCCAGGUUAAUUGACCAACCUUUUCAUUUAUUCCACAUGUUAUGCAAGAGUCAACACAAAUCAAAUCGUCUUUAUCACUCUAGUCCAACAUUUCCUAUUUCAUGCUGUAUGAGCAUAUGCUUCUUCCAUGUGCAGGAAUCAAGCUUGUGGGUUAGUUGGAGGGAGGCAUGGAGAGAAUGAGAGAAAGAAUGUUUCUUUUUAAGCCUAGAAUUAUAGUCGAAGCCCCACUAAACAGAAUCAUAGCUCACAUCCAAAAAAAUUUGCCUACACUAGGAAGCAACCACUUUAUUUGUGUCACAAAACAAGUGAAUUCCGCCUUCCAUUGCCAUGGUGGACUGUUGCUUUAAAACAAUGCAAUGAUCUAUCUCCAAUCAUUGCAAAUGCUACUUUAGUAAUCCUCUUCUGACAGCAAUCAUCGGCAAUGGGAAUUUUGUUCCAUUUCAUGUACACUAGCCUAUAUAAACCAGCCUCUCUUCUGUGCCAUGGUCUACCAUCUUGAUUAAAUCUCCUUUCAUUGCACAUUUAAAAAAAAAAAAAAAAGGCAAAAAAAGGCAGAGCACGAGCAUAGAGAUUCCAGAAUUCUACUGUGAAACCCAAACUACAGUAUCCACAUUAUGCAUUUAUCUUAAAAAUGUCUAAAAGCCAACCAUUCUAGUAGAUAUUUCUCUAAGUUCUCAAUUUGCUACAUUGCAUGAGAACUAGGAUCUAGGGUAAAGGUGAGAAAGCUUGUCACUCGAAUGAGCAGAAAACUUCAAACCUAUACAUCUGUAUGUUACAUAGAGUAUGCAUUAGUGCACGUGUCAAUCUGUAAACUACUCUCCAAAUGAAUUCAACAUAUCAUUUGAUACGUUUAUUGUUUAGUCUCAUGACACUUGGAUUCUACAUUGUCCUGCAAAUUUCCAACAAGGAAAAUGGGCAAAAACUGCUCCAAUCAUUAGGAGAUCUCUGAAAAGAGGAAAACAUGAAAAGCAAUUGUACCCACUCCACCUUCCCCUGAAAACAAAAUUUGCAAGACUCCUGAAGGGAGAAAAUCUACAUCCUAUAAAAGAUGGAAAGGCUGACUAUCAUCUAAACCAUUAACAUUCUUCACUUGAGAAUCGAAUCAUCAGGCAAAGGUCAGAAAACAUGUCACUUGGAUGACCACAAAGUUAGAACCUAAACCUCCUAUGUCUUGCAGAGUAUGCAUUAGUGCAUAUGACAAUCUGUAGACUACUCUCCAAAUGAAUACAGCAGAUCAUUUGAUAUAAUUAUCAUUCAGCCUCAUGAUGCUUGGAUUCUACAUUGUUCAGCAACAUUUCCAGCACAAGGAAAGUGGGGAAAAAACUGCUCCAACCAGUAGGACAUACCCUUGAGCCAAGACCUCAGUCAUACGUAAGGAAAACAAGAAAAGCAAUUGUCUCCACUUUAUCUUCUCCUAAAUACUAAAUUCCCAAGGACUCCUGAAGUGAGAAAAUCUACACCCUAUAAAAGAUGGAAAGGCUAGCUUUCAUCUUAGCCAUCAUUAACAUUCUUCAUUUGAGAAUUGACUCAUCAGACAAGGCCAGCCAUGUAUAAUAUAUGAUAUUAGGUGUAAAAGAGCAGCCAGUCAAUUCUCUUCUUCAUCUUCUUACAAGGAACUUAGGUGAAUCUGCAUCAGCAUUCACCUUGUCUCCUGUUUCUCACUUAACAAAAGCCACCUAGCAUAGUAUGCUAUCAAGCCGCUUGGGGUGAAAUCCAAAUACAGUACAUAGCAUUUGGUGACCAACAACCGAAUUGCAAGCUAAAAUUCUAACAACACUAUAGCACGCUACGCUGUACACAAAAUGUUCCAGAAAAUAUUGACUUUCCAGAGUUAUCAAAUCCCAGCAUAUCUAACCAUUAAUGUGUGUGCCAAAUAAAUCACAUGACUCAUUAUCCAAUGAUUCGGGAAAUGAUUGCAAUGCCACAUCCUUAAUCACAUGAGAUAGCAGCAAAAGAAAAGAAAGCAGCAGGGAGUCCAUCACUUCGACAAAGGAAAAACAAGACCAUGCUAGUCCUCCAGUUAUCAACAAGAAUCAAUUCAUGAUGUGAUAAAAACUGCCAAAUGAAUGACAGUUCAAAAGGCCGUAGGAUCAUACUAACAUCAACAACAAUACCAUCAAAAUGAUCACAAACUCUUUCUCCCCAAGAGAAACCUCUUCCAAUGCAAAGGACUCUAUUCAAAUGAAAUCACCAUCGAGCCAGCAUUCCCAUUCCAUUAAUGUCGGAAUGUUCAAGAGAUCCCAUAUCAUUCAGCUACAUCAGAAACCAAAACAAGACAACAAAAAUAUCUCCGGACAAUCUUCAUUAGCUGUCUCAACACGACAAUGACAAGCCCAAAACCGAUUCCGAUUCAGACUCAUCCUUUCUCUUUCAGAACAUCAAAAUUUGAAUUUUUGUAGCUUGUAGCAGAGCACCGAUUAAAUCAGAUUGAUGCAUGUCGACUCUUAGAGGAUUCGUGCUCAUUUGUUUAUUUAUUUUUAUCAAAUUUUGUACUCGUGUGAAGUGUGUUAUUGAAAGAUAUAAUUUAUCUUUCGUUAAUUAUGCUCUAAAAAUUAUGCACAAAUUCUUGUCAAUUCAUGUUAUUUUCGAAUUCUCUCAAUAAUCACGUGAAAACAUAUCAAUUCGUAUCAAAGUUUGGGCUAAGACGUCAUCCCAAAUCUCUAAAGCAAUCCGCUUUUUAAGUUGAUAUAUAAUCACGAGAAACUAAGCCAUGAAAAUUAUGCAGGUGAUGGGUGCAAGAAGUUAGAGAAUAUAGUCGUUUGGAAACAGAAAAAUGUAAGAAUGAUAUGUAAAUAUAUUUUCUUAGUACUUUACGUAGACGACAUUUUACUUGCUAGCAGUGAUGUUGAUCUCUUGAAUGACACAAAAAAUUUUCUAUCUACAAAGUUUGAUAUGAAAGAUCUUGGGGAAGCCUCGUUUGUUCUAGGCAUUGAGAUUCAUCGUGACAGAUCUAAGAAGGUUCUGGGGUUAUCUUAGAAAAGUUAUAUAGAUUGUGUUUUGAAAAUAUUCAAUAUGCAGACCUGUAAGUCAGGUGAAGCUCCUGUUGUGAAAGGAGAUAAAUUGAGCAUAGAUCAAUGCCCCAAGAAUGAUGUUGAAAAAGAAAUCAUGAAGAAUAUUCCUUAUGCUAGUGCAAUUGGCAGUCUUAUGUAUGCACAAGUAUGUACCAGACCUAAUAUUGCUUUUGCUGUGAAUACUCUUGAAAGAUAUCUGUCGAAUCCAGGUCAAGAACAUUGGAUUGCAGCUAAAAAGGUGAUGAGAUAUCUACAACGAACAAAAGACUUUAUGCUCGUGUAUAGCAGAGUAGAGGACCUAAAGGUGAUUGGAUAUUCAGAUGUUGAUUUUGCUAGUUGUUCGAAUGAUAGAAAAUCAACUUCUGGAUAUAUUUUUAUGAUGGCUGGAGGUGCUAUUUCUUGGAAGAGCACAAAGCAAACCUUGAUUACGAACUCUACAAUGUAUGCUGAGUUUGUAGCGUGCUACGGUACGUCGAUUCAAGCAAUUUGGCUUAGAAAGUUGAUCUCAGAAUUGCGAGUCGUGGACUCUAUUGCUAAACCUAUGGUGAUCUACUGUGACAACACUGCAACUGUGUUUUAUUCCAAGCAUGACAAGGUUAGUAAUGCGUCCAAACACAUGGAGAUCAAAUAUUAUACUGUUAAGGACUUGGUCAAAAAUGGAGACAUUGUAAUUGAAAAUAUCAGAGCCGACUCCCAACCGUGUGUGGGACCAUAACAAGAAUGCUGUUCUGACUCCCGACCUUGUGUUGAGCCACAACGAGGACAUUGUUCUGUUAAGAGGUGGAGAGUGUGACAGCCCGAGCGACGGUCCUCGGACGUGCGCAAGGAAAGAGUCCCUCUCUUCUCUUGUCUCACAUCGCCUAGGGAGGGAGGUUUUGAUUAGCUUAUAAGACUUGGGUCCCUUUAAUCUGUGUAACGUGUUUCACGUACACUUCCGCUGCAUUGAAAACAAAACCGUGAGGGAGGACAGGCCGGUGGGCCGUGCCUCCAAAGCGAACAAUAUUAUGGCUUGGGAGAGGGAAUGCCCGAGGGAUGGCCCUUUGCCCCUACAUAACGCAUUUUAAAGCCGUGAGGGAACAGACCGUGGCUGGGAUGGCGGUUCAUCCGUGCCAGGGCGGGUGACCCAAAGCAAACAAUAUUACACAAUGGUAUCAGAGUCGAUCAUAUAUGAUUGUAGAACCUAAAUUUUUUUUUAUGGACAAAUUCGAAAUCCUUCUCUUUGAGCCGAAUAUGGGCAUUAUUUUUUAGUGUAAACUUUUUGCUUGAUUGAUCCUGAAACCAUAGGGCUUUUUUUCUACAUGUCAAGAUCUUUUCAACCAUAUAUAAUUUGCAUAAUUUCGUUGAGAAUUGAGAGAGAAUUUUAGAUUUGAAAUUCUAGGGUUUAUACGUGAAAAAGUUCUAGAUUUUGCAAAUUACUUGCAAUUGAUUGAUGUUUGUUGUAAACCGUUGUAUGGGUAUUGUUAUAUAUAUUUUUUAGUAUCCUUUUGUUGUAUUAAAUUGAGUUUUUAGGGUUUAAAUUUAAGAAAACCGAAUUUUCGGCCAUGGGAGUUUUAGAUCCGAAACUUUGAAGCUUGUAUGUGGUGGAUUUAGUUGGUUUUUCUUCGUUUAAUUAAAUGUAGUUAAUUAAAUUGAAGCAUGAGGAAAUUUCAUCAAAAACCAUGUUAAUUUGUGCCUUCGGAGCUUCGGGUUGAAACCGGGUCAUAUGACCUGGUUUGUUGCAAAUUCGUGACCCGGCUGGAGGUUGAAGAAGACCUCCAGCCGAGCCUGGGCCUAAAUAUGGGCUUUUGCCCAUAUUUUUUUUUAAAUUUGUAGGCUAAUUUCGUAGCCCAUUUCAUGGGCCAAUUUUAAAUUAAAGGGGAGAUGGGCUUCUCCAUUACAUGGGCCAUUUACAAUUUAAAAGGAGUGGGCCGCGUGAGGGUUUAGGACUCGCGGGUCUAGCCCACGAUCUGAUUAGGGCUGCUCACGGGUCCUGGGCCCGUGGGAGUCCGAAAUAUUUAAAUGAUAUUAUAAUAAUAUAAUAAUAAUUUUAAAAAAAAUUAAAAAAAGUUGUGGCAAAAAUUGUUGUUUGAAAAAGUACAAUAUGAUGAUUGGAAGCACAUGUUGUAAAGUGUAUCAUAUUGUUUGAUGAAUUUUGGGCAUAAAUUUUGGAGUUCCCUAUUGAUAAAAGAUUAAUAUAUACAAUUGCUCGCCCAAAGGGAGUUAUUUGUAUAUUAAUUUGGAAAAUAGCAUGAAGUUUAAUUCCCAUAUUUAAAAGAUGGGGAUGUAUAAUUGAAAAAUAUUUAUCUGCCCAAAGGGGAUAAGUGUUUUGAAAAUUAUAUGUAAUUCCCCUCUAUGUUGAUAUUAUGGAGAUGUAUGAUUUAAAGGAUUUGUCUGCCCAAAGGGGAUGGAUCCUUGACAAUUAUAUGUAAUUCUCCUUAUUGUUGCUUUAUAAAUUUCAUGCUGGGAAAAAUAAUGGUGCAUUAUACACUCUACCCAAAGGGGAGUUUAUGAUGUACUUAUUAUUUUUGUUGAAUUGCUUAUUGCCCAUAAUUGAUCUUAUUGCAUUAUGUGUGUCAAAUAGUUACAUUUGCUGUAAAUAACAACAAUGCCACGGUUGAAAUGUUAACUUGAUCAAACUUCAAGAGAUGGAAGCAAGAUAUAGAGUUUGCUCUGGGCAUCAUUGAUAUGGACUUAGCUCUACGUGAGGAUGAACUUGCUAGGCCCAAUGAUCAAAGUACUGCAGAUCAAAAGGCCCAUUAUGCUAGAUGGGAAAAAUCUAACCGACUGAGCCUCAUUGCUAUGAAAAGGUCUAUUGCUGAGCAUCUGAUUAGUGGUUUGCUGGAAGAUACGAAUGACAGACAGUUCCUUGAAGCAGUGGGAGAAAGAUAUAGUCUCAGAUAAGGUUGAAGCUGGGAACUUGCUGAGUGAGUUAACGAACAUGAGGUAUGAUGCUGCUAUGGGUGUUAGAGAAUUUAUACUGAAAAUGGUCCACAUUCAGUCCAAACUUAAGGCUCAUGAAAUUGUCAUUUCUGAAAAUUAUAUUGUGCAUCACGCCUUAAAUGUUUUGCCAGCUGAAUUUAGCCAGAUUAAGACUGCUUAUAGUGCUCAAAAUGAGACAUGGAGCGUUAAUGCCUUGAUUACUAAGUGUGUGACUGAGAAAGAGAAGUUAAAGAAGGAAAAGUAUGAGUCUGCCCACUUAACUACCAAUGCCAAGUUGAGUUCGUCUAGAGGCAAAUGGAAGCCUAAAGGGUCAAAUGCUCAUGGUUCAAAGAAAGGACAAGACUUUAAGAAAAAUGGGAACUAUGGGAGAAAUGGAGAUAAGGAUUUUAAAUGUUUUCACUGUAAGGAGCAGGGUCACAAGAGAGCCAAUUGCUACAAAUUCCAAGCUUGGUUAAAAACAAGAAAAGAAAGUCACCAAGGUGAGUUGUUGGUUUGCUUUGAAUCAAAUUUGGUUGAUGUUCCUAUGGAUUCUUGGUGGCUUGAUUCUGGUGCUACUGUUCAUGUGACUACUGCCUUACAGGGUCUCACAAAUCUAAGGAGUUCAAGUCUGAGGGAGUCAAAGCUUAAAGUUGGAAAUAAUACUGGAGUUGAUGUGGAGCGCAUAGGGACAAUUGUUUUGAAUUUAGAUUCUGGUUUUCAACUUAUCUUGAAUGAUGCCUUUUAUGUUCCUAAUUUUAGGAGAAACUUAGUAUCUCUUUCUUCGCUUGACAAAGCUGGAUAUUGUCUUCAUUUUGCAAAUAAAAGAGUGGAUUUGAGUUAUGAUUCCAGAAUUAUUGGGAAUUGUGUUUUGUCUGAUGGAUUAUAUCAAUUAUCCUUAUCUCCCGAUAGACCAUAUUGCUCUUUCAAUGUCGAGAAUGAGGUUGCUAAGAGAUCUUUAAUCAAAGAUAGAUCUUCAUUGUUAUGGCAUAAGCAAUUAGGGCAUAUCUCCAAAGAAAGGGUAAAGCGACUUAUCAAGACUGAUAUUCUUCCUCCUCUUGACUCAGAUGAUACUGAGACUUGUAUUGAUUGUGUAAGGGGAAAAUUAACUAAAACCAAGAAGAAAGGCGCUACUCGCAGUCAAAAUCUAUUGGAGAUAAUUCAUACUGACAUUAAUGGGUCAUACUCUACCACCUUGUGUGGAAAUAAGUACUUCAUCACGUUCAUUAAUGAUUUCUCCCGUUAUUGUUAUGUUUAUCUAAUUAAGAAGAAGACUGAUGCACUUGAAAUGUUCAAAGUGUUUCGUACUGAAGUUGAGAAACAAUUGGGAAAAAUUAUCAAGAUUGUUAGGUCUGAUCGCGGUGGUGAGUAUUAUGGGCGAUAUACUGAGGCUGGACAGCAAAAUAGACCGUUUGCAAAAUAUUUGUAGGACUGUGGUAUUGUCGCUCAAUAUACAAUGCCUGAGAGUCCUGAACAAAAUGGUGUAGCUGAACGGCGAAAUCGUACACUCAUGGAGAUGAAACGAAGUAUGAUGGGCAGUUCUAAUUUGCCUGAAUACUUAUGGGAAACAACAACUUAUAUUUUGAAUCGUGUACCUAGUAAAUUGAUGCCGAAAAUACCUUUUGAAUUGUGGACAAGGAGGAAACCAAGCUUGAAUCAUUUACGAGUUUGGGGUUGUCCUGCAGAGGUGAAAAUUUAUGAUCCUUCUUAGAAGAAGACGGAAUCCAGGACUACUAGAUGUUACUUUAUUGGAUAUCCUAAUCAUUCUAAAGGGUAUAGAUUCUAUUGUCCUACUCGAGAAACUAGAAUUGUUGAAUCUCAAACUGCCAAAUUCCUGAAAUUAGAUGUUGCUGAAAAGAGUUCCUCUCAAUCUUUUGAAAGGGAAGAACCAAACAAAAUAGUCUCUAUUCCAUUGCCAAUCUUACAUGAUGAUUCUAUGCGAGAUCCCAGCAGAGUGGAAAUUCAACAAGAAGCAAAUACCGAAAAUAUGACAGUAGAUCCUCCCAUUACAAAUGAAAUUCCCCAGAUGAAUGAUGUAGGUCCAGAAAUGCCUGUGCGAAGAUCACAGCGACAAAGAAGACCAACACCUCUAAAUGAUUAUCAUGUCUAUCUUGGAGAAGCUGAUUUUGACAUUGGAAGUAUAGUUGAUCCGACGACCUUCAAAGAAGCUCUUAAUAGUGAUUAUGCAGAUAAAUGGUUAGGAGCGAUGAAUGACGAGAUGAUGUCCAUGUCAACUAAUCAAGUGUGGAAACUAGUUGAUUUACCUGAUGGGCAUAAACCAAUCGGCUGCAAAUGUGUAUUCAAAACCAAGAAAGACAAUAAGGGCAACAUUGAGAGAUUCAAGGCAAGGUUAGUCGCAAAAGGGUACACACAGAAAGAAGGUAUUGAUUAUACUGAAGCCUUUUCCCCAGUGUCCACUAAAAACUCUUUUUCGGAUAAUCAUGGCAUUGGUGGCUCAUUUCGACUUAAAGCUUCACCAAAUGGAUGUCAAGACAGCUUUUCUAAAUGGAGAUUUGGAUGAAGAAGUAUAUAUGCAGUAACCUAAAGGGUUUAAAGAAGCCAUAAAGGAGCAUAUGGUGUGCAAACUUCAAAGGUCCAUCUAUGGUCUCAAACAAGCAUCACAUCAGUGGUACUUAAAAUUUCACAAAGUUGUGAGAUCGUUUGGCUUUGAAGAAAACAAGUUUGACCAAUGCAUCUACAUGAAAGUAAGUGGGAGUAAAUAUAUUUUCUUAGUACUUUACGUAGAUGACGUUUUACUUGCUAGCAGUGAUGUUGAUCUCUUGAAUGACACAAAAAAUUUUCUAUCUACAAAGUUUGAUAUGAAAGAUCUUGGGGAAGCCUCUUUUGUUCUAGGCAUUGAGAUUCAUCGUGACAGAUCUAAGAAGGUUCUGGGGUUAUCUCAGAAAAUUUAUAUAGAUCGUGUUUUGAAAAGAUUCAAUAUGCAGACCUGUAAGUCAAGUGAAGCUCCUGUUGUGAAAGGAGAUAAAUUGAACAUAGAUCAAUGCCCCAAGAAUGAUGUUGAAAAAGAAAUCAUGAAGAAUAUUUCUUAUGCUAGUGCAGUUGGCAGUCUUAUAUAUGCACAAGUAUGCACCAGACCUAAUAUUGCUUUUACUGUGAAUACUCUUGGAAGAUAUCUGUCGAAUCCAGGUCAAGAACAUUGGGUUGCAGCUAAAAAGGUGAUGAGAUAUCUACAACGAACAAAAGACUUUAUGCUCGUGUAUAGCAGAGUAGAGGACCUAAAGGUGAUUGGAUAUUCAGAUGCUGAGUUUGUAGCGUGCUACGGUGCAUCGAUUCAAGCAGUUUGGCUCAGAAAUUUGAUCUCUUGCAAGUCGUGGACUCUAUUGCUAAACCUAUGGUGAUCUACUAUGACAACACUGCAGCUGUGUUUUAUUCCAAGCAUGACAAGAUUAGUAAUGUGUCCAAACACAUGGAGAUCAAAUAUUAUACUGUUAAGGACUUGGUCAAAAAUGGAGACAUUGUAAUUGAAAAUAUCAGAAUUGAGUCCAUAUAGGCUGAUCCUCUAACAAAAGGCUUACGACCCAUUUUGUUUAAAGAACAUGUAAAGAGUAUGGAUAUUUUAGAUUCUUUUGAUUUCUUUUGUUAGUGGGAGUUAUACAAAUUGUAUUUCUAGAUAUUAUGGUUAUAUGCAGACUGAUAAUGCUUUUAUGAUGUUUAUUAAAGCAUUUAUUUUGAUAAUUGUUGUUGUUGAUUCUAUUGUUAUCCUUUCUCCUGUUGACUGAGAAAUGGAAGUAGAAAACAGUAUCUUUAAACAAAUUUUGUUUAAAGAUGACUGGAUGUCACUGAUUAUGAGAUCUCAUGUUGGAUUGUGACAUAGUCGUGCAAUUUCAUGUUGUUUAGAAAUUGUGUUAAUGCAGUUUCAUGUCGUUGAGAAAUUGCAUUAAGGACUGAUAAGAAGUAGUGCAUAUUUUGAUUACAAGUUGGCACUAUUUCUUACUACACUACUAGGCCCAUGAUCCAUGAAAAUAUAAUACUUAUUAUAUGUGAUUAUGGAAGGUCUUGUGUUGUGGCAUUUUCUUAAUACAUUGAUCUCCAUAGUCCUAUACUGAGGUUAUAUAGGAUUGGAUUGGUAUUGAGAUGCCAUUAUUGGAAUAUUAUUUUUAAAAAGUUGUGGCCACAUAAAACAAAAUUUUCAGUUAUUAACCCGAUAGUGUCUUUUUCAAAUAUAAAAUCCUUUUCAAAAUAAAAUAAGUUAAUUAAUGUAGCCCAAGUGGGAGAAUGUUGAAAAUUUCCUAUAAUAUGGGCUUACAUUAAUUAAUUGAUUUUUUAUUUUAAAUAAUCGGGUUAAUGGAUAUUCCAAUAUUUGUUGAACCCUAAAGUGAUCUAAUUGAAUUGGGUAUUGACAUCUAUUGAUAACGGGCCUAGUUGAGCAGCAAAGUGUAGGCAAUUGUGUUUAACUGAAACCCGUAAUGGGAAGGGCCCAGUUGACACGCUGUUGAUUAGGGUUUGUUAGGUCCCCUCUUUAGCCUAUAAAAUGAUAGGUUAUACCUAUCAGUUGCUUUAAUCCCAUUGAAAGCUGCUAUAUCGAAAUAGAUCAUAGAGAGAAAGAUAUGUCAUUCCGAUAGAUCCCUAAUUAUUAGAGUGAUCUAUUUUUCUGCAAGUGAAGCAAUGGCUCAAAUAGGUACGCUUUAAUUCCGUUGUAUUUAUUGAUUGAUGUUUUACAAUCAUAUAUGGAUCCGUUAUUUCCUUGAUUGAUUAGUUGUAUAUGUGAAUAAAUAUAUUACAUGAUACUGGAGAAAAAAAAGGUGAUAUAGUAAAAUCUCAUGGCCUCUUCACAAUAGCUCAGUUAUUGAAUUCCUCAAGUUCACCUUUACCGAAAUGAUUUUUUCAAUUAAUUUAUGUAUUCCAGGAUUGCUCAUUAUUCAAUCAUUCCAUUAUUCUUUUAAAUCUGAAGUAUGCAUUAAAUAUCACCAGAAUUGGUAUAAAUUUGACCCCAAAGAAUGUUUCUCUGAGACGGGAGCUAGUCCUUGAGGGCACAAAUGAUAAUCAUCUUGUUCCUAAGAACAAUUUCUAAUCAGAAAUAGAUUUUGGAAGGUAUUUUAUGAGGGAAAAACUGUAAAGGAAGAAGAGGUAGAGGCUGUUUCUGAAACUCCAGUGAAUCAAGGUGCUUUAGUGCCCUAUGAGCAAGCUCAAAUUGAUGCAACCCAGGCAGAUAUGGAGGGACGGGAGGAGGAGAUAGUAGAAAUGAAUGCUGAAUAUAAUUUGAAUAGAAAAUAGGGAGUGACAGGGAUCUGGAAAACGAGUCCUUAUGAUAAGGUAUUGAAGAAAACAAGAAGAAGAAAGGUGAAGAACAGAAAACUCAUACCAGCAAGAAGCAACACAAGUUUUUUCCAUUUAAUUCAAUGAACCCAACCUCUUCUUGGUUGGAUGAAACCAAAAUCCUGGACACUCCCAUUCUUAUGACAGAAGAAGUAGCUGAAUGGGCUUGGGUAGCUAGCUGUAAUAAGCCACCAGGUGACAAAUAAUGAGCAUAAGUUGGAAUGGUCAGGGGCUGGACACCACCCAACCCUCGCGUGUGCAUGCGUGGAUGAUUUUUGAGCUACGAGCUAUGGUUGCUUGUGAAAGGCCCAAGUUGCUAUUUCUCAUGGAGACAGAAUAGAGAGAGUGGUGCAGCGACAUAUGAGACAUCUCGAUUUCUAGGAAUGUUAUAUUGUGAAUCCAGUUGGUACAACAGGGGGAUAAGUGGUUAUGUGGAAAGACUUGGUCUCGGUGGUCGUAGAUUCAUUAUCAGAAUACUCUAUUAAUCUGACUUCCACAGAUCAAGGGUACCAGAGAAUUAUGUGUAUUACUUUUGUUCAUGCUUCAAACGCAUUCUAGGAUAGGUUAAGGCUGUGGGAGGAAAUCAAAAGAAUAAAAAACAGUAUUCAUCUCUCAUGAGUUUGUAUGGGCAACUUUAAUGAAAUUAGUUAUCACUAGGAGAAGGAAGGGAGGAGAAUGGCUGAGAACUAUAGAAUGACAGUAUUUCGGGAAUUCAUAAAUGACUGUUCUCCAAUGGAAGGGGAUUGCAAGGGGUGCACAUUCACGUGGACUAAUAACAAAGAGGGAGAUGAGAUCGAGAUGGAAAAAUUAGAUAGUCCUAUGCAGUGUCGAUUGGAGAGUAAUGUUCCUUAAUGCAGAAGGUUAUGCCUCGCCGGCCCUUGACUCGGAUCAUAGCCUUAUCUUAUUGAUUCUAUCACCAGAACCAGCAAAACAAGGCAAAGUUUUUAAAUAUGAGGCUUUUUGGAAUGAGGAUGAUGAAUGCAAAGAAGUUGUGAAAAUGGCAUGGCAAUGAAGAAGAAUGGACAGAGGAAUGUCUGAAUAAGCUGAAGAGAGUAUCAGUGGUCCUAGCUGAUUGGAGUAGGAACAAAUUUUCAAAUGCCAAAUGCUCCUGUACUGAAAACAGUGGAGAAAGAGCCCAGCAGAUUAAAGAUUGAAUGGAACUAUUAUGGUGGCAGCAAGAGGAAAUGUAUGGGGGAAUGAGGUCCCCCAUUAACUGGAUGAAAUUGGGGGGGGGGGGGGGAAUAGAAACACCUGGUUAAUCCAUGCAACUAAAAUCGAGCCAAGGCAAAGAAACAAGAUUUCAGCCUGAAAAAUGAAAUGGGGGUCUGAAGCCGAGAAACAGGAAAGUUAAAAGAGUUGAUGCAAGUUCUUCCUGUCCCUGUACAGAACGGAGGAAGCCCAAAACUUCCAGCCUCUUCUUGAACAAUGUUCUCGAAUAGUAUCAGAGGAAAUGAAUCAAUCCCUAACUCAGGCUGUCACUAUGAAAGAGGUUAGAGACGUGGGGUUCUAAUCAUGAGCCUCCAAGGCCCUAAACCCGAUGACUGAACGAACUUUUUAUCAACAUCACUGGGAGGAGAUUCAUCAGGAUGUACUUUAUAUGGUCUUAGACUUCUUUCCAUCAGGUAUAUAAAACAUAUAUAGCCCUUGUUCCCAACAUAUUAAACCCAUAAAGUCUAGAUCAUUUUCAUCCCAUUAACUUGUGCAAUUUCAGCUAUAAAAUAAUCUCGAAGGUCUUGGCUAAUCGCCUCAAGCCUCCCACUUUAAUAUGACCUGAUAGCAAAACAAAGUGCGUUUGUAUAUGGAAGAUAGAUUUGAGAUAACAUCAUGAUAGUAUAGGAGGUGUUGCACCAGUUGAGAAUUAGAAAGAGAAUGAAGAAAUUCCAAGCAAUUUCGAAACUUGAUAUGAGGAAAGCAUAUGAUAGGGUGAAAUGUGAUUUUUUUUUUCAAAAGAUGUCUACUAAAAAUGGGCUUUGACACUAAAUGGAUAUCUUGGACAAAUGCACUGUGUUGAAUUGUGUCUUUGAGUAUUAAGUUCAACGGGGGCCUCUACCGUUUUUCUAUCUGUUUAGAGGGCUUCGACGGGGUGACCCUCCCUCACCAUAUCUUUUUAUUAUAGUGUCAAAUGUGCUAUCUACCUUGCUAAAUAAGGCUGUAAAGGAAGGGAGAAUCUCAGGAAUUAAGCUCAAUAGACAUUGCCCUUCAUUGUCUCACCUUUUAUUUGCCGGCAAUUCCAUCUUUCUUCUAGAUGGAAAGAUAUGAGAGUGCUAGAGUAUUACUGAAAUUUUGCACCAAUAUAGCUAUGCUUCAAGGCAGGCUAUUAAUUAAAUCAAGAAUUUUCUUUAGUAGUAAAUGUCCCCAAAAUCUACAUCGAAAUAUGGCAAAGGAGCUGUGAGUUUCGGAAAGAGAAAAAACUGGAAAAUAUCUUGGAAUUCCAUUGGAUUGGGGGAAAACCAAAAAACAAAUGUUCACAUGGAUCUUGGCAAGAUUUAACAUGAAGUUUCAAGGUUGAAAAAGAAAAGCUUAUCUCCAAAGUAGGGAAAGAGAUUCCCAUUAAAGCUGCGGUACAAGCUAUCUCUCAAUAUGCUAUGUUGAUCUUCAAAGUUCCACUAUCCAUUUGUCGUGCGAUAAAGUAGAAUGCUGCCUCAUUUUGGUGGAAAAAUAGUGAAUCAAAAUCAGGACUUCAUUGGAAGAGAUGGGAUGUAAUGAAGAGAAGAAAAUAUAGUAGUGGAAUGGGGUUCAGAGAUCUAAUUAAUUUCAACAUGGUGAUGUUGGGCAAGAAUGCAUGAUGAAUUACUCAAGCUCCACAGAGUCUGUGGGUUAAGGUUAUCAAAAGGCCUUUAUUUCCCAAAUAGCAACUUCUAGAGUGCUACAAAGGGCUCUUGUUCGUCUUGGGGAUGGCAAAGUAUCUUGACAGGAAAGGAUCACAUUUCAAACGCAAUGAGCUGGUUGGUAGGAGAUGGGACUGAAAUCAGAAUAAGGAAAGAUAAUCGGCUAAGAUCUGGACUCAUUGGUGGUGAGGCAACCUAGGGUAAACCCCAACUAGUGGCAGACUUAUUCGACAAAAAGGAAUUCAAGUGGAAAGAACAUAUAAUUAAAGGGAUAUUUGACGAAAGAACUGCAAACAAAAUCCUAGCUAUUCCUAUUAGCUCAACCAUGGAGAAAGACAAGAUGGUUUGGACAUGCACAACCUCAGGCUCUAAUUGAAUGAAAAGUGCCUACCAUCACAUAAUGUCAACAGAAACAAAGCAACAAGCAAAGCAGCAAGCAGAACAACCAACAUCCUCAUAUCAAACACCCAGAUAGCAAUGAAAAUUGAUUUGGAAGAUGAAUAUUAACACGAAAAUGAGGCUCUAUAAUGGAACGUGUGCCAAAAUGCUAGCCCAUCUUUAGAGAACUCGUUCAAACGGAAAGUCUUACCUGAUCCCAUCUGCCCCCUUUGCCAAAAGACCCAAGAAACAGUUGAGCAUAUUUUUCUAUGAUGCAACUGGACUCGUGAGGUCUGGAAUCACCCAAAAUUAGAUAUCAGAAUCACAGGCAAGGAGCUCAGUCGCAUGGAGGAGAGGAUUCUACAAUGAGAUAACUCAAAUGCAAACUCACCUUCACUAGAAUUGGUAGUAGGGGUUCUCUGGAACAUUUGGAAGGCUUGGAACCAUUUCAUCUUGCGCCACCAAAAACCAGGUUAGAGUAGCAUAGCGGAAGCGACCAUGGCUGCACAAAAGAGCUUUGAGAGAUGGAACUAUAGAAGGAAAAAACGAACACAACAGCAGGAACUCUUACCCAAGAUGCGAAACCCAUCAAGAAGGGGUAUGCGGAGACAAAGCUGGGAGAGUGGUGGUUGGUUUCGGGAAGGAAUUCCAAGCAAAUUGAAAACCGUGCUAGUCUAGAAGCCCUUCAUUCUCUCUCUCACUUUGGAGUUAGACUAUCGGAAAGUAACAAGCGUACUUACGUAUCACAAUAUGAGUGGGAGGUGGCCCCACUUAUCACCGAAUGCAAGAGAUUGAUGACCGUUUUAAGUAAUUUCAAAUAGUCCAAGGUGGAAGAGAAGAAAUCAAGUGGCGGAAUAGAUCGCCAAGGUUUUCCUUUUUGUUGGACUACCAAUCCUCCUACAGUUCUUUGGGACUUUAUUUGUUUGAGGAUAUCUUCUACCGGAGGUUUCACUUGAGUAAUGAAAGAAGACUUUUUUUUUUUUACGAAAAAAGAAAAAAUACAGCUACUUCCGAUCAAAUUUCCCUUGUCUUGCAGAUCUUGUUGAUUCAACACUAACAAUGCCGUUCAAAUGGUCCACUGUUUUUUCCCGCUCUCUUGCUUCUUUGUCAUGAUGUCUUCCUUUGGCUGUUGGAUGAAAGAAUCACAUAAAAUCACAUAAAAUCAAAUUACAAAUCUUCACACGACAAGACAUUUACAACCAUAAAGCGGUACCUUUAAUCUCACUGCGGUGACAAAUUUGUGAGAAGUGCUAUCUACCUUCUUAGCAUUAACCACAACAUUGUUGGCACUUCCACGUUAUUAAAAACAAGAAAGUAGUCAAGCUAAAUUGACACUUACAAUCAUUCAAGUACAUAAUCAGUUACUUGAAAGUAAAAGUGCCUUUUGAUUGGUGGCAUUGUUAUGAUGCAUCUUUGUGACAAGUUUGUUGGCUUUUCUUUAUUUGACUAUCCUUUCAUCCUGUUCAGUUAAGAAAAUAAAGUCAGAAAAUAAUGGCACAAAUAGAGACUAGAAACACAGAAUGAAUGAACCUUACCUUUUUCUUUUGUUCUAAGGGACAAUUUUUUGAGAUGUGACCUUGCUUAAGCACAAAUGGCAUGUAGUUUAUGUGCCUUGUCUUGAUGGUUUGAAUCCAUUUUUAGAUUCUCCUCCCUUUGAUAUCCUUCUCUCUUGAGGCCUACUAGGCAUAAUAUGAGGCAUUGGUGCCACCAAAGGUUCUUGAUCAUUGGAAGGCCAAAUGAGUGAACGAUGCACAUCACUAGCCAAUGCCAAAUGAGUGAAUUGAUUUUUAGACCUCCUCCUUUUAGUACACUUAGUGUCCAAUUUGACAUAAUGCAAGCUAUAUAGAAUUUCAACAGAUAACACUUCAAGGAGAAAAAAAGAAGAAAAGAAAACAUGGGCAAUUCGUCAAAUCGGGAUUGAUCAAGAAAAGCCUAAGAACAGGAAGUGUAGCAAGCUAAACUAAUUAGAGUCAACUAGGCUGAUAGGCGAUCUAAGCACAUGGGGACUACCAUAAUUACCCUCUCAGGAUGCGCAUAAUAACUAUUCUGUCUGUUUUUCUAUUAUUUUGAUCCUGGGAACAUGUUUAGAAUAAAAAUCCAUUUGAAUAAUAUAAUUUCAUUUUUCUAUUUCUGAAAUAAAUUUUUAGUCCAAAAAUAGGUUUAGAAUAGAAAUGAGAAGUAAAAAUUUACUUUUCUAUUCUACAACAAAAAUGAGAAAUAAAAACUAUUUUUAUCGCUCACCCUCACUACUAGCUGUCCACUCACCCGCCGAUGUUCUGUCUGCUCUCCUAUCGUCAUUAAAUGUGUAUUUUUACUUAGAAACUCGCCUAGGAAAUAGAAAUAGAAAAAUCUAUUUCUGACUAGAAAUUGAUUUUUGAAACAAAAUGACUACCAUUUACACCCUAAGUGUUUCACAUCCACAUUAUUUGAGGUCCAAAUAAGGACCUAGAUAAAACCUUCAAAGGACUUGCUUAGAUCCAAUUUGAGCACAUGAGGACUAAUACAAUUACUAACAAGAAUCAUGACUAAAUAUUGUGCAUGCGUUUUUGAGAAAUAAAUGGUCAAUUGGAUUCCGAAAUUGCAUGUUCAUGAUACCUGAACCUUUGUUACAAUUGAGCUUCAAAAUCCCAAAUAAAGCACAAUCUCAAAUGCAGAUCAGUGGACUCUGGCUACGUUGUUCUUCACACUGGGAACAUUUUCAAGUUUAGUAUCAACAGCAACCUCUAUCAUUUUGACAGCAAAAUCAACUGUAAUAAGAUCUAAACCUCGCAAAAUUUUGAUUCCAAGACUUCCACCUAUAUUGGAAAAAACCAUUCCAAGCCAACCAUGACAGCAGCUUCACAAAGUAAGAAUAGAUUCCACUUUAGCAUGAAGAUCCAACCUUGAGUCACAAACAAUUCUCUUAGCAUAAAGACUCCAAAAGAUCUCCAUGCAGGUGCUAAUUAUAAUACCAAACUGAAAUACAAUCACCCAAACAUAUAGUGCAGUUGAUUAUUUCAAAUGACGUCCUCCUUCACGUCUGCCAUCUUGAUGAUUGCUUGACUCAGAAGUUCAGGUAAAUGACAUAAUGCAUUAUUAACUGUACAAACAUUAAGUAUCCUUUGGGCUAAUAUGUUAUUUGUCUUGGACUUUUAGGUUUAUCCCGAAUUUAAUACAAUUGAACAUGGAUUCAUAGUCAACAAAAUUCAAGUUGCGAUUUUCUCCAUUUACUAUUUCUCGAUCCAUACGAUUACCUCGAUCAUCUAAUGCAGACAAUUCUCUGAGAUAAAAUGUGCAAAACACAAUGUUCGGACAAAUCUUGUCCCAACUUAGUAUUGUAUGCAUACAGAGAGAUGCCCUCUCAAAAUGUUUGUACAGUAAAUUUAUUCUUAAGCUUAACUUAUAACAUGCAAUCGUGAACUGCAUAAUCAACAUAGAGCAAACUAAAACCUCAAAUCAAAAGGACCUCUGCUUAGGGUCAUUUAUUUGGAAUUUCUCAAUCUAUACAAUUACCUUUGGCAUGUUAUCAGGUGCCCUUAUACAUUAGGUUUUAUUAAGUAAUUCCAGCAUUACAGAAUCAGUCAGACGUGGAGAAUCUUUAUUUUAUUUUAUUUUAUUUUUUUGCAUCGGAUGAAGAAUCUUACCCGAAGACUAAUGACAAUGAUUCACUUAGAAGACUUUUUGAUUUAUUUCCAAUACUAGCAUGAUGUGCAAAAAUAUUUUGCCAAAGCACACAUUAACUUCUAGGAACAUCUCCUCUGGAUUCCUUGAAAUCAAAUAAGAAAAUAAGAAGACUGUCAAUCAUGAUAUACUAAUGAAAAGGUAACAAAUCUUAAAAGAAAAUGCAAACAAGAAACACAAAUGAAAAUUGGGCGGUAAAUCUCAAAAGGGAGAGAGGGAGCUUCCCUACUUUAUGUACCUUUGUUUAGAAAUGUGGAUCAUCUCAAUUAUUCCGACUCAUCCCAUCCUGGUUAUCUUGUCCAAAUAUCUUCAGACCUUUGGAUAUUUGGAUGGUUGAGCCUUUCAAAUUUACUGUAGUCAAACAUUCCAACCUGUCGAGACCUAGAAUUUCGAGUAAGUUGUUGCAAUUUUGAGCAAUUAACAUCUUUAGACCCUUGGAUUUUGAAAGAUCCAGCUUUUUAAUUGAAGUGCACAAGAUAUUCAGCUUUUCCAAAUGACUUCACCCAUUGGAGACCUCGAAUUUCAACUAGGUUUUUGCAGUUUUUAGCAUCUAGUACCUUCAAAUCCUCAAAUUUUGGAAGGUCUAGCCUUUUAAUUGAAGAACACUCAAAGAAAAGUAACUCUUUCACGGACCCUAAAAUAUUGAGAUGUUCAAUUUCUAUUAAGUUUUUGCAAUAUGGAACAUGUAAUAUCUUCAAACUCCCAGAUUUGAAAGGUCCACCCUUUCAAUUGAAGUGCACCCGACAAUAGAUAACUUCUCUAACAACUCUAGCUCAUCAAGGCCUUGAAUUUCAACUAAGUUUUGGCAAAAUUGAGCACUUAAUUUCUUCAUGCACUUAGAUUUUGGAAGGUCCAACCUUUCAAUUAAAGCACACUUGACGAAACAAAGCUCUUCUAGGAAUUCCAGCCAAUUGAGGCCUUGAAUUUCAACUAAGUUUCGGCAAUUUUGAACAUUCAAUAUUUUCAGACCCUUGGGUUUUGAAAGGUCCAACCUUUCAAGUGAAGUGCACUCAACGAUAGAUAUCUUUGCCAAGAAGUCCAACUUAUCAAGGCCUUGAAUUUCCACUGAGUGUUUGCAAUUUUCUACAUUUAAUGUCUUUAGACCCCCAAACUUCAGAAGGUCUAACCUUUCAAUUGAAGCACACCCGACGACACAUAAUUCUUCCAAGAGCUGCAUCUUAUCGAGGUCAUGAAUUUCAACUAAACUUUCACAAUAUUGAACACAUAAUUUUUUCAUGUCCUUUGAUUUUGGAAGGUCCAACCUUUCAAUUAAAGUGCACUUAGAGAUGCACAGCUCUUCCAAGUAUUCUAACCUAUCGAGGCCUUGAAUUUCAAUUAAGCUGUUGCAAUUCUCAAUUUCUAGUUUUCUCAUGCCUUUGGAUUCUGGAAACCUUUCAAUUGACCCUUUGAUGGUCAUGCUUUCCAAAUAUUUCAAUUUGUCAAUACGGUGAAAUUCACGUAUAUUACAACAACCCUGGGCAGAUAAUGUCUUUAGAUGGUUUAAUUCUUAAACAUCCAGUGUGUCCAUUGAUUCGCAAAACAAGACUUCCGAAAAAUCUAACUUGAAAGGAGUGUUUAGAGAUCUUUGUAAUUUUGAUUCUUCGACAUUUCUAAGUUGGGAACAUUUUGAAAGCUCUAGUAUUGUUGAUGGAAGCUCCACGAUGCACUUGAGAAUUUUGUAGUUAAGAAGGUGUAGUUGCUUGAGAUCGGUUAGGUGGGCAAGUGAAGUCAUUUUGAAACUUUGACAGGUGACACUCAAAUAUGUCAAGCUGGAAGGAAGCUUUGGCAGCCAUUGAAGCUCCCAGCACCUUAAAACUUCUAAUUUUUUUAGCUUUCUCAGCCUUCUAAUAUCAUUGGGUAAUUUCUUUAUUCCAGUCCCAGAAAUAUCCAAAGUUUCUAGAUUUUGCAUAGCCCCUAUGUUGCGGUAGGGAAGAAAUGUGACCACAAUUUCUUAGGAGAAGUAGCUCCAGUGCUUCUAAUUUAGUCACUUCUACCGGCAACUCCUCGAGACUAAUACAUCCCGACAAGUUCAAGCGUGCCAGAGUCUUCAUGUUUCCGUUCGAAGAAUCAAGUUGCUUCAGACUUUGACAACCUUUAAGGAUAAGAACCUCUAAGUUCUUAAAAGCUGAAAGGAAGAAAGUUCCUUCCAAAAAUUGACAAUGUGUUAGGUCGAGAAACUUGAGCUUUUCUCCCUUCUGAUAAAAAAUGUAAUAAUUGUGGAGGGGUUAGCCAAAAGUAAUUUUGAUUCAACAGAAAUCAAUACGAAAAAAGAAUGAAAUGACUUGUUUAACCAUCUUACCUUCACAAAAUUCCAUCCUUGCCAUUUGCUAGAAAUCUUGCUUCUCGACAACUCAAGUACAACCAAUUCCUUUACAUUAAAUUCUUUUGCUUCAAAAGUCAAGGGACAAUUGUGCCAUCGAAGCCAUUUUAACUUCUUAGUGCAGUUCUCAAAAUCUCCACUAAAAUGUGUUGGAGAAAACUUCUUUGAGUAUUUUGAAGCUGACAAAACGUUUCCAUCAGUCUAGUUUGAAGACUUGCACACUCUUUCAUCAAAGUCUGAAGACCUCCGGACUGCCAGACUCAAGACUCAAAGUCUAUCCUCAUUGACAGUUUCUAGACCGUCGAAGAAGGCUUAUCCAGAACUGGAUGUUUCGUUAAGGAUUUGACUUUAUCGACUGGAGAAGAUCUCUUGGCUAGAUACAGCAUGUUGGAAUCCAUUAUUCAAAUCAAGAUUGAUUCAGGGAUUUUCGAUCCGUUGAUUGAUGAAGUAUACUUGGAAGGUUCUACUUAUGGAAACCUAGAACCUGAUUGUAUGGGCGAGCAGGAUUGAUGGGCUAUCGUCAUGUUCCUUAAAUAGCUCGAAGAUCUUCCUAAUUGAUUCUGUCCAACGGGUAGAUUGGAAGAAUUCCUUUGGUAAGUGCCAACGGGUAUGAUGGCAUAAAAGAGUAUAUAAGGAAGACAUUCCAGUUGUUCAAGUGCGUGCACGAUAGAAGAAUUCCAAAGUCUGAAGCUCCUUGUUCUUAGUCAAUUAAACUGUUGAGCGAAAUAUUGUACGCAAAAGAGAGUCUAUAUCUUUGAGAGAACUUGAGGAAGUGUAGUAGAGUCUCUACACUGUGGAAUCAAGGAAGAGCUUUACUGUAACAACUCUUUUGUUCAUAGUGAAAUCCAGCCAGUGGGCUGUCAGUGUGGAAGAAUGGACGUAGCUUGGAUUAAGCCGAACCACUAUAAACUCUGUGUUCAAAUUCUCUUCUCUACACUCUUUUACUUUGGUCGUAGCUUGUUUUGUNNNNNNNNNNNNNNNNNNNNNNNNNNNNNNNNNNNNNNNNNNNNNNNNNNNNNNNNNNNNNNNNNNNNNNNNNNNNNNNNNNNNNNNNNNNNNNNNNNNNAAUUGUUUUUACACCUAUUCACCCCCCUUUAGGUGUUCAUACUAGCAUUCACAAUUGGUAUCAGAGCUUGUGUACUCACUUAAGUUGAAGUGUUUUACUUCAAAGUUAAAGAUCCAUGGCUAGUCUGUUGGCUCCAGGACUGGUUGAAGGGCAAAGCAAUAUCAGACCGCCUUAUUUUGAUGGAAAGGAAUACAACAUAUGGAAAAACAAGAUGAAGGCAUUUCUAAGAUCAAAUGAUCCUCUGGAAUGGGAUGUGGUAGACAGAGGAAUCAUUCCUAAAUCUACACCUGUCUCAGAAAGAGGAAAAGAAGCUGUUGAGUCUAGCGAAAUGACUCAAGAAGAGAUAACCAAGAGACAAGCUCUUGAUGCAAAAGCAAUUUAUUCUUUAUAUUGUGCAUUAUCACCUACUGAAUAUAACAGAAUAUCUUCUUGUGUUACAGCUAAAGAAGUCUGGGAUAGAAUACACAUCACCUAUGAAGGAACUGAUCGAGUGAAAGAAACCAUAAUCAACAUUCUGCUCGGUCAAUACAAAGCAUUCAAAAUGAAAUCGGGAAAAUCUAUCACUGACAUGUUUAGUCGUUUUACAGAAAUUGUGAAUGGUCUUUAAAAUCAAGGUCAACCAAUUUCUGAUCCCAUGAAAGUAAACAAGCUACUGCGUGGACUCUCCAAGGAUUGGAAUCACAUAAAAACCUCAAUAAGGGAGACACAAAGAAUCAUGCCACUCUCUGUUGACGAAUUGGUUGGAACUCUUCAAUCUUAUGAAGUGGAGCAAAUCAACAAAGAUGAAGAUCCUAAAGGUAAGAAAUCCAUUGCAUUAAAAUCUAAUGAUAAUUUCGAUGUCACAGAUUCUGAAGACGAUAUGGAUGAUGAAGAGCUUGCUCUCAUGAUAAGAAGAUUCAGAAAGCUAAACAGAAAGGGGAGAAGAUUCAACCCAAAGAAACAAAGUUUUCAAAAGCAACAGACUAAGUCUGUUGAGGAUGAUGAAUCCAAUAGAGAUGUAGUCUGCUUUGAAUAUAAGAAAAAGGGACACAUCAGACCCAACUGUCACCUUCUGAGGUAAAAGAAAGGAAAAGCUGAGAAAUAUCGAAAGGCGCUCAAAGCAGAAAACUUGGAGUGAUACAGAAUGUGAAGAAAGUGAUGAUGACUAUGCCAAUAUUUGUCUCAUGGCAUAAUCAGACUUAGAUUUAGACUCCGACACAGACUCAGAUUCAGAUAGUGAAAUCGAGGUAAGUAAUUUGAAAAUCCCUACUAAAGUCUCUAGAUACAUUGAUGAAUUGUGUCUUAGUCUCAAAGCUUCUCUUAAAAGGAUUUCCAAACUUAAAAGAGAAAAUUCUGCACUAAAACAACAGGAAAAUGUUUGGAAAGAAAAGGUUAAAAGUUUAGACAAAAGUAUUACUAUUUUGAAAGAAAAUGAAGACAAUCUUUCAAAAGAAAAUGUAUUCUUGAAAAAUGACAUCUCAAGUAUUUCUAAAAGAUUUUCUAUAGGAUCUGAGAAACUGGAAAAAAUUCUUUCUGCACAAAGACCUUGUUUCAAUAAAUCUGGUUUGGGAAUGACUGCGGAAACCAUUCCUCUAAUUGAUUUUCCUAAAGUAAAUGAAAGAAUUAAGCAAAGACCUACAAGAGAUGCUUACAAAAAUCAUUUUCAAAAAGUUUUUGUAAAACCAGUAGGUCGCAAUGCUCUUAAAUGUUAUAAGUGCAAUAGUUCAGAUCAUUUUGAGAAAGAGUGUCCUAUCGUUUGGAAACCUGUUAAGAAAGUAUGGGCAAAGACCGUAUAUUAUACUAACACCAAUGGACCCAAGAAAAUAUGGGUACCAAAGAAAGCAUGAGUUUCUUUUCUAAAUGUAGGUCACUAUCAAGAAAAAUAUUAAAUGGUACCUGGAUAGUGGAUGCUCAAGGCAUAUGACAGGAGAUUCAAAUUGCUUCAUAAAACUUGUUCAAGUUAAUGGUGGAAAAGUUUCAUUUGGAGGAAACAGCAAAGGAAGAAUUGUGGGAUACGGAACUGUAAAGAUUGGAAGUCUCAUGAUCAGUAAUGUUUCCUUAGUGGAAGGACUCAAUUACAAUUUGCUAAGUAUCAGUCAGCUGUGCGACACCGGUUUCAAAAUCAACUUUCAAGAAGGAAUAUGUUCAGGAACUAGUAAAGACUCCUCUCAGUCUUUCACCGGUCGAAGACAUGGAAAUAUCUACCUCUUGGAUGUCAAACCAGAUGAAGCCCAAUGUCUAAUCUCAAUUCAAGAAGAAGCAAACUUAUGGCACAGAAAACUUGGGCACAUCAACAUGAAGCAAAUAGCCAAAAUUUCAGCAAAGAAGCUUGUUCGUGGUCUACCCAAUCUGUCAUACCAAAAGACUGAUCUAUGCACACCAUGCGUGUUGGGAAAAUAGGUAAGAAACUCAUUCAAACCAAUAAAUCAAGUUUCAACUAAUCGUGUACUGCAGCUCUUGCAUAUGGAUCUCUUUGGACCAACCAGAACUUAGAGCAUUGGAGGUAAGAAAUACUGCUUAGUAAUUGUGGACGAUUAUUCACGAUUCACUUGGAUAUAUUUUCUGGCAAGUAAGUCUGAAACCUUUUCUUAUUUCAAAAAGUUUGCUAAAAAAGUCCAAAAUGAGAAAGGAUAUGUUAUUGCAAGUAUACGGACAGACCAUGGAGGUGAAUUUGAAAAUCAAGACUUUACAAAAUUCUGUGAUGAAUCUGGUUUUCAGCAUAUGUUCUCCUCUCCAUAUACUCAAGAGCAAAAUGGAGUCGUGGAAAGGAAGAAUAGAUCCUUGCAAGAAAUGGCUAGAACUCUUUUAAUUGAAAGUAACAUCUCUUCACAUUUUUGGGCUGAAGCUGUUUCUACAGUAUAUUAUAUUAUUAAUAGAGUUUUUCUAAGGCCUAUUAUGGAGAAAACUCCCUACGAGUUAUUCAAAGGAAAGAAGCUCAUUGUUUCAUAUUUUCAUGUGUUUGGAUGUAAAUGUUUUAUAUUGAAAAAUGCAAAUGAUCGAGUUGGUAAGUUUGAAGAAAAAUCAGAUGAAGGAAUUUUCCUUGGAUAUUCUAUCACAAGCAAAGCUUACAGAGUCUAUGACAAGAAGACUCAAUCUGUGGAAGAAUCAAUGAAUGUCAAAUUUCAAGACUCUAUGCAAAAUGAAUCGAUUCAGACUCAAUUUGAAGAAUCUGAACCUGCUCCAGACUCUACAAAGUCUAAAUCUCUAGAAGCAGCUCAAACUUCAGAAGACCAGCAACAAAUGAUCGUCGAAGAUUCAAAUGAGGAAAAAGAUCAACAGUCUGACAAAUCAACCAGCAACUGGAAGCAUAAGUCCAAUCAUCCCAAAGAUCUCAUCAUUGGUGAUAUUAAUGAAGGAAUUCGCACAAGAUCCAAAAGGCGUGAAGAACCUAGUGCUGUGGCUCUUAUUUUUGAAAUAGAACCCAAAAGCAUAGAAGAAGCUUUAACUGAUGAAAGCUGGAUUGCAGCUAUGCAAGAAGAACUCAGGCAAUUUAGUAUCAAUGAUGUCUGGGAAUUGAUUCCUAAACCGAAAGGUAAAUCUAUCAUUGGAGUUAAAUGGGUUUUCAGGAAAAAGAUGAACGAGAAAGGAAAGGUCGUAAGAAACAAAGCAAGACUCGUGGCCAAGGGAUAUACGCAAGAAGAAGGGAUAGACUAUGAUGAGACUUACGCACCAGUAGCAAGGUUAGAAGCAAUUAGAUUAUUACUUGUUUUUGCUUGUUAUAAGAAUUUCAAGUUAUUCCAAAUUGACGUCAAAAGUGCUUUCCUAAAUGGAUUUAUCCAAGAGGAAGUCUAUGUGGAACAACCACCCGGUUUUGAAGACCCAAGGAAACUAGACUCUGUAUUCAGACUGAAAAAGGCUUUAUAUGGUUUAAAGCAAGCACCCCGAGCUUGGUACGACAGACUAAGUAAGUUUUUAAUUCAAAAUGGCUUUGUCAAAGGUAAAUUAGAUACUACACUGUUUAUCAAAAGAGAAAGCAAAAUUUUUCUACUUGUUCAAAUUUAUGUUGAUGAUAUUAUUUUUGGAUCUUCUAAUGAAAGUCUACGCAAGAAAUUCUUUAACUCUAUGUAGGAUGAAUUUGAAAUGAGCAUGAUGGGUGAACUAACCUUCUUUCUCGGACUUCAAGUGAAACAACUGAAGGAAUGAACUUUUAUUCAUCAAGAAAAAUAUGCCAACGAUCUUGUCAAAAAGUUUGGGCUAAAGAAUUGCAAAAAGACUUAUAUACCAAUGUCAAGUUCUUUGAAGCUGGACAAAGAUGAAAGAGGAAAGAAAGUUGACCAGAAGCUAUAUAGGAGCAUCAUUGGUUCACUUCUUUAUCUUACUGCUUCUAGACCUGACAUUCUGUUUAGUGUUUGUAUUUGUGUCAGAUUUCAAGCAGACCCUAAAGAAUCUCAUUUAAGUGCUGCAAAACGUAUUAUCAAAUACAUUGCCUCAACUUCAAACUUGGGUAUCUGGUAUCCUAAAGAAUGAGACUUUACUCUUCUUGGAUACUCAGAUGCAGACCUAGCCGGAUGCAAAGUUGAUAGAAAGAGCACCUCGGGCACCUGUCAACUACUUGGAAGCAGGACAGUGUCUUGGUUCUCAAGGAAGCAAAGUACAGUAGCUCUUUCUAUAGCAGAAGCAGAGUAUGUAGCUCUUAGAAGUUGUUGUUCACAAAUUCUAUGGAUAAAACAACAGCUAAGAGACUUUGGAAUUGAAGAUUCAUGCACUGAAAUCAAAUGUGACAACACCAGCGCAAUCAAUCUCACUAAGAAUCCGAUUCUUCACUCAAGAGCAAAACAUAUAAAGAUUCGACAUCACUUCAUUAGAGAUCAUGUUCAAAAUGGAGAAGUUUCGAUUCAGUUUAUUGACUCAAAAAAUCAACUGGUGGAUAUAUUUACAAAGCCUUUGGAGAAAAUCAAUUUGAANNNNNNNNNNNNNNNNNNNNNNNNNNNNNNNNNNNNNNNNNNNNNNNNNNNNNNNNNNNNNNNNNNNNNNNNNNNNNNNNNNNNNNNNNNNNNNNNNNNNACCCAGGACUAAAAGUCUAAAAACACUCAGACUCAGACCGAUCAGAUUCUCGACUGUAAGUUAUUUUUAUUUUAGAAAUAUCUCUCGAAUCAAAUCUCGAAAGGUACGAUCAUCAACCCGUAAUUAAUUGUUGUAUUUUCAAUUCCGUGAUUAUUGCAGUCUUUCUUUUUCGAAAAAGAAGUUAUUUUUAAAAUGACAGUUAUCUAAUUUUUAAAAAGGCAGUUAUUUUUUAAAAAGGCAUCUUUAUAUUUCCUUUUACGGCGUUUCGUAUGCCUCACUUUGAUUGUCUUAUAUACAGUCGGUUCCUCUUCAUUUUACUCACAAAAACCCUAAGAGAGCACCGAUCUUCCACUUCUGUCAUUUUCUCUUGUUUAAUCCUCGAAAAAUUUUCAUCUUUCUUGGGAAACAAGCUUGGAAACUCUCAAGGACUGAGAAAGAUGUCGUCCCAAAGAAAGUCUUCAAGGAUCGUGAACAGGGGACCACAGCAAAUGCGUGAGGGGCCUACGCACUUUGAUCUCACCGAGGAAGAAGAAUCUCCUAAUCAACAGCAGACCCCACAACAUUCUCAGCAGCGUCCAUCUCCUCCAUCUAGACCUCAGGAUGCUACACAUCAAGAAGAAGAAGAAAUCAUCAAAGACGCAGAACCCGUAAGAACUCUUAAGCCCGCUUUUACCUACAAGCUUUAUCGUGCUUUGAAGAGGGGUGGUACUCCUUUGAACUACAUUGAUGAAUUUCUGAAAGACAAAGGGUAUAGAAAUGAAACUUUCAUUUUACGCACAAUUGAACGAUUGGGAAUUGCCCCUGCUGGGUUGGCGGAAGAGGCAUUGGCAAAUAUCCCAAGCGAUCCACGUGUUGGAGGGCUGAGUUAGCCUAAUGGGAAUGACGAUGAUAGGAUGUACAGUCAGUUUAAAUCGAGAAUGGGUGUUACGGCAAAAAUCCGAAGCAAAAGGACAGACUUGUUUCGAUCGGAGGAACACAAGCAACUGUACUCUAAGUUGCUGAAGCGUGGGGUGAUAAACCCUAGAAGUGUGGAUUUUGAUUUUCUUGACUCUGUGAAUGUCAAUCUGCGGGAAAAAUUCAAUCUUCUUCAACUUGAACAGUUUUGUUCUGAAAGUACAUAAGCCUAUGCUGAACUUACUACUUAUUUCUAUUUGAAUAUUAGUUUCUUGGAUGCGAAUAGAUUCUCUUUUAGUGUUCGAGAUGAGGACUAUGUGGUUGACAUGAAUACAUUGGCUGAUGUGAUUGAGGUUGAAAGAGGGAGAUAUCAACCUAUUAGUGUGUCUAUUGCUCGUGCAACGUUGGAGCUUGUUAAGGAUAGAAGGACAGAGGGAAAGAUUUCCUAUUUGAGGAUGAAUGCAUCCAACAUUCUGCUUCACAAGAUUGUGAUUAACUGCCUCAGACCAAAAUCUACUUCAAAAACCGACGUUUCAAACUCGGAGGCAAAGCUGAUGUAUGCCAUCAAUGCUGGGAAAAAGUUCUCUCUUCUACACACUAUUAUGUUCCACAUGUACAGGGCAGUGGUGAAGGACAAGGGUCAACUCCCGUACGCAGCUCUUGUAACCAAGUUAUUCAGACAUUUGAACGUUCAGCCUCCCCGAAUUCUCUGUGUUCGAACGUGCAAUCAAAUGGUGUGGGACUGAAAAUGGUCUCUAAAUUGNNNNNNNNNNNNNNNNNNNNNNNNNNNNNNNNNNNNNNNNNNNNNNNNNNNNNNNNNNNNNNNNNNNNNNNNNNNNNNNNNNNNNNNNNNNNNNNNNNNNNNNNNNNNNNNNNNNNNNNNNNNNNNNNNNNNNNNNNNNNNNNNNNNNNNNNNNNNNNNNNNNNNNNNNNNNUUUCUGCAAUGGCAUGAAGAACUUGAGUCGUUCUACUCCAGAAUCAAUGGAGAGACAGGAAAAAGACAUGGAUGAGACAGAACAGAGGACUGAAGUGAGAGAAGAUUUGGAGAAAGAAGCAGAGGAGAGAGAUGCAGAGGAGGAAAGAAUUGAGGAAUAAGAAGAAGAAGAAGAAGAAGAAGAAGAAGAAGAAGAAGAAGAGAGGAGAUCAAGUGGAAGCAGAGCAUGAGGAACACUCUUCUCCACCUAAAGGCAUGGAAACAGGGGGAGAUCCUGAGAAAAGAGGAACGUCCUCAUUCCCUGCCACCAGUGAAAGAGUAAGCCACUCUCCAGCAGAUCCAGAGGACAUCUAUGCCUCUCAAUUUCCUGAGGAGGGACAUGAUGUUUCAUCGCCUAAUCUGUGUGACCAUGCUAAUUUGCCAUCAUCUGCGUAUAUCGUGCAGAAGCCAGUAUUCAGAUUGAUAAUUCAGCAAACUUUCGCAUAAUACUUGAUGUUCUCUUAGAGAUGCGGGGUCAAAUAUAUGCUCUGGGAUGCGAAGUACAAAACUUGCAGACUGCAGGACAAGCUUCUUCAGUUUCUUUGAAUGAUCAAAUCCAAGCCCUUGCUCUUCAAGUUCAAGCAAAUGCAAGGGUGAAGAUGUGGCGCAACUGAAGGAGGAUUUGAAAAAGCUGGAAGGGAUUGUCCAGUCAAUGGGAGAUUUCCAGCUUGUUCGUGUUCCCAAGCAAUCUUAAUUCCAUUCUCUUUUCAUCUCUACCUUUUUAAUGAUGACAAAAAGGGGGAGAGAUGUGGUGCAAAUUUGAUUUGAACUUUGAACUUUUUGAACUUUUGUGUCGAUUAUGUUUGAUUGACUUGACUUUUGUGUUUGGCUGUUUGGAUUUGAAUUGGAUUUGGAUUUGACUGUUUGAACAUUUGUUUAUCUUAAGUACUAUUGAUAUCUCAUGGCUUUGUUCAUUUACAAGACUAACCUACUUUCUGUGGAUGCAGACUCUAGUGUUAUUUUUACUAAGCCAUUUAUCUUUGUGAGAUAUCCAUAUUUGCUUGAGUAAUGUUUUGCAGGUCAAAGUUAUCCAAAUCUGCAGGAAAGUUUUGUCACCAUCAAAAAAGGGGAGAUUGUUGAAGAUAACUUCCUUGAGUGUUUUGAAGCUGACAAAACGUUUCCAUUAGUCUAGUCUGAAGACUUGCGGACUCUUUCAUCAAAGUCUGAAGACCUCCGAACUGCCAGACUCAAGACUCAAAGUCUAUCCUCAUUGAUAGUUUCUAGACCGUCGAAGAAGGCUUAUCCAGAACUGGAUGUUUCGUUAAGGAUUUGACUUUAUCGACUGGAGAAGAUCUCUUGGCUGGAUACAGCAUGUUGGAAUCCAUUAUUCAAAUUAAGAUUGAUUCAGGGAUUUUGGAUUCGUUGAUUGAUGAAGUAUACUUGGAAGGUUCUACUUAUGGAAACCUAGAUCCUAAUUGUAUGGGCGAGCAGAAUUGAUGGGCUAUUGUCAUGUUCCUUAAAUAGCUCGAAGAUCUUCCUAAUUGAUUCUGUCCAACGGGUAGAUUGGAAGAAUUCCUUUGGUAAGUGCCAACGGGUAUGAUGGCAUAAAAGAGUAUAUAAGGAAGACGUUACAGUUGUUCGAGUGCGUGCGCGAUAGAAGAAUUCCAAAGUCUGAAGCUCCUUGUUCUUAGUCAAUUAAACUGUUGAGCGAAAUCUUGUACGCAAAAGAGAGUAUAUCUUUGAGAGACCUUAAGGAAGUGUAGUAGAGUCUCUACACUGUGGAAUCAAUGAAGAGCUUUACUGUAACAACUCUUUUGUUCAUAGUGAAAUCCAGCCAGUGGGCUAUCAGUGCGGAAGAGUGGACAUAGGCUUGGAUUAAGCCGAACCACUAUAAACUCUGUGUUCAAAUUCUCUUCCCUACACUCUUUUACUUUGAUCGUAACUUGUUUUGUUGACAAGAAACAAAUUUCUUUUUUACAAUCUAUUAUUGAAUAGUGCUGCACACUUAUCUCGAAAAAUUGUUUUUACACCUAUUCACCCCCCUCUAGGUGUUCAUACUAGCAUUCACAAAAUGUGCUUCACUUGCAUCGAGGAACCUUAAAUUCCUUAACUUCUUGAAUCGUUUUGCCUUAAGGAUAUUGUCACCUUGGUCAAUGGUUUCACCACAGCUAAGACAAAUGGCCUCAAUCUUUUUUGUUCCCUAUUAGUAGGAAUCAACAUCCAUUAAUACUAUUUAUAUCCAAGUCAUCUAAUAUCAUUUGUUCAUAUUGCUAUUAUUAUGCAUCUAUCUCUUCAAGAGACUAGCAAAUCCUUUUUUGGCAGAUAAACGGUAUUUAUAAAGGCUAACAAAGUGAAAGAUGUCAAUUCUGACUUUGAAAUUUGGCCAUAAGUACUUAGAUCUUAAAAUAAUUAUGAUGUUCUCUAGUUUUAUUUUAUCAUGUAUAAUAGUUUACAGUUUCUUAUACCCAUUAUAAACGUACUAUUACCCUUUGAUCUACCUAUAGGGUAAAACUUCACAACUGAUAAAUCCUCUUCUCUUGUAUUGUAGUUUUGUUGCUAUCCUAGUUAGGACGCACAUGUAAUGCAUGGAAUUUAAUUAAAUUACAAUGCACAAAAUUGAAAGUUCUUGUGAUUAUUGUGACAAUUGGGAAAAAAAAAACUUCUCUUAAUAUAAAAAAAUUUAUCCUUAUGAAGUCCAUCUUUUCUUUUCCGUAUUUUCUUGUGUUUAAAUUUCGUGUAUAUUACUCAGCUGUGUUACUUACAAUUAAUAAAAAUAUAACUUAUACUCAUUUUUGCUUUUUCCAAUGGAGUAAUGACUAAUUGUACGUAACUAAGCUUGUGAUGGUAGUUACUUUAAUAUCAUAUGUAAUUUUUUUUAUUAAUAGUAACUUGAAUUAUUAUCAAUAAUUAAUCUCUAAUUAUAAGCAACUGAGAUACUGACAUUAAUUAUAUCUAUGCUCUCUAUAACUUAUCAUACUAGCAUAAAUUAUUAUUUAGUUGCAGAUCACAAUUGGCUAUAUUAUAAAUCGAUCAGAAAUUGAAUUAUUAAAGUAUAAUAAGUAUAAUUGUUCUAAAACAAUUAUAAUAAAUAUAAUAAACAGUCCUAAUUUAUUAACUUUGAUUAAUUUGAAUAUAACUAAUUAUUAAAAAUGUAUAGUAUUUUCGGAAUUUUAAAAAUUGAACUUAUUCUUGGCUACAUGAAAUAGCGAGUAACUCCUUGGCCCCCAGGAAUAGCUAGUCCUGAUUUUGAGAGAAUAGCUAUUUCAAAUCUACUUUUUUAAUCAAAGGAAUGAAAAUUUGCUUCAAUUUGAAUGAAUUAAAAACAUGAUAGUUAUUCCUGCGAAUCAAAUGUGCAACAAGCUUUCACCAAGAAAAAUCACUUAUGCAUAAGAAGUUAAGGAGCACCAACAAUUCAUGGAUUUCCAGAUCCAUGUCAGUUUAUUCAAACCAGAAAAUUUCUUAUUGUAUUUGACAAUGUUUCUUAAGAUUUCAUGGAAACUCAGGAGAAUGACAUAAUUAGUGGAGAAGGAAUUAUAUCUUAUACCUAAAAGAAAACCAUGAGAAGAGUAAUUAUAAAAAAAAAAAAGUAAGCAACCUCCAAGAGAAGUAAACAUACUCAGAUUAGUCAUUUCCAUGAGAAAAUUCCCUCUCAAAAUAUGAAGAAAUCUAUCUGUCGUCAAAAUCGAGUAACACUCAUGGUCAAAUCCCAAAAAAAAAGCCCAACCAUUUGUACUUGAGACAAAAGUAACACAAUCUUUCAAAUGUCCCAAGCCUAAUGUAUCGGGGACAUGUUGACAUGGAACAAAGCCCAACCUUUUAGCCGGGAAAAAAACCGACAUCUAUUGUAAAUUACAUUCAUUAAAUUGCCACUAAUAUCCUACAUGGCUCACUGUGUUGACGUACACAGCGAGCCACAUCAACCAGCACAGAAGAACGACGUUGCUUUUUCAUUUAUAAUCUUUGCCAACAAAAUUAGUGUAUAAUCUUUGUUAUCAAAUUUUUAGCAUUUUGUAAAAACAACAAAAAGCCGUAUAAUUAAAAUUGUUUUUGUGCAUGUCAGCCCAAUGAACCAUGUAGGUGUCGUGUGUCUAUUUAAGGUGAGAGGAGAAUAGGUAGAAUUUGUAAUAGAUGUCAUUUUUGUAUCGCGAGUGAAGAAGGGCUGAGCUUUUCCCUGGGAAGUUCGAAAGGUGGUGUUAUUAUCAGCCCACAUGCUUGCUUGGGCUUCCUUUUAGGAUAUUUUAGGUUGUGUUAUUAUUGUCAAGGGUGCAAAAGGCUGCUCUAUUUUCACUUGGCAGUUCACUCACUAAUAAUGUCCGAGGAAUGAGUUAUAAAUGUGUUCUAAUUAUGCUUUGAAUGUCUUUUGUUUUUGUUUAUUUUGUAAGUCGUGCCAAUGCUCUUGUCCAUGCUUUGCACUUCACAUGACGAAUAUCAAGAUUGACUGUUUUCGAUGACAUACAUGACAAUAACUUCUAAUAUUGAUCGGAUGUAGGAAUCAACUUACAAUAAUAUUUGUAUCAGUUUUCUCAGCCGCUUUAACUUGGAGUAAUGACAGUGCCAUGAAUGAAGAAGAAAAAUGAACCCAGCAAGAAUUCUGAAAUAAUUACGACCAAUGACGUACCUUUUUAGUUUGUAAAGCCAUCAAUACCAAAGUUAUCUAGACUUAAAUAUACAGCAUAUUCAUUUUUCUUUUAGUUAGUUCAGUUUAUUUUAUGAUGUAAUACGAAGACAUAACAAAUGAACAUUGGCUUUAAUAUGAUAACAUAGAAAUCAGCUCUUGAGAUUAUAUAUAGGUUGCACGUUGAAAAUGCAAAUAUGUGCUAGUUUUUUAGCAACAACUCCGAGUCAAACAAAUGAUGGAUCAAGAAUAUUAAGAGUCAAAACUAUGAUUAAUUUCACACAUACAAUACAAUCACAUAAUUAUAUACAAAAUAGAAUUUUAGAGUAAUUACCUUUGGGACUUUUUAUAUGAAAUAAAUAAGACAUUUCUCUUUUCAAUAGCCAUUACAUCAAAUACGAUUAAUGUCAUAUAUAUCUGCAUACAUUAUGUUCAUAUUCUAUUAAUUAUAUGUUCGGUAAGUUUUGAAUCAGUCCUUAUUAUGUGAAUUUUGGUAAAAGGAAUUACUAACUUAAUAUUACAUAAAAUAAAUACCCCUUCCAUUCUCAAAUACGUUAUAAUGAUUGAAAUUUCAUGAGAAAUGUGGGCAUGAUUGCUCCUACUAUAUCAAUUCCAACACCUAGAGAGUAGAAUUUUAUGAUUUAUAUAUCCUAAGGAAGUUAUGGUUUACAGUAGCAUAGUCAAAGUUAUUAUUGCAUGUGUCAAGGAUGUAACUGAAUAAAUUUUAGAAGUUAAGGAUUUUGUCAAUAUAGAAUACCUCUAUCAAGUAUCUAAUAAAUUUGAAAAUACCUCAUACUUGGAAGCAACUUCUGAAUGCACGCUUGUUCAAGAAAAAUCUCAAAUAAGGUGCAAUGCUUAUUAAGAGAGAGCAACCUCAUACUUUCUAAUCAUGUCAAUGAAACGACAUAAGAGUAAUAAUAGUAGACAGUUCUCUGCUCACUAGAGCAAGCACUAAGUACAAGACCAAUAUCAAUCUGACACUAGAACAUGGACUGAGAGGGCAAAAGAGAGAAACGCAUACCUCAUUUGCGUUAAGCACUUCCCGGACUUCCCUCGAGUCCCAUAACCUACUACGGUAUUGAGGUCCUUGCUCGUUUUCCUCGCGGACAAUUUCCUUGCCAAGAUCUCUUAAUUGAUCAUGCAUUCUGAGCUCAUGAUUAUCUCCAACUUUUAUUAAUGACAUUGUUGAGAAUGUCGGAUUCCCAAAAACCGGAUUCGACAUUAAAUCGAACCCCUAAAACGAAUGCGGAAGACAAGCCCGGGAAAUUCACAUGUAUUACCGAUUCUAAAGCACACCACAGAAUCGAGCGUACCUUGUUAGCCACAGAUUAAACAUCAAUGCCAAUAAGAUUGAGGAAGAGAAAACGAUCCCGUUCGAUCUGAUGACAUCGAUUAGCCUUGAAGGGAAGAUGAUGUCGCUUGGGUGCCACUUUUUUCUUUUUGGAGGGAGAGAGGGAGAGGAACGUACGUUAUGCCAACGAUUGUGUUCCUCCCUCUCUCUUUCUCCUUUUAUACGUCCCUCCAAUAGAAAGGAACAUACCCCUUCAUCCAUGGGCCCUAAUCUUGUGGGCCGGGCUUUUAGGUCCAUCAUGGACGAACGGGCCAACUUAGGCCCAUCACAUAAAACUAUCAUCUCCCACUCGCACAUGGUGGGCCGAACAGGAUUCUCUUUACCUCUCUUCAACAUUCAUACCAGUGAAUAAUCCGUGCGACCAGCAUACUUUGAGAGCUCGUUGACAUACAUCUAUUAGGAACAUAUAGCAGCUCAUAAUGGGCAUCACACUCUGAGUAGAUUUAGUAUGCAGUACCCUAGAUCGAUCGAUCACAUUUAUAUCUCUCUUGAUCUCUUUUAAACAAUGAUAUAUAUAUAUAUAUAUAUUGUAUUCACAAUUAUGAUUAUCCCAAAGACAGUCAUAAAUUGUUAACUAGUGAAUACGAAACUACAAUGUGAUUCUCCAAAUUCGAUCUUCCUCUUUCCUUCAAACUCUCAAUUUCAAUUCAGCUUGUUUUUCUAGAAAUGUCCCAUUAGAUCGAAUCAACUCAUGACCAUUGGCAAUAUCCUAAGAUAGCAAACACUAAAUAGAAAUCUUGAGAAUAAGUAAGAGUCAUGAGGAGACUAAAAAAUUGAUGAACUAUUUUCCUCAAGAGUCUCACACGACACAAAAGUUGAGAUCAAACUUUUGCCACUCUUAUUGGUCGACUCAUGCAUACGUAGUAUGAAAUACGUAUUACGGUACUCAUUUCCUAUGGAGCAUAUGUCUACACCUUUCAAUACCGUACAGAUGAUAGUUCAGACAUACCCAAUGUCUAACUUAAGUUCACGUAUCUACUCAUUCACAAAAUUCAUCAGAACUCACAUCUGGCAUCAUAGACAGAUAAAGUAAAAUAUGUUGGUUAUUUUACUUUCGGACACAGUAAAUAUUAUGUCAUCAUCUUAACACUCAGUUAAGGCGACAUAUGUAUUUUAAGCUUAAGCUCUCGAUUAUCACCUAGAUAAUAAGCUUAAAAACAGUCUCAUCUCUAUUUAUCACACAGUAAAUAGAGGCGAUUACCCAUGUGAAUGGGCUAAUCUUAUAUCUGUCCGACAUACUUUCUCAACUUAAAAUGAUGCACUGAGCAUUAAGAUGCAUAAAGAUCAAACAAAGAUUCAUAAGCAUUAAUGAUGAAAAACACAAAUUCAUCAAAUGUGAACACUUCAUGGAAAUUACAAUCCAGUACAUCAGACUCUACGCAAUCCUAGAGGUUUCACAUGACCACAAAACACAUCUCUAGGUAUUGACUUUGUCAUAGGAUCUGCUACCAUUCUAUGCGUAGAUAUGUACUGUAAGUUUACAUCCUUUCGUGCAACCAUAUCUUUGACAAAGUUAUACUUGGUAUCUAUAUGUUUGGUCUUGCCAUGAUAGUUUGGAUCUUUGGUGUACGCUGUAGCUGCUUGGCUAUCACAGUUAACCAACAAUGAAUCUGCAGCACUUCCAAUAACACCUAAAUGAUCCAAUAAUCUCUUAAGCCAAACAUCUUCUUAUAUUGUUGCUGAUAAUGCCACGAACUCAAUUUCCAUCGUGGACAAGGCUAUACACUUUUGUUUCUUACUGCUCCAACAUAUGGUGCCAUUAUUCGGUAAGAAAACAAACCCAGAGGUAGAUAUUCUUUCAUCUAAAUCUCCUCCCCAAUCAGCAUCAAAAUAGCCUUAGAGUUGCAGAUCUUUUCCUUGAUAACUCAAUGUAUAAUCAGCAGUUCCCUUUAGAUACCUCAGUAUUCUCUUAACGGCCUUCCAAUGUGCUGGACCUGGGUUGGAUUGGUAUCUACUCACCAUUCCAACUGCAAAACAUAUGUCAGGUCUUGUACACAUCAUAGCGUACAUCAAGCUCCCAACAGCACUAGCAUAAGGAACAUGUUUCAUUUGUUCCUUCUCUUGUGGAGUCCUUGAACACAGUCUAUGGCUCAAUCCUUCACCUUUUGCAAUAGGAGUGUCUAUGGGUUUACAAUCUUGCUUACGAAAUCGUUCAAGAACCUUAUUUAUAUAUGUUUCUUGCAAAAGAGAUAACGAUCUCUUCGAACGAUCUCUUGAAAUCUUAACUCCAAGAAUGUAUGCAACCUCACACAUAUCCUUCAUCUCAAAGUUGGAAGACAACCAACUCUUGACAGUAUUAACAAACUCCAUAUUACUUCCAGCAAUUAGUAUAUCAUCAACAUAUAAUGAUAUGAUCACAAAUUGAUCCUUGGAUCUUUCGAUAUAUACACAAUGAUCCUCAUCAAUCAUUGUAAAAUCAUAUGCCAUUAUGGCAUUAUGAAAACGUAUAUAUACCAUUGUCUUUGACGACUGCUUAAGGCCAUAUAUCGACCUCAAAAGUCGACAUACCUUUUCUUCUUGGCCUUUCACUAUGAAACCAGCAGGUUGUUCCGUAUAUAUUUCUUCCUCUAAUUCUCCAUUGAGGAAAGCAGUCUUUACAUCCAUUUGAUGAAAUUCAAGAUCCACACUAGCCAUUAUUGCCAGAAUAAUGCGAAUCGAGGUAAAUCUUACUAUAGGAGAAAAUGUAUCUUCAUAAUCAAUUCCUUCAUGUUGAUUAUACCCCUUCGCCACAAGGCGGGCCUUAUGCCUUUCUAUCGAGCCAUCAACUUUUCGCUUUAUUUUGAGUUCCCACUUGUUCCCAAUAGCUUUGCGUCCUUUUGGAAGAUCAACCAGUUCCCAGACUUGGUUUGAUUUCAUUGACUCAAUUUCUUCUUCCAUUGCAUGAAUCCAUUUCUCCUUACUAAGGCAAUUCAGAGCCUCAUUAAUAUUUCUUGGCUCAUCCUCAUCUUGCGGAGCAAUCAUAAAAGUUUCCCCUUCAAUGUCAAAACGUCGACGGGGAAUACUUUGGCGACUUGUUCGCCUUAUGGGAGAUUGUACACUUAGCACAUCAUUCCCCAUUAUGCUCACACUAGGAUUAGAUAAUGAUGACGUCGUCUCAUCAUGUGGUUGCAAUUGAGAAUGAGUUGAAUUCAAUUCAUCACUUCUCAUAUUACUCCCACUUGAACGAACUCCACUAAUAUCAUUAUCUUGAUCCAAGAUUACAAAUAAGGAGUAAUCUGCCCCUAUUUCGCCCUUUUUAGGAAAUUCAUCCUCUAAGAAUGUGACAUCCCGUGAUUCAAAUUCAGUUAUACUUUCACUUUCCUGCUCACCUAUGAACACAUACUCUUUCGAGUGUUCCGAAUAUCUUAUGAAAAUACUCUUCUUUCCUCUGGGACCCAAUUUCCCAAACUUGUGAGAGGACUCAUGAGUAUAGGCAGCACAACCCCAUGGCUUAAGAAAACUUAAGUCCAGUUUUCUACCUGUCCAUAACUCAUAUGGAGUGGAGGUAACUGAUUUGGAAGGCAUCCGGUUAAGUAUAUAGGCAGCAGUUAAUAACGCAUCACUCCGAAAAGUGAUAGGUAAGUUAGCAUGCGCCAUCAUGGACCUAACCAUUUCCAGUAGGGUUCUGUUUCUUCUCUCUGCAACACCAUUUUGUUGAGGAGUAUAUGGAAUAGACAACUGUCUUUCUAUUCCUUUUUCAUCACAUAAUUUUCUAAACUCAUCAGAUAAAUAUUCUCGACAUCGAUCGGAUCUCAACGCUUUUAUUUUCUUGUCUAAUUGAUUUUCUACCAAGUUCAUAAAUCUUUGAAACAACUUAAUGCUUCAGAUUUAUGAGAAAUCAAAUAGACAUAUCCGAAUCGAGUAUAAUCAUCUAUAAAAGUGAUGAAAUAAACAGCCCCAUGCCUUCCUCUCACAUUCAUUGAACCACAGACGUCAUAAUGGAUUAAAUGCAGAGGAAAUUCAGCUCUUUUACCUUUUCCAAAUGGUUUCCUUGUCGUUUUCCCUACUAGGCAAUGCUCACAUAUGGGCAAAUCGCCUUUUUCAAUGUUGCCCAACCAGCCCUCUUUGGCUAAUCUAUUCAUACGUUGUUGGUCAAUAUGACCAUGUCUUGCAUGCCACACAUUCACAUCAUUAUCACAUGAAUUAAGAGAUGUGAGAAGGGAAUAACUAACAUUUGCAUUAACAUAGUCAAUACCUAAUACAAUGAAACCAUCCAGAAAAUAACCACAAGCAUAGUAGUUUGUAUCAAAAUACAAAUCAACACCUCUAUUAUGGAAGUUCAUAUAAAAUCAAACUUAACCAACACUAAAACAGACACUAAAUUUCGACGAGUCUCCGGAGCAUAUGGAACAUCAUGUAGGGACAAGGUGCGUCCACCACGCAUGUUCAAUUGGCAGGUGCCAAUCCCUUUAACUUCAGCUCUAGAGUUAUUUCCCACAUAGAUCCACUUAAUUCCAGUUGGUAUCGUCGGAAUUCCACGAAGAUUCUCUAUCCUUCGUUACAUGGUCUGUCGCUCUUGAAUCUACAGUCUACAAAGGAUUGGAUUCAGCCAAUAAUACAGAACUUGACACAUAAGCAAAGUUCUCAAAUGUACAAGAGGUGUUUACCUUUUCGGCUCACAACAGUUGCGAGCAUAGUGACAUUUCUUAUUACAAUUGUAACACCUCACCCUUGACAUUUUCCUCACUUGAGGACAUUUUCCUCUCUUGUAUUGGUUAACUCUUGAUUUCUUGCAAUAAGGACUUGAUCAUUUGCAUUCCCACAUAUUGAACGAAUCAAUACGCUUGCACUUAGAGCUCAAAGCCCUUUCUAAGCUAGAACCUGCAUUGCAAAUAUCUAUUUUCGACUCAAAUGCCGUUAUGCGGUCCUCUACUAGCUCAAGGUGGCGCACGGCAUCCUCAAGAUCUUCCAUAACAUGGUCAAGAGCUUCCAGUGCUUCUUGCUUUUCCAACAUAUAUUGAAUCUUCAUAUUCAAUAUUUCACAAUUGUUGCCGUUCAUAUCAACAAUUACAUUCUUAUUUGCUGAAACCAUCGAUCUGAACACAUCAGACAUAUAUGCACGAAUAAUUAAUGCCUAUCAUUUAUGCAUCCACUUUGCACAGACCCAUCAUAUCAAUGAACAAUUUCAAAUAAGGUUUCAGAAUCAAAAGGUCAUUACGUUUCCAAUCAUUAUCCAAAAAUCCUAACUUAAAAUUAUUAUUAAUAUAAUUGUCUUAUGCAAAAUAAAUUCUAUGAAGUUACAAAAACUUCUAUGAACUACCCACAGCAGUCAACAAUAACUGAAAGCAAAUAAUAUUUAACAUCCAAUAAUAAUGCUUUCACAUAAUACAGCUAUCCAUUACACUGAGUAAUAUAUACAAAGAAGAAAUAUCAAACUAGAAAGAGAUAUUCACACUCAAAAACAUCUCAAACUAAUCUAAGAAAUAAAUAGGGAAUGUUCCUUCUAAUCUAUCAGUCAAAAUAUCUAAGAAAUUUGAAGGCACAUUUGCCAACCAUGGAAAAACUUUUGGAGAGCUCUCAUGUCGCCUCCAAGGCGCAUUCACUCUGCACCAUGUGGCGCUCAAUCUAAAGGUUGAAGUUUUGGUUAACUCAAUCCUAUAGUACUCUCUAACAAAAGCUACCACUAGCCUCCUAUAACCCGGGACCACGUUGACCUCCCAUAGCCGAUCUAACACUGCUUGCCAUUCAGGUGGAAGAGUGUUCAUCAAAGCCGGCACCUUCUCAAAAUCCGGCAUAAGAUACACAUUCCAAAUGAUUUCCUGUAUCAUCUAAUUAAUCUUGACCACGUGUGAUACUAAAUCACCGCAAUGCCACCAAUAAUUAGCUAACUCUGUCAUUAGCCUUUUAAGUCUUGCACUUCCCUCGUCCGUUCUCGGGAUUGCAGGUAUCCGUGCAUAACGCAUCAUAGUUCCUACAACAAAUGCAGAACUAAAAAUGGAUUACUUAUAAUCCAUAACGUACAUAAGAGAAAAUACAUAAUUUUCCAUAAUUCAUGCAACAAAUGCAGAACUAAAAAUGGAUUACUUAUAAUCCAUAACGUACAAGGGAAAAUACAUAAUUUUCCAUAAUUCAUGCAACAAAUGCAGAAUAAACAAUGGAUUACUUAUAACCCAUAUAGGUAUAAAUGAAAAAGAAACAGAUUCCUUUUUUUUUUUCUUUUUUUUUUCUUUUUCGGGUCAACAGUCAACGGUCGUUGGUCAACGGUCAACGGUGGUCAACGGGUCAACGGUCGUCGGUCAACGGUCAACGGUCGGGUCGCCGGGUCGUCGGACCGGUCGGACUGGUCGGGCCGAGUCGAACGAACCGACCCGACACGUGCCUCGCACACGCGAGCGACCGGUCGUCUCGAGUCGGGUCGCGUCUCGGGUCGGCUCGGUUCGCCGGUCGGGUCGGGUCGCCAGCCGGUGACCGGCCGGCCAACUUUCGCCGGCGAUGACGUCAUCCCAGCGGUUACUGACCGUUGGGUGACGUCAUCACGCGUCGGUUCGCCGACUAGCGCGUGCUGGUUCGCCAGCCUGCGGCGUCACGCAUGUGCCAGUUCGCCGACCGACGCGUGUGGUGCACGCGGUGGCCGAGCCAGGGCUUCAGGCGCGUGGCGCCCACGCGCAGCGGUUUCUGGCCGCGCGUGUGGUCACGUGAGGCGUCGCCCGACGGCGGUCAACCCGUUGACGGAUUCGUCUCGACGAGCUCUUUCACCCUAUGCUAUUAGAAAUUGAUUUCGACUUACGGAAACUCGAAAAAAUGGAUGAAUAGUGUUCGGGUGUCGGGAUUUUUCGCCCCGAUCGGUUUCGGCCGAAUAAUUCCGCGAAAAAUCAAUCAAAAAUCAUUCAUAAACAUGAAAGGGGUCGGGAAAACAUGAACUAGGGCUAUGAUACCAAUGUUGGGAAUGUCGGAUUCCUAAAAACCGGAUUCGACACUAAAUCGAACCCCUAAAACGAAUGCAGAAGACAAGCCCGAGAAAUUCACAUGUAUCACCGAUUCUAAAGCACACCACGGAAUCGAGCGUACCUUGUUAGCCACAGAUUAAACAUCAAUGCCGAUAAGAUUGAGGAAGAGAAAACGAUCUCGUUCGAUCCCAUGACAUCGAUUAGCCUUGAAGGGAAGAUGACGUCGCCUGGGUGCCACUUUUUUUCUUUUUGGAGGGAGAGAGGGAGAGGAACGUACGUUAUGCCAACGGUUGUGUUCCUCCCUCUCUCUUUCUCCUUUUAUACGUCCCUCCAACAGAAAGGAACGUACCCUUUCAUCCAUGGGCCUUAAUCUUGUGGGCCGGGCUUUUAGGCCCAUCAUGGGCGGACGGGCCAACUUAGGCCCAUCACAUAAAACCAUCAGACAUAAACUUCAAUACUUCAAUUCCUUCCUCUGGGAAAAAGUCACAAGCGUCCCAUAUGUAGGAUGCAAUUCUUUUGCUGGUCCCAAUGAAAAAGCAAGCAAUAUCCAAAAAUAUAUGUUUUUGUCUAUAAUCCAAUGCUUCAUAACUUAUCCUUAACUUUUCUUGCACUUUCUUAUGAGGGACUUUUCUUAACUUUUUUAUCAUAUCCCUCCAUAGCAUUGGCUUUUGUCCGCACAAAUAUGAACCUAGAACCUCAAGAGAUAAGGGAAGCCCUCCAGUGGUGGACACAACAUCAUAAGCGAGGUCUUCAAAUUCACUUGGAGGAGAGUCCUUUCGAAAUGCAUGUCUACUAAAUAGAAUCAAAGAUUUAUCCUUAUCCAAUUCCUUAUGUUCAUAGUUGUAGUUCACCCGAGCAUUGUCAAGAAUACUCUUGUUUCUGGUGGUAAUAAUGAUCCUACUUCCUGAAGAAAACCAAUGAUGAUUUCUAGCCAAAGCUUUCAGCUGAUCAUAAUCAUCUACAUCAUCAAGAAGAAUGAGGACUUUCUUACCUUUAAGCAUUAAUGAGAGGAUCUUAAUCCCUUCAUCUUUAUUACGAGCUUGAUUGUCUUGCUUCAAUAUAUCAACGAUUAACUGAUUUUGUAAGCAAUGAAUGCCAAAGCGCUCCCAUGACUCCCUAAUAUCAGCAAUGAAGCUAUGAUACUCAAAUUUAUUUAAGAGCUUGUUGUAGAUGGUUUUAGCAAGAGUUGUCUUGCCAAUGCCUCCCAUUCCAUGGAUGCCAACAAAUAGGGUGUCACAAGGACUUUUAUCUACAAAUUUUAUAAUCUUCUCCACAUGACUGUUAAUUCCAACCAAAUUCUCAGGAAUAUCCAACUCAAACUUUUUUUUCAACUCGCUUAACACUUUCCGGACAAUCGAUUUUACCAAUUCUCCUUCAUACCUAUCAAGUGUAACAAGAGUUCAAAUACAUGGUAAAUAUAAUUUUAUAUUGUUUAUCUAACGAGAGCACAGUAGUAAAUAAGUCUAGGAAUAAAUCCUAAUACUUUAACAAUCAUUUUUGUCCACCUUCAUAUAUUAGCAUACUAUGGAUUGAAAUCAUAUUUCAAACUUCUUGUUGUUGAAGAUAUUAUGGAUGACAUGGACAUGGCUUUGAAAACUUUUUAGAGCGUUUGGAUAAGAAAAAUUCAAUUAGGCAACAUGGUAUGAGAGUUUAGCCACCAAUUAACAAACAGGCUGCAACUUUUGAUGCAAGAGGAAUUUAAGUCUUAUAUACCAAUCCCGAAAGUCAUUCAAAGUGCUUUAUUGUGAACUACUUGAAUACAAUUAGGGGAUUUCUCCUUAUUUGCCCAAUUUUACAUGCUUGCAAGUUUCUACUCGUGUUGUGAAUUUUGAUUCUAAAUUCAUGUUCUUAUCAAUUUCCAUUGCAUCAAGAGUUGAUAACAUGUACUUUACUUUCCUUUUGGUGUCUAUAUUAUAUGUAUUGAUUUUAUUGGGAAGUAGAAGGAUAAAUUUUCGAAAAAAAAAAAAAGAACAUCGCUUUGAUAUAGGAAAAUGCAUUGAAAAUUAUUUGAACAAACGUAUUACAAAGAUAAUCCUUUUUCCUCAACCAUCUCUUUUUUGACUUGCUUAGUUGAAUUACAAUCUCACAUAAAUUUGUAAAUAGAAAAGUUUGUAAUGAAGAUUGAUGUAGCUUACACUAUAAACAUGGGGAAAAAAAGGCACAAUCUAACAAAAUCUUUGGAUAUAAGAGCAAAAAUUCAUUUGAAAAAUCUUAUAUUAUUCAAGCGAUUGUAAUCAUAACAAUGAAAUCUAUAUUAGAUUGGUCAAUAUCAUCUCGUUAAGAAACUGAAAAAAGAUAAUUUACGGAACUUAUGCAUCGCCAUGUGUUACUACUAUAAAAAUCUUGCUGCUAACCAAUAAAAACGAAAAAGAAGCGAGUAGGAAUCAGAUUCAGUAAACACCCUUACAAAUUAAAAGAAAGUACAUAAUGCUUUCGUGAAAGAUUUUACCCAUUAGCGUCCCAUCCUUUCAAGGAACUAACUUCAACGAGUGCUUGCUUCCAUUUAUCGAAAAAUUUUGGGUCGAAACGCCUCUCGCACUUAUGAAAUGCAUCCCCAAAACUCCCGAUUUGAUGUCGCACGUAAGCUGGUUCCACUUUGUAGAAUAUCGGCAACACUAUAUGCCCCCUGUCACUUUUCUUGCACUCCAUUAUUUGAACAAGCUCGUCCAAGCACCAAUUGCUUGAACCAUAAUUUACAGAGAGAAUCGGGAUUAGGAUCUUACUAUUCUUGAUGGCUGUCAAAAGAUCUGGGCCGAUCAUCUCUCCUUGCCGAAUCUCAUUAUUGUCUCUAAAAGUAUGAAUUCCAGCAUCGACAAGCCCGUUGUAGAGGUGAUCAGUGAAACCCUUUCGAGUAUCUACACCUCUAAAGUUCAAGAACAUAUCAUAGUAGUUUCCAAUCAAUGCGGUCAACGAACUAGAUCCACCAGAAUUAGUUUUUGUGGGCGCAGUCAACAGAUCAGACGCACCAGUAUUUGCAUCUUCUGCAUUUCUAUGCACACCGACGUUGCAUUUCUCAAUGGGAGGAUGCAUUUCUUCUUUGCCUUCAAGUGGUGGAAUUUUAAUGCCCAAGAAAAUCCGAGAUGAUACCUGCCCUGGAAGAAGAGAAUAUGUGAGAUGCAGAAGCAAUCAAAUUAAGUAGUACCAAAAAGAAAAAGACAAGUGCCAUCAUAGAAUUAGUCUGGCAAUCCAUUGUGCUAGAUACAUUAUGUUACUACCGCAUUUACGUAAAGGGCAACUGCAAUUACAUCGAUGACAAACGAGGAAUUUUCAUGUUAUGAUUCCUUCAAUCUACGGUCGAGUGAGCACAUGCUAAUUCAAAGAACAAGGCAAGGACAUCAAGGAGGAUUAGCCGGCCAAAACUUUCCAGUAUUAAAGCUGCAGAUCACGCUUAAAGUGGCAAGUAAUUCUCGGCCAGAAGAAAAGUAGGGAAGAAAGAAUGGCUAGAGCCCAUUUCACACGUGGAAUAAAAAAAAUUGCAGAGAAAUCAAGAGUGGGAUAUUCUCUAGGCUGAUCGGUUCUGGUCCGAUCCGGUUCCCCAUUUCUGGAACCGAGAAUUGGAUUGGAGCGACAGGUCUGGUCCGAUUCCCGGACUGUCCAACAAAAACGAUGGACAGUGCUUGUUGGCCAAGUCGAGGGUGAGAAGUCAGAGAGGAUGGUCACGGGAGGGUUGGGGUGGGAGGCAAACCACCGGAGGGAGAGGUGGAGGGUCGAGAUGAUGGGGACGUUGCCGAAGAGACCGAUGUCACGGACGUUCUCGACUCAGCACAUCUCCUGCAUCAAGCAUAUCAAGCAAGGAGAAUCAAGACACUUAAUCGCUUGAACAAAUGAGGUCCAAUUUUGAUGAAACACCCAUGAAUUUGCAGCUUAUUAAGUCUACUUUAGUUUCUCAGAUAACCAUUUUCAUGAUCAGAGCCACAAAACCCGAAAUUGUAAGUCACCUCAGAAAAUUAUGAAACCAGUCCUGUUUGAAAGCUUAAGACGUCUUCUAAAACUUUGUAGUUUAUCAUUUACUGAGAUUCGGUCCAUAUUUUAACGAAAUUGCAGAAACAGCCUUGAAGGUCAGACUGGCCUUUGACAUUCUGACUGGUACUUUGAGAAGACAUUUGACUGAGCAAUUCAAUUUGGAAUUUCAUGAAACUUGAAUGAAUGGAAAGAUCUGGAAGUCUUUUAAAAGUUUGUAAUUCAUGAUAUUUCGAGAUUUUUUCAUGAAUAUCUCCUAAAUCCCAAAAUACCCAGCACGCCUGAUCAGACUUCUAAUUCCAGAUUCAACUUCAAUUUUCUAUUAUCUUUGUCCUAGAUUUUGAGGUGGAUUUGACCUAGUAAAUGAUCUUCAACUUGGGCUUAUAAUCUAUCAAAACGAAGCUUAAAAUGUCAAGAUCAUUUCAUUAGUUAAUUCCUUUUGAUGAUUUGGUCAUUUACUAGGUCGAAUAACCUGAUUAAUCUCAAUGAGUAUCCAAACCUGUGAUACUUCUCAUCAACAAAUCGUCAGGCACACGCAUUUUGGUCCUUUAAACCAAUCCCAUUGACCUUCCAUGACUCAUCACGCACAAAAUACGAGCAAGCCCACAAAGAGUUCUUCAACAGCACUUAUUUGCUACGUUUACGGGGCCUAUAUAAAAGAACCUUCUAACAGUGAUCAUGCAAUACGUCUCAUAUAGCAAGCAUAUGAAGAACAAACCGGCCACAUUUGCUUUACACGAUUGCAUGGAACAAACGAAAAUUUUAGCAUGAAACAGACCUAAAAGAACCGUCUAUCGGUUAUCAAUGGCAUGACGAUCCCAGAACAUGCCCACGGUGAACUCGCCAGCAUCUCGCCACGUACAUAUAUACAUUCAACUUUUACUUCAUUGACGCUGUCACAUAUAAGCAGCAUAUACAAAGGAUAAUGAGCAAGAAAUCUCAGUGUAUAACCACUAGACUCAUCCUCAAUGAAGGAAAACAAAACUCAAGCAAAGCUUCAUUGACAGGAGACAGUAAACGAGGAUCAAAACCUAACCUGAAAUGCUCGCUGUUCUAUUCGAGAAUAUAAUCAAACCUGUGGUAAGCACUUCAGUCAAAGGAUCUGGCUGCAGCUGUGAAACAACGAUUCACAUCCGAAUUAUCAUCAGGACAAGCUCAAGUGACCAACAGAUCCUCAAUUGGAGGCUAUUUUCAAAUAAAUCACAACAAAAUUUCUCAGCCUCAGCUUUAUACAUAGAACAUCAGAACAUAGAACAUGAGUCUAUGCUCAUCAUACCUUGAGUUUCAGUUUUGGAAGAUGAGCAAAUCGAAGAACAGAGUUCCUAGAUAUGUCAAUGAUCGAGAUCAAAGAAUAGAGUUCCAAACAGAUUAAUCUACUAAGAGUAAACUCUAUCAAAGGUGUUCACUAAAAUCCCUAAACUAAAUGCAUACUAACCAAAUGAAACUAAGCUAAAUCUAGCACUAGAUUCUUUUUUCUUUUUUUUCUUUUUAUCUGGUCUUGUCUUAUAUCUAUUUUAUAAGUCACCGUGUGUACUUUGUGUAGGUUAUGAAACCAUAUUCUCUCACUCACAUGUCCCUACCUCAGCCCAGGGAAUCGAACUCAACACCUCCCCUUUUCAAGUGGGAAAUGUGUCUACCGGACUAACCCCUAGUAGUUAAAUCUAGCACUAAACAUAACAACCUAAUCAAGAUCUCUAUCUCUAGCUAUUAUACAAUUUUUUAAUUUAUCGAAUUUUUCUGUUAGAAAUUAUUAUUUUUAUAGUAGAGGGGACUCGGGCUGGUCCUCUGGCCCGGUCUGAAGUUGGAAUGGACGCUUCCGCCUGGCGAGGGCCACAUCUCUAGUAUCAUGGGUUCUGGAUCUUAAGAUUGGGAUAUUAUUGGGCUCUUAAAUCAAGCCCACUCAACUGAACUGAACCAAUUUCAUAAAAAGUCAAACCCAGGCCAAACAUUAAAAAGCUGAGUCAAGCCCGUCCCAAAUCAAACCCAACGUGCAAAGAUUUUUAACCUCACCUUCUCGAGGAAAUAACCAACGCAUGAACAGAAACAAUGGAAACGUACGGAAGGAAAAUGAUGUUGUUGAAAGCUUAUCUCUGGGCACCAUUGAAUGCUUCACUAACUCCUGGCCAUUCCUCACACAUUACCACCACAGAGUCAUCAUCAUAACAAGCUCUGCUGCAACCGCGAAACAUAUAUAAAAGAAAACGUUCAGAUUUGAUUUUGUUAACAAAGAAAUCUAACUGGAAACGUACUCAGCAAUUAAUAGAAAAUUCCUUUCACAUGAAACAUGUUCACAAGUGUUGCAACCCUCUCAAAGCACAUCCGACAGCAAGGUCUGAACCUUUUGAGGGGUUUAGAGGCAUUACUCAUAAGACGGUCCAAAUGAUCUCUCGAUUAUGAGUGCAGGCUCUCCCCAACCACUCUCUCUCAUAACAUUUGGAGAUUUUUUUAAGUUCUUUUUAGCCUAAUUAAAUCUUGGAGUUCCCACUAGCAAUUUGGAAUUGGCUAAAAACCAUAUGAGAUGCAGGAGGCUUGACUCAUUUCCUACGCAACUAGAGAUUCUAAAUACGAGAACUUGAUUACGCUAAUAUUUAUAUUAAUGCCCUUUCGGUGCCUCUAACUAGAAGGUCGUUACUUAAGUGGUUAUGCAUUGUUUUUACCAUUUUACUCUUUUUGCAUUUUUCCUCUUACCUUCUGCCUUUUAUUCUAUUAUUUCCUUUGUUCCCAUCAUCUUCCUCCUUCCUCAGAUGGACGAGCCUCUGCCCUCGACUUCUCAGAACUUCCAUCGAUAAAACCCCAAAGGUGCAUUAAACCAAACCUACUCCCGCAAAUCUUGUCACUGGCAACAAUCGCUAACCUCCGAUCAUCAAACGAAAUGCCGUUACCUGACCACCACAGUCAACCACUCCCGGCCACCGAAAUUUAUCAUCGCCGGCCACCCCAUGAAGUAGGGCAAAGCACAGAACAGAUGGAAGGGAAGUGAACGCAGCAACACUCCCAGAAACGACGCAAUAUGGCAGAAGAUGUGAUGUUCAACAACCAUUAAGAAGGCGUCUUAUCACGCAAAACAUAUAGAUAUGCACUCAAGGUAAUUUACGAUCGGGAAUAAACUGACACGGUUUCGGUUCCUGCAUUUCGUCGGACAUGCAGCGUAAGUGGGCUGAGGAGAAGGUAUUGACCAUUUUUAGACCUCGAACUCGGAUCUAGACUCAAAGAAAUCAUCAAGAAACACUCGAAAUCAGGAGAGAGGAGUAGUGAGAAACGAUGCUGGCUGGAGGUUGUUGGACGGCAACAGUAGAAGUGGCCAGUCGGCUGAGGUCCAGAGAGAAAGAGACCCAAAGAGACAAGCAAAGGGAGAUGCGGGACUGAGAGGAGGGGAAGGCAAAUGGCUCGGUGAGGGGCGCCGGUAAUGGCUGCGACUGGUGGUGGCGACUGAGGCUAUGGACGGAGGAGGGUGGUCGACGGUGAGGUAGAGGUAAGGGGGAAUGGAGAAGAAAAGAGCGGGUGAGAUUUAGAACCAAAAAAAGAGAGUGCGCCUGAGGAUGGAGAUGAGCAAAAAGAAGACCCCGUUUUCUCUUUUCCCCGACCUUGUCUGCAAUAAAUCUCCAUUUUUCAUUUUUAACACUUUAACUUGCUCUAUUUCCACUCCAUCAUUGAUUCUCAACCCCAUUGAUUGAAUUGACUAUAUUAUCCACUGUAAGUCUUACUUUUAACUUAGGUUUAUUUCUUACUUUGAUGAAACUAUCCAUGCUCCUCCUAAACAAAAAUUAUUAAUUUUAGACAUGAGGUCUACUCUUGAUUUUAAUAUUAUCUUUGCCUUUCUUUUCGUCUUUUUUUAUUUUUUCCGUUUCUUUCUCCAUUUGAAACAAAGUUGGUGUACCUCUUUUUCAAAAAAAAAAAUCCAUAAAUAUUAAUUAUUUAACAAAAAAGCUAAUAAUUGUAUUAAUGAGUUGUAUAUUUCUUUUUUUACUAAGAAACUAUUAUUCAAAAAAUAACCUAAGCACAAGUAAAAGGGAAAAUAACUAUCUACCAAUUUUAGCAUGCAUUUUGUUUAUAUGAAAAAAGGUAAAAAAAAAAAUCUUAAAUCAAGAUUAAGAAUCGUAAUGAAUAAUAUAGUCAAUUCAAUGUGACAAAAGUGUUAGGAGGCAAUAAGAAGUGGAAAUAGUGUGCGCUUUUUCUUUUUGUACCCUAUGUGCUUUUGUUGCUGUAAGUAAUCCCAGAUACCCUAUGUGCUUUUGUUGCUGUUGACUAAAUUAUUUUCUUCUUUUUUGACUUUUUUCCGUUUCUUUCUCCAUUUGAAACAAAGUUGGUGUAUCUCUUUUUCAAAAAAAAAAACUGUAAAUACUAAUUAUUUAACAAAAAAAGCUAAUCAUUGUAUUAAUGAGUUGUAUAUUUCUUUUUUUACUAAGAAACUAUUAUUCAAAAAAUAACCUAAGCACAAGUCAAAGGGAAAAGAACUAUCUACCAAUUUUAGUAUGCAUUUUGUUUAUAUGUGUCAUUAUGUUGUAGUUCGCGUAUUUUAACUCUUCAAUUUUCAUUUUAUUUAGCGAAUUUGAUAGCCAAAUCUUUAAUCAUUUUAUUGUGUGACGUAUUAAAUAUUUUAAGUGACCUUGAUCAGUUCCUUUUCAAAAGGAUAGUCAAUCAAACAUGAUUCAAUCUUUCAUCCCUAUUGUGUAAUAAAAAUAUUACGCAAAUUAUGAUAAUUACCUCUUCUAUCGCAACCAAGAAGAACAUAUUUGUCUCUUUUUGACUAUUUUAUAAAGACAACAUAACCUUAAGUAAGAAGAUACGUCCGCAAACUACUUAAGAAAAACUCUCACAUUAGAAAAUUACCUCAUAAUGUUUCAAAUGAACUUGUUGACUUUAUUAAUUAUUGUUUUCCAUUUGCAGUUUCCCCAUCGAUGGAUACAUUUAGGCAAUUAAACAAUAUUGUCUUACAUAGUGACCACAUUGCUGGAAAAAAAAAAGACAAUGCAAUUAAACAUAAGCAAACUGUGUAUAAUGCAUAUAUCAACCACAAUAUCGAAGUUGAAAAAUUCACCAACAUGAGGACAAUCUAAGGAAAUAAAUAAACAAUUUACAAAUAAAACUAACAUUUUUUACUCUAAUGCAUGAUUAGUGCGUCCAGAUUACAAUAUUGAAAUGUAAUUGGUGUAAAAGAAGCAGUUAGGUAAAAACAAAGAUGAAAGAAAUAUUGAAAUGUAAUUGGUGUAAAAGAAGCAGUUAGGUAAAAACAAGGCUUGCGCUAUUUCCACUCCUUACCAGCUCUUGACAUGCCUAUCACAUCUAAUUGACUAUAGUAUCAUUUGCUUUCUUAACUUUUACUAUAGACGAAACUAGUCAUACUCAUUUCAAACGACUUUUUUUAAGGUUAAAUAUAGGGUUCAACUCUCUUGAAAAGAAUAUUUUACCCUAAUCAUAAAUAAUUUUUAUUAUAUUAAUAAGAGACUCAUUAUUCACUUAAAGCAAUAUAUAUCAAGGUAUAUCUUUCAAUUUAUAGUGCGAGGAGCUCCAAGUGAAUUUGUUGACAUGAUUAAUUGAUGUUUUUCAGUUGUAGUUUCAUCAUCAAUAAAUACAUUUAAGUAAUUUGGGUUCUCUUCAAUAUUUUCCACACAUAAUGACUACACUACAAAGAACAAUACAAUGAAAUAUGACUAAAUUGUGUAUAAUGCAUCAAGUAACCACAAUACUCAAUCUUUGAGUAAAUUCUUGUAAAUUUGCAACAAAAAUUGAAAUAAUUUUUUUUUCAAUCAUUAGGAUUAUUUGAGGAAAUGAAGUUAAUAACGGGUGGAAUAAAUUUAAAAGAAGACAAACAUGAAGAAAAGUUAGAAUAAAAUGGGUUUGGAAGUAACGGCUAAAGUGAAAAAAAAAAGUUGUUCGAAAGAGACAUUGGUAGUUUUGUUUUUUAAUAAAAUUGAAACAAAAGAAAAAAAAAUGGUAAGAAACUAUUUUAAAUCAAGGGUAGGACCUAUAAAGGUACCAUAGUCAAAUCGAUAUGAUGAAGGGGCGUGGGAGCUAAUAAUGAGGUGAAAAUAGCACGAGCUUAAAAAUAUUAUUUAAAAUGAAUAUAGAUAAUUGUAUUUUAAUAAAAUUAGACAAAAAAUAAGAAAAAAGGUAAAAAAAAAUCUUAAAUCAAGAUUAAGAAUCGUAAUAAAUAAUAUAGUCAAUUCAAUGUGACAAAAGUGUUAGGAGGUAAUAAGAAGUGGAAAUAGUGUGCGCUUUUCCUUUUUGUACCUUAUGUGUUUUUGUUGCUGUUGACUCCACCCUUGUGUGCAAAGUAAUCCCAGAUACCCCCUUUUGUCCUAUUCAUCCACAGCAACCCCCCCCCCCCCAAACAAAAUAGAAAAACCUAGCUUGGUGACAAGUGGGAAGCUUGCAAGGGGCCCUGUGGCACAAGAAGUAGAAAGGCACGAUCUAGGAUCGAAUUGAGCCGAGCUUUGUCGGGCCUUGGCUUGAGAUCAAUGAAGUAUGUAAUAAUGCAUACAUGUGGUGGCUCGAGCUAGAUCUUGAGCAACAAAGAUAGACAUACAUAUCGUUAUGGUAAUAGAGCUAUGUUACUAGUAUGUCCAUGGAGCAAAUUAUUAGCACACUAAUGAAAUUACUAUCAUGGGUUGAAUUGGUUGACAUAUGCGAAUAACCAUUUUUACUUGGUUUUAAGAUAUCGUUGCCUAUCUUUUCUUCUUUUUUGAUUUUUUCCUUUUCUUUCUCCAUUUGAAACUCACCGGAAAUGCUGAGAAUCAGGAGAGAGUAGUAGUGAGAAACAACGCCGGCUGGAGGUUGUUGGACGGCGGCAGUGGAAGUGCCCGGUCGGCCACAAUGUGCCUAUGAAGACCGCAAACCAUUUCAUCCAACGGCCAUGGAUGAAGGGAAACCAAAAUGGGUGAAAUCUUCCACGUAAUCUUCGGCGGAUUAGUGAAUGGAGAGAGAAAAUUCCCUUGGGUGCUUUUUUCUCUUUCAGUGACAUGAAAAGAUUCAACUUUGAGCGCCAAAAACGACCACUAUCAUGACACAUUUUGACUCGCCAUUUUGGGGAGAAGUCGGUCGGUUUCGUUGCAAAAUAAAAUAAUUUUUAUAUAUUAACUUGACUUUGAGCGAAUCAUGAGAGGCCUGGCCUGUCGUUACAAUAAAAGGGAAUUGAGACACAAGUCCACAGGGUGCCGAUUACGGAUUGAUGUAUUGGAAUUGAACAUGCAUAUGUCGUCUAUGUGAGCCAUCAAUUAAGAACUUAAUCCUAAACAGCAUGUGAACCCACUGAAUGACGUGCUGUAUGAAUAAUACAAAAAAUUAUUAAUGUGGUCUAAUUUUUUGUUUUCUUUUUAAUUAACAAAAAUACAAAUGACCCUAAAUUUCUACAAAUUAAAUGGAUUUCUAUUAAUCUUUAAUCAUGCUCGAGUAAAAUUGAUACGUAUGACCUAAUGUUGGCACUUGAUUUUUGCUGGCCAUUCAACUUUCCAUUCUCGCAAAAAAGAAUAAUUAUGAAAAAUAGCAAUGAUCUUCGAUCUCCAUUCUUAUCAUAGAGAAUUAUACAGGUUAGCUAUGAAAAGCUCCUCUCUGCAAUGGAGAUUUCUCUCUACCGACUGAGUAGUCCCCUCCUACCUCACGGGUAGGUUUUCCCAGUUCUAAAUCAACUCCCUGCUACCCAUCACUACUGCAUUUCACCAUCAUAUUUCCCAAUCCCACAGAAUCGCGUUUUAAAGAGGAUGGGUCGAAAAACCCUAAGUUCAUUCCUCUUCCGGCUACACCAAAACCUAUCCUCAUCUCAUCUUAGUUUCUCCUCUACGCGCUUCAUCUCGAUCUUCAGGCAAAUCUCUUCCAGCUGGUGCUGAUUUCUAGUUCUCCCGGUCGAUCGAACCAGACCUCCCUUCAAUUGCAAAGGAUUCAUCGUCUCGCUCUUGGUGGUUUUGCUACUCCAUCAGGUCAGUUCUGAAACCCUAUUGUGACCCUGUUCCUGCAAUCGAGAAAUGGCCAAUCCAUAUGAGGAAGAAAGGCAAGUGGCUGCCCUCUGUAAGAGUCUGGGCAAUCUUUGGUCAGAUGAAGAUGCAGUAGAAAUCACGGGUGAUGUUCCUAAAGAAAACUUGCAGACUUGUCGAAAAACUCUGUUUGGAAAGUUUUUCAAUAAGACCAACAUCAACUUCAAUGGUUUUAUGGGCACAAUGCAAAAAGCCUGGCGAAAUGAAACUUUCACUUGUGCUGCUAUUGAACCGGGUUAUUUCCAAUUUUUGUUCCAAUUAGAGGAUGAAAAACAGCGAGUGCUUGAUUCAGGGCCGUGGUCUUUUGGGCACAACCUUCUAGUCUUAAAGCAAUGUGAUCCCGACACCCUUGAUAUCUGUUAUGAUUUCAACAAGUGUGAUUUCUAGGUAAAUUUAUUUGGUCUACCCAUCGGGAGAGUAACAGAUGCAGUCGUCAGAGAAAUAGCAUCAAAAAUUGGAGAUGUAGUAGAUGUCAAAUUAGUAGCUAAAGGGAAUAGUAACUACAAAGUGGGCAGGGCUAGAGUAAAGUUGAAUCUGGAAACCCCUCUCAAAACAGGUGUAUUGGUGAAUUUUGACAGAAAAAGACUGUGGGUUGAAUUUAAGUACGAAAGACUCCCGAGUUAUUGUUAUUCAUGUGGGAAGAUCGGGCAUUAUGCAACUAACUGUUCAGAAAUUCCAUAUGAGGAAACAAGGUUAGCAAAGAACUUACCAGGUAGGUUUGGGCAUUGGCUUCGCGCAAAGGCACGCGAGCUGAGUCCAUAUGGCAAAAUUUUCUAUGGCAAGCAAGAAAUACAGCUAGAGGAGGAGGAAAGUGUGCCUGAGACUCCCAUUCAGCCAACCCCUGAACCAGAACAGCAUCAGAAUGUAAUGCAGCAAACCCAACCACUUGGCAAUUUGAGCAAUAAUGAAACCUUCAACUUACAGGAAUACCACCACACUAUCUCUUCACAAGAAUUAGUACUCUUUGCAGAGAAGGGCCCCCAGAAGCGAGGUAGUAGCUGCCUUGAUGAUGAAUCUAUCAUGGUAAUAUAUCAGGAACAGUUAAAAGAGGCUAAAGUAGAAAUGGCGGAGAAGAUAGCUAAGGAAAAAAGCCAAACAAGGGAGAAAGCAAGAAGUACUAAGCUGUCCUCCUCAAAAAAAAAGGGAAAAGAUUAUGUCCCUAUGGUGCUCAAUCAUCAAAAUCAGUAAUGGUCGACACUACCCAGCUGGUUGAAACUCCUAUUCGCGUGGCAAAAAAGUCUGCUCAGUGGGCUCUGGUGGCUAGCCCUAAUAAGCCACCAACUCAUCCAUAAAGAUUCUGAGCUGGAACUGUCAAGGGCUGGGCACCCCAUUGACAGUUCAAGCGUUAAGGGUCUUAACGACUCAAGAAAGACACAAUAUUAUCUUUAUGAUGGAAACUAAAAAUCAGGAGCAGAAGGUGUUAAAUUUGAGGCAGAGACUCCGUUUUCAGCAUUGUUUUAUAGUAAAUCCAGAGGGAACAGCAGGGGGUUUAACAAUAUUUUGGGACGAAGAGGUAAUCCUAACCAUAGAUUCCUUCACAGAACAUGUUAUUUUCACCCAAUGCCAUCUGCCCACUAGCAACCAACGCAUGCAUAUCUCUUUUAUACAUGCACCGAAUGACUUUAAGGAGCGAAUACUGCUAUGGGAGCAUAUUAAUAGAGAGAGUAAUCUUUAUCAUCUGCCAUGGUUGUGUAUCGAGGACUUCAACAAACUUCUUUAUCAAUGGGAAAAAGUGGGCAAGAAAAGAGUUGAAAAUUACUGGAUUGCAGCUUUCAGGGAUUUCCUCAAUCACUGUUCUUUGCUGGAUAUGGAAUGCAAGGGGUGCGCAUACACCUGGACAAACAAGAGACAGGGAGAAAAUCUGAUCAAGGAACGUCUCGACAGAGUAUUAUGCAACUCAGAUGGGCGAAUUAAAUAUCCCAAUGUAGAAUGUAUAGCCAUACCAGCAAUUAGCUCUGAUCACACUCGAAUUAUUCUAUCCACUUGUCCAGCAAACAAACGGAAGAGGAAGAUUUUCAAGUAUGAAGCUUUUUAGGCAGAGGAGGAGGAAUGUAGAGCAUUGUCAGAAACACAUGGGCUGAUCUACUUCCCAUCAGCUCAAUGUGGCUGAGAAACUGCAUAAUGUGGCAAAAAAGUUGGUUAAAGGGAGCCAAGGAAAAUUUACUAAUGCAAAGAAGAGGCUAACUUGGCUGAAUAGUGAACUACAAAAACUAAUGAAUGGUGCAGGGGUUCCUCAAGAAAGCAAGGCAGCUAAGGAACUAACAAAAGAAAUCGAACAGUUGUGGCGACAAGAAGAAAUGUACUGGGGAAUGCGUUCUAGAAUUAAGUGGUUAGCUUGGAGAGAUAAAAACACUAAAUUCUUCCAUGCUACAACCAUUCAAAGAAGAACCAGAACCAGAUUGCACUGCUGAAAAAUUCAGAAGAUGAAUGGGUGCGAAAUGAACAACAACUAAAAGAGAUGACAAACACAUAUUUCAAAAAGUUGUAUGAAUCAGCAGGACCACACAACUUCCAGCCCCUUCUACAACAAAUACCAACCUCGGUGAAUGCGGGAAUGAACCAACGACUAGUAGAACCUGUUUCUUUGGAAGAGAUCACGCAAGCUAUGCAACAAUUAGGAGCCUAUAAAGCUCCAGGACCGGAUGGUAUGCACGGUCUCUUCUUCAAAACUCACUGGUCAGACAUCUCUCAGGAUAUUUAUACAGAGAUACAGGGUUUUUUUAACACGGGCUAUCUCAAUCCAGCUAUGAACAGCACACUUAUCACCCUUAUUCCCAAAGUUCCAAAUCCAUAAAAGUUGGAACACUUUCGCCCCAUUAGUCUGUGUAAUUUCAUUUACAAAAUUAUCUCAAAAGUGCUGACAAAUAGAUUAAAACCCCUGCUACCAACUCUAAUUGCUGAGGAGCAGAGUGCAUUUGUGGAAGGAAGGCUAAUACAAGAUAAUAUAUUGCUGGUACAGGAAGUUCUCCACAGAUUACGAACCCGGGAGAGAAAAAAGAAGUUUCAAGCACUCCUAAAGCUAGAUAUGCAGAAGGCGUACGACAGGAUCGAAUGGGAUUUUCUUAGUGCAUGCCUAACCAAAAUGGGCUUCUGCGCACAGUGGGUACAAUGAGUGAUGCAAUGUGUCUCAACUGUUACUUUUAGUGUGAAUUUUAAUGGGGAGUCGCUACCAUCUUUCAAGCCUACACGUGGAAUUCGACAAGGUGAUCCUCUCUCCCCAUAUCUAUUCAUAUUAGUAGCCAAUGUUCUAUUCUAUAUGAUGGGUAAAGCUAUUGAAGAUGGCACUAUUAGAGGAAUCCAGUUGAAUAGUAGAUGUCCCACUCUCUCACAUUUACUAUUUGCGGACGACUCAAUUUUUUUCCUCCAUGGUUCAAUCCUAGAGUGUCAAAACCUGGCUACAAUUCUACAUGAAUAUUGUUAUGCUUCUGGCCAGGCCAUCAAUUUAAACAAAUCUGGUAUAUACUUCAGUAAAUGCUGUCCACCAACCUUGAGGCGCAAUAUGGCCAAUGAACUGAGAGUUUCAGAAAUUGAAAAAACAGGGAAAUAUCUAGGGAUCCCGACGGAUUGGGGCUGCUCAAAAAAAGACAUGUUUGCGUGGAUACUUGCAAGGAUAAAUAGAAAGCUAGAAAGCUGGAAGGAACAUUUGUUAUCAAAAGCAGGGAAGGAAAUUUUGAUAAAAUCAGUUGUUCAGGCCAUCCCUCAAUAUGCCAUGGCCAUAUUCAAGAUCCCUGUUUCUAUAUGUAAAGCUAUUGAGAGGAGGAUUGCAAGCUUUUGGUGGAAAAAAAACAGUAAAAACGCUGGAAUUCACUAGAAGAGUUUGGAAGCUUUGAAAAUUAGAAAGAAGGAGAGAGGCCUAGGUUUCAAAGACCUAAUUGCUUUCAACACAGCUAUGUUGGGCAAACAAGCGUGGCGCAUCUCACAAACUCCUCAGUCCUUAUUGAGCAGAGUGAUGAAAGGCCUCUAUUACCCUCAUGGAGACUUCUGGAAAGCUGGCCACGGAUCCCGACCUUCAUGGGGUUGGCAAAGUAUAACUCGGGGUAUGGAUUCUAUCAAGCCACACAUUAUGUACUCAGUUGGGAACGGAAAAAAUCUAUCAAUCAGAACGGAUAAAUGGAUAAUAAGUGGUCCAAUUGGAGGCCCGGCAACAAAAAACGAACCAGAACAUGUGGCGGCUCUAAUUGAACCUGGAAACAGCAAAUGGAAUACCUAGCUAGUGGAGUCGAUGUUCGAUGACAGAAUCGCUAAGGAAAUACUUGCUACACCUAUUGGAGGGCCAGACUCAACAAACAAACUAGUCUGGAUACAUAACAACUCUGGUAUCUACUCAGUGAAGAGCGAUUAUCACACAGUCAGAAAAUAUCCAGCAAGUAUAGGCCAAACAGCAACCUCAUCGCAUCACGUUAAUCCAGAUUUAUGGAAACUGAUUUGGCAAGUAAAAACCCUCCCAAAAAUCAGGUUUUUUCUCUGGCAAGCUUCCCAUAAUGCUCUAUUAACACGGGAAAAUUUAUAUAGAAGAAAGAUCGUACCGGAUCCCAUCUGCCCCAUCUGUAGCAAAGAGGCUGAAACCAUUGAACAUCUCCUCCUACUCUGUCCAUGGACAACCCUGAUUUGGAGUUCCGCACCUCUGCAGAUCAAGAUAUCAAGAUAUGGGUUAACUUGCCUUGAUGAUUGGCUCGUUAAAUGUAAAACCAACCCUCACCUUGCGAAAUAUGUUCCUCUUCGAGCGGCAUCCCCUACACCCGCAGCAGGUUGUGUUCCAGGCGCAAAUCCUCCACGAGACUCUCAGUUCCGCGACCCAACAAUAGGAGAAAGAAAGGAGGCUUACCGCUAGACCUGAUCGAUGGCUACCACCGCCCCCUCAUAUGCUGAAAGUUAACAUAAACGCCUCCUUCGCCGAGCCCAACGCUGCGGAAACAGAGAUCGGAGGAAAAUCACAAAACAGAGCUGCUGUUGCGUGCAUCUGCAGGGAUUACCGAGGAUGUUUGGUGGAUGGGUUCGUGAAAGUGGUGGAGGCGACAUCGGCGGAACAGGCAGAAGCUUUGGCUCUGCUUGAAACCCUAGAUCUACUUGCAACCCGUGUGGAACUCUCUCUGGAAGUACAAACUGACUGCUCUUCACUCGUGCAAGGACUUACUACUUCGACGGAAGUGAACUGGCGAAUUCAACCUCUCCUGGACCGGGCCCGAGCGAAACUGCAGACAUUCAGGGACAUUUCUCUGGCCCACUAUGGUCGAACAACAAACCGGCCCGCUGAUUGGCUUGCAAAGGCCUGCCAGUGUAAUUUUCUUCCCCCCAAUUGGUUGUUCCACCCCCCGCCUGCUUUUCUAGACUUAUUAUGCACCGAUGCUCUUGAUGUAAUUGUCCAAAACAGUGACUAAGUAAUCAAUCGUAUAACGUAUUUCUCGAUAAAAAAAAAAAAGAAUUAUACAGGUUAUGAAAAAUAGCGAUGAAAAAUAGGAAUGAUCUUGGUUCCGCAUAACUACAGAGUCCAAUUGAUUCUCCAUAUUAGUCAUUCGUGUGCUCUCAUUUUCAUUCUCCAUUCUUGUUGUUGAAUGCGUUCAAAUAGAAGAUUUUCCUUUGGCCGUUUUGCAUUACCUUGAUUUUGCAAAAUAAAGUCAAAAGAGAUGAAGGUAGUAUAUGGAAGAGAAGUGGAAACAAUACAGCUCUUCAAAAUUCAUCCUUUCUUAGAGUGACUCUUGUAAAAGUCCAAUCUCUUAUCAAAAUUUCUUUAUAAGUUCGAAGAGGUAACGCAUGGUGAUUAAUCAAAAUGCCCAUUCCAUAUUCCAUUAGAACUUGGUAAAAACACACGAAAGGGAGGCUUUCACUAGUUACAUCAAAAUUUGCAAAAGACAAUCCCUAUACAUUCUCUGAGAAUUGGAAAGAAAUUCCUAUAAAUUGUUACUAAAAUGCGUAAAAGGAAGUCCUAUACAUUCUGUUUAAAUAAGUACCCACUUAACAGUAAUUUUGACAAUUUCAGCAUAAUAGGCAAGAGUCUUUUGGAAUUUUCACUGAACAUAGUGAGACCAAAGCGAUGAAAUUUUUUCUAAACUCAGAAGCAUGAAGAGAUGAUAUAUCAUAAAAUAAAGUAAUUAUUAACACAACACGUAACUCUCACCCUUCUUUGUCAUGUCUAUCACUUAGUCUAUCUUUUCGCACGAUUCUCACAAGUAUAAUCAUCAAAUCGUUAAACUCUCACCCUUUUUGUCGUAAUAAAAAAGAAUAAGUUGAUUCAUAGUGGAGGUCAUCGUGCUUUCUAGCUAUGAUUAUAUAAUGUUGUUGAUUUUCCACUGACUAGCUAACUCCAAGAUCAGAAUGCACUACGUAUCCGUUCGAGAGAAAUUUUUUGAGCGGAAGGAAUGCUUACAAAACUUUUUUCUUACUACUUACAAAAAGCUCAAUAUCGGACGUGAUUCUAACAAAGAUGAGCUACCCUAGAAUCGGUUUAAGUGGUCCAUGUGUUUGGAUUUGGUAGAGGGAGUUAGCAUCAUGGGAGUUCUCGGGUGAGCGUGCCCACGGUCGGGGCAACGAUGCCGUGUUUUCGGAGUGCAACGUCAACAUUGGGAAGCCAAAAUAUUAUCCUUGAUUCAAAGACAAACCACGAAGAAGAUACAUGCGAGUAAGGAUACAUCAAUGAAGGGCAAUUUGAUAAAUUAACUAUAAAGGGGUGUUUUUAAUCUAAGAAUUUUAGCACCACCCUUUUUGCAAACUAAUCUUAAUAAACAUAACAUUUUUCCUUUUUCCCAUUAAUUUUUCAACAUAUAACUUACAAGCAGGCCCAACACCUUGGUACUAAUACAUAAUAUUUAUUUACCUCCAAAAUUCGGGGGAAUUUUUGCGUAAUUUUUCAACAAAUUUAUCAUGCAACAUCAAAUUUGUAAAACAUUUGUAAGAAGAUUGUGGCAUAAUUAGGUAUGUCGAGUAUUGAAAUAUGGAAGCCAAACUUAUAUUCCAACUCAAAAUCUCAAAUUUCCCAUUGAUGUCACUCAGGAACUGCAAAACAUAUGGUCCAUAAUCAUAGUGAGACCUUGACAAUUGGGGUGGACCUAACCUAAUGUUGCCAAUUUAGAAGGAGCACAAGAAGGCUCAUCAAUUUGUCGUAGUGAUUUUUUGUCUCUCUCUCUCGAUAACCCAGCAACUUCGGUAUUCCUUUUUCACUUAACGAGUUUUUGACUCCCGAAUAUCCAGCUGACUAAUUAAUUCUUUAUAACGUAUUCUAUUUUUCUUUGACAAAUAAGACAGCAGUCGUUGGCGUUUUCCCAGGAUUUUACGUAAACCUCUCUGAGAUAAAUAAUCUUUUCGGUGCAAUUCCAAAUGUGAAGUCAGUCUUCGUAUCUUAUUGGUGAAACAAAAUACUUGAAAUUCAAUGGACCCCCUGUUUUCUUCUUUUUCUUCUUCUUGUGAAAUAACUGAGAUGAAUGAAUUUUUUAAAACACCCUUCGAGCCCUAUAAUUCAGUUAAGUUGAAGCCUUUGAUCCGCAUGGAUCGCUUGACAGUGAGUAACUCGCACGCAAAUGAAAUCAUUUAAACAAACGACUUCCAAUUAUUGAACUACAACCAUUAUUGCCCUAAUAAACCACGCCAACUUCGAGGGUCUAGGCAGGUUUUUUUCUUAUAAUCUUUUUCGUAGAAAUGUAACUGUUGUUUGGCCCUCACUUUUUGACAUGAGUAUGAACUUAAAAGAGCCAGUUAUAUUAAAGUAAUUAUGUUAAAGUUGAGUUGUAUAUCUUCUCAUCUACUAUGAUCUGGCCCCAUUACGCUAGAUAUUGGUGCACGGACUCAUUUAAUUUCUAUUCAAAGUUACCACCGGUAUGAGAAUGAUAUAUAAUUAUUUUUAUAUCAGAGGUGUAAUAGUCAAUCUACCUUAUGAUUGGAAAGAUAAAUGUUUGUCUGUGAUUAUUUUUAAAUAGUAAUUUCUGCAUAUAAAAAUUUUAUGAUGUGUAAUCCUAUUUUUUCAUAACGAGCUGAGGGGUAGGUAUUGUUGGCCUAGAAGAAGCAAUAAAUUGGGCUUUAUUGAGAUCAAUCAGGCGCCUAUUAUAAAGUAUUUGAAGUGAGCCACUAAGUACUAUACAUCAUUUGUGAUCCGAAGGUUCUCUCUUCUUCUGACAAUUGAGGUCACGAGUGUUGGUCACUUGACUACCUUAAAGCUCAUGAAAUAUUUUGCAAGCUUCAUGCAUAUAUUAAGUCCAUCUAUUUGGCCAAUGCAUAUAGCUUAAUCUAGCAUUUGGGCAUGGUUGGUGGAGUUCAGAUGGCUGACCUGUGGUUUCUUAAUCGGAAAUUCCCCCAAUUCCUAAUCAAUUGCACAAACUUUGGGGAUUGCAAAUGUUCAAGAAUAGCAAGCUUGUUAUUGUCUCCUUAUAGGCAUGCUGUUAAUUAGAAAGUUUCUCCGCAAAAACAGAUGUCGUGCCUAAACAACAUAGCACGAGCUGUUUGGAGAUUUAUUCAUAACGUGAAUCGCGCUCAUGACCCCAUGGAAGAUGGCCCAUUUAACUCAGGCCAACAUAUUGAAGGUCGGUCCUUCUUUUUUAACUUUUUGGUAAACUUAUUAAAGAUUGGUCACAGUUAACAUGAAGCUUCUUCAUGCAACCUUAGUAGGGUUAAAGAUGGACGGUAUCAACUGAGCUCACAUUUGAUGAGAUUUAAGCACCUUCAGUGUGAAUCUACUUUUGGAAAAUGCUGCUGCAAUUCCACACCCCUCAUAUGAAUUAGUUUUUUCUAUAAGCUCAAUAAAAUAGCUAGCGAUAGUUUAACCACGGGCAUCAUGGGAAACCUUUAUGAUAAGUUAGAAUUCUGAAUCUGUGGGUGCGUUUGUUUCCAAAAAAGAAAAAAAAAGUUUCAAGAUAAAAGGACAAUAUUUUACAAAAAAUCGGUUUUUCUUGAAAAUAUUUUUUUCUCUCUUUUCAGGUUAGGGAAUUUGUUUUCCUACUUUAAGAAUACAUAUGUUCUUCAACUAUAAAUAAAUUUUCUGUUGACUAACUUGGACGCCCUUGCCCCAAAGAAAACGUAUAUAUUAAUUAUUAUAAUAUUUAUUUUUCUAUGUUAAGACUACUGCUAAAAGUGAAUCGUGAAAUCAAUGACUUACUGAGCCACCAGAAUCACUAACUAAUACUAAUCUAAUAUUAAUAAAAUAGAACAUACUUAUAGAAUAUAAGAAAACUGUCUGUUAUGUAUACUUCCCCAGUAACACACCCUAUAUUGACAGUUGGGCAAUAAUUUGCUAUAUUACGAUGGUGGUUUAUGCCAUGUAAAACUUCCAAAGCCAAAGCAAUGAGUAGUAGGGUAGUGCAACCGGUCCAACUCUACUCGAAAAUUAGAUCAAACAGGCCAUAGAAACAGGUCCAAUUUCUAGUUCCAGUGGAAACAACUUCAGCUUUAAGUUCUAAAUUUUUUGAACCAAUAGCAUGUGGUUAGGUUUUAGGUUUUGGGUGCUAAACCCAUCCAUCCAAGAAUCGGUUAGUACAUGUUCUAUGAAGUUGGAAGAAGAUGAUUUAUCUUUCUUAAAUGAGUUUAAUUUCCCUAUUAAUUUAUAUUUUUCUUGUUUUACAUCGAUAUUUUACUUUGAUCCAUUUUGUUGCUGAUACUAUUUUCUUGUGACAAUUAUUUGUCUAGCUUUUUAAAAAAUGAUGAAGCCAAAAAAAAAAUCGCUUCCUAGGCAGGCCCUAGAAUCAUAAUGGACAAACAAGGUAAGUUCUAGGUUUGAUUCCAAAAUAAACGCGAUAGGUCUCAGGUUCAAAAACUAAGAAUAGUUCUAAUAAGAUAGGUUUGAAGUUCCGAAACCUAGAACCUACCUAUCCUCAAAUCGAUUACCCCUAAUUAGUAGGAAAUUUUCACCAAGACUUGAAUUAGCAAAAAAGAAACAGACGUUAGGAGUAGCUACAAUUUUGCACUGAAAAUUCAACUUAAAGAUGUAUUUAAGAUAUGAGUUCUUGCAUUAAUUUUACAAUAACGUAACAAUGAAUUUGAAUUUAUAUGUCCGAUUGGUCGAGUGUAAAUUAUGGACUAAAGUGCUUACUUGACGUUCUACAUGUUUAAAAAAAGAGAGAUAAAAAAUAAGGAUUAUUGAAAAACAUAGUAAAUAUUAAAAACAUUAACAGAAAGGGAAAUUCGAAAGGUUAAAAAAAGGUAUGGACAAGGGAGGGAAGUGGCGCACUGUUGCUUGACUUUAGUAGAUACCGACCGGGUGUUGUGCGACCUCGGUGAUCCAUGAUUAGGGUUACACAGCCCCAGCCCAAAUUAAACCUUGGCUAGUGUCGCGACCUCUUUUUUUCUUCGGCGCCCGCAAUCGGGUACGAGCGCCUAAGGAGGCUAAUGGCUCGGUUGAAUUAUUAAGCCCGGACUCUCCCAAGUCCACCAAUUCACGACUUAAUGGUUCAAGUUUUUAACCUGUAAUUCAAUUUUUAAAAUGGAGUCGCCACUAAUCGAUUUGGAGUGGGUUGAUUAGAAACCCAAGUGAAGUAUCGAGAGAAAUACUCACUCCUGCGCAACCAGAGAAAUUAGGAUCGGGGACUUGAUUACACUAGUUAAUCACUAAUGCCCUUUCGGUACCUAAUCUUAUUUAAACCCUGAGGUUUUUUGGAUGUUCGAGGGAUUUUCCAUGCAUUUUUUGGAGGAAAAACAUUUUUUGAGUCAUUUUCUAAUUUUUUGGACACAAAUGGGAUUUUUUGGGGUUUUUUUGGGUAUUCUUUUGGAAAAACACAAGUCUUUUUGGCAUUUUCAUGAAUUUUUUGGCCUUUUUUUGGAUUUUUGGCUCUUUUUUUUGGAAAAUAUGGAAUAUUUUUUAUUUUUUUGAUUUUUUGGAAAAUAAAAUAUUUUUUAAUAUUUUUCAAAACAUUUUGGAAAAUAAAUUAUUUUUGAUUUUUCUCGAUUUUUUAGAAAAUAAAACAUUUUUCGACAUUUUUUAAUAUUUUUCGAUUUUUUGGAAAUUAAAACAUUUUUAAUAUUUUUUGUAAAUAAAACACUUUUUGAUUUUUUUUUUAAAUAAAAUAUUUAUUAUUUUAUAUUAAAAUAACAAAAUAAAACCGACCCGGGUCGGAUCCGCGGGUUGGGUCCGACCCGGGUCGGCGACCCAAAUGCGGGCCCGACUCGGAUUUUUCAUCUUUUCUUUUCUUUUUUUUUUUUUAAAAACGACGCCUUGGCCGGGCGUUUGGGGACGCCAGGCCCGGCCCGACGACCCGGGUUGCUAGCGAAACCCUACCCGGGUCUGACCCAACUCCCGACCCGGUUUCCGCCGCCCCUUAAAUCGCGGAAACCCUACCCGCUUUCCAAACCCGGAUCCGCUUCGUGACCCGGAAAUCGCAAACCCUAGGGUUUGCGAAUCCACGGCGCCGAAGGGGGAGAGGGCCGAGGCACAACCGCGGGGACGACAGCGACGGCGGCGGCGACAGCGACGGUGGCGGUACGUUACCUGUCCGUGAACGGCAGCUUGAACGGCGAACGAUGGCGACGGCGGCGGCUACGACGGCGGAGGGUGCCCGAACUCUGCUCCCUCCCUUUGAUCUGGGCUCGCGAGCGUCGAGCCUCCCCUGAAGUCUCUCGGGUGAAGCUUGAAUGCUCGCGGCUUCGAUCUCUCUCCUCUCUCUGCUCUCGAGUUCUCGCAGAUCUGGGUUCGCUCGCCGCCGGCCUCCCCCGAAGUCUCUCGGAGGGAGGUCGUUGAACUCGCGACCCGACCGCUUCACCCUUGCUCGCUCUUUGAGUUCCCCGAAGUCUCUCAGGGGAUCUCUCGGAGCUCGCAGGCCUCUCUCUCUUCCGGCCAGAUCCGAGCCUCCACCGGCCGGAUCUGACCCCCUCGGACUCGCUCGCCGGCAGCCUCCCCCGAAGUCUCUCAGUGGGAGGUCAGCCGAACUCGCGACCCGAGUUCUCUCUCGCUCGCCUUCCUCUCGCUCGCUCUUCAACCUCCUCCGAAGUCUCUCAGGAAGAAGUUUCCAAGCUUGCGAUCUUCUGGCGUGCCCCUUCGACAACGGAAACGGGGGCCUAUUUAUAGGCGAGGGAGCAGCCGGUCGACGGAGCUUCGACCGCCGGUCCCCAUGCGCCAAGCGGCCUCCGCCGGCCGAACCGGCGUCCCAUCCGACGCCAGCUGCCCCUCCCACGUUCUUAUCCAAUGCCAGCCGCCCCCUGCUCCACGUGCGCCAUUGUUGCUCCUCCCCUCCGCUCCGGCGUCGCGCCCUUUGCGCGUGCGCUGCAACUGCGCGAGGAAGAAGAAGAAGUGGGGGGGGCUGGGCUGAGACGAAAUGGGCCGAGGGCCCAUACAAAGGCUGCUCUUUUUUUUGUUUUUCUUUUGCUUUGCUUUGCUGUUUUUAUUUCGAAAAAAGACAAGAUAAAUAAAAUAAAAACUUAAUUAAUAAGAUAAAAUAAACUUAAUUAAAAUUUGAGGCGUCAACAGCUAGCGUCUCGCGACCCCAACUAGGAGUCUAGGACAGUGGCCUCUCUCCCUCCCUCUCUCUCUCUCUCUCUGGCUUUGCUUCUUUUUUUUUUUUUUUUUUAAGAACAAGAUUUUGUCAAUAUUUUAUCCAGCCUAAGAAACUCGCAUGUAAGCACCAGAUUGCCCGGUCAAUGCUAACGUCGUGCCGAUGUGUCAACUCGCCUUAGUAUUUUCGGUUUUUGUUAUAACAAAACAACCAAUUCAAAUAUUAAGAAAAAGAACAUAUAAAUAUUAAGAAAAAGAACAUAUACUUUAAAGACCAAGUUGCACAAAAAGCAUAUAUCCCUAAUGUGUUUAAUUAAGAAUCUUUUUAUAUUGCAAUGCAAGGGCUUUUUAUUAACUUGAUCAGUCCAUGAUACGGCGCCGUCCAAUCCGACGCGAUGCAACUCCUGCCUUACGUCUUCACGUCGACUCUCUCUCUCUCUCUCUCUCUCUGCUUUCAUUUUCAACAAGCGUACCAGGAAAGCCAAAUCCCAACUCUCUCCAACGGACCCAUUGUACCGUUAGUUAACCCAGCUUUUGUUUUGCGUUCUCUGCUGCUUUGCGUGCGUGCGUGCGAGUGACGAGUGUUUGCUAGCUAGUUUAGCUCUCUUUAGGUUAAGGUAAUGUGGUGCUUCGCGUCAGAUUUCUCUCCUUUUGGGUGGUGGUAGGGGAUGCUUUUGAUUCGAGUGUGUCUGAAAGAGGAGGGAUUCUAAGUCCGAACAGGAAUCGAUUUUGGGUUUGUCCGUGCCGUGUUGAGGCAGGGAAUUAGGAUAGUUCGGAGGCAUUGAGGCGUUUGUUGUCUUUUUUUGAUUUCUGAUGCAGUUGAAUGAUAUAGGAUCUUGAACGGACUCCUUGCAUGGUCAUAGCGUUUUGACCACCGAUCCAAUAUGCACAUCUUGGUGCUGGAUGCUGGAAGAGGUUUCUCUUAAGGGGAGAGAGAGAGUCGGCAUCUAAUGGUAUCGUUGUAGAUGUUAGUCUGAUCUUACAAUUUUUGAACUGUUACUCAUUUGGCAGUUUUAUCGCCCGACUUUCCGGUUGAUUAACAUGAGCGACAUCGUGGCUCGAUUCUUGUCGAUAACAAGAGGAGUAGCGUGGUGUUGUUUUUUCCUUUGUCGAAGUGACGGAGUUCCCCCGCUGCUUUCCUUUCCUUUACCGCCAUCUCGUGCGAUUGAGGAUGUGGCAUUCCAAUCAUUUCCUAGGAACAAGUCGCUCUUAUCCAGUAUAUGUUAUGGACAGUGUUGGCCGAUAGGUGUACAAGUAUGUAAACUGUGAGUGUGGAUUAAUAGUGAGAUCCAUCUAAGUUUCGAGGGUGGAACUACUCAAAACUUUAUCAUAGUCUAUUUUGAAGAUUACUAAUGGAAUCUAGUCUUACUGCGGCUAUUAGUUUAGGAGACUAGACAUAAGCUUGAUAUAAGCCAAAUCAUGAUAAAUCUAAUUUGCAACAUCUUUUAUCUCUUUGCACUUUUUCAAUAUUUUUCUAACAAGGGCAUGCUGCAUUGCAUAUAAGCAUAUUGCAUAUUUACGUCUGGUAACAUCAAGCUUUCCCUGCUUAUAUCCAAGUCCAAUUUCAAAUAACUUGGUAAAAUCUAAAAUAAUAUUAUUAUACACAUAUUCACCCCUAUUUAGGUUGUAUCGUUAAUCUCAACAAAUAUGACGGCCUUUUGAAUGUUGCACUCUCUAAAGUUUUUGGAAAUUAUGCCGAGUAGGCCCAAUGUUCUCAUAUAUAGGAAAAUUUAUUUCUCAAAGUUCCUGGCCCUAUUUCACUUCUUUGUAAAAGCAUGCUCCAAGAAUUCACAAAUAUGUGUAAACCUUCACUUUUUCUUUUACACUUGCAUUUGAGUUUAGUUUUCAAUUUUGGAAUAUGUACUUUUUCUGAUCCAUUUUUGUCCAUAUAAUUUGGUUAUAUGGAUGUAGUAUGGUCAUAUGUCCGUGCAUGUGUGACAUAAGAUAACAACUCAAACAUUUAUAUAUUUAAAUUUACAAGCUGCUCGCAAAUCGACACCGACUGAUAGACUAUUUGUCACUACAAAUGACUUUCAGUAUUGUGAGAUUAUAUAUGCAUGCUUUCUAGGGUAUAUCAAUCUAGUAAGGCUAACGUCCUUUUUACAUUAGAACACGUUAUAAUGCCUUAAAGAAUAUUUCGCUUAAAUUUAUUGGAGAAAAAUCUACAAGUGAUUUUGAUGAUAUCCAAACUAUCCUUAAUAUAAUGUUUACUACGACAUAUGCAUAUAUAUAUUUAGAAAGGAUUACACAAUAUUGAUAGUGUGAUCUAAUAUUGAUUGUGNNNNNNNNNNNNNNNNNNNNNNNNNNNNNNNNNNNNNNNNNNNNNNNNNNNNNNNNNNNNNNNNNNNNNNNNNNNNNNNNNNNNNNNNNNNNNNNNNNNNAUCAACUAAUGACAAUGUUUAUAUCGUAGCUACAAAUAUCAAGUCAUUGGUAUUAUAACAACCAUGAACUUCUAGCGAAGUUUGUUGGGUCAGAAAAUUAGCCGUUAUGGCUAAGGAUUUGCACAACAAUAGAAUCCAGUUGAUAGUAGUAAUUUGUGAAGUUGAGUCGUCUAAUAAAUCUGUCAAAAGCUGCAAUGACGGGACAGUGGCAAAUACUAUUCUUACUACAAAUGUUUAGGAAAAAAGAACUACAUGGGUAGUUCUGUUCUUGGAUAGACUCCAAUGGUUCCUUGCUUCUUUGAUCUUCUCUUAAUAGACAAAUUGGAGAUGAAUAUAAGAGAGAAGACCUAAGAAGCCAAGAAGGAGAGAAGGAACAACAUUAUCUAAAGAUUUGCAAUCUGCUUUGUUCCUGACGAUAUGCUCUUGUCCAAAGUGUUUCAUUAAGUUUUAUAUUCAUGUUAUUUGAGUAAUUGUGUUCUAGAUUAAAUGUAGAAUGUUUGCCUAUUGUAAUUGUCUGCGUAGCUUACUCAUGCAAUCCAACCCGACUUGUGGCUACUAGUCUAAAGAGUGAACGUAAGCUUAAAGAUAAAGCUGAAUCACUAUAUAUUAUUGUGUGUUACUGUUUUACUCUCUCUUACUCUCACAAACACACAAAUCGAUCACAAACUUUGAAACAUCAUCUUGACUUAUCUUUACUUAGCAUUAGCUAAUUUCUAAGAAAAUUUGUCAAGUUUUCUUAAAAAACUUAUUCACCCCCUCUAGGUUGUAUUAUUAGCACCCAACAAAAUUAGUUGCUUUGGAGCAACAAAAAGCUACUAAAAAAGUCUUGAAACUGGCUAAAUAUAACAAAAAAUGUUCUUUUCAUAUAUUUUUCUCUUGUGAAGUAAAUACACAUAUUUUUCAUGUUCUUCCCUUUUGAAACUUUUGGUGUUUCGAAGACAAAAAGAGUAACUCUCCAAUCAGAUGAUUCAACUCGAAAAGCAACUUAAUGUAAAAACAAACCUUGAAAUUGGAAAUUGAACAAUUGAGAAGAUCAUUAAAUGUCAUGAAGCACAUGAAAGACGAGGAGGAUACUAAAAUUUUGAAAAUAAUUAUUUUGCUAGCGGAUAUGAGGGGAAAAGAGGGGAAUCUUGAGGAUGUAGAAGUGCCGAAUCGAGCUAUCAUAGUAAAGGUGCAUAAUCGCAAUAAUGAGCUUCAAGAAGCUCGCAGAAAAUUGAUCAAAUGUAAGUUUGCUUUUUCUCUUCUUUUUUAUGAUAUUUUUAUUUUAUUUUAUUUUAUUUUUGCAGGGUAUCAUGUUCUCUCAUAUCAUUUGUCAUCUUUUUUUCAUUUUUGGUCUGCUACCUUCAGUUACUUCACUCAAUACAAGUUUCUUUUGCAGGUGUACAUCACUAAUUGACUAAUCUAAGGUGCCAAUUAACUUACUUUGCAAGUAUCAAAAGACAUACAUAAUGAUUUCAAAGUCGAUGGCAACAUUCAAGGUCGACAGAAGACUCCAAUCCUACAGCGAAGCUGCACCUAAACAAGCACGUAUUUGCUUGCGCCAUAGUGGCCUCCAUGACCCCCCUUUUGAUUGGGGGAUUGACCAUAACCGAGCAAAAGGGAGCUCACAGAGGCCACAACAGCGCAGGCAAAGGCAUACUUCUUCUUAUGCAGCUUUACUGGAGGAUGGAAGUCCUCGAUCAACUUAGGUUAGAUAUUUCCAUCGACUUUAAAAAUCACUAAAUUUGUCUUCUAAGACUUCCAAAAUUAGUCAAUUAACACCUUGGGCAAGUUAAUAAGUGGUGUACAGUAGUUACAAGAGAAACUCAUGUUGAGUGAAAUAACAGAAGACAACAUCCUCAACCAUAUGAAAUUCAAUUUAAGUCUAGUACUGAAGCUCAUUAGUCCUUACCAAUUAAUUGGGAACUCUACUUCUUUAUUAUUAUUUCAUAUCUUUAUGUGCACGGAACUUCUGGCCUUUCUUUGUGUUUUUUAUUUAGUCCCUUCAUCCCUAAACAAAUUAAUCCUCUCUUCAUUAUUCUUUUACCCAGAACGCUUUUCACUCUCAAGUUCAGGAAGCUCCUCUCCAUUAAUCUUUUCUCUCAUUCUCGCUCAACUCACUCACCAUUCUUCAAGCAAUUCACUCAUAUCUGCACCCUUAAACCCAUGAAUUUGGAGGCAAGUGUCGUGUGCACACAAAGAAAAGAGAUACACCCAGAACACAUGGAGAGAGAGAACGCAUGUAAUAUAGUUCACCCAUAACAAACACAUACGCCGGAGAUAUCUAAUUCACUCUCACACACGAUAAUAUAGCUCUUCAAUUUCAGUAUAUGCCUAAUGAAUUCUCCAGCAAUAACCACCAAACUUUCUCAAAUUACCACACUGACAUUACCGAAUUAUUCUAGAGAAUCGAGAGCUUAACACGUGCAAACAUGGGAGGCUUAUUAGAGUCGAGAUUCUUGGAAUUAACUAACAAGUGAAUUCAUCUAGCCUAUGCAACUAGCACAGUGGAUGAAUAAAACAGAUGAGGUGAUCAUGGUCAGACCUGAGGUUACGUCUAUUAGUAACGCAGUUCAGACAUUUCAAUGAAUAAUUAGUAAGCAUCAAGUCAGAGAACAACACGAUGACAAGUUGGUGGAAAUCAAGACACGUUCAACAUGAAACCAUCACGGUAGAGUUGAGAUCACGGAUAUAAGCUCUGACGUGUAUGAUUUUAAAGCUAGGAAGAACUAGAUUCUCAUCCUCUGUUUUCAUUUUCAUGCAUCUAAACCAGAAGAUACUCAGUUUGAUCUAGCGAAAGGUAAUUACCUGCAGCGACGGCUGAUGGCUUUGAACAAACAAUCACCGAGGCGCUCUAGAAGGCUUGAAUUUGCGAAGGAGUCAAUGGCAGCAACUGGUCGAACUCUUCAAUCAACAAUGGCACUCCAAAAACAGGGACAAGCAGGAAAAUUCCAAAGCAGCUCGGCGAUGACGAAUAGCUGCUGUAGGCGGGGUUAUGACAUCCUGAGAUGGUGGACCGUGAAUGCUGAUGUCAAUUAACCGUGAAGGAGCUUCUGGAAAGCGAUGGGAUCAAAGUGUGUUUAAACUACCGUUAGACCCUCAAUCAAUAUGGUUUUUUCCCCUCAAACCUCGGUCACAUAACUAGGACUCGACCCACCAGAGCAGGGCAGAAAUGCAGUAAUUACCUUGGAGAUGCAGUAGAUGGUCACGAACAACGAUCGAACGGAGAACUCAAAAGUCCCGGGAGCAUCGCCACCGAUGGUCCGGGCCGUGGGGGGAAGAAAUCUCGACCGAGAUCUGAGCUUUCCGGACUACCCUCUGGCGGAACAGGGGCGAACCGAGAGGUGGUGGAGGUCUGCAAAAUCUAAAACAAACCCGUGAGAGCUUUCUAGGGACUCAUUGCAACUCCAAAACUGAUGCUCUGUCUUCUUGCUCUGGUGUUCUCUCGGCUGUGAAUCGUAUUCCCCCCAACGAAUGCCCCCCAAAAGUCUCGGUCAGUUAAGAUGAGAACGCUUCUCUCGGUCGCCAUCUCUACGCACGCCUAUCGGAUUGGCUUUGUUCUGGAAGAAGAAGAGUCAUUACGGGGCGUCGGUUAGAUGAGAGCGAUUCUCUCGGUUCUUUUGGGGUUUUCUGUAAAUUUCAAAUUUUUAUAAUGCACUGUUGUCACUAUAAAAAUUUUAAAAUUGAGAAAAACAUGCGUACUUUUAUUUAUUCUAUGUGAUAUUAUAAGCUUAGUAAUUUGAAAAUUUACAUCGUACUAAUUAAAUAGUAAAUCUUACAUUGCCCUACUAAUUAAAGAAAAAAGGAGAGGAGAAUUUUAUUUUUUUAAGAAAAGAGAAAUAGUAGUCUUACUCACCGAAAAGCUUCGAACAAUAAUACUUUUAUUUACUCGAUUUGAUAAUAUAAGUCUUAUUUGAGGUGCGAUUGCUUGUGUAGUAUAAAAACAAAUAGGUUAUGAUAUGGAGAAGGAACAAAGAAUGUGCCAUGUGAAAUACUAUGAUGGAAUUAUGAACGUUAAUUCCAUUUUUAUUUUUGGCGAGAGAAGAAUGAGUCUUGAAUGCAGUGUCUUCGAGCACCAAAGCCUAUAUGUGUUUAGUUUGAUUAUAUGUUAUCAAAAAUAGAGGAAAAAAUAACCAAGCUUAUAUCAUCAAAUUGAGUAAAUGAAAGUAUUAUUCCUCAUAGCUUUCUUGAUAAAUAAAACUAUUAUUUCUCUUUCCAUUAAGAAAAAAAGCUUUUUUUCCUCUUCUUUUUUCUUUCUAGUCAAUACAGUAGAGCGUACUAGUACAUAAUAUCUAUAAUCAGUAAUAAGUCUUCCUCUAGUACUAAUAGUAAAAUUCCCUUACUAAAAAUUAUUUAAAUAAUUGAUGAUCAGAAAUAGAUUGUUGGUACAAUAUGCCAGACUUGUGUACAAUGUAUAUGUGGAAAGUGAAAACUAUCUCAACGUUGGAAUUUCUUUUGUAAGAUUAUUUAUAACUUAUCAGAUAGAAAUGAUUAAAACUUUAGAAUUAAAAUACGUGGAAGACAAAGUAAAAUCUUUAAUUUAGGCAUUUUUCCAUUGAUAGAAAUAUUCACAAAGUAAUUAUUUGAAGAUAUUUUGAGAAAGAAAACGAUUGUAAUUCCUAAAAGGCGUGGAUACUAAUUUUUAGCGAGCUAAAGAAUUUCAAAUAUCAACAAUUACUAUAACUUUUUUUCUCCUAACCGGACAAGGUAUAUAGAUAUUAACUUUUUUUUCGACUGCUUAAGUGUCAAAAUUUCUAAAAAAAACGUUUACUUGAAUAUUAUAAUUUUCAAUCGAUAACUUAAGUUUUAAAAAUUCUUAAAAUGUUUCCCCAAAUGCUGAAAAUCCAAAGGCACUCUUGUGAUGAAUAUUUUUUGAAAGUUAUAGAAAUAAAAUCCAAAUCUCAAUCUCGAUCCGAGGCUGCAAGGACCCAGGGACAACCUCCAUUGCCAGUCAUGGGGAGGAAGUGAUUAGGCCAUAUAUUGUUACUUGGUCAAGUCAUUUUGUCAAGUACUACUAGAGUUACUAAAAGUAUCACCAAAGCGAUCUCGCUAAAUGAUGUUUGCAGUUUCCACGACCUUAGACAAAGACAACGAUGAAGGACUCAAUGAAGAGGAAGACAUUUUAGCGUUCUCGCAAAAAUUUAAUGAUAAAUUUUGAUGGAAGCUAAUGUGGGGUAAAUGUGUUAUAAGAAUACACUAGUUUGGAGUUUUUGAUAAUCUAAAAAUUAGUUUUAAUAAAUUUGUCGCGGCAUACCAGUUUGGGACAAAAUUGUCAUAAGUAUAUUAAUUUUGGUUUUUUCGUGAUAUAACCUAUUAAUUGAUCGGCAUUAAGUCCACAUGUCACCUAUGUUAGCAAUUUAUGGCAAUAUUUGACAAAAGCUUAUGAAUGGCAAAUAUAUCGCGCGUGUACUGUUUUAAGUUUUUUUGUAGACAAAAAAUUAAUCUUUUGUGAAUUUGUCACAGAUAUACCAGUUUUGAAUUUUGCAUUAUAUUAACCCUAUUAUAAAAUUAAUUCAAGUUAAUGGGGGCAAAGUAAAAAUAAAUAAAAAAUAAAAACUCACGAAACUUUACAACUUUCAUUAAAAAAAAAAAAACUGAGUGUAAAUAGUAGGGAAAAUGCAGAACAACGCACCACCGUGUUUGUGCUUCUACCGUUGACUUUGCUGGUAGUUGCCAGUUUCGCCAUUCCGAAUGUUGCUUUUGUUUUCAUUUUUAUUUUAUUUUAUGGAAAUACAUGAGAAGUACGUAAACUUCACAAUAAAGCAAAUCGAAGUAAAGCAAAGUCCCAGAUAAUUACAAGACAAAGUGAAAUCCAAAAAAAAAAAAAAGGAAAAUUAUCAGAGCACCAAGGUUAAGCACACACUUGUUCCAUAAGAAUGGAUUAGUCUAGCAAAAUAAUUGUUGACCAAUCAGUGAAUCUUAUAUCAUUGUCAAUAAUAAGCACACGCUGAAAAUUUCUUUUCCAAUAACUAUAGCAUUGUCAAUUGGCAGUGUAUGCCUAGGUUUGGCUUCCUUUACACCAUCCUGUACAAAUAUAGCCACAACAGGUUAAAUAAACACAUUGCUCCUAGAUCUAAAAUUAGAUUGUGAGAAUUCAAACUCUCAAAUCUAGCAUUGAACCAAGAGAAAAGAGCUAUCAUAUUUAGAUCGAAAAAGAAGAAAAAUAAAAUAAAAUAAACAAGAAAAUAUAAAUAGAAUCAACAAGAGAGCGAGGGGAGGAUGAGACUAACUCAAACUCUUCACUAUAGCUUUAGGUUGAACAAAACACAAAUAUAAUCACCACUCUACCACUUUUCACCUAAAAACUACUAUUAUCUAUAUUAAAAUAUAUAAAAUGAAGUGCAUUUAAAUAGUGAAAAAAGUGACGAAGCAUAUUUAGGAUUUUUUAAUUGUUUUAAUUAAUUUCAGACUUUACUCAUUACAUUCUUAGUUAUAAUUGUACCAUUCAACAUUUUGCUACUUAUUUAAAAAAUAUACAUUACAAUCUUAAAUGAAUGUGUUUAUGCUCGUAGUAUUGCUAACCUAAAUCUUUUAUUCCAACGCCUAUUGCAUUAAAAUAUUUUUUAUUAUGAUGGAAUGAGGAGCAUGGAUUGCAUUUUUCGCUUAGAGUAGUGGGUUGAUUUUUUUUCUAAUUUGAAAAAUGAGGUAGUAUGAUAUCAUUAUAUUCGUGGCAAAACUUAAAUAGUGCAUGUGACGUGGCUUUUUAGAGUUAUGGGUUAAAAUUUUUCGUUUUAUCUUUCCAUUUCAAAUUGGAAAAUAUGCAAUCAAUGAUAUUAUUUUUUCUUAUGGCAAUCCUCCGACCCAAAAAUGAAGCCCAACUAUUUUUUUUUCUUAUUUUAGCUUUCAACUCAUUCUCAAACUUUUAUCCCGCCUAUUUGCAAACCGUAGGAUUCGAACUCCACAUCUGAAACUCUAAAAAGGUAAAGAAUCAAACUCUUCACCUACCCAUUCCCAUUUAAGAAGAGUGGACAACAGCGGUUAAGCCUAACUAAUUGACAAGGUCAAAAAUGAUCGAUGUAAAAGAAAGUCUACAACUUAAGAGCUUUAGCUUUAAAACAUCAUCUUCACCUUUUUAAUUGUGCAUAUUGCCCGAAUUAAAAAGCAAAAAACGAUUCAUUUUGGUUUUUACUUAGAUGAGAGCAAUGUUCCACUACUGGAACUGCUGAGUGGUUGGAGGAUUAGGUUCUCCAGUUUUACUAAUGAUGAUGCCUACAAACUGCCGGUGUUUUGCAGUAAAAAUUCGUUUGUUUAGAAUAAAUUGUCAGACUCCUUCACUGCUUUGGUGAUGUAGACUGAUGUUUUUAGAAUGACAAUUUGUAGAAUUUGUUAGGCUAGAAAAUUCAUGCCCUGCAUCUAAACAAGCUUGGCUCGUUAUUGUGGACACGGCCUAGUCUUUAACACCAACAGACAGGCAGAAAUAAGGUCAACUGCACUUCUCUUCAAAUAUCAAACGUACUGCCAAGCACAAUAAACUGUAGCCCAGAAUGCCUGUGGUCUCAACAGUAUCAUUGCCACAUCUUGCAGCAAAUACAGAAAACAAAUUCCGUCUCUUUAAAAUGAAGAUUAUCACAUCAACAAAAAUUAUUAGAACAUAUCAGACUUCCAAUUCUUUACAGAGCUACUUCUGGUCGAUUUUUCCCCUUUCUUGGAGAUCUUGUUGAUCCAACAGUUCCAAUGCCGUCCUUCAGAUGCUCCACCACUUGUUUCCAUUUCUCUUGCUUCUUUUUCAUACUGUCUUCCUUUGCUGCUGGACAAAAGAAAUGCAUGCUAUGAAAUAGAAGUGACUGAACUGCCUUCCCAUUAAGGCUAUUAAGAACCAACCAAUACUCAAGUUAAAAUGGCACUCAUAAUCAUUCCACUACAUACAGUUACUUAAAAGUAAGGUUAAAAGUACCUUUUGAGCGGUGGCGCUGUUAUGAUGCAUCUCUGCGACAAGUUGGUUGGCUUCUCUUUGUCUGACUAUCUCUUCAUCCUGUUCACUUAACAAAGAUGAAAGUAAGAAAAUAAUGACACAAACACAGACUGGAAACACAGAAUGAUUGAACCUCACCUUUUUUCUUCUGAUUCAAUGGACAAUAUCUUGAGUCGUGGCCUUGCUUGAAGCACAAAUGGCAUGUGAUUUCUGUGCCUUGUCUCGACACUUCCAAUCCAUAUUUAGAUUCUCCUUCCUCUGUUAUCCUUUUCUCUUUAGGCCUACCGGGCAAUCUGAGGCAUUGGUGCCACCAAAGGUUCUCUAUCACUGGAAGGCCAAAUGAGUGAAAGGGUGCACAUUAUUAGAUGAUGCUGAAUGAGAAUUGAUUUUUUAGACCUCCUCCUAUUAAUUUAUGAUAUAAUGCCGAGCUGUAAGAGAAAUUCAACAAAUAAUAUUUCAAGGAGGAAAAAUAGAGAAAGAUACAUGGGACAUCCGUCGAAUCUAGACAGGUGAAGAAAAGUCUAAAAAGAGGAAGUGCACCAACUUAAACUCGAGUGCAACUGGGAAGAUAAGCAAUGUGAGCACAUGAAGACUACUCCAAUUAAUGACAAGGGACGUGAGAAAUUAUUGGGCAUUUUUUUUUGAAAACUAAACUAUCAAUUAGAUUCCAAAAUAGCAUGUUCAUGAGAUAUUAUCUUUGUUACAAGCUAAAGCAACAUCAAUCAAGCUUAAUAUCCCAAAUAAGGCGCAAUUGCAAAAGCACAUCACUAGACUCUAGCAACCUCGUUCUUCACACCAGAAAUCUUUUCAAAUUUGGAUACAGAACUUCUAUCGUUCUAACAGCAAAAUGAACUGCAACAAGAUCUCAACAUCGCAAAAUUUUGAUUCUGAGACUUCCAACCCCGGUGGAUACAUCAAUUUUAAGACAGUAGCUUCCCAAAGUAAGAAACUCCAAGUUCUUUAUUAGCCCAACAAAGUUCAGCAGGCAGACUUCAAAUAGCUUCCACUGUAGCAUGAAGAUCCAACCCUGACUCACAAACAACUCUCUUCAAAUAAAAACUCCAAAAGACCACCAUGCAGGUGCCAAUUAUGAUAACAAAUUGAAAUACAAUCAUCCAAAUUUCAGUAUUACAGAAACCUCUUAACUUAACUGACAGUUUUAGCUCUGCCAUGCCUCUGUUGAACAUAAUCAGGGCCAUGUGGGAUAACAAUAUGCAAACAUCCUUUACAGAUCCAAGGGUUCAUUGUCAGCAAUUAGGACAAGUCCAAUAAAUUAAGCUUCUGAUCCUUUGAUGACUUCGUUUCCUUUUAGAAGUGCCCUUCAGAAGCUCUUUUCGAUAUUUCAGUGUUUACUUCACAGCCAGCACAAUAAUAACCAUAUCCUGUCAGUGAACCAAAUGAAAUCAAUAUUGACAGGCAUCUACUAAUAAUACCCCAAAGUUUACAGAUCUUUGUUUGUCAAACUCAAUGCUGAUUUUCUUUCUGAACUCUUCCAAUCCAACUAAUAGGAAUCUAAAAUCAUCCACCCCAGAAGCUUUCAUCAAGUUAGUACAGUUAUACAACUUAAGUUGCUUGCUUUUGUGGGAUAAAGUGUAAUUAAUUCCUUACAGUUUUCAAAUGACAGGACAAAGUAAAGUCUCUUUAGGAAAUUGAUGGAAACGCUUUCCAUGUUUUUCUUUUCAGCAAGUAAAUGCACUAAUAAUAGCUUAUGCACAAUGUAAGGGAUUAUUUCACAGUGAAGUCAUUUGUGUCAAAGACAUUAUUGCUCAUGUUUUCCAUCUUGAUCAUUUGCUAGACUCAACAGUUCAGGCAAAUGACUAAUGGCAUUACUAAUUCUACAAACAUUAAGAAGUAUCCUUUGGGCUAAACUAUUGUUUGGCUUGGAUUUUUAGGAAUAUCCUGGAUUCAAAGCAAAUGAACAUGGAUUCAUAGUCAGCAAAAUUCCAGUUGCAAUUUUCUCAACUGAUCCAAAUAAGUCACAAUAGUUUUGCUUCCGAACUGUUUCCUUGUUUAUUCACAGCCACAUCACUAGAAGAAGAGUCUGCUCUUGCAUUUGUAGUUUCUCAACCGAUACAAUUACCUUAAUCAACUAAUGCAGACGAUUCGGUGAGAUAAUAUGUGUGGAACACAAUAGUUGGACAAACUUAGUCCCAAGUCAGUAGCGUAUGCACACUAGAGGAUGCCCACUAACUAUGUUCCUUCUGCACUUUAAAUUCGAUCUUAAGCAUACCUUAGAAACAUGCAGUCCUGAAAUGCAUGGUGAGCGCAGAGCAAACAAAAACCUCAUAUCAGAAGGAUCUCCAUGAAGGGUCCUUCAUUUAGCAAUUCUUGACCUGUACGAUUACCUUUGACAUUCUAUCAAAAAGCCCACAUACAUCAGUUUUUAUUCUGUAAUUCCAGCAUUCCAGAAUCAAUCAAAUGUGAAGACUCUUUAUUUUUCUGCAUAGGAUGUAGAAUCUUACCUGAAGACUAUUGGCAAAUGAUGCACUUAGAAGGCCUACUGAUCUAUUUCCAUGACUGGCAUGACCAGCAGAAACAUUUUGCCAAGGUACACAUAAACUUCCACAAACAUCUCCCACAGAUUCCUGGAAUUCGUGUAGGAAAAUGAUUAACACUGACACUCUCAAAAAGGUUAUAAAUCUUCUAAUGGGGAAUAAAAUGAAACUUGGGUGAUAGAUCUCAAAGAGAAAAAGGUAGCUUACCUGCUUUAUGUACCUUUGUUAGGAAAUGUGGAUCAUCUGAACUAUUCUGACUCAUCCCAGUCGCUUUCUCCAAGUUCUAUUGUUACACAACCGAGGCAAAUGGCAUUUUCUCAUAAUUUCGAUAAAGUUGCGUUCCAGAUAAUUCCGGUAUUGUUUUGAGUGAGAUGCAUCCAGAAAUGUCCAGUUCCACUAAGUGGUCCAAAUUCUGGAGCCCUCGAAGCUCAGUCAACUUUUCACAAUUUUGCACUACCAGACUGAUCAAGUUGGUACACAAUGACAAAUCUGGUAAGAUCUCAAUCGAAGAACAUCCUGAGAUAGCAAUAUGUUUUAGAGAUGUCAACUCCUCAAGCCCUGGGAUCUCCCGAAGUUCAUGACAAUUAGACAGGAACAAUUUCCGUAACUUACAAAAAUUUGACAAGUUUGGGAAUUUUGCUAAGGUCUUGCAAUCUUCAAUCCAUAAACUUGUGCAAGAUGAGAAUCUCUCCAGGCUCUGAAUGUCAUAAAGCUUGUCAUUGCAGUUGAUUGCAAACUUUUGCAAGGUGUCAAAGCAACAUAAAUCUGGUAACCUUCCAAACAAAGUGCACCCAGAGAUAUUGAGCACUUCCAAGAACUCUAACCUAUUCAGGCCUUGAAUUUCGACUAAGCUUUUGCAAUAUUGAGCAGCUAAUAUCUUCAUACCCUCUGAUUUUGGAAGGUCAAGCUUUUUAAUUGAAGUGCACCCAGAGAUAUUCACCACUUUCAAGAACUCCAACCUGGCUAGACCUUGUAUUUCAACUAAGUUUUCGCAAUUUUUAGCACCUAAUAUCUUCAAACCCUCAGAUUUUGGGAGGUUCAGCCUUCUAAUUGAAAUGCAACCAGAGAUAUUCAGCACUUCCAAGAACACUAACCUAUCAAGACCUUGAAUUUCAACUAAGUUUUUGCAAUUUUGAGCGUAUAAUUUCUUCAAACCUUUGAGUUUUGGAAGAUCUAGCCUUUCUAUCGAAGAGCACUGAGAAAUAUUCAACACUUCCAAGAACUCCAACCCAUCAAAACCUUGAAUUUUGACUAACUUUUUGCAAAAUUGUGCAAAUAAUUUCUUCAUGCCCUCAGAUUUUGGAAGGUCCACCCUUAGAAUUGAAGCACACUGAGAGAUAUAUAGCACUUCCAAGAACUCCAACCUAUCGAGGCCUCGAAUUUCAACUAAGUUUUCGCAAUUUUCAACAAAUAAUUUCUUCAUGCCCUCAGACUUCGGAAGGUCCAGCCUUUCAAUUGAAGUACACCCAAAGAUAUUCAACACUUCUAAGAACUCCAACCUAUCGAGGCCUCGAAUUUCAACUAAGUUUUCGCAAUUUUCGACAAAUAAUUUCUUCAUGCCCUUAGACUUCGGAAGGUCCAGCCUUUCCAUUGAAGUACACCCAGAGAUAUUCAACACUUCUAAGAACUCCAACCUAUCGAGGCCUCGAAUUUCAACUAAGUUUUCCCAAUUUUCAACAAAUAAUUUCUUCAUGCCCUCAGACUUCGGAAGGUCCAGCCUUUCAAUUGAAAUACACCCAGAGAUAUUCAACACUUCUAAGAACUCCAACCUAUCAAGGCCUCGAAUUUCAACUAAGUUUUUGCAAUUUUCAACAAAUAAUUUCUUCAUGCCCUCAGACUUUGGAAGGUCCAGCCUUUCAAUUGAAGCACACCCAGAGAUAUUCAACACUUCUAAGAACUCCAAUCCAUCAAGAUCUUGAAUUUCAACUAAAUUUUCGCAAUAUUGAGCAUCUAAUAUAUUCAGACCCUUGGAUUUUGAAAGGUCCAGCUUUUUUAUUGAAGCGCAACCAAAGAUAUAUAGCUCUUUCAAAAGCUCCAACCUGUUGAAGCCUUGAAUUUUGACUAAGUUUUUGCAAUAUCCAACAUUUAAUAUCUUUAGACACUCAGAUUUUGAAAGAUCCAACCUUUCAAUUGAAGCACACCGAGAGAUAUCUAGCUCUUUUAAGAACUUCAACCUAUCAAGGCCUUGAAUUUGGACCAAGUUUUUGCAAUUUUGAGCAUAUAAUAUCUCAAGACUCUCGGAAUUUGGAAGGUCCAGUCGUUUAAUUGAAGCACACCCAGAGAUAUACAGCCCUUCCAAGAAUUUCAACCUAUCAAUGCCUUGAAUUUCGACUAAAUUUUCACAAUCUUCAGCAUUUAAUAUCUUCAACUGCUCAAAUUUUGGAAGGUCAAGCCUUUCGAUUGAGGCGCAUUGAGAUAUAUAUAGCAGUUCCAAGAACUCCAACUUAUCGAGGCCUUGAAUUUUGACUAGGCUUUUGCAAUUUUUAGCACAUAAUGUCUUCAUGCCCUCGAAUUUUAGAGGGGCCAGCAGUGGAUGCCUAUGGGAAGGCAACAACCCCUUCAACAACUCCAAUUUCCCAAGGUGGUGAAUUUCAACUAACUCUUCCCAAUUUUCAGGUAGGCCCUCAAAUUUUGGAAGAUCUAGCCUUUCAAUAGAAGCGCACUCAAAGAUAUAUAGCUCUUCCAAGAACUUCAUCCUAUCAAGGCCCUGAAUUUCGACUAAGUUUCUGCAAUUUUUAACAACUAAUUUCCUCAAGCCCUUGGAUUUCGCAAGGUCCAACCUUUCAAGUGAAGCACACCAAGAUAUAUAUAGGAGUUCCAAGAACUCCAACCUAUCAAGACCUUGAAUUUCUACUAAAUCUUCACAAUUUUUAGCAAAUAAUGUCAUCAUGCUCUUGGAUUUUGGAAGGUCUAGCCUUUCAAUUGAAGUGCACCCAGAAAUACACAGCUUUUUUAAGAACUCCAAUCUAUCAAGGCCUUGAAUUUCGACUAAGUUUUUGCAAUUUUCAGCAUCUAAUAUUUUCAGACCCUUAGAUUUUGGAAGGUUCAACAUUUCAAUUGAAGUGCAUUGAGAAAUAUAUAGUUCUUCCAAGAACUCCAACCUAUCAAGGCCUUGAAUUUCGACUAGGUUUUCGCAAUAUUCAGCAUGCAGUUUCUUCAUGCCCUCAGAUUUUGGAAGUCCAAGCCUUCCAAUUGAAGCGCAUUGAAAGAUAUUUAAAUCUUCCAAGGACUCCAACAAAUCAAGGCCUCGAAUUUCGACUAACUUUCUGCAAUAUUCAGCAUGCAAUUUCUUUAUGCCUUUGGAUUUUGAAAGGUCUACCCUUUCAAUUGAAGCGCACCGAGAGAUAUAUAGCUCUUCCAAGAACUCAAUCCUAUCGAAACCUUGAAUUUCGACUAAGUUCUCACAAUUUUUAGCAUUUAAUAUCUUCAGGCCUUCAGAUUUUGGAAGGUUCAGCCGUUCAAUUGAAGUGCACCCAAAGAUACAAAGCAUUUUCAAGAACUCCAAUCCAUCAACCCCUUGAAUUUCGAUUAACUUUUCACAAUUUUUAACAUUUAAUAUCUUCAGACCCUUGGAUACUGGAAGGUACAGCCUUUCAAUUGAAGCACAACAAGAGAUAUGUAACUCUUCUAAGAACUCCAACUUAUCGAGGCCUUGAAUUUCCACUAAAUUUUUGCAAUAUUCAGCUUGUAAUUUCUUCAUGCCCUCAGAAUUUGAAAGCUUCAGCCUUUCGAUUGACGGACACUUAGAAAUAUAUAACACUUUCAACAAUUUCAGCCUAUCAAGACCUUUAAUUUUUACUAAGUUUUCACAAUCUUCAGCAUGUAUUUUUUUCAUGCCUUCAGAAUUUGGAAGGUCCAGCCUUUUGAUUGAAGUACACCCUGUGAUGCCCAAGCUUUCCAAAUAUUUCAAUUUGUCAAGACCUCGAACUUCAAGUAUAUUAUCACAACCCUCAGCUGAUAAAGUCCUCAGAUGGUUUGAUUGGGAAACAUCCAGUGUUUUCAUAAAUUUGCAGCCACGUAUUUCUAAGAUUUCCAACUUGAAGGGAUCGUAAGGAGAUUUUUGUAAUUCUGAUUCUUCAACAUCUGUCUGUUGGGAGCAUUCUGAAUGUUGCAAUAGCGUCGAUCGAAGUUCCCAGAUGCACUCGAGAUAUUCACAGUCAAGAAGUCGUAGUUCCUUGAGAUGGUUUAGGUGGGAAAGUGAAGGCAAUCUGCGACUUUGACAGGUGAUGCUCAAACAUGUUAAGCUAGAAGGAAGCUCCAGUAGCAAUUGGAGCCUUCGGUAACCAUGAAAAUGAGGGCGUGGUAGGGAAGAAAGACUACGGAUGCUUUCUGUUUCUGACAUUUUCUCUCCCAGUUUAUAGCAGCCUGAAGCAUCUAAGAUUCGGAGGUUUCUCAGCUUUCCAAUACCAUAGGGUAAAUUUUUUAUCCCAGUGCCACUAAUAUUCAAAAUUUCUAGAUUCUGCAGAGCCCCUAUUUCGUCUGGUACUACAGAAAUAUUUUGACAACCUUGUAAAAGGAGUUGCUCCAAUGCUUUUAAUUUACCCACUUCUAGUGGCAGCUCCUUGAGACUAAUACAUCCCGUCAAGUCCAAGCAAACCAUACUCUUCACGUCUCCAAUCGAAGAGUCAAUUUGCUCCAAUCUCCAACAACCUUUUAGGAUAAGAACCUCCAAAUUCUUAAAAGCUGAUAGGAAGAAUGUUCCUUCUAAAGAUGAACAACGUGUAAGGUCAAGAAACUUUAGCUCCUCUGCCAUCUGAUAAAAAAUACAAUAAUCGUCGAGGGUUCAGCACAAAGUGAUUAUAAUUCAACAGAAAGCCAGAAAAAAAAAAAAAUUGGAAAACAAAGACUUGUUCUGCCAUCUUACCAUGAUGGAAUUCCAUCCUCCCCAUUUAUCUGAAAUCUUGCUUUUUGACAAAUCAAGUGCAACUAAUUCCUUUAAAUGAAUAUUUUCUGCUUCAAAAGUCAAGGGACAAUUCUGCCACUGAAGCCAUCUUAACUCCUCAAUUGAGUUUUUAAAAUCUCCACUAAAAUGUGCCCCAUUCACGUGAAGAAACCUUAGCCUCGUUAAAUUCUUGAAUUGUUCGCUUGUAAGGAUAUUGCCAGCAUGUUCAGGUGUCUCGCCAAAGUCUUUUGAGCUGCCUUUGUUAAGAUAAAUGGCCCUGAUCUUUUUUGUUCCCUACAAGUGAGAAUCAACGUUUUUUAAUACUAUUUAUAUCCAACUAAAGUAAUCUAAUAUCAUUCAUUCAUAUUGCUAUUACCGUGCAUCAAUGGCUUUUAGAGUUAGCAAAGUAAAGAUAUGACAUUUUUUUGGCCAAUAAACAGUACUUAUAAAGACUAAGAGAGCAAAAGAAGAGAAACAAUCACCUUAUUUCCCUCCAGCACUUUUUGGAUUUCCUUGGAUUCCCAUAACCUGCUACAGUACCAAGGCUCCUGUUGGUUUUCCUCGCGAACGAUUUCCCUACCAAGAUCUCGCAAUUGGUCAUGCAUUCUGAGCUCAUGAUUAACUCCAACUUUUAUUAAUGACAUAAAUCUUAAUACUUCAAUUGCCUCCUCUGGAAAAAAUUCACAGGCAUCCCACAUGUAAGAUGCAAUUCUUCCGUCGGUGCCAAUGAAAAAACAAGCGAUAUCCAAAAAUAUUUCUUUUUGUCCAUUUUCUAAUACAUCAUAACUAAUCCUUAACUUUUCUAGCACUUUCCUAUUUGGAACUUUUUUCAACUUCUUUAUCGUACCUCUCCAUUGCGUUGGCCUCUUUCCACACAACAAUGAACCUAAAACCUCAAGAGAUAAGGGAAGGCCUCCAGUGGUGGAUACAACUUCAUGUGCGAGGUCCUUAAAUUCACUUGGAGGAGAGUUCCUACGAAAUGCAUGUCUACUAAACAUAAUCAAAGAUUGAUCACCAUCCAUUUCCUCAUGUUCAUAGUUGAAGUCCACUGCAGCAUUGUCAAGAAUAGCCUUGUUUCUGGUGGUAAUAAGGAUCCUACUUCCAGGUGAAAACCAAGUAUGAUUUCCAGCCAAAGCCUUCAACUGAUCAUCAUCGUCUGCAUCAUCGAGAAGAAUGAGAACUUUCUUAUCUUCAAACUUAGAUGAGAGGAAUCUGGUCCCUUCAUCCUUACUAUAAACUUGAUUUUUUUGCUUCAAUAUAUCCGAGAUUAACUUAUUCUGCAAGUACUCAAGGCCAUUACGCUUGCAUGAUUCCCUAAUAUCAGCAACGAAGCUACAAUACUCAAAUUUACUGGAGAGCUUGUUGUAGAUGGUUUUAGCAAGAGUUGUCUUACCAAUGCCUCCCAUUCCAUGGAUGCCAACAAAUAGGGUAGCACUAGAAUUGUUAUCUAGAAAUUCCAUAACGUUCUUCACAUGACUAUCAAUUCCAACCNNNNNNNNNNNNNNNNNNNNNNNNNNNNNNNNNNNNNNNNNNNNNNNNNNNNNNNNNNNNNNNNNNNNNNNNNNNNNNNNNNNNNNNNNNNNNNNNNNNNNNNNNNNNNNNNNNNNNNNNNNNNNUAGGGGAUAAAUCAAAACACUUCAAGUAGUGUUUUUGCCAUAUUUCUAUAUAUAUCUUACAUGCUAAGACUAAAGUAGAAAAUGCUGGUGGUUGCUUCACAUGGCUUACCCCAUUCCAGUAUUACUCUAACAUAAUUUAUGAGCCGGAAGAAGUUUGAGGGUAUUGCUUAUAAAUCUUGAAUAUUGUAUAUGUGACACAUUUGAAUCAAAUUUUAAACUUGUUGCGUGUUAAAGAUAUUAAGUAUGACACGAGCGUGACUUUGAAAAGUUUCUGGGGUGUUUGAAUAAGCAAAUAUACAAUAAACUAGUCCGGUAUGAGAGUUCAAUUAUCAGUCAAUAUGUAGGACAUAACUUUUGAUGUAAGAGGACCAAUCCAAAAAGUCUUUCAGAGUACUAUAUUGUGAACUACUUGGAUAAAAUUGAGAAGAUUUCUCCUUAUCUAUGUAAUUCUACAUGCUUGCAAGUUUCUACUCGUGCUGGGAGUAUAGUAUGUUCUAGAUUUGUGUUCUUAUCAAUUUUUAUUGCAUCAAGGGUUGUACAUUACAUUCCUUUUGAGUAUUUUCUAUGUUCUAGGAUUUUAAUUAAUCUGCCAUUGAUUCAUUGGGAAGUAGAAGAAUAAUUUUUUCCCCAAAAUAAGAACAUUGCUUCAAUUUAUGCAGGUGUAUGAGAUUAAAAUUAUGCGCUGAAGAUAGGAAAAUGCAUUGAAAGUUAUUUAAACAAACAUAUAAUAUGACAAUCGUUUUUCCAUUCUUAUUUAUCAUCACCAUACAUAUAACUAAUGAAUUAUUUAUUUUGUAACAAUAAUUUUAAUAGCAACUAAUUCAUGACAUUAAUGAUUUAAUAAAUGUAACUUGGGAGGUUAAGGAAUUAUGGCUUUAACAAUCAACAUGUAUGGUAUAUGGUGUUACGAGCUUUCGAUAGGAGCCGCCAAUAAGUUGUGCUAUUAAUCUCAAAUAUAUAUACAGCUAGAAAGGUUUGAGAUGAAGUUUACUGCAGCCUAUACUAUAAAAAUAAAAAUAUAAAUAAAAACAGCAUGAUGUUACAAAAUCUUUGGAUAUGGGAACAGAAACCAUUUAGAAAAUCUUACAUUAUUCAAGCGAAUGGGAUCAUAAAAUAAAUCUAUGAUUAGAUUGGUCAAUAUCAUUACAGUAAUUUUAAAAAAAGAAUAACUUAUAGAACUCAUGCAUGGCAGGAUCUCACUGCUUCCCUUUUUUAUGUUAAAAAAUGAAAAGCAAGAAAAUAAAGCGUAGAGAAUUUUGGUGAAAACUUUACCCAUGGCUUCCCAUCCUUUCAAGAAACUGACUUCACUGAGUGCUAGCUUCCAUUUCUCUAAAAUCGCCUGGUCAGAAUGCCUCUCAUGCAUACGAAACACAUCUCCAAAAACUCCCGAUUUGAUGACGCACGUGAGUUGGUUCCCACUUUGUAAAUAUAGGCAACACUAGAUGCCCGAUGUUACUAUUCUGGCACUCCAUUAUUUGAACCAGUUCAUUUAGGCACCAACUGCUCGACCCAUAAUUCAAGGAGAUAAUGGGGAUCAGGAUCUUACUGUUCUUGAUGGCUGUCAAAAGAUCUGGCCCAAUCUUCUUGCCAUGGCGGAGCUCAUUAUCAUCUUUGAAAGCAUGAAUUCCAGCAUCAACAAGUCUGGUGUAGAGGUGAUCAGUGAAGCCUUUUCGAGUAUCUAAGCCUCUAAAGCUCAAGAACACCUCAUAGCAGUUUCCAGUUGCCAUGCCCGACGAAUUAGAUGCACCAUUAGUUUCUGUCAGAGACAAACUAGAUCCACCAGAAUUAGUUUCUGUUGACACAGUCAACAAAUCAGAUGCACCAGUAAUAGCAUCUUCUGCAUUUCUUCGCACACUAGUUCUCUUCUUAUUGAGAAAAUGGAACGCAAGCCCAAAGAGGAGGAUUGGGGCCACGAGCCCGGCAAAAGAAUACCCAAAAAUGAGAUGAUGCAUUUCGUCUUUGCUCUGACCCUACCCUUAAUUUUUCCUUUCAGGUCUUAUUGAAAAGAAAACCAAACUGCCUCUUAGAAACACAAAAUGCCUUGUUGUUGCCCGUUGUCUCUUUAUUGAUUGGACUUAUAUAAUUGAACCAGUUGGCAACUGGAACCGCACCAAUAAUUCAAACUUGUCAAGCUGCAUAUAAAUUAGUAAUUCAUUGACUGGGAACAGUAACCACUUGCUUAUAGUUGUUGCCUUCUUCUGGUGGAAAUCUCAAUGCACAGGAGAAUCCAAGGCAAUACCUGCCUAUAAAGAAUACAAUAUGUGAGAAAAUUUUGAUGCAGAAGAAAUGAAAAGAAAUAAAACCAAGAAAAGAAGACAAGCGAUGCUAAAAUCAGAUAAUAACAUUCAAGGUUGCAUCAUUGAUAAGUUGAAAAGUCAGGACAUUUUUUAAGAAAAUUAAAAUCCCAUGAUAUUUUAAUACAAAACUUAAAUUUUAUAUUCCCCAUGAUAAUUAGGGUCUCAACGGUUCUGUUCGGUUCUCCAUGAUACCUGAACAGAACCAUAUGGACGUGUGCAUGUAAAACUACGCAUAGUACUAACACUGAUCAACACAAAAUUCACUUGUGACAAGAUAUUCCUGUCAGAUUGAAAGCAAAUCCACUAGAAUGGCUCUCGUGUUCAUCCUUUCUCACUGAAUUGCCAAAAUAGGAAUUACAAAAGUCUUCUACUUCUUCCAAGACCUCAUGCAGCAAACCAACUCCCUCUCUUCCCCAUGUCAAUCGCAUUACUGUUCUUCGUGUACAUGAACAAUGAAUUUGAAAAUUACGAAACAACUUUGCAUAAAAUCAAAUGAUGUCACUGUUAAUGGUUAACAUAUGUAAAACAACAUAUAUCAGCUUCAUGGUGCAAAUCAUCUUCCCAUUAGGACAAGCAAACAUUAACUAGUUUCUCAGAAACUUCAAACAGAACAGUAAAAGUCUAAUUUGUAACUCAAAUAUGUGCAGGAUUAGCUAGUGUUCUUCUAUUUACAAGAGAAUUUAAGAUCUAAAAGUGCAUCCACAAAAAGAAUAGCAAAUUCAAAUGAAUCUUCACAAAAAAUAGAAGCCAAUUUAUCAAAUUCCACAAACAUAACUCGAUUAACAGUUAACAGAAAAUGAGGUUGCAGUACACAAGGCUCAAUAGCACUUAGGGAUGUGCCGAGCUAAAUCAAUUCUUUAGCCAAAGUAUUUACGGAUACAAAAUUAGAAUCGAAACAAAAUACAGAACAAAGUUUCGCCCUUAUUUUUCAGAAGUUUUAUGCUCAAAAAGACCAAAAAGAAUCAAAAGGAGACAAAAUCUAAAGGUCUCACUAAUCAGCCUAACAGCCAAGGGCCAAAAACUAGAGUAUAAUUAAAUUGGCAAAAUACAGAGAAGUACAUUCUGCCAAAGCCUGAGUAUCUGCCUAGAUACUUGCGGAAGUGGUAUCAAUACAAUAUUAAAGCAAAUUUUACGUCACUAAAAGACAAAUAUUUUACCAGCUUUAUAUGCUUCAUAAGCCAAUAGUGGUGUCUGCAUUCACAACAAGAAUUUCCCAAAAUCAUCAACCCAACCAUGGACUAAAAUUUAUUCUCUGAGGAUUCCAAACAUCCUCUGUUGUAGAGAGAGAGAGAGAGGAAGGGAGAGUUCAGGGUUAACUAUGUGCUUGAUGAUGAGUUGUGGAAGGAGUGAAUUAUUUUACAGGAUUGAAGGGGAUCCAAAGAACACAAGACAUUUAUAGAACUGUCACAAAACCCAAAAUGAAAAAGAAAAAGAACAAAGUGCUGGGACCAUUAGUUAGAACACCGAUCCCACAAUUCUAAUGUCGACCAGCUAAAGAAAGAUGCUUAUGUCCCGAUAAACCCAACAAGACCAGAAGAAUGAAAGGAGCACUCGAAGAUGAGCAAACCCACAAAGAUUUCAACGCACAUUUACAGAUUUAUCAGAUCAACAUCGACAGAGGCUUACGAAAUCAAACACCAAGAAAUCACAUUUCAUUCAUCACUAUGCCCGAUUAAAGCCUGAUCAUCAUUCCCUCAUUUAGUUCUGCCAACCUACGUACAUAUGGUCGCUAUCUACGCAUCUGCAGCAACAAUGCGACGGAGACAUCGAGUAUUGGAGGAUUUGAACCACUUCCCCGAAGAAAAAUUAGCUGAACCAUACCUGUUCUUACCAGAAAAGAGCGUUUUCGCUUCGUUUGGCUGUGCAAGUGUCGAUUUCCUUGCUUGUACAUACCUAUUUCCACCCAGAUGAUCACUGGCGAGCUCUGGAAGUGGCACACCGAGAACAAGGCGAAUCCACCAGCAAUUAGUCCGGAGAAAAUGACAACCCCAUCAGCAAGCAAUGGAAAAAUUGAAAUCAAAUCCGUGAAAUCAAAGGUGAUACAGAAAAAGAAGGAUGAAAAGGAAGAAUCUAUCAAACCUCGAGAGAAAUCGCGGGAGAGAGUGUCAGAGAAUGCUGCGAACGAACGCGAAGCUGGGUUUGAAUCACGAAUUCUAUGAAGGGAGAGAUGAGAUGGAGAUGGAGGGCGACGGGUAGCCAAGUCAACGGAAGCUCUGAGCGUUCUGAUGCUUGUCAUACAAAAUCUUUAUAACCAAUAAUAAGGCUUCUUGUAUUACACCCGUGCAAAGGACCCGACAAGGACCCGACAAGGACCGCUCGAAAUCGAUCCGGACUGGUACAAAAAUGAUGGUUCCUAAGGGACUUGUUUCUUUAUCCAAUUUAUUGAAAUAGAUGGAUACUGUCCAAUCGUUCAACUGUCCUUUCAGAUUGUACCGAUUAUGGCCCCGUUUGGUUCGGCUUUGGGGGAAUGUGUCAUUGGCUAAAUGCAAAUAUCUUUGGAUAAAGGAGUUUUCAGGAAUACUUGGACGUUUGGCAAAUUGGGCAUUGGAACGUGACUUUGGUGUAAAUACCGUUUGGUAAACCCAACAUUUUCAAAGGGCUUUCAUUUUAUUUUAUUUUUUUAAAUCCAUUGAAACUCAAUUCAGCGGCGGGCCAACCACCGGCGACCAGAUUUGACCGCCGGCGAGGCUGGCCAAGGUCUAGAGAACCUAGAUCUGGCCGCCGGCCAGGCUGCCUGAGGUCACGUGACCUCAGGCGGCGCCGCCUAGGCCUCCCCAGCGGCCAGCUUGGGUUCGCGCGACCCAGGCGCCGCCGCCUGGGUCGCGGGUCCCGCCACCCCAGGCGGUGGUCACCGGGGACGCGGGACCCCCACGCGGCGGUGGCGGCUGCCGGGGAAGCCGAACUCUCGGCCGGCGGGGAAGACGAAGAACAGUAGUCGACGAAGAGGAAAGGAGGAGGAAGAAGAUGAAUAGUAAUCGAUGAACAGUAAACGGGCAUUUCCAAAAUGCUUAAUGCUCAAAGCUGGUCCUCCCCAGCAUUGGGCUUUCAGCAUCGGAAUGCUGACAUUUAGCCAAGUAGCUUUUGAAAAUGGUUGCCAAACACCAAAUAUUUUCCCCAAGGGCUUUCGGCCGAAAGCCCCUUGGGAAAGCCCAACCAAACGGGGCUUAUAUAAGUAAAUAUAUAAAUUUUAAAUUUUAAAAAAAAUGAAAAUCCUAAGUCCCUAAUACUUUUUUUUUUUUUUACUUUACUUUGACUUGAAAUUCCUCUCUGAAUACAAAGGGGGAAGGCGGGUGAGCCAAUGUUGUCGAGAUUAGGAAUGUCGAGAAGAACUGGGCUAAUGCAACUAGAGUCACUAAUGGUGGAAACAUGCUAAGUACUGGAACUAGUCAAUGAUACCAACAAGUCUAAUAAUGUUGAUGGCGGUUCAUCGCUGCAAAACUGUUAUGGUGGAGCACUAGAAGUCGUUGGGUUUGUUAUAGGUAACUCGGUCAAGCAAGGACAUCAUAGCUAGGCAUUGCUCGAAGCUUGGUGGAAUCGAUUCCAUAGACUCACUCAGAACUGCUCCGGUUCACAAGUGGGUCUAUGGAAUCAAUAAAUAAUUUCCAAUUCUAACUUUUCAAAAUCAAUCCUAGUAAGCGAUUCUAAGUUUUAGGGUGAUUCCUACUCACUUAGACCAUACUCACCCCUAGUCUAUUACUAGCAAAAAUACAUUAGCGUCAUGUGAAUGCAAAAAAAUAAUAAUAAUAUAAAUAUUUUGCACUAAAAUUUCCUUCUUACAAAUACUUAAAUAAUUAAUGAUCGGAAAUAGAUUGUUGGUACAGUAGGACAAAAUUGUAUACUAGAUAAAGAAGAUUUGAAUUUUUUUGUAAGAUUUUUUAUAACUUACCAGAUAAAGAAGAUUAAAACUUUAAAAUUGAAAUAUGCGGUGGACAAUUUAGAAUAAUUAAAUUUUUGUAUGAUUAUUGAUAGGAAUAUUCACAAAAAAGUUACCCAGUGUUUGUAGCUUUCUCAAUUUUCUCAUCUCUCCUUUUGGCUUGAAUUGAUCUUCUUAUAUGGUAUUUACUCUCCAAUCUAGCUGUUGGAUAAUCUUCAAUAUGAUCAAAUAACUGUUGGAAUUAUCGGACACAAUCACAAGAGAGACAGUCGCACAUUCAAUCAAAUAUUCCCCACAAUGAUUGGGUUUCCCAAAAUGAAGUCGGCCACUCCUGCUAAUAGUCUAUUUCUCGAAAAUAGAUAACAAUUGAUUUGAUUUAGCUCCAGUUUACUUUCCAGAAUUCCAAGCCUUCAAGAUAGUUGUUAAAUCUCUUUUGACAUGUAAAACUAGUAAAACAUAUAUAUAGAUAUUCUUGUCAAAUUCGUAAACACGUAAUAAAAUCAUUAGUUGAUAUUGGUAAAGGGAAGUGCAUUUAUAGGCGAUAGGAUGACUUCAUCUGAACUUCCCACUAGAGGUCACCAAACGAACUAUCGUCAAUUGGCUUCCUAAGUACAUCAAUGACUAAGAAAUCAUUCAGUUUUUUCACCUUAUUAUGGUAUCUCUAAGUUUACACAAACUUCUCCUCCUCCUAGACUUGUUUAUCCUUCACCAGAUCCUUCCAACUCUUUGACAUCUUUCCACUACCUAUCUUGGGUGCUGUGGAUGGUAAUAAAGCUUUCCUUAUAUCAUCACAACUGGAAAUAAGUAAUCUCUGCAUUUAUCAAAUAAUAACAAGAAAUAUAUGAUUAUGUCAACUUCAAAUAUAGUAAGAAGUUUGCCUAUCAAGCCCGUCGUUAUUUUUAUUUUUAUUUUUCAUUUGUCACGACCUUCCCAUAUAUGAACCAUCAAAGGAAAACAAAUGGAUUACUAAACAAAUAUUUAGUGUAAACCCAUACCAAUUGCAACUUUGAGAUCUUUUUUUUUUUUUUUUUUUGGUUGAACUUUGAGAUCUUGAUUUAAUCAAGGGAAAAUCUCAAAUAAGGACCCGAAAUGACUUUAUUUUCUCAAAAAAGGACCUGAAGUGGAGCUUGUCUCAAAUAAGAAUCUGAAGUAAUCAUUUAGUCUCAAAAGAGGACCUGACUCGCCGGCCGGUGAACUGAUGCAUUUUUUAUGUGUAUUCCGGCGACCUAAUCAGGGUAUUUUCGUCCAAAAAAUAUUUUCUUUUCAUUUUCCUUUUCCCCAGUUCAUCUUCUCCAUCUGCGAGCAAACCUCCACUAUCUCGCCGGUGAAGUAAUUGCCGGCGAGAUCGAGCCACUUCAGCUUCUUGAGCCCCGCCAUCUCCAGCGGCAGCGGCCCCGUUAACUUGUGUCAUUGCCCAAGUGGAGUUCUUUGAGCUGGGUUAUCGCCCGCAGGACUUUGCUGGGGAAGAUCCCGGAGAGGUUGAGGAAUCGGAGGGAGGUGGGGCUGCCGAGCUCCGGAGGGAGGGUCCCGGUGAGGUUGUCAGUGGUGAGCGUGAGGUUGACGAGGUCGCGCAGAAGGCCGAUUUCAGGUGGGAUGUAGCCCGAGAGGCCGACGGAUGUGAUGUUGAGAGAGACAACCCACGAGCCGGCGUCGCACGUGACUUUGGUGAAGGAGCAAUGCGGAAAGGGCGGCGGCGAGAAGGAGGAGGAGGAGUCGACCCAGUCGCCGAUGGCGGCGGAGGGAGGCCCGACCAUGGCGGUUCGAGAGAGCACGUCCAGGUCGCUCCGUGCAGGGGAAGCGGAGAUGAAGAGGAGGAAGAAGAAGAAGACUCCAUUGCAGGGCGGUUUCGUCCUCAGUAAGUUCGGCGAGGCCAGCAAGGGCUCGCUGACCACUGGUAAGGGCAGGCGAGGGCCUGCAAGCCCUCGCUCGCUGCCAACGCUUGCUGCCGGCGAUGGGUGUUGAGCCCUCGCUGGCCUCAGGUGAGGCCGACCCACGCCGGUCCCACGACCUUCGCCGGCCCUUCCCCACUUCCGAUGUCCUUGAUUUGGGCAAUGCCUAUCUCCGACGAAGAAGACGAUGAACAGGGACAACACCAUGGGUAGAUCAGGAAGAAGAUGAACAAAAAAAAGAAAACAAAAAGAUAAUAUUUUUUGGACAAAAAUACCCCAGGUCGCCGGAAUAGGCAUUGAAAAUGCAUCAGUUCGCCGGCCGGCAAGUCAGGUCCUUUUUUGAUACUAAAUGAUUACUUUGGGGUCUUAUUUGAGACAAAUUUCACUUUGGAUCCUCUUUUGAGAAAAUGGGGUCACUUUAAGUCUCUAUUUGAAAUUUUCCCUUUAAUCAAUUAAACAUGCAAAUCAAUUUAAUUUAAAGUCACCACUAAUUUAUUAUUGAUCAAUUGAAAACCCAAGUAAAAUGUGAAAAAAUAUUUUACUCCUGCAAACAAGAGAUGUCAUAAGAAUAAGAUUUGGUUACGCUAAAUAAAUCUAAUGCUUUUUCUCUACAUUUUCUUUCAAAAAGAUGAUGUGCAAUCACUCUUUGAUAAUUUUGAUUAAACCACCAACAUAUGAGACAACAAUGAAUCGAAAUCUAACUUGUCAUCAGGAUCUCUAACCGCUACUCGUGCUAACGUGCUUUUACAUUAGAAAAUAACAGAAUGCCCUGAGGAAUAGUUCGCUUAAAUAGGCUGCUUUAAAGCAACGAAAAGUCACUAAAAAAGUCUUGAAACUGGCUGAAUAACAGAAGAUGUUCUCCUCAUAUAUUUUUCUCUUGUGAAGUUAAUACAUAUCUUUUCAUAUUCUUCCUUUUUUAAAACUUAUGGUGUUCAGAGGCAAAAAGAGUAACUCUCCAAUCGAAUAAUUCUACUGUAAAAAACAACUCGAUGCACAAACAAGCCUUGAAAUUGGAAAUCGAACAAUUGAGAGGAUCAUUAAAUGUCACAAAGCACAUGAAAGAUGUGGAUGAUACUUCAAUUUUGAAAAUAGUUAUUUUGCUAGCAAAUAUGAGGUAACAAAGAGGGAAAUCUUGAGGAUGUAGAAGCACUAAAUCGAGCUAUCAUAGUAAAGGAGCGUAAUGGCAAUAAUGAGCUUAAGAAGCUCGCAAAAAAUUGAUCAAUGUAAGUUUGCUCUUCUCUUCCUUUUUUAUAGCGAGAUUUUCAAUUUGUUUUUGUAGGGAAUCAUGUUCUCUCGUAUCAUUUGUCAUCCUUUUACCUUUUUGGUCUGCUAUCUUUGGUUACUUUACUCAACACAAGUUUUUCUUGCAAUCAUACAUCAAGUUUUUCUUGCAAUCAUACAUCAACAAUAAACUUACCUAAGGUGCCAAUUUGACUUACUUUGCAAGUAUUAAAAGACAUACACAGUGAUUUUAAAGCCGAUGGCAACAUUCAACCGGAGUCGAUUGAGCCCUCGAAUCCUCCGGUCAAGCCACGCCUGAACAAGUUUGCAUUUGCUUGCGCCAUCGUGCCCCCAUGACCCCCCUUUUGCUCGGUGGACUGACCAUAAUCGAACAAAAGGGAGCUCAAGAAGGCCACAACAGAGCAGGCGAUGACAUACUUCUUCCGACACCACUUCACUGGAGGAUGGAAGUCCUCAAUCAACUAGGGUUGGACAUUUGCCAUCAACUUUAAAAAUCACAAAUAUGUCUUCCAAGAGUUGCAAUGNNNNNNNNNNNNNNNNNNNNNNNNNNNNNNNNNNNNNNNNNNNNNNNNNNNNNNNNNNNNNNNNNNNNNNNNNNNNNNNNNNNNNNNNNNNNNNNNNNNNNNNNNNNNNNNNNNNNNNNNNNNNNNNNNNNNNNNNNNNNNNNNNNNNNNNNNNNNNNNNNNNNNNNNNNNNNNNNNNNNNNNNNNNNNNNNNNNNNNNNNNNNNNNNNNNNNNNNNNNNNNNNNNNNNNNNNNNNNNNNNNNNNNNNNNNNNNNNNNNNNNNNNNNNNNNNNNNNNNNNNNNNNNNNNNNNNNNNNNNNNNNNNNNNNNNNNNNNNNNNNNNNNNNNNNNNNNNNNNNNNNNNNNNNNNNNNNNNNNNNNNNNNNNNNNNNNNNNNNNNNNNNNNNNNNNNNNNNNNNNNNNNNNNNNNNNNNNNNNNNNNNNNNNNNNNNNNNNNNNNNNNNNNNNNNNNNNNNNNNNNNNNNNNNNNNNNCAUCCUAAAUCGGUAUCGUUUUUUCUUUCUUCCUCGACUCGGUCAAAUAACACGGGCUCAACGUACCAGAAGCAGAGAUGCAACAAUUACCUCGGAGAUGCAGCAUAUGGUCACGAACAACGGUCGGACGAAGAGCUCGAAGUCCCGGAAGCAUCUCCGCCGGUGGUUGGCUACCCAGAGGGUAAGAAAUCUCGAGCGAUACUGCCAUGUCACGGCGAAAGAUAGGUGAUGGAGGUCUGCAAAAUCUAAAACAAACCGGGGAGAGCUUUCUAGGAACUCUUCUUGCUCUGGUGUUCUCUCGGCUGUGACUCGUAUCCCCCACCACAACGAAUGCCCCUCAAAGGUCUCGGUCAGUUAAGACGAGAGCGCUUUUCUCGGUCGCCAACUCCACGCACGCCUGUCGCUAUCGGUUUGGCUUAGUCUGGAAGAAGAGUCUUACGGGGCCUCGGUUAGAUGAGAGCGCUUAUCUCGGUUCUUUUGGGGUAAUCUGUAAAUUUCAAAAUUUUAUAAAGCACUGUUGUCGUGAUAAAAUUUUAAAAUUGAGAAAACCACGCGUACUUUUAUUUAUUCAAUUGGAUAGUAUAAGCUUAGUAAUUUUAAAAUUUACAUUGUGCUAAUUAAAUAUUAAAUCUUACAUUGCUCUACUAAUUAAAGAAAAAAGAAGAGGAGAAAAAGCUUCUCUUUUUUUUUUUUUAAGAAAAGAGAAAUAGUAGGUUUACUUACCGGAAAGCAUCAAAGAAUUAAUACUUUUAUUUACUCAGUUUGAGAGUAUAAGCCUUAUUUGAGGUGCGUUUGCUUGUGUAGUAUAAAAACAGAUAAGUCACAAUACGGAUAAGGAACAAAGAAUAUGUCAUACGAAGUACCAUAAUGGAAUUUUGAAUGUAAAUUCCAUAUGUAAUUUUGGUGAGAGAAAAAUGUUGGAUCACUAUUAUCUUGAAAGCAAUAUCUUCGAGCACCAGAACCUUAUCUGUUUGGUUUAAUUAUAUAUUAUCAAAAAUAGAGAAAAAAAAAUAACCAAGCCUAUAUCAUCAAAUUGAGUAAAUGAAAGUAUCAUUCCUCAAGGCUUUCUCGGUGAGUAAAACUAUUAUUUCUCUUUUCAUUUAAAAAAAAAAAUAGAAGCUUUUUCCCUCUUCUUUUUUAUUUCUAGUCUAUAAAUUUUAGUGUACUAAUACAUAAUCUUUAUAAUCAGUAAUAAGGCUUCUUCAAGUACUAAUAGCAAAAUUCCCUUACUAAAAAUUAUUUAAAUAUUUGAUGAUGGGAAAUAGAUUAUUGGUACAAUAUGCCGCACUUGUGUACAAUGUAUAUGUGGAAAGUGAAAACUAUUUCAAUGAUGGAAUUUCUUUUGCAAGAUUAUUUAUAACUUAUCAGAUAAAAAGGAUUAGAACUAUAUAAUUGAAAUACGUGGAAGGCAAAGUGAAAUCAUUAAUUUAGGCAUUUUUCCAUUGAUAGGAAUAUUCACAAAAUAAUUGUUUGAAGAUAUAUUGGGAAACAAAACAAUUGUAAUUCCUAAAAGGCGUAGAUACUGAUUUUUAGCGAGCUAAAGAGUUUCAAAUAUCAACACUUACUGUAACUUUUUUUUCUUCAUAACCGGACAAGGCAUAUCAACAAUUGAUAGAGACACCCCUUACUUUAUCAAAAAGCCCGUUUAUUAAUAUAUUUAUUCCAAUAUGUAUCUUCUUUUUGAUUUGUCUUUCAAUUAAGGAGAAGAUUGUAGCUUCCCGAAUUAAGGAGAAGAUUGUAGCUUCCCGAAAUUGAUGCUGCACUCCGAGCAUGACGACAUUGCUGGCCCAACCGUAGACACCCUCACUUGCAAAGUCCCGUGACGCUAACUCCUCGUGCCAAGUCCAAACGCUUAAGACCAAAUGACCCAAUUCAAGGGUAGCCUAAAUAUGGUGUGGUCUUGUUUGAUUUUGAGCUACUCCAUUGUAAUUGAAAGAAAAAAGGGUUUAGUAAGCAUUUCUCCUGCUCGAGGAAUUUCUCUCCAACAGUUAGCAAUGUCACAUAAUCAUGGCCAGCAUGGCCACUUCCACCAAACCCCUCCGAACCUUUGGGGUAGUAUAUGUUAGUUCCCAAAUUUUCUACUAUUAUCAAGUACCCUCUUAACUUUCAUUUUGUUCGAACUGUAAAGGCUCCGUUAUUUUUUUCGUUAACCUAUUUAAUGCACGUGACUUUCAAAAGAUGGAAGUAUUUUUCUCAUCUCUUUUAUUAAAGAAAAUCUCUCGUUUACUCUUAUUUGAUGUAAACUAAAUGAAAAAUAUAGAAAAUUUAAGAAAAAUAAAUUGCGUAUAAUACUAAUAAUCAAAAAAAUAUAUAUAAGCUACGUCUGAUCGUCCAAAUUCCAAUUGGAAUAAGAUUGGAUAAAGGGGAAUUUGAAAUCCUCCAAAUAUCCCUGGAUUGCAAAGAUAUCCCGUUAUAUGUUUUCUGCUACCUAAGAUAGGAUUUGAAAUCUUUUUGAAAAAAUCUUUGAAAAUAUUUGAAAAUCUACAACCUAAUAGGAUUGUUAAUCUUUGAAAAUCCUUAGCGUUUGAAAAUCUUUGAUAUUCCCAUAUCCUUAGGNNNNNNNNNNNNNNNNNNNNNNNNNNNNNNNNNNNNNNNNNNNNNNNNNNNNNNNNNNNNNNNNNNNNNNNNNNNNNNNNNNNNNNNNNNNNNNNNNNNNUUGUUUUGGACUCUUCGCGAGAGGUAUUAUUCUCUUUACCAUUUUCUUCUCAGAAUGUGCAAUUUCUCUGUUCAGGAGUUAAGAGUUGUGGAGCAAUAUGUGCAUGAUUUUCUGUUGUUUUUGGUAUCUCAACAUUUACAAUUCUUCCAUGAACCAAUUUCUUAAACUCCCCCCCACCCUUCCCUCUUCUCUGUUGGCAUGCGCACGUGCACACGCACAAACUUUUACUUUGUGCUUAGUUUUGUGGUUGUUACUUAUGUAAAACCAGUAUUAAUUGUCCUAAGCUUAACUGAUCAGGGUCUACAGAAGAUGACCAGUGAAGCAAUGCGGCCCUUUUUUUUUUUUUUUUUUUGAUCAGUCCUACUCUAAUCCUACUCUAACACUCAUUAAUGGGGAAAAUGGGGAAAACUCUUUAGGCUCUGAUGCAGAGUACAUGAAGCUUCUUCCGUUUGCUCUGUCCUUUUCCGCUGCUCCUACUUUCUUUCUGAGAUUGCACCUGAAGCUUCUUAUGAAUCAUAGUGUCUCCAAAGUUAGUUUUGUUGAGCUUAAUCAGGAGAAGAGCACUAAAACUGCAAGCAUUUUGGCUCAAUCUAACAUCGCCAUAGAUGACUGCUCAAAGAAUGAUGUGGGAUUCCAUACUAGCCAAGAAGCUCCAUCAAGAGAAAGUCCUUGUGAUAGGUACUUGCAUUGUGCUAAAGAUGAUCAAGCUGUUCAGCUAGUUGUUUGCGGGUGUGCAGAUCUGAGGACCCCUGAGGAUAACCAAAGCAGUGAUCUUCAUGCUGGCAGGAUUCACAUUGGUGCCGCUGUAGUUGGUGAUGAGGUUGGCCAGGUGCAGGAAGGGCAAGGAAACUAACGCAGCAUCAGAGAAAACGUCAAGGCCUCCGCUUGUUGGGGAGAGGAUCACAAAUGGUGCUUGUCCUUCUUUGAAUGGUAUUAAGAUAGAUACUCCCCAUUGUAAUGAAGGUGAUAAGCCUGCCAAUGAUGGAUCACUGCGUGGUUUGCCGCCUACUGGUAUGGCUCUACAGCGUGACCAUUUCACAUCCGAGGAAAUGGACGAUUUGAAGUUAGGUGCAGGACCAGUCGUAACUCGUAAGAGGUAUUUAUGAACAUUGGCGGCAGAAGAGGCAAAAGAAGGGAAUGCCAUUGAUUCGACUUCUUCAGGUGCCUUUUAAAAUCCUUUUUAUUGUCGUUUAUUGAUUUUGUCCAGAUACAUAUUUAUGUGAGUUGCUGCAUUUAAUUUGGCUUUCUGCAAUUACUGUUAAUCUGCCACUGGGAACAAUUUCUGUCACUCGGUUUUCCAGAGGAACGUUUCCAUGUUGAGAUGCUCGUUUUGUUUUAAUUUGAGGUGUACUUUGUUUGAGUGAAAUGCAAAGGAUUGUCGGGGGACCUGUUGGUAUGUGAUUGCUCUGUUCCUCUCUUCCAUUACCGUUUCAUUUUUAUCUUUUCCUGGAGUCGUUCUUUGGAAUUUUGUCUGAUAUGGGGCUGCUUUCUGCUCUGGAGCAUGUGGAAAUAUCUGGUUUUUGUGAUCUUCCUUUUUCAUUCUUGCAUAAUUGUUAUAUAGUAAUAUCAACUUCUUAGGCCUUCAUGCAUGAUGGUAAUGCUUGGUUUUUCAAUUAAUAGGGCAUUGAGCAUGAAUAAAGAAACAAAUAGCCUUUGAAAUUAGCUCUUAAUUAGUUCAGUUAUUAAUUAGUUGGUUAGAAAUAUUAUUAAAAAUCAGAUGCUAAUUUGUAUGUCUCUUUUUUGUUAAUUAGAUCUUCCUGUCAUGAUUAAUCCUGUCUGUUACCUUUGUGUGCACAUAGUGUGCACUUUUUUGAACUUGUGAUUUAAAUGUCAUGGUAUCAAUUAUUCAAUUCAUGCUCAUGCUUUGCAGCCACCAUUAUGGGAAAUGUACCAGCAGCAGUUGAGAGAGUGGGAGCUAGCUUUGAAUAAAGGGAACUCUGCUGCUUCUGAUGGAUGUCAGAAGGCCUCAGCUGUUGAGAGACCUCCCAUGUUUGCUUUUUGUAUGAAACCUAGGGGCUUAUCAAAGCAAAGGUCACAAAAACGAUUCUCAGUCACGGGGCAAAGCAAUGGUUUUCAUGGAGAUCAGAACAGUUUCCAUGCUUUUGGUAAUGUUAUGUGAAUUUAACUAAGCGGAACACUUUAGGGUUAUUUUUUCUUGGAUCCAGAAUUUUGACGUCAUUAUUUUUUUGUUCCUGUCAGGGAGGAGAUUGAACGGACCUAGUUUUGGAGAUGAUAGAGCCAUCUAUUUGGGACAUAACUAUGGACAUGUAGACAAUUCUCAAAUGGCACAGACAUCUCCGUUGGGAUAUUCUCCACGAGAUGUCCCUGGCCGGGGAUAUUUUCCAAUUGGCAAUGAUGGAUUCAAUCGAAAUUAUCCUCCGAGACUACAGAGAUAUAAGUCAAAGAAAUCUGGUGCUGUUGCAUCUCCUCGACAUUCACAGGUGGUCACUGCCUACAGCGGGGGAGCCACGGGCAGUAAAAAGAAUACCCAUCACUGGAAUUCUCAUCAACAGUUUUCGUCUGAAGGCUCUCAGAGACCAUCUAGUGAGCAGUGGGACCGGAUGGAUAUGGAUGAAUAUAAAUUGUUGGAUGCAUCUGGUGCAGCACGGUAUGCAUCUAAUUUAGCUAAGCUUAAGAGAGAGAGGGCACAGAGACUUCUUUGCAAAGCAGAUGUAGCAGUUCACAGAGCUGUGGUUGCUCUCAUGACUGCUGAAGCGAUGAAAGCGUCUUCGGAGGAUAGGAAGGAUGAUGGGUAGGUUACCUGAAGAUUAUCAGUGAACAGAUUGGUAUAGUUCUCAAUUUGAACCCGAAGAAUGUGCAGAUGGCAUGAAAAUAUUUCUCUUGAGGCGGGAGCUGGUCCAAGAUUUUAUCAGAUGCUGGUGCGCCUUUCACCAUGCACAGUUUUUGA